rnacentral:lncRNA from 1 species
CAAAAAGGAGUACCCUGACGCCUACGUCCGUAUCAUCGGCUUCGACAACCUGCGGCAGGUGCAGUGCGUCAGCUUCAUCGCCUUCAGGCCACCGGGUUGCGAGGAGUCCGGCAAGGCAUAAAGUGCAAGUUGAAGUAACCGAUAUACAUGCCAUGUUAGUUCACAUUGGUCGGUCGGUAGCUCUGCUUUCUCAAUUUUACUUCUUGUUCCAAUCAUAUGUGAAUAUACGAGCAUAUGUAUGUAAGCACCUACCAACGUAGGUCGAGGAAGAUGCAUAUGAGAAUCAUAGUACCGGCUAUACAUACUUUGUUUGCAGCUGGAAAUGCCUAUGUCUUGUAUUGUUUUCUUCUCAUGCAUUUUUUGCUCAAUCAUAUGUUGUGUAUUAUCUAAUGCAAAAAUUGUUAUGGAAUACCAAAGUACUUCAAAAUACUAUGGAGAAACACAUAACAAGUGGUGAGAUCCCCUUGAAAACUACUCCCUUCGUUCCUAAAUAUAAGUCUUUUAAGAUAUUUCACUAGGAGUCUACAUACGAAGCAAAUGAAUGAAUCCACACUCUAAAGUAUGUCUAUAUACAUCCGUAUGUAGUCCAUUAAUGAAACCUCUUUAAAGACUUAUAUUUAGAAACGGAGGGAGUACUGGCAAAACAGUAGGGAAUUGACGAGAAACAUACAAUAACAAAAAACUAAAAACCAAAUUAGAAAACUAGAAAAAAGUACAAACAAAGGUUUCAAAACAAGACAAGGACAAACCUACCGUACCGCACUUGUCAUGUGAGCCGUAUUCCUGCAUCGAUGCAUCAAUAACAUGCCACUUUUUCUAACCAUUUUACACCACAAUUAGAUAUUCUUUUUAUAGUAUUACAGAAGGAUGAACUAUAUGCACCUCUUCUGGUGAUGAUUCAGUCCGGUCCAUGAUCGUUACAUCAGUGCGUAUGUCGAAACCCAUCACUUUCUAUCUCUGAUGAAAUAUAAAUAUAUUUUAUAUCGCAUCAUAUAAAAUUUACAGAAGACAUAAUAAAAGUGAAACUAAAACAACUAUUUUAUUUUGUAAAAACAAAAAACAUUUUUUUUUCAUAUUAUUGAAAAACGUGUUGCAUUUAUAUUGGAGCAAACAACCAAAUAUAAUGUUUAUAUUUAAAUAAGCAGUAUUCUCAAAUUUCUUAAAUCAUUUUAAUAUAUUUAUAUAGCCUAAGAAAAAUUGUCCGAGAAAAGUUAAAAACAUGCACGCGAUCCAACAUAAACCAAGUAUAUUCAGUUUUUUGUUUCAAAAUUGUGAAUUUUUAUGAUACUCUGAAUAUAUCAAAUAAGUAUAAAAAAUAUUUAUAUGUAUGAUCCAUGUUUUAUUAAUAUAUACUUUAAUAUAUAUAUAUAUAUAUAUGUGUGUGUUUUAAGACAACUUUUAAUAUAUAUGUUUCUUCGCAGGGAUUCUUUUUAGGCAUUUUUCAUGUGUGAAAUGUUGGUGAUUGAAGGCCCAAAUUGGCUAUUCGGGCACCGCCGAGCCAACACCCAAUAAACCUCUAAAAAAAUAAAAAAAUAAAUAUCACCAACCCUACUUCACCGGACGACCCAACCAGCCCUGUCUCCAUCACCCUCUCUCUCUCCGCUCCCUGUCUCACUCUCUCCACUCCUCGUCUCACUCCCUUGCACAGAAAAUCCUAUAUGUGGAAGACUGACCCACUCCACUCCCUCUGCUCUCGCCCCACAGCCAGCGACCUCGUCUUCCACCACACAUCCACCUCUCAUCCCUUUCCCUUCAACCAUCCACCGGCGACCAGUUGCGCGCACACACUAUAAGAAAUAUGUCAACUUUUGACCUUUCAUAUUGGUCAAUGAAUGGUCGUUGUUUUCCAUUUAUGACCUUUUUAUGACCGAAAACAAUUGGUAAAAAGAGGACCGUCUCUAGUGAACUAUAACAACCUUUCUUCUGGAAUGGUCGUAGCAGGCAAUGAUCAAAACGAAAAGGUCGUUGGUUCUACGACCAAUUGUUUUGGUCACUGGUUGUGUGCCCAGGCCACGUCAAAUCCAACGUGGCAAGCUGGCGUGGAAAAAUUACGUCCAAUUCGGUGUCCAUAUGGGCCGAGCCCAACAAUUCAGCCCAUUUAAUUAUCAUUUUUUGUUGUCAUUCUGGUCGGCUACAUGGGUCUCACCCGAUAUUUCAGCCUUUUUUUGGUCGUGGCCUUUCUGGCUCAAUGGUUCCAGUUUUUUUUCUUCAGAAGAUGGGUCCAAUAGACAAAUGGGUUCCGAUUGUCAGCUUCUAGUAUGAGGAUUCAUGUUUUCAAUUCACCAACAAAUAAAUAACCAAUAUUUAAUUCAAAACAGACAAAAAGAACACAUAAUACUUCAAAUAACAGCCACAAUAAGUCUAUUACAACAUAUAACUUAGAUACAAUGGUGAUCACAACCACAAGCUCUACAAGUGUAAACACAACCACAAGCUCUACAAAUGUAAUCACAGCCGCAAGCUCUAUAAGUGCCCUUUGAUAGCUUCGAGUGGACCUUUCAAGGGUCUUCUCCAUAGUGCCGACCAAGAUCUCACCCUUCAUGGGCAUCAGAGCAAUGCAACUAAACGUGGCAGGGAAAAGGACUACCUGCCAAAAGCCAAAUCUAUACAAGAUAUCAGCCUUUCAGUGGUGUAGAAUAUCAUAGAUAGAGACGUGCUUCAGCAUUACAUGGCAUGGAAACGUAGAAUGCAUUUUUUACAAAGGGCAUACAAUUGCAAAUUUACUAUCCACAAAACAAAUUAGAAAAAACAAAUAAAACAGUGAAGUGUAAAAAAUAUAAGCCAUAGUGUUUCUACUUCCCACAAAUGACUGACACCAUGGUGUUUCAACUACAUGGCAAUCUAGUCACUCAAGAUGCGUCACCAAUCUAGUCACUCAAGAUGCAUCUUGUAGAACACUAUUCUAUAAUAGUAUAUAUCGAGCAUGAUACAACAGAAGCUUGAAUUUAUGGUUUUUAUAAUUCGACAUUAUACAUCCCCGGUUAUAUAGACAUGUUUAUCACAUACUGUACACGACAAUAGAAGAAAAAUUCUAAUAAAUUCGUUAGAGGCUUUCCAAUAAAAAUGAUAAGUUACCUGCAUACCAGGAAACAUAAACUUGAGAGGUUCAGAUCAAGGCCAAUGGAGCAAUGCAUCAUAAUUAACAGUUUUAAAUACUAUAGGACCAGGAAGUAGGUGUCGCUUCAAAUUUAAAAACUCAACCAUUCAUCAUUAAGAGUAGCAAUUUAAUCUAAUAGUAAAACAAUGCUCCUAAAAUAGUUUUCACACUGGAACUAUGAGGCAGCUAAAUUACAAGAUAUGGUUUGCCCUUUUUUCACAACAUCGAUGAGCUAAAGGGUUCUGCAGGGUUAGGCAGCUCAUCUAAAACUAUGUAUUUACUCUAUGCCAUCAUGUAUUCACAAAGUGGUCGAUCAUUCUCACAUAUUUUAAUAUAAAGAAGGGAUCCUAGACAGCUACUUGUGUAGUAUACAUGGCAAUCUAGUCACUCAAGAUGCGUCACUGCUAUCCGCUAGAGCACACAACAUACAAACCACCACUAAAAUUGACGCGGGGCGCAAGGGUAGGGCGAAAUAUCACACCUUUCAGUUUGGACGGAGUGUAGAACUCGACGACAUCGAGCAGCCUCACCUCCAGCUCCACGUGCGAUUGCUCCUGGACCUGCCAUAUAAGGAAAAGACAUCAGGCCACGAGACCACGAGACCUGCAAUACGAGGAUUUUAUUAGCUCACUGGAUGGUGUGUACUUCACAUCAUAACCAAUUUGAAUACUAUGGUUUCUGAAAAAACUUUGGUACUAAAUACUUUGAGAUGUUUGGUUUAAAAAAUUAUUGUGGUUUAAGAUAUUGCGAUAUCUCUCAUACUGCAGUUUUUCUAUAUUACUUAAAAAAGUGCCCCCCAUCAUUUUUAAACAGAAACAUCCUAUUGAUUCUCUUUGCACUUGAAGCCACUACAAGAAAACCCAUGACUGAAAUCAUAACACCACCACUAAGAUCCCCGGUUGUAACAAGGAUCACACGGGUAGGAUACACUAUGCUUUGCUGGACAAGAAAGACAACAGUUUGCAGAAGGGGUGGAGAAGGGGCAUGGGGACGAACCAGUUCUAGAGGCCAAUGCGGAAGAAGUUGGACUUGCGGUAGGUGUAGCAGGGGAGCGCAUCAAUGCGCCAUUGUGUGAGCCACAACGCCGCCUCGACCGAGGACCCCACGACAUCGCAUCGAUCAUGGCCCCCCACGCCGCCGCCGCCGCCACCACCUCAUCGACGCAGCCCAGCAGCCCCAGCGCCCCCUUCCGCAGGCUCCCUGUGACCGCUCCUCAUGAACUGCCGCGAUCCCGCGCGCGCACGACCAAACCCCAAACGCCAACCACUCAGCACGACGACGACGUGGACAUGGAUAGAUCGCUGCGACGGAUGACUCACGGUCACAGCGGUAUGCAGGAGGUGUGCGCGCAGCCAAAGCGUCGCAGAGGGCUGUCCGUCCCGGUUAUUGGCGAGCGGCGCGCGCGUAAGAGCAUCUCUAGCAGAACCCUCAAACCCUUAAAUCUAAAACCAGUUUUAAGGGUUGAGAAUUGGCCAUUUUUGACACUUUUAAGGGUUGAAAAACAAGGGCAAAGACUAGAACCCUCAAACCCAACCCUUAUAACGGAAUAACCCUCAAACCCAACCCUUAUAACGGAAUAUUCCGUUAUAAGGGUUGGGUUUGAGGGUUCUAGUCUUUGUCCCAACCCCAACCCUUAAAACUGUCAUUUCAUAUAUCACACGUUUCAUCACAUUUCAUCAUAUGACAUAUCACAAAUUCAAUCACAUUUGACAUAAAACAAUAAUCAUUCUAGUUAUUAUUACACCACCGAAUAAAACAAUAAUCAUUCAAAUUAUUACAACAAUGUUUGAGCAAAUUAAAACAAUAAUACAUCAUAAUUCAUGAGUAAACAUUUGACAAUGGAGAUAAAAUGUAAAGUGAAAUAAUAGCAACUUUGGAAGAUCAUGAUAAUCUGAAGCAAAAUACAAGGUAAGCAUAUCAUGAAAAUUUGAAACCAAAUUAUUACAUGCUAACUUAUUUCUUAGCAGCAAUCUGAAGAAAAAUACAAGGUAAGCAUAUCAUGCAAAAUCUAUUUACUAGCCUGUAUUUGUAACUGAUUUCUUAGCAGCAAAAUCUGCCAUGAAAUCGGUAUCAAUUGCACAGGGCAAAACCUGAAACAACUAAUUGCACAGGGCAUGUAUCAAUUGCACACGGCAAAAUCUGUCAUGAAACCUGAAACCAUGAAACCUGAAGCAAAAUCUGUUAUGACUUGCCUGAAAAAAAUUCAGUUGGCUAGAAACUCACAUACACAGAGCAUGUAUCAAUUGCCUCUGUGCCAAUAAUUUUGUUCUACUUAUCUAGCAAAACCAGGAAGAGUAUGUACACUAGAGCUCGCGAGGGCACCAUGGUAGAAGUAUGGAGGUGGAGAAGGAUUGGAACAGGAGCUCAUCGGGGCGUCGGGGAACUGCUGCAGCGGCGAGGUGGGCGGCUCAGGCCGGGGCUGGCGCAGGGGCGGGCGCGGGGCCGGCCGGGGCUGGCACGGCGGCCGANNNNNNNNNNNNNNNNNNNNNNNNNNNNNNNNNNNNNNNNNNNNNNNNNNNNNNNNNNNNNNNNNNNNNNNNNNNNNNNNNNNNNNNNNNNNNNNNNNNNGAAUCCCACUUAUGAUUAACCCCUCUCGCAAGCAUCCGUAACUACGAAAGAAGAAUUAUGACAAAGUCAAACCAUAGCAUUAAACUAGUGGAUCCAAAUCAGCCCCUUACGAAGUAACACAUAAACUAGCGUUUAAGCUUCUGUCACUCUAGCAACCCAUCAUCUACUUACUACUUCCCAAUGCCUUCCUCUAGGCCCAAAUAAUGGUGAAGUGUUAUGUAGUCAACGUUCGCAUAACACCACUAGAGGAAAAACAACAUACAACAUAUCAAAAUACCGANNNNNNNNNNNNNNNNNNNNNNNNNNNNNNNNNNNNNNNNNNNNNNNNNNNNNNNNNNNNNNNNNNNNNNNNNNNNNNNNNNNNNNNNNNNNNNNNNNNNNNNNNNNNNNNNNNNNNNNNNNNNNNNNNNNNNNNNNNNNNNNNNNNNNNNNNNNNNNNNNNNNNNNNNNNNNNNNNNNNNNNNNNNNNNNNAGUAAUCCAACUAGCAUCAACUACAAAGAGUAGUCAACACUACUAGCAACCUUACAAGUACCAAUCGGAGUCGCGAGAUGGAGAUUGGUUACAAGAGAUGAACUAGGGUUUGGAGAUGAGAUGGUGGUGAUGAAGAUGUUGAUGGAGAUGAGUCCCCUCCGAUGAGAGGAAUGUUGGUGAUGACGAUGACGACGAUUUCCCCCUCCGGGAGGGAAGUUUCCCCGGCAGGAUCGUCCUGCCGGAGCUCUUGAUUGGUUCUGCUCAAGUUCCGCCUCGUGGCGGCGGCGAAACCAUGAUAAAGCUCCCUUCUGAUUUUUUCCUGGACGAAAUCCUCCAUAUAGAAAAAUAGGGGGGCAAGUGGGCCAGUAGGGUGACCACAAGCCCCCAUGGCGCGGCCUGGGGGGNNNNNNNNNNNNNNNNNNNNNNNNNNNNNNNNNNNNNNNNNNNNNNNNNNNNNNNNNNNNNNNNNNNNNNNNNNNNNNNNNNNNNNNNNNNNNNNNNNNNAUGCAUGUAGUACAUCCAAUCUGCAAAAUGGGAAUAAGAAAGUCAAAAAAAGAACAACAACAACAACAUAUAUAUGACAAAUGAGCUAAAUUGAAGAAGAAAGAGAAGAAGCAAGAAGGGAACAAGGAGAAGAAAAACAAGUAGGAGGAGGAGGAGGAGGGGAAGGAGAAGGAGAAAGAGGAGGAGAAGAACAAAAAAGAAGAAGAGAAGAAGAAGGAGAAGAAGGAGGAGAGAAGAAGAAGGAGAAGAAGGAGGGCUCCUUUUCCUUCUUCUCCUCCUUCUCCUUCUUCUUCUCUUCUUCUCCUCCUCCUCCUUCUUCUUCUCAUUCUCCUUCUCCUUCUCUUCUUCUUCUCUUCUUCUUCUUCUUCUUCUUCUUCUUCNNNNNNNNNNNNNNNNNNNNNNNNNNNNNNNNNNNNNNNNNNNNNNNNNNNNNNNNNNNNNNNNNNNNNNNNNNNNNNNNNNNNNNNNNNNNNNNNNNNNNNNNNNNNNNNNNNNNNNNNNNNNNNNNNNNNNNNNNNNNNNNNNNNNNNNNNNNNNNNNNNNNNNNNNNNNNNNNNNNNNNNNNNNNNNNNNNNNNNUAUGUCUUUUAGGAGCUUAAUUAGUCAUUUUAUUAUGUCUUCUUGUUCUCCUCCUCCUUCUUCUCCUUCUCCUUCUCUUCUCUUUCUCUUCUUCUUUUUGUUCUUCCUUUUCAUUUCUCAUCUUCUCCUCUUCUUGGAGCUAAAUUAGCUAACUAUGUAUUUUUGGAUCUAAAUGGUCUAAUUAUGUCAUUAUAGAGGAAAACAAGCUAAGUAUAUAAUAUUAAUGAGCUAACCAAGGUUCUUAUGCCAUUUUGAGCUUAUAAUGUCUUUUUGGAGCUAAAUUGGCUAAUUAUGUCAUUGGUGGGGAAAUUAAGGCAAGGAGAAUAUGAAAGAGGAGAAGAAAGAGGAGGAGGAGGAGGAGAAGAAGAAGAAAUAAAGAAGAAGGAGGAGAAGCAGGAGGAGGAGGAGAAGGACUAGAAGGUCCUUGGCCUUCUCCUCCUUCUCCUCUUCCUCCUUCUCCUUCUUCUGUUCUUCUUCUUCUUCUUUCUUUUCAUUUUUCCUAUUUCUUCUCAUGUUCUCCUCUUCUUGGAGCUAAAUUAGCUAACUAUGUCUUUUUGGAGCUAAAUGGGCUAAUUUUCCCAUUUUAUAGGAACACACGCUAAGUAUAUAAUAUUAAUGAGCUAACCAAGGUUCUUAUGCCAUUUUGAGGUUAUUAUGGCAGUUUGGAGCUAAAUGGGCUAAUUAUGUCAUUGUUGGGGAAAUUAAGGCAAGAAGAAUAUGAAAGAGGAGAAGAAAGAGGAGGAGGAGGAGAAUAAGAAGAAAUAAAGAAGAAGCAGGCGAAGGAGGAGGAGGAGAAGGACUAGAAGGUCCUUGGCCUUCUCCUCCUCCUUCUCCUCCUCCUCCUCCUCCUCCUCCUUCUUCUUCUUCUCCUCCUCCUUCUUCUCCUUCUCCUUCUCUUCUCUUUCUCUNNNNNNNNNNCUCUUCUUCCUUUUCAUUUCUCCUCUUAUCCUCUUCUUGGAGCUAAAUUAGCUAACUAUGUAUUUUUGGAGCUAAAUGGGCUAAUUAUGUCAUUGUAGAGGAAAACAAGCUAAGUAUAUAAUAUUAAUGAGCUAACCAAGGUUCUUAUGCCAUUUUGAGCUUACAAUGUCUUUUUGGAGCUAAAUGUGCUAAUUAUGUCAUUGUUGGGGAAAUUAAGGCAAGGAGAAUAUGAAAGAGGAGAAGAAAGAGGAGGAGGAGGAGAAGAAGAAGAAAUAAAGAAGAAGAAGGAGAAGGAGGAGGAGGAGGAGGAGGAGAAGGACUAGAUGGUCCUUGGCCUUCUCCUCCUCCUCCUUCUCCUUCUUCUCUUCUUCUUCUUCUUCUUCUUCUUUCUUUUCAUUUUCCCUAUUUCUUCUCCUCUUCUCCUCUUCUUGGAGCUAUAUUAGCUAACUAUGUCUUUUUGGAGCUAAAUGGGCUAAUUAUCCCAUUUUAGAGGAAAACAAGCUAAGUAUAUAAUAUUAAUGAGAUAACCAAGGUUCUUAUGCCAUUUUGAGGUUAUUAUGACAUUUUGGAGCUAAAUGGGCUAAUUAUGUCAUUGUUGGGGAAAUUAAGGCAAGGAGAAUAUGAAAGAGGAGAAGAAAGAGGAGGAGGAGGAGAAGAAGAAGAAAUAAAGAAGAAGGAGGAGGAGGAGGAGGAGGAGGAGGAGGAGAAGGACUAGAAGGUCCUUGGCCUUCUCCUCAUUCUCCUCCUCCUCCUCCUCCUUCUCCUUCUUCUCCUCCUCCUUCUUCUCCUUCUCCUUCUCUUCUCUUUCUCUNNNNNNNNNNAUUUUUGUUCUUCCUUUUCAUUUCUCCNNNNNNNNNNNNNNNNNNNNNNNNNNNNNNNNNNNNNNNNNNNNNNNNNNNNNNNNNNNNNNNNNNNNNNNNNNNNNNNNNNNNNNNNNNNNNNNNNNNNGGGUCUUCUGCAUCCUCUCAGUUGCAUAGCACCAACGAUCUUGCACCGGCCCACCCAAUCUUGCCUCGGUUGGUAGAUGUAAAAUCAAAUGCUGCAUUGGAUUAAAGAAGCCCGGUGGAAAGAUCUUCUCUAACUUGCACAACAACUCCGGUGCAAACUCCUCCAUGUCUUCUACCACGCCAGGCGACAAUUAUUUCGCACAAAGAACACGGAAGAAAUAGCUCAGCUCCGCCAGUACUAGCCAUUCAUCCUCAGGAAUAAAGCCACGUAACAUCACCGGCAUUACCCGCUCUAGCCAUAUGUGCCAAUCAUGACUCUUGAGACCAAAGAUUUUUUAUUUUUCAAGACUCGCUCCCCUCUUUAGAUUCGCUGCAUACCCAUCGGGGAACAUCAAGUGCAUUUUGACCCACAAGAUAAUUUCCCUCAUAGGUGGCCUUCCAAGAUUGAACCAGGCCUUUGGCUUCGACCACUUCUGCUUUCCUUUGCCUUCUCGCAUGUUUUGUAAUGGUCUAUGACAUACUGUCUCUUGAUCGACUAUAGCCUUAGUAUUAUCCUUUGUCUUCCCAUCUAUGUGAAACAAUGUACCAAAAUAGCCUCUCCGAUAUUCUUUUCAGUGUGCAUCAUGUCGAUAUUGUGUGGAAGAAGGAGGUCUUUGAAGUAAGGCGGAUCCCAGAAGCAUGGCUUGUGAGUCCAGGCGUGUUUUGAAUUAUACCCCUUGAAAUACCCUGGACGCUCUAGAUCAGGCUCGAGGGCAUUUAACUGAUCCAGGAUCUGUUGGCCUGUCAACACAGGUGGUGCCAAGUUCUUGACAACUUUACAUUUGGUAAAGUUCUUCUUGUCUUUUCUGAACUGAUGGUCAGGAUCCAGGAACUGUCUAUGCAAAUCAAAGCAAGAAUACUUCCGACCCUCCUGCAACCAAUGAAACUGAAGAGCUGCCUUGCAUUGGGGGCACGGGAACCUUCCAUGCACACACCAUCCAGAGAAUAGUGCAUAUGCCGGCAAGUCAUGCAUAGAGUACACGUACCACACAUGCAUUUUGAAGUUUUGUUUUCUAGCCGCAUCGUAUGUCUUGACCCCAUUAUCCCAAGCGUCUUCCAAUUCAUCCUUAAGCGGAUGCAGGUACACAUUCAUAUUCUUCCCCGGAUAAUUGGACCCUGGAAUUAUCAACGUCAGAAAUAUGUUCUUUCUUUGCAUAAUCUGCCCGGGGGGGGGAGAUUCAGUGGAAUGACAAAUACAGGCCAACAACUGUAUUGGGUUGCCGUCAUGCCGAAGGGAUUAAAACCAUCCGUGGCGGCGCAGACUCGAGGAUUUCUUGGAUCUGCCGCUUUAUCCUGAUGCAAUCCAUCGAAAUGUUUCCACNNNNNNNNNNAGAUUGAGUGGAAUGAAAAAUACAUGCCAACAACUAUAUUUGGUUGUCGUCAUGCCGAAGGGAUUAAAACCAUCCGUGGUGAUGCAGACUCGACGAUUCCUUGGAUCUGCCGCUUUAUCCUGAUGCAAUCCAUCGAAAUGUUUCCACGCUUCCCGAUCCGAUGUGUGUACCACCAUAUUAUUCCCAUCCGCAUCUAGUUCGGUUCUUUUGCCCAAUUUGUGCCAUGUCAUCUGUCUGGCUGUCUCUUCGACCAUGAAAAUACGUUGAAGUCUUGGUACGAUUGGCAUAUACCGAAGAACACUAACUGCGAUUUUGGUCUGCCUCUCGCACCCAUACCGUUGUCUACCACAAGAUACCUGCAAGACUCGCAAUUGGGACAAUAGUCCAAGUGUGCAUACUCCUUCCUAAAUAAGACACAUCCUUUCUCACAUGCAUCUAUCUUCUCAUAGGGCAUCUUAAGUACGCGAAGUAUUUUGUCCGACUGGUACAGGUUUGCAGGAAUGACAUGGCCUUUGGGUAGGAAACGUCCAAAUAGUGUCAUCAUCGCGUCGUAGCAUUCUCUUCCCAAGUUGAACUGAGCCUUCAGAGCCAUUACUUGUGCAAUUGCAUCCAGCUGACAGAGCUCGGUGUGCUCAUGGAGAGGUCGUUUUGAAGACUCCAACAUUUCAUAAAAGGCCUUUGCAGAUUCCUCCNNNNNNNNNNAUCGUAGCAUUCUCUUCCCAAGUUGAACAGAGCCUUCAGAACCAUUACUUGUGCAAUUGCAUCCAGCUGAUAGAGCUCAGUGUGCUCAUGGAGAGGACGUUUUGAAGACUCCAACAUUUCAUAAAAGGCCUUUGCAGAUUCCUCCAUCUCAUCUUCCGAAUCCCGAGCAUCAUCAAAGUCUUGCACCAUGUCUUCGAUCCCAGUACCAUGCUCGUCCGUGUGACGACGGACCACCUCAGCUCUUGUGCGUUGUAUAGACUCACCAUGAAAUGUCCACACCAUAUAAUUAGGCUUAAAACCCCUCCUCUGCAGGUGUUUAAUCAUUACAGCCUCUGUUGUCUUUUUAUAGUUGUCGCAUCCAGGACAGGGGCAAUAGUUUCUUUCCUCGCCAUUUGCGAAUGCGGCUUUCACAAAUUCCUUUGUUUUUAAAAACCAUUCUUUCGUCAUCUCUUUAUGACUAGGGUGACCGGUAUACAUCCACGCACGAUCACUCAUCUUGCGUAGCUACUAAAGACAGAAGAAAUAUAUUUAUAUAUAAUUCAUCAUCUAUAUUCAUCGGUUAAUCAUGUUCGCCAUUUUUAUUACGUCCAGGCAACCUACACGCUAAUAGGUAAAGAUAGGUCCUAAUCCCACUCGAGUAUGUGUAGACUGGGUUCGUUUUCCCAUGCUCUGCUCCGGAUCCAACGCAAAAUUUCGGCAGCACCUCCCCGCUGUUCUCUUGAUACACGUCUCCGCAAUAAACAGAGAGGAUGUGCAUCCGGAGAACAACAGGGAGGCAAUGACGAAAUUCCGCAUCGGAUCCAGAGCACAGCAUACGGGAAAACGAACCCAGUCUACACAUACUCGGGCUGUCCAUGGAUAAUGUUGGACAAUUCGAAAGGAUGGCGGUUAUAAAUAUGCAAAGACAUGCAUAUUUAUAGAUGUCGCCCUUUCGAAUGGGAGACGCAUACUGGUCACGCAUACUCAUGAUUGAAGAAACCUAUAGCUAGCAAGUUUCAUCGGCACGAAGACCGGGACAGAGCAAAUUAAGGGGGUAGGAGGAGAAGUCAUUUGUGCUCACCAACAAACGCAAGGGCGGAGCUCGUCCAACGCACGUGGAGGUCGUCGAACAACUGCACAUUGAAAUUCACCUGAUCAACACAAAUAUGAUGUUUUUAUAAUUAACAUAACUAUAUGACCUAACUCAUAACUAUGUGGGUCAGUGUCAUCGGGGGUCGAAGGUCACUGGCGUCGGGGAUUGGGGUCUUUUCGGUCAACAAGAGGCGGAAGAGGUGUCGGGGCUCGGGGGUUGGGGGUCAGUGGCGUCGGGGGNNNNNNNNNNNNNNNNNNNNNNNNNNNNNNNNNNNNNNNNNNNNNNNNNNNNNNNNNNNNNNNNNNNNNNNNNNNNNNNNNNNNNNNNNNNNNNNNNNNNAAGAAGAAGAGAUGAAGAAGAAGAGAAGGAGGAGGAGGAGGAGGAGGAGGAGAAGGCCUAUCCUUCUCCUCCUCCUCCUCCUCCUCCUCCUUCUUCUUCUUGAUUUCUUCUUCUUCUCCUCUUCCUCCUCUUUCUUCUUCUUCUCCUCCUCCUCUUUCUCCUCCUCCUCCUCUUUCUUCUUAUUCUCUUCCUCCUCUUUCUUCUCCUCCUCUUUCUUCUUCUUCUCUUCCUCCUCUUUCUUCUCCUCCUCUUUCUUCUUCUUCUCUUCCUCCUCUUUCUUCUUCUUCUCCUCCUCCUCUUUCUUCUUCUUCUUCUCCUCCUCUUUCUCCUCCUCCUCUUUCUUCUUCUCCUCUUCCUCCUCUUUCUUCUUCUUCUCCUCCUCCUCCUCUUUCUUCUCCUCUUUCAUAUUAUCCUUGCUUUAAUUAACCCAACAAUGACAUAAUUAGCCCAUUUAGCUCCAAAAUACCAUAAUAAGCUCAAAAUGGCAUAAGAACCUUGGUUAGCUCAUGAAUAUUAUAUACUUAGCUUGUUUUCCUCUAAAAUGACAUAAUUGGAAUAUUUAGCUCAAAAAGAAGGAGAAGGAAGAAUAAGAAGAAGAAGAGAAGAAGAAUAGAAGGAGAAGGAGAAGAAUAAGGAGGAGGAGGAGAAGAAGAAGAAGGAGGAGGAGAAGAAGAGAAGGAGGAGAAGGAGAAGGAGCCCUCCUUCUUCUCCUUCUUCUUCUCCCCUUCUUCUCCUCCUUCUUCUCCUUCUUCUUCUCUUCUUUUUUCUUCUUCUCCUUCUCCUUCUCCUUCCCCUUCCCCUCCUCCUCCUCCUCCUUGUUUUUCUUCUCCUUGUUCUCUUAUUGCUUCUUCUCUUUCUUCUUCAAUUUAGCUUAUUUGUCAUAUAUAUGUUGUUGUUGUUCUUCUACUUACUUUCUUAUUCCCAUUUUGUAGAUUGGAUGUACUACAUGCAUGGAAGCUGGCGUUGGAGUGCUUUAGUUUCCGUUUUUAUUUGAGUUGAUGAACAAUGUGUUGGUUCUUUGUAUGUGUUGAUGAACAAUAUAUGUGCAACUAUAUGUAUGUAUAUAUGGAUGAAACUUCGUAUGUGUUGGUUCUUUUGAUAUAUGGGAUGUACGUUGAUGAACAAAUGGCAUUGAUGAGCUUUAUAUGUAUAUAAUAUAUGUGUUGUGAUCUAUUUAUGAUAUAUGUGCUCUGAAUUAUAUGUAUAUGUAAUGUGAAAUAGAAAAAAUAANNNNNNNNNNNNNNNNNNNNNNNNNNNNNNNNNNNNNNNNNNNNNNNNNNNNNNNNNNNNNNNNNNNNNNNNNNNNNNNNNNNNNNNNNNNNNNNNNNNNAAUAACUUCUUUAAGCAUCCUGAUAGAGGUGUUGUGAUCAGCAUUACUAGUUGGGAUAGCUUCUACCCACUUAGUAACAUAAUCAACAACAACUAGGAUAUGAGUAUACCCGUUGGAUUUUGGAAAAGGUCCCAUAUAACCAAAGCCCAAACAUCAAAUGGUUUAAUGACAAGUGAAUAGUUCAUAGGCAUUUCCUGACGUUUACCGAUAUUACCUAUUCUUUGACAUUCGUCACAAGACAAGACAAACUUACGGGCGUCCUUGAAGAGAGUGGGCCAAUAGAAAGCUGAUUGCAAUACCGUGUGUGCAGUUCUGUCUCCCGCAUGGUGUCCUCCAUAAGCAUCGGAGUGACACUUCUGUAGGAUCUGUCCCUGUUCAUGUUCAGGUACACAACGUCUAAUAACACCAUCUACUCCUUCCUUAUAAAGGUGAGGAUCAUCCCAAAAGUAAUGUCUCAAAUCAAAGAAGAAUUUCUUCUUUUGCUGGUAUGUGAAACUAGGUGGUAUAUAUUUGGCAACGAUAUAAUUUGCAUAAUCAGCAUACCACGGUGCACUACGUGAAGUAUUGAUGACAUUCAAUUGCUCAUCAGGAAAGCUAUCAUCAAUAGGUUGUGGGUCAUCAAGAACAUUCUCCAACCUAGACAAGUUAUCUGCUACGGGGUUCUCAACACCCUUCGUGUCGAUAACAUGCAAAUCAAAUUCUUGCAGCAAGAGAACCCAUCUGAUAAGUCUAGGUUUAGCGUCUUUCUUUUCCAUGAGGUAUUUAAUAGCAGCGUGUUUAGUGUGAAUAGUGCCUUUGGAAUCAACUAUGUAAGGUCUUAACUUUUCACAGGCAAACACGACUGCUAAAAAUUCCUUUUCAUUAGUAGCAUAGUUCCUUUGGGAACUGUCUAGAUUUUUACUAGCAUAGUGAAUAACAUUCAAUUUCUUAUCAACUCUUUGUCCUAGGACAGCACCAACAGCAUAAUCACUAGCAUCACACAUGAUUUCAAAAGGUAAGUUCCAAUCAGGUGGUUGAACAAUAGGCGCAGUUAGCAAGGCCUUUUAAAGUAUUUCGAAGGCUUCCUCACAAUCGUCAUCAAAGCCAAAAGGAAUAUCCUUUUGCAAGAGAUUGGUAAGAGGCCUAGAAAUCGUAGAAAAGUCCUUAAUGAACCUUCUAUAGAAACCAGCAUGACCAAGGAAACUUNNNNNNNNNNACCUUUGAUAUCUGUAGGGCAUGGCAUUUUUUCGAUCGCAUCAACCUUAGCCUUAUCGACUUCAAUACCUCUUUCAGAAAUUUUAUGUCCUAAGACGAUGCCUUCAUUAACCAUAAAGUGGCACUUCUCCCAAUUCAAGACAAGGUAGGUAUCUUUACAUCUCUGCAAGACUCGAUCAAGGUUGCUGAGGCAAUCAUCAAAAGAAGACCCGUAAACGGAGAAGUCAUCCAUGAAAACCUCAACAAUCUUUUCACAAAAGUCAAAGAAUAUAGCCAUCAUACAUCUUUGAAAGGUAGCAGGUGCAUUACAUANNNNNNNNNNNNNNNNNNNNNNNNNNNNNNNNNNNNNNNNNNNNNNNNNNNNNNNNNNNNNNNNNNNNNNNNNNNNNNNNNNNNNNNNNNNNNNNNNNNNUAAAUCGGCAAGAGACAUCAUAGAACGCACCAUAUCCAGUAAAGUACGAUUACGACGUUCGAACACACCAUUACGCUAUGGUGUUCCAGGCGGUGUCAAUUGUGAAACAAUUCCACAUUGUCUUAAGUGAGUGCCAAACUCAUAACUCAAAUACUCUCCUCCUCGAUCAGGUCAUUGGAAUUUAAUCUUCUUUUUACGAAGAUUCUCAACUUCACUCUGAAAUUGACUAAACUUUUCAAACGUUUCAGACUUGUGUUUCAUUAAGUAAAUAUACCAGUAUCUACUUAAGUCAUUAGUGAAGGUGAGAAAAUUACAAUAUCCAAAGUGGGUCUCAAUGCUCAUCGGACCACACACAUCAGUUUGUAUGAUUUCCAUCAAGUCACUUGCCCGCUCCAUUAUUCUGGAAAAUAGGGUCUUAGUCAUCUUGCCCAUGAGGCAUGGUUCACAUGUGUCAAGUGAUUCAAAAUCAAGUGACUCCUAAAGUCCAUCAGCAUGGAGCUUCUUCAUGCAUUUUACACCAAUAUGACCUAAGCAGCAGUGCCACAAGAAAGUGGUACUAUUAUUAUUACUUUACAUAUUUUGGCAUCAAUUUUAUGAACAUGUGUGCUAUCACUUUCAAGAUUCUAUAAGAAUAAACCCCUCACAUUGGGUGCAUGCCCAUAAAAGAUAUNNNNNNNNNNAAAAGUCCAUCAGCAUGGAGCUUCUUCUUGCAUUUUACACCAAUAAGACCUAAGAAGCAGUGCCACAAGAAAGUGGUACUAUUAUUAUUAACUUUACAUAUUUUGGCAUCAAUUUUUGAACAUGUGUGCUAUCACUUUCAAGAGUCUAUAAGAAUAAACCCCUCACAUUGGGUGCAUGCCCAUAAAAGAUAUUACUCAUAUAAAUAGAACAACCGUUAUCCUAUGAUUUAAAAGAGUAACCGUCUCGCAAUAAACAAGAUCCAGAUAUGAUGUUCAUGCUCAACGCAUGCACUAAAUAACAAUUAUUCAGGUUUAUCACUAAUCCCGAUGGUAAUUAUAGUGAGAGCAUGCCAACGGCGAUCACAUCAACCUUGGAACCAUUUCGCAUGUGCAUCGUCACUUCGUCCAUCACCAACCUCCGUCUAUUCCGUAGUUCCUACUUUGAGUUGCAAAUGUGAGCAACUGAAUCAGUAUCAGAUACCCAGGCACUACAACGAGAGUUGGUGAGGUACACAUAAAUAACAUGUAUAUCAUAUAUACCUUGUUUGAUAUUGGCCGCCUUCUUGUCGGCCAGAUACUUGGGGUAGUUCCGCUGCCAGUGACCAGUCCCUUUGCAAUGAAAGCACUCAGUCUCUGGCUUGGAUCCAGCCUUGGGUUUCUUCACGGGAGGGGCAACUUCUUUUCCACUCUUCUUGGAGUUACUCUUCUUUCCCUUGCCAUUUUUCUUAAAACUUGUGGUUUUAUUGACCAUCAACACUUGAUGUUUCUUCCGAAUUUCUGACUCAGUGACUUUCAGCAUCGCAAGCAGCUCGGCAACUNNNNNNNNNNNNNNNNNNNNNNNNNNNNNNNNNNNNNNNNNNNNNNNNNNNNNNNNNNNNNNNNNNNNNNNNNNNNNNNNNNNNNNNNNNNNNNNNNNNNCUUCUAUCCUUCUCCUCCUCGUCCUCCUCCUCCUCCUUCUCCUCCUCCUCCUCCUCCUUCUUGAUUUCUUCUUCUUCUCCUACUCCUCCUAUUUCUUCUCCUCUUUCAUAUUAUCCUUGCUUUAAUUAACCCAACAAUGACAUAAUUAGCCCAUUUAGCUCCAAAAUACCAUAAUAAGCACAAAAUGGCAUAAGAACCUUGGUUAGCUCAUGAAUAUUAUAUACUUACCUUGUUUUCCUCUAAAAUGACAUAAUUGGAAUAUUUAGCUCAAAAAAGACAUAAUUAGGUAAUUUAGCUCCAACAAGAGGAGAAGAGGAGAAGAAAUAGGCAAAAUGAAAAGAAAGAAGAAGAAGAGAUGAAGAAGAAGAGAAGGAGGAGGAGGAGGAGGUGGAGAAGGCCCAGGACCUUCUAUCCUUCUCCUCCUCCUCCUCCUCCUUCUCCUCCUCCUCCUCCUUCUUCUUGAUNNNNNNNNNNNNNNCCUUCUAUCCUUCUCCUCCUCCUCCUCCUCCUCCUCCUUCUCCUCCUCCUCCUCCUUCUUCUUGAUUUCUUCUUCUUCUCCUCCUCCUCCUCUUUCUUNNNNNNNNNNNNNNNNNNNNNNNNNNNNNNNNNNNNNNNNNNNNNNNNNNNNNNNNNNNNNNNNNNNNNNNNNNNNNNNNNNNNNNNNNNNNNNNNNNNNGGCCCCCCCCAGAAAAAUGGGAUAUGAAUUUUUCGUCCAAAGAAAAUAAAAACUUCCUUAGACAACAAUGUUUGCAAUUCCAAGAUGCACCCUUGUACGCAAUAUUACAUCAUUUGAACAAACUAUGCCAUGAAUAUGGCCAUAAGAUUGAUCAUUUGGCUUGAAAGCCAUGAACCUUCACACCUGAUAACUCAUGUGUGAGAACACCAUUUUAAAAUAAUUUUCGUAUUAAAAGUUUAUUAUUUUUUCUGAUAACAUGGUCACAUAUAAUGACACAAUGCAAAGGUUUUCCAAUUUUGUGAUUUUUUUAAUAAAUUUCAUGCCCAUUUCAAUAGGCGGUCAAAACGACACGAAUGACCGUUCAUCGGUAGGGGUUCUAUCUUGAAAAAAAUUGGUGUUUUUCUGAUUAAAUAGAUACUUUUGUACAUAGAAAUAAUUUUUUGAAAAAAUAAAGUACAAAGUAUGAGGCAAUUGUAGUUCAAAUUUGACAAGCUUCCAUGUGAAUUGGCGGAAAUUUGUCUUUUUCGCGAGAGGUGGAUAAAAUCUUUUGACACCCAACCAUUUGGUCAAUUAUACAUUAAAUAUUGCCUAAUAGUUUUGAAAAUUGAUUUGGUCCAAUUUUACAACAAAUAUAUGGUAGGUCCUUCACAAAAAGAAUUGAUUUUGGGCACUCAAAAAAUGAAAAAUGAAUUAUUUCAUCCAAAGAAAAUGAAAACUUCCUUAGUCAACAUCGCGACACUAAAAAUGUGGUAUAAUUUUUUAAAAAUGGUGUAGUCCAAUUUUGCAAAAAAUAUUUAAUAUUUUCUGUAAUUUUUCCACCGAUUUGGGUAGAAAAAUCGUGUUUCGAGUUGGCCAAUGAGAGGCGAGAAAACUACCUUCAAGCGGAUCACCCAGUUGGACGCGAUCUGAGCCAUCGAUCAAAAUCCAUCCAAUGGCGAAGCCUCUCCUAAGAAAGCACAACCUAACCACCCACGCACCCACCCACCCUUCCUUAGUUUCCAGAUCCCAUCGAGCCGCCUCUUCAGAUCCCAUCGAUCCAUCGGCUCCUUCCUCCCCCUCCCUACCACCACCACCUCCGGCUACCACUCCACCCCAGCCCACCCCAUCUCACCUCCUUAGAGCAAGUCUAGUAGAACCCUCAAACCCUCAAAUCCUUAAAAAUAACCGUUUUUUUACAGUUUUCGUCGAAAAAACGGCGUAGACUAGAACCCUUAAACCCUUAAACCCGUAAAAAAAAUUAAAGGUCCAACCCGCAAACGCCAUCGCAGCCUGUAGAAGUGAGGGUUGGGAGGAGAAACUCCUCCCAACCCGCACUCCACUUCCUCUCCAGCGCGGGAGGGAUUUUCAUCCCGCUUCCGUCUCCAGCCGUCGCCUCCUCGCGCCCGCCUCGCCGCCAUGGAGACCNNNNNNNNNNNNNNNNNNNNNNNNNNNNNNNNNNNNNNNNNNNNNNNNNNNNNNNNNNNNNNNNNNNNNNNNNNNNNNNNNNNNNNNNNNNNNNNNNNNNNNNNNNNNNUCCUGUUCCAAUCCUUCUCCACCUCCAUACUUCUACCAUGGUGCCCUCGCGAGCUCUAGUGUACAUACUCUUCCUGGUUUUGCUAGAUAAGUAGAACAAAAUUAUUGGCACAGAGGCAAUUGAUACAUGCUCUGUGUAUGUGAGUUUCUAGCCAACUGAAUUUUUUUCAGGCAAGUCAUAACAGAUUUUGCUUCAGGUUUCAUGGUUUCAGGUUUCAUGACAGAUUUUGCCGUGUGCAAUUGAUACAUGCCCUGUGCAAUUAGUUGUUUCAGGUUUUGCCCUGUGCAAUUGAUACCGAUUUCAUGGCAGAUUUUGCUGCUAAGAAAUCAGUUACAAAUACAGGCUAGUAAAUAGAUUUUGCAUGAUAUGCUUACCUUGUAUUUUUCUUCAGAUUGCUGCUAAGAAAUAAGUUAGCAUGUAAUAAUUUGGUUUCAAAUUUUCAUGAUAUGCUUACCUUGUAUUUUGCUUCAGAUUAUCAUGAUCUUCCAAAGUUGCUAUUAUUUCACUUUACAUUUUAUCUCCAUUGUCAAAUGUUUACUCAUGAAUUAUGAUGUAUUAUUGUUUUAAUUUGCUCAAACAUUGUUGUAAUAAUUUGAAUGAUUAUUGUUUUAUUCGGUGGUGUAAUAAUAACUAGAAUGAUUAUUGUUUUAUGUCAAAUGUGAUUGAAUUUGUGAUAUGUCAUAUGAUGAAAUGUGAUGAAACGUGUGAUAUAUGAAAUGACAGUUUUAAGGGUUGGGGUUGGGACAAAGACUAGAACCCUCAAACCCAACCCUUAUAACGGAAUAUUCCGUUAUAAGGGUUGGGUUUGAGGGUUAUUCCGUUAUAAGGGUUGGGUUUGAGGGUUCUAGUCUUUGCCCUUGUUUUUCAACCCUUAAAAGUGUCAAAAAUGGCCAAUUCUCAACCCUUAAAACUGGUUUUAGAUUUAAGGGUUUGAGGGUUCUGCUAGAGAUGCUCUUACGCGCGCGCCGCUCGGCAAUAACCGGGANAAUAACCGGGACGGACAGCCCUCUGCGACGCUUUGGCUGCGCGCACACCUCCUGCAUACCGCUGUGACCGUGAGUCAUCCGUCGCAGCGAUCUAUCCAUGUCCACGUCGUCGUCGUGCUGAGUGGUUGGCGUUUGGGGUUUGGUCGUGCGCGCGCGGGAUCGCGGCAGUUCAUGAGGAGCGGUCACAGGGAGCCUGCGGAAGGGGGCGCUGGGGCUGCUGGGCUGCGUCGAUGAGGUGGUGGCGCCCCCCCCCCCCCGUCGUGGGGUCCUCGGUCGAGGCGGCGUUGUGGCUCACACAAUGGCGCAUUGAUGCGCUCCCCUGCUACACCUACCGCAAGUCCAACUUCUUCCGCAUUGGCCUCUAGAACUGGUUCGUCCCCAUGCCCCUUCUCCACCCCUUCUGCAAACUGUUGUCUUUCUUGUCCAGCAAAGCAUAGUGUAUCCUACCCGUGUGAUCCUUGUUACAACCGGGGAUCUUAGUGGUGGUGUUAUGAUUUCAGUCAUGGGUUUUCUUGUAGUGGCUUCAAGUGCAAAGAGAAUCAAUAGGAUGUUUCUGUUUAAAAAUGAUGGGGGGCACUUUUUUAAGUAAUAUAGAAAAACUGCAGUAUGAGAGAUAUCGCAAUAUCUUAAACCACAAUAAUUUUUUAAACCAAACAUCUCAAAGUAUUUAGUACCAAAGUUUUUUCAGAAACCAUAGUAUUCAAAUUGGUUAUGAUGUGAAGUACACACCAUCCAGUGAGCUAAUAAAAUCCUCGUAUUGCAGGUCUCGUGGUCUCGUGGCCUGAUGUCUUUUCCUUAUAUGGCAGGUCCAGGAGCAAUCGCACGUGGAGCUGGAGGUGAGGCUGCUCGAUGUCGUCGAGUUCUACACUCCGUCCAAACUGAAAGGUGUGAUAUUUCGCCCUACCCUUGCGCCCCGCGUCAAUUUUAGUGGUGGUUUGUAUGUUGUGUGCUCUAGCGGAUAGCAGUGACGCAUCUUGAGUGACUAGAUUGCCAUGUAUACUACACAAGUAGCUGUCUAGGAUCCCUUCUUUAUAUUAAAAUAUGUGAGAAUGAUCGACCACUUUGUGAAUACAUGAUGGCAUAGAGUAAAUACAUAGUUUUAGAUGAGCUGCCUAACCCUGCAGAACCCUUUAGCUCAUCGAUGUUGUGAAAAAAGGGCAAACCAUAUCUUGUAAUUUAGCUGCCUCAUAGUUCCAGUGUGAAAACUAUUUUAGGAGCAUUGUUUUACUAUUAGAUUAAAUUGCUACUCUUAAUGAUGAAUGGUUGAGUUUUUAAAUUUGAAGCGACACCUACUUCCUGGUCCUAUAGUAUUUAAAACUGUUAAUUAUGAUGCAUUGCUCCAUUGGCCUUGAUCUGAACCUCUCAAGUUUAUGUUUCCUGGUAUGCAGGUAACUUAUCAUUUUUAUUGGAAAGCCUCUAACGAAUUUAUUAGAAUUUUUCUUCUAUUGUCGUGUACAGUAUGUGAUAAACAUGUCUAUAUAACCGGGGAUGUAUAAUGUCGAAUUAUAAAAACCAUAAAUUCAAGCUUCUGUUGUAUCAUGCUCGAUAUAUACUAUUAUAGAAUAGUGUUCUACAAGAUGCAUCUUGAGUGACUAGAUUGGUGACGCAUCUUGAGUGACUAGAUUGCCAUGUAGUUGAAACACCAUGGUGUCAGUCAUUUGUGGGAAGUAGAAACACUAUGGCUUAUAUUUUUUACACUUCACUGUUUUAUUUGUUUUUUCUAAUUUGUUUUGUGGAUAGUAAAUUUGCAAUUGUAUGCCCUUUGUAAAAAAUGCAUUCUACGUUUCCAUGCCAUGUAAUGCUGAAGCACGUCUCUAUCUAUGAUAUUCUACACCACUGAAAGGCUGAUAUCUUGUAUAGAUUUGGCUUUUGGCAGGUAGUCCUUUUCCCUGCCACGUUUAGUUGCAUUGCUCUGAUGCCCAUGAAGGGUGAGAUCUUGGUCGGCACUAUGGAGAAGACCCUUGAAAGGUCCACUCGAAGCUAUCAAAGGGCACUUAUAGAGCUUGCGGCUGUGAUUACAUUUGUAGAGCUUGUGGUUGUGUUUACACUUGUAGAGCUUGUGGUUGUGAUCACCAUUGUAUCUAAGUUAUAUGUUGUAAUAGACUUAUUGUGGCUGUUAUUUGAAGUAUUAUGUGUUCUUUUUGUCUGUUUUGAAUUAAAUAUUGGUUAUUUAUUUGUUGGUGAAUUGAAAACAUGAAUCCUCAUACUAGAAGCUGACAAUCGGAACCCAUUUGUCUAUUGGACCCAUCUUCUGAAGAAAAAAAACUGGAACCAUUGAGCCAGAAAGGCCACGACCAAAAAAAGGCUGAAAUAUCGGGUGAGACCCAUGUAGCCGACCAGAAUGACAACAAAAAAUGAUAAUUAAAUGGGCUGAAUUGUUGGGCUCGGCCCAUAUGGACACCGAAUUGGACGUAAUUUUUCCACGCCAGCUUGCCACGUUGGAUUUGACGUGGCCUGGGCACACAACCAGUGACCAAAACAAUUGGUCGUAGAACCAACGACCUUUUCGUUUUGAUCAUUGCCUGCUACGACCAUUCCAGAAGAAAGGUUGUUAUAGUUCACUAGAGACGGUCCUCUUUUUACCAAUUGUUUUCGGUCAUAAAAAGGUCAUAAAUGGAAAACAACGACCAUUCAUUGACCAAUAUGAAAGGUCAAAAGUUGACAUAUUUCUUAUAGUGUGUGCGCGCAACUGGUCGCCGGUGGAUGGUUGAAGGGAAAGGGAUGAGAGGUGGAUGUGUGGUGGAAGACGAGGUCGCUGGCUGUGGGGCGAGAGCAGAGGGAGUGGAGUGGGUCAGUCUUCCACAUAUAGGAUUUUCUGUGCAAGGGAGUGAGACGAGGAGUGGAGAGAGUGAGACAGGGAGCGGNNNNNNNNNNNNNNNNNNNNNNNNNNNNNNNNNNNNNNNNNNNNNNNNNNNNNNNNNNNNNNNNNNNNNNNNNNNNNNNNNNNNNNNNNNNNNNNNNNNNGAGAGUUGCUAUGCACGUAUGAUUUCAUGUGGCACCCUCUAUUUUUUUUCAUUAGCAUGCAUGCAUCCAUGCCAUCUCAUUCCUUGGCUUACCUUUGAUUCUAUGUCAUGUUAUGUUUGCUUGUCAUGAUCAUGUGGGCAUAUGUGAUUACUAGGAGUUAGUGCUUGUGGUGUUAUGAUUGCAUGUGACCUUGCUAGGGUUUUUUUGUGGUAUUGCACUAGCUUGUGAUGCAUGUGUGUUUGGUGGUAUGUGGGUAGGAGUGAGUGCUAGAAUUUCAAAGGCUCUUAGCUAUUUUAAAUCCUUUUCCCUCCUAUUAUCUCAUGUCAAAAUUCCUUCUUCCCAAAAAUGAUUCAAAAAUGUCUAGNAGGUUAGAUUAAAUUGUGUUUAUGAGGUGGGGUAUUUUUGCGGACUUGUUAUUUGAAUUUUAAAGGUGCAAAUAAACCCAAAACGGUAAAUUAAUUUCUGUUUUGCAUUUAUUUCUAUGGCGCCAAAUAUUGCUUUUCUAUUUUUUUUCUAAUGGGCCAUAAUUCCUUAUGACCAGGGGAUUUUUCCUUUUAAGUUUAUACCCACCAGCUUAUUCGUUUUAUNNNNNNNNNNNNNNNNNNNNNNNNNNNNNNNNNNNNNNNNNNNNNNNNNNNNNNNNNNNNNNNNNNNNNNNNNNNNNNNNNNNNNNNNNNNNNNNNNNNNGCAAAAAUAGAAUCAGGGGCUGCUGGGAUUCGAACCCAGACCCCUGGUGUCCAGCAACAGCAACACUCCACUGCGCUGCUGCACUAGUUGUUGACAAGAGAAGAGAAAAAUGGCAAGGUAAGGUGACUGCAGGCCCAUUGAUACGAAUAAAUCACCCAAAACAACAAAAGGCGCCGAGGGGGGACUCGAACCCACGCCCUCCUACAGGCGCAAGCAUAUGACAGAGCAACACUACCAUCGGGCUACGGAUCGAAGACUGGCUAAGACAAGGAGGUAAAAUAGAAAACCCACCCCACUCACGAGAAGAACUCCGCCGGCGGCCGGACCCGAGGGAGCUGGCGGCGCCACUCCCGGCCACCACCGGUAGGGGAAGCUAUCGGCGGGGGCCGCGGGAACCUCAGGGGCUCCAUUCCCGCCCUGAGCACGGGAAAAGGCCUCCCCUUGGCUGCCCGGAACUGCAUCGGCGUUCCCUGCCGCCACCACUGCUAAGACUGCGCCGGUGAUAGAGAGCUCUGGCGCGCCACCCUGCUGACCCUGCUACGCUGCUAGGCUACACGUCGAUCUGCUACCAACACCCUGCUACACCACUACGCCUCGCCUCUCCACUCGACAACGCACGCACGAGCUCGGCACAGAAGAGCCGCUACUACUGCUCCUCUAUCAUGCUGCUGCUAACGAACAGAGGAAGCACGCGCCCGACGGGACCGAGCCGAUCCGCGGCGGAGGAAGGACGGGGGAGGACGCGGCCUCACCUUGGGAGAAGAUGGGGCGCCGAACGGGGAGGAGGAGCGCCGAACCGGGGAAGAAGACGUCGAAGAAGCUCCUCCGACGUAGACCGAAGCAGGGAAGGAGUUCGCCCGGUUCGCCCCGUUGACGAGGACGAGCUCGACGGGGGGGGGGUCUCUCCUCGGGGUCCUAACGCCGGGAAUGGGACGCGGGGAGCCGCCCCGAGCCCCCGGACAUGGCGGCCGUGCCGCCCGACGAUGCCCGCGGGUAGACGCCGGCGACUCUCUCUCUCUGCACCCUCUGCUAGCUACAGGAAGCUCACCUGGGAGGAAAGGAAUAGAUGGAGAUGGGGUUGGGAGAGGUGGCGGCGGCGGCUGAGGGGAGAAGAGGAACCCUAGGCUACGGGCACGGACGCCAACGCAUCUUAUAGGGGGUCCUCCACGUGCUGCUCACGGCGCCGUCAGGUCUCUCUCUCUCACACGUGCUGACGGAAAGAAGAAAGCGAGGGAGGAGAGGUAGCGCCGUCAGGAAGGAGGGGGUCGCUCGCCUGGGCUCUCGCUGGAGGGAGAUACAUGGGCCAGCAAGUGGAGGGAAGCCCACUGGCGGCCACUAUAAGAAAGGCCCCAGCAGCCUCUCCCAAAUAAAAGAAACACAAAGAAGNNNNNNNNNNNNNNNNNNNNNNNNNNNNNNNNNNNNNNNNNNNNNNNNNNNNNNNNNNNNNNNNNNNNNNNNNNNNNNNNNNNNNNNNNNNNNNNNNNNNGAUUUUCCAAACCUCAAUCAAGCGUCUGUGGAAGAUAGCCCUAUAAGAUACUACCAGAUAUCCCACCUAUGAAUUCCCGAAAUAACUGGUCAUGCAAUCAGGCACCCGGAUACAAGGAGUAUUUCACACAACUCCUAAACUAACCCGUCACCUGUAUCACACCCUUCAACACACGACCAGCAUCUCGGACCUUCGUCUACCACAGAUCCUCGUGAUCACCACGAUACAAAGUGUGGUAGUACCCGCGAACAAUCUACACCAGUACUGGGGACGUCGGGGUUAUCUCACCACUACCCGUAUUGAAGCAAUAACGAACACCCUCUGUUCUUAGGUACUCAGAAAUCUGAAUGAUGGCGAUGUGCGCGAUAAUCCCUGGAGCUCAACUCCCCUGAAACUUAGAGCAGAUAGGAGGCACCAGGACAUGAUUCCGUCACAUCGAAAUCAUAUAGAUUUCGCAAACACCCGCGUGAUCCUAAAAAAAUUUUGAGCGAGAAAAGGAGUAGAGUUAAAGGUUUCCUAAGACGGAAGCCUCACGAGAGCAAAGAAGAGGAGAAAAAUGAAACCUACUCUCCGAUAUAACUAAGACUCAAAACACUUACUAGACUCGACUCGGCCAAAUACGAUCACACAAAGGCUCCUAUGGUCGUAAGGCUCUGAUGACCAACUUGUAACGACCAAGAUGCGGUCCUUUCCGAUCUGGGGGUCGAGGCCCCCGAAUAGGAAAGAAGCGCAUCUAAGUGUUUUGCAAACAAGUAAACAUAGCACAUAAUAAUAAAUAUAGUAGACAAUCUGGGAUUCACUGUCUUCUUAUUAAUAAUACAGAGUACAACGCAGAUACAAACAAGGUAGUUACGGUACGGACUACAAAACAAGGAAAAUGCUAUGCUACCCGCUGCAGGUCCACGAUCACGACCACGGCUCAGUCCUCUGGAUAGUUCACGUAAAGGCGAUCUGUCUCCUCGUCGUACUGCCACGCCAGCUGGGUGCCAUCGGGAUCAUCGGUCUCUGGGGUACCUGUACCUGUUGGAAGUUUCGGAGGAAUCCGUGAGCCACGGGGACUCAGCAAUCUAAGACCUUGGUGCCAGAACUAGUCAUGUUAUUGGGUAAGGAAGGGAUGAAGUGUUUCAGGCUGCUGCAACCUAUGAUUGAAUAAGUGGCUAACUUACUCGAGAAGGAAGUGAAAGUGGUCUACGCUAACGAUCGAGAAUACUUGAUCAGAAAGUGAUCCUGAACACCUACCUACGGCAUUCAUAACCCCACCGUGUUCCGGAUCGAAGAGAGGUCUUCGAGGGGACAGUCACGGUUACUCACACAGUUGGCAUUUUUAUUAGUUUAGGUUUAAGUUCUCUAAUACCGGAUGUUGACAAAAUAUUCCAAGUUGCCACAUAACCACGGGCACGGCUUUCCGAAAGAUUAAACCCUGUAGGGGUGCUCCAACUAGUCCAUCACAAACGAACACAGGCCGCAAAGGCAUCCUCUAUCACGAAUCUCGUGAUCUCGUCGGAUUCCUUAGAAGAAAAUCUCAACUCUGGGGAAAACCAAAGCUUCACCGGGAUUCCUAUACGCAAGAUAUACCGCUAAGGCAAGACAAGACUAGCAGGACCUCCCGACGUGUCGACGACCCCGAUAAGAGCCGCGUAUCUCAGUCUCAGGACACGCCGGAUGGAACUAGCUACAGGUGCAAAACCUCAAGUUUCCUUGUGGUGGCCCCGCAGGCAGACCAGUUUGGACCAACACUCAUGAGGAGCACUGGCCCGGGUUGUUGAUUAGAAUCCUCGGGGUAGCUAUUCCCUAUGCAGUUUAUUAUUAAGUGAUUAGCAAAUAGUACCAAUGUUGGGUCCUGCUGGACAAGCCUUAACACUACGCGAUUUAUCAAGGGGGUCCCCAUAACAAUCCCGAACAUGUUAGGAGCGAUCAUUAUGGAAUCAAACACCGGUAACCGGUAACUAAGGCGGCAAUAACGGAACAAGACACCCGGGAAAAGGCUAGGCCUCCCGUCAUUUACCAAGUAUAUAGAUACAUUAAUUAAAUAACAGAAAUUAAAAUAAUGAUAUCAAGCUCAUGUCAUCACAUGAGUUAAGGCACCUGCAGCUAACAACGCUAACAUUAGUAGCUGAGCAAGCCUACCUAGCCAUGCAAGGUUGCUAGGAAAGAGUAAGGUGUUUAGGCUCAUGGCAUAUGAAGAGGCAAUAUAUUUUCAGUGGUAGGCAGCGAGCAAUAUGACGUGGGAUCGAAACUAACAUAACAAGUCUAGAUAUGGGAUCAAGGUCAUGUCAUCUUGCGUGUGAUAUUCUCAGCUUGGAAUGGUUCUUGAUCGUCCUGCACGUACUCUCCUGACUCCACGUAUUCGUUCUCCGGUUCUAACCAACACAAGAAUAACAGCCAAUGAAAAGAGGCACCACAAAAGGCAACAAUCACAUGAUGCAUGAGAUGAAAGUUGAGCAUGCACUACUAUUUCCAUCACUAGCACAAGCACAAUAAACUACAACAAGUUCCUGGGCAGAACUUUGCACUACCUUAUCUGGACAUGCAUGGGAAUGAUAUGAACAGUUGCAUCUCGUAAGAACGGUGCAAAACCAUAUAAAGAACUUUGCAAACGGAGCUACGGAUCAACGGGAAUCAACGUAACACGAUAUGAAGCUCUACGUGAAAGAUUCAACACCUCACACACAUUUGGCACAAAUCUGGUGUUCCCGGGUUGCCAAGACAUAUAUUAACCCAACAUGAAUGAAAUGAAGCAAGUUAGAACACCCCAACAACAAUUAAACACAAACUUUGAACAAAAAGGCAAAACUACGUAAUCUGCCAGUUUCUGCAUCUUAGCUGUUUGUGAGCAACAUGCAACAUAGCUACAGGUCUUCAAAUAUGACAAAUAAUAUAUGUGGCUGUUGCCAACCAAGAACACUACAAGCUCCAACAAGAAUCACAGAAAAAGGAAUUAACCUCUAGAAGAUACAAGGCCACAAACUUUCCCAAAACCAUCAGUUCUCAGGGACUUUGUGAAAAUUCCUGUACCUGAGAUUCUGUUUCUGUUCUGAAGCUUUUUUACAGGAAUCUAAACACAAGCUACUGGACUCCAAAUGACUUGAAAAUUGACAGGAAGCUUCACCAUCAUACCAGGUUCAAAACACUAGCACUGAACUAAGUCCAGUUCUCAACAGAAUGACCAGCACCUCCUUAUCUACAGGGGAAGAAAAUGUUUCCAGCAUUCCAGACUUAGUGAAAUUUUCAGAGUUCAAAAAUCUGGAAUUUUCCAGCCACAUGCCCACUUUGUCUAGGCAUAGUUUGCACACACAUGUUCCCAAGAGGUGAUUGACACCACUAUGGUGUUGGGCACAAACCCCUACUACUAACACACAAAGAUCCAUACCCUUGGGCUCCAUCUAUACCAUGGGAACAAAGCCCAAACUUUCAACAAAAUGUAAAUGCAAAUCCAAAAGGUAUUCUACUAAGAUGACAAUUACCUAGGAGGGUUUCAUGUGCACAAUGACAAAGUGACAUGGGGGUUUGAACCCCAUGUUUGUGUCAUGCACAUCAACAACACCCACACCCAUAUCCCAAAGUUAUUAGACCAAACACAUCACAAUGGGACCCUAGGCUAUCAAGAGAGUAUGCACACCUCCACAUAUAGGCAUGUGAUGGUGCACACUCUCACAUGCAUUACUAGGCUCACCCUAGUAAUCAUGUCAUACUCAAGGAGCAACCCCCACAACAUUCUACUCUAGCUUAUCUAGUAAGCUCCACCUUCACAUGCUAUCUUAGUUGGCCAACUAGAACAUCACUCCACACCAAAACAUGUGAUGAGGGGGAGGCACCCACACCCCACUAAAUCAAUGCAAACAAAUAAAACUACAAGAUCACUUAGCCCACACCAAAGUUCAAAAGUUGGGGCUAUACAAGAGUAGCUAGUGCCUCUUAUCACCUCAAAGCACAACACACACAAUUGUCAAGGCAUCUAACAUCAUCCACCUAUCAAGGUUAACUCCACUUCACUAAGGUGCACCCACCAUAGACAUCACAAGUAUAGCAAGAUCAUACAUCACCUCUUAGUGUGCAAAACACACACAUAACUAAAUCUACCCUAACUAUAUUAGCAGGAACAAAAAUACAACACCACUGUGUAAAGAGUUAGUUAACAGUAGAAAUAACAAAACUAACAAACCACUUUGUAUAGGAGUUAGGGGAACAGAAAUUAAAUAGGCAGGAAAAGAAAAGAAAGCAAAAAUAGAAUCAGGGGCUGCUGGGAUUCGAACCCAGACCCCUGGUGUCCAGCAACAGCAACACUCCACUGCGCUGCUGCACUAGUUGUUGACAAGAGAAGAGAAAAAUGGCAAGGUAAGGUGACUGCAGGCCCAUUGAUACGAAUAAAUCACCCAAAACAACAAAAGGCGCCGAGGGGGGACUCGAACCCACGCCCUCCUACAGGCGCAAGCAUAUGACAGAGCAACACUACCAUCGGGCUACGGAUCGAAGACUGGCUAAGACAAGGAGGUAAAAUAGAAAACCCACCCCACUCACGAGAAGAACUCCGCCGGCGGCCGGACCCGAGGGAGCUGGCGGCGCCACUCCCGGCCACCACCGGCAGGGGAAACUAUCAGCGGGGGCCCCGGGAUCCUCAGGGGCUCCAUUCCCGCCCUGAGCACGGGAAAAGGCAUCCCCUUGGCUGCCCGGAACUGCAUCGGCGUUCCCUGCCGCCACCGCUGCUAAGACUGCGCGGCGACAGAGAGCUCUGGCGCGCCCCUGCUGACCCUGCUACGCUGCUAGGCUACACGUCGAUUUGCUACCAACACCCUGCUACACCACUACGCCUCGCCUCUCCACUCGACAACGCACGCACGAGCUCGGCACAGAAGAGCCGCUACUACUGCUCCUCUAUCAUGCUGCUGCUAACGAACAGAGGAAGCACGCGCCCGACGGGACCGAGCCGAUCCGCGGCGGAGGAAGGACGGGGGAGGACGCGGCCUCACCUUGGGAGAAGAUGGGGCGCCGAACGGGGAGGAGGAGCGCCGAACCGGGGAAGAAGACGUCGAAGAAGCUCCUCCGACGUAGACCGAAGCAGGGAAGGAGUUCGCCCGGUUCGCCCCGUUGACGAGGACGAGCUCGACAGGGGGGGGUCGCUCCUCGGGGUCCUAACGCCGGGAAUGGGACGCGGGGAGCCGCCCCGAGCCCCCGGACAUGGCGGCCGUGCCGCCCGACGAUGCCCGCGGGUAGACGCCGGCGACUCUCUCUCUCUGCACCCUCUGCUAGCUACAGGAAGCUCACCUGGGAGGAAAGGAAUAGAUGGAGAUGGGGUUGGGAGAGGUGGCGGCGGCGGCUGAGGGGAGAAGAGGAACCCUAGGCUACGGGCACGGACGCCAACGCAUCUUAUAGGGGGUCCUCAACGUGCUGCUCACGGCGCCGUCAGGUCUCUCUCUCUCACACGUGCUGACGGAAAGAAGAAAGCGAGGGAGGAGAGGUAGCGCCGUCAGGAAGGAGGGGGUCGCUCGCCUGGGCUCUCGCUGGAGGGAGAUACAUGGGCCAGCAAGUGGAGGGAAGCCCACUGGCGGCCACUAUAAGAAAGGCCCCAGCAGCCUCUCCCAAAUAAAAGAAACACAAAGAAGGAAAAGAAAUAAAACGAAUAAGCUGGUGGGUAUAAACUUAAAAGGAAAACUCCCCUGGUCAUAAGGAAUUAUGGCCCAUUAGAAAAAAUAGAAAAGCAAUAUUUGGCGCCAUAGAAAUAAAUGCAAAACAGAAAUUAAUUUACUGUUUUGGGUUUAUUUGCACCUUUAAAAUUCAAAUAACAAGUCCGCAAAAAUACCCCACCUCAUAAACACAAUUUAAUCUAACCUCCAGACAUUUUUGAAUCAUUUUUGGGAAGAAGGAAUUUUGACAUGAGAUAAUAGGAGGGAAAAGGAUUUAAAAUAGCUAAGAGCCUUUGAAAUUCUAGCACUCACUCCUACCCACAUACCACCAAACACACAUGCAUCACAAGCUAGUGCAAUACCACAAAAAAACCCUAGCAAGGUCACAUGCAAUCAUAACACCACAAGCACUAACUCCUAGUAAUCACAUAUGCCCACAUGAUCAUGACAAGCAAACAUAACAUGACAUAGAAUCAAAGGUAAGCCAAGGAAUGAGAUGGCAUGGAUGCAUGCAUGCUAAUGAAAAAAAAUAGAGGGUGCCACAUGAAAUCAUACGUGCAUAGCAACUCUCGUGGCAAAGUCAAGGUGGUCCCACAUGUAAGGUUACAAAAAGGGAAAAACCUACACUUGGGGCAUUACAAUGGGCCUGUUGUCUGCACGAAGGGGCAGCAGCCGGACAGAUAUCGGAACAAAUCUGACCGGCCAACUGGGCUUCAAAUAAAUCUGGCCGGCCUGCAUCUACAUUGUACUAAACAGCCUGAGGAAGCUGUCGACACAGUUUAUUACGACCUAGUGGCCAACCCUUUGGUUUAAUUAACAGAACCAAUCCAGUUUGUGGAACAGAAAUCCUUCUUUACACCAAAAUCUUCUAUUCUGUGUUGUUUCAGAAAUGAACUCUGAAUUCUGCAAGAGAUUGACACGGGUGUUUGCGCUGCUAAUACUAAUGCAGCUUUUUUGUUUUGCUCUCUUUAUUCAAUCUGAUACUGAAAGCCAGCUCCUGACCGUGCCAUCCCCCCCCCCCAAAUAGUUAUGACAUAUAGUUUGUGUUUAUAUUAAGUCUAUGAUCAAACUUUAACUCCAGGAUGUCUUAUCUGUACCACUAUAUAGUGUAUCAGUUUUGAAUGGAUCCAAAUCAUGAAUCCUGAUCGUUGAUAUCCUCAAUCUCCCACUUGCCUAUUUCAUCAUCGCAGGAUCAGUAGAGUUGGGCCAAUGGACUUAAGUCAAAAUUCUAUAUUGAACGUUGGGUACCUCCAUGGCAAGAGAAGGAUAUAGAGAAGAGACAGCAGAGCCGACCUGCUCAGCCAACUUUAAGUUUUAUUCUACAUCAUUACAUUGAGAAAGAACACCGAUUUACAACUAUGUUGACUAGCUAGCUACUAGCUUAUAGUCCAUAAGAUUUACAUGUAAGUAUUGAGAGCUUCGAUACGUGCCAUCCCUCCAUGCGCUCAAACUUGCAAGUGGCAUGUAUUCCAAUAACUAUCUGCCUAUGUAUGAAUCCUGGUAGGGAUGUGACAUUGACAUAGUGCAUAAUAUUAGAAAUUUUCAAUCAUAUGCAUGAAUAUAUGCAUUAUAUUCAUCUACGUGUCAUCUCUCUAAUGACUCCAUCGUAAGGAGCUAGCCCAUACAUGGCGUAACAAAGCAGUAUCAUGAGUAGUGGUAUGGUCAUGGAAUUUUUUGUUUUGCGGGGUCGUGGAAAUUUCUGGUGCGCUCCAGAGAGAAAUCACCCCCGUAGGACCAAAAUAAUAGCACUACCUUCGGUCUUGAGUUUCUGGAGAUGCAAUGGGCACUUGAUCCAACCUGCUCCAUAGUCAAAAUCAAUCAGGUUAGUUGUUGCAUCUCUUUUAACGAUUUACUUCAGUUUGUACUAACCCCUGCUUCAACAUGGAUAGUGGGACGUCAGCCGGGGAGGGAACUGGCGGUGCUGGAGGGAGGCCCGACCUGUGGUUCGACCUACACUCCCGCUUGGUGGCGAACGGAGACAGGCAGGGAGGGAGGCCUACCCUCCCGCCAUGUCACGCAGACGGACGACGGCGGCGUCAGCCGGGAGGGCACUGGCGGGAGGCCCGACCGGAGGUGUGGUGGAGGGAAGCCCGAUCGGAGGUGGCCUACCCUCCCGCCAUGUCGCGCAGACGGAAGAGGGCUGCCGGGGAGGGCACCGGCGACGGCGGCUGUGAACCCUAGAUAUUUUCACCAGAGGGAGGGAACCACCAGUCGGGAGAGCGAGGGGCUGGUGCACUCGUUGGUUUUUUUUAUCCGGUGUGUUCUUUUUCCACUCGCGGGAGGUAGGCCACCUGUGUUUUUAGUCUUUGACGUCUUCAUAACGACGUAUCUCACGGCAAAGAUUAAUUUUUGCCGCCUUCUCUUGCUAAUCCAAGACGGCAAAACUGCCUGCCGUUUGGGUGAGUUAACAGGAACGUGGACAUCUUUGUUUGCAGUCAUCCAUAGGAUAAGUGUUGGAAUUAUGCCCUAGAGGCAAUAAUAAAUAUAGUUAUUAUUAUAAUUCCUGUAUCAAGAUAAUCGUUUAUUAUCCAUGCUAUAAUUGUACUGAAUGAAGACUCAUUUACAUGCGUGCAUACAUAGACAAAACACUGUCCCUAGCAAGCCUCUAGUUGGGUAGCCAGUUGAUCAACGAUAGUCAGUGUCUUCUGAUUAUGAACAAGGUGUUGUUGCUUGAUAACUGGAUCACGUCAUUAGGAGAAUCACGUGAUGGACUAGACCCAAAUUAAUAGACGUAGCAUGUUGAUCGUGUCAUUUUAUUGCUACUGUUUUCUGCGUGUCAAGUAUUUAUUCCUAUGACCAUGAGAUCAUAUAACUUACUAACACCGGAGGAAUACUUUGUGUGUAUCAAACGUCGCAACAUAACUGGGUGACUAUAAAGAUGCUCUACAGGUAUCUCCGAAGGUGUUCGUUAAGUUAGUAUGGAUCGAGACUGGGAUUUGUCACUCCGUGUGACGGAGAGGUAUCUCGGGGCCCACUCGGUAAUACAACAUCAGACACAAGCCUUGCAAGCAAUGUGACUUAAUGUAAGUUGCGGGAUCUUGUAUUACGGAACGAGUAAAGAGACUUGCCGGUAAACGAGAUUGAAAUAGGUAUACGGAUACUGACGAUCGAAUCUCGGGCAAGUAACAUACCGAAGGACAAAGGGAAUGACAUACGGGAUUAUAUGAAUCCUUGACACUGAGGUUCAAACGAUAAUAUCUUCGUAGAAUAUGUAGGAUCCAAUAUGGGCAUCCAGGUCCCGCUAUUGGAUAUUGACCGAGGAGUCUCUCGGGUCAUGUCUACAUAGUUCUCGAACCCGUAGGGUCUGCACACUUAAGGUUCGACGUUAUUUUAUGCGUAUUUGAGUUAUAUGGUUGGUUACCGAAUGUUGUUCGGAGUCCCGGAUGAGAUCACGGACGUCACGAGGGUUUCCGGAAUGGUCCGGAAACGAAGAUUUAUAUAUAGGAUGAUCUCAUUUGAUUACCGGAAGGUUUUCGGAGUUACCGGGAAUGUAUCGGGAAUGACGAAUGGGUUCCGGGAGUUCACCGGGGGGGGGGGGCAAGCCACCCCGGGGAAGCCCAUAGGCCUUGGGGUUGGCGCACCAGCCCUUAGUGGGCUGGUGGGACAGCCCAAGAAGGCCAUAUGCGCAUUGGAAAGAAAAUCAAAGAGGAAAGGGAAAAAAAAGGAGGUGGGAAAGGGAAGAAGGACUCCACCUUCCAAACCAAGUAGAAUUCGGUUUGGGAGGGGGAGGCCUUCCCCCUUGGCUCGGCCGACCCCCUUGGGAGUCCGUGGACCCCAAGGCAGGUCUUCCCCCUCCUCCUCCUAUAUAUAGUGGGGUUUUAGGGCUGAUUUGACACAACUUUGCCACGGCAGCCCGACCACAUAUCUCCACGGUUUCACCUCUAGAUCGCGUUUCUGCGGAGCUCGGGCGGAGCCCUGCUGAGACAAGAUCAUCACCAACCUCGGAGUGCCAUCACGCUGCCGGAGAACUCUUCUACCUCUCCGUCUCUCUUGCUGGAUCAAGAAGGCCGAGAUCAUCGUCGAGCUGUACGUGUGCUGAACGCGGAGGUGCCGUCCGUUCGGCACUAGACCAUGGGACUGUUCGCGGGGCGGAUCGAGGGACGUGAAGACGUUCCACUACAUCAACCGCGUUCACUAAACGCUUCUGCUGUACGGUCUACAAGGGUACGUAGAUCACACAUCCCCUCUCGUAGAUGGACAUCACCAUGAUAGGUCUUCAUGCGCGUAGGAAAUUUUUUGUUUCCCAUGCGACGUUCCCCAACAAUAAGUAGACAGCAAAAAUCCUGCCUUUGCCGUCAUCUACCCAUAUAGUUAAAGGCAAAACUAUUUUUUGCCGUGUGGUUUUUUUGCCGUCUGCUUUUCAUGAUUUUUGGUGAUAGUAGCUCUUUGCCAUCUUCCCAUGACGGCAAAUUUCCCAUUUGCCGUCUGCCCCGACGAUUUGCUGACGGCAAAGAUUGUACCUAUCAUCAAAAUAGCUGAUUCCUGUAGUGUACGUGUAAGGUCGGUCCGGGCCGCUUCAUCCCACUAUACCGCCGGAAAAUAAUAAGACUAGUAGUGGCAAGAAAUUGACAAAUCAUUGCCCACAACCUUUUGUGUUCUACUCGUGCAUAGAAUCUACGCAUAGAAAACCUGGCUCGGAUGCCACUGUAGGGAAACGUAGCAUAAAUUAAAAAAAGUUCCUACGCAUAUUCAGAUCUUCCUAUGGAGAGACGAGCAACGAGAGAGGGGUGAGUGCAUCUUCGUACCUUUGAAGAUCGCUAAGCGGAAGCGUUGCUAGAACGCGGUUGAUGGAGUCGUACUCACGGCGAUUGAGAUCACGGUGUGAUUUCGAUCUAGUGCCGAACCACGGCACCUCCGCGUUCAACACACGUGCAGCCCGGUGACGUCUCCUGCACCUUGAUCCAGCAAGGAGGAGGGAGAGGUUGGGGAAGAUCUCCGGCAGCACGACAACAUGGUGUCGAUGGAGAGACGAGGUCUCCCGGCAGGGCUUCGCCAAGCACCGUGGGAGAGGAGGAAGAAGGGGGGCAGGGCUGCGCCGAGGGAGAUGGAAAACCGUGUGCAAAACAGCCCCAAAACCCCCACUAUAUAUAGGAGGAGGGGAGGGGGGUGCCACCCCUAAGUUCCCACCCCAGAUGGGAGGUGCGGCGGCCAAGGCAGGGGGAGGGGGUGGCGCACCCCUAGGUGGGCCUUAGGACCACCAGCGCCUAGGGUUUCCCCCCCUCUCCACCUCCUGCGCCUUGGGCCUCCUUGUGGGAGGCGCACCAGCCUACUUUAGGCUGGUUUCCCUCCCUCUUUUGGCCCAUGCUACCUCUUGGCGCUGGUGGCCCCUCCCAGUGGACCCCCGGGACCAUUUCCGGUUGUCCCGAUGGUCCCGGUACAUUACCGGUGACGCCCGAAACAUUUCUGGUGUCCAAAACCAUCCAUCCUAUAUAUCAAUAUUUACCUCCGGACCAUUCCGGAGCUCCUCGUGACGUCCGGGAUCUCAUCCGUGACUCCGAACAACUUUCGGUAACCUCGUAUAACAAUUCCCUAUAACCCUAGCGUCAUCGAACCUUAAGUGUGUAGACCCUACGGGUUUGGGAGACAGGCAGACAUGACCGAGACACCUCUCCGGCCAAUAACCAUUAGCGGGGUCUGGAUAUCCAUGGCGGCUCCUACUUUCUCCACGAUGAUCUCAUCGGAUGAACCACGAUGUCAAGGAUUCAAUCAAUCCCGUAUACAAUUCCCUUUGUGUGUCUGUAUAGAACUUGCCCGAGAUUCGAUCAUCGGUAUACCUAUACCUUGUUCAAUCUUGUUACCGGUAAGUCUCUUUAGUCGUUCCGUAGCACGUCAUCGUGUGACUAACUCCUUAGUCACAUUGAGCUCAUGAUGAUGUGCUACCGAGUGGGCCCAGAGAUACUUGUCCGUCACGCGGAGUGACAAAUCCCAAUCUCGAUUCGUACCAACCCAACAGACACUUUCAGAGGUACCCGUAGUGCACCUUUAUAGUCACCCACUUACGUUGUGAUGUUUGAUACACCCAAAGCACUCCUACGGUAUCCGGGAGUUGCACAAUCUCACGGUCGAAGGAAAAUACACUUGACAUUAGAAAAGCUUUAGCAUACGAACAAAACGAUCUAGUUCUAUGCUUAGGAUUGGGUCUUGUCCAUCAGAUCAUUCUCCCAAUGAUGUGAUCCCGUUAUCAAUGACAUCUAAUGCCCAUGACCAGGAAACCAUGAUCAUCUAUUGACUAAUGAGCUAGCCAACUAGAGGCUUGCUAGGGACACAUUGUGAUCUAUUUAUUCACACAUGUAUUACUGUUUCCUGUUAAUACAAUUAUAGCAUGAACAAUAGACGAUUAUCAUGAACAAGGAAAUAUGAUAAUAACCAUUUUAUUAUUGCCUCUAGGGCAUAUUUCCAACACAAAGAUCCACCGGAGGGGAUGGGCCGGUGGGCCACAAGCCCUGUAGCCGCCACCUCCUGGUGGCGGCUAGCAAGCUUGUGGGGCCCAUGUGGCUCUGCCGCCCCCAAUCUCAGCUCUAUAAAUUCACUUUCGUCCCAGAAAAAAAUAAAAAGAGAAGAUUUCAUCGCGGUUGCAAUACGAAGGCGCCGGCACAUCCUGUUCUUCAUCUGGAGGGCAGAUCUGGAGUCCGUUUUGGGCUCUAGAGAGGGGAAAUCAUUGCCAUCGUCAUCAUCAACCUUCUUCCCUCUCCAAUUCCAUGAAGCUCUUCGUCGUUCGUAAGUAAUCUAUUUGUAGGCUCGCAGGGCGGUGAUGAGUAGGAUGAGAUCUAUCAUGUAAUCGAGUUAGUUUUGAUGGGGAUUGAUCCCUAGUAUCCACUAUGUUCUGAGAUUGAUGUUGCUACUACUUUGCCAUGCUUAAUGCUUGUCACUAGGGCCCGAGUGCCAUGAUUUUAGAUCUGAAAUUAUGAUGUUGUCACCAAUAUAUGUGUGUUUUAGAUCCGAUCUUGCAAGUUGUAGUUACCUACUAUGUGUUAUGAUCCGGCAACCCCGGAGUGACAAUAACCGGAACCACUCCCGGUGAUGACCAUAGUUUGAGGAGUUCAUGUGUUCACCAAGUGCUAAUGCGUUGGUCCGGUUCUUUAUUAAAAGGAGAACCUUAAUAUCCCGUAGUUUCCUUUUGGACCCCGCUGCCACAGGAGGGAUGGACAAUAGAUGUCAUGCGAGUUCGUUUCCCUAAGCACGUAUGUCGACACAGGGAAUGCAUGCCUACAUCACAUUGACGAACGGGAGCUAGCCACAUAUCUCUCCGUGUUAUAACUGUUGCAUGAUGAAUAUCAUCCAAACAAAUCACCGACCCAUUGCCUACAAGUUUGUCCCACUGCUGCUGUUACUUGUUUUCCACUGCUGCUGUUACUUGUUUUGCUCUGCUGUUACUUGCUACUGUUGCUACUUGCUACUGCUAUUACUUGCUACUGUUGCCGCUGCUGUUACUUGCUCUGUUGCUACUUUGUUGUUGAUACUUUGCUUGCAGAUACUAAUCUUUCAGGUGUGGUUGAAUAUGACACAUUCAGCUGCUAAUACUUGAGAGUAUCCUCUCACUUCCUAUUGGCGAACCAACAAAUUUGGGUUGAAUACUCUACCCUCGAAAACUGCCUCGAUCCCACGCGCUCGUGGGUUAUUGCAAGACAAUUUCUAAUUGAUGAGCAAUCGAGAAUAGCAGUCGUCUAGCCAUUGCCAGAGACUGUGAGUCAGUGACGUACGAACUUAUUUCGAUGACCAACACAAAACUUUCCAUAUAUCUAUCUUUACCUUCGGACCAUUCCGUAGCUCCUUGUGAUGUCCAUGAUCUCAUACGAGACUCCGAACAACCUUCACUCACCAACAUACAUAACUCAAUAAUACCAAAAGGUCACCGAACCUUAAGUGUGCAGAACUGAUACGUCUCCAACGUAUCUAUAAUUUUUGAUGGUUCCAUGCUAUUAUCUUGUCAACUUUGGGUGUUUUGUAUGCAUGAAUAUGCUAUUUUAUAUCUUUUUUGGGACUAACCUAUUAACUCAGUGCCAAGUGCCAGUUCCUAUUUUUUCCGUGUUUUUGACCUUUUUCAGAGGAGAAUAUUAAAUGGAGUCCAAACGGAAUGAAACCUGCGGAAUGAUUUUUUCCAUAACAGAAGACACGCAGGAGACUUGAGAACCAAGGCACGGGACCUCAGAGGAGGUCACAAGCCACCCAGGCCCGGCCUAGGGGGCGUGGCGGGCCUCGCAGGCUUGUGGCCCCCCUGUGGCUCCCCUGCCCUAGUUCUUCCGCCUAUAAAUUCCCUAAAAAUCUGAAAACACGGAAGAGAGCCACGAAAAUACUUUUCCGCCGCCGCAAGCUUCUGUCUCCGCAAGAUCCCAUCUAGGGCACGCUCUGGUGCCCUGCCGGAGGGGGGAUUCAGACACGUAGGGCUUCUUCAUCAACACCAAUGCCUCACUGAUGAUGCGUGAGUAGUUCACCAUAGACCUUCGGGUACAUAGCUAGUAGCUAGAUGGCUUCUUCUCUCUCUUGGAUCUUCAAUACAAAGUUCUCCAUGAUCUUCAUGGAGAUCUAUCCGAUGCAAUCUUUUUUUGCGGUGUGUUGGUCGAGAUCCGAUGAAUUGUGGAUUUAUGAUCAGAUUACCUAUGAAUGUUAUUUGAGUCUCCUCUGAUCUCUUAUAUGCAUGAUUUCGUAUCCUUGUAAUUCUCUUCGAGUUGUGGGUUUCGUUUGGCCAACUUGAUCUAUAAUUCUUGCAAUGGGAGAAAUGCUUGCUUUUGGGUUCAUACCGUGCAGUGACCUCUCCCAGUGGCAGAAGGGGUAGCGAGGCACGUAUCGUGUUGUUGCCAUCAAGGGUAAAAAGAUGGGGUUUAUAUCUAUUGCAUGAGUUUAUCCCUCUACAUCAUGUCAUCUUUCUUAAGGCGUUACUCCAUUUGUCAUGAACUUAAUACACUAGAUGCAUGCUGGAUAGCGGCCGAUGUGUGGAGUAAUAGUAGUAGAUGCAGAAAGUAUCGGUCUACUUCUCUCGGAUGUUGUCGUGGGUAUAAGUCUGACAGUAGAUCUAUAGGGUCCGAAAGGAUGGGCACAACCUUAGCUACGGCGAGGUUGUAUGAGUUCAGGCCCCUCUACGGUGGAGGUAAAAGCCCUACGUCUCAGUGCUCUUGGGAGCUUGAUGUCGAGUGGAAUAUGGAUUACAGUGAAUUCCCAACCCCUGCACCAGUACGGAAGGGCGGCUUAUAUAGAGUGCGCUGCCCUCCAUAACGGUUCGAUGCACAGGGGUGGAGUAGUGGCGAAUAAAUGCCUACGUUACAGGUAACGUAUGCCCUAAAUGCUAAUAAAGGUACAUGAAAACGUAUGACCGUUGUCCUCCACGGGGGUUACGAUAUACAUAGUGGAAUCCAGUCGGUAAGCUUGAUACUCUCCGAAUGCACGUCUCCGACUGGAUGAUGGAGGGAUCGUCACCGACCGGAUGAUGGGAAGUCUUUAAUUCAGUCGAAACUGACUAAGGUCCUUGUCCCUUAUGAAGGGUAGUCCUGGGGUAGGACCUAUAGGGCAGGCCUAUGACCCUACCCUGGGACUAUAACCCCAUCAUUAGUCCCCGAAUGGAUCGGGGUUGGAACGACGAGGCGAUGCUUGGGGUACGGAUCCGACUGGUAUGGAUGCAGCUUUGGCGUUGCUUGCCUCGAUCGAUUUUAUCCUCUUGACCAGUGAUCCGAGUGGAUCUGUCUGUGAAACGAACCGUUAGAGACCGAGUGCUUCCGCCGAAUCUUCGGACGUGACCGGUCAACUAACAGCGGCGGAUUUUCUGGGAUCCUCAAAUUUCGGUUGCCGCGCGCUCAGCGGGGAUGACGACAUCGUCAUCGAGUAGUUUCUGCCACGUCGAUUACCGCGCCUUCAUCUCCUCCACUAAUAUCGCAGCAACCGGUCGGGGGAUAAGAUUUUGGGGCCACCUGCUAGUGACCCAGUUGGUACCUUAUUUAAACCUCCCCAGUGAGGGUUUCUCAUUGCGCUCGCCUGAUAACUCGCACUCGCCCCGCUUCUCCCGUUGCUCCCUGUGCACUCCACGCCUCCUCCUUCCUCUCCUCCCCUGCGGAUCUGCAGCCUCCACCAUGACGAAGGGGCAGACGAGCAAGCUCGAGUCGUAGAAGAAGAAGAAGAAGGUGGCGGCUCCUGCUCAGCGGCGACAGCGUGCUCUGCCGGCGGGUUGGAUCCAGGGGGAUUUUCUCCCCUCCACGGUGACGAAGGAUGACCUGCUGGAGCUGGUGGAGCAAGGUUUGAUCAAAAACAAGUCGUGGAGGCUACCGGCGGAGGGCGAGACGGAGCCAGUGCCCCAGGAGGGGGAGCGCGUCUUGCUGCUCAGUCACGUGUACCGAGGCUUCUCUGUGCCUCCUCACCCCUUCUUCAGAGGUAUCAUGAACCACUUCGGGGCACAGCUCCACCAUUUUCCUCCCAACGCAAUAGCUCAUCUUUCUGCCUUCGUCGUGCUUUGCGAGUGCUUUAUCGGUUGUCCUCCCCAUUGGGGGCUCUUUAAGUACAUCUUCUCUGCUAGAUCCCAAACUGUCAAAAGACUUAGCCAGUCGGAUGAUAAAACCCAUCUCCUCCAGCUCUGCGGGGGCUUAGGCUUCCAAAAGAAAACGAAGAGUAGCUAUCCCGCUCUCCAGUUGUCCGAGUCUGUUAGGAACUGGCAGUCGACUUGGUUCUAUUGCCAGGACGUUGCUUGCCCGAAUGCCGCGACUGGACUGCCAGCUUUAAGCCUAGACCGACCGGCUCCGCCCAGGCAGCUUGCACUCACGAAGAUGGAGAAGAUCCAGAUUCAGCCUCUGGUCGAAGCACUGAUAGAUGUCAUCCGCAAGGGAGUCACCGACAUGGAUCUGCUGGAGAUUUUUCUGGGUCGGCGCAUCCAGCCUUUGCAAGCUCAACACCAUGCCAUGUGGCACUGCACGGGGCCUGCGGACUCCACUCGGACUCACCCCGAAUGCAUGACCGGGGAGGUCAUGACAUCGUGGGUCCGCAGCAUCACAGGCGCCUGUGAUAACCCCAGAGGAGCCCGACGAGUGAAGCCCUUCCGCGCUGACAACCCUCCUCCGAAUGAGGUGAGCAUAUGUUGCCGAGUGCUUACAAUUCCCUUAGAUUUGCCGCUUUUUUCUUGCAUCACUGUCUGACGUCUGAUGUUGUCAACUGUAUCUAGUGCAGGCGUGGACCAACUGGUAUUCUCCCGUCUCGAAUGGGAAUCCGGCUGAGGAAGAGGAAGGCAGCCAGGAGGGCAGCAUGGAGAGCGCCGAGUACGUCUCCCACAGUGGGGAGACGGAGGAGGAGUCCGAAGAGGAGGAGGGGGAAGAUGGGGAGCAGGGCUGGCCCCCCCCCCACCACUAGAGCCUCGAACCAAGCGUUGCCACGAACCCGUGACUGCGUCGGCUUCUCUAGCGGCCCUGAGUGCCCCGCCAGCGCCCGUGACUCCGUCGGCUCCUCCAGCGGCCCCGAGUGCCCCGCCAGCUCGUCCCGUGGUUCCGAGCGCCUUGGCAGAAACUCCCGUGGUUCCGAGUGCUCGGAGCACUAAGAGGAACAGGGACGCUGCUGCUGAGUCCGCGGGCCAACCUUCCAAGGUGGCCAAACCGAGUGGAUCCAAGCCUCGGAAGGCUUUGCCUCGGAUGAGGAUCGCCGUUCCUGUUGCCUCAGCGUAAGUGUCUUGUUCUCCUAUCUUCUUUCAGUAUUUGAUUGAACUCAUGUUUAUUGGUCCAGUGGAUUUUACUCGACAGAGCUGCUACCUCCGCCACUUCUCUGCCACGCCAGGAAGACUAUCCCAUGGAUACGGACAACGUUGCCACAUCCCAGCAAGGUACGUCGUGAUGACUCCGAGAGCUUAAAUUAUUGUUUCGAGAAUUCUGUCUUUGAUAUUGCCAUUUUUCUGUGGUCUCACGUUGUUCAGUCGGGCUCCCUUCAGAGGUGAUUCAUCUGGAGGAAGACGACCAGAAGGGGUCUGGGCAAGCUUUGGUGCAUGUCCUUGAGGUCGUUCCGUCUGCUACCGCUCCUGCCAUGGACGCGCCGCCAACCGAGACGAUGCCGUCGACUGAAACGGUGCUCAUCGCUGCUGAACCGACUAGAGCAGGACUUGGGAUGCCCAAGGAGUCUCCCGUGGUGCCGGGCCCGUCGACUAUCCAGUACGACGCCCAACAUCUCCCGGAGGAUCAAGUGGGAGCUGCCAAGGAGGCUAUGGUGCGGGUGGAGUUGAUGGCGGGUGAUGCGAAGGGGGCAUACGACUCCAUCACAUCUUUAUACAAGAGAAGCUUGGAGCUCCGUGACGAUAUCCGAGUAAGUGCGCUAGUAAGUAUUUGCUUUUCUCUUGUAACCCACUGGGGGUUAAGAAAUAUACUCGGAGAUAGUAGAAUUAUUUUGCAGUGGGUUCACUCUGAGUGAACCGAGUGGGUGUAGUCCCCGAGACUUCUGUCGAGUGCUUGCACCGGUAGUUGUCUUUAUAUACAUUGUCUUUGACUUGAUAUGAUGAAGACUAAGCUGUCCGAAUGGUGCCAGUGGGUGCACUCUCAGUGCACGUACUGGAAGUAGUCCCCGAGAGUAAGUUUACUCAGGUCGGGUAGUAGUAGCCUCAUAGGCUUGUUUUUUGUUAUGUAGCUGAAUAGGGUAGACCUGUUUGAGCGUCAUGCCAGUGGGGUCACUCUUAGUGAACCCACUAGGUGUAGUCCCCGAGACCGCUGUCGACUGCUUGCGUCGCCAGGGGUCUGAAGAACUUUGAGGUUUUAUUCUUUUUCCUUGUUGAAUUUGUCUGAUCUUCUCUUCACGCUUAUUUGUAGAAGACUUGCAAGAUGGGAUCAGCGUACAACGCUUUGAAGGUUGAAAAGACUCAGGCAGCUGUGCAUGACUUAGCUGGCGUGAUGGGUGCUCUUGCUGAAGGAGAGAAGUCCUUGGAGGAGUCCCGUGAGGCAAAUAAGGCAUUGGUGGCCGAAAUUGAGAGAAUGGGCAAACAAAGAACCGAGCUGAUGGGACAGAUGAAGGUGAUGAACAGUCGGUGCAUAUCACAGGAGAAGUACGUCAGUGACUGGGCAAGGAAGAUGAUUGCGCUUCUCGGUGGUAAGUUUUGUUUUUCCGAUUGCUCCUUGACUUUGUAUUUCGUGAUGCACUUACUCUCUGCUCGUCUUCUCUUUGCAGAUUUUUGUAUGGACGCUGAGGCUGAAGCAGCUGACAUUGAGCGGUCAGUUAUUCCGAACGUUCCACUCGGCAACGACGCCAAUCGAGACAUGCUCCGAGCGCACAUUCACCUUGGCAAAGUGGGACCGUUCAUCAGCCGCCUGAGAGAAGUCGUCGGCCGAAUCGACAAGGAGCUGUGGCCCGAAGACGAGUCCCGGUGGGAGAUAGAAGGGUUGAUGACUCGGCUGGAGGACGUCCCGAACCGAGUGCAGGCGUGGAAGAAGUCUGCUGCUCGCUGUGGGGUGGACGUGGCGCUGUCGCUGGUCUGAGUGCACUGCAAGGAAGCUCGCGAAGAGAAGCUGAAGGCGUUGCAGGUCGCCAACACCAAGAAGCUUCGAUUGGAAGAUUUCAUGGAGACCUUCCUUGAGACCGCUACUCGCAUCGCAGACGGGAUCGACCUCGACACUUUCGUGGAGCCUGCCAGUCCCAGUGUCAGUCCUGACGACACUUGAAAAACUUAACCUCGGUAUACCGAGUGGAUUUGUAUCAAACUUUGGCCACUGCAGUUGGCCGUCACAUUCGUGGUUCGGUGUGGAUAAGCUUGAUCUACACUGAACCGACUAUCGUUGAACCAACUUUGAAUUGGAAUCGAAUAUUCUGCUCUUCCUUCGCCAAAAAAAUCUUGACACAAUUUUGGCUCGUGAUUUCUGUUUGGCGUUUCUUGGUGAAGCCAGUGGCAAACAUGCGAAGCAUGUAGUUGUCAUUUGUCUUGACAUCUGCAUGAGCCUCAAUGAGGGUCUGCUAAGCCUCCGAGUGGAUCUGGAGGAUACACUCGAAGGAAUCUUUUUACUUAGGCGAUUCUGGAUCGCAGCUAGGUCUCCGAGUGCGGCGUCUCGUGCGCACUCGUAGCGAGUUGAUACUCAUGUAGUUGUCAGUUGUCUUGACAUCCACAUGAGUCUCAAUGAGGGUCUGCUAAGCCUCUGAGUGGAUCUCGAGGAUACACUCGAAGGAAGCUUUUUACUUAGGCGAUUCUGUAUCGCAGCUAAGUCUCCGAGUGCGGCAUCUCGUGCGCACUCGGAGGGAGUUGGUACUCAUGUAGUUGUCAGUUGUCUUGACAUCCACAUGAGCCUUGAUGAGGGUUUGCUAAACCUCCGAGUGGAUAUCGAGGAUACACUCGAAGGAAGCUUUUUUACUUAGGCGAUUCUGGAUUGCAGCUAAGUCCCCGAGUGCGGCAUCUCGUGCGCACUCCGAGCGAGUUGAUACUCGUGUAGUUGUCAGUUGUCUUAACAUCCACAUGAUCCUCGAUGAGGGUCUGCUAAGCCUUCGAGUGGAUCUCUAGGAUACACUCGAAGGAAUCUUUUUUACUUAGGCGAUUCUGGAUCGCAGCUAAGUCCCCGAGUGCGGCAUUUAGUGCACACUCGGAGAAAGUUAGUACCUAGGCGAUUCUGGAUCGCAGCUAAGUCUCCGAGUGUGACGUUUAGUGCACACUCGGAGAAAGUUUUUUUUAGAUCGGGGUCUGCCCACGCGAAAGAAUUUUGAAUCUGCAAAAAAUCAAUCUGCUUUGUAUUACUUCAGCGAUACUUGUUCUUUACAUUGCUUCAGUCGACGGUCACGUGUAGAAGCGCUUCAGGAGAUCUCCGUUCCAUGCUCGUGGCUCGUCCGUUUCCCUGUCGAGGUUGUAGAGUCGAUAUGCACCGUUGUUCAGCACCUUGGAGAUGAUGAAGGGUCCUUCCCACGCGAGAGCCAGCUUGUGAGGUCUCUGCUGAUCCACUCGGAGCACCAGGUCGCCUGCUUGGAAUGUACGACUCCUGACGUCCCGCGUGUGAAAACGCCGCAGAUCUUGUUGAUAAAUGGUUGAGCGAGUCAGUGCCAUCUCGCGCUCCUCUUCUAGAAGAUCCACUCCGUCUUGCCUCGCUUGCUCUGCUUCGGCUUCGGAGAAGAGUUUGACUCGUGGAGCGUUGUGAAGCAAGUCACUCGGAAGGACUGCCUCUGCUCCGUAAACGAGGAAGAACGGGAUCGCCCUGUAGAUCUAUUUGGGGUUGUGCGGAGACCCCACAACACUGAAGGCGGCUCGGUGACCCAUGCGUCGGCAGCAUGUCCCACUUCUCGCAAGAGUCGAGGCUUCAACCCUUGAAGAAUAAGUCCAUUCGCUCGCUCUACUUGCCCGUUUGUUUGGGGAUGCGCCACAGAUGCAAAAUCCACUCGGAUACCUUGGCUUGUACAGAAACCUUUGAAUCUGUCCGAGUCAAAGUUUGUGCCGUUAUCAGUGAUUAUGCUGUGCGGUACCCCGAAUCUGGAUAUGAUGUCCCUGACAACCUUGAUGGCCGUAAGGGCGUCGAGCUUCUUGAUGGGUUUGGCUUCAAUCCACUUGGUGAACUUGUCGACUACCACCAACAGAUGAGUGAAACCUCCUUGGCCUAUCCUAAAUGGACCGACUGUAUCUAAACCCCACACUGCAAACGGCCAAACAAGAGGGAUUGUCUUCAACGCAGAUGUUGGCUUGUGGGACUUGUUCGAGUAGAACUGACAGCUUUCACAUCGGUCGACCAUAUCCUUCGCCAUUUCGUUCGCGUGCAACCAGAAGAAGCCAGCCCUGAAUGCUUUGGCGACGAUUGCCCUUGAGGAGGCAUGAUGACCGCAGGUUCCUGAGUGAAUUUCUUCCAGGAUUAACUGUCCCUUCUCAGGGGAGAUGCAUCGUUGAAGGAUGCCAGAAACACUUUCUUUGUACAGCUGGCCAUCAAUGACGGUGAACGACUUCGACCUGCGGACGAUCUGUCUGGCUUGGAUUUCGUCUUCUGGUAAUUCUUGCCUCAGGAUGUACGCAAUGAACGGCACAGUCCAAUCGGGGAUGAUAGCAAGAAUCUCCAUGAUCAAAUCAACCACAGCAGGGACUUCGACUUCAGUCAGAUCUAUCGAGCUCUUUGGUUGUACUGGUUCCUCUGUGAAAGGAUCUUCUUUAACCGAGGGAAGGUGACGGUGCUCGAGGCAGACGUCACUCGGGACUGGCUCCGAGUGGAUCCAAGUUUCGCCAAUUCGUCAGCUGCUUGGUUUUUCAGUCACGGAACAUGGUGGAGUUCUAGACCUUCAAACUUUUUCUCGAGCUUCCUCACCGCGUUGCAGUAUGUGGUCAUGGUGGGUUUCCUUACGUCCCACUCCUUCAUCACUUGAUUAACCACCAAAUCUGAAUCGCCAUAGACCAUGAGGCGACGGACGCCGAGUGCGAUGGCCAUGCGCAAUCCAUAAAGGAGAGGUUCAUAUUCUGUCUCGUUGUUGGAGGAAUCGAAGUGUAUUUGCAACACAUACUUGAGUUUGUCUCCUUUUGGCGAUAUGAUCACAACGCCAGCGCCGGAGCCGUUUAACAUCUUGGACCCAUCGAAGAACAUUGUCCAAUGAGCCGAGUAGAUGUGAGUCGGUUGUUGUUGUUCUACCCAUUCUGCUAUGAAGUCAGCCAAAGCUUGAGACUUUAUAGCUUUCUUGGCAUCAACUUGAUGUCGCAGUACAACAUCUCCAUUGCCCAAUUCACCACUCGGCCCGAUGCGUCCCGAUUGUGGAGGAUUUCCGACAAUGGAGCAUCAGAAAUGACGGACACCGAGUGGUCUUGGAAAUAAUGAGCCACCUUCUUCGCAGUCAUGUAAAUCCCGUAAAUGAGUUUUUGAUGAUGGGGAUACCUCUGCUUGGAAGGAGUCAGGACUUCGGAGACAUGGUACAUUGGCCGUUGAACCAUGUAUGCUUUGCCUUCUUCUUCGCGUUCGACUGGGAGAACAGUGCUGACGACUUGAUUUGUAGCCGCGAUGUACAGAAGAAGGGGUUCUUUACUGAGCGGAGCAGUAAGAACCGGGUGGGUGGAAAGUAGGACUUUGAGGUCGUCGAAUGCGAUAUGAGCUUCCUCUGUCCACUCGAAAGUAUCUGAUUUCUUCAUGAGUCGGUACAAAGGUAGCGCCUUCUCGCCGAGUCGACUGAUAAACCUUCUCAAAGCCGCUAGGCAACCUGUGAGCCUUUGAACAUCGUGUAUUCUGACCGGCCGCUCCAUUCGGACGAUGGUCCCGAUCUUUUCGGGGUUGACAUCGAUCCCUCGUUCGAAAACGAAGAAACCGAGUAACUUUCCGCUAGGAACACCGAAUGAACACUUGGCCGGGUUGAGCUUGAUAUCGUACCUACGAAGGGUGGCGAAUGUUUCUGCCAAGUCAGUCAGCAGGUCGGAACCUUUGCGUGACUUGACUACGAUAUCAUCCAUAUACGCUUCCACAUUUCGACCGAUCUGGUCAAGGAGGCAUUUUUGGAUCAUGCGCAUAAAGGUUGCUCCUGCAUUCUUCAAACCGAAUGGCAUAGUGAUGUAGCAAAAGCACCCGAAUGGGGUGAUGAAGGCUGUUUUUAAUUCAUCGGGGCCAUACAGACGGAUCUGAUGAUAGCCCGAGUAGGCAUCUAGAAAUGACAAACGCUCGCUACCCGCAGUCGAAUCGACAAUUUGAUCGAUGCGGGGGAGCGGGAAAUGGUCUUUCGGGCAGACCUUAUUGAGAUGCUUGAAGUCGAUGCACAUUCGGAGAGACUUGUCCUUCUUGGGUACCAUGACAACAUGGGCGAGCCACUCGGAGUGGUGUACCUCGCGAGUGAAGUUGGCUGCCAAAAUCUUAGCCACCUCCUCUCCGAUGGCCUUCCUCAUAUGCGCGGCGGACCGACGCAGGCGUUCUCGGACAGGCUGAGCAGCAGGAUCCACGUGCAGUCGGUGCUCAGCCAACUCCCUGGGUACACCUGGCAUGUCAGCGGGCUUCCAUGCGAAAAUGUCUGAGUUCUCACGGAGGAAUUGGAUGAGCUCGACUUCCUAUUUUGGAUCGAGGGUGGUGGAGAUGUUCCUCGGGGCAGCGGCUUCGUCCGUCGGGUGAAUGCUGACCUUCUUCGUUUCUCCCGCCGACUGGAAUGCGGAAUCCGAAGCUGGCUUCUUCGAACGCAUCAAGUCAGCGGGGUCGAUUAACUUCUUGUAGUCGUCAAGCUCGAGGACAGCCAUCUGCUGAUUGGCGAUCCUCGAUCCCUGCUGGAGACACUCCUCGGCCCGCUACCGAUUGCCUGUGAUAGUGAUCACGCCUUUUGGGCCUGGCAUCUUCAGCUUUAGGUACACGUAACAUGGACGGGCCGUGAAACGCGCAUACGCCGGGCGGCCCAGAAUCGCGUGGUAUGCACUCUGGAAGUCCACCACCUCGAAUGUCAGCUUUUCCUUGCGGAAGUUCUUGUCGGAGCCGAAGACGACGUCCAACGCAAUCUCACCGAGUGACUUGGCCGUUCGUCCAGGGACGACUCCAUGGAACUGCAUGCUGCUCUCACUAAGUUUGGACAUCGGAAUGCCCAUCCCCUUGAGAGUGUCGGCGUACAUGAUGUUCAAGCCGCUGCCGCCGUCCAUGAGGACUUUGCGCAGUCGGACUCCUUCCACCACCGGGUCGAUGACCAGCGCCUACCUCCCUGGGGUGGGUACGGGCGCUGGAUGAUCCGACUGGUCAAAGGUGAUCGCAGUCUGAGACCAUUGGAGGAACGUGGGGUUGGUUGGGUGGCCAUGUUCACCUCCCUGUUCACCAGCUUCAGUCGACUCUUGCUUUCCACGUCAGCAAAAAUCAUCAGUGUUGCAUGGACUUGGGGGAACGGAUCCUCCUUGUCCUCCUCAUCUUGCUCAUUGUCCUUUUCACUCGGUUGCCCUUCCCCGAUCCCCUGGAUCAGGAGGCGACAUUGCCGAGUGGUAUGCUUCGGAAAUAUGGCGUUGCCUUCUUCAUCCAUCUUCAUGUGGAUUGGACAUGGCUGGUCCAGGAUGUGGUUUCCGAACUGCUUCUUCUUGGGGGUGAACUGAGCCUUCCCCUUGCCCUUGAACUUGGCAUUGGUAACGGCUGCGGCCUCUGCCUACGGAGUGGACGGAGCUUUCUGCUUCUGCUUCCGAGUGUUGUUCCCAUCUCCAUCGGCGACUGCCUUGUGCUUGCUGCUGCGAAUGCGGUCCUCUUCUUCGCCAUUAGCACAGCGUGCCGCUAUCUCCAUCAUCUUGCUCAUGGAGAUGUCGCCUGUCCGACCGAACUUCAGGUACAGAUCUCCGUACCGCACGCCUGCCUUGAAGGCGCAGACUGCUUGGUGCUCUGUGACGUUCUCCACCGUGUGGUAGAGGGUUGUCCAACGCUGGAUGAAAUCGCGCAGGGGCUCAUUCUGCUUCUCGACACAGUGCUGGAGCUCCACAAGAUCAGCAGGGCGUUUGCACGUCCCCUCGAAGGUCCUGAAGAAGACUCGGGCCAGAUCUGCCCAACUAUAGAUGCUUGAAGGAGCCAGCUGGUUCAGCCACGCUCGUGCCGAGCCAUCGAGCAUCAGGGGGAGAUGUUUCAUGGCGACAUGGUCGUCUCCACCUCCGAUCUGGACUGCCACUCGGUAGUCGUCCGGCCACGUUUCUGGCUUGGAUUCUCCUAUAAACUUGCUGGUCCCCGUCGCCAAUCGGAAGUUGGGAGGGAUGUCAGCUGAACGGAUGGCCCAACUGAAACACUCGGGGCCAGAGAAGAUGGUCCUGCUUCCACUCGGAUGGUCUCCAUCGUGACCAUCACGGUGGGCUCGGCCCCUGUCGACCCUCCUCUGGGCGAUGUAUCCUCUUGCGUCGGGCCUUGGAUCAUAAGUGUGACCGACCGAACGCCGAUCAUCAAGAUGUCGGGGCCCGUAGGGCCCACCCCAUGGAGGGGUGCGUGAACGGCGACGAUCUUCGGGACUCAUGGAACAGCUGCCUCCCCUGUGUCGUUGAUGAGAACCGGGGCUGAAUACUGACCGAUGCAUGUUCGCGUGAACAGAACUGUUGUGGAUUCUGUUGUGCGACUGGGAGACCGCCGAAUUCUGCUGCUGCGCCGUGUGCAACAGGGCACGAAUCUGCUCGAUCCCUCUGCGAGCCUCUGAAUCAGUCGGCUGGAGGGAGUCGGCUAUCUUGGAGGCGGCGUCCAGGUUGAGGACGGGUGUGCGGAACACCUCCACGUUGCUUUGACGAGUGCGCCGACUGGCAGAACGGCGGGGCUGACGGCGAGCGCCAGAUAUUUCGCCGACCUCGUGCUCGUUCCGGCCGGUUUGGCGGGGACUUUCAUGGGAGUUGGCCAUGUGCACUUCGGCUGCAGGCCCGCGAUCCAAGUACUCGGAAUGCAACUAAGUCAGAACUGAGUCCGAGCGCUGGGACGGCGGCGCAACUACAACCGAUUUGAGGACCGCCACGUGUGUAGACGCGUUCUGGCGCGCCUGGGCGUGUUGCACCCAACGCUGGAGCCGCGGACGGCGAGACCGCUUGUUGCGGUGCGUGACGGGGGCGAAGAUCGACACCCGAGCCGACUGCGGGAGAAGAAGGAUGCCGUGGGCGCCGGCACAGAAGUGCGUAGCCCCGCGACUGGGGAGCGCCUCGACGUCGAGAGGUGCAUCCCGAAGCCAUGCCGAAUCGUCGACAAUGAAGGAGAGUGCGCCGAAGAGGAUCUCACAACCCAUGCACGAAUCUCCACCGGACGACAUGCCGAAAGGAUGUAGUCGCAAACUCACCGGAAGUCGCAUAGACGCCUGCCCCACGGUGGGCGCCAACUGUCGUGGGUAUAAGUCUGACAGUAGAUGUAUAGGGUACGAAAGGAUGGGCGGAGUCUUAGCUAUGGCGAGGUUGUAUGAGUUCAGGCCCCUCUACGGUGGAGGUAAAAGCCCUACGUCUCAGUGCUCUUGGGAGCUUGAUGUCGAGUGGAAUAUGGAUUACAGUGAAUUGCCAACCCCUGCACCAGUACGGAAGGGCGGCUUAUAUAGAGUGUGCUGCCCUCCAUAACGGUUCGAUGCACAGGGGUGGAGUAGUGGCGAAUAAAUGCCUACGUUACAGGUAACGUAUGCCCUAAAUGCUAAUAAAGGUACAUGAAAAUGUAUGACCAUUCUCCUCCAGGGGGGUUACGAUAUACAGAGUGGAAUCCAGUCGGUAAGCUUGAUACCCUCCGAAUGCACGUCUCCGACUGGAUGAUGGAGGGAUCGUCACCGACCGGAUGAUGGGAAGUCCUUAAUUCAGUCGAAACUAACUAAGGGCCUUGUCCCUUAUGAAGGGUAGUCCUGGGGUAGGACCUAUAGGGCAGGCCUAUGACCCUACACUGGGACUAUAACCCCAUCAGACGUGAUGCCUAUAUGUAUGAUCAUUGCCUUAGAUAUCGUCAUUACUUUGCGCGGUUCUAUCAAUUGCUCGACAGUAAUUCGUUCACCCACUGUAAUAUUUGCUAUCAUGAGAGAAGCCUCUAGUGAACACUAUGGCCCCCGGGUCUACAUCACAUCAUAUUUUCAGCCUUACACUUUUACUUUGUUGCACUUUACGCCUUCAGUUCUCACCUUGCAAUCAAUCGUGAAGGGAUUGACAACCCCUUUGUAGCGUUGGGUGCAAGUUUGCUGUUUUUGCGCAGGUACUUUGGAGACUUGCCUUGAUACUCCUACUUGAUUGAUACCUCGGUUCUCAAACUGAGGGAAAUACUUACCGCUACUGUGCUGCAUCACCCUUUCCUCUUCAAGGGAAAAACCAACGCAAGCUCAAGAGGUAGCAAGAAGAAUUUCUGGCGCCGUUGCCAGGGAGGAUCAACUCAAGAAUAGUCUCCCGUCAACGUGCCAAUUUCUGGCGCCGUUGCCGGGGAGUAUCAAGUCAAGAAUAGUCUUCCUCCAACGUGUCAAUUUCUGGCACCGGGGACUAUUCUAAGUGAAGCUUAUCCAAGUAACUGUCACAAACUCAUCUCUUGCAUUUACCUUUUUUUUCCUUUUGCCUCUCGUUUUCCUCUCCCCCACUUCUGAAAAACAAAAAUUACAAAAAUAUUUGCCUUUUUCGUUUGCCUUUCCUUUGCUUGUGUGCAAUGUGCCUUCAAUAUGCUUGCAUCUUCGCUUGCUGAAAAUCUAUUGAUAUGGAUCUUCAUUCACUUGCUAAUCUCUUUAAGAGAUCCAAUUAUGUUGAACCAUUUGCUAGUGAAUUGAGUGCACUUGACUUUCUCUAUGGAGUUUUCUUGAGAUGUGUGAAUUUGAAAACCGUGAUGAAGAAAUUUGUGAAGUGAUUCAUGAGGGCUCCUUUAAUGAAAAGCAUGAUUGCAAUGGUUUCAUUAUAAAUUCUAUUCAUGACAAUCAUGCUAAAAAUAUGCAAAACCCUAAAGUUGGGGAUUCUAGUUUUGCUUUGUCCACUACUUGUUGCAAUGAUCAAGAUUGGGGUAAUGAUUUUUCUUAUGAUCUUAAAAAAUUUGUUUAAGCCUCAUGAUGAAUAUGAUAUUUGCAAUAAUAUUGAAGGUGGGUUUGGAGAAGUCAUGACUUUAGUUGAUGAUAAUCCCACUAUUUUUGAUGAGCGUCAACUUUGCAUGUAUGUGGAUCAUGAAAAGAAUAUCCUAUGUGAUAGCUAUAUUGUUGAAUUUGAAUAUGAUCCCACAUGUAAUUAUUGUGAGAGAGGAAAAUAUGGUGGUAGAAAUUUUCAUACCACUAAAUCACCUCUUGUUUUGUUGAGAUUGAUAUUGUCUCUUUCUUCUUCCUUGCAUAUGGUAACUAUUGGUUGUCUUGACAAUUUAUUUUCCUAUAAAAUGCCUAUGCAUAGGAAGUAUGUUAGACUUAGAUGUUAUUUUCACAUGCUUUAUGAUGCUCUCGUUGUGCUUCAAUUCUUGUGUUUUGUGUGAGCAUCAUUGAAUUAUCAAUGCCUAGCUAAGGGCGUUAAACAAUAGCGCUUGUUGGGAGGCAACCCAAUGUAUUUAUCUUUGCUUUUUUUCNNNNNNNNNNNNNNNNNNNNUUUUUUUUUGUGUCCACACCGUCAUAAUUUUGUUAUGAUUGUGUUUUUUUUGUUUCUUUUUGUGUUUGAGCCAAGUAAAACCUUUAUGACUGGUUUUGGUGAUGUUGUUUGAUCUUGCUGGAAAAGAGAGAAACUUUGCGCUCACGAAAUUAUUUUUAAUUCCUAUCCAGAAAGAGCUUUUGAGUUGAUUCAUUUUUCUGCUGGUUGAUAUGCCAAUUUCCCUAAUUGUCAUAAUUUUACAGAAGUUUUGAGAUAACAUAAGUAUAUGAAGUAUACAGAUUGCUACAGAUUGGUCUGUUUUUGACAAAUUAUGUUUGUGUUGUGUUGAUUGCUUAUUUUGAUGAAACUAUGGAUAGUAUCGGGGGGUACUAGCUAUGGAAAAGUGAGAAUACAGUAAUCUAACACCAAUAUAAAUAGAAAUCAGGUUUGCUAGAGUACCUAAAGAUUUGGUAGUUUGUUUUCUUGUGCUAAUGAUAUCACGAGUUUAUGUUUAAGUUUUGUGUUGUGAAGUUUUCAAGUUUUGGGUGAUGUUCUCGUGGACAAUGGGAUAAAGAGUGGAAAGAGCUCAAGCUUGGGGAUGCCCAAGGCAUCCCAAGCCAAAUUCAAGGACACCAAAAAGCCUAAGCUUGGGGAUGCCCCGGGAAGGCAUUCCCUCUUUCGUCUUCAAUACAUCGGUAACGUUACUUGGAGCUAUAUUUUUAUUCACCACAUGAUAUGUGUUUUGCUUGGAGCAUCGUGUAUUAUAGGAUUCUUUUCUUUUUGUUGUGUGACAAUCAUCCUUGCUCCACACCUUUCGAGAGAGACAUGCACUCAUCGUAAUUUUGCUAGAAUACUCUUUGAGCUUCGCUUAUAUCUUUUGAGUUAGGCAAUUUACCUCGCAUGUGCUUUACUUAUAUCUUUUUGAGCUAGAUAAAUUUGCUCUAGUGCUUCACUUAGAUCUUUUUAGAGCACAGCGGUGUCAUAUUUUGGAGAAAUAAGAACUCUCGAUCUUCACUUAUAUCUUUUUGAGAGUGCUCUCUUUGAGUAACUUGGUAGUUAGCUUGUGCUAUGAAAGUAGUCCUAAAGAUGGUAGGCAUCCAAAGAGGAUGUAAUAAAAACUUGCAUAUUCUUGUGCAUUGAUUAGUGAAGAGAAGUUUGAUUCAUCUCAAUUAGUUUUGAGACAUGGAUAUGGUAAUAUUAAAGUUGUGUUAGUAGGGUGUUGUGAAUCUAGAAAUACUUGUGUUGCAGUUAGUGAUUCCCGUAGCAUGCACGUAUGGUGAACCGCUAUGUUAGAAAGUCGGAGCAUAAUUGAUUUAUUGAUUGUCAUCCUUUGUGUUGCGGUUGGGAUCGCACGAUGGUUAAACACCUACCAACCCUUCCCCUAGGAUUAUGCAUUUAGCACUUUGUUUCGAUUACUAAUAAAAACUUUCGCAAUAAGUAUAUGAGUUCUACAUGACUAAUGUGAGUCCAUGGUAUAGAUGCACUUUCACGUUCCACCAUUGCUAGCCUCUAUAGUGCCGUGCAAUUUUCGCCGGUGCACAAACCCACCAUAUACCCUCCUCAAAACAGCCACCAUACCUACCUAUUAUGGCAUUUUCAUAGCCAUUCCGAGAUAUAUUGCCAUGCAACUCCCACCGUUCCGUCUCAUGACAUGUGUCGUCACUUUCAUAUUGCCAUUGCAUGAUCGUAAGAUAGCUAGCGAGAUGUUUCAACGUCAUACACUAAGCUAGAUCGUUGCACAUCCCAGUACACUUCCGGAGGCAUUUCCUAUAGAGUCAUCAUUGUUCUAGGUAUUGAGUUGUGAGUAAAUAAAAGUGUGAUGAUCGUCAUUAUUAGAGAAUUGUCCCAUGUGACGAAAUAAAAAAAAGAGGCCAAAGAUGCCCACAAAAAAAAUGAGAAAAAAAGAGGCCAAAGUGCCCAAACAAAAAAAAUGAGAGAAAAAAGAGAGAAGGGACAAUGCUACUAUCUUUUUCAACACUUGUGCUUCCAAAUAGCACCAUGUUCUUCAUGAUAGAGAGUCUCUUGGUUUGACACUUCCAUAUACUAGUGGGAAUUUUCGUUAUAUAACUUGGCUUGUAUAUUCCAAUGAUGGGCUUCCUCAAAAUUGCCCUAGGUCUUCAUGAGCAAGCAAGUUGGAUGCACACCCACUAGUUCUUCUUUUGAGCUUUCACAUACUUAUAGGUCUCGUGCAUCCGUUGCAUGGUAAUCCCUACUCAUUCACAUUGAUAUCUAUUGAUGGGCAUCUCCAUAGCCCUUUGAUACGCCGAGUUGAUGUGACCAUCUCUUCCUUUUUGCCUCACAACCUCCACUACACUCUAUUCCACCUAUAGUGCUAUAUCCAUGGCUCAUGCUAAUGUAUUGCGUGAGAGUAGAAAAAGUUUGAGAAAGUAAGAGUGCGAAAACAAUUACUUGGCCAAUUCCGGGGUUGUGCAUGAUUUAAAUUCAUUAUGUGGGGAUGAUGGAGCAUAGCCAGACUAUAUGAUUUUGUAGGGAUAACUUUCUUUAGCCUUGUUAUUUCGAAAGUUCAUGAUUACCUUGCUAGUUUGCUUGAAGUAUUAUUGUUUUCAUGUCAAUAGAAAACUAUUGUUUUGAAUCUCAUGGAUCUGAACAUUCAUGUCACAUGAAAGAAGUUACAAAGGACAAGUAUGUUAGGUAGCAUUCCACAUCAAAAAUUCGGUCUUUAUCACUUCCCUACUCGAGGACGAGCAGGAGUUAAGCUUGGGGAUGCUUGAUAUGUCUCCAACGUAUCAAUAUUUUUUUAUGGUUCCAUGCUAUUAUCUUGUCAACAUUGGAUGUUUUGUAUGCAUGAAUAUGCUAUUUUAUAUCUUCUUGGGACUAACCUAUUAACUCAGUGCCAAGUGCCAGUUCCUGUUUUUUCCGUGUUUUUGACCUUUUUGAGAGGAGACUAUUAAACGGAGUCCAAACGGAAUAAAACCUGCGGAAUGAUUUUUUCCAUAACAGAAGACACGCAGGAGACUUGAGAACCAGGGAAGGGGACCUCGGAGGAGGUCACAAGCCACCUAGGACCGACCUAGGGGGAGGGCGGGCCUAGCAGGCUUGUGGGCCCCCUGUGGUUCCCCUGCCCUAGUUCUUCCGCCUAUAAAUUCCAUAAAAAUCUGAAAACACGAAAGAGAGCCACGAAAAUACUUUUCCACCGCCGCAAGCUUCUCUCUCCGCAAGAUCCCAUCUGGGGAACGUUCUGGUGCCCUGCCGGAGGGGGAUUCGCACACUGAGGGCUUCUUCAUGAAAACCAUUGCCUCUCCGAUGAUGCGUGAGUAGUUCACCAUAGACCUUCCGGUCCUUAGCUAGUAGCUAGAUGGCUUCUUCUCUCUCUUGGAUCUUCAAUACAAAGUUCUCCAUGAUCUUCAUGGAGUUCUAUCCGAUGUAAUCUUCUUUUGCGGUGUGUUUGUCGAGAUCCGAUGAAUUGUGGAUUUAUGAUCAGAUUAUCUAUGAAUGUUAUUUGAGUCUCUGCUGCGGCAACAGACAAGAGUGCCAGAGAUUGACACGUCGAAGGAGGCUGGGCUUGCGUUGGUUUUUCCCUUGAAGAGGAAAGGGUGGUGCAGCACAGGAGCAGUAAGUAUUUCCCUCAGUUUGAGAACCAAGGUAUCAAUCCAGUAUGAGAAUCUCGUCAAGUCCAGAGUACCUGCGCAAACACAAACGAGCUUGCACCCAACGCUAUAAAGGGGUUGUCCAUCCCUUCAAGAUUGAUUGCAAAGUGAGAUCUGAAGGCGGAAAGUGCAACGAAGUAAAAGAGUAAGGCUAAAAAUAUGGUGUGGAGUAGACCCGGGGGCCAUAGUGUUCACUAGAGGCUUCUCUCAAAAUAGCAAAUAUUAUGGUGGAUGAACAAAUUACUGUCGAGCAAUUGAUAGAACUGCGCAAAGUCAUGACGAUAUCUAAGGCAAUGAUCCUACAUAUAGGCAUCACGUCCGAGACAAGUAGACCGAUACUUUCUGCAUCUACUACUAUUACUCCACACAUCGACCGCUAUCCAGCAUGAAUCUUGUGUAUUGAGUUCAGGACGAACAGAGUAACGCCUUAAGCAAGAUGACCUGAUGUAGAGGGAUAAACUCAAACCAAUGAUGAAACCCCAUCUUUUUACCCUUGAUGGCAACAACACGAUGCGUAACUCGCUACCCCUUCUGUCACUGGGUGAGGUCACCGCACGGUAUGAACCCAAAACCAAGCACAUCUCCCAUUGCAAGAAUCAUAGAUCUAGUUGGCCAAACAAAACCCACAACUCGAAGAGAAUUACAAGGAUAUGAAAUCAUGCAUAUAAGAGAUCAGAAGAAACUCAAAUAAGAUUCAUAGAUAAUAUGAUCAUAAAUCCACAAUUCAUCGAAUCUCGACAAACACACCGCAAAAGAAUAUUACAUUGGAUAGAUCUCCAUGAAGAUCAUGGAGAACUUUGUAUUGAAUAUCUAAGAGAGAGAAGAAGCCAUCUAGCUACUAGCUAUGGACCCGUAGGUCUAUGGUGAACUACUCCUGCAUCAUUAGAGAGGUCAUGGUGUUGAUGAAGAAGCCCUCCGUAUCCGAAUCCCCCCUCCGGCAGGGCACCAGAACGUGCCCCAAAUGGGAUCUUGCGGAGAAAGAAGCUUGCGGCGGCGGAAAAGUACUUUCGGUGAUCUCUUGAUUUUUUUCUGGAAUUUAUGGGAAUAUAUAGGCGAAAGACCUAGUGCAGGGGAGGCCCAGGGAGCCCACAAGCCUCGGAGGCGCGGCCCCCCUGGUCGCGGCUAGGCGGCUUAUGGGGUCCCUGGAGAUCCCCUGCCUUGGUUCUCAAGCUUCCGGAUCUUCUUCUGUUUCGGAAAAAAUCUUUUUGGAAGUUUCGUUCCAUUUGGACUCCGUUUAAAAUCGUCCUCUGAAAAGGGUCAAAAACAUGGACAAAACAGGAACUAGCACUUGGCACUGAGUUAAUAAGUUAGUCCCAAAAAAGAUACAAAAGGCAUACAAAACAUCCAAAUUUUGACAAGAUAAUAGCAUGAAACCAUCAAAAAUUAUAGAUACGUUGGAGAUGUAUCAAGCAUCCCCAAGCUUAACUCCUGCUCGUCCUCGAGUAGGGAAGUGAUAAAGACUGAAUUUUUGAUGUGGAAUGCUACCUAGCAUAGUUGUCCUUUGCAACUUCUUUCAUGUGACAUGAAUGUUCAGAUCCGUAAGAUUCAAAACAAUAGUUUGCUAUUGACAUGAAAACAAUAAUACUUCAAGCAAACUAUCAAGGUAACCAUGAACUUUCAAAAUAACAAGGCCAAAGAAAGUCACCCUACAAAAUCAUAUAGUCUGGCUAUGCUCCAUAAUCCUCACACAACUAAUGUAAAUCAUGCACAACCCCGGUAUUGGCCAAGUAAUUGUUUUCGCACUCUUUACUUUCUCAAACUUUUUAUAACUAUCACGCAAUACAUCAGCGUGAGCCAUGGAUAUUGUACUAUAGGUGGAAUAGAGUGUGGUGGUGGUUGUGAGAGAAAAAGGAGGAGAUGGUCACAUUGACUCGGCGUAUCAAAGGGCUAUGGAGAUGCCCAUUAAUAGAUAUCAAUGUGAAUGAGUAGGGAUUUCCAUACAAAGGAUGCACUAGAGCAAUAAGUAUGUGAAAGCUCAAAAGGAGAACUAGUGGGUGUGCAUCCAACUUGCUUGCUCUCGAAGACGUAGGGCAAUUUUGAGGAAGCCCAUCAUUGGAAUAUAUAAGCCAAGUUAUAUAAUAAAGAUUCCCACUAGUAUAUGGUGGUGACGAAGCGAGAGGCUUUUAAUCAUGAAGAACAUGGUGCUAUUAUGAAGCACAAGUGUGGAAAAAGAUAGUAGCAUUGUCCCUUCUCUCUUUUUCUCUCUUUUUUUAAUUUUAAUUUGGGCACUUGGGACUCUUUUUCUCCCCUUUUUUUAUUUGGGAUCUUUGGCCUUUUUUUUAUUUCCUAACAUGGGGCAAUGCUCUAAUAAUGAUGAUCAUCACACUUUUAUUUACUCACAGCUCAAAGCUCAGAACGAUGAUGACUCUAAAGUAAAUGCCUUCGGCAGUGUACCGGGAUGUGCAACGAUCUAGCUUGGCGUAUGACGUUUAAACAUCUCGCUAGCUAUAUUAUGAUCAUGAAAUGGCAAUAUGAGAGUGACGGCACAAGUCAUGAGACGGAACGGUGGGAGUUGCAUGGCAAUAUAUCUUGGAAUGGCUAUGAAAAUGCCAUAGUAGGUAGGUAUGGUGGCUGUUUGAGGAAGGCAUAUGGUGGGUUUGUGUACCGGCAAAAAAUGCGCGACACUAGAGAGGCUAGCAAUGGUGGAUGGUGAAAGUGCAUCUAUACCAUGGACUCACAUUAGUCAUGAAGAACUCACAUACUUGUUGCGAAAGUUUUUAUUAUUAAUCGAAACAAAGUGCUAAACGCAUACUCCUAGGGGAAGGGUUGGUAGGUGUUAACCAUCGCGCGAUCCCGACCUCAACACAAAGGAUGACAAUCAAUAGAUCAAUUAUGCUCCGACUUCCUAACAUAGCGGUUCACCAUACGUGCAUGCUAUGGGAAUCACUAACUUCAACACAAGUAUUUCUAGAUUCACAACACCCUACUAACAUAACUCUUAAUAUUACCAAAUCCACGUCUCAAAACUAAUUGAGAGGAAUCAAGAAUUCUGUUUCUACUCAAUGCACAUGAAGAUGUAGAUUUUUGUAUCCCCUUUGGGUACCUAUCACCUUUGGGACUACUUUCAUAGCAUAAGCCAAUUACCAAGUCACGCGCCGACGUGCUCUAAAAUAUCUAAGUGAAGCACACAGAGAAAAAUUAUCUAGCUCAAAAGAUAUAAGUGAAGCACGAUGAGCAUUCUAGCAAAAUCAUGAUGAGUGCAUGUCUCUCUCUAUCAAAAAGGUGUCCAGCAAGGAUCAUUGUGACACAACAAAAAGAAAACACUCCUACGAUACAAGAUGCUCCAAGCAAAACACAUAUCAUGUGGUGAAUAAAAAUAUAGCUGCAAGUAAUGUUACCGAUGGAUUGAAGACGAAAGAGGGGAUGCCUUCCCGGGGCAUCCCCAAGCUUAGGCUUUUUGGUAUCCUUGAAUUUGGCUUGGGAUGCCUUGGGCAUCCCCAAGCUUGAGCUCUUUCCACUCCUUAUCUCUUUGUCCAUGUGAACAUCACCCAAAACUUGAAAACUUCACAACACAAAACUUAAACAGAAACUCAUGAUAUCAUUAGCACAAGAAAACAAACUACCACCCCUUUAGGUACUGUAGCAAUCUUGAUUUCUAUUUAUAUUGGUUUUGGGGUACUUUAUUCUCACUUUUCCAUGGCUAGUACCCCCAAUACUAUCCAUAGUUUCAUCAAAACAAGCAACCAACUCAACAAAAACAGAAUCUGUCAAAAACAGACCAGUCUGUAGCAAUCUGUAUACUUCGUAUACUUCUGGUACCUCCAAAAUUCUGAAAACUUACGACUGCCUGGGAAAAAGGAAUAUCAACCAGCAGAAAAAAGAAUCAACUCAUAAUCUUUUUCUGAAUAAAAAUGAAAAAUCAUCUCGUGAGCGAAAAGUUUCUAUCUUUUUUCCAGCAGGAUCAAACAACCAUCACCGAGACUAGUCAUAAAGGUUUUGCUUGGAUCAAACACAAAAAUAAACACAAAAGACACAAUCAUAACAGAUAUAUGAUGGUGUGGACGCAACAAAACAGAAAGAAAAAGAUAAAUUCAUUGGGUUGCCUCCCAACAAGCGCUAUUGUUUAACGCCCUUAGCUAGGCAUAAGGAUAAAUCACAUCUAAGUCUAACAUACUUCCUAUGCAUAGGAAUUUUAUAGGAGAAAAAAUUGGCAAGACAACAAAUAGUUACCAAAUGCAAGGAAGAAGAAAGAGACAAUAGCAAUCUCAACAAAACGACAGGUAAUUUGGUAACAUGAAAGUUUCUACCACAAUAUUUUACUCUCUCAUAGCAAUUACAUGCGGGAUCAUAUUCGAAUUCAACAAUGUAACUAUCACAUAGGAUAUUCUUUUCAUGAUCCACAUGCAUGCAAAGUUGACGCUCUUCAAAAAUAGUGAGAUUAUCAUCAACUAAAGGCAUGACUUCUCCAAACCCACUUUCAAUAAUAUUGCAAAUAUCAUAUUCAUCAUGAGGCCUAAACAAAUUUUCAAGAUCAUAAGAAAAAUCAUCUCCCCACUCAUGAUCAUUGCAACAAGUAGUGGACAUAGCAAAACUAGCAUCCCCAAGCUUAGGGUUUUGCAUAUUUUUAGCAUGAUUGUCACUAAUAGAAUUUAUAGUGAAACCAUUGCAAUCAUGCUUUUCAUCCAAGGAGCCCUCGUGAAUCACUUCAUAAAUUUCUUCCUCACAAUUUUCAGAUUCACGCAUCUCAAGCAAAACUCCAUAAAGAUAGUCAAGUGCACUCAACUCACUAGCAAUUGGAUCAACAUAAUUGGAUCUCUUAAAGAGAUUACCAAGUGGAUGAGGAUCCAUAUAUCUAGAUUUUCUGCAAGCGAAGAUGCAAGCAUAUGGAAGGCACAUGGCACACAAGCGAACAGAAAGCAAGCGAGAGAGAAGGGCGAACGAAAAAGGCAAACAAAAAAGGAAAAUAUUUUUGUAAUUAUUUUGUUUUUGCAGAAGUGGGGGAGAGCAAAACGAGAGGCAAUAAAGUAAAUGCAGGAUAUGAGUUUGUGACACUUACUUGGAUGAGUUCUUGACUUGAUCCUCUCCGGCAACAGCGCCAGAAAUUCUUCUGCUGCGGCAACAGACAACAGUGCCAGAGAUUGACACGUUGACGGAGGUUGGGCUUGCGUUGGUUUUUCCCUUGAAGAGAAAAGGUGGUGCAGCACAGGAGCAGUAAGUAUUUCCCUCAGUUUGAGAACCAAGGUAUCAAUCCAGUAGGAGAAUCUCGUCAAGUCCAGAGUACAUGCGCAAACACAGACGAGCUUGCACCCAACGCUAUAAAGGGGUUGUCAAUCCCUUCAAGAUUGAUUGCAAAGUGAGAUCUGAAGGCGGAAAGUGCAACGAAGUAAAAGAGUAAGGUUGAAAUUAUGGUGUGGAGUAGACCCGGGGGCCAUAGUGUUCACUAGAGGCUUCUCUCAAAAUAGAAAAUAGUACGAUGGGUGAACAAAUUACUGUCGAGCAAUUGAUAGAACCGAGCAAAGUCAUGACAAGGCAAUGAUCAUACAUAUAGGCAUCACGUCCGAGACAAGUAGACCGAUAGUUUCUGCAUCUACUACUAUUACUCCACACAUCGACCGUUAUCCAGCAUGUAUCUAGUGUAUUGAGUUCAUGACGAACAAAGUAACGCCUUAAGCAAGAUGACAUGAUGUAGAGGGAUAAACUCAAACCAAUGAUGAAAACCCCAUCUUUUUACCCUUGAUGGCAAGAACACGAUGCGUGCCUUGCUACCCCGUCUGUCACUUUGUGAGGUCACCGCUCGGUAUGAACCGAAAACCAAGCACUUCUCCCAUUGCAAGAAUCAUAGAUCUAUUUGGCCAAACAAAACCCACAACUCGAAGAGAAUUACAAGGAUAUGAAAUCAUGCAUAUAAGAGAUGAGAAGAAACUCAAAUAAGAUUCAUAGAUAAUCUGAUCAUAAAUCCACAAUUCAUCAGAUCUCGACAAACACACCGCAAAAGAAGAUUACAUGGGAUAGAUCUUCAUGAAGACCAUGGAGAACUUUGUAUUGAAGAUCCAAGAGAGAGAAGAAGCCAUCUAGCUACUAGCUAUGGACCCGUAGGUCUAUGGUGAACUACUCACGCAUCAUCGGAGAGGUCAUGGUGUUGAUGAAGAAGCCCUCCGUAUCCGAAUCCCCCUCCGGCAGGGCACCAGAAAGUGCCCCAGAUGGGAUCUUGCGGAGACAGAAGCUUGCGGCGGCGAAAAAGUACUUUCGAUGGUCUCUUGAUUUUUUUAGAAUUUAUGGGAAUAUAUAGGCGAAAGACCAAGGGCAUGGGAGGCCCAGGGAGCCAACAAGCCUGGGAGGUACGGGCCCCCUGGCCGCGGCUAGGGGGCUUGUGGGGGUACCUGGAGACCCCCUGCCUUGGUUCUCAAGCUUCCCGAACUUCUUCUGUUUCGGAAAAAAUCUUUUUGGAGUUUCGUUCCGUUUGGACUCCGUUUAAAAUCCUCCUGUGAAAAGGGUCAAAAACAUGGAAAAAACAGGAACACGCACUUGGCACUGAGUUAAUAAGUAAGUCCCAAAAAAGAUAUAAAAGGCAUACAAAACAUCCAAAGUUUGACAAGAUAAUAGCAUGAAACCAUCAAAAAUUAUAGAUACUUUGGAGACAUAUCAGUCUCCUCUGAUCUCUUAUAUGCAUGAUUUCUUAUCCUUGUAAUUCUCUUCGAGUUGUGGGUUUCGUUUAACCAACUUGAUCUAUAAUUCUUGCAAUGGGAGAAGUGCUUGGUUUUGAGUUCAUACCGUGCGGUGACCUCACCCAGCGACAGAAGGGGUAGCGAGGCACGUAUCGUGUUGUUGCCAUCAAGGGUAAAGAUGGGGUUUAUAUCUAUUGCAUGAAUUUAUCCCUCUACAUCAUGUCAUCUUGCUUAAGGCGUUAUUCCGCUUUUCAUGAACUUAGUACACUAGAUGCAUGCUGGAUAGCGGUCGAUGUGUGGAGUAAUAGUAGUAGAUGCAGAAAGUAUCGGUCUACUUGUCUCGAACGUGAUGCCUAUAUGCAUGAUCAUUGCCUUAGAUAUCAUCAUGACUUUGCGCGGUUAAAUCAAUUGCUUGACAGUAAUUCGUUCACCCACCGUAAUAUUUGCUAUCAUUGGAGAAGCCUCUAGUGAACACUAUGGCCCCCGGGUCUACUUCACAUCAUAUUUUCAGCCUUACACUUUUACUUUGUUGCACUUUCCGCCUUCAGAUCUCACCUUGCAAUCAAUCUUGAAGGUAUUGACAACCCCUUUGUAGCGUUGGGUGCAAGUUUGCUGUUUUUGCGCAGGUACUUUGGAGACUUUCCUUGAUACUCCUACUGGAUUGAUACCUUGGUUCUCAAACUGAGGGAAAUACUUACUGCUACUGUGCUGCAUCACCCUUUCCUCUUCAAGGGAAAAACCAACGCAAACUCAAGAGGUAGCAAGACCCUGCGGGUUCGAGAACUAUGUAGACAUGACCGAGACACUCUCUGGUCAGUAACCAAUAGUGAGACCUGGAUGCCCAUAUUGGUUUCUACAUAUUUUACGAAGAUCUUUAUUGAUUGAACUUCUAUAUCAAGGAUUUAGAUAAUCCCGUAUGCUAUUCCCUUUGUCCAUCGGUAUGUUACUUGCCCAGGAUUGAUUGUCGGUAUCUGCAUACCUAGUUCAAUCUCGUUACCGGCAAGUCUCUUUACUCGUUCCGUAAUACAAGAUCAUGUGGCUAACUCUUUAGUCACAUUGCUUGCAAGCUUGUUGUGAUGUUGUAUUACCGAGUGGGCCCCGAGAUACCUCUCCAUCAGAUGGAGUGACAAAUCCUUGUCUUGAUCCAUGCCAACCCAACAAACACCCUCGGAGAUACCAGUAGAGCAUCUUUAUAGUCACCCAGUUAUGUUGCGACGUUUCAUACACACAAGGUAUUCCUCCAGUUUCAUUGAGUUGCAUGAUCUCCUGGUCAUAGGAACAAAUACUUGACAUGCAAAAAAUAAUAGCAAUAAACUGAUGCGAUCAUAUGGUACGUGUUGGAAAUAUGCCCUAGAGGCAAUAUACUAAAUUUCUUAUUAUUAUAUUUCCUUGUUCAUGAUAAUCGUUUAUUAUCCAUGCUAGAAUUGUAUUGAUUGGAAGCUCAAAUACAUGUGUGGAUACGUAGACAACACACUGUCCCUAAUGAGCCUUUAAGUACUAGCUCGUUGAUCGAAGAUGGUCAAGGAUUCCUGACCAUAGACACGAGUUAUCAUUUGAUAAGAGGAUCACAUCAUUAGGAGAAUGAUGUGAUGGACAAGAUACAAACUAUAAACUUAACAUACGAUCGUGUUAGUUUAUUGCUACUGUUUUCUGCAUGUCAACUAUCUGUUUCUAUGACCAUGAGAUCAUGCAACUAUCAGGCACCGGAGGAAUGCCUUGUGUGUAUCAAACGUAACAACGUAAUUGGGUGACUAUAAAAGUGCUCUAAUGGUAUCUCUGAAGGUGUAUGUUGGGUUGGCAUGAAUUGAGACUUUGAUUUGUCACUCCGUAUGACGAAGAGGUAUCUCUAGAGCCUACUCGGUAAUGAAAAAUCACAAUGAGCUUGCAAGUAAUGUGACUAAAGAGUUAGUCACGGCAUCUUGUAUUACGGAAUGAGUAAAGACACUUGCCGAUAACGAGAUUGAACUAGGUAUGGAGAUACCGACGAUCGAAUCUCGGGAAAGUAACAUACCGAUGGACAAAGGGAACAAUAUACGAGAUUGAUUGAAUCCUUGACAUCGUGGUUCGACCGAUAAGGAUCUUUGUACAAUAUGUAGGAGCCAAUAUGGGCAUCCAUGUCCCGCUAUUGGUUAUUUACCAGCGAGUGUCUCAGGUCAUGUGUGCAUAGUUCUUGAACAUGCAGGACCUGCACACUUAAAGUUUGGCGACGUUUUAGUAUAGUUGAGUUAUGUAUGUUGGUGACCGAAGGUUGUUCGGAGUCCCGGAUGAGAUCCCGGACGUCACCAGGAGCUCUUGAAUGGUCCGGAUGUAAAGAUUGAUACAUGGGAAGUUCUGUGUUGGUCACUAGAGAAAGUUCGAGCGUCAUCGAUGGCGUACCGGGGGUGCCGGAAGGUUUCCGGGGGUCCACCAGCCCGGAGGGUCCACACGGGCUGUGAGGGAUGCACACCAGCCCCUGCUGGACUUGGUGCACAUCCCCGCCUAAGGCCCAUGUGGCUGGGCUGGUGGAGGGCCAACCCUAUAGGGGCGCGCCACCCUAACUUGGGGGGGGGGGGGGGGGGCCAACCCUAUAGGGGGGGGCCCCCCAAAGUGGGGGGGGGGGGGGGCAAGCCACCCCUAGGGCAGAUGCCCCUUCCUCCUUUGGCCGCUGCCCCUCCCUCCUUUGGCCGCCGCCCCCUAGGGUUGAAUCCCUAGGGCGGAGCCCCUCUCCCCUUCCCCCUAUAUAUAUAGAUGGGGAGAGAGAGGGCUCCAACACACCAAGGCCACGACGCAGCCCUGUCUCUCCCACAUAUCAGUUUUCUCCUCUAGAUUGGUUCCGGUAUUGCUUGGCGAAGCCUUGUCGGAGCAGCUCCACCAACACCGCCACCAUGCCGUCGUGCUGACGGAGAACUCAUCUACCUCUCCACCCUCUCGCUUCCAGGAUCAAGGAGCCGGAGAUCGUCAUCGAGCUGUAUGUGUGCUGAACGCGGAGGUGCCGUUCGUUUGGCACUAGAUCUAAAUGGAUCGUGAUGGGAUUGUCGAACGGAUCAUGAUGGGAUCGUGGGACGAAUCGUGAUUGGAUCUCGGGACGGAUUGUGAUUGGAUCACAAAGACGUUCGACUAUAACAACCGCGUUAUAUACACUUCCGCUUAGCGAUCUACAAGGGUAUGUAGAUGCACUCCCCCUCUCGUAGAUGAUAGUCUGCAUAUAUUGAUCUUGGUGAGUGUAGGGAAUUUUUUGUUUCCCAUGAAAUGUUCCCCAACACUACGUUCAUAGUUUCGGUAUUGUCCAUCACAUUAUUCUCCUAAUGAUGUCAUCCCGUUAUUAAAUGACAACUCAUGUCUAUGGCCAGGAAACCUUUAGAUGCUCACCUGGGACAGUGUGUUGUCUACGUAUCCACACAAGUAUUUGAGUUUCCAAUCAAUACAAUUCUAGCAUGGAUAAUAAACGUUUAUCAUGAACAAAGAAAUAUAAUAAUAACCAUUUUAUUAUUGCCUCUAGGGCAUAUUUCCAACAGUUACUUGCAAACUAGCAGGUGGUUGAUGCUUUCAUUUAUGAUUCUUGCUACCUACAAAAACUCAAACUAAUCAAUUGCAAUCUCCACUAAUGAAUUUUACAUAUCAAAUUUUAAAUCUGUGGCUGGGACUGAUGCCUCAACUACUUUACAAAUAUUCUCCCACUACUAUCUUGUCGAAUAUAAAGUAGGGUUGCAAUACUUCCCAAUGAGGAUACUGUCGUGGGAUGAUUUCGACACUAAGAGAGAGGGGUAGGGAUGGAGCUAGAUCUAGCAGGGUGCCAGUGUGAGAUAAGGAGGUUUUAUCAGUUCAGACCCCUCUCGGAAGAGCUAAUGACCCGCGGUGGGAGCUUUUCUUUCUCUUUGUGUUUUGGUGAUUACAAAUGAUGCGAACCCCUGUUACAAAAGUAGGGAGCCGCUUAUAUAGAGUGCACUAUGUCCCAUGACAAUUGCCAUUACAAGGGUUUAAAUAUGUCUAAUUAUUAAAUCGAGUAAAAAAGGUAACUGAAAGAUGUCUAAUUAUUAGAUCGACUACAAAAGGUAACUGAAGCAAUAAAGGUAGUAAUACUAGUUCUAUUAAAGUCCAUGAGGCUCAUGUGCAUUCUCCGCUUGUUCUACAUCAUGCCUCCGAGUAAUUCGUGUAUUUUAACACUGAUGAACUCCGUCCAAAUGACCUGGUGUACUUGACCCGCCCGGGUGUGUUGGUAUCGUCCGAGUGAUUUUUCACGUCAACUGUGUUUGGUAGGUGAUCAUCUUGCUUUACGAUUCCCAUGGAUUGUAGUUUGUUCAGUGCUGAUGAGCCUACCAUUAGUAGCUGACCUCAUAGACAUCAGACUAUUAUGACCCCCUAUACUAUCAGAGUGCGACCAUUAUGUGUAACUCGGUGUUUAACCGCAUGUGUAUCCAUGUAUUAGGAGCCAGGUGGAUGGGCACAUCAUCAGAUAGUGCGUAGUGAUUCAUGUGGCUACAAACAGAAUAAAUCAAAAUUAAUGGGAGCCUUUACAACCACACCUACUUUUUUUUUCUGUUGUGCCUUGACAGGUGGGACCUGAUUGUCAUACAGAGUAUACUUUGCAAGUGAGCCUUUCCCAUCAUUGUAAGUGAGCCUCACACCGUGCUGGCAUACCUAGACAUCAACAUAUACGCAUCUGAACGUUGUUGAAACCAUAUUUGAACAAAGAGUGCCAAGUAUUUGAAUCAGUUCGACGUUUUUUUCUAAGUUCAGACACGAAAGUGGACAUGGAUGGCAAGUUCAAGCACCACUGGUGCAAUUACCUCAAUGCAAAUAUUUAAGGGGUAAUUUUCGGGAGCAGUAACUUUCCGGAAAUAAAAUAAAUAAAAACUAGUGGGUGGCUUAGAUGAAAAACUACGGUAGAUGAGGAGAGAGGCGCAGGUGGUAAUCUAACGAUGGAUAUAUUUGCCCAUGCAGCAGCAUUCAGACGCAAUGCAUUGGAGGGCCACCCCUCUUCCGCUGAUCCAGAGGGAUAAGACAUCCUUCAACAAGCAAACGACGACCACCCCUUCGCAAUCUUGUUGGAAAGGAGCGGCGCUGCGCAUACGGUGAUAUAUACUGGGGCGGCAUGAGGGGGCCUCAAGUCAAGUGUAGCCUGCCAAGCUAGCUAUCGGCUCCCGACCUAGCAAUUUACGUACCACCAUGGCCCCAGCCGUGAUGGCUUCUUCAGCCACCACCGUCGCCCCCUUCCAGGGGCUCAAGUCCACCGCGGGCCUCCCCGUCAGCCGCCGCUCCGGCAGCGCCGGCCUCAGCAGCGUCAGCAAUGGCGGAAGGAUCAGAUGCAUGCAGGUAUGGAAACCAAUUAUUAUUUUUGCCAAGGAUGGUAUGGUCAAGGUGCAUCUUCGCACAAUCAUAUAUUUAUAAAUGUAGCGACUUUGUUUGUUUGGAUGGUGGCUUUGAAUUGGUCUUUGUAUUUAUUUUGUUAGAUUUACUGAAUAAACAUAAUAAAAAUGAUAAUCUGCAUUGCUUGAUGCAGAUGCCGCCGGUGUUAUCCUCCUUUUUGAUUUUCUUUUCUAAAGGAUGACAAACACUAAGCUAACAUGAAUGUUCUUGUCGGGACAAUUGGUUAAUUUAUCGGGUAUUUCCACUGCACAUAGCCAAAGCUAUCCUUAGCAUGUGUAACCCAUAUACCAGGCCAAAACUAAACCAAGAUAGUGCACCACAAUGUAUGUAGAAGCACGUUCACAAGUGUAAGAAUACUUAACUCAUAAACUUUGUGAACAGAUUUUUUUUUUUUGCAAUGGGUACUAGAUCCCUUCGUCUCAAAAUAAAUGUCGUAAAUCAAUAACUAAACUAGUACAAAUUUUAUACUAAGUCAGUGACAUUUAUUUUGAGACGGAGGGAGUACUAUUUUAAUUCCCGUACACUACCCAUAAGCAAGAGCUGCCCUGGAGCUUUCUUGCUUGCGGACAUACCAUAAGGAGUAAUUUUUGCCUUAUGGCUAUGUCUUUCUUUAGGCACUAAGUGUUGAUCAGUUGUGUUCAUUCCAAUCAUUCAGGUGUGGCCCAUUGAGGGCAUCAAGAAGUUCGAGACCCUGUCUUACUUGCCACCCCUCUCCACGGAGGCCCUCCUGAAGCAGGUCGACUACCUGAUCCGCUCCAAGUGGGUGCCCUGCCUCGAGUUCAGCAAGGUUGGCUUCGUCUUCCGUGAGCACAACAGCUCCCCUGGAUAUUACGACGGCCGAUACUGGACAAUGUGGAAGCUGCCUAUGUUUGGGUGCACCGACGCCACACAGGUGCUCAACGAGGUGGAAGAGGUCAAGAAGGAGUACCCUGACGCCUACGUCCGCAUCAUCGGCUUUGACAACCUGCGGCAGGUGCAGUGCGUCAGCUUCAUCGCCUUCAGGCCACCGGGUUGCGAGGAGUCCGGCAAGGCAUAAAGUGCAAGUUGAAGUAACCGAUAUACAUGCUAUGUUAGUUCACAUUGGUUGGUCGGCAGCUCUGCUUUCUCAAUUUUACUUCUCGUUCCAAUCAUAUGUGAAUAUACGAGCAUAUGUAUUUAAGCACCUACCAACGUAGGCCGAGAAGGAUGCAUAUGAGAAUCAUAGCACCGGCUAUACAUACUUUGUUUGCAGCUGGAAAUGCCUAUGUCUUGCAUUCUUUUCUUCUCAUGCAUUUUUUGCUCAAUCAUAUGUUGCGUAUUAUCUAAUGCAAAAAUUGUUAUGGAAUACCAAAGUACUUCGAAUUUCUGUGGAGAAACAGAUAACAAGUGGUGAGAACCCCCUGAAAACUAGUGGCAAAACAGUAGGGAAUUGACGAGAAACAUACAAUAACAAAAAACUAAAAACGAAAUUAAAAAACUACAAAAAAGUACAAACAAAGGUGUCAAAACAAGACAAGGACAAACCUACCGUACUGCACUUGUCAUGUGAGCCAUAUUCCAGCGUCGAUUCAUCAAUAACAUGCCACUUUUCCUAACCAUUUUACACCACAAUUAGAUAUUUUUUGUAGUAUUCACUAGUAGAAAAUGACCCAUUUGUCCCGGUUCCAGAUGCCCAUUAGCCCCGGUUCUGAAACCGGGACUAAAGGGUCCAUACUAAAGGCCCAAAUCUUUAGUCCCGGUUGGCUUACGAACCAGGCCCAAAGGAGCUCCAAGUGGCCGCUGCGGGGAGCCCAGGCAGGAGGAACUUUAGUUCCGGUUGGUCACACCAACCGAGAUCAAAUGGCAUCCACGCGUCAGCAUCUGGACGGAGCUGGAUUUUUUUUAAUUGGGGGGGGGGGGUUUGGGGUUUUUGAUGGUUUAAUUUAGUGGUUUCGUAUUCUGAUAGCUAGCUAAUAGAGAGAAGUGUCCUCUCUUUCUCCGUGCUUGGUCGACGCUAGCUACUGUACAUAUAGAAAGAACUUAACGCUAGCUAAUAAGAAAAUGAAGGAAACCAUUUACAAUCCCUAACAUCUUUUACAAUAUAACAUCUUUUACAAUCCCUAACAUCUUUUACAAUAUAACAUCUUUUACAAUCCCUAACAUCAUCUACCUAAGAUCUAAUCACAAAUAACUCACAUAGUAUUCUCCAUCUUUAGGUAUGACGUGGUCAAGAAAGAAUCCCGCGAAUUCCUCGUGAAUUGCUCGUAUGCGAUCAUGUGUUAGGAGUUCAUCCCGCAUCUGCGAGAUCUAAUUUAAAGAAGGGGGUCAAUACAUGCAUAUAUAUGAAUAAAACUCAACACAAUUGAUGGUAAUAUAAAAAAUAAAAUUGUGAAUAUUAUUUACGUAUUUGAUAUUGUUUCUCAGAUAAGCCCCCGCUCAGAGGUCGAGAGGCGAAUGAGCUCGCAUACGUAAUCUGCACAUAAUUCAGUCCCACUUUCCUGGUACAAGCAGUUUACGAGAAUAGAGUUCAAUCAAAGUGGUAAGCAAGCAUGGUAAUGAUAUAUUGAUGAAAAAUUGAAUCAAUUAGAGAUACGCGGAACUAGCUAGUACUACUUACUUUGGGGUGCGUAAAUUGCAACUCUUUGUUUAGACCGGGAGUCUUUUUGGUGAACUUCUUCCAAACCCUGCGAGACAAAGAAAAUGAUUACUUGAUAUCAGGAAAUUAACGAAAGUUGCAUGCCGAUAUGCUCCCGGUAUUGACUGAACUUACUUCUUGAGCAUUGCAGUCAUGUCCGUAUAAUACUCGGGAUCUUUACGUCUCGAGUCUAAGGCAGUUCCUUUUGCCCCGUCAAGCUUAAUGGAUAGUAGAAUAUAGUGGUAACUGCGCACACAUAUAUAACUGAUCAAAUACAUUACUUAACCUCGAGUAAGCGAAACUGAGUAUACAGAGAAGAUAACAACACUCACUUGAAGUUGUAAGGAAAGAGUAUUUCCCUUUUGUUUUGAUGUAUAAGGAACAACUUUAGCAAGUUCUUCUAGGUCUCUUUGGUUGAGUAUCGUGCCAACCAUUCAUUUACGGCAUCUGGGCUAAUGAACCCACAUCGAAGAUUCCUGCUUUUUUUAAUUCGAAGAUCUUCAAUCUGCAUAAUAUAUAUAAUGAGGACAAUUAUAUAUAUACAUGCAAUGAAUGAGCCGAGCUAGAGACUUAACUAUAGAAGUAAUACUUACAAAUAGUAGGAAGUCACGAGUUGUUUGUCUAGGGCCAGUUGAUUGUAUAACUGAAAUAACUACACAAAUUCAACAGGCAUCACUGGAGCUCCAAUGAAUUCGUGCUCUAGUUUUACUUCCAUCUAGAUAGUGUCUUUCCCAUACUCGAUGCAGGUAUUCAUGUACCACUCAUGAAAUUUGUGCAUCAUCGGUGCUAGAGGAGGAUGACCAGGUUUGACGAGAGGCUUCCCGUGCAUGUAUUUACAUCAUCCCCCAAGUAAUCACCAGGAUUGGUACCGGGCACCAUCCCGGAGGAUUAGCGACGAUAUCUCUCGACACCUUGAGCGGGGGGCACGAUAUCUUCUCGUGUUGGCCGAGUUGGGGAAUUGUUUUCCCACUUCUUCGUUUUGCUAACCUUGCAUCACUUCGAGCCGCCGGAGCAGCGGUGUAUCUCUUCUGCUUGAUAGAAGGAGGAGANNNNNNNNNNNNNNNNNNNNNNNNNNNNNNNNNNNNNNNNNNNNNNNNNNNNNNUGUACUCCUACUGCCAUAGACAUGUACUCCUCACGGCAUGAACCAGCUUAUUCUCCCCUUCACCUGUAGGGUGGUCAAGCUCGAGCUCCUCAAAUCUGUCCAUUACUUCAUCCACCAUCACAACAGCAAAGCCAUGUGGAAUCGGAAGGCAGUAAAAAAGUUUCGUUGGGUUGAGGAGGUGCAAUAGAGCCGAUAGCAGCCUUGAAAGUGAGGUUCCGACAUUUCGUCAUAAGCUCGCAAUUUUGAGCCUGUGUGAUAGUAUCCACGGGGUAGCUAGGAGCCGUGAAGUCAGGCUGAACGAGCUCCGUGGAAGCCACGCUUCUUCUCCGCUGAGAUGGCGGGGUAGCUUCUCGGGUAGCUCGCUGGCUCUCAAGUUCCUCUAGCUUUUGUAGUCUUGCAUUGAUCUUCUGCAUGUCGCUCAGCUCCGCUUUCCUCUUUCUCUCUCGGCUUCUGUAACCGCCUGCGUUGGGAAACCCAACCUUCCACGGAACGGAGCCUGGUGUUCCUCGUGUCCGUCCAGGGUGCUCAACAUUCCCUAGGGCCUCAGUCAUCUCGUCCUUCUCUCUGUCGGGAAUGAACGUCCCUUCCUGCGCUGCGGUGAUACAAUUCGGAAGCGUCUUGAUGGGUAUUGCAAAUUGCUCGUUCGUUCAACGGCACUUCCCUGUUUCAGGGUCCAAAGUUCCCCCAACCGCGAAGAACAAAGUCCUUGAAUGGUCUGGCUAGCUAAAUGUCUGUGGUUCGACCCUUUUAGCAAUCAUGUCAUUCUCAGCUUUGUCCCACAACGGAUGGGCUUUGAGGUAGCCACCUGACCCCGUGUGAUGGUGAUGCUGCUUCUUUGCAGCAUUGUUCUUGUUUGUCUCUCGCAUUUUCUUACUCUUGUCCGAUGUCUUGUAGGCCACAAAUGCGGGCUAGUGAUCUCUCAUCUUCUCAAAUCGGCCGAUGAACUCUGGAGUCUUCCCUUUGUUGGCAAACUUUGAUUUCAACUCAUUCUUCCACCUCCUGAAUAGAUCUGCCAUCUUCUUAAGAGCACACGCUUUGACCAGUGGCUCUAUAACUGGCUUAUUCGGAUCCUCCUCUGGCGGUAGGGUGAAAUUUUGCCUUCAGCACGGUCCAAAGAUCAUCUUUCUGCCUAUUGGUGACAUAAUCACCUUCAGGGACGUCGUCACCCUUAGGCUUAUUCCAUUGCUUGAUGCUGAUCGGGAUGUUGUCCCUAACAAUAGCUCCGCAUUCAGUAGAAAAGGCGUCCUUGGUCCGCUUGGGUAGAAUCGGUAGGCCAUCGUUCGCGAGUGUUGUGAUCGUGAAAUUUUCAUCCUUGCGCAACCUUCUCUUCGGGCCUCGUCUCGUAACCGAAGCUUGGCUCGAUGCUAACGUUGCAACAGCUCUCUACUCUGUUCGGUCACCGGAGCUAUCAUCAUGGUAUCCUUCUUCCUCCAACAUUCGGUCACCGGAGACAUCAUGAUCAUGUCCUCCCUCCUCCAUUGUUCGUUCACUGGAGCCGUCAUCCUCUCCUUCCAAACCAUCGAUGGCGUUGAGAUACCAAGAGACCUCAUCACCGUCGCGGAUUAUCUCACCCAACAACUACUCUUGUUCCAAGUUACUUGGAUCCAUAGUUUCUACAAAUAUUACAACAUGGCAAUUAAUAGACAAACAUGAAUGUCCGACGUCCGGACCGCCUCUCUCAUGAAUUUCAAACAACGGAUUCUAUACAAAAAACUUUCUACUAUAAACAAAAAACUUUCUUCUAUGAACAAAAAACCGUGUCUCAUCACUACUUGGAGGGGUGUGUUUAGUUCAUCCAUAAAAGAAUCUUCACAAGUCAUAAAUGUAUGAUCAUAAACUAGAAACAUCUAUCAUGAUAUUUGUAUACAUAAACAAAUGUACAUAGUGAGUAUUAGAAAAUGUACAAAAAUGCAUAGUGAAUAUUUGAAAAUGUACUCGGGGGCGACGACGACAGUGAUGGGCUCGGGGUGACGACGGGCUUGGGACGACGGCGAUGGGCUGGGAGGUGCUGAGACGUCUCCGUCGUAUCUAUAAUUUUUGAUUGUUUCAUGCCAAUAUUCUACAACUUUCAUAUACUUUUGGCAAUUUUUUAUACUAUUUUUGGAACUAACAUAUUGAUCCUGUGCCCAGUGCCAGUUCCUGUUUGUUGCAUGUUUUUUGUUUCGCAGAAUAUCCAUACCAAACGAAGUCCAAACGCAAUAAAAAACCGAAGGUGAUUUUUUAUGGAAUAUUUAUGAUUUUUGGGAAGAAGAAUCAACGCGAAACGAUGCCCGAGGGGGUCACAAGCCCAGGAGGCGCCCCCCUAGCACGCGGAUGGCAAGCUUGUGACCAAUCCCUAAGGCGGUUGGGGCCCUUCAUUCUCCGCAAGAAAGCUAAUAUCCGGAAUAAAAUAGUGUAAAAAUUUCAGCCCAAUCGGAGUUAUGGAUCUCCGAGAAUUUAAGAAACGGUGAAAGGUAGAAUCUGGGAGCGCAGAAACAGAAGGACAGAGAGAGAGGUAUCCAAUCUCGGAGGGGCUCUUGCCCCUCCGCUGCCACGGAGACCAUGGACCAGAGGGGAAACCCUUAUCCCAUCUAGAAAGGAGGUCAAGGAAGAAGAAGAAGGGGGGCUCUCUCCCCCUCUCUCCCGGCGGCGCCGGAACGCUGCCCGAGACAUCAUCGUCUGACGGAGAUCUACACUAACACCUCCGUCAUCUUCACCAACACCUCCAUCUCCUUCCCCCAUCUAUAUUCAGCGGUCCACUCUCCCGCAACCCUCUGUACCCUCUACUUGAACAGGGUGCUUUAUGCUUCAUAUUAUUAUCCGAUGAUGUGUUGCCAUCCUGUGAUGUCUGAGUAGAUUUUCAUUGUCCUAUCGGUGAUUGAUGAAUUGCUAUGAUUGGUUUAAUUUGUUUGUGGUUAUGUUGCUGUCCUUUGGUGCCCAUCAUAUGAGCGCGCACGUGGAUCACACCAUAGGGUUAGUAGUAUGUUGAUAGGACUAUGUAUUGGAGGGCAAGGGUGACAGAAGCUUCAUCCUAGCAUCGAAAUUGAUGCAUACGGGAUUGAAGGGGGAACAAUAUAUUUUAUUGCUAUGGUUGGGUUUUACCUUAAUGAACGUUAGUAGUUGCGGAUGCUUGCUAAUAGUUCCAAUCAUAAGUGCAUAGAAUUCCAAGUAAGGGAUGACAUGCUAGCAGUGGCCUCUCCCACAUAAAACUUGCUAUCGGUCUAGUAACGUAGUCAAUUGCUUAGGGACAAUUCCGCAACUCCUACCACCAAUUUUCCACACUUGUUAAACUAACGUAAUUGUUUCUUAGCAGCCCCUAGUCUUUAUUUACGUGUUCUUUCUUUUCUUGCAAACCUAUCCUAUCACUCCUACAAAGUACUUCUAGUUUCAUACUUGUUCUAGGUAAAGCGAACGUAAAGUGUGCGUAGAGUUGUAUCGGUGGUCGAUAGAACUUGAGCGAAUAUUGAUCCUACCUUUAGCUCCUCGUUGGGUUCGACACUCUUACUUAUCGAGAAAGGCUACAAUUGAUCCCCUAUACUUGUGGGUUAUCAAGACCUUUUUCUGGCGCCGUUGCCGGGAAGCAAUAGCUGUUGGAAAUAUGCCCUAGACACUACAGGAAUCAGCUUCUUUGCCGUCUGCCAUCACAGACGGCAAAGACGAAAUCCCGGACGGCAAAGACAAAACCACAGACGGCAAAGAAUCUCACGGCCGGCAAAAUUUCUGCAUCAGCCUACGACGGCAUAGGACCUUCUUUGCCGUCUGUCCCCCCCCCAAAGCGGACGGCAAAGAGCUUUGCCGUCAGCUUUUCAUAGGAGCAGUCGGCAAAGUGCUCGAGACGGCAGCCGACAGGCAUUGCCUCCAUUAGGGGUUAACGGAGGCUUUGCCGUCUGCCUCCCCCUUAUUCUUUGUCGUCUGCCUCCCCCUUAUUCUUUGCCGUCUGCCUCCUCCUCCCCCCUCCUCUCUUUGCCGUCUGCCUCCUCCUCCCCCCCUCCUGUGUGGCCUCUUCUUUGCCGUCUGCCCACCCUGGAGGCAGACGUCAAAGAGCCUAUAUAGACACCCCACGAUGCAUAGCUGGGUGCCAUGUGGCACCUUUGCCAUCUGCCAGCUGAUGGCACAGGUCUUUGCCAUCAGCUGGCAGACGAUAAAGAGCCCAUAUAGUACCUGUUUUUUUGUUUUAUNNNNNNNNNNNNNNNNNNNNNNNNNNNNNNNNNNNNNNNNNNNNNNNNNNNNNNNNNNNNNNNNNNNNNNNNNNNNNNNNNNNNNNNNNNNNNNNNNNNNUGAUGAGCUCAAUGUGACUAAGGAGUUAGUCACACGAUGACGUGCUACGGAACGAGUAAAGAGACUUACCGGUAACGAGAUUGAACAAGGUAUAGGUAUACCGACGAUCGAAUCUCGGGCAAGUUCUAUACCGACAGACAAAGGGAAUUGUAUACGGGAUUGAUUGAAUCCUUGACAUCGUGGUUCAUCCGAUGAGAUCAUCGUGGAGCAAGUGGCAGCCACCAUGGGUAUCCAGACCCCGCUGAUGGUUAUUGGCCGGAGAGGUGUCUCGGUCAUGUCUACCUGUCUCCCGAACUCGUAGGGUCUACACACAUAAGGUUCGAUGACGCUAGGGUUAUAGGGAAUUAUUAUACGAGGUUACCAAAAGUUGUUCGGAGUCCCGGAUGAGAUCCCGGACGUCACGAGGAGCUCCGGAGGUAAAGAUUGAUAUAUAGGAUGGAUGGUUUUGCACAUCGGAAAUGUUUCAGGAGUCACCGGUAAUGUACCGGGACCACCGGGACGACCGGAAAUGGUCCCGGGGGUCCACCGGGAGGGGCCACCAGCCCCAAGAGGUAGCAUGGGCCAAAAGAGGGAGGGCAACCAGCCCAAAGUGGGCUGGUGCACCUCCCACAAGGAGGCCCAAGGCGCAGGAGGUGGAGAGGGGGGAACCCUAGGCGCUGGUGGGCCUAAGGCCCACCUAGGGGUGCGCCACCUCUCCCCCUGCCCUGGCCACCGCACCUCCCAUCUGGGGGGGCUGCCGCACCACCUAGGGUGGGAACCCUAGGGGUGGCACCCCCUUCCCCUCCUCCUAUAUAUAGUGGGGGUUUUGGGGCUGUUUGACACACAGUUUCCCAUCUCCCUCGGUGCAGCCCUGCCCCCCUUCCUCCUCCUCUCCCACGGUGCUUGGCGAAGCCCUGCCGGGAGACCUCGUCUCUCCAUCGACACCACGCCGUCGUGCUGCCGGAGAUGUCACCCAACCUCUCCCUCCUCCUUGCUGGAUCAAGGUGCGGGAGACCUCACUGGGCUGCACAUGUGUUGAACGCGGAGGUGUCGUGGUUCAGCACUAGAUCGGAAUCAGACCGCAAUCUGAAUCGCCGCGAGUACGACUCCAUCAACCGCGUUCUAGCAACGCUUCCGCUUAGCGAUCUUCGAAUGAAUGAAGAUGCACUCACUCCUCUCUCGUUGCUGGUCUCUCCAUAGGAAGAUCUGAAUAUGUGUAGGAAUUUUUUUGAAUUUAUGCUACGUUACCCAACAAUAGCGUGGGGUGAAUAUUCGUGUGUGCUUGUUUGCUUUAUCACUAAGUAGAUUUAUUUGCUGUUCUAAGUUGUUCUCUAUCGUUAGUUAUGGAUAUGAAACACGAAAUGCCAAAAAAAUUAGGUGUACUUGCUACUCAUGGAGAUGGGGAACCUCCUAAAACCCUCGAUGCUCGUUGUGUGGAUAAUAUUAUGCAGUUCUUUAAUAAUCCUGAGAAAACCAUAUUAAAUUAUAUAAUGGGCUACACGUUCGAUCAACGUGAAUACUUUAGGUAUUAUCGCUUGACUCAAAAAGGGAAACUAUUAUGUGAUCAAAUUCAUAUGCUGAAAUGGUAUGCUUGGGAGCUAUGCUCGAGAUAUGAUAUUACUUGUUGCUCUACGAUGAAGGCUCAACACCUUCCCUUUUCUUAUAAAUUUAAUGCUAAUGAAACCUUGGCUUCUUAUGCUAAUGGUAUAUAUGAUUACUAUGAUGUGGAGCAAAUAGAAGAGUUUCUUUCUUUUAUGGGUGCUUAUGAAAUUGAAGCUCUGUUUAAAAGGUGUGAUGAUAAUGAUGAUCCUGCUUACCGAUCUGAAAAUUUGGUUAUGCUUCGUUAUUGUUAUACUCAUUAUGAAUACUGGUCGUCAACCCGUGCAUUUGCACGGGCUAGAUUAAUAACCUACAAUGGGAUGAAACUUCUGAGACUAUCUUUCAUUCAUUGGGGGUAAAGACAUAUCCUAAAUUUCUAUUGGAAAAAUUAUUCAAGUGUCAUCAUAGUUCAAAUUUAAUGCUUCAAAUAAUAGAAUGUCAAAGGACGCAUAUACUCAAAUAUUCUCUAUCCACAUAAAAAUUAAAUGAUUUAAUCUCCUCUAAUCUUGGUACAUAAUUCCUUCAACACAUUGGAUUUUUUUUCUUUUUGAAUUGUUCAUUCACUUGACAUCUAUUACCAUCAGUCUCUAGAGUAAUUUAGAAGUUUACUUUAGAUAUAUGAUGAAAGAGCCUCACAGAAUAAACAACAAAAAAAUUAGGUCUUUUUAAAGAGAUGACGAAUACAGACACACAUGAGAGAACAUUUUCUAUUACUUUUGUUCUUGUUCCAUAAUUUUAUCAUAAAAGAACAAAAUCCUAGUCUCCAACUGAUAUAAUCAUGCAUUGAAAAAAUAGUCAUUGGGUUGAGCAUCUGUUAGAUGUUUCGAUGGUUGCUCUUUUGUGCAUCCCCUUGGCUUCCAUCAUAUCCUAACGUACUGAUCUAAACAUAUUCAAUUUUAUUAUAUUAGUAAUUUCCUAAAAAUAAUAAAAUACUAAUAAUACGUUAACAUAUAUGGGCUGUUUGAAUGGCAGCUGAUGCCCACCUUACCAAAAUACGGGGUUGACCACCAGCGUGGGUGUCUUUUGGUUGUCAACUAAAUUUUUUAACCUACGCCAAAAGAAUUGUCGCUACUUCAUUUCCUGCACCAAUGGGCUGUUCGUAGCGGCGAAUUUUAUGGCCAGUUUUUCGGCUCAGGCGCGAUUCGGCGUGGCUGGCCUAGGCACCAUCAAAAUGACCGGCCUAUAGACAAAAGUAAACUGUCUGUCUCUAUUUUUAAUUCACAUGAACUUUGACUAAUAUGGUAUAUACAAAAUAUUAUUUGAAUGCAUAUUUUAUUUAGCUAAAUACUGAUACAAUGUUUUAUUUAAUAAAACACUGAUAAAAUAUCGUAUUUACCGAGAUACUCCUUUAAUAUUUAACUAAAAUUGUAUUUAUCAAACCGAACAAACUGACACACAUGCCUCAUUAUCCAUUAUCUACCGUGAGUAGGUGGUUCCUACAAACUAACAUGCAUAUUAUUCCUACAUAUUACUUUGCCGAGUUGUCAUUUUCAAAACUCAACAAUUGCUAUUUAAAUGUUUGUCGAGUACCUGAUAAUAUGAACUUCGCAAAGUUGAUGGUUGUUGACCUCCGUCUAGCCGAGUGAUGUUUGCCGAGAACAGAAAUCGACAAACACAAUGCAUAGUUGUUUCUAGCUAGGACUUGCUAAGUGUGUUGGAAACUCACCGAAUUCGGCGAUUCCGGUCGUGAAAUGGCAUUAACAAAAAACCUUAUCACCAUCACGUCCCAAAAAUGAACUGUGUAAAAAUAAGUAGCUAUAUUUUUUAAUGAAGAUUGUUCUUAUAUACGUGUUUAGUUUUCUUGAUUGUAUGUAAUAUCGACCUUUAUACCAUGCAUGCAUGGUACACUUGAAUUCGGUUUCAUUUAGUCGGUGUAAGCUUUAUUCAUACAUGUACAUAGGUUUGGUCUACUUUGCAAUUAUCUGAUUAUGCCGCAAAAUCUCGAACAAAACAUGUUUAACAUAUUUGUCCUCUCAAAACCAAACAUGCGUUUAUCGUAUUUUUAAGAAAUAUUAAUUUACAAAAGGUAUAGUUCAUGGACUAAUGUCACAUGUAAUUUUUACUCAUUAACAAUGAAAAUUGAGUAUCCUAGCAACCAGAAAAGCAGUUUGAGCGAAGUAGUCAACUGUAACCUCUAAUGCAUUAGGCAAUGUAAAGUCUUGGCAGUCCUGGUGAGAUAUAUAAUUCAUGCAUCGGCCUAUUUCGCAAGGCGGGGUUGCCAUAGUUCCGCUGUAAUUCACUCUUGUUCAUCCAGAAAAGGUUAAUUAGAAUACCUUCAGUGUCACAAUCUGAUGCCUUUUGUCGAUAAGAUAAAAAAAUGUGUAGAUGCAAAGUGUAUUACAUGGAACACGAACAUUUUUUUCUUGCGUAUAAUAACCUGUGCCAAACAAUGUGCUACCCUGGAAAACAAUUGAUUGAUCCUCCUUCACAGAAAUUACAUAGAACAUAGAGAACAUACCUUAUUAAAAUUGAAUCCCUGUAGAAAAUAUAAUAUGUUUGGAACCUGAAAAAAAGUCGAGUCAGGUGAAAUUCUUAUAACACCCAUGAAAUCAGGCCCAAUAUCGAAUGCGAUAACAAAAUGCACAUAUAGGAUAAGCCGUCAAAAGCACAGUCCGAGUAUAAGAGGUCAUAAAAACAAACUGGAUUAAAAUGUAUAUUUUUUACUCUGCAUGCCCCAAACAGACAAUGAUCUAAUCAACCGAAUUGUAUAUUUUACUACAUGUCAGAGAUUAAGAAAAAGGGAGAGGGUCAAGGGAUAUUGGUGGUAUAAAAUAUGAGAAACUGAGACAAAAAGACAGCUGAUAUGUGCACUAAAAAUGUGAAACUUGUUUAAUUGAGUGAAUCUCCAUGCCCCCAAACAGGUAAAUAUCAUAGAGAGAUACAUGUUAAAAAUUCAUUACAAUUAAAUACACCAAAAAAUAUAUUAUACUACCCCAGAUCAAAACCAAACCAUUUGCUUAAUGGUUAGCUUAUCACCUCGUCAUUGGCUGCGAUGGUGCCACGGCCAAGAAGAGCUUACCAUAUGUACCCCGGCUAGAUAGGUUAGACAAUGCUAGAUUUCACACGCUGCAUGGAGAGAGAAGCAUUGUAUUAACCCAAUCCAAUGGCUGGCAGGGCGAUGUUUGAUAUAUUAUCCAGUGCAUAGUGAAAGGUCCUGCACUGGACCUCAUCACCCAAUUUUAUAUAGCGCGUGGAGGCAGCCAAUUAUAUAAUCAGCUCAUGAUGUUCAUCAUGUACAUGCAAAUCUCGCUUUCCUAUUUGCCGGUGGAUAUAACUUGCCGCGAUCUCUUCGUCAGCUGCAACACACACAGAGAGAGGGACAUGCUGAUGCCUAAUUGCAUCAGAAGGAAGAUACCAAGGCCAACGUGCCAUGGUGCAGAUAGAUUUAGAUGUGAUUUGCGGCUGGAUCUAACACGCCGUCGAUGAAAGGAAAGACAUGUUACUCUAACAUGCCUAUAUGCCCUUCCACCUAUGAUUGGCACCAGAUCGCCAUGAAAGAGGCGAUGAAGGCUUAGACCAACAACUCUUCGUUAGGGAUUAACUAAAGGCGAUUUCUUGAGAUAACGAUCUUGUUGGUAGGAAAAUAGAUGACGGCUUUUUUUUUGUUUUGGAAGAGGUCAAUCUGGUAGUCCUUCCACGGCAAGAGUCUAAUGGAAAUAAUUUAUGGUUUUAGAUUUUAUCUAUGAAUAAUUGAGGCUUACUUAACGUGGAGACUUGAGAAUGUCUUUGUUACGUGUAGGCUGGGUCAGGUUGGUAGUUUUUCCCACGGCAAUACUCUAGAGGCCGACCAGUUUUUUUAGUUAUUUUACUGCAAGAGCAAAAGAAAUAAUAUAUAUGUUUUUGCCUGGGACUAAUUAACAUGCGCGAUUGAAAAUAUCAGUUACGUGUAGGCUGGGUCAGUCAGGUAGGCUACUUUUUUCUACCGCAGUAGUAACAUAAAAUUAAAUGGUCUAGAAAAAUACUGACUUAGGAUGUUAUGAUUGGAUCUGCACCGUAAUAAUUCGGUCCCACAAGAUGAACGGCUCGUAAAAUCUAAUUAACGUGAGAAUUUUUAAGGAGUCUCUAAUUAGUAUAAGUAUAGAUAAUGCCCAUAUUUAUCGAUUUAUGGAGAAAUUCUACGAUGCCCAAGAAGAGACUAAUAUUUUGCAGGAAACUAUGGAAGAAGAAAAUGCUGAUACUGUGAGCUCAUUAGAUGAAAAAGAUGACGAGGAGAGCGAAGAACAAAAGGAGGAAGAGCGGACUAGCUACCCGUGCCCACCUUCUAAUAAGAAUAACUCUUCAACUCAUACAUUGUUUAAUUUCCCUUCGAAGGAUGAAUGCUAUGUUUAUUGCUAUGAUCCCUUGGAUUUGUUUGAAAUAUCCCUUUUUGAUGAACUUGAUGCUAGCUAUGAUUAUGGCCAUGAUGCCAAUAUGAAUGAUGCUUAUGAAGAUGAACUUGCUAUAGUUCCUUAUGUUAAACAUGAAAUUGUUGCUAUCGCACCCACUUAUGAUAGUCCUAUUAUCUUUUUGAACUCUCCCAACUACACUAUAUCGGAGAAGUUUGCUCUUAUUAGGGAUUACAUAGAUGGGUUGCCUUCUACUAUUACACAUGAUGAUUUUUAUGAAUAUAAUAUGGAUAUGCUUGCUGCUCCUACUUGCAAUUAUUAUGACAGAGGAACUACAUCUCCACCUCUCUAUGUUUCCAAAACAAUAAAUAGCAAGAAACUGCUUAUGCUAUGUAUUGGCCUUUACUUGAUGUGCAUGAAUUGUUCUUUUAUGACAUGCCAAUGCAUAGGAAGAGAGUCAGACUUCGUCAUUGCAUGAUAUAUGUUACCUUCUGCUCACUACUAAAUUACAAAUCAUUGUCAAUUGAAAUUGGCUUUGAUAUACCUUGGGAUCCGGGUGGAUCCAUUACUUGAGCACUUUAUGCCUAGCUUAAUGGCUUUAAAGAAAGCGCUGCCUGGGAGACAACCCGGAAGUUUUAGAGAGUCAUUUAUUUCUGUUGAGUGCUUUUAUAUAGUUUAAAAACAAAAAAAAUAUAGAGGGGAGCUUAAAACUUUUUCAAAAAGAGAAGCGAUUGAAAGGUGAUGCAUUGUGGAAGUGAGGGUCGACCUUGAACACUUGUGUUCAUGCUCAUGGAAACAAUGUAGAAUUCUUCAUGGAAGUUUCUCGCACAAAUAAUUAUGCCUUUGUAAAUUUCCAUUGUAUUAUAAAAAUAAUGUGCCAAGUAAAGCCUUUAUGAUUAGUUUGGGUGAUAGUUGUUUGAUCAUGCUGAAAAAGACAGAAACUUUGUGCUCACAAAAUUAUUUUUAAUACCUAUCCACAAAGAGAUUUUGAGUUGAUUCUUUUUGCUGUUGAUUGAUAUGAAAAUUGCCCUAAUUUUCAUAAUUUUUCAGAAUUUUUGGAGUAUCAUAAGUAUGGCAUACGUUCAGAUUACUACAGACUGUUCUGUUUUUGACAGAUUCUGUUUUCUAUGCAUUGCUCUCUUAUUUUGAUGAAUCUAUGGGUAGUAUCGGGGGGUAUGAACCAUGGUGAAGUUGGAUUACAGUAGAUAUAAUUCUAAUAUGAAUUUGAAAUGAGUACACAACAGUACUUAAAGUGGUGAUUUACUUUAUUAUACUAACGGAUCUCACGAAGGUUUUGUUGAGUUUUGUGUGAUUGAAGUUUUCAAGUUUUGGGUGACACCACGAUGGAUGAAGGAAUAAGGAGAGGCAAGAGCCUAAGCUUGGGGAUGCCCGAGCAUCUAAGCUUGGGGAUGCCCCGGAAGGAAUCCCCUCUUUCGUCUACAAUCUAUCGGUAAUUUUACUCGGAGCUAUAUUUUUAUUCGUCACAUGAUAUGUGCAAAUGCUUGGAGCGUCUUUUGUGUUUAUUUUUCCUUUUUCUUUUAUGCACCAUGCUGGUAUGAGAUAGUCCUUGGUUGAUUUAUAGAAUGCUCUUUGCACUUCACUUAUAUCUUUCGAGUAUGGAUUUAUAGAAUGCUUAUGUGCUUCACUUAUAUCAUUUGAAGUUUGGAUUGCCUGUUUCCCUACACAUAGAAAACCGCCAUUUGUAGAAUGCUCUUUUGCUUCACUUAUAUUUUUUAGAGCGGGGCCUAUAUUUUGUAGAAAGAAUUAAAAUCUCAUGCUUCACUUAUACCUAUUUAGAGAGUUAACAGGAGUUGGUCAUUCACAUGGUUAGUCAUAAAAUCCUACAUAAACUUGUAGAUCACUGAAUAUGAUAUGUUUGAUUCCUUGCAAUAGUUUUGCGACAUGAAGAUGUGAUAUUAGAGUGAUGCUAGUGAAUAAUUGUGUAUUCAUAGAAAUACUUGUGUUAAGGUUUGUGAUUCCUGUAGCAUGCAGGUAUGGUGAACCGUUAUGUGACGAGGUCGGAGCAUGAUUUAUUUAUUGAUUGUCAUCCUUUGUGUGGAGGUCGGGACCGCGCGAUGGUUAACUCCUACCAACCCUUCCCCUAGGAGCAUGCGUGUAGUACCUUGUUUCGAUGACUAAUAGACUUUUGCAAUAAGUAUGUGAGUUCUUUAUGACUAAUGUUGAGUUCAUGGAUUAUACGCAAUCUCACCCUUCCACCAUUGCUAGCCUCUCUAGUACCGCGCAACUUUCGCCGGUGCAUUACACCCACCAUAUACCCUUCCUCAAAACAGCCACCAUACCUACCUAUUAUGGCAUUUCCAUAGCCAUUCUUAGAUAUAUUUCCAUGCAACUUCCAUCGUUCCAUUUAUUAUGACACGCACCAUCAUUGUCAUAUUGCUUUGCAUGAUCGUAAGAUAGCUAGCAUGAUGUUUUCAUGGCUUGUCCGUUUUUUGAUGUCAUUGCUACGCUAGAUCAUUGCACAUCCCGGUACACCGCCGGAGGCAUUCAUAUAGAGUCAUAUUUUGUUCUAAAUAUCGAGUUGUAAGUAAAUAAAAGUGUGAUGAUCAUCAUUAUUAGAGCAUUGUCCCAUGUGAGGAAGUAAAAAGAGGCCAAAGAAGCCCACCAAAAAAAGAGAAAAAAAAUAAAAAAAUGAGAGAAAAGAGAGAAGGGACAAUGCUACUAUCCUUUACCACACUUGUGCUUCAAAGUAGCACCAUGAUCUUCAUGAUAGAGAUUCUCCUAUGUUGUCACUUUCAAAUACUAGUGAGAAAUUUUCAUUAUAGUACUUGGCUUGUAUAUUCCAAUGAUGGGCUUCCUAAAAUUGCCCUAGGUCUUCGUGAGCAAGCGAGUUGGAUGCACACCCACUAGUUUCAUUUUGAACUUUCAUACACUUCUAGCUCUUGUGCAUCUGUUGCAUGGCAAUCCCUACUCACUCACAUUGAUAUCUAUUGAUGGGCAUCUCCAUAGCCCGUUGAUAUGCCUAGUUGAUGUGAGACUAUCUCCUCCUUUUUGUCUUCCCCACAGCCACCAUAUUCUAUUCCAACUACAAUGCUAUGUCCAUGGCUCACGCUCAUGUAUUGCGUGAAAGUUGAAAAAGGUUUGAGAACACUAAAGUAUGAAACAAUUGCUUGGCUAAAACCGGGGUUGUGCAUGAUUUAAAUACGUUGUGUGGGGAAGAUGGAGCAUAACCAGACUUUAUGAUUUUGUAGGGAUAACUUUCUUUGACCACGAUAUUUUGAGAAGACAUGAUUCCUUUGUUAGUAUGCUUGAAAUAUUAUUAUCUUUAUGUCAAAUGGUAGGCUAUUGCUUCGAAUCACUCGUGUUUUAGUAUUCAUGCCAUGAUUAGAUUAUAUAAUCAACAUUAUGCUAGGUAGCAUUCCACAUCAAAAAUUAUCUUUUUUAUCAUUUACCUACUCUGUUGGGGAACGUCGCAUGGGAAACAAAAAUUUUCCUACGCGCACGAAGACCUAUCAUGGUGAUGUCCAUCUACGAGAGGGGAUGAGUGAUCUACGAACCCUUGUAGAUCGUAUAGCAGAAGCGUUAGUGAACGCGGUUGAUGUAGUGGAACGUCCUCACGUCCCUCGAUCCGCCCCGCGAACAAUCCCGCGAUCAGUCCCACGAUCUAGUACCGAACGGACGACACCUCCGCGUUCAGCACACGUACAGCUCGACGAUGAUCUCGGCCUUCUUGGUCCAGCAAGAGAGACGGAGAGGUAGAAGAGUUCUCCGGCAGCGUGACGGCGCUCCGGAGGUUGGUGAUGACCUUGUCUCAGCAGGGCUCCGCCCGAGCUCCGCAGAAACGCGAUCUAGAGGAAAAACCGUGGAGGUAUGUGGUCGGGCUGCCGUGGAAAAGUCGUCUCAAAUCAGCCCUAAAACCUCCGUAUAUAUAGGUGGGAGGGAGGGGACCUUGCCUUGGGGCUCAAGGAGCCCCAAGGGGGUCGGCCGAGUCCAAGGGGGGAGGACUCCCCCCCCCCCAAACCGAGUUGGACUUGGUUUGGUGGGAGGGAGUCCCCCUUCCUUCCCACCUCCUCCUUUUUUUUUCCUUUCUCUUGAUUUUCUCUUCUUGGCGCAUAGAGCCCUUUUGGGCUGUCCCACCAGCCCACUAAGGGCUGGUGUGCCACCCUCAAGGCCUAUGGGCUUCCCCGGGGUGGGUUGCCCCCCCCCCCCCGGUGAACUCCCGGAACCCAUUCGUCAUUCCCGGUACAUUCCCGGUAACUCCGAAAACCUUUCGGUAAUCAAAUGAGGUCAUCCUAUAUAUCAAUCUUCGUUUCCGGACUAUUCCGGAAACCCUCGUGACGUCCGUGAUCUCAUCUGGGACUCCGGACAACAUUCGGUAACCAACCAUAUAACUCAAAUACGCAUAAAAUAACGUCGAAUCUUAAGUGUGCAGACCCUGCGGGUUCGAGAACUAUGUAGACAUGACCCGAGAGACUCCUCGGUCAAUAUCCAAUAGCGGGACCUGGAUGCCCAUAUUGGAUCCUACAUAUUCUACGAAGAUCUUAUCGUUUGAACCUCAGUGCCAAGGAUUCAUAUAAUCCCGUAUGUCAUUCCCUUUGUCCUUCGGUAUGUUACUUGCCCGAGAUUCGAUCGUCAGUAUCCGCAUACCUAUUUCAAUCUCGUUUACCGGCAAGUCUCUUUACUCGUUCCGUAAUACAAGAUCCCGCAACUUACACUAAGUUACAUUGCUUGCAAGGCUUGUGUGUGAUGUUGUAUUACCGAGUGGGCCCCGAGAUACCUCUCCGUCACACGGAGUGACAAAUCCCAGUCUUGAUCCAUACUAACUCAACUAACACCUUCGGAGAUACCUGUAGAGCAUCUUUAUAGUCACCCAGUUACGUUGCGACGUUUGAUACACACAAAGCAUUCCUCCGGUGUCAGUGAGUUAUAUGAUCUCAUGGUCAUAGGAAUAAAUACUUGACACGCAGAAAACAGUAGCAACAAAAUGACACGAUCAACAUGCUACGUCUAUUAAUUUGGGUCUAGUCCAUCACGUGAUUCUCCUAAUGACGUGAUCCAGUUAUCAAGCAACAACACCUUGUUCAUAAUCNUUAGUAUCCGUAUACCUAUUUCAAUCUCGUUUACCGGUAAGUCUCUUUACUCGUUCCGUAAUACAAGAUCCCGCAACUUACACUAAGUUACAUUGCUUGCAAGGCUUGUGUGUGAUGUUGUAUUACCGAGUGGGCCCCGAGAUACCUCUCCGUCACACGGAGUGACAAAUCCCAGUCUUGAUCCAUACUAACUCAACUAACACCUUCGGAGAUACCUGUAGAGCAUCUUUAUAGUCACCCAGUUACGUUGCGACGUUUGAUACACACAAAGCAUUCCUCCGGUGUUAGUGAGUUAUAUGAUCUCAUGGUCAUAGGAAUAAAUACUUGACACGCAGAAAACAGUAGCAACAAAAAUGACACGAUCAACAUGCUACGUCUAUUAGUUUGGGUCUAGUCCAUCACAUGAUUCUCCUAAUGACGUGAUCCAGUUGUCAAGCAACAACACCUUGUUCAUAAUCAGAAGACACUGACUAUCUUUGAUCAACUGGCUAGCCAACUAGAGGCUUGCUAGGGACGGUGUUUUGUCUAUGUAUCCACACAUGUAAAUGAGUCUUCAUUCAAUACAAUUAUAGCAUGGAUAAUAAACGAUUAUCUUGAUACAGGAAUUAUAAUAAUAACUAUAUUUAUUAUUGCCUCUAGGGCAUAAUUCCAACAGUCUCCCACUUGCACUAGAGUCAAUAAUCUAGCCCUCACAUCAUCAUGUGAAUUACAUUGUAAUAAAUCUAACACCCAUACAGUUCUGGUGUUGAUCAUGCUUUGGCCGUGGAAGAGGUUUAGUCAGCGGGUCUGCUACAUUCAGAUCCGUGUGCACUUUGCAUAUAUUCAUGUCCUCUCCCUCGACGUAGUCGCGGAUGAGGUUGAAGCGUCGUUUGAUGUGUCUGGUCUUCUUGUGAAACCGUGAUUCCUUUGCUAAGGCAAUGGCACCAGUGUUGUCACAGAACAAGGUUAUUGGAUUCAGUGCGCUUGGCACCACUCCAAGAUCCGUCAUGAACUGCUUCAUCCAGACACCCUCCUUAGCCGCCUCCGAGGCAGCCAUGUACUCCGCUUCACAUGUAGAAUCUGCUACGACGCUUUGCUUGGAACUGCACCAGCUUACUGCACCCCCAUUAAGAAUAAAUACGUAUCCGGUUUGCGACUUAGAGUCGUCCGGAUCUGUGUCAAAGCUUGCAUCGACGUAACCUUUUACGGCGAGCUCUUCGUCACCUCCAUACACGAGAAACAUCUCCUUAGUCCUUUUCAGGUACUUCAGGAUAUUCUUGACCGCUGUCCAGUGAUCCACUCCUGGAUUACUCUGGAACCUACCUGCCAUACUUAUGGCCAGGCUAACAUCCGGUCUAGUGCACAGCAUCGCAUACAUGAUAGAACCUAUGGCUGAAGCAUAGGGGACGGAGCGCAUAUGCUCUCUAUCUUCAUCAGUUGCUGGGCACUGAGUCUUACUCAAUCUCGUACCUUGUAGAACUGGCAAGAACCCUUUCUUGGACUGUUCCAUUUUGAACCUCUUCAAAACUUUAUCAAGGUAUGUGCUUUGUGAAAGUCCUAUCAGGCGUUUUGAUCUAUCCCUAUAGAUCUUAAUGCCUAGAAUGUAAGCAGCUUCUCCUAGGUCCUUCAUAGAGAAACUUUUAUUCAAGUAAUCCUUUAUGCUCUCUAAAAACUCUACGUUGUUUCCAAUCAGUAAUAUGUCAUCCACAUAUAAUAUUAGAAACGCCACAGAGCUCCCACUCACUUUCUUGUAAAUACAAGAUUCUCCAACCACUUGUAUAAACCCAAAUGCUUUGAUCACCUCAUCAAAGCGUUUGUUCCAACUCCGAGAUGCUUGCACCAGUCCAUAAAUGGAUCGCUGGAGCUUGCACACCUUGUUAGCAUUCUUAGGAUCGACAAAACCUUCGGGUUGUAUCAUAUACAACUCUUCCUUAAGGAAACCGUGAAGGAACGCCGUUUUGACAUCCAUCUGCCAGAUUUCAUAAUCGAAAAAUGCAGCUAUUGCUAACAUGAUUCUGACGGACUUAAGCAUCGCUACGGGUGAGAAAUUCUCAUCGUAGUCAACUCCUUGAACUUGUGAAAAACCCUUUGCCACAAGUCGAGCUUUAUAAACGGUCACAUUACCGUCAGCGUCCGUCUUCCUCUUAAAAAUCCAUUUGUUCUGAAUGGCCUUGCGGCCCUCAGGCAGUACCUCCAAAGUCCACACUUUGUUCUCAUACAUGGAUCCUAUCUCGGACUUCAUGGCUUCCAGCCAUUUGUUGGAAUCUGGGCCCACCAUUGAUUCUUCAUAAUUCGCAGGUUCAUUGUUGUCUAACAACAUGAUUGAUAAGACGGGAUUACCGUACCACUCUGGAGCAGCACGUGGUCUCGUCGACCUGCGUGGUUCGACAGAAACUUGAACUGGAGUUUCAUGAUCAUCAUCAUUAACUUCCUCCUCAACCGGUGUCGCAAUGACAGAGGUUUCCCCUUGCCGUGCGCCACCAUCCAGAGGGAUGAGAGGUUCGACAACCUCGUCAAGUUCUAUCUUCCUCCCACUCAAUUCUCUUGAGAGAAACUCCUUCUCGAGAAAAGCUCCGUUUUUAGCAACAAACACUUUGCCCUCGGAUUUGAGAUAGAAGGUGUACCCAACUGUCUCUUUUGGGUAACCUAUGAAGACGCACUUUUCCGCUUUGGGUUCCAGCUUUUCAGGCUGAAGCUUUUUGACAUAAGCAUCACAUCCCCAAACUUUAAGAAACGACAACUUUGGCCUUUUGCCAUACCACAGUUCGUAUGGUGUCGUCUCAACGGAUUUUGAUGGUGCCCUAUUUAAAGUGAAUGCAGCUGUUUCUAAUGCAUAGCCCCAAAAUGAUAACGGCAAAUCAGUAAGAGACAUCAUAGAUCGCACCAUCUCUAAUAGAGUACGAUUACGACGUUCGGACACACCAUUACGCUGUGGUGUUCCAGGCGGUGUUAACUGUGAAACAAUUCCACAUUGUCUUAAGUGAGCACCAAACUCGAAACUCAGAUAUUCACCCCCACGAUCAGACCGUAGGAACUUCAUCUUCUUGUUACGAUGAUUUUCCACUUCACUCUGAAAUUGCUUGAACUUUUCAAAUGUUUAGGACUUGUGCUUCAUCAAGUAGACAUAACCAUAUCUACUUUAAUCUUCAGUGAAGGUGAGAAAAUAACGAUAUCCGCCGCGUGCCUCCACGCUCAUCGGACCACACACAUCGGUAUGUAUGAUUUCCAACAAGUCACUUGCACGCUCCAUUGUUCCUGAGAAUGGAGUCUUAGUCAUCUUGCCCAUGAGGCAUGGUUCGCACGUGUCAAGUGAAUCAAAGUCAAGUGACUCCAAAAGUCCAUCAACAUGGAGUUUCUUCAUGCGCUUUACACCAAUAUGACCUAAGCGGCAGUGCCACAAAAAUAUGGCGCUAUCAUUGUUAACUCUAACUCUUUUGGUCUCAAUGUUAUGUAUAUGCGUAUCGCUAUCAAGAUUCAAUAUGAACAAUCCUCUCACAUUCGGUGCAUGACCAUAAAAGAUGUUACUCAUAGAAAUAGAACAACCAUUAUUCUCUGACUUAAAAGAGUAACCGUCUCGCAAUAAACAAGAUCCAGAUAUAAUGUUCAUGCUCAACGCAGGCACUAAAUAACAAUGAUUUAAGUUCAUCACUAAUCCUGACGGUAACUGAAGUGACACUGUGCCGACGGCGAUUGCAUCAACCUUGGAACCAUUUCCUACGCGCAUCGUCACUUCAUCUUUCGCCAGCCUUCGCCUAUUCCACAGUUCCUGUUUCGAGUUGCAAAUAUGAGCAACAGAACCGGUAUCGAAUACCCAGGCACUACUACGAGAGCCGGUUAAGUACACAUCAAUAACAUGUAUAUCAAAUAUACCUGAUUUUUCUUUGCCCGCCUUCUUAUCUGCCAGAUACUUGGGGCAAUUGCGCUUCCAAUGACCCAUACCCUUGCAAUAGUAACACUCCGUUUCCGGCUUAGGUCCAGCUUUGGGUUUCUUCGUCGGAUUGGCAACAGGCUUGCCGCUCUUCUUCGAAUUUCCCUUCUUGCCUUUGCUGUUUCUCUUGAAACUAGUGGUCUUAUUCACCAUCAACACUUGAUGCUCUUUACGGAGUUCAGACUCUGCGACUUUCAGCAUCGCAAACAACUCGCCGGGAGACUUGUUCAUCCCUUGCAUGUUGUAGUUCAACACAAAGCCUUUAUAGCUUGGUGGCAGUGAUUGAAGGAUUCUGUCAGUGAUAGCUUCUUGCGGGAGUUCAAUCCCCAGCUCAGCUAGAUGGUUUGAGUACCCAGACAUUUUGAGCACAUGUUCACUGACAGAUGAGUUUUCCUCCAUCUUGCAAGCAUAGAAUUUAUCGGAGGUCUCAUACCUCUCGAUCCGGGCGUUCUUCUGAAAGAUAAAUUCCAACUCCUGGAACAUCUCAAAUGCUCCAUGACGCUCAAAGCGACGUUGAAGUCCCGGUUCUAAGCCAUACAAGACUGCACAUUGAACUAUUGAGUAGUCCUCCUUACGUGCUAACCAAGCGUUCUUAACAUCUUGAUCAGCCGUAGCGGGUGGUUCAUCUCCUAACGCAGCAUUAAGGACAUAAUCCUUCUUCCCAGCUUGUAAGAUUAGCUUAAGAUUACGAGCCCAGUCUACAAAGUUGCUUCCAUCAUCUUUCAACUUAGCUUUCUCUAGGAACGUAUUAAAAUUCAGGAUGACUGUCGCGUGAGCCAUGAUCUACAACACAAAUAUUUCAAAGUGGACUUAGACUAUGUUUAAGAUAAUUAGAGUUCAACUUAAUCAAAUUAUUCACUAAACUCCCACUCAAAAAGUACAUCUCUCUAGUCAUUUGAGUGGUUCAUGAUCCACUUACACUAGCUCAAGUCCGAUCUUCACGUGAGUUGAGUAUAGUUUCAGUGGUAAGCAUCCCUAUGCUAAUCAUAUCAUCUAUAUGAUUCAUGAUCGACCUUUCGGUCUCAUGUGUUCCGAGGCCAUGUCUGCACAUGCUAGGCUCGUCAAGCUUAACCCGAGUAUUCCGCGUGCGCAACUGUUUUGCACCCGUUGUAUGUGAACGUUGAGUCUAUCACACCCGAUCAUCACGUGGUGUCUCGAAACGACGAACUGUAGCAACGGUGCACAGCCGGGGAGAACACAAUUUCGUAUUGAAAUUUUAGUGAGAGAUCACCUCAUAAUGCUACCGACGUUUUAAGCAAAAUAAGGUGCAUAAAAGGAUUAACAUCACAUGCAAUUCAUAAGUGACAUGAUAUGGCAAUCAUCACGUGCUUCUUGAUCUCCAUCACCAAAGCACCGGCACGAUCUUCUUGUCACCGGCGCCACACCAUGAUCUCCAUCAACGUGUUGCCAUCGGGGUUGUCGUGCUACUCAUGCUAUUACUACUAAAGCUACAUCCUAGCAAAAUAGUAAACGCAUCUGCAAGCACACACGUUAGUAUAAAGACAACCCUAUGGCUCCUGCCGGUUGCCGUACCAUCGACGUGCAAGUCGAUAUUUCUAUUACAACAUGAUCAUCUCAUACAUCCAAUAUAUCACAUCACAUCAUUGGCCAUACCACAUCACAAGCAUACCCUGCAAAAACAAGUUAGACGUCCUCUAAUUUUGUUGUUGCAUGUUUUACGUGGUGACCAUGGGUAUCUAGUAGGAUCGCAUCUUACUUACGCAAACACCACAACGGAGAUAUAUGAGUUGCUAUUUAACCUCAUCCAAGGACCUCCUCGGUCAAAUCCGAUUCAACUAAAGUUGGAGAAACCGACACUUGCCAGUCAUCUUUGAGCAACGGAGUUACUCGUAACGAUGAAACCAGUCUGUCGUAAGCGUACGAGUAAUGUCGGUCCAAGCCGCUUCAAUCCAACAAUACCGCGGAAUCAAGAAAAGACUAAGGAGGGCAGCAAAACGCACAUCACCGCCCACAAAAACUUUUGUGUUAUACUCGAGAAGACAUCUACGCAUGAACCUAGCUCAUGAUGCCACUGUUGCGGAACGUCGCAUGGGAAACAAAAAUUUUCCUACGCGCACAAAGACCUAUCAUGGUGAUGUCCAUCUACGAGAGGGGAUGAGUGAUCUACGUACCCUUGUAGAUCAUAUAGCAGAAGCGUUAGUGAACGCGGUUGAUGUAGUGGAACGUCCUGAUGUCCCUCGAUCCGCCCCGCGAACAAUCCCGCGAUCAGUCCCACGAUCUAGUACCGAACGGACGGCACCUCCGCGUUCAGCACACGUACAGCUCGACGAUGAUCUCGGCCUUCUUGAUCCAGCAAGAGAGACGGAGAGGUAGAAGAUUUCUCCGGCAGCGUGACGGCGCUCCGGAGGUUGGUGAUGACCUUGUCUCAGCAGGGCUCCGCCCGAGCUCCGGAGAAACGCGAUCUAGAGGAAAAACCGUGGAGGUAUGUGGUCGGGCUGCCGUGGAAAAGUCGUCUCAAAUCAGCCCUAAAACCUCCGUAUAUAUAGGUGGGAGGGAGGGGACCUUGCCUUGGGGCUCAAGGAGCCCCAAGGGGGUCGGCCGAGUCCAAGGGGGGAGGACUCCCCCCCCCCAAACCGAGUUGGACUUGGUUUGGUGGGAGGGAGUCCCCCUUCCUUCCCACCUCCUCCUUUUUUUUCCUUUCUCUUGAUUUUCUCUUCUUGGCGCAUAGAGCCCUUUUGGGCUGUCCCACCAACCCACUAAGGGCUGGUGUGCCACCCUCAAGGCCUAUGGGCUUCCCCGGGGUGGGUUGCCCCCCCCCNNNNNNNNNNNNNNNNNNNNNNNNNNNNNNNNNNNNNNNNNNNNNNNNNNNNNNNNNNNNNNNNNNNNNNNNNNNNNNNNNNNNNNNNNNNNNNNNNNNNNNNNNNNNNNNNNNNNNNNNNNNNNNNNNNNNNNNNNNNNNNNNNNNNNNNNNNNNNNNNNNNNNNNNNNNNNNNNNNNNNNNNNNNNNNNNNNNNNNNNNNNNNNNNNNNNNNNNNNNNNNNNNNNNNNNNNNNNNNNNNNNNNNNNNNNNNNNNNNNNNNNNNGGUAAGUCUCUUUACUCGUUCCGUAAUACAAGAUCCCGCAACUUACACUAAGUUACAUUGCUUGCAAGGCUUGUGUGUGAUGUUGUAUUACCGAGUGGGCCCCGAGAUACCUCUCCGUCACACGGAGUGACAAAUCCCAGUCUUGAUCCAUACUAACUCAACUAACACCUUCGGAGAUACCUGUAGAGCAUCUUUAUAGUCACCCAGUUAUGUUGCGACGUUUGAUACACACAAAGCAUUCCUCCGGUGUCAGUGAGUUAUAUGAUCUCAUGGUCAUAGGAAUAAAUACUUGACACGCAGAAAACAGUAGCAACAAAAAUGACACGAUCAACAUGCUACCUCUAUUAGUUUGGGUCUAGUCCAUCACCUGAUUCUCCUAAUGACGUGAUCCAGUUCUCAAGCAACAACACCUUGUUCAUAAUCGGAAGACACUGACUAUCUUUGAUCAACUGGCUAGCCAACUAGAGGCUUGCUAGGGACGGUGUUUUGUCUAUGUAUGCACACAUGUAGAUGAGUCUUCAUUCAAUACAAUUAUAGCAUGGACAAUAAACGAUUAUCUUGAUACAGGAAUUAUAAUAAUAACUAUAUUUAUUAUUGCCUCUAGGGCAUAAUUCCAACAUACUCGAGGACGAGCAGAAAUUAAGCUUGGGGAUGCUGAUACGUCUCCGUCGUAUCUAUAAUUUUUGAUUGUUUCAUGCCAAUAUUCUACAACUUACAUAUACUUUUGGCAACUUUUUAUACUAUUUUUGGGACUAAAAUAUUGAUCCAGUUCCCAGUGCCAGUUCCUGUUUGUUGCAUGUUUUUUGUUUCGUAUAAUAUCCAUACCAAACGAAGUCCAAACACAAUAAAAAACCUAUGGUGAUUUUUUAUGGAAUAUUUAUGAUUUUUGGGAAGAAGAAUCAACGCAAAACGAUGCCCGAGGGGGUCACAAGCCUAGGAGGUGCCCCCUAGGGCACGGCAGGCAGGCUUGUGACCAAUCCCUAAGGCGGUUGGGGCCCUUCUUUCGCCGCAAGAAAGCUAAUAUCCGGAAGAAAAUCGUGUUAAAAUCAGCCCACUUGGAGUUAUGGAUCUCCGGGAAUUUUAAGAAACGGUGAAAGGCAGAAUCUGGGAGCGCACAAACAGAAGGACACACAGAGAGAGAUCCAAUCUCGGAGGGGCUCUCGCCCCUCCGCCGCCAUGGAGACCAUGGACCAGAGGGGAAACCCUUCUCCCAUCUAGGGAGGAGGUCAAGGAAGAAGAAGAAGGGGGGCUCCCUCCCCCUCUCUCCCGGCGGUGCCGGAACGCCGCCCGGGACAUCAUCGUGUGACAGCGAUCUACACCAACACGUCCGUCAUCUUCACCAACACCUCCUUCUCCUUCCCCCAUCUAUAUUCAGCGGUCCACUCUCCCGCAACCCGCUGUACCCUCUACUUGAACAUGGUGCUUUGUGCUUCAUAUUAUUAUCCGAUGAUGUGUUGCCAUCCUAUGAUGUCUGAGUAGAUUUUUGUUGUCCUAUCGGUUAUUGAUGAAUUGGUGUGAUUGGUUUGAUUUGCUUGUGGUUAUGUUGCUGUCCUUUGGUGCCCAUCAUAUGAGCGCGCGCGUGGAUCACACGAUAGGGUUAGUAUUAUGUUGAUAGGACUAUGUAUUGGAGGGGAAGGGUGAUAGAAGCUUCAGCCUAGCAUAGAAACUGAUGCAUGCGGGAUUGAAGGGGGCCCAAUAUAUCUUAUUGCUAUGGUUGGGUUUUAACUUAUUGAACGUUAGUAGUUGCGGAUGCUUGCUAAUAGAUCCAAUCAUAAGUGCAUAGAAUUUCAAGUAAGGGAUGACAUGCUAGCAGUGGCCUCUCCCACAUAAAACUUGCUAUCAGUCUAGUAACGUAGUCAAUUGCUUAGGGACAAUUCCGCAACUCCUACCACCACUUUUCCACACUCGUUAAACUAACGUAAUUUUUUCUUAGCAGCCCCUAGUCUUUAUUUACGUGUUCUUUCUUUUCUUGCAAACCUAUCCUAUCACUCCUACAAAGUACUUCUAGUUUCAUACUUGUUCUAGGUAAAGCGAACGUGAAGUGUGCGUAGAGUUGUAUCGGUGGUCGAUAGAACUUGAGGGAAUAUUUAUCCUACCUUUAGAUCCUCGUUGGGUUCAACACUCUUACGUAUCGAGAAAGGCUACAAUUGAUCCCCUAUACUUGUGGGUUAUCAGUGACGGCGACGGCGAUUGGCUUGGGGCGAUGGGCUCGGGGGCGACGGCAGCGGGGACGUUUAUGGCCUCGGGGGUGACGGUGAUGACGGGCUCGGGAUGACGACGACGGCGACAGGCUCGGGGGCGACGACGACGGUGACGGGCUCGGGGCGACGACGGGCUCGGCGUGACAACGGGCUCGGGGCGAUGGCGACAAUGACGAUGGGCUCGUGGAGAAGGCGCGGGCCGGCGGCGACGGGCUCGGGGCGGCAACGACGACGGUGAGGAGAGAAGAGAACGGGGCAAAUGGGAGUUGGUAGAAAUUUUGGUAAGUCCCGCCAUAUAUGCGAACACCUUUGGUCCCCGUUGGUAGCUCCAACCGACACCAAUGCCACCCUUUUGUCCCGGUUGGAGCCACCAACCGGGACUAAAGGUCAAUUUUCAGCAGUCCAAAAGGGCGGGAAGAAGAGACCUUUAGUAUCGGUUGGUGGCUCCAACCGGGACGAAAGGGUGGUAUUGGUCCCGGUUGGAGGCACCAACCGGGACCAAAGUGUGGUGUUGCCCGGGUCUAAAUUUUUAGUCCCACCUCGCUUGCCGAGAGAGCUCGCGAGUGGUUUAUAAUCGCUGCUGCGCACAAUCUGUCGAGCUCCUCUCAACUGCAAGCUUUCGGACCUAAUCUGUCACUGCCUGUGGGCCUAUUGGGCCUUGUGUGGGCCUGAAUCCUGGCCCAACCAGGAGGAUGGGUUUCUAGUCGUAUUCACGCCGUUGUGGCCUAGUAGGUGGCAUUUUUUUUAAAUCUNNNNNNNNNNNNNNNNNNUUUACUUUUUCUUGUUCCUACUUAUUGUUUUUCGUUGAUUCUUUUUUGCUUUUAGGUCACAACAUUUCUCAAAAUGCACCAUUCAAAGCCACAUCAUCAAUUUUCAACAAAUUCUGACUUCAUUUGCUAUUUUUCAUGCAUUUACUGAUAUUUUGGACUAAAUGACCCUUAAAUUGGAAAGCACUACAAAUAAACUCUAAAAAGGUUGAAAGUUGGCAUGGUAUCAUCAUUUCACCGACAUAGGAUGUGCUAAAAAGUUGAGAGGGUUGCGCAAAAACUGGAUGCACUUUGUGUACAAAAUGGACAAUCUCUUUCGAAGUAUGAGGGUUUCAUACGAAAACUCAUCUGUUACAAAGGGAUUUCAUUUUAUUGAUAUUAUUUGAACUCCAUACUUUUUGUGUGUUCAAAAUGCACCAUUCAAAGCCACAUCAUCAAUUUUCAACAAUUUUUGACUUCAUUUGGUAUUUUUCAUAAAUUUAUUGUUUUUUUGAGCUAAAUGACCCUUAAAUUGAAAAGCACUACAAAUCACCUCUGAAAAGAUUGAAAAUUGGCAUAGUAUCAUCAUUUCACCCACAAAGCAUGUGCUAAAUAGUUGAGAGGGUUAUGGCAAAAACUGGAUGCACUUCGUGUACAAAACGGAGAAUCUCUUUCGAAGUAUCACAGAUUCACAUGAAAACUCAUCUAUUACAAAGGGAUUUCAUCUUUUUGAACUUAUUUGAACUCCAGACUUUUUGUGUGUUCAAAAUGCACCAUUUAAAGCCACAUCAUCAAUUUUGAACAAUUUAUGACUGCAUUUUGUAUUUUUCAUGCAUUUACUGAUUUUUUUGAGCUACAUGACCCUUAAAUUGAAAAGCAUUACAAAUGAACUCUGAAAAGGUUAAAAGUUUGCAUGGUUUCAUCAUUUCACCCACAUAGCAUGUGAUAAUAAGUUGAGAGGGUUACGGCAAAAACAGGAUGCACUUCGUGUACAAAACGAACAAUCUCUUUCGAACUAUCAAGGUUUCAUACGAAAACUCACCUAUUACAAAGGAAUUUCAUUUUUUGAACUUAUUUGAACUCCAUACUUUUUAUGUGUUAAAAUGCACCAUUCAAAGCCACAUCAUCAAUUUUCAAAAAAUUCUGACUUCAUAUGGUAUUUUACAUGCAUUUCCUUUUUUUUUGAGCUAAAUGACCAUGAAAUUGAAAAGCACUACAAAUGAACUAUGAAAAGGUUGAAAGGUGGUAUGGUAUGAUCAUUUCACCCACAUAGCAUGUGUUAAAAAGUUGAGAGGGUUACGGCAAAAACUGGAUGCACUUCAUGUAUAAAACAUACAAUCUCUUUCGAAAUAUCACAUUUUAAAUACGAAAACUCAUCCGUUACAAAGGGAUUUUAUUUUUUUGAACUUAUUUGAACUCCGGCCUUUUUGUGUGUUCAAAAUGCACAAUUCAGAGCCACAUCAUAAAUUUUCAAUAAUUUGUGACUUCAUUUGCUAUUUUUCAUGCAUUUAUUGAUUUUUUUAGCUAAAUGACCCUUAAAUUGGAAAGCACUACAAAUGAACUUUGAAAAGGUUGAAAGUUGGCAUGGUAUCAUCAUUCCACCCCACAUAGCAUGUGAUAAAAAGUUGAGAGGGUUACGGCAAAAACUGGAUGCACUUCAUAUACAAAACAGACAAUCUCCUUCGAAGUGUCAGGGUUUCAUACGAAAACUCAUUUGUUACAAAGGGAUUUCAUUUUUUUGAAUUCAUUUGAACUCCAGACUUUUUGUGUGUUCAAAAUGAACCAUUCAAAGCCACAUCAUCAAUUUUCAACAAUUUUUGAAUUCAUUUGGUAUUUUUCAUGCAUUUACUGAUUUUUUUGAGCAAAAUGACCCUUAAAUUGAAAAGCACUACAAAUGAACUCUGAAAAGGCUGAAAGUUGACAUGGUAUCAUCAUUUCACCUACAUAGCAUGUGCUAAAAAGUUGAGAGGGUUAUGACAAAAACUGGAGAACUUCGUGUAAAAAAUGGACAAUCUCUUUCGAAGUAUCACAGUUUCAUACGAAAAUUCUUCUGUUACAAAGGAAUUUUAUUUUGUUGAACUUAUUUGAAAUCCAGACUUUUUGUGUGUUCAAAAUGCACCAUUCAAAGCCAUAUCAUAAAAUUUCAACAAUUUCUGACAUCAUUUGGUAUUUUUUAUGCAUUACUGAUUUUUUUAGCUAAAUGACCAUGAAAUUGAAAAGCACUACAAAUGAACUCUCAAAAGUUUGAAAAUUGGCUUGGUAUCAUCAUUUCACCGACAUAGCAUGUGAUUAAAAGUUGAGAGGGUUACGAGAAAAACUGGAUGCACUUGGUCUACAAAACGAACAAUCUCUUUGGAAGUAUAAGGGUUUCAUACGAAAACUCAUCUAUUACAAAAGACAUUUCAUUACUUCACUUUUUCUUUGCUUGUGUUCUUUGAUUAUUGCGCCGUAACCAUGGAUAAUCAGUACUAGGAAAAAGCCUAGUAGUAGCGCGGGUUUAGUGCCUACUAGUAGCGCGGGUAAUCGCGCUACUAGUAAGGCGCUACAGCUAUUACUUACCAGCAGCGCGUGUAAGACGCGCUACUGCUAAGACAUAUAAGUGUCGUACAAGUGCUAUUGAUAAAACAAAUAUUAGUAGCGUUCUUCUAAACCCGCGCUACUAGUAAUCUGUUUUUCAUUAUUUUUAAUAUGUAGUGUAUUUAUACGUCGUUAUAUAAAUUUUGAUAGAGUACCAAUUAAGAGGUUGUUAUAUCAUUAUGUUCAUGAAGAAUUAUUAUAUCAUUGUGAUGAAUAAACCUGGAUUUUAUUCAUCUAAAUGAAUCAAAAGUGAUCAAAAGUUGAAUUAGUAGGACGACGAUCCUAGUAAUUCAACUUUUGGUCACUUUUGAUCCAUCCACAUGAAUCUAAUCCGCUUUCCUUCCCGCAAUGACAUAAUAACCAAUCAUGAUCAUAAUAACAAAUCUUCAUGAUAAUCAUGAUCAACAUCAUCAGCAUAUUAAUAUAAAAACUCUUGCAUCAUAUCAUCACUAACAACACUAUAGCGAAUAAUCAUCAUAGUCAUUACCACCAACACUAUUUAAUCAUCAUUUUCGUCAAUGAGACGUCAUAUAACAAGUUGGUGGCUAGUCAUAAUCACAACUCCUCCUCCUCCUCAUUAUCAACUAUAACACAUUUUAGCACAUAAUAACACAUUGUACCUAGGACCUACUCCUCUCUCAUAGUACCUACUCUACCCUCUCUUAGGUAGAAUAUCACAAAACAAGAUAGGCCCGGUCUCUCCAUUAUGGAGAAUGGAGAUCAUCCUGUCUCUAACUCUUACCCUACGCACAGUAUUGCUUCCAAGUAGCUCUCUACGAUUGGCCAUGCAUUUUUUCCAAUCUUUGAUUGUCAUUUCAUCGGUUAUAGAAACCCUGUAUGGACAGGAGUGAUGCAUAUACAUAGGCUACCUGGCCGUGCUGGCCGUAAGCUCAUAAUAUCAACACGACCUCUUGGAAACAUCACAUGAGGCACACAAUCCUUCUGGAUUUUCUGUUGAAAAACAUAGUAAUAACUUUGUAGCUAGCAAUGCAGUUUAGUUUUACAAGAAUUUAUGCAAAAGAUGCACGGAUGUCGUAAUAGUAGAAAAUAUUACCAUGCAAUCUCCAUGCAUGUUACCGUAGUUCACCACGUGCACUAUUGGCACGUAUUGACCAUAAUGUGGAGGAGUUUGCUGAUAGCUAUUGUAAUUCUCAAGAUCAUUAAUAAAUGCGACAAGAUGAUUUUUGUCCUGAUAAGUUAAUUCUGCUUCAUCAUUGUAGUGGUAGGUUCUGUCUACCAUCUCCCGUACAUUUUUUGAAGAAUGAAAAUAAGUUGUAAAUGGAAGUAAGUUGUCAACAAUUUUUAAAUAAACAAUAUAAAUUACUCAAUAAAUAUGGUUGAGAAACUCACAUAAUGGUGGAACUGGAGGCGUCUGCACAUCGACCCAGAUGUCGAUAUUACCUUCAAUUUCAUCUUCCAGACGAAUAUCAAAGGUGAUAAGCAUAUUAGGCUCAAGUGCAUAAGCCUUGCAUAGUGCUACCCAAUUUUUGCACUCAAAAAAGGAGUAGGUGUCUGCAUUGUACAACUUUACGGCAAAAGUAUAAUCAUACUCGAUCCUCAAGUGAACUCUCUUUACCUCCAUAGUUUUUUAGUACUGAAACCUAUCUUAUCCAAGACAUAAAUUCUUGCAUGGCAGGGGAUACGCUAGUAGAAUAGUAAAAAAUAAAAAUUAUAAAUUGAAGCAAAAGAAGUCAUGCUUAAUUAAGAAAAAAGACUUGUCAUUGUGACUUACUGUAUCCACUUCGAAGUCCUCAUCCAGCAUGAUGUUGAAGCGCUUAUCAUCAACUAGGUGAGGCACGUCGCACAAGCCGCGCUCGUCUUGACAGUAUUCGCACAUAGUGAAUUUCCUUUCGUCUUCAGACAUUUCCUAUGUUCAUAGUUGAAACAUUUAAAAUCGACCGAAAAGGCAACUACCAGGAAACUUAUAUGAAAGAUCACUAUUAAUUCUAAAACAGAUCACUAUUACACCAAGACAUCCUCUAUAUUAAGAAUGCAUCAUCAUCGACAUCAAUGACAUGGCCACUAGCACUUGCAUUUUCAUCAUCGACAUUUACAACACAUUAUCAUCUAUAUCAACAACAUGGGCAUUGCCGGCAAAACACACGCACUAGGAGGUGCUCCGUGCAAUAACAUACACACAUCAAAUAGAUGACAUAUAACUCAUCAUCAUCUUACUCAUUUAAUAACUCAUGAAAGUCAUACAAGGAGCAACGACAAACCGAAAGAUAACCGAUAUUAUCACUAAUACAUCUCGAAUAUUAUCAUACAAUAUCACAAAUAAAAAUUCAGUUGACGUCUCACGGUGCAGGCGGUGGCAACCGAAAGAUAAGGAACCAUCACCGGAUCAUAGCUCAGGUGAUGUCCCUGGAGAACCUGCCAGGUAUUGGAGAACCUGGCAUCCAACGCAGCCAUGUAGAGACAUACAUGCUCGUCCUCCUCCCUAACACGGCGACGUAACAACUCCGUGGGGCCCGGCUCCCUCGGCACCGAUAAAGGCCCACGCGACUGCCACCAAAGAAGCUCCGGGUCAACGAUGAGACCCGGAUUCCUCACAAAGGUGCGCCCCCCGGAAGGUAGCACCUCCUAGUGCCAGCCCAACGGAGCCUAGUCCCGCACAUGCUGGCGCCUAUCAAGCAGGUGGUCUCCAUCGAGUUGACGACGAGGAUGCGGAAUGGGCAUCGUCGAUGUUAAGACAAAUUCCUCUGAGAAAAUUUUCUUAUUGUUUAAUGUUUUACUUUCUAAUUCUCAUUUAUACAAUAAUCAUCUCAUUUGAAUUCAGCUAGCGCCCACUACCAAAUAUACAAUAAUAAAACACAAUAUAUAUAUUAUGCAAAUAUUUCCGCAACAACAUUGAGGGCCUGAGAAAAUAAAAUGAAUAAUGACAUAAAAUGGCCUAUGUUUUGCAGGAACGUUGAUUCAUUCCUAGUGCGGAAAAUCCCGGACACUCGAUAUAUCGUAGUUUGUAGCACAAGUCAUGUCAAAAUUCACGAAAAAAUUCGAAUGACCUUUGUUAAAAGUGAAAAAAUUGAGCAGCUGCAAUUUGCCGGAACAAAAAUGAAUCAACAUUUCCGGCAUAACAUAGGCCGCUCGGCUUCAUUCCCUGUAAACAACAAAAGGCUCCCUCUCUCACUAAGUAUACACCUAAGUAAAUUCUAUGUUAACCUACUGCCCUAACUAACAACAUGACCUUAUGCCCUAACUAACAACAUGACCUUAUGCCCUAACUAACAACAUAACCUAAUUAACCUAUUUAACCUAGAACCCUUGAACUCUAUAACCCUAGAACAUAACGUAACUAACAUUUGCUAAUUUGUUAAUUGUACUAACCAAUUUAACCUAGAACCCUAGAACAUAACCUACCUAACAUUUGCUAAUCAGUUAAUUGUACUAACCUAUCACUAGUAGAAAACGGGCCUUUGGCCUGGACCAUUUAGUCCCGGCCUGCCUCUGGGUCGGGACUAAAGGCCCGGCCACGUCGCCCCAAUUCUCAAUGCCUCCCUCGAGGCUUUAGUCCCGGCCCGUAAGGAGCCUGUAGUCUCGGUUCGAGUCACAAAGCGGGACUAAAGGGCUACGCGGCGGGCAGUGGUGGUGGCAACCGUUCGUAUACCUCUUUAGUCCCCGUUGGUGGCUCAACCCGGGACUAAAGGACUAACACGUGGCCUGCCGUGGUGGUGGCGACCGUUGGUAUACCUCUUUAGUCCCGGUUGGUGGCUCAACCCGGGACUAAAGGACUAACACGUGGCCUAACGUAGUGGGGCGACUGUUGGCAUACCUCUUUAGUCCCGGUUGGUGGUUGAACCCGGGACUAAAAGCCUAACACGUGGCCUGCCGUAGUGGUGGCAACCAUUUGGUAUACCUCUUUAGUCCCGGUUGGUGGCUCAAACCGGGAUUAAAGGCCCAAAUGGUUUGCAUCCCGCGUCGUUUCGGGAGAUGAAAAGCACGAACCGAAGCGUACAGUCGCCAUUUCUCUGUUCUUCUUCUCUCUCACGUCGCCCUCUCUAUUCUUCUCCUCUCUCGCGUCGCCCUCUCUGUUCUUCUCCUCUCUUCUUCCCUUCUCUUGUUCCACCAUGCCAACUACCUUUCAUGAGGUGGUCGCGCAUGGGACGACCAAGCUCCGUGUCGUGUACACGAACCUGAGCACGGAGGUGCCGUUUUUCCUUCAACAGUUGAAGGAACGAUGGUUUAACCAUGCACCAGAUCAUGAGAAGUUCUUCGGGCUUGAUCUGAAGUACACGGCCGAUCAACGCGGUGUUGCCGUCAUCCAAAUAUGCUUCGCAAGCCAUGUCUUGAUCUUCCAAUGGGGGAGGUAAGUUUUGAGGCUUUCUUUGAUCCAAGAUAAUACAUUGUAUAAGUUUAUUUGUUUCUAUCAUAGUUGGUUCCCUUCAAAUAGUUGUAGUGAAACAAUUUUGAUUACUUGAAGGGGAGCACAAUCUAAUUGGAAUAGUGUUCCAUAAUCUGAAAAAUCGUAUUAGAAUAAACUAGUGUUUAAUAUGUUCCAUUGGAAUCAUAGUUGGUUCCCUUCAAAUAGUUGUAGUGAAACAAUUUUGAUUAGUUGAAGGGGAGCACAAUCUAAUUGGAAUAGUGUUCCAUAAUCUGAAAAAUCGUAUUAGAAUCAACUAGUGUUUAAUAUGUUCCAUUGGAAUCAUAGUUGGUUCCCUUGAAAUAGUUGUAGUGAAACAAUUUUGAUUACUUGAAGGGGAGCACAAUCUGAUUGGAAUAAUCUUCCAUAAUCUGAAAAAUCGUAUUAGAAUCAACUAGUGUUUAAUAUGUUCCAUUGGAAUCAUAGUUGGUUCCCUUCAAAUAGUUGUAGUGAAACAAUUUUGAUUAGUUGAAGGGGAACACAAUCUGAUUGGAAUAGUGUUUCAUAAUCUGAAAAAUCGUAUUAGAAUGAACUAGUGUUUAAUAUGUUCCACUGGAAUCAUAGUUGGUUCGCUUCAAAUAGUUGUAGUGAAACAAUUUUGAUUAGUUGAAGGGGAACACAAUCUGAUUGGAAUAGUGUUCCAUAAUCUAAAAAAUCGUAUUAGAAUGAACUAGUGUUUAAUAUGUUCCAUUGGAACCAUAGUUGGUUCGCUUCAAAUAGUUGUAGUGAUCUCUCUAGGUUCCAUUGCAUAUGUUCUAUUUGAAUCCAAAAGAUAAGUUUCUCUUUAGUUGUAGUGAAACAUGUUUCCUUAUUGCAGCAGUAUGUAACAUUUGUUCCAUUCUAAUUUGUUUCUGUUGCAGGAGUGACAAGCAUUGUCCUGGACUCAUGGAGUUCCUUCGCAGCGGCGUCACUUUUGCUUCCGUUGACAUAUGGAACGACAGGCUGAAGAUGAGGCACAACUUCGGUAUUGAGAUACGAGCUGGUUGCCUCGUUGAUCUCCAAACGAUAUUCAGGCUUCGACAUGAGAGGACUUCGAUGGCUCAUAUGGCAGUUGCCUUGAUCGACGAUUCAUAUGGUGAUAUGAAGACCAGUUUCCCAAAGUCUCAGCACAGACUUUGGGAGAAGGGCCCACUUGAUGAUAUCAACAUUCAGUAUGCAGCAAAAGAUGCAUACGUUUCAUACGAGUUGUACCGCAAGAUUCGAGUCGUCAACUAUGGCCAGCGUCACCUCGAGGAAGGUGGGCAUUCUGAUUCAGAUGAUUCAGACGAGUAGUGUUCUUAACGUCGAACACUUGUAUAUAUAUAUCUAUGGUAGCUAUUAUUAUGUACUGUUUGGGCUAGUAUCAUGUACUUCUUGGACCAAUUUACAUAUGUCUAGUUUCUGUUUGUGCCAUUAUAGUUUCCCAAUUUGAAUGGUUUAGCCCUUUCUAACUUCGUUUGCUACUUUUGAAUGGUUUAGCCCUUUCUAACUUCAUGGUAUCAUGCAUUUCGACCACAUAUAUAUACAAAAAGUCUUUAGUUCAAAUAAGUUCAAAUAAGUUCAUGCAUUUCAACAUUUUCAGAGUUCAUUUGUAGUGCUUUUCAAUUUCAGGGUCAACUAGCUCAAAAAAAAUAAGUAAAUGCACGAAAUAUACCAAAUGAAGUCAGAAAUUGUUGAAAUUUUGUGAUGUGCCUUUGAAUGGUGCAUUUUGAACACACAAAAAGUAUGGAGUUCAAAUAAGUNUUUAAAAAAAUGAAAUCCUUUUGUAAGAGAUGAGUUCUCGUUCGAAACCCUGCUACUUCGAGAGAGAUUGUCAGUUUUGUACACGAACUGCAUCCAGUUUUUGUCGUAGCCUUCUCAACUUUUUAACACAUGCUAUGUGGGUGAAAUGACGAUAGCAUGCCAACUUUCAACAUUUUCAGAGUUCAUUUGUAGUGCUUUUCAAUUUCAGGGUCAACUAGCUNNNNNNNNNNNNNNNNNNNNNNNNNNNNNNNNNNNNNNNNNNNNNNNNNNNNNNNNNNNNNNNNNNNNNNNNNNNNNNNNNNNNNNNNNNNNNNNNNNNNUCUUUCAUAUUAUCCUUUCUUUAAUUUCCCCAACAUUGACAUAAUUAGCCCAUUUAGCUCCAAAAUGCCAUAAUAAGCUCAGAAUGGCAUAAGAACCUUGGUGAGCUCAUGAAUAUUAUAUACUUAGCUUGUUUUCCUGUAAAAUGGGAUAAUUAGCCCAUUUAGCUCCAAAAAGACAUAAUUAGGUAAUUUAGCUCCANNNNNNNNNNNNNNNNNNNNNNNNNNNNNNNNNNNNNNNNNNNNNNNNNNNNNNNNNNNNNNNNNNNNNNNNNNNNNNNNNNNNNNNNNNNNNNNNNNNNNNNUCCUUCUCCUCCUUCUUGAUUUCUUCUUCUUCUCCUCCGCCUCCUAUUUCUUCUCCUAUUUCAUAUUAUCCUUGCUUUAAUUUCCCCAACAAUGACAUAAUUAGCCCAUUUAGCUCCAAAAUACCGUAAUAAGCUCAAAAUAGCAUAAGAACCUUGGUUAGCUCAUGAAUAUUAUAUACUUAGCUUGUUUUCCUCUAAAAUGGGAUAAUUAACCCAUUUAGCUCCAAAAAGACAUAAUUAGGUAAUUUAGCUCCAACAAUAAAUAGGAAAAAUGAAAAGAAAGAAAGANNNNNNNNNNNNNNNNNNNNNNNNNNNNNNNNNNNNNNNNNNNNNNNNNNNNNNNNNNNNNNNNNNNNNNNNNNNNNNNNNNNNNNNNNNNNNNNNNNNNNNNNNNNNNNNNNNNNNNNNNNNCCCCAACAAUGACAUAAUUAACCCAUUUAGCUCCAAAAUGCCAUAAUAAGCUAAAAAUGGCAUAAGAACCUUGGUUAGCUCAUGAAUAUUAUAUUCUUAGCUUGUUUUCCGCUAGAAAUGACAUAAUUACCUCAAAACAUCAUAUUUUGUUCUUUUUCUGACUUUCUUAUUCACANNNNNNNNNNNNNNNNNNNNNNNNNNNNNNNNNNNNNNNNNNNNNNNNNNNNNNNNNNNNNNNNNNNNNNNNNNNNNNNNNNNNNNNNNNNNNNNNNNNNUGAAAAGUGUUUCAAAUUGAAUAAAUAAUGCAAAACUAUUUUUUAUUUUCAUAAUUAAUAAUUUUGACUAUCCAAACUAUUAUCUAUUUUGUUAUUUUCAAUUAAAAACUAUGUUUAUUAAAAAUUCUUUUUGCAUAUUUGAGAAUUUAACAAAACUAUGAUAAUGAAAAGUGUUUCAAAUUGAAUAAAUAAUGCAAAACUAUUUUUAUUUUCAUAAUUAAUAAUUUUGACUAUCCAAACUAUUAUCUAUUUUGUUAUUUUGACUUCAUUUGGUAUAUUUCGUGCAUGUACUUAUUUUUUUUGAGCUAGUUGACCCUGAAAUUGAAAAGCACUACAAAUGAACCACUACUGAAAUUCAGAAAUUUGCCGUCUGCCAAGGCGGACGGCAAAGGGGGCAACCAUGGACGGCAAAGGCUUUGCCGUCUGCCCCCUCAUGGCAAAGUAGAUGGUAAAAAAAAUCCGGUGAAGAGGCUCUUUGCCGUCUGCUUUCACAAAGCGGACGGCAAAGAAUCUUUGCCAUGAGGGGGAAGACGGCAAAAUAAGUGGGACGGCAUAUAUUGCAACGUCCCCGUUAAGUGUUAACGGCAGGCCUCCUCUCUUUGCCGUCUGCCUCCCCCCCUUUGCCAUGUGGGGGUAAACGGCAAAGAGGGAGAGAGAGGGGGCAGAUUCUCUCUUUGCCGUCUGCCUCCCCCCCUUUGCCAUGUGGGGGCAGACGGCAAAAAGGGGAGAGAGAGGGGGCAGAUUCUCUCUUUGCCGUCUGCCUCCCCCCCUUUGCCAUGUGGGGGCAGACGGGGGGGGGGGGAGAGAGAGGGGGCAGAUUCUCUCUUUGCCGUCUGCCUCCCCCCCUUUGCCAUGUGGGGGCAGACGGCAAAGAGGGGAGAGAGAGGGGGCAGAUUCUCUCUUUGCCGUCUGCCUCCCCCCCUUUGCCAUGUGGGGGCAGACGGCAAAGAGGGGAGAGAGAAGGGGCAGAUUCUCUCUUUGCCGUCUGCCUCCCCCCUUUGCCAUGUGGGGGCAGACGGCAAAGAGGGGAGAGAGAGGGGGCAGAUUCCCCCUUUGCCGUCUGCCUCCACCCCUUUGCCAUGUGUUGGCAGACGGCAAAGAGGGGAACCAUCCCCUUUUUUAUUUAUUUUUUGUUAUAUCCAGCAUUUUUAACAAUAAUCAGGAUAUAUAUAUAUAUUUGACAUAAAUAAAUUUCUUUUCGUACCCAUAACCAUAUUAAAAUAACUCUCAUCCAUAGUGCAUACAUAUUAUGGAAGUUACAUUCGUACCAAACCUAAUAUUACACCAGUUUCAUCCACGUGCAUACAAAGUUUCAUAUAUUCAUAUACUACAACAGNNNNNNNNNNNNNNNNNNNNNNNNNNNNNNNNNNNNNNNNNNNNNNNNNNNNNNNNNNNNNNNNNNNNNNNNNNNNNNNNNNNNNNNNNNNNNNNNNNNNAAAUGUUGAAAGUUGGCAUGCUAUCAUCAUUUCACCCACAUAGCAUGUGUUAAAAAGUUGAGAGGGCUACAACGAAAACUUGAUGCAGUUCGUUUACAAAAUUAACAAUCUCUCUCGAAGUAGCAGGGUUUCGAACGAGAACUCAUCUCUUACAAAGGGAUUUCAUUUUUUUAAACUUAUUUGAACUCCAUACUUUUUGUGUGUUAAAAAUGCACCAUUCAAAGGCACAUCACAAAAUUUCAACAAUUUCUGACUUCAUUUGGUAUAUUUCGUNGUGCAUUUACUUAAUUUUUUUGAGCUAGUUGACCCUGAAAUUGAAAAGCACUACAAAUGAACUCUGAAAAUGUUGAAAGUUGGCAUGCUGUCAUCAUUUCACCCACAUAGCAUGUGUUAAAAAGUUGAGAGGGCUAUGAAAAAAACUGGAUGCAGUUCAUGUACAAAACUGACAAUCCCUCUGGAAGUAGCUGGGUUUCGAACGAGAACUCAUCUCUUACAAAGGGAUUUCAUUUUUUUAAACUUAUUUGAACUCCAUACUUNNNNNNNNNNNNNNNNNNNNNNNNNNNNNNNNNNNNNNNNNNNNNNNNNNNNNNNNNNNNNNNNNNNNNNNNNNNNNNNNNNNNNNNNNNNNNNNNNNNNGUUGGAAAUAUGCCCUAGAGGCAAUAUACUAAAUUUCUUAUUAUUAUAUUUCCUUGUUCAUGAUAAUCGUUUAUUAUCCAUGCUAGAAUUGUAUUGAUUGGAAGCUCAAAUACAUGUGUGGAUACGUAGACAACACACUGUCCCUAAUGAGCCUUUAAGUACUAGCUCGUUGAUCGAAGAUGGUCAAGGAUUCCUGACCAUAGACACGAGUUAUCAUUUGAUAAGAGGAUCACAUCAUUAGGAGAAUGAUGUGAUGGACAAGAUACAAACUAUAAACUUAACAUACGAUCGUGUUAGUUUAUUGCUACUGUUUUCUGCAUGUCAACUAUCUGUUUCUAUGACCAUGAGAUCAUGCAACUAUCAGGCACCGGAGGAAUGCCUUGUGUGUAUCAAACGUAACAACGUAAUUGGGUGACUAUAAAAGUGCUCUAAUGGUAUCUCUGAAGGUGUAUGUUGGGUUGGCAUGAAUUGAGACUUUGAUUUGUCACUCCGUAUGACGAAGAGGUAUCUCUAGAGCCUACUCGGUAAUGAAAAAUCACAAUGAGCUUGCAAGUAAUGUGACUAAAGAGUUAGUCACGGCAUCUUGUAUUACGGAAUGAGUAAAGACACUUGCCGAUAACGAGAUUGAACUAGGUAUGGAGAUACCGACGAUCGAAUCUCGGGAAAGUAACAUACCGAUGGACAAAGGGAACAAUAUACGAGAUUGAUUGAAUCCUUGACAUCGUGGUUCGACCGAUAAGGAUCUUUGUACAAUAUGUAGGAGCCAAUAUGGGCAUCCAUGUCCCGCUAUUGGUUAUUUACCAGCGAGUGUCUCAGGUCAUGUGUGCAUAGUUCUUGAACAUGCAGGACCUGCACACUUAAAGUUUGGCGACGUUUUAGUAUAGUUGAGUUAUGUAUGUUGGUGACCGAAGGUUGUUCGGAGUCCCGGAUGAGAUCCCGGACGUCACCAGGAGCUCUUGAAUGGUCCGGAUGUAAAGAUUGAUACAUGGGAAGUUCUGUGUUGGUCACUAGAGAAAGUUCGAGCGUCAUCGAUGGCGUACCGGGGGUGCCGGAAGGUUUCCGGGGGUCCACCAGCCCGGAGGGUCCACACGGGCUGUGAGGGAUGCACACCAGCCCCUGCUGGACUUGGUGCACAUCCCCGCCUAAGGCCCAUGUGGCUGGGCUGGUGGAGGGCCAACCCUAUAGGGGCGCGCCACCCUAACGUUGGGGGGGGGGGGGGGGCAAGCCACCCCUAGGGCAGAUGCCCCUUCCUCCUUUGGCCGCUGCCCCUCCCUCCUUUGGCCGCCGCCCCCUAGGGUUGAAUCCCUAGGGCGGAGCCCCUCUCCCCUUCCCCCUAUAUAUAUAGAUGGGGAGAGAGAGGGCUCCAACACACCAAGGCCACGACGCAGCCCUGUCUCUCCCACAUAUCAGUUUUCUCCUCUAGAUUGGUUCCGGUAUUGCUUGGCGAAGCCUUGNNNNNNNNNNNNNNNNNNNNNNNNNNNNNNNNNNNNNNNNNNNNNNNNNNNNNNNNNNNNNNNNNNNNNNNNNNNNNNNNNNNNNNNNNNNNNNNNNNNNCUCUCUCUCUCUCUCUCUCUCUCUCUCUCUCUCUCUCUUCUUCUUCUUCUCUCCUCCUCCUCCUCUUCUUCUUCUCUCUUCUUCUUCUUCUUCUCCUGCUUUUUUUCCUUCUGCUUUUYYUCUUCUAACCUAACUAACUAACCUAAUUAGCCUAAUAAUCUAACCAAAUAAACUAACUAAAUUACCCUAUAUAUAAUAAAAAACUAACCUAAUAAACUAACUAAAGUAAUUAACUUUUUUAAAAAGAAAAACAGGAAAAACUCACCGGCAGGGGGCGGCGGCGGCAGGGGGCGCGCGGCUGGGGGCUCGCCGCAGGGGGGCGKCGGCGGCAGGGGGCGGCGACGGCAGGGGGCGCAAUGCAGGUGGMGCGSGCGCGCGGCAGGGGGCGGCGGCGGCAGGGGGCGCGCCGCAGGGGAGGUGCUCACCGUGGGGGUGGGUCGCCGCGGGGAGGGGAUCCCACGGGGAGGGGUCNCCGGGGGGGGGUGGCUCGCCGCGGGGAGGGGAUCUCGCGGGGAGGGGUCGCCGCCGUGGAGAGAGAGAGUGGUCGGGGUGAGAGAGAGAGAGAGACAGUGAGCGAGGGGGUAACGGCCGUUAUAGGGCGGCCCCUUUGCCGUCCGCCCCCCGACGGCAAAGGGCCGUAUGGCAGACGGCAAAGGCCCGCGGACGGCAAAGGCCGCCGGAUUUCGGACACGGCAGGCAUGGGACCCACGCGUCCCCUUUGCCGUCUGCCCUGGGGCUCUUUGCCGUCUGCUGGCAGACGGCAAAGGACCCACACAUGGAAAAUAGUAUUUUUGCCAUGUGUCAGUUCUUUGUCGUCUGUAUUGUGUCAACUGAUGGCAAAGAGGUUCUUUGCCGUCAGCCAGCAGACGGUAAAGAACUGGCUGACGGCAAAUUUCUGGAUUCCAGUAGUGAACUCUGAAAAUGUUGAAAGUUGGCAUGCUAUCAUCAAUUCACCCACAUAGCAUGUGUUAAAAAGUUGAGAGGGAUACGACCAAAACUGGAUGCUGUUCGUGUACAAAACUGACAAUCUCUCUCGAAGUAGCAGGGUUUCGAAAGAGAACUCAUCUCUUACAAAGGGAUUUCAUUUUUUUAAACUUAUUUGAACUCCAUACUUUUUAUCUGUUCAAAAUGCACCAUUCAAAGGCACAUCACAAAAUUCCAACAAUUUCUGACUUCAUUUCGUAUAUUUCGUGCAUUUACUUAUUUUUUUGAGCUAGUUGACCCUGAAAUUGAAAAGCACUACAAAUGAACUCUGAAAAUGUUGAAAGUUGGCAUGCUAUCAUCAUUUCACCCACAUAGCAUGUGUUAAAAAGUUGAGAGGGCUACGAGAAAAACUGGAUGUAGUUCGUGUACAAAACUGACAAUCUCUCUCGAAGUAGCAGGGUUUCGAACGAGAACUCAUCUCUUACAAAGGGAUUUCAUUUUUUAAAACUUAUUUGAACUCCAUACUUUUUGUGUGUUCAAAAUGCACCAUUCAAAGGCACAUCAUCAAUUUUCAACAAUUUUUGACUUCAUUUGGUAUUUUUCAUAAAUUUAUUGUUUUUUUGAGCUAAAUGACCCUUAAAUUGAAAAGCACUACAAAUCACCUCUGAAAAGAUUGAAAAUUGGCAUAGUAUCAUCAUUUCACCCACAAAGCAUGUGCUAAAUAGUUGAGAGGGUUAUGGCAAAACUAGGAUGCACUUCGUGUACAAAACGGAGAAUCUCUUUCGAAGUAUCACAGAUUCACAUGAAAACUCAUCUAUUACAAAGGGAUUUCAUCUUUUUGAACUUAUUUGAACUCCAGACUUUUUGUGUGUUCAAAAUGCACCAUUUAAAGCCACAUCAUCAAUUUUGAACAAUUUAUGACUGCAUUUUGUAUUUUUCAUGCAUUUACUGAUUUUUUUGAGCUACAUGACCCUUAAAUUGAAAAGCAUUACAAAUGAACUCUGAAAAGGUUAAAAGUUUGCAUGGUUUCAUCAUUUCACCCACAUAGCAUGUGAUAAUAAGUUGAGAGGGUUACGGCAAAAACAGGAUGCACUUCGUGUACAAAACGAACAAUCUCUUUCGAACUAUCAAGGUUUCAUACGAAAACUCACCUAUUACAAAGGAAUUUCAUUUUUUGAACUUAUUUGAACUCCAUACUUUUUAUGUGUUAAAAUGCACCAUUCAAAGCCACAUCAUCAAUUUUCAAAAAAUUCUGACUUCAUAUGGUAUUUUACAUGCAUUUCCUUUUUUUUUGAGCUAAAUGACCAUGAAAUUGAAAAGCACUACAAAUGAACUAUGAAAAGGUUGAAAGGUGGUAUGGUAUGAUCAUUUCACCCACAUAGCAUGUGUUAAAAAGUUGAGAGGGUUACGGCAAAAACUGGAUGCACUUCAUGUAUAAAACAUACAAUCUCUUUCGAAAUAUCACAUUUUAAAUACGAAAACUCAUCCGUUACAAAGGGAUUUUAUUUUUUUGAACUUAUUUGAACUCCGGCCUUUUUGUGUGUUCAAAAUGCACAAUUCAGAGCCACAUCAUAAAUUUUCAAUAAUUUGUGACUUCAUUUGCUAUUUUUCAUGCAUUUAUUGAUUUUUUUAGCUAAAUGACCCUUAAAUUGGAAAGCACUACAAAUGAACUUUGAAAAGGUUGAAAGUUGGCAUGGUAUCAUCAUUCCACCCCACAUAGCAUGUGAUAAAAAGUUGAGAGGGUUACGGCAAAAACUGGAUGCACUUCAUAUACAAAACAGACAAUCUCCUUCGAAGUGUCAGGGUUUCAUACGAAAACUCAUUUGUUACAAAGGGAUUUCAUUUUUUUGAAUUCAUUUGAACUCCAGACUUUUUGUGUGUUCAAAAUGAACCAUUCAAAGCCACAUCAUCAAUUUUCAACAAUUUUUGAAUUCAUUUGGUAUUUUUCUAUGCAUUUACUGAUUUUUUUGUAGCAAAAUGACCCUUAAAUUGAAAAGCACUACAAAUGAACUCUGAAAAGGCUGAAAGUUGACAUGGUAUCAUCAUUUCACCUACAUAGCAUGUGCUAAAAAGUUGAGAGGGUUAUGACAAAAACUGGAGAACUUCGUGUAAAAAAUGGACAAUCUCUUUCGAAGUAUCACAGUUUCAUACGAAAAUUCUUCUGUUACAAAGGAAUUUUAUUUUGUUGAACUUAUUUGAAAUCCAGACUUUUUGUGUGUUCAAAAUGCACCAUUCAAAGCCAUAUCAUAAAAUUUCAACAAUUUCUGACAUCAUUUGGUAUUUUUUAUGCAUUACUGAUUUUUUUAGCUAAAUGACCAUGAAAUUGAAAAGCACUACAAAUGAACUCUCAAAAGUUUGAAAAUUGGCUUGGUAUCAUCAUUUCACCGACAUAGCAUGUGAUUAAAAGUUGAGAGGGUUACGAGAAAAACUGGAUGCACUUGGUCUACAAAACGAACAAUCUCUUUGGAAGUAUAAGGGUUUCAUACGAAAACUCAUCUAUUACAAAAGACAUUUCAUUACUUCACUUUUUCUUUGCUUGUGUUCUUUGAUUAUUGCGCCGUAACCAUGGAUAAUCAGUACUAGGAAAAAGCCUAGUAGUAGCGCGGGUUUAGUGCCUACUAGUAGCGCGGGUAAUCGCGCUACUAGUAAGGCGCUACAGCUAUUACUUACCAGCAGCGCGUGUAAGACGCGCUACUGCUAAGACAUAUAAGUGUCGUACAAGUGCUAUUGAUAAAACAAUAUUAGUAGCGUUCUUCUAAACCCGCGCUACUAGUAAUCUGUUUUUCAUUAUUUUUAAUAUGUAGUGUAUUUAUACGUCGUUAUAUAAAUUUUGAUAGAGUACCAAUUAAGAGGUUGUUAUAUCAUUAUGUUCAUGAAGAAUUAUUAUAUCAUUGUGAUGAAUAAACCUGGAUUUUAUUCAUCUAAAUGAAUCAAAAGUGAUCAAAAGUUGAAUUAGUAGGACGACGAUCCUAGUAAUUCAACUUUUGGUCACUUUUGAUCCAUCCACAUGAAUCUAAUCCGCUUUCCUUCCCGCAAUGACAUAAUAACCAAUCAUGAUCAUAAUAACAAAUCUUCAUGAUAAUCAUGAUCAACAUCAUCAGCAUAUUAAUAUAAAAACUCUUGCAUCAUAUCAUCACUAACAACACUAUAGCGAAUAAUCAUCAUAGUCAUUACCACCAACACUAUUUAAUCAUCAUUUUCGUCAAUGAGACGUCAUAUAACAAGUUGGUGGCUAGUCAUAAUCACAACUCCUCCUCCUCCUCAUUAUCAACUAUAACACAUUUUAGCACAUAAUAACACAUUGUACCUAGGACCUACUCCUCUCUCAUAGUACCUACUCUACCCUCUCUUAGGUAGAAUAUCACAAAACAAGAUAGGCCCGGUCUCUCCAUUAUGGAGAAUGGAGAUCAUCCUGUCUCUAACUCUUACCCUACGCACAGUAUUGCUUCCAAGUAGCUCUCUACGAUUGGCCAUGCAUUUUUUCCAAUCUUUGAUUGUCAUUUCAUCGGUUAUAGAAACCCUGUAUGGACAGGAGUGAUGCAUAUACAUAGGCUACCUGGCCGUGCUGGCCGUAAGCUCAUAAUAUCAACACGACCUCUUGGAAACAUCACAUGAGGCACACAAUCCUUCUGGAUUUUCUGUUGAAAAACAUAGUAAUAACUUUGUAGCUAGCAAUGCAGUUUAGUUUUACAAGAAUUUAUGCAAAAGAUGCACGGAUGUCGUAAUAGUAGAAAAUAUUACCAUGCAAUCUCCAUGCAUGUUACCGUAGUUCACCACGUGCACUAUUGGCACGUAUUGACCAUAAUGUGGAGGAGUUUGCUGAUAGCUAUUGUAAUUCUCAAGAUCAUUAAUAAAUGCGACAAGAUGAUUUUUGUCCUGAUAAGUUAAUUCUGCUUCAUCAUUGUAGUGGUAGGUUCUGUCUACCAUCUCCCGUACAUUUUUUGAAGAAUGAAAAUAAGUUGUAAAUGGAAGUAAGUUGUCAACAAUUUUUAAAUAAACAAUAUAAAUUACUCAAUAAAUAUGGUUGAGAAACUCACAUAAUGGUGGAACUGGAGGCGUCUGCACAUCGACCCAGAUGUCGAUAUUACCUUCAAUUUCAUCUUCCAGACGAAUAUCAAAGGUGAUAAGCAUAUUAGGCUCAAGUGCAUAAGCCUUGCAUAGUGCUACCCAAUUUUUGCACUCAAAAAAGGAGUAGGUGUCUGCAUUGUACAACUUUACGGCAAAAGUAUAAUCAUACUCGAUCCUCAAGUGAACUCUCUUUACCUCCAUAGUUUUUUAGUACUGAAACCUAUCUUAUCCAAGACAUAAAUUCUUGCAUGGCAGGGGAUACGCUAGUAGAAUAGUAAAAAAUAAAAUUAUAAAUUGAAGCAAAAGAAGUCAUGCUUAAUUAAGAAAAAAGACUUGUCAUUGUGACUUACUGUAUCCACUUCGAAGUCCUCAUCCAGCAUGAUGUUGAAGCGCUUAUCAUCAACUAGGUGAGGCACGUCGCACAAGCCGCGCUCGUCUUGACAGUAUUCGCACAUAGUGAAUUUCCUUUCGUCUUCAGACAUUUCCUAUGUUCAUAGUUGAAACAUUUAAAAUCGACCGAAAAGGCAACUACCAGGAAACUUAUAUGAAAGAUCACUAUUAAUUCUAAAACAGAUCACUAUUACACCAAGACAUCCUCUAUAUUAAGAAUGCAUCAUCAUCGACAUCAAUGACAUGGCCACUAGCACUUGCAUUUUCAUCAUCGACAUUUACAACACAUUAUCAUCUAUAUCAACAACAUGGGCAUUGCCGGCAAAACACACGCACUAGGAGGUGCUCCGUGCAAUAACAUACACACAUCAAAUAGAUGACAUAUAACUCAUCAUCAUCUUACUCAUUUAAUAACUCAUGAAAGUCAUACAAGGAGCAACGACAAACCGAAAGAUAACCGAUAUUAUCACUAAUACAUCUCGAAUAUUAUCAUACAAUAUCACAAAUAAAAAUUCAGUUGACGUCUCACGGUGCAGGCGGUGGCAACCGAAAGAUAAGGAACCAUCACCGGAUCAUAGCUCAGGUGAUGUCCCUGGAGAACCUGCCAGGUAUUGGAGAACCUGGCAUCCAACGCAGCCAUGUAGAGACAUACAUGCUCGUCCUCCUCCCUAACACGGCGACGUAACAACUCCGUGGGGCCCGGCUCCCUCGGCACCGAUAAAGGCCCACGCGACUGCCACCAAAGAAGCUCCGGGUCAACGAUGAGACCCGGAUUCCUCACAAAGGUGCGCCCCCCGGAAGGUAGCACCUCCUAGUGCCAGCCCAACGGAGCCUAGUCCCGCACAUGCUGGCGCCUAUCAAGCAGGUGGUCUCCAUCGAGUUGACGACGAGGAUGCGGAAUGGGCAUCGUCGAUGUUAAGACAAAUUCCUCUGAGAAAAUUUUCUUAUUGUUUAAUGUUUUACUUUCUAAUUCUCAUUUAUACAAUAAUCAUCUCAUUUGAAUUCAGCUAGCGCCCACUACCAAAUAUACAAUAAUAAAACACAAUAUAUAUAUUAUGCAAAUAUUUCCGCAACAACAUUGAGGGCCUGAGAAAAUAAAAUGAAUAAUGACAUAAAAUGGCCUAUGUUUUGCAGGAACGUUGAUUCAUUCCUAGUGCGGAAAAUCCCGGACACUCGAUAUAUCGUAGUUUGUAGCACAAGUCAUGUCAAAAUUCACGAAAAAAUUCGAAUGACCUUUGUUAAAAGUGAAAAAAUUGAGCAGCUGCAAUUUGCCGGAACAAAAAUGAAUCAACAUUUCCGGCAUAACAUAGGCCGCUCGGCUUCAUUCCCUGUAAACAACAAAAGGCUCCCUCUCUCACUAAGUAUACACCUAAGUAAAUUCUAUGUUAACCUACUGCCCUAACUAACAACAUGACCUUAUGCCCUAACUAACAACAUGACCUUAUGCCCUAACUAACAACAUAACCUAAUUAACCUAUUUAACCUAGAACCCUUGAACUCUAUAACCCUAGAACAUAACGUAACUAACAUUUGCUAAUUUGUUAAUUGUACUAACCAAUUUAACCUAGAACCCUAGAACAUAACCUACCUAACAUUUGCUAAUCAGUUAAUUGUACUAACCUAUCACUAGUAGAAAACGGGCCUUUGGCCUGGACCAUUUAGUCCCGGCCUGCCUCUGGGUCGGGACUAAAGGCCCGGCCACGUCGCCCCAAUUCUCAAUGCCUCCCUCGAGGCUUUAGUCCCGGCCCGUAAGGAGCCUGUAGUCUCGGUUCGAGUCACAAAGCGGGACUAAAGGGCUACGCGGCGGGCAGUGGUGGUGGCAACCGUUCGUAUACCUCUUUAGUCCCCGUUGGUGGCUCAACCCGGGACUAAAGGACUAACACGUGGCCUGCCGUGGUGGUGGCGACCGUUGGUAUACCUCUUUAGUCCCGGUUGGUGGCUCAACCCGGGACUAAAGGACUAACACGUGGCCUAACGUAGUGGGGCGACUGUUGGCAUACCUCUUUAGUCCCGGUUGGUGGUUGAACCCGGGACUAAAAGCCUAACACGUGGCCUGCCGUAGUGGUGGCAACCAUUUGGUAUACCUCUUUAGUCCCGGUUGGUGGCUCAAACCGGGAUUAAAGGCCCAAAUGGUUUGCAUCCCGCGUCGUUUCGGGAGAUGAAAAGCACGAACCGAAGCGUACAGUCGCCAUUUCUCUGUUCUUCUUCUCUCUCACGUCGCCCUCUCUAUUCUUCUCCUCUCUCGCGUCGCCCUCUCUGUUCUUCUCCUCUCUUCUUCCCUUCUCUUGUUCCACCAUGCCAACUACCUUUCAUGAGGUGGUCGCGCAUGGGACGACCAAGCUCCGUGUCGUGUACACGAACCUGAGCACGGAGGUGCCGUUUUUCCUUCAACAGUUGAAGGAACGAUGGUUUAACCAUGCACCAGAUCAUGAGAAGUUCUUCGGGCUUGAUCUGAAGUACACGGCCGAUCAACGCGGUGUUGCCGUCAUCCAAAUAUGCUUCGCAAGCCAUGUCUUGAUCUUCCAAUGGGGGAGGUAAGUUUUGAGGCUUUCUUUGAUCCAAGAUAAUACAUUGUAUAAGUUUAUUUGUUUCUAUCAUAGUUGGUUCCCUUCAAAUAGUUGUAGUGAAACAAUUUUGAUUACUUGAAGGGGAGCACAAUCUAAUUGGAAUAGUGUUCCAUAAUCUGAAAAAUCGUAUUAGAAUAAACUAGUGUUUAAUAUGUUCCAUUGGAAUCAUAGUUGGUUCCCUUCAAAUAGUUGUAGUGAAACAAUUUUGAUUAGUUGAAGGGGAACACAAUCUGAUUGGAAUAGUGUUUCAUAAUCUGAAAAAUCGUAUUAGAAUGAACUAGUGUUUAAUAUGUUCCACUGGAAUCAUAGUUGGUUCGCUUCAAAUAGUUGUAGUGAAACAAUUUUGAUUAGUUGAAGGGGAACACAAUCUGAUUGGAAUAGUGUUCCAUAAUCUAAAAAAUCGUAUUAGAAUGAACUAGUGUUUAAUAUGUUCCAUUGGAACCAUAGUUGGUUCGCUUCAAAUAGUUGUAGUGAUCUCUCUAGGUUCCAUUGCAUAUGUUCUAUUUGAAUCCAAAAGAUAAGUUUCUCUUUAGUUGUAGUGAAACAUGUUUCCUUAUUGCAGCAGUAUGUAACAUUUGUUCCAUUCUAAUUUGUUUCUGUUGCAGGAGUGACAAGCAUUGUCCUGGACUCAUGGAGUUCCUUCGCAGCGGCGUCACUUUUGCUUCCGUUGACAUAUGGAACGACAGGCUGAAGAUGAGGCACAACUUCGGUAUUGAGAUACGAGCUGGUUGCCUCGUUGAUCUCCAAACGAUAUUCAGGCUUCGACAUGAGAGGACUUCGAUGGCUCAUAUGGCAGUUGCCUUGAUCGACGAUUCAUAUGGUGAUAUGAAGACCAGUUUCCCAAAGUCUCAGCACAGACUUUGGGAGAAGGGCCCACUUGAUGAUAUCAACAUUCAGUAUGCAGCAAAAGAUGCAUACGUUUCAUACGAGUUGUACCGCAAGAUUCGAGUCGUCAACUAUGGCCAGCGUCACCUCGAGGAAGGUGGGCAUUCUGAUUCAGAUGAUUCAGACGAGUAGUGUUCUUAACGUCGAACACUUGUAUAUAUAUAUCUAUGGUAGCUAUUAUUAUGUACUGUUUGGGCUAGUAUCAUGUACUUCUUGGACCAAUUUACAUAUGUCUAGUUUCUGUUUGUGCCAUUAUAGUUUCCCAAUUUGAAUGGUUUAGCCCUUUCUAACUUCGUUUGCUACUUUUGAAUGGUUUAGCCCUUUCUAACUUCAUGGUAUCAUGCAUUUCGACCACAUAUAUAUACAAAAAGUCUUUAGUUCAAAUAAGUUCAAAUAAGUUCAUGCAUUUCAACAUUUUCAGAGUUCAUUUGUAGUGCUUUUCAAUUUCAGGGUCAACUAGCUCAAAAAAAAAAGUAAAUGCACGAAAUAUACCAAAUGAAGUCAGAAAUUGUUGAAAUUUUGUGAUGUGCCUUUGAAUGGUGCAUUUUGAACACACAAAAAGUAUGGAGUUCAAAUAAGUUUAAAAAAAUGAAAUCCCUUUGUAAGAGAUGAGUUCUCGUUCGAAACCCUCCUACUUCGAGAGAGAUUGUCAGUUUUGUACACGAACUGCAUCCAGUUUUUGUCGUAGCCCUCUCAACUUUUUAACACAUGCUAUGUGGGUUAAAUGACUAUAGUAUGCCAACUUUCAACAUUUUCAGAGUACAUUUGUAGUGCUUUUCAAUUUCAGGGUCAACUAGCUCAAAAAAAAUUAAGUAAAUGCACGAAAUAUACCAAAUGAAGUCAGAAAUUGUUGAAAUUUUGUGAUGUGCCUUUGAAUGGUGCAUUUUGAACACACAAAAAGUAUGGAGUUCAAAUAAGUUUAAAAAAAUGAAAUCCCUUUGUAAGAGAUGAGUUCUCGUUCGAAACCCUGCUACUUCGAGAGAGAUUGUCAGUUUUGUACACGAACUGCAUCCAGUUUUUGUCGUAGCCCUCUCAACUUUUUAACACAUGCUAUGUGGGUUAAAUGACUAUAGUAUGCCAACUUUCAACAUUUUCAGAGUACAUUUGUAGUGCUUUUCAAUUUCAGGGUCAACUAGCUCAAAAAAAUAAGUAAAUGCACGAAAUAUACGAAAUGAAGUCAGWAAUUGUUGAAANNNNNNNNNNNNNNNNNNNNNNNNNNNNNNNNNNNNNNNNNNNNNNNNNNNNNNNNNNNNNNNNNNNNNNNNNNNNNNNNNNNNNNNNNNNNNNNNNNNNCUCCUUCUUCUUCUCCUUCUUCUUCUUAUCCUUUUGUCCCCUUCUUCUUAUCCUCCUCCCUCUCCUCCUUCUUCUUCUCCUUUUUCCUCUUCCUUCCUUUCAUUUUCCUCUUUUUCUCUUCUUGUCCCCUUCUUCGGGCUAAAUUGGCUAAGAAUGCCUUUUUGGAGCUAAUUAUGUCAUUUCGAGGAUAAUUAGCUAAGUAUAGGUCAUUUUUUAUUAAAUAGGCCAUUUUGGAGCUAACUAAGCUAAUUAUGUCCUUUCGUAGGAUAAUUAGCCAAUUUAGCCUUUCUUGGAUAAGUCUAAGCUACGUAGAAGAAGAGAUAGAGAAGAAGAAAUAAAAUAAGGAGGAGGAGGAGGAGGAGGAGAAGAAGAAGGAAGAGGAGAAGAAGAAGAAAAGAAGAAGGAGAAGGAGGAAGAAGAAGGAGUAGGAGGAGCUCCUUCUCCUUCUCCUCCUUCUUCUCCUUCUUCUCCUUCUUCUUCUCCUCCUCCCUGUCCUCCUUCUUCUCCUUAUUUUUCCUCUUCCCUCCUUUCAUUUUUCCUCUUUUUCUCUUCUUGUCCCCUUCUUCGGGCUAAAUUGGCUAAGAAUGCCUUUUUGGAGCUAAUUAUGUCAUUUCGAGGAUAAUUAGCUAAGUAUAUGUAAUUUUUUAUUAAAUAGGCCAUUUUGGAGCUAACUAAGCUAAUUAUGUCAUUUCGUAGGAUAAUUAGCCAAUUUAGCCUUUCUUGGAUGAGUCUAAGCUACGUAGAAGAAGAGAUAGAGAAGAAGAAGUAAAAUAAGGAGGAGGAGGAGGAGGAGGAGGAGAAGAAGGAAGAGGAGAAGAAGAAGAAAAGAAGAAGGAGAAGAAGGAGAAGAAGAAGGAGAAGGAGAAGGAGGAAGAAGGAGGAAGAAGAAGGGGAAGGAGGAGCUCCUUCUCCUUCUUCUCCUUCUUCUCCUUCUUCUUCUCCUCCUCCCUCUCCUCCUUCUUCUUCUCCUCAUUUUUCCUCUUCCUGCCUUUCAUUUUCCUCUUUUUCUCUUCUUGUCCCCUUCUUCGGGCUAAAUUGGCUAAGAAUGCCUUUUUGGAGCUAAUUAUGUCAUUUCGAGGAUAAUUAGCUAAGUAUAGGWCAUUUUUUAUUAAAUAGGACAUUUUGGAGCUAACUAAGCUAAUUAUGUCAUUUCGUAGGACAAUUGGCUAAUUUAGCCUUUCUUGGAUGAGUCUAAGCUACGUAGAAGAAGAGAUAGAGAAGAAGAAGUAAAAUAAGGAGGAGGAGGAGGAGGAGGAGGAGGAGAAGAAGAAGGAAGAGGAGAAGAAGAAGAAAAGAAGAAGGAGAAGAAGGAGAAGAAGAAGGAGAAGGAGAAGGAGGAAGAAGAAGGAGUAGGAGGAGCUCCUUCUCCUUCUCCUCCUUCUUCUCCUUCUUCUCCUUCUUCUUCUCCUCCUCCCUCUCCUCCUUCUUCUCCUCAUUUUUCCUCUUCCCUCCUUUCAUUUUCCUCUUUUUCUCUUCUUGUCCCCUUCUUCGGGCUAAAUUGGCUAAGAAUGCCUUUUUGGAGCUAAUUAUGUCAUUUCGAGGAUAAUUAGCUAAGUAUAGGUCAUUUUUUAUUAAAUAGGCCAUUUUGGAGUUAACUAAGCCAAUUAUGUUAUUAGAUGGAAGUCUAGCUAUUUUGGGGCUAACUAAGCUAAUUAUGUCAUUAGAUGGAAGUCUAGCUAUUUUUUAUUAAAACACUAGAAAUAACAUACCUAAGUUAGGGUGAAGCACGGUGGCUCUGGCUUGUUUCACCUGGAGAAGGCUGCCCUGGAGAAGGCUCGACUGUAGAAGGGUCAUGCGAUGCGUUUCGGGACAUAUUCUGCACCAAACAUCGUUUGCAAUGUGUAGUUAGCAUGAGGACACUCUUAAGAUCACUCCACUGAAAUGAAACUCACCGUCCCCGCCACGUUAAUGACUGGCAUCGGCGGAGGGACUUGGCCGUUCUUCUCGCACAUAGACUGUACAUUUGGUUUCGACAAGUCAAACUUUUUAUUUAUUAAUGAAACGGACAUUCAAAUGCAAGAUUUGAAAUAACAUGAAGAAGAAACUUACCACGAAGAGCUCGUAUAUGGCCCUGGUAGACGCUUCAUUCCGUGCCCUCUCCGCCUCCACCAAUGCAGUCGUCCUCUCCUCCAGCUCCCUAAUUUCCUUAUCCUUCUCCGCCAUAGCCGCCUGCAUUGCCGCUCUCUCUUUCUGAAUAGCAGCCUGCAACACAACUCAUUGUUAGCAAUGUAAUCAUAUUGGUUCCAACGCACAACAUAAUGCGGAAAGAUUGUUCAGUCCAUUAAACUAACCUCGAUGGCGAGCUCGACUGGCCGUGGACGACGUGUUAUCUCCGGACAAGAGCUCGUUUGGCGUGCCUUUAUCUACCGGAGAGUGCUAGGACAACGUAUAAGGCCGUCUCCAAUGGCGAUCGAGCCAUGGGGCCUCCCGUUGCCAGCUAUCAUCACCAGCUCUGGAUCAAUUGGCCCCUCGCUCGGGUUAAAGUCCUCCCCUUUCCUCGCCUUCCCGUGAUCUCUGUACUUCACGAGCUUGUCGUGGGAGGAGAUGUUGGUGAAGUUUUCUGGAUGCUCGAGGUCAGACUCACAGAAUGCCUUGACCUUCUUGUACGAGGCAGUAUGGGCCAUCGCAUACAGGUCGUACAUCUGUGGCGCCUCCGUCUUAUUGUGACGCGCCUAAAAGAGAGAGAGCAGAAAAUUGUAUUGGUAAAGGGCUCAAGAUAGCAUUAAGAAUGAAUUGCAUGAGGCAUGAACCAAACCACAUACCCAGUUCUCGCCAAAUUGGAUUAAGUUGACGCUCCCUUGAUGGUGUGGCACGCCAACCAUUUUGCCACGCCUCUCCUUGGCGUUGUUGUGGCUGGUCUCCCACGUUUUGGAGCACCACUGGUCCACCAAGGCCUCCCAACAAUCCAUCUUAUCCACACACCAUCUAGGGGGCACCUAAGUUAAUAAAGAGAAAUUUGAGUGCGUAAGAACCAAAUCAAGGAAACUAACUACAAAGCCUUAAUAAUAUGUAAUUACCUUCAUGUAAUGCUCCUUCUCCAUCUUAGCAUCAUGGCACUUCGCCUUAUCAAUCCUAAUACGCCGCGUGGCAUAGUAGUCUCGAACAGCCUGCACCCGAGCCUCGUGCCGAAAGUUUUGAAGUAGGCGGCGACAUUCGGUUUCGAUAACCUUUGCCGCGUCGUCCUCGUAUCCCUCCUCACACCUGUAGAAGGUCUGCAAACGGGACAACACCGAUUAGUACAAUAAAUAGCUAUGGUUAAUUUAUAAUUGUGUGAAAGAGAAAUUACCCAGAACUUUCGGAUCACCAUGUCCGCCCUCGUGUCACACAAAACACCGUCGAUCUCCACCUCCGGCGGGGCCAGGGCACCCAAGUAGUGCUCCCAGGUCAUCCCUACCUCUCGCUCCCGACCGGGCAACGUAACAAACCCUGGGAAGUUUUGACGGCAAAGAACACCGAGGACGCUGUUGGGCUUGCGGACACCCUUGGCAACAAUCCAACCCCUACAGUAUGACAAAUUAAAGCCAAAACAUUAGAUAUUUGAGAAAACGCGAAGGCAAAAGGUUAAAUAAGAGUAAAUUAACUUACUUGUCCCCAUUUGGCCUAAUCGAGCACCUCUGCUCGGGGGUCGCUGGCACGAGCGGGAGCCCCGAACUACCACGCUGGUAGACGGUAUCCCCCUCACCCAGCUCCUCGUCGCUACCAGCAUGGCAGUUGGCUCUGGCCAGGGAUCCCACUGGGUCUCUUGGGACGUACCCUCAUCCCUGCUGUGCUCCGCAGUCGUGUGGAAGGAAGCCUCUGGGACACGAGUCUCGUGGGUCAAAGGCUCGUCGACCUGAGGCUCGUCGACCCGAGGCUCGUGAACCGGAGACCGUGUAGCCUCCACCUCAGACGAAUCCACCCUAGAAGUCCUCCUGUGCUCAGGUGAAUCAGCUUGGGGUGGUGGCGGAGACCGUGUAUCCCUACCUCUCCCGCGGCCACGUGUACCUUUAGUACAACAUAAAUACCAACAUGAGUAAUAAAAUGUAUAUAAAUACCAAUAUGCAUACAACAUGAGUACAACAUAAAUACCAACACGAAUACAACGUGUACCUUUAGUGCCUCUCGGCUUCGCGGGUGGUCGACCUCCUCUCACGGGGGCCGCUCCUUGCAUACUAGAGAGCAACACUCUCCGAAGAGGCGAGGCCGGAAUGGAAGUACCCAUCCCAUCACCCGCCGACGAAGAAGCAGCCGCGGCAUGCUUUCGACCCUUUCCCACCAUCUUUCAACACCUGUCAUGACAAAGAGUAAAUGAAAUUAGUACAACAUAAAUACCAACAUGACUAAUAAAAAUUGAAUACCUAACAUGAACUCAAAAUUUAUAUAUAGUAUAAUAGUUGAAUACCUGACAUGAACUAAUAACAAUCGUCCUCGUCUAUAUAUGCUUCGGGGUCAAUAAAUGCAUCAUGAUCAUCACUAUCAUCAAUAAAUGCAUCAUCAUCAUCACUAUCUAGAAGAACAUGUGGAAGGCCACCAUUAUGUAAUCGGUCAAGAAGUGACAGGUCAUCCGCAGCAGUAACCUCUUCUUCUUCCAGAUCUUCCUCUUCGGGCUCAGGGGUUAAGACGGAUUCACUGUCACUGUCUACUUCAAUGUUCUGGGGUGAAGUAGAGCGGUUCUUGAAACGUUUCUUGGACAUACGUGUUUCUUGGAAGAAUUCUCCUUCAUAUGUGUCUGGGUUAAUGUGAGGUUCGUAAUCCUCUUCAUUGAGGGUAGGUGGUCUAAAAUGUGGUGGCACAUCAUAAACGACAUCCCAACCUUUGAGAUUUGGAUCAAUUUGGCAGGCCCACGGUAGAUAGAAAACUUGUGUCGCCUGUUGAGACAUAAUAUAGACAUCGGGAACAUCUAAGUGGGUGUUUUGGUUGAUUUCGACUAGUCCUAUAUGUUCAUGAGUCCUUCUAGUCUCCCUCGGCUCAAACCAAUAACAUUUGAAGACUACGACGGUCGGUGGGUUUUCACCAUAGAAUAGAAGUUCAUAAAUUGCUUCAACCCUUCCAUAAUACUCGGUGUCUCCUUCGCCGAUAGCAGAGACAGAACAAUUUGUAGUCUUUAGGUCGGGCAUAGAUAGCUCUUUGCCAAAGGUACGAAAGUGAUACCCGUUGAUGUUGUAUUUGUCAAAUGAACGGACCUUAUAGUCAAAACCAUUAGCGACUUGUCUCAACUCGGCGUCCAUAGACUCUGCAUCAGCCUACAAGUUUAAUACGAAAGAAUGGAUGCAUUAGCCGCAAAUUAGACCAAUAAUUCAAAUGGGCCCUUAAUGGUAAUUAAUUACCCUUUGUUUGAACCAAGAGAUGAAACCAGGAUAGUUGCCUCCAUGCUUUGCGAGAAGCUCAUACUCUUCGACGGAAUCCUUUUCGAUGACCGCUCCAUCCGAGAAUUCGGCGACGUAUCGACUAUAUCAAAUAUCCGGGAAUAAGAGUGGUUCAAAGCAAUUAGAAGUUGCGGAACAAUAAAUUACCGAGAACUUACUCGAUGUACGGCCGCACUUCUGUUAGGUUGGUGAAGAUAUACAAUGAAAUGGUCCGCCAUUCUUCGACAUCCAACGAUUUCCCUUUCGAAGCACCGGAUGGUGCGAGCUUACCUUUGAAUAGGCUGAGGUUGGAUCGAACUUUUUCUCGAUCGCCAUCAUUGUACCGAGGCUUCGGGUUAUGCAAAUGAUAAUUUUUGGCUUCGUAGUGUGCUGUCACGAAGUUUGCCGCCUCCUCAGUAAUGAAUGCCUCGGCCAUCGAUGCUUCAAUUCUACGUUUAUUUUUACACUUAGCUCGAAGCGUCUUCUGCAUCCUCUCAGUUGAGUAGCACCAUUGAUUUUGAACGGGCCCCCCCAUUCUUGCCUCGGUCGGGAGAUGCAAAAUCAAAUGUUGCAUUGGAUUAAAGAAGCCCGGUGGAAAGAUCUUUUCUAAUUUGCAGACCAACUCCGGCGCCAACUCUUCCAUUUCAUCUAGCACGCCAGGCGAUAGUUCUUUCGCACGAAGAGAACGGAAGAAAUAGCUCAGCUCUGCCAGUACUAGCCAUUCAUCCUCAGGGAUAAAGCCACGCAACAUCACCGGCAUUACCCGCUGAAUCCAUAUGUGCCAAUCAUGACUCUUGAGCCCAAAUAUUUUCAAUUUCUCAAGACUUGCUCCCCUCUUUAGAUUCGCAGCAUACCCAUCGGGGAACAUCAACCGCAUUUUCACCCACAAUAGCAUUUCCCUCAUAGCUGGCCUUUCAAGAUUGAACCAUGCCUUUGGCUUCGCUAUGCUUUGCUUUCCUUUCCGUUGUCGCAAGUUUUGCAACGGUCUAUCACAUAGAGCCUCCAGGUCGAUUCUAGCCUUAGGAUUAUCUUUUGACUUCCCCUCUAUGCCGAACAAUGUACCAAAAAUGGCCUCCGCAAUAUUCUUUUCAGUGUGCAUCACGUCAAUGUUGUGUGGGCAAAGGAGGUCUUUGAAGUAAGGGAGAUCCCAUAAGCAUGACUUGUGAGUCCAGGCGUGUUCCGUAUUAUACCCUUUGAAGUAUCCUGGACGCAAAGGAUCGGGCUCGAGAGCGUUUAACUGAUCAAGGGUCUGUUGGCCUGUCAACGCAGCUGGUGCAGUGUUUUUGACAACUCUACCUUUGAUGAAAUUCUUCUUGUCUUUUCUGAACUUAUGGUCAGGAUCCAGGAAUUGUCUAUGCAUGUCGAAGCAAGAAUACUUGCGACCAUCCUGCAGCCAACGGAACUGAAGAGCUGCCUUGCAUGUGGUGCACGGGAACCUUCCAUGCACACACCAGCCAGCGAAUAGCGCAAACGCCGGAUAAUCAUGCGUCGAGUACAUGUACCACACAUGCAUUUUGAAAUUUGUUUUGGUAGCCGCGUCGUAGGUCUUGAUCCCAUUAUCCCAGGCUUCUUGCAACUCAUCCUUAAGCGGCUGCAUGUACACAUUCAUAUUCUUCCCCGGAUAGUUGGGCCCUGGAACUAUCAACGUCAGGAAAAUGUUCUUUCUUUUCAUAAUCUCUCCGGGUGGCAAAUUUAGUGGAAUGACAAAUACAGGCCAACAACUGUAUUGUGCUGCCGUCAUACCAUACACAUUGAACCCAUCCGUGCUGAUGGCAACUCUAGGUUGCCUUGGAUCUUCCGAUUUAUCCUUAUGUAAUGCAUCGAAGUGCCUCCACGCAAAACCAUCUGAAGUGUGUACCAGCAUCUUGUUCCCAUCCGCAUCUAGUUCGGUUCUUUUGCCCAAUUUGUGCCAUGUCAUCUGUCCGGCCGUCUCUUCGACCAUGAAAAGACGUUGAAGUCUUGGUACGAUUGGCAAAUAUUGAAGAACACUAAUGGGGAUUUUGGUCUGAUUCUUCUCACCCAUGCCGUUGUCUACCACAAUAUACCUGGAAGAAUUGCAAAUGGGGCAAUAGUUCAAGGCCGCAUACUCAAGCCUAAAUAAGGCACAUCCAUUCUCACAGGCAUGUAUCUUCUCAUAGGGCAUCUUAAGUACACGGAGGAUUUUCUCCGACUGGUACAGGUUUGCAGGCAGUACAUGGCCUUUGGGUAGAAAGCGUCCAAAUAUCGUCAUCAUCGCGUCGUAGCAUUCUCUGCCUAGGUUGAGUUGAGCCUUCAGAGCCAUUACUUGCGCGAUGACAUCCAGCUGACAAAGCUCAGUCUGCUCGUGGAGAGGACAUUUUGAAGACUCCAGCAUUUCAUAGAAGGCCUUUGCAGAUUCCUCCAUCUCAUCGUCCGAAUCCCGAGCAUCAUCAAAGUCUUGCACCAUGUCUUCAAUCCCGGUACCAUGCUCGUCGGUGCGACGACGAAUCACCUCAGCUCUGGCACGUUGGUCAGACUCACCAUGAAAAGUCCACACCGUAUAAUUAGGCGUAAAACCCCACUUCUGCAAGUGUUUACCCAUUUCAAACUCUGUCUGCUUUUUCCAGUUGUCGUAGUUGGGACACGGGCACCAUGUUUUUUGCUGGCCAUUUGCAAAUGCGGCUCUCACAAACCCCCUGGUUUUUGUUAACCAUUCAUGGGUCAUGUCUUUCUGACUAGGGUGACCAGUGUACAUCCAAGCACGAUCACUCAUGUUGCCUAGCUACCUAUGGGGGCACAAGAAAUAAAUACAUAAUUCAUCAUCUAUAUUCAUACGCUAAUCAAGUUUGUCAGUUUUAUUACGUCCAUGCAACCUACACGCUAAUAGGUAAAGAUAGGUCCUAAUCCCACCCGAGUAUGUGUAGACUGGGUUCGUUUUCCCGUGCUCUGCUCCAGAUGCGACGCAGAAUUUCGGCAGCACCUCCCCGCUGUUCUCCUGAUACACGUCUCGGCAAUAAGCAGAGAGGAUGUGUACCCGGAGAACAACAGGGGAGGCACUGACGAAAUUCCGCAUCGGAUCCGGAGCACAGCAUACGGGAAAACAAACCCAAUCUACACAUACUCGGGCUGUCGAUGGAUAAUGUUGGACAAUUCGAAAGGAUGGCGGUUAUAAAUAUGCAAAGAAAUGCAUAUUUAUAGAUGUCGCCCUUUCGAACGGGAGACGCAUACUGGUCACGCAUACUCAUGAUUGAAGAAACCUAUAGCUAGCAAGUUUCAUCGGCACGAAGACCGGGACAGAGCAAAUUGAGGGGGUAGGAGGAGAAGUCAUUUGUGCUCACCAACAAACGCAAGGGCGGAGCUCGUCCAACGCACGUGGAGGUCGUCGAACAACUGCACAUUGAAAUUCACCCGAUCAACACAAAUACGAUGUUUUUAUAAUUAACAUGAUCGGAAAAUAUGUGACCUAACUCAUAAUUUACAAAACUAUGACCCCGUGGGCCUCUGGAAGGCCGAAAAGCACCUUCUCGUUCAAAAGAAGGCAGAAGAGGUGUCGGGGGUCGGGGCUUAGUGGCGUCGGGAGUCAGUGCCGUCGAGGGUCGGUGGCAUCGGGGGUCGGGGGGUUAGUGGCGUCGGUUGUGGGGGGUCAGUGGCGUCGGGGGUCCAGGGUCAGUGGCGUCGGGGGUCCAGGGUCAGUGACGUCGGGUGUCAGUGGCGUCGGGGGGUCGGGAGUCGUGGGCCGAGGGUCUGGGUCGGGGGCAGUGGCGUCGGGGUCGAGGGUUAGUGGCGUCNNNNNNNNNNNNNNNNNNNNNNNNNNNNNNNNNNNNNNNNNNNNNNNNNNNNNNNNNNNNNNNNNNNNNNNNNNNNNNNNNNNNNNNNNNNNNNNNNNNNUCUCUCUCUCUCUNUNUNUCUUCUUCUUCUGUUCUUCUUCUUCUUCUUUCUUUUCAUUUUGCCUAUUUCUUCUCCGCUUCUCCUCAUGUUGGAGCUAAAUUACCUAAUUAUGUCUUUUUKGAGCUAAAUGGGCUAAUUAUCCCAUUUUAGAGGAAAACAAGCUAAGUAUAUAAUAUUCAUGAGCUAACCAAGGUUCUGAUGCCAUUUUGAGCUUAUUAUGGCAUUUUGGAGCUAAAUGGGCUAAUUAUGUCAUUGUUGGGGAAAUUAAAGCAAGGAUAAUAUGAAAGAGGAGAAGAAAGAGGAGGAGGAGGAGAAGAAGAAGAAAUCAAGAAGAAGGAGGAGAAGGAGAAGGAGGAGAASNNCUAKMUCCUCCUYSKCCUCCUCCUCCUCCUUCUCCUUCUUCUCUUCUUCUUCUUCUUCUUUAUUUUUAUUUUUCCUAUUUCUUCUCCUCUUCUUGGAGCUAAAUUACGUAAUUAUGUUUUUUUGGAGCUAAAUGGGCUAAUUAUCUCAUUUUAGAGGAAAACAAGCUAAGUAUAUAAUAUUCAUGAGCUAACCAAGGUUGACCAAGAAUGAAAUGGUCCAUUAUUGAUAAUUACCGUUUGUUUGAACCAAGAGAUGAAACCGGGAUAGCCGCCUCCUGUCUUUGACAGAAGCGCAUAAUCUUCGACGGAAUCAUUUUCGAUCACCGCUCCAUCCGAGAAUUUGACGAUGUAAGGGCUGUUUGAAAUAUCCGGGAAUAAGAGCAGUUCAAAUGAAUUAGAAGUUACGGGAAAAUGUGUCGAGAACUCACUCGAUGUACGGCCGCACUUCUGGUAGGUUGUUGAAGAUAUACAACGAAAUGUUCCGCCAUUCUUCGACAUCCAACGUUAUUGGUUUCGAAGCACCGACUGGUGCGAGCUUCCCUUUGAAUAGGCUGAGGUUGGACCCACCUUUUUUAUGGUCUGCAUCAUUGUGCCGAGGCUUCGGAUUAUGCAGAUGAUGAUUUUUGGCUUCGUAGUGUGCUGUCACAAAGUUUGCCACCUCCUCAGUAAUGAAUGACUCAGCCAUCGAUGCUUCAAUUCAACGCUUAUUCUUACAUUUAGCUCGAAGGGUCUUCUGCAUCCUCUCAGUUGCAUAGCACCAACGAUCUUGCACGGGCCCACCCAAUCUUGCCUCGGUCAGUAGAUGUAAAAUCAAAUGCUGCAUUGGAUUAAAGAAGCCCGGUGGAAAGAUCUUCUCUAACUUGCACAACAACUCCAGUGCAAACUCCUCCAUGUCUUCUACCACGCCAGGCGACAAUUCUUUCGCACAAAGAACAUGAAAGAAAUAGCUCAGCUCCGCCAGUACUAGCCAUUCAUCCUCGGGAAUAAAGCCACAUAACAUCACCGGUAUUACCCGCUCUAGCCAUAUGUGCCAAUCAUGACUCUUGAGACCAAAGAUUUUUAAUUUUUCAAGACUCGCUCCCCUCUUUAGAUUCGCUGCAUACCCAUCGGGGAACAUCAAGUGCAUUUUGACCCACAAGAUAAUUUCCCUCAUAGCUGGCCUUCCAUGAAUGAACCAGGCCUUUGGCUUCGACCACUUCUGCUUUCCUUUGCCUUCUCGCAUGUUUUGUAAUGGUCUAUGACAUAGUGUCUCUUGAUCGACUCUAGCCUUAAUAUUAUCCUUUGUCUUCCCAUCUAUGUCGAACAAUGUACCAAAAAUAGCCUCUCCGAUAUUAUUUUCAGUGUGCAUCAUGUCGAUAUUGUGUGGAAGAAGGAGGUCUUUGAAGUAAGGCAGAUCCCAGAAGCAUGGCUUGUGAGUCCAGGCGUGUUUUGAAUUAUAACCCUUGAAAUACCAUGGACGCUCUGGAUCAGGCUCGAGGGCGUUUAACUCAUCCAAGAUCUGUUGGCCUGUGAACGCAGGUGGUGCCAAGUUCUUGACAACUUUACCUUUAUUAAAGUUCUUCUUGUCUUUUCUGAACUGAUGGUCAGGAUCCAGGAACUGUCUAUGCAAGUCAAAGCAAGAAUACUUCCGACCCUCCUGCAACCAAUGAAACUGAAGAGCUGCCUUGCAUUUGGGGCACGGGAACCUUCCAUGCACACACCAUCGAGAGAAUAGUGCAUACGCUGGCAAGUCAUGCAUAGAGUACAUGUACUGUUGGAAUUAUGCCCUAGAGGCCAUAAUAAAUAUAGUUAUUAUUAUAAUUCCUGUAUCAAGAUAAUCGUUUAUUAUCCAUGCUAUAAUUGUAUUGAAUGAAGACUUAUAUACAUGUGUGGAUACAUAGACAAAACACUGUCCCUAGCAAGCCUCUAGUUGGCUAGCCAGUUGAUCAAAGAUAGUCAGGGUCUUCUGAUUAUGAACAAAGCGUUGUUGCUUGAUAACUGGAUCAUGUCAUUAGGAGAAUCACGUGAUGGACUAGCCCAAACUAAUAGACGUAGCAUAUUGAUCGUGUCAUUUUAGUGCUACUGUUUUCUGCGUGUCAAGUAUUUGUUCCUAUGACCAUGAGAUCAUAUAACUCACUGACACCGGAGGAAUGCUUUGUGUGUAUCAAAUGUCGCAACGUAACUGGGUGACUAUAAAGAUGCUCUACAGGUAUCUCCGAAGGUGUUCGUCGAGUUAGUAUGGAUCGAGAGUGGGAUUUGUCACUCCGUGUGACGGAGAGGUAUCUCGGGGCCCACUCGGUAAUACAACAUCACACACAAGCCUUGCAAGCAAUGUGACUUAGUGUAAGUUGCGGGAUCUUGUAUUACGGAACGAGUAAAGAGACUUGCCAGUAAACGAGAUUGAAAUAGGUAUGCGGAUACUGACGAUCGAAUCUCGGGCAAGUAACAUACCGAAGGACAAAGGGAAUGACAUACGGGAUUAUAUGAAUCCUUGGCACUGAGGUUCAAACGAUAAGAUCUUCGUAGAAUAUGUAGGAUCCAAUAUGGGCAUCCAGGUCCCGCUAUUGGAUAUUGACCGAGGAGUCACUCGGUUCAUGUCUACUUGGUUCUCGAACCCGCAGGGUCUGCACACUUAAGGUUCGACGUUGUUUUAUGCGUAUUUGAGUUAUAUGGUUGGUUACCGAAUGUUGUUCGGAGUCCCGGAUGAGAUCACGGACGUCACGAGGGUUUCCGGAAUGGUCCGGAAACGAAGAUUGAUAUAUAGGAUGACCUCAUUUGAUUACCGGAAGGUUUUCGGAGUUACCGGGAAUGUACCGGGAAUGACGAAUGGGUUCCGGAUGUUCACCGGGGGGGGCAACCCACCCCGGGGAAGCCCAUAGGCCUUGGGGGUGGCGCACCAGCCCUUAGUGGGCUGGUGGGACAGCCAAAGAAGUCCCUAUGCGCCAUAGGAAGAAAAUCAAAGAGAAAAAAAAGGGAGGUGGGAAAAAGGGGAAGGACUCCUCCUUCCAAACCUAGUUGGAUUCGGUUUGGAAGGGGAGGACUCCCCCCCCUUGGCUCGGCCGAACCCCUUGGUGGUCCUUGGACCCCAAGGGAAGGCUCCCCCUCUUCCUCCUAUAUAUACGGAGGUUUUAGGGCUGAUUUGAGACAACUUUGCCACGGCAGCCCGACCACAUAUCUCCACGGUUUUACCUCUAGAUCGCGUUUCUGCGGAGCUCGGGCGGAGCCCUGCUGAGAUAAGAUCACCACAAACCUCCGGAGCACCGUCACGCUGCCGGAGAACUCAUCUACCUCUCCGUCUCUCUUGCUGGAUCAAGAAGGCCGAGAUCAUCGUCGAGCUGUACGUGUGCUGAACGCGGAGGUGGUCCGUUCGGCACUAGAUCGUGGGACUGAUCGCGGGGCGGUUCGCGGGGCGGAUCGAGGGACCUGAGGACGUUCCACUACAUCAACCGUGUUCACUAACACUUCAGCUGUGCGAUCUACAAGGGUACGUAGAUCGAAUAUCCCCUCUCGUAGAUGGACAUCACCAUGAUAGGUCUUCGUGCGCGUAGUAAAUUUUUUGUUUCCCAUGCGACGUUACCCAACAGUGGCAUCAUGAGCUAGGUUCAUGCGUAGAUGUCUUCUCGAGUAGAACACAAAAGUUUUUGUGGGCGGUGAUGUGCGUUUUGCUGCCCUCCUUAGUCUUUUCUUGAUUCCGCGGUAUUGUUGGAUCGAAGCGGCUUGGACCGACAUUACUCGUACGCUUACGAGAGACUGGUUUCAUCGCUACGAGUAACCCCGUUACUCAAAGAUGACUGGCAAGUGUCAGUUUCUCCAACUUUAGUUGAAUCGGAUUUGACCGAGGAGGUCCUUGUAUAAGGUUAAAUAGCAAUUCAUAUAUCUCCGUUGUGGUGUUUGCGUAAGUAAGAUGCGAUCCUACUAGAUACCCAUGGUCACCAUGUAAAACAUGCAACAACAAAAUUAGAGGACGUCUAACUUGUUUUUGCAGGGUAUGCUUGUGAUGUGAUAUGGCCAACGAUGUGAUGUGAUAUAUUGGAUGUAUGAGAUGAUCAUGUUGUAAUAGAUAAUAUCGACUUGCACGUCGAUGGUACGGCAACCGGCAGGAGCCAUAGGGUUGUCUUUAAACUAACGUUUGUGCUUGCAGAUGCGUUUACUAUUUUGCUAGGAUGUAGCAUUAGUAGUAAUAGCAUGAGCAGCACGACAACCCUGAUGGUGACACGUUGAUGGAGAUCAUGGUGUGGCGCCGGUGACAAGAAGAUCGUGCCGGUGCUUUGCUGAUGGAGAUCAAGGAGCACGUGAUGAUGGCCAUAUCAUGUCACUUAUGAAUUGCAUGUGAUGUUAAUCCUUUUAUGCACCUUAUUUUGCUUAGAACGACGGUAUCAUUAUGAGGUGAUCUCUCACUAAACUUUCAAGACGAAAUUGUGUUCUCCCAGACUGUGCACCGUUGCUACAGUUCGUCAUUACGAGACACCACGUGAUGAUCGGGUGUGAUAGACUCAACGUUCACAUACAACGGGUGCAAACCAGUUGCACACGCGGAACACUCGGGUUAAGCUUGACGAGCCUAGCAUCUGCAGACAUGGCCUCGGAACACAUGAGACCGAAAGGUCGAUCAUGAAUCAUAUAGAUGAUAUGAUUAGCAUAGGGAUGCUUACCACUGAAACUAUACUCAACUCACGUGAUGAUCGGUAUUGAGAUAGUGUAAGUGGAUCAUGAACCACUCAAAUGACUAGAGAUAUGUACUUUUUGAGUCCACUUUGAAUAUAGUCUUGAACAUAGUCUAAGUCCACUAUGAAUAUAUUUGUGUUGUAGAUCAUGGCUCACGCGACAGUCACCCUGAAUUUUAAUACGUUCCUAGAGAAAGCUAAGUUGAAAGAUGAUGGAAGCAACUUUGUAGACUGGGCUCGUAAUCUUAAGCUAAUCUUACAAGCUAGGAAGAAGGAUUAUGUCCUUAAUGCUGCACUAGGAGAUGAACCACCCGCUACGGCUGACUAGGAUGUUAAGAACGCUUGGUUAACACGUAAGGAGGACUACUCAGUAGUUCAAUGUGCAGUCUUGUAUGGCUUAGAACCGGGACUUCAACAUCGCUUUGAGAGUCAUGGAGCAUAUGAGAUGUCCCAGGAGUUGAAGUUUAUCUUUCAGAAGAACGCCCGGAUCGAGAGGUAUGAGACCUUCGAUAAAUUCUAUGCUUGCAAGAUGGAGGAGAAUUCGUCUGUCAGUGAACAUGUGCUCAAAAUGUCUGGGUACUCAAACCGUCUAGCUGAGCUGGGGAUUGAACUCCCGCAAGAGGCUAUCACUGACAGGAUCCUUCAGUCACUGCCGCCAAGCUAUAAAGGCUUUGUGUUGAACUACAACAUGCAAGGGAUGAACAAGUCACCCGGCGAGUUGUUUGCGAUGCUGAAAGUCGCAGAGUCUGAACUCCAUAAAGAGCAUCAAGUGUUGAUGGUGAAUAAGACCACUAGUUUCAAGAGAAACGGCAAAGGCAAGACGGGUAAUUCAAAGAAGAGCGGCAAGCCUGUUGCCAAUCCGAUGAAGAAACCCAAAGCUGGACCUAAGCCUGAAACAGAGUGUUACUAUUGCAAGGGUAUGGGUCACUAGAAGCGCAACUGCCCCAAGUAUCUGGCUGAUAAGAAGGCGGCCAAAGAAAAAUCAGGUAUAUUUGAUAUACAUGUUAUUGAUGUGUACUUAACCGGCACUCGUAGUAGUGCCUGGGUAUUCGAUACCGGUUCUGUUGCUCAUAUUUGCAACUCGAAACAGGAACUGCGGAAUAGACGAAGGCUGGCGAAAGAUGAAGUGACGAUGCGCGUAGGAAAUGGUUCCAAGUUUGAUGCAAUCGCCGUCGGCACAGUUUCACUUCAGUUACCAUCAGGAUUAGUUAUGAACUUGAAUCAUGGUUAUUUAGUGCCUGCGUUGAGCAUGAACAUUAUAUCUGGAUCUUGUUUAUUGCGAGACGGUUACUCUUUUAAUUCAGAGAAUAAUAGUUGUUCUAUUUCUAUGAGUAACAUCUUUUAUGGUCAUGCACCCAAUGUGAGAGGAUUGUUCAUAUUGAAUCUUGAUAGUGAUACACACAUACAUAACAUUGAGACCAAAAGAGUUAAAGUUAACAAUGAUAGCGCCAUAUUUUUGUGGCACUACCGCUUAGGUCAUAUUGGUGUAAAGCGCAUGAAGAAACUCCAUGCCGAUGGACUUUUGGAGUCACUUGACUUUGAUUCACUUGACACGUGCGAACCAUGCCUCAUGGGCAAGAUGACUAAAACUCCGUUCUCCGGAACAAUUGAGCGUGCUAGUGACUUGUUGGAAAUCAUACAAGGGUACGUAGAUCGAAUAUGCCCUCUCGUAGAUGGACAUCACCAUGAUAUGUCUUCGUGCGCGUAGGAAAUUUUUUGUUUCCCAUGCGACGUUCCCCAACAUGUACCACACAUGCAUUUUGAAGUUUUUUUUUCUAGCGGCAUCGUAUGUCUUGACCCCAUUAUCCCAAGCUUCUUCCAAUUCAUCCUUAAGCGGUUGCAGAUACACAUUCAUAUUCUUCCCCGGAUAAUUGGGCCCUGGAAUUAUCAACGUCAGAAAUAUGAUCUUUCUUUGCAUAAUCUGCCUAGGGGGGAGAUUGAGUGGAAUGACAAAUACAGGCCAACAACUGUAUUGGGUUGUCGUCAUGCCGAAGGGAUUAAAACCGACCGUGGCGGCACAGACUCGAGGAUUCCUUGGAUCUGUCGCUUUAUCUUGAUGCAAUCCAUCGAAAUGUUUCCACGCUUCCCCAUCCGAUGUGUGUACCAUCAUCUUAUUCCCAUCCGCAUCUAGUUCGGUUCUUUUGCCCAAUUUGUGCCUUGUCAUCUGUCUGGCUGUCUCUUCGACCAUGAAAAGACGUUGAAGUAUUGGUACGAUUGUGAUAUACCGAAGAACACUAACUGCGAUUUUGGUCUGCCUCUUCUCACCCAUACCGUUGUCUAUCACAAGAUACUUGCAAGACUCACAAUUGGGACAAUAGUCCAAGUGUUCAUACUCCUUCCUAAAUAAGACACAUCCUUUCUCACAUGCAUCUAUCUUCUCAUAGGGCAUCUUAAGUACACGAAGUAUUUUGUCCGACUGGUACAGGUUUGCAGGAAUGACAUGGCCUUUGGGUAGGAAACGUCCAAAUAGUGUCAUCAUCGCGUCAUAGCAUUCUCUUCCCAAGUUGAACUGAGCCUUCAGAGCCAUUACUUGUGCAAUUGCAUCCAGCUGACAGAGCUCAGUGUGCUCAUGGAGAGGACGUUUUGAAGACUCCAACAUUUCACAAAAGGCCUUUGCAGAUUCCUCCAUCUCAUCUUCCGAAUCCCGAGCAUCAUCAAAGUCUUGCACCAUGUCUUCCAUCCCGGUACCAUGCUCAUCCGUGCGACGACGGACCACCUCAGCUCUUGUGCGUUGUAUAGACUCACCAUGAAAUGUCCACACCGUAUAAUUAGGCUUAAAACCCCUCCUCUACAGGUUUUUAGUCAUUACAACCUCUGUCGUCUUUUUAUAGUUGUCGCAUCCAGGACAGGGGCAAUAGUUUCUUUCCUGGCCAUUUGCGAAUGCGGCUUUCACAAAUUGCUUUGUUUUUAAAAACCAUUCUUUCGUCAUCUCUUUCUGCCUAGGGUGACCGGUAUACAUCCACGCACGAUCACUCAUCUUGCGUAGCUACUAAAGACAGAAGAAAUAUAUUUAUAUAUAAUUUAGCAUUUAUAUUCAUCGGUUAAUCAGGUUCGCCAUUUUUAUUAUGUCCAGGCAACCUACAUGCUAAUAGGUAAAGAUAGGUCCUAAUCCCACCCGAGUAUGUGUAGAUUGGGUUCGUUUUCCCAUGCUCUGCUCCGGAUCCAAUGCAAAAUUUCGACAACACCUCCCCGCUGUUCUCCUGAUACACGUCUCCGCAAUAAACAGAGAGGAUGUGCAUCCAGAGAACAGCAGGGAGGCACUGAUGAAAUUCCGCAUCGGAUCCAGAGCACAUCAUACGGGAAAACGAACCCAAUCUACACAUGCUCGGGCUAUCCAUGGAUAAAGUUGGACAAUUCGAAAGGAUGGCGGUUAUAAAUAUGCAAAGACAUGCAUAUUUAUAGAUGUCGCCCUUUCGAACGGGAGACGCAUACUGGUCACGCAUACUGAUAAAUUAAUUGAAUUACCUAAAUCUAGAAAGUUUCAUCCGGAAACCGAGCCACAGUAAAUGAAGGGGCGGGGAGGAGAUGAAAUUUGUACUGACCCACGAAUGCAGGGGCGGAGCUCGUACAACGCACGGGCAGGUCUUCGCACAGCAGACCUCACAGCGACGAGACAACUACCACAUGUAAAUCCACCCGAUCAACGCAAAUAUUCCAAUUAUGUCAUUUUAGAGGAAAACAAGCUAAGUAUAUAAUAUUCAUGAGCUAACCAAGGUUCUUAUGCCAUUUUGAGCUUAUUAUGGUAUUUUCGAGGUAAAUGGGCUCAUUAUGUCAUUGUUGGGUUAAUUAAAGCAAGGAUAAUAUGAAAGAGGAGAAGAAAGAGGAGGAGGAGGAGAAGAAGAAGAAAUCAAGAAGAAGGAGGAGAAGGAGGGGGAGGAGAAGGACUAGAAGGUCCUUGGCCUUCUCCUCCUCCUCCUCCUCCUCCUCCUCCUUCUCCUUCUUCUCUUCUUCUUCUUCUUCUUUAUUUUAAUUUUUCCUAUUUCUCCUCCUCUUGUUGGAGCUAAAUUACCUAAUUAUGUCUUCUUGGAUCUAAAUGGGCUAAUUAUCUCAUUUUAGAGGAAAACAAGCUAAAUUUGGAGGAGAAACUUACCGUAGUGGUCAUCAACGAGGAGAAACACCACGGUUGCUCGCGGCGGCUUCGUUUGGAGACGGUUGCCCUGGAGAAGGGUCGUGCGAUGCCGCUUGGGAGUUAUUCUGCAGAGAAGAUAUUUUGCAAUGUCUUAGUUUGCAUGAUGACACUCAAUUAUUAAUACUAGUUUAUAAUGAAACUCACCGUGCCAAUCGAAGAGAAGACGGGCAUCGGCGGAGGGACUUGACCGCUCUUCUCGCACAGACCCUGAAGAGUGGGUCGUAUUAGUUGGUAUUGAAACAUACAUUACACACAUGAUUUGGCUAAUGUGAAUAAAACAUACCACAGAAAGCUCGUACAGGGCCCGUUGACCCGCCUCAUUCCGAGCCCUCUCCUCCUCAAGCAAUCGUGCUCUGGUCUGGUCCCUCUCAUCAAGAGCAGCCUGAAGAGCAGCCUGGCUUGCCAAUCUCUCUUUCUCAAGAGCAGCGUGGUUUGCCGCUCUCUCUUUCUGAAGAGCAGCCUGAAACACCAUUCCUCGUUACCACAGUAAUGAUCUAUGGUGACACAGAUAAUGAAAUGGAUGAAAGUGUUCUUAGUCCAUACAACUAACCUUGAUGGCAAGUUCGACUGGCCGUGGACGACGCGUUAUCUCAGGACAGUUGCUCGACUGGCGCGCCUUGAUCUCCGGAAGAGUGAGUGGACAACGUAUUAUCCCAUCUCCAAUGGCUAUCGAGCCAUGGGGCCUCCCGCCACCAGAUAUCAUCACCAGCUCUGGAUCCAAAGGUUCCUGGCUAGGGUUAAAGUCAUCCCCUUUCGUAGCCUUCCCCGCGUCCCUGUAUGCCACGAGCUUCUGGUGGGAUGAUAUGUUGGUAAAGUUAUUGGGAUCAUCCAGGUCAGACUCAGAGAAUGCCUUCGCCUUCUUGUACGAGGCAGUAUGGGCCAUGCCAUAAAGGUCGUACAAGUGUGGCAUCUCAGUCUUAUUGUGAUGCGCCUAAAAGAGAGGAACACAAUAUUAGCAUCAAGAAUGAAUUGCAUGAAUCAUGAAGCAAAUCACAUACCCAGUUUCGUCCAAACUGAAGUAAGUUGGCGCUGCCUUGAUGGUGUGGCACACCAACUAUUUGGCUACGCCGAUCCUUCGCAUUCUCGUGGAUGGCUCGCCAGCUGCGUGUGCACCACUCAUCAACAAACGCCCCCCAACAAUCCAUCUUAUCCGCACACCAUCUCGGGGGCACCUGUAAGUUAUUAGAAAGAAUUUUCAGCGCUACGCCUAUGAAUGAAAUCAAGAAAACUACGUAGAAGGACUUAAGAAUAGGUAAUUACCUUCAUGUAUUGCUCCUUCUUCAGAAACUUUCCAAAUCAAUCCUUCUUCGUCUUCUUAAUACCACGCGUGGCGUAGUAAUCUCGAAUAGCCUGCGGCCGAGCCUCGUGGCGCAAGUUCUGUAGUAACCGCCUACACUCGACCUCGAGAACCCUGGCCGCCUCCUCCUCAUAUCCAUCCUCACACCUAUAGAAGGUCUGCAAUCAAACGUGAAAACACCGAUUAGUACAAUAAUUAGCUAUAUUGUUAAUUUUAGAUCCUGUAAAAGGAUAAUUUACCCAAAAGCUCUUGAUCACCAUCUCGGCCCUCGUGUGGCACAAGACACCAUCUAUAAUCUCCUCCGGCGGGGCCUGCGCAGCCUGGUAGUGCUCCCAGGUAAAUCCUAGUGUAGGAACCUGACCCUCACCACGCAACGUGAAAACCCCGGGGAAAUUUGUCUGGCAAAGCACACAAUGGACGGAGUUCGGCCUGCGGACUCCAAGAGGGUGUACCCAUCCCCUGCAGUAUGAUAAGGUCAGCGCAUUAGAUAUUUGAAUAAACUUGAAGGCAAAAGCUAAAAAAGGGUAAAUGUACUUACCUAUCUCCUUCAGGUUUAAUCACCGGCCUCUGCUCGCGGGUAGCCGGGGCGACCGGGAGACGUGUACUACCACGCUUGUACACGGUGGCCCCGUCCACCUGCACAUCGCCCUCACUAUCCGUAAGCUCAUCCCCGCCAUCCCCGCCCCCUGAGCCACCCGGACCCUCGGUCCAAUCCGGCAACUCGGUACGAUCCGGCCAGAUCUCCCAUCCGGCCCUCUCCACGUCGGGUGAAGCCUCCGGAACCCUAGUCUCCUCCGGCUGCUCCUGGGCCGAAUGCACCUCGACCCGAGGCUGCUCCUGGACCGGAGUCUCAUGGGACGAAUGCCCGUGAACAGCAGGCUCCUGGACCGGAGUCCCCGUAGCCUCCUCCGCAAACGGGUCGACCGUACUAGUCCUAUGCUCGGGUGAAUGAGCUAGUGGUGGUGGCGAGGACGGCUCAACAGUCCUCCUGGAUCUUCCGCGGCCACCACCUCUCCCUGUACCCUUCCCCUCCUUCCCUACCCGACCAGCACCUCUCCCAGUGGGCAAUGCCGCCGACAAAGAAGAACCCACGGCUGGUGUCGAAAGACUGUCUGCCAAGGCUCUACAGAGAGAUAGGGGUGGAAGGGAAGUACCACCCCUCGUGCGGGGCGCCUCGGAAGAACCCGUCGAGCGAUCUCGACCCGCGCCCACCAUCUUUCAACACCUGCCAUGAUAAAGAUUAAAAGAAAUUAGUACAACAUAAAAAAAWUUGAAUGACUGACAUGAAUAAUAAUAUGUACAUGAAUAAUAAAGAUUAAAAUAUAUAUAAUUUAAGUUGUGAAUCUUACAAACUAAUAAUCAUCAUCAAUAAAUGCAUCAUCAUCAUCACUAUCACGCAUGUCUUCAUGAAUGACGUGCUCAUCGGGUUCAACGGCGUGAAGUUGUGAAAGGCCUUCCUUUAAUCGUUGAAGCAUUGACAGGUCAUCCGCAUCAGUAACCUCUACGAGUUCCAGGUCUUCUGGUUCCGGCUUAGGGCUAGAGUCGGAUUCAUUGUCGCUGUCUACUUCCAUGUUCUUGGAUGAAGCACGACGGUUCUUGAAACGUUUCUUGGAAAGACGUGUUUCUUGGAAGAAUUCUCCAUCAUAUGUGUCUGGGUUAAUGUGAGGUUCAUAAUCCUGUUCAUUUGGGAGAGGUGGUCUGACAUGUGGCGGCACUUCAUAAACAACAUACCAACCUUCCAUAUUCUUAUCCGUUUGGCAUGCCCACGGUAUAUAGAAAACUUGGGUCGCCUGUUGAGCCGUAAUAUAGACAUCGGGAAUAUCUAAAUGGGUGUUUGGAUUGAUUUCGACUAGUCCUAUAUGUUCAUGACUCCUUCUAGUCUUUUUCGGCCGGAACCAAUAACAUUUGAAGCCUACGACGUUCGGUGGGUUCUCACCAUAGAAUUGAAGUUCAUAAAUUGCUUCAACUCUUCCAUAGUACUCGAUAACACCUUCGCCGAUAGCAGAGACACCACAAUUUGUAGAUUUCCAGUCGGGCAUAGAUAGCUCUUUGCCAAAGGUACGAAAGAGAUACCCGUUGAUGUUGUAUUUCUCAAAUGAACGGACCUUAUAGUGAAAACCAUUAGCGACUUGUCUCAAUUCGGCGUCCAUAGACUCUGAAUUAGCCUACAAGUUUAAUACGAAAAGGUUGUUGCAUUAGCCGCAAGUUAGACCAAGAAUGAAAUGGUCCAUUAUUGAUAAUUACCGUUUGUUUGAACCAAGAGAUGAAACCGGGAUAGCCGCCUCCUGUCUUAGUCAGAAGCUCAUAUUCUUCCACGGAAUCAUUUUCGAUCACCGCUCCAUCCGAGAAUUUGACGACGUAACGGCUGUUUGAAAUAUCCGGGAAUAAGAACCGUUCAAAUGAAUUAGAAGUUACGGGAAAAUGUGUCGAGAACUCACUCGAUGUACGGCCGCACUCCUGUUAGGUUGUUGAAGAUAUACAACGACAUGUUCCGCCAUUCUUUGAUAUCCAACGUUAUUGGUUUCGAAGCACCGGCUAGUGCGAGCUUCCCUUUGAAUAGGCUGACGUUGGACCCACCUUUUUUAGGGUCUCCAUCAUUGUGCCGAGGCUUCGGAUUAUGCAAAUGAUGAUUUUUGGCUUCGUAGUGUGCUGUCACAAAGUUUGCCACCUCCUCAGUAAUGAAUGCCUCAGCCAUCGAUGCUUCAAUUCUACGCUUAUUUUUACAUUUAGCUCGAAGGGUCUUCUGCAUCCUCUCAGUUGCAUAGCACCAACGAUCUUGCAAGGGCCCACCCAAUCUUGCCUCGGUCGGUAGAUGUAAAAUCAAAUGCUGCAUUGGAUUAAAGAAGCCCGGUGGAAAGAUCUUCUCUAACUUGCACAACAACUCCGGUGCAAACUCCUCCAUGUCUUCUACCACGCCAGGCGACAAUUCUUUCGCACAAAGAACACGGAAGAAAUAGCUCAGCUCCGCCAGUACUAGCCAUUCAUCCUCAGGAAUAAAGCUAUGUAACAUCACCGGCAUUACCCGCUCUAGCCAUAUGUGCCAAUCAUGACUCUUGAGACCAAAGAUUUUUAAUUUUUCAAGACUCGCUCCCCUCUUUAGAUUCGCUGCAUACCCAUCGGGGAACAUCAAGUGAAUUUUGACCCACAAGAUAAUUUCCCUCAUAGCUGGCCUUCCAAGAUUGAACCAGGCCUUUGGCUUCGACCACUUCUGCUUUCCUUUGCCUUCUCGCAUGUUUUGUAACGGUCUAUGACAUAGUGUCUCUUGAUCGACUCUAGCCUUAAUAUUAUCCUUUGUCUUCCCAUCUAUGUCAAACAAUGUACCAAAAAUAGCCUCUCCCAUAUUCUUUUCAGUGUGCAUCAUGUCGAUAUUGUGUGGAAGAAGGAGGUCUUUGAAGUAAGGCAGAUCCCAGAAGCAUGGCUUCUGAGUACAGGCGUGUUUUGAAUUAUACCCCUUGAAAUACCCUGGACGCUCUGGAUCAGGCUCGAGGGCGUUUAACUAAUCCAGGAUCUGUUGGCCUGUGAACGCAGGUGGUGCCAAGUUUUUGACAACUUUACCUUUGGUAAAGUUCUUCUUGUCUUUUCUGAACUGAUGGUCAGGAUCCAGGAACUGUCUAUGCAAGUCAAAGCAAGAAUACUUCCGACCCUCCUGCAACCAAUGAAACUGAAGAGCUACCUUGCAUUGGGGGCACGGGAACCUUCCAUGCACACACCAUCCAGAGAAUAGCGCAUACGCUGGCAAGUCAUGCAUAGAGUACAUGUACCACACAUGCAUUUUGAAGUUUUCUUUUCUAGCGGCAUCGUAUGUCUUGACCCCAUUUUCCCAAGCUUCUUCCAAUUCAUCCUUAAGUGGUUGCAGGUACACAUUCAUAUUCUUCCCUGGAUAAUUGGGCCCUUGAAUUAUCAACGUCAGAAAUAUGUUCUUUCUUUGCAUAAUCUGCCCGGUGGGGAGAUUGAGUGGAAUGACAAAUACAGGCCAACAACUGUAUUGGGUUGCCGUCAUGCCGAAGGGAUUAAAACCAUCCGUGGCAUUGCAGACUCGAGGAUUCCUUGGAUCUGCCGCUCUAUCCUGAUGCAAUCCAUCGAAAUGUUUCCACGCUUCCCCAUCCGAUGUGUGUACCAUCAUCUUAUUCCCAUCCGCAUCUAGUUCGGUUGUUUUGCCCAAUUUGUGCCAUGUCAUCUGUCUGGCUGUCUCUUUGACCAUGAAAAGACGUUGAAGUCUUGGUACGAUUGGCAUAUACUGAAGAACACUAACUCCGAUUUUGGUCUGCCUCUUCUCACCCAUACCGUUGUCUAUCACAAGAUACUUGCAAGACUCACAAUUGGGACAAUAGUCCAAGUGUUCAUACUCCUUCCUAAAUAAGACACAUCCUUUCUCACAUGCAUCUAUCUUCUCAUAGGGCAUCUUAAGUACACGAAGUAUUUUGUCCGACUGGUACAGGUUUGCAGGAAUGACAUGGCCUUUGGGUAGGAAACGUCCAAAUAGUGUCAUCAUCGCGUCAUAGCAUUCUCUUCCCAAGUUGAACUGAGCCUUCAGAGCCAUUACUUGUGCAAUUGCAUCCAGCUGACAGAGCUCAGUGUGCUCAUGGAGAGGACGUUUUGAAGACUCCAACAUUUCACAAAAGGCCUUUGCAGAUUCCUCCAUCUCAUCUUCCGAAUCCCGAGCAUCAUCAAAGUCUUGCACCAUGUCUUCCAUCCCGGUACCAUGCUCAUCCGUGCGACGACGGACCACCUCAGCUCUUGUGCGUUGUAUAGACUCACCAUGAAAUGUCCACACCGUAUAAUUAGGCUUAAAACCCCUCCUCUACAGGUUUUUAGUCAUUACAACCUCUGUCGUCUUUUUAUAGUUGUCGCAUCCAGGACAGGGGCAAUAGUUUCUUUCCUGGCCAUUUGCGAAUGCGGCUUUCACAAAUUGCUUUGUUUUUAAAAACCAUUCUUUCGUCAUCUCUUUCUGCCUAGGGUGACCGGUAUACAUCCACGCACGAUCACUCAUCUUGCGUAGCUACUCCAGCACCGCUGCUAUUGUUCUAUGUAUAAGGUUUUCCCUACUAGUGAAUCUUCAUCGUUUAACAGGGUGCUUGGGUCAGCCUUUACUUUGAAGGGAGGAACUUCAUGAAACUUUUCAUAAUCUUCACACAUGUCUGUCUUGCCCUCCAAUCCCACGAUGUCUCUUUUUCCUGAAAGAACUAUGUGGCGCUUUGGCUGAUCGUAUGAUGUAUUCGCUGCCUUAUAUUUUCUUUUUCUCGGUUUGGUAGACAUGUCCUUCACAUAGAAAACCUCAUAGAAAACCUACGCCACAUCAUUGGCUAGGACGAAUGGUUCGUCUGUGAACCCAAGAUUGUUCAGAUCCACUGUUGUCAAUCCAUAUUGUGGGUCUAUCUGUACCCCACCUCCUGACAUAUUGACCCAUUUGCACUGAAACAAAGGGACCUUGAAAUCAUGUCCAUAGUCAAGUUCCCAUAUGUUCACUAUGUAACCAUAGUGUUGGGACUUGGCGACUCACUGGCGACUGAGAGUGACCUAGCGGGCGGCUCAUACAUUACCCCGUAGGCGACUCAGACAAAUGACGAAGGCCCAAGGCCCGGCGUACACUCUGACAUAAGGCAACUCAUAGAGAGGCUAGGAGGGCCGACUCACACAGAAGGCCCAAGAAGACAAAAGACUCCCACAAGAAGGAAACAAGACCCGGAUUAGGAUUCAAGAGAGACUAGUCCUAUUCCUAGUCCUAGUAGGACUCUACAUGUAAACUUACCCCUUCCACCUAUAUAAGGAGGGGUAAGGCGUCCCAAGAGGGACCAGAUUCACAACUUAGAUCUAGACAAGACAAAUCAUGAGAUAGACAGAUUAGACACCCAUGAGAUUAGAGGUGCCUAGUCUGCACCCUUGUAAUUGAGAUCAUCAUCUUCAUCAAUUAAACACAUCCUCUCAAGCCGCCACAUGGUUGCGAUGGCCUCACACCUAAGUUCUCUCACAAGGACAUCUGCCGUGACAAAACCACGACACAUAGUAUGUGUCCUUUUUCCCAUUCUCGUCUGUUGCAUCAAAGCAAACACCGCUGUUUUGGUUGGUGCUCUUUUGAUAUUGGGCGAUCGUGUAAAAUGUAUUCCCAUUUAUCUCAUACUCUUGGUAAGUCAAUACAGUCGAAGAUGGUGCCCUGGACAAAGAGUACAACUCAUCAGAAAAAAUGUUGUCACCUAUGAGACGUUUUUGCAACCAACUGCCAAACGUCCUGAUGUGUUCGUAUGUAAUCUAGUCGUCACACUGCUUCGGGUGUUUGGAGCGCAGAAUAUUCUUGUGUUCAUCGACAUACGGGGUCACCAAGGUAGAAUUCUGUAGAACCGUGUAGUGUGCUUGAGACCAAGAAUGCCCGUCCGUACAUAUUAUUGAGCCUCGCUCCCUAGUGUGCCUUUUCUAGUCAGUCUUUCCUCAUACCGCGAUUCAGGGAGACUAGGAAUGAAGUCAACACAAAACCAAUGACACCCUCUGUUUGAUGGCACAUGGAGAUGCUUACUUAUGGCCUAGCGCGGUUAUGAACAUAUUUCUUUAAGACUCCCAUGAACCUCUCAAAGGGGGACAUAUUGUGUAGAAAUACAAGGCCCAGAAAUAAAAUCUCGUCGACUAUAUGAACUAGGACGUGUGUCAUGAUAUUGAAGAAGGAUGGUCGGAACACCGGCUCGAAACUAACAAGACAUUGCACCAAAUCACUCCUUAACCUUGGCAGGAUUUCUGGAUCGAUCACCUUCUGAGAGAUUGCAUUGAGGAAUGCACAUAGCUUCACAAUGGCUAAUCGAACGUUUUUCGUUAGAAGCUCCCUCAAUGCAACCGAAAGCAGUUGCAUGAUAAUCACGUGGCAGUCAUGAGACUUUAGGUUCUAGAACUUUUUCUCUGCCUUAUUUAUUAUUCCUUUUAUAUUCAAUGAGAAGCCAGAGAGGAACUUCAUACUGAGCAGGCAUUCAAAGAAGAUUUCCUUCUCUUCUUUGGCAAGAGCAUAGCUGGCAGGACCUUCAUACUGCUUCGGGUGCAUGUCGUCUUUUUCAUGCAUACUUCUUCGUCACGUGCAUCACGUUGAUUGCAGAGGGGACCUCUAGGUCUUUCCAAUAGGAUAAGUCCAAAAAUAUAGAUUUCUUCUUCCACAUGGGUGCGCGUCCCGCAUCGUCAUUUGAAACAGAUAGUCCGCUAGGACCCUUUCCAAAGAUUACUUGUAAAUCAUUGACCAUAUCAAGUAUGUGAUCACCAGUACGGAUGGCCUGUUUCUUCCGGUGAUCCGCCUCACCUUUGAAAUGCUUUUCUUUCUUCCGACAUUGAUGGUUGGUCGGAAGAAAUCGACGAUGCCCCAGGUACACAUUCUUCCUGCAUUUGCCCAAAUAUAUAUUGUCGCUGUCAUCUUAACAGUGUGUGCAUGCGUUGUAUCCCUUGUUUCUCUCACCUGAAAGGUUACUGAGAGCAGGUCAAUCAUUGAUGGUUACAAACAACAACGCAUGUAGGUCAAAUUCCUCCCGUUCGUUCUCAUCCCACACACGUACACCAUUUCCAUUCCAUAGCUGUAAAAGUUCAUCAACUAAUGGCCUUAGAUACACAUCAAUGUCAUUGUCGGGUUGCCUAGGGCCUUGGAUAAGCACUGACAUCAUGAUGAACUUCCGCUUCAUGUACAACCAAGGAGGAAGGUUAUACAUACAUAGAGUCACAGGCCACGUGUUAUGCUCGCUGCUCUGCUCCCCAAAAGGAUUAACGCCAUCUGCACUUAAACCAAACCAUACGUUCCUUGGGUCACGUGUAAAGUCGCUCCACUUUUUCUCGAUCUUUCUACACUGCGACCCGUCAGCGGGUGCUCUCAGCUUCCCAUAUUUCUUACGGUCUUUUCUGUGUCAUUGCAUCAACUCGGCAUGCUUUUUAUUUCUAAACAGACGUUUCAACCGUGGUAUUAUAGGAGCAUACCACAUCACCUUGACAGGAACAAUCUUCGCUGUGCGUUGGCCCUCAACAUCACGAGGGUCAUCUCUUCUGAUCUUAUACCGCAAUGAGCCGCAUACCGGGCAUGCGUUCAAAUCCUCGUAGGCACCGCGGUAGAGGAUGCAGUCAUUAGGGCAUGCAUGUAUCUUCUGCACCUCGAAUCCUAGAGGGCAUAGAACCUUCUUUGCUUCGUACACACUGUCGGGCAAUUCGUUAUCCUUUGGUAGCUUUUUCUUCAUUAUUUUCAGUAGAGAACUAAAUCCCUUGUCACAUACACCAUUGUCUGCUUUCCAUUGCAGCAAUUCCAUGCUAGUUUAAUUAAUUGUACCAACAAAACAUAUAUUUUAUUUUGAGAGACAUUGUAUAAAUGUAGACGUUCACAUACACGCAUGUACACCAUCCAUAUGAAUGCAUGCACACACACUCCACGCCUUUUAACAUUUUCAACAGAGCGAGCCAUCAGAUCUUAUGAUAAAAUGAAAAAUAUUUUGUCCGCACCACUCAAGUCGCAUCUCAGACAAUUUGUAAUCAAGAAAUUCGUGGCUUAUAAUGAAACAAAAAACAAGCAAAGCCGGAAAAAGGUUGUGUAGCAACCAUAUAAUGAAUUGAACGGCUGAAAUUUCCAGCACGCACAAUGUAUCCGACGGCCAUGCUUCUUCACUGAUCCGGUGAAGAUAAGGAACCAGGGAACGUCAGCCACCCCUACCACAUCUGCAUGAAAGAAACGGGGCUAUAUAUACCGUGGUGAACAGGCAAUGGGGGCCUCAAGUGUAGCCGGCAUCAUCCUCUCUACAGUUAAUACAGUACCAUGGCCCCCGCCGUGAUGGCUUCGUCGGCUACCACCGUCGCACCCUUCCAGGGGCUCAAGUCCACAGCCGGUCUCCCCGUCAGCCGCCGCUCCAGCGCCAGCCUCGGCAGCGUCAGCAAUGGCGGAAGGAUCAGGUGCAUGCAGGUAUGUCGGGGCACAAAACUGAUAUGAGUUUCUUCCACAUUACAAUUACUGCACUUAGCAGUUACUAGCACUAAGUGUUAAGCGUUCCAUAAUUUCCAAUCAUUCAGGUGUGGCCGAUUGAGGGUAUCAAGAAGUUCGAGACCCUGUCUUACUUGCCACCCCUCACCACGGAGGCCCUCCUGAAGCAGGUUGACUACCUGAUCCGCUCCAAGUGGGUGCCCUGCCUCGAGUUCAGCAAGGUUGGCUUCGUCUUCCGUGAGCACAACAGCUCCCCCGGGUACUACGACGGCCGAUACUGGACAAUGUGGAAGCUGCCUAUGUUUGGGUGCACCGACGCUACACAGGUGCUUAACGAGGUGGAGGAGGUCAAGAAGGAAUACCCUGACGCUUACGUCCGUAUCAUCGGCUUUGACAACCUGCGGCAGGUGCAGUGCGUCAGCUUCAUCGCCUUCAGGCCACCGGGUUGCGAGGAGUCCGGCAAGGCAUAAACUACGAGGUGAAACAAUGGCCUAUGUCGUAUGAAGGUCUUCUGUGAACUUCACUUUUGUCCACGACUCUGCUUUCCGACUAGAGCAUAAUUUGCAUCUCUAUGAUCUGUGUUUGUACGAGCAUAGGUUGUGGAGCAUAUAUGCAUAUGUAAAUUCUAGCACGGCCUACACAUAUACAACACCUGUGCCAUAUUUAUAAUAUACAACAAGCGGACCAUUGUCUUGCUGUUAAUUAUCGGAAAAGUUUAUUUUAUUUAGCACUGCAAUGGAUGUCUCGCAGCUAGUGGGUGGAAGAUUCCUGUAUUUGACAUUAAGACCCACUGAUUGACAAUUGCAAUUUUCAGUUUCUUUACUUAUAUCAAUAACAAAAUAGCUGUGGUAUCUUUUCCAUGUCACUACCAUCAUUUUCAUCGGUUUUUGCUAGUAGAAUAGGAUGACACAUAUUCUUAGUAGAGACACUUACUAAAGAACUUGUGAUGGUCUGGAUAAUAAGCAUCUAACUGAACUAGAUAUAACAACAACAUUCGAACCAUAUUAUGCAACUAUUGGAAUAAAUCUCCAACAUGCAUUGCAUGAGCUCCUUGAGAAGGAUUGUAAUCAUGCUAGUGAAAAUCAAGAAAAAAAACUCGGAUUUCUGUAAGUACUAUGGAGCAACAGCUCCACCGUCCUUUUUCCAUGAAAACAAAAGCAGGCAAGAAAUAUUUACAAAGGGAACAAAGGAAAAGAAAAAACACUUACCUACUUACCUAUUUAUCUAAUGGAGGUUAGAGCAACCUCAACCGGACGACCCAAACGGAUGCUCAUUUUGUCUGUGUUUUAUACAUUUGGAUCGGCUUGUUCGCCCUGUUUUUCUUUUGGGUGACCCAUGCGCCCAAUGCGCGGACCCUUCUUUCGUCCGCACGACAGGUUUGCGGCCAUUUUUUGAUCUCUUUGUUACAUAUGUUUAAAAUUUAAUCCAAGAUUAACGAAGUUGAAUAAAAAUACAACCAUUUCAUAGUUCACAAACCACAUAAAUAUCUCAUAGUUUACAAGCCAAAUUAACAUUAAAUUGUCUCGAAUACAUUUGAAAGAAAAGGUUGCCAAUACAUCUAUUGGUUUCCAAUAUGAAUGCACAUAUGCUCAACCAAAUCAUUUCGCAGGUACAUGUGACUUUCAAUCACGUAUUUGAUGAUGAAACUCGGCGAACUAUGCAAACGUUAUUGCUCCUCCAUGCACAGGCACAACAUUGUCAUCCUGAUUGGAAUUGCCUACCAGGUAAACCAUUCAAAAGGAUGGAAGGUGUUGCAUAGGAUAAGAUCUUCUUGAUCCAAGUGAUGGCUCCAAUUUGUACACAAUUUUAGAGCUCAUUUGUCGCCUAUUAGCUCCAUAUAGCAUGUUCUAUUCAGCAAAUUACAUGUCCAUAUGCAUGAUAUCCAUUAUUUGUCCUUUCCAUCACAAGGAUUGCGUAAUCAUAAUUCUUUGUUAGUGCUUUUUCGUUUUCUUUGUUUUUGAAUGUUUUGUAGGUGAUGUGGAACUCCCAUCCACUUAACACAAUGAAAAGGAUCCAAAGGUAAGGACUUCCUGGCACCAGAUUUAGGCAUUCGGUUUUUUAGUUGCUCAAAAUCAAUAUCUGAUAUUGUACGUGCAUCAACAUUGUUCUCAUGAUUCCAACGAGCAGAAGAACAUUGAAAACAGAGUUUGGAUGUAAAAGUUACGAUUUUACCAAAGAGUCCAAAGCGUUUAACGACCUUUGGCAUGACCAAAAAUGCUCGUAUCAGGCCCUGACAAGCUCGAAAGUUGCCCUUUCAACAGGAAUUUUUCGAGGAUUUCUUGUUCAGUGCCAUAAAAAAGUGGUACUAUCAUUAUUAACUUUGCAUCUGUUGGCGUCAAUGUUAUGGACAUCAAUAUCACUACUAUCUAGAUUCAACAAGAAUAAACCAUUCACAGUAGCCUCAUGACCAUAAAAGAUGUUAGUCAUAUAAAUAGAUAAACCAUUAUUCUCUAAUUUAACCGAAUAACUGUCUCACAAUAAACAAAAUCUAGAUAUAACGUUCAUGCUCAACGUGGGCACCAAAUAACAAUUAUUUAGGUUUACAACUAAUCCCUGAUGGUAAUCGAAGGGCGAGUGUGUCGACGGCGAUCACAUCAACCUUGGAACCAUUUCCGACGUGCAUCGUCAUUUCGUCCUUUGCCAGCCUUCGUUUAUUCCAUAGUUCCUAUUUCAAGUUACAAAUAUGAGCAACCGAACCGCUAUCAAAUACUAAGGCAUUACUACGAGAGCUAGUAUGAUACACAUCAAUAACAUGUACAUCAAGUAUACCUUUGCUGACAUUGCCACGCUUCUUAUUGGACAGGUACUUAGGGAAAUUCCGCUUCUAGUUACCAGUUCCAUUGCAAUAGAAGCACUCAGUCUCAGGCUUGGGCCCAGCUUUGGGUUUCUUGAGGGGGGGGACUGUCUUCCCGUUUUUCUUUAAGUUUCCUUUCUUGCCCUUGCCUUUCUUAAAACUAGUGGUUUUAUUCACCAUCAACACUUGAUGCUCCUUCUUGAGUUCUACUUCUGCGAUUUUCAGCAUCGCGAAUAGCAUAGAGAUUAGCUUCUUCAUCCCUUGCAUAUUAUAGUUCAUCGUGAAGCCUUUGUAGCUAGGUGGCAGUGACUAGAGAACUAUGUCGGUGAUCGUCUCAGGUGGAAGCUCAACUUCCAACUGAUUCAGGCGGUUGUACCACCCACACAUUCUGAGUAUGUGCUCACUGACAGAACUAUUAUCUUCGAUCUUGCAGGUGAAGAACUUAUUAGAGGUCUCAUACCUCUUGAUCCGGCCAUUUGCUUGAAAUACUAACUUCAACUCCUGGAUCAUUUGAUAUGCUCUAUGGCGUUCAGAAUGGUUUUGAUGUCCCGAUUCUAAGUCGUACAACAUGGCGCACUGAACUAUCGAACAACCAUCACCACGCGCCUGCGAGACGUUCACAAAAUCUGCAGAGGGCACUAGAGGGGUGGCGCCUGAGGCGGUGCAUCAAGGACAUAAGCCUUUUGCGAAACCGUGAGGAUAAUCCUGAGAUUAAGGACCUAGUCUGCAUAGUUACUUCCCUCAUCUUUCAGCUUAUCUUUCUCUAGGUACACAUUAAAAUUCAGGGGAGCUACUGCGUGAGCCACUGAUCUACAACGUAAUUUGCAAAGACAUCUAUAGACUAUGUGUCAUGACAAUGAGUUCAAUCAAUCAUAUUAUUAGAUAACUCCCACUCAAAUCAACAUCCCUUAGUUGUCUAAGUGUGACAUGAUCCAAAUACACCAACCCAAGUCCGAUCAUCAUGUGAGAUGACGUGAUUUCAAUGGUGAACAUAUCCAUUUGAUGAUAUGUACUAUAUGACUCAUGUCCGACCUUUAGGUCUCCUCUAUUCCCAGGCCAUGUUUGUACAUGCUAGGCUCGUCAAGUUUAACCCAAGUGUUUUCCAUGUGCAAAACUGGCUUACAACCGUUGUAUGUAAACGAAGAGUGUAUCACACCUGAUCAUCACGAGGUGCUUCGAAACAACAAACUUUCGCAACAGUGAGGGAUCAACUUAUAAUGCUAUCAUUGUCCUAAGGAGAAUAAGAUGCAUAAAAGAUAUACAUCACAUGCAAAUCAUAUAAGUGACAUGAUAUGGCCAUCAUCAUCUUGUGAUUUUGAUCUCCAUAUCCAAAGCACCGACAUGACACCAUGAUCUCCAUCAUCGUGUCGUCAUGUGGUUGUCGCGCCAACUAUUGCUAACUCAUAGUGAUAAAGUAAAGCAAAUGGCACAAAUAAAUGAAAGACAACCCUAUGGCUCCUACCGGUUGUCGUACUCAUGCAUGCAUGGACAUGGAAGUCGUGAUAACUAUACAAAACAUGAUCAUCUCAUACAUCACAUAUAUCAAAUAACGUUUUUGGCCAUAUCACAUCAUAACAUUCCCUGCACAAACAAGUUAGACAUCCUCUACUUUGUUAUUGUAAGUUUUAUGUGGCUGCUAUGGGAAACUAGCAAAAACCAUUCUUACAUGCUCAAAGCCACAACGGUGAUAUUCAAGUUGCUAUCUAACCCUUUACAAGGACCGCCUCUAUCGACUCCGAUUCAACUAAUUAAAGUGAGAGAGACAGACACCCGCCAUCAACCUUUAUCGAAGCAAGUUACAUAUUAGUUGGUCAAACCGGUCUCUUGUGCGUGGACAAGUAAGGUUGGUCUGAGCCGCUCCAUCCCAGAGUUUCACGGAAUCAAAAUAAUACUAAGGAGCUAAGCAAGAUGAACAUCAACACCCACAAACACUUCGUGUUCUACUUGUGCAUAUCAUCUAUGCAUAAACCUAGCUCAUGAUGCCACUGUUGGGGAACGUUGCUUGGGAAACAAUAAUUUUCCUACGAACACCCAAGAUCCAUCUAUGGAGAUGUAUAGCUACGAGACGGGGAGUGACCUUGUAGAUCGCUAAGCGGAAGAGUUAAGAAAAGUGGUGAUGGUGGUGGUGGUGCAAUCUCAACGGGGCUUUACCAAGCGCUGCUACAGACGCGACGGGGGAUAAAAUUGAUCUCAAGAGAGAGGGAGAGCGCCGACAAAGGCUUGAUGUGUGGUUGCCCUCCCCAUCCUCUCAUAUAUAUAUAGGGAAGGGAGGAUGGGGCCGACACUAGGGUUUCCCCUAGGGGUGGGGGCCGCGGCCUAGGAGCUGGCUUGCCACCCAAGCAAGGGUGGCGCCACCCCUCGGGCAUGCACUUCCACCAGCCCAGUCGCAUGGGCCUAGGUGGGGAGGGGCGCCCAGCCCACCAGGGGCUGGUGCGCGUCCUUCUCAGCCCAUGUGGCCCCUCCGGGGCAGGUGGCACCCUUUCGAUACUCCCGGUACUCUACAUAAUACUUACUAAAGAACUUGUGAUGGUAUGGAUAAUAAGCAUCUAACUGAACUAGAUAUAGCAACAACAUUCGAAACAUAUUAUGGAACUAUUGGAAGAAAUCUCCAACAUGCAUUGCAUGAGCUCCUUGAGAAGGAUUGUAAUCAUGAUAGUGAAAGUGAAGAAAGAAACACUGAUUUUUGUAAGUACUAUGGAGCAACAGCUCCACCGUCCUUUAUUCCACUAAAAAAAAGCAAGCAAGAAAUAUUUAAGAAGGGAACCAAGGAAAAAGGAAACAAACACUUACCUACUUACCUCUUUAUCUAAUGGAGGUUAGAGCAACUCCAACCAGGCGAUCCAAUUGAACAUGUGUUUUGUCCGCGUUUUGUCCAUUUGAGACAGCAUGUCCGCCCUGUUUUUCUUUUAGGCCGGCCUUGUGCCCAAUGCGCCGACCCAUCUUUCGUCUGCGCGACAUGCUUGCGGGCAUUUGUUGAUCACUUUGUCACAUAUGUAUAAAAUUUGAUCCUAGACUAACAAAGUUCAAUAAAAAUACAAAAAAAUCGUAGUUCAGAAACCACAUAAAUAUCUCAUAGUUUACAAGUCAAAUAAACAUUAUAUUGUAUCAAAUACAUUUGAAAGAAGCAGUUGUCGAUACAUAUUUUAGUUGCCAACACGAAUCCACAUAUGAUCAACCAAAUCCUUUUGUAGUUGCAUGUGAGUUUCCCAAUCACGUAUCUGAUGGUGAACUGUGCAAAUGUUAUCCCUCCUCCAUGCACAGGCACAACAUUGUCGCCAUGAAACUCAAAUCCUUGAUCAUAGACACGUUCUGGGCGCUCAUCUUCUACGAUCAUGUUGUGCACGAUCACACAAACAAUAAUCACCUUCCAUCACUUCUGGGUGCCCGAAGUUCUUGCAGGAUACCGAACAAUGCCCCAUCGAGAUUGAAAACACCAUAGGGACGCUCAACAUCCUUCCUAGCACUCUAUUGAUCUUGGGCAUAUCAUGGAAUAAGUCGGCCAGUGACAAGGUAGCAUACCUAGGUAGAGACGACAUAGAUGAGGUGGCUGGGAGGGAUACAGACGGAUGGUUGGCGGCGUCGAUGGAAGGUGGGAUGGACGGGUGAGUUUGAGGCGAAGAGAGAAAGAUGAGAUUGGCCUAUUUGGGCCAGUGGAAAGAAAAGGGCGGGUGUCACGGGCGUCAAUCCCGUGUUCGUGCCGAUGCAAAUGCGGUCAAAUUUGGGCAUGGAAUGGGUCACAGGUGGACAUAAACAAGACGUGUGUCCGUUUGGUUCGCCGCAUUGGGUCGAGUGUUGUGUUAGCGAUGACCCAAACGGACAGGCAUGGACGAAAUGGGUCGGCCGGUUGGAUUUGCUCUUACUAAUCCAAUCUAGGAGCUUUGGUUUUAUACAAGCCUUAACACCAUGUUCAAGAAGAGAUGGCAUGUCCAAGUUUACAACACCAAGUGGGAUUGGUUGACCGCUCCCCUAUGAAGAUAUUGACAUUUCUAAUAAUACAAAUAUUAGUUCCAAGAACACAACUUCAAAUAAGAAAGGGUGUCCAAAUCAUUUACAAGCAGCAUCCAUACAUCGUGUACUAUUUUGUCAAGGGAUCCAAUUAAUCUGCAAAUAAGCCCAAAUCCUUUGACUCAAAUUAUAGGGAGAAAAAGAGGUGGUCUAUUUUCUCAUGUGACAAUAGUGGUUUUCAUCCUGAGGAGAAUGCGAGUGAUCUUCUAAGAGAAAUUUUUCAAGCCUUCAAUCGAUAAAAAAAUAGGAUCUAAGCAAAGAUCUUGAUCUUAGUGGUCCACUGUCAUAUCCAUUUGCAAGGUUCAUAUCUGGGCAAGUGCAUGCAUCAUGGAGUACAAACUCUCAGAAGAAAAUGAUUCUCUUAAUGAAGAACAAGUAAGACAAGGUUGCGGUACGUUGAAGGUUAUGUAACCUACCAUCCACAGGUUGCAAUUCAUCCAUCGCCUCCGGAGAAAUUGGAGGAGCAAAAGAUGGCCCAAUCAGGGUUUUCGACAAAAUCUUCAAUUGAAAUGUAGUCAUCCAAGGCAAAGAAAGGAGCUUUUCCAAGUGGUGUUGAAGAGAUCGAGGAGAUCCCUCAACCAACUAGGUUCACACAAGAACAAGGAAGAGUCGCUCGUACUAACUUUCAUUGAUCAUAUGGUGUUGUACUAAUCGUUAAAUUCAAACAUAUUCAUCCAUGUUGCGACAGGUAUGACUCCAUGAUAGUAAGAAAUCCAUAUCAAAGUUUCCCAUGGAAGAUGAUCUUUGUUAUUAAAUUUGCCUCAAUGUUCUGUAAGAAAAGCUCGGUCUUGAAUAUGAUGGUUAAUGAUACCCAUACCUACCCAUACCACCAUUCUCCUUUGGUUUACAUACCAGAUGAAAUGACGCUAAUGGUUGCUUUGGGCUAUCAGCAUUGCCAUGCCGCCUCAAUUCCCUCAAGUUCAUUAAUUAUACCAGGGGGUCUAGAGACUACACCCAUAGUAUAUAGCACAAAUGAAAUGGCAGAGCUCAAAAUUUCAAUUUACCUUGUCAGAGAUAGAGAAGAGCUAGCUACCAGUCACCUUUUGAUUCUAUCAACCAAAGGCAUUAAGUCCUGGAUCUUGGGCGUAGUGUUACCCAUAGGUAAACCAGGUAAAUGAAAGGAAUCUUACCCAGUUGACACUCAAACAUACUAACCAACGAAAAUAUUCAUCGUCAAUCACAUUCAUAAGCACCAUAGAGGAUUUACAAAAAUUCACUUUCAAACGAGUGGAUUUAGAUAAAGAUUAAAACAUUUCUUUUAGGUCAAUAAGUUGAGAAUCAAUACCCAGCCUGAACAGCAGACUACACAACUCGAGAGUCUAGAUACUGAGAUGGGAUUGGAAAAGAUACCUCCUCACGAUGAUACAUGUUAUUGUGAAUACGCUGAAGUAAAUCCUCUCCCAAGAAAAAUAGAAGUGGCAACAGUGGGUCACCCUAUUAAAUCCUAGGUUUUCAUUGUAAUUGCUAAAAGUAGGUGGAUGUCGCCUAGGGGGCGUGAAUAGGCGUUUUAAAAUAAUUACAUUUUAGGCAAGAAAAAAUGCCCAAUAAAACUAACGUUUAAUUAGUCAAGCACAAAACCUAAAACAACUAGGCUCACCUAUGUACACCAACAAGUUAUGCUAAGCAAGAUCAACAACUAAAUGAUAGCAAGGUAUUUGACGAGAAACAAUAUGUCUAUCACAAAGUAAAGUGCAUAAGUAAAGUGCUCGGGUAAGAGAUAACCGAGGCACGCAGAGACGACGAUGUAUCCCUAAGUUUACAUCCUUGUGGAUGCUAAUCUCCGUUUGGAGUGGUGUGGAGGCACAAUGCUCCCCAAGAAUCCACUAGGGCCAACAUAAUCUUCUCAUGCCCUCGCACAAUACAAGAUGCCGUGAUUCCACUAAGGAACCCUUGAGGGCGGUCACCGAAACUGAAAGCACAUAUGCUCCCUUGGUGGUUUUGAUAAUUCAUGACAACAUACAUUGUCUCUUGCACUAACACUUUCACCUAGUAUAUUUCAGGUAUAGUCCACAAAGAGCAUUGGCUAAAUGAUUGUGUGGAGAAGUUCCAAGGAAAGGAAUAGGAUUGUCCAAGGUUCAAGCAAGAGGACUCUAUAUUUUAUAUUUGUGAGAAAUCAAUUUUGAGUCCAUAAAAAGCCAAUACUAUUAAAAGGGGUGAGGUAUGUGUGAUGAAUUGGUUGUUCAAGUGCUUAGGGAUAGACACAAAAAAUAUUCAGUGAUUCUCCCACAAAUAUAUCUGUCCAAAGCCUUCACAUCAAAAUUGGUGCCACCAAGAAUUCUAUUUCGUCCCUAUCUAUUUUCCGAGUGACAGAUCCUUUGCACAAACCCUAAUCUCUCGGUACCACCAACUUUCAUAUUGGUGCCACCAAAAGACAGUGACCAACUUUUUGGUAUCUCUAUUUCUAGAAUUGGAAUUUCCGAGAUUGAAAUCGGUACCACCGAGAAUUGGAAACUGCCCUAGGUCAUCGAGUCGGUACCACCAAGAUUUCUAUAUCGGUCUCACCAAAAAUUAAAAAGUUGUCACGUUUAGUGCAACUCGGUACCACCGAGAUUAAUUUCGCUGUCACUGAGUUGGGCAAUAAUUUUGUAAUGGUUGGAUUUUGGGAGAUGCCUAUAUAUACCCUUCCACCUCCAUUCAUUCGCAUAGGAAGCACUCAGAACACACUUACACUUGCCAUAUCCAUUUUUUCAGAGAGAGAGCCACCUACUCAUGUGUUGAGAUCAAGAGAUUCCAAUCCAUCCAUUUUAAACUACAUCUCUAGCCUCCCGAAGUUGCUUUCCACCAAAUCAAUCUCUCCUAGCCAUGUCAAAUCUAUGAGAGAGUGAUUGAGUGUUGAGGAGACUAUCUUUUGAAGCACAAGAGCAAGGACUUCAUCGUUCUACCGCAUCUAUUACCUUUUGGAGGGUGGUGCCUCCUAGAUUGGUUAAGUGUUGCUUGGGAGCCUCCUACUUCAUGUUGUGGAAUUGAACCAAGAAGUUUGUACGGGCAAGGAUAUCGCCUACAACGUGAAGAUCUACCCUCAGUGAGGCUAGUCCUAUGUGGACGUAAGCCACGAUGGAAUAUACAAGGCAGCUUCUUCGUGGACCCCUUGUGGGUGGAGCCCUCAAUGGACUCUUGAAGUCGUUACCCUGUGUGCGUUGAAGUCUCCAUUAACGUGGACGUACAAUAGCACUAGCUAUCUAAACCACGCCAAAAAUCACCGUGUCUUCUUUGCGUUUGAUCUUCCUAAACUCUACUCCUUACUUACAUGUGCAAUGCUUUACUUUCCGCUGCCAUAUAUGUUGACUAGCAUGUGUAGGGUGCACUAGACUUGUUAGAAUUGCUAAAAUCUACCAACCAUUAAAAUUGGGAAAAGGCUAGGAUUUUAAUUUUUCCAAUUAGACUAUUCACCCCCUAGACAUCCCUUCUAGUGAUCCCACAAUUUGUAAUAGAUAUUUGGCCUCCAUAGCCUGGGUUUAAUCACCAUUGGAGGAAGAUGGAUGUGCGUAGUUUGGGGAACCUUAGUUGUAGAGUGUCUAUUCUCGAUGGAGAGUAAUUUAGACAAUGGAAAUAUGAAAUGUUUCAUAUAUUGAAUGAAUUCCAUUUGCGCUAGUAUGUUGAAUAUCCCUAUGUGUCUCCCAUUGAUCCCUUACAUCCUUCUCAUGAUGAUGAUGAAGUUAAUAUGCUUGGUAAUGUUAAAACUAUUAAUCUUAUCAUUAGAGGACUGCCAAGAAAUGUGCUUAAGCAAAUGAAGAACUUUGAAUUUGCUUAUACUUUGGGGAAAUAUUUGGAGAAAAGAUACCCCGACUACUGCCAAUAAUAACACUUAGUUUUUGGCUUAGGUCCAGCCUUGGGUUUCUUCGUCGGAGGGGCAACAGAUUUUCCACUCUUCUUGGAGUUACCCUUCUUUCCUUUGUCGUUAUUCUUGAAACUGGUGGUCUUAUUGACCAUCAACACUUGAUGUUCUUUCUGGAUUUCUGACUCUGCCACUUUCAGCAUCACAAACAGCUCGGCGAGUGAGUUAUUCAUCCCUUGCAUGUUAUAGUUCAACAAGAAGCUCUUAUAGCUAGGUGGAAGUGACUGAAGAACUCUGUCAGUGACAGCCUCUUGCAGGAGUUCAAUCCCCAGCUGAGCUAGAUGGUUAGAGUACCCAGACAUUCUGAGUAUGUGUUCACUGGCAGACCCGUUCUCCUCCAUUUUGCAAUCAUAGAACUUAUCGGAGGUCUCAUACCUCUCGAUCCGGGCAUUCUUCUCAAAGAUAAACUUCAACUCCUGCAACAUCUAAUAUGCUCCAUGACGUUCAAAACGUCUUUGAAGUCCUGGUUCUAAGCCAUACAAAACUGCACAUCGAACUCAUGAGUAGUCAUCCUUACGCGACUACCAAGUGUUCAAAACAUCUUUGUCGCCGUAGCGGCUUGUGCAUCACCUAGCGCAACAUCAAGGACAUAUUGCUUUUGGCCAGAUGUGAGGAUAAGCCUCAGAUUACAAGUCCAGUGAACAAAGUUGCUUCCAUCAUAUUUCAACUUAGCUUUCUCUAGGGACGUAUUAAAAUUCAGCAUUGCUACUGCGUGAGCCAUUGAUCUACAACAUAAAUUUUUGCAAAUAUUACUUAGAUUAUGUUCAAGAAAAUUGAAUUUAGCUAAUCAUAUUACUAAUAAACUCCCACUCAAAUUGACAUCCCUCUAGUCAUUCGAGUGUCGCAUGAUCCAAAUUCACUAACUCAAGUCUGGUCAUCACGUGAGUUGAGUAUAGUUUCAAUGGUGAACAUCUACAUGUUGAUCAUAUCAACUAUGUGAUUCAUGCUCGACCUUUCGGUCUCUUGUGUUUCGAGGCCAUGUCUUUACAUCCUAGGCUCAUCAAGUUUAACCCGAGUGUUCCACGUGUGCAACUGUUUUGCACCCUUUGUAUGUGAAGUUGAGUCUAUCACACCCGAUUAUCACCUGUUGUCUCAAAACGACGAACUGCCGCAACGGCGCACAGUCGGGGAGAACACAACUUUAUCUUGAAAUUUUAGUAAGAGAUCACCUUAUAAUGGUACCGUCGUUUUAAGAAAAAUAAGGUGCAUAAAAGGAUUAACAUCACAUGCAAAUCAUAAGUGACAUGAUAUGGCCAUAAACUUGUGCUUCUUGAUCUCCAUCAGCAAAGCACCGGCAUGAUCUCCAUCGUCACCGGCGCCACACCAUGAUCUCCAUCAUCGUACUGCCAUCGAGGUUGUCGCGCUAACUAUGCUUUUACUAAUAAAGCUACUACUAGCGAUAAAGCAAAGCAUCACCAAGGGCAAAAAUAAUUAAAGACAACCCUAUGGCUCCUGCCGGUUGCCGUAGCAUCGACGUGCAAGUCGAUAUUUAACUACUACAACAUGAUCAUCUCAUACAUCCAAUAUAUCAUAUCAUGUAUUUGGCCAUAUCAUAUCACAUGCAUACCGUGUAAAAACGAGUUAGACGUCCUCUAAUUUGUUGUUGCAAAUUUUACGUGGUUGCUAUGGGUAUCUAUUAUGAUCGCAUCUUACUUACGCAAAGCCACAACGCUGAUAUGCAAAUUGCUAUUUAAUCUUCUCCAAGGAACACCUUGGUCAAAUCCGAUUCAACUAAAGUUGAAGAAACAAACACCCUCCAGUCAACUUUAUGCAACAAGUUGCAUGUUAGUCGAUGAAGCCGGUCUCUCGUAAGCGUACGAGUAAUGUUGGUCCGGUCGCUUCGAUCCAACAAUACCGCUGAAUCAAGAAAAGACUAAGGAGGGCAGCAAAUUGAACAUCAACGCCCACAAACUCUUUUAUGUUCUACUCGAGAUAUCAUCUACGCAUGAACCUAGCUCAUGAUGCCACUUUUGGGGAACGUUUCAUGGGAAACAAAAAAUUUCCUACACAUACGAAAGACCUAUCAUGGUGAUUAUCAUCUACGAGAGGGGAGAUCGGAUCCACAUACCCUUGUAGAUCGCUAAGUGGGAAGCGUUAAGAAACGUGGUUGAUGUAGUCGAACAUCUUCGCUAUCCAAUCACGAUCCAUCCCACGAACUGCGUCCCGAUCUAGUACUGAACGGACGACACCUCCGCGUUCAGCACACGUACAACUUGAUGACAAUCUGCGCCUUCUUGAUCCAACAAGAGAGACAAAGAAGUAGCUGAAUUCUCUGACAACACGAUGGCACGGCAGUGAUGGUGGUGGAGCUACUCCGGUAGGGCUUCACCGUGUCGUACUUAACUAGCUACGGGGUGUCACGAAGUAGUGGAGGGAGAGAGGGCUGCACAAAGACUUGGGGUGCAAAAACCCUCUCAAACCUCCACUAUAUAUAGGAGGAACAAGUGAGAGGGUGGCUUGCCUCCUACUCCAAGUAGGAGGGUUUGGACGAGCCCAAGAGGGAGGAGUCCUCCACCAAUUCGGUUUGGUGGAGGACUCCUUCCCAUCUUGUCCACCUCCUUCCUUUUAUUUUCUUUUUUACUUCUUAUUAUUGCUUUUAGCCAUUAUAGGCUUAUUGGGCUGGCCUCAACAGCCCACUAAAGGCUGGGGCGCCACCCAUGGGCCUAUUAGGUCCUAUCCCGAGUGGGUGGCCCCUCCCGGUAAAACCCCAGAACCAGUUCGUCUCUCUCGGUACUUUAGCGGUAAUGCCCGAAAUCUUUCCGAAAGCCUAUAUAUCAAUUGUUGUUUCCGGACCAUUCCGGAGACCCUCGUGACGUCCGAGAUCUCAUCUGGGACUCCAAACAACAAUCGGUUACCAACAUCAAUAAUUCAACAAUACCAAAACGUCACCGAACCUUAAGUUUGCACACCCUGCGGGUUCGAGAACUGUGUAGACUUGAUCGAGACACUCUCCAGCCAAUAUCCAAUAGCGGGACCUGGAUGCCCAUAUUUGAUCCUACAUAUUCUACGAAGAUCUUAUCGGUCCAACCUCUAUGUCAAUGAUUCAGUUAAUCCCGUGUAAUGUUCCCUUUGUCCUUCGGUAUGUUACUUGCCCGGGAAUCGAUCGUCGGUAUCUCUAUACCUAGUUCAAUCCCAUUAAUGGCAAAUCUCUUUACUCGUUCCGUAAUACAGUAUCCCGUGGCUAACUCUUUAUUCACAUUUCUUGCAAGGCUUAUUGUGAUGUUGUAGUACUAAGUGGGCCCCGAGAUACCUCUGCAUCAGAAGGAGUGAUAAAUCCCAGUCUUGAUGCACGCCAACCCAACAUACACUUUCGGAGAUACCUGUAGAGCACCUUUAUAGUCAUCCAGUUACGUUGCGACAUUUAAUACACACAAGAUAUUCCUCCGUUGUUCGGGAGUUGCAUGAUCUCAUAGUCAUAGGAAUAGAUACUUGACACACAGAAAACAAUAGCAACAAAAUGACACAAUCACAUGCUAUGUUUAUAGUUUGGGUCUUGUCCAUCACAUCAUUCCCCCAAUGAUGUGAUCUCGUUAUCCAUUGACAACACUUGUCUAUGGCUAGGAAACCUUAACCAUCUUUGAUCAAUGAGCUAGUCAACUAGAGGUUUACUAGGGACAAUAUUUCGUCUAUGUAUCUACACAUGUAUCUGUGUUUCCAUUCAAUACAAUUCUAGCACUGGAAACAGGAAAUAUAAUAAUAACUAAUUUAUAAUUGCCUCUAGGUCAUAUUUCCAAGAGAGGAAGCUCCACCAUCCAACAAGAAGAAGCUCUCAUGAGUUCGAGAAAAGAGUGGACAAGGAUUAUCCGCUGAAUCAAAUCUUCGUUGACAUACAAACUGGGAGAAUUACUCACUCUAAAACUUGUUUAGGUAACUUUUGGAGCAUUACUCAUUAUCUCUGGCAUAGAGCCUAUGAAGGUACAAGAAUCCCUUCAAGACCCAUAUUGGGUGAAUGCGAUGCAUGGAGUGUUACACAGAUUCACGAGGAAUGACGUUUUUACACUUGUGGAAAAGCCCAAGGACGAGAAAAGCGUCAUUGGUACAAAAUGGGUAUUUGGCAACAAGCAAGAUGAACAUGGUCAAUUUGUACGCAACAAGGCGUGUCUCAUAGCCCAAGGAUACACGCAAGUUGAUACGUCUCAAACGUAUCUAUAAUUUUUGAUGGUUUCAUGUUGUUAUCUUGUCAACUUUGGAUGUUUUAUAUACCUUUUAGAUCUUUUUUGGGACUAACUUAUUAAUUCAGUGCCAAGUGCGAGUUCCUGUUUUUUCUGUGUUUUUGACUCUUUUCAGAUCUGAUUUUGGAACGGAGUCCAAACGAAAUAAAAUCCCCGAAAUAAAUUUUGAGGGCCAAGGCAGGAGGCCCAUAGGGAGCCCACAAGCCGUGACGCUGCGGCCAGGGGGGCCGCGGCGACCAGGCUUCUGGCCUCCCUGGCGCUCCCCUGCCCGAGCUCUUUCGCCUAUAUAUUCCCUAAAAUCCCAGAAAAAAUCAGGGCAUCCACGAAAACACUUUUCCGCCGCCGCAAGCUUCCGUUUCCGCGAGAUCUCAUCUGGAGACCCUUCCCAGUGCCCUGCCGGAGGGGACUUUGGAGUUGGAGGGCUUCUACAUCAACAUCAUCGCCUCUCCAAUGACUCGUGAGUAGUCCACUUCAGACCUACGGGUCCGUAGUUAGUAGCUAGAUGGCUUCUUCUCUCUCUUGGAUCUACAAUACAAUGUUUUCCAUGAUCUUCAUGGAGAUCUAUCCGAUGUAAUCCUCUUUGGCGGUGUGUUUGUCGAGAUCCGAUAAAUUGUGGAUUUGUGGUCAGAUUAUCUAUGAAUUAUAUUUGAGUCUUUGCUGAUUUCUUAUAUGCAUGAUUUGAUAUCCUUGUAAGUCUCUCCGAGUCUUGGGUUUUGUUUGGCCAACUAGAUCUAUGAUUCUUGCAAUGGGAGAAGUGCUUGGUUUUGGGUUCAUACCGUGAGGUGACCUUUCCCAGUGAUAGAAGGGGCAGCAAGGCACACAGGGGAUAGGUGCCAUCAAGGGUAACAAGAUGGGAUUUUAGUCAUAGAUUUGAGAUUGUUCAUCUACAUCAUGUCAUCUUGCUUAGAUGCAUGCUGGAUAGCGGUCGACGUGUGGAGUAAUAGUAGUAGAUAAAGAAAGUAUCGGUCUACUUGUUUUGGACGUGAUGCCUAUAGAUAUGAUCAUUGCCAUAGAUAACGUCAUGACUUUGCACGGUUCUAUCAAUUGCUUGACAGUAAUUCGUUGACCCACCGUCUACUUGCUUUCAUGAGAGAAGCCACUGGUGAACACUACGGCCCCCGGGUCUAUUCACAACUAUCGCUUCCACUUUUACUUUUACUUUGCUUUGUUUACUUUUUGCUUUCAGUUCUCACUUUGCAAACAAUCUAUAAGGGAUUGACAACCCCUUCAUAGCGUUGGGUGCAAGCUCUUUGUGUUUGUGCAGGUACUUGUGACUUGACGCGAUCCUCCUACUAGAUUGAUACCUUGGUUCUCAAACUGAGGGAAAUACUUACCGUCGCUGUGCUACAUCACCCUUUCCUCUUCAAGGGAACACCAACGCAAGGCUCCAAGGCCGCGGGGGAAUCCUUUGCAUAUUUGCCAAGGAAGUUCCUAUAGGCAUAGCCCGUAGCAGAAGGAUUCCUGGCGCUGUUGCCAGGGAGGGUCUUUUGUUGCCGUAGCAGAAGUAUUUCUGGAGCCGUUGACGGGGAGGAUCGCUUGCCAAGGAGUAUCAAGACAGGAAUAAUCUCCCAUCAACACACCUAUUUCUGGCGCCGUUGCCGGGGAGAGAUCAAGUCAAGAUCUAUCCAAGUAGGUGUCACAAACUCAUCUCUUGCAUUUACCUUUUUUCCCAGUUGCCUCUCGUUUUCCUCUCCCCCACUUCACAUUUGCCGUUUUCAUUCGCCUUUUUCGUUUGCCUUUUUGGUUCACCCUUUUCUCUCGCUUGCUUUCUGUUCGCUUGUGUGCCAUGUGCCUUCAAUAUGUUUGCAUCUUCGCUUGCUGAAAAUCUAGUGAUAUGGAUCCUCAUCCACUUGCUAAUCUCUUUAAGAGAUCCAAUUAUGUUGAUCCAAUUGCUAGUGAGUUGAGUGCACUUAUGUAUCUUUAUGGAGUUUUGCUUGAGAUGCGUGAAUCUGAAAAUUGUGAGGAAGAAAUUUAUGAAGUGAUUGACGAGGGCUCCUUGGAUGAAAAGCAUGAUUGCAAUGGUUUCACUAUAAAUUCUAUUAGUGACAAUCAUGCUAAGAAUAUGGAAAACCCUAAGCUUGCAGAUGCUAGUUUUGCUAUGUCCCCUACUUGUUGCAAUGAUCAUGAGUGGGGCGAUGAUUUUUCUUAUGAUCUUGAAAAUUUGUUUAAGCCUCAUGAUGAAUAUGAUAUUUGCAAUAUCAUUGAAAGUGGGUUUGGAGAAAUCAUGACUUUAGUUGAUGAUAAUCCGACUAUUUUUGAAGAGCGUCAACUUUGCAUGCAUGUGGAUCAUGAAAAGAAUAUCCUAUGUGAUAGUUACAUUGUUUAAUUCGAAUAUGAUCCCACAUGUAAUUACUAUGAGAGAGGAAAAUAUUGUGGUAGAAACUUUCAUGUUACCAAAUUACCUCUCGUUAUGUGGAGAUUGCUAUUGUCUCUUUCUUCUUCCUUGCAUACGGUAACUAUUGGUUGUCUUGACAAUCUGUUUUCCUAUAAAAUGCCUAUGCAUAGGAAGUAUGUUAGACUUAGAUGUGAUUUUCCCAUGCUUUAUGAUGCUCUCGUUGUGCUUCAAUUCUUGUCUUUUGUGUGAGCAUCAUUGAAUUAUCAAUGCCUAGCUAAGGGCGUUAAGCAAUAGCUCUUGUUGGGAGGCAACCCAAUGAAUUUAUCUUUUUCUUUCUGUUUUGUGUUUUCCACACUUUCAUAAUUCUGUUAUGAUUGUGUUUUUUGUGUUUCUUUUGCGUUUGUGCCAAGUAAAACUGUUAUGAUUAGUCUUGGGGAUGAUCGUUUGGUCAUGCUGGAAAAGACAGAAACUUUCUGCUCACGAAAAGAAUUUUCAUUUUGUUUCUGUAAGAGCUUUUGAGUUGAUUCUUUUUGCUUCUGAUUUCUAUGCAAAUUCUUCAGACUGUCGUAAUUGGUCGGAAUUUUUGAAGUACCAGAAGUAUACGAAGUAUACAUAUUACUACAGACUGGUCUGCUGUUAAUAGAUUCUGUUUUUGUUGAGUUGGUCGAUUAUUUUGAUGAAACUAUGGAUAGUAUCGGGGGGGGGGGGGUAUUAGCCAUGGAAGAUUGAAAAUACAGUAACCCAACAUCAACAUAACUAGAAUUUAAUUUUCCUAUAGUACCUAAGGAAGUGGUGGUUUGCUUUCUUAUACUAAUGAUAUCACGAGUUUCUGUUUAAGAUUCGUGUUGUGAAGUUUUCAAGUUUUGUGUGAAGUUCUUAUGGACAAAGAGAUAAAGAGUGGCAAGAGCUCAAGGUUGGCGAUGCCCAAGGCACCCCAAGUGGAUUCAAGGAUGCCAAAAAAGCCUAAGCUUGGGGAUGCCCCGGGAAGGCAUCCCCUCUUUCGUCUUCAAUCCAUCGGUAAUGUUACUUGGGGCUAUAUUUUUAUUCACCACAUGUUAUGUGUUUUGGUUGGAGCGUCUUGUACCGUAGGAGUCUUUUAUUUAUUUUGUUCCACAAUAUUCCUUGCUGCACACUUAGAGAGAGAGACAUGCGCUCACUGUGAUUUUGUCGAGCUUCACUUAUAUCCUUUGGUUAGACAAUUCAGCUCACAUGUGUUUCACUUAUAUCUUUUGAGCUUGUUGAUUUUUCUCUAUGUGUUUCACUUCUAUCUUUUAGAGCACGGAACCGCUUGGCGUGGUAGUUGAUCUAUGCUAUGAAAGUAGUCUCAAAAGGGGUAGUUAUACAAAGGAAUAUGAAAACUUCCACCUUCAUGUGCAUUGAGUAGUUAGAGAAGUUUGAUUCAUCUCAAUCAGUUUUGAGUUGUGGUUGUGGUAAUAUUAAAGUUAUAUUAGUAAGGUGUAGUGGAUCUAGAAAUACUUGUGUUGAAGUUAGUGAUUCCGGUAGCAUGCACGUAUGGUGAACCGCUAUGUGAUGAAGUCUGAGCAUGAUUAGUAUAUUGAUUGUCAUCCUUUGUGUGGUGGUCGGGAUCACGCGAUGGUUUAUACCUACCAACCCUUCCCCUAGGAGUAUGCGUUGAAUGCUUUGUUUCGAUUACUAGUAGAACUUUUGCAACAAGUAUAUGAGUUCUUCAUGACUAAUGUUGCGUCCAUGGUCUAGAUGCACUUUCAGCUUCCGCCAUCACUAUCUUCUUUAGUGCCGUGCAACUUUCGCCUGUGCAUAAAACCCACCAUUAGCCUCCCUCAAAACAACCACCAUACCUACCUACUAUGGUUUUUUCAAAGCCAUUCCGAGAUAUAUUGCCAUGAAACUACCACCAUGACAUGUGCCACCACUUCUACAUUGCCAUUGCAUGAUCAUAAGAUAGCUAGCAUGAUGUUUCCAUUGAUGUCUAUGCCAUGCUAGAUCAUUGUCACGGUACACUACCGAAGUCAUUCCAUAUAGAGUCAUCAUUGCUCUAAGUUUUGAGUUGUAAGUGUGAUGAUCAUCAUUGAUGGAUCAUUGUCCCAUGUGAGGAAAUAAAAGAGGCCAAAGAUGCCCACCAAAAAAAAGAAGGCCAAAGAGCCCACCAAAAAAAAUAGAGAGAAAAAGAGAGAAGGGACAAUGCUACUAUCUUUCCACAAUUGUGAUUAUUAAGUACCAUGAUUUUCAUGAUUGAGAGUCUCUCGUUUUGUCACCACCAUAAAGCUAGUGGGAAAUUUUUAUUAUAUAACUUGGCUUGCAUAUUCAAAUGAUAGGCUUCCUCAAAAUUGCCUUAGGUCUUCGUGAGCAAGAAAGUUGGAUGAAGAUGGGGAGGAACCACCUCCUCCUAAUGGCAACCCACACCCUCAGUUUGGCCCUGAGCUCACUGGUGAGCAAUUGUACCAACAGCAAGUGCAUAACUGGCUAGUUCAAAAUGCAGCUCAACCUUAGGGGGCUCCUCCUGCUCAUGAAGCCCCAUAGCAACAGGAUCAGCACAAUGGAUGGGGAGUGUGGCCAGCCUCACCACCAUAGGCACCACAAUUACCUCCUUAUGUCUACAACUUUCAAGCUUGGCUUGCUGCCCAGGGACUACAAGUGCAAGAUGGCCUGCUUCCUGAAGAUAACAUCUCAGAUAGUGCUUCCCAAGCUUGGAAUGAUGCUAUAUCCAACUCCAACAACUCUGCUAGCACCAACCUAUCUGCUGGAUCUCUGAAUCCCCUGGUGAUACACUCUCAAACACAUCAGCUGCAACACUCUGAGGGUCUUUUGAGAAUCUCCCUGGAAGUUCACAAUAGUGGAAUUCGCUUUGGCUUAUCUGAACAUGGAGAAUCAGUGCUCACCCUGCUACUAACUGAUCCAGCUCCAAGACAGCAGCUAAAUGACUUCAUCUUUAGAGCCAUCAAACCUCUAAUGGCUUAUAGAGGCCCUUGGAAUGCUGAUUAUGGUUUCAAGCAUGAAUGCAUGCAGGUGGAAGUUGCAGUUGCUCUGCGUGAUGAUGGCAUAAUAUUUAGCAACACCUAUCCUACUCUCCCCAUGAGCACUACAUCAUCUACUGUUAUCAUAGAAGCACUAUCCCCUGAGCAGGCACUGGCUCCAACUAUUGAUCCUACGGAUCCAUUGGAAAUAGAAUGCAGCAUGGAUCAGGAACUACAAGUCAGCAAGAUUCCUCUGAAGCAGAAAGGCAAAAUGAAACUGCAAGUAGAUACUUCCAACCUUCGCCGCAGCCUGAGAUCAAACAAGUAUGAUGGUUUCAAGAUCCCAUCCAUGGCAGAGGGCAAGAUCACUAAAUCCAAAGUUAAGCCCAGGAUGAUUCCCAAUAUUGCUCUUCAGGAAGUUGAUCGUGCUCUGACACUUGAGGUUCCCCCUCCUACUGCCAUCAACACCAUGCAAGCCAUUGGGACGCAGCUGUGUGCCAUACCUGAAACAGAGCUUGCAGACUCGGAGCUUCUUCGAGAAGAUCCAGGCCCGACAGAUGGCCAAGUUUGAUAUUGUGCCUGACCCACCUCCUCUUUGAAUCUCUAUGGUACUUUUGCGUAGUUGGAACGUCUUAUGUUGGAAUAUUCGUGGACUUAAUUCGCCCAAAAAACAUCUAGCUCUAUCGAAUGCUAUUCGUGACAGCAGUUGCUCCAUCAUUUGCUUACAAGAAUCGAAAAUGACCUCAUUUGAUGAACAUGCUUUACGUACAUUGUGUCCUAAACGAUUUGACAAAUUUGCAUAUAUUCCCUCCCGAGGGGCUUCUGGUGGGAUAGUCACGAUUUGGAACAGCUCUAUAUUUAUAGGAACUACAUUUGUAGAAGAGGAUUUCGUGUUAGGGGUCCAGUUCUCAUCAACACAAACUUUGCAUACCUGGAAGCUAUUGAACAUAUAUGGCCCCUGCCAAGGGGAUCAAAGGGUUUGUUUCACAUCUUGGCUCUUUGAUCUUGACAUUGUGGCAACUGAGGAUUGGUUGAUCCUAGGGGAUUUCAACUUCAUUAGGGCACCAACGAACUGCAAUCUACCCGGAGGUAACAUUCAAGACAUGUUUACGUUUAAUGAAUUCAUCAGUGAGCAGAUGUUAACGGAGAUCCCAAUCAAAGGCCGACCAUAUACAUGGUCGAACAUGCAGCUAAACCCUUUGCUCGAACAACUCNNNNNNNNNNNNNNNNNNNNNNNNNNNNNNNNNNNNNNNNNNNNNNNNNNNNNNNNNNNNNNNNNNNNNNNNNNNNNNNNNNNNNNNNNNNNNNNNNNNNUAUAAGGCAGCGAAUACAUCAUACGAUCAGCCAAAGACGCCACAUAGUUCUUUCAGGAAAAGAAGACAUCGUGGGAUUGGAGGGCAAGACAGACAUGUGUGAAGAUUAUGAAAAGUUUCAUGAAGUUCCUCCCUUCAAAGUAAAGGCUGACCCAAGCACCCUGUUAAACGAUGAAGAUUCACUAGUAGGGAAAACCUUAUACAUAGAACAAUAGCAGCGGUGCUGGAUAAAAGGCGGCGCUACUGCUACAUAUCAGUAGCAUGCUUCCAGUACAGGCGCUACUGCAAACUACUUAUCAGUAGCGCGGCUUUAGGAAACACGCUACUACUAAUAUUGCCCCACUGUUGCCGACGGAGCUAGAUUUAGUAGUAGCCCGCCCCGAAUACCAACACUACUACUAAAAGAAUAGUAGCAGCGCGUUUUUACAACCGCGCUAAUACUAAGUGGGGCACUUAUCAUUUCGUCGCCCCCACAGGCCCCUCUCUCACUCUCUCCCUCUCUCCCUCUCCACACUCCGCCGUCGCCGCCGCACCGCACUCCCUCCCUCACCACUCUGCACCGCCGCCGCCGCCCCGCACUCCCUCUCUCCCCACUCUGCGUCGCCGCCCCGCCCCUGCCUCACCGACACCCCUGCCUCGUUAUCGCCCCUGCCUCGCCGACGUGGACACCCCUGCCUCGCCGACACCCUUCCUCCUACAUCGUCGACGCCACCUCCUCCACCCGCUGCUGUCGAUCUCACCACCGUAAGUCCCUCUCCCCUCCCCUCUUCUCUAUAGAUACACUAGUGGGGACAGGGCCUAUAGCCCCGGCCCGUAAGGGGCUUUAGUCCCGGUUCACCAACCGGGACUAAAGGGGCGGGACUAAAGGCCUAACCUUUUCGUCCCGGCCCUCUUACACGCCGGGACUAAAGGUGCUCCACGUGGGCGCCUCGUAGCGCCCCACAGGCAGGCCCUUUAGUCCUGGUUCGUUACACGGUCCGGGACUAAAGAUUUUCAGAUUUUGCUGGCUUUUGGGUUUUUUUUGAAUAAAUUAUUUUGGGUUUUAGGGUUUUAGGGUUUAGGUGUUCAGGAGAUUAACGUGAUGCCUCGUUUUGUGUUCGGGAAUUAGUUUUCAUAUAAUUUAAAAUAGAAAUAAUUAUGCAUAUAUAUAUAUAUAAGAUUAACUUAUCUUACAAGCGAUCAUAUAUAUACAAUUAUAUGGAGAUCUGAAUUAUCGAGACUAGAGCCCGUCUAUUCGAUUACAUGGACGAACAUGAGUAAUGGCCCUUAGCUACACUAAAUCGUCAUGUGUCUUCUAUAGCUUCCGUCCUCAGAAAUCCCGCAAGCUCCUCUGCAACAGCAAUCGCGCGUUGCUCUGGUAGGACCUUCGUCCUCAUGGCCGUGUGCUAUAUAAGAAGAGGAGAUGAAUAUGAAUAUCAAUCAUGAUAACAAAGAAUGACAGGUAAAAAUAGAGGUGUGAAUGUUCAUUGCUUACGUCGAAUCUAUGCUCCUUGAACUCAGAGGUAAACGUGCGAAUGGUCUCGCAAACAUAGUAUCCGCAUAGAUGCGUUCCCCGUGGCUGCUGGUCGCACUUUACGAGAAUGGAAUAUAUAUAAUCAAAAUAAUAAUCUAGCAUCAUAAAUGUAUUGAAAAUUAAUAGAAGUAUAUCAUACUACUACUUACCUGAGCCGCUCUAAAGGUCAGCUUCUCAGGAAAGUUACCGGGAGUCACGCACUUGAACCGAUUCCAAACCCUGCCCGACAAGGAUAAUGAUUUACUAAGUUUUUCAUUAAUUGAUAUAUCAGAAAAUCAUCGAAAGAGACCGAUAGAGCGCAAGAAUGAUUAAAAUUACCCUUGGAGCAUGUCCUGUAGGCUUUGGAACUGUUCCAAGGGUCUCGAUAAUGGGUCGAAGGCAUCAACCCUUCCCUUAUCAAUUUGAAUGUCCAACAGAAUCCAAUGGAAGCUGCACACGUAUAUAUAUAUAUGUGUGUGUGUGAGUAACUUAUCAAUUACACUUAUAAGUGAAUGGACACAACAGAGUAAAGACCCUCACCUGAAGUUGUAUGGAAACAGUAUGUGGUCAUAGAAAUUUUGAUCUCUUAGAAACCUUAGAAGGUUUUCCUCCGUCUCCUUGGGAUAAUUAGUUAGCGUCGCUAUAUGUAUUUUAUCUGGAUCAAUAAACCCAAUAUUUAUGAUGCUCUUACUUUUACACUCCAGAAUCUUCAUUCUGCGUAAUAGAGUACAAGUUAUAUAUAGACAAUGAAUUGAAAUAACUAAACAAGUUAUAUGUAGUCAACGAAUUGAAAAACUUACAGACAAUAGCAACUCAUAAGCGAUUUGUCGAGGGCGUCGCCAUUGUACAUCUGGGAGAGUUCAUCAAAGUCGAUAUGGAUUUCUUCGGAGCGGCCGUAGUACUCCUGUGGGACACUCAGCACGAUCAUCGUUCUCCCAUUCUUUGAUUCACUUAAGUACCAUUUAUGCAAGUAACGCAAAUUUGUUGGGAGAUUAUCUUUGCUGACCAAAGGCUCUCCCAUGACAAACUGUGGCUUAGGGGCUACCACAGCCUUGGGUAUCCUGUCGUCUUGGGAAGCCAGCAAAUUUUCAACCAAGAUACCACAUUCAUCCGCCAACUCCUUUGCUUUUUCAAAAGCUUGCCCCUGCACCGGAGGGGGAACAUUCUGGGUUAACACCUUGAGGGGUGGGAUCGACUGUUUGGCCUGUUGUCCAAGCUGAGGAACGUCUGAUUUUUUCUUGCUUGUAGUUGAACUUGAUUUGCUCCCACUUGCACUUGCAUGUGACCUGCUCUUUUUCACUUCCUUCUGCAAUGUGCGUGUAUAGUCAUCAGGCUUAUAGUGUAAGUCAUACUAUGAUGGAGUGGUUAUGAAGUCUUUUGCCCAUGCUAUGUCCUUCUCGGUGUAUUUCGGGCGGGGCUCGGGUUCCUUCCUUUUCAUAUGCGCCUCAUGUUGUUCCUUUGCUAUCCUGGCGUUUUCCUCGGGGGUACGAUCAUAAGGUCUGAUAGGAAGAUUAGCAUGAGGUACCUUUGGGAGGGGCGACAAUUUGCGCUUUGGGGAGCUCCGUCCCUUAGAAAUCAUCGAUGAAGCGUUCUUGCUGGCACACUUCCGCUUAGUAUCAUGUGCGGGCGGCGGCGGAGACGGACGACCCAAGUCCGGCGGCGGUGAUCGAGAUGGACUCGUGUUGUGCUGGCCGACGUCAUGUGGAGGGCUUGAAGGUAAUGGAGGUGUAGGUGACCUGCGACGACUCGGAGGCGGUGUUGUCCUUGGGGCCGAGCCUGGAAGCUUGAUGUAGUUCUUGUCCCAUAGGAUGACUCCACCCAGUACUUCUCCGAGUGUCCUCUCAUCUUCGGGUCCAGCUAUGUCGAGCUCCAUAUCAUUAAACCCCGUCAUGAUUUCAUCCACCCCGACUUUAGCAAAGCCAGCUGGAAUCUCACGGCCAUGCCAGCGUGCAUCAGGGCCAGAAGGUAAAGCUUGUCCGACGGCCACCUUCAUGGAUAUGUUCUUGAAUUUCUGAUGGAGUUCACAUGAUGUUGACUCCUUGAUUCCAUCCACGGGGUAGCCGGGACCGUCCUCUAGCAUUCUUUGUUCAUCGUCGAGCGGGGCCUCAGAUUCAGCCACGCUGCUUUUCCGCUUAGAUGGGGCGCCGGUAAUAUCAACUGCAGGAUCUUCCUGGCGCGGUACUCCUCUAAGCUCAUCAAUCUGCUUCUCUUGCUCGUUAAUCCUGGCAAGCAACUGGUUGAACUUGUCAUUAUCCUCAUCCUGCUGCCGCUUCUUUGCUCUCUCUCUCGGCUUCUGUAAGUGUCUUGGUCUCUGGCAAACCCAAGCCACCACGGGUAAGAAGGACCGAAGCCUCGCGUUCGUCCUCCAUGUUCUUCAUUGCCGAGGACCAGUGUGAGCAAAUUUUUCUCUCUAUCUGCAGUGAACUUUCUUCUUCCCUCCUUAAUUUCUUUCACUAACCUUUUCCAAUUCUCCCUGGGUAUCCUAAGAUUGUCAUUGCAGAUGAGGUCCCCUGUUGUUUCGUCGUACGACCCAUCAUGCGCAAGGAACCAAUUUCUUGCUCUCAAUUCCCACUCAUCACGGAGUUGUUCAGGUACGACGCCUUUAUCUAUCAGAUCUUGCUCUUUCUUAUCCCACUUUGGGAUGGCAGUCUCAUAGCCCCCUGGCCCCAGCUUGUGGUGAUAUAUCUUCUUGUUGGCAUUUAUCUUGUUCUUUUCUGAUAAUGCCUGGGCAUCUUCUGACUCCUUGUACUCUUGAAAUGCCUUCCAGUGAUUCGCCUGCUUGGCUAGAUACCCCUCGAAUACUGGCACUUUCUGUGUCUUCAGAUAGUUUUUCCAUAGCUUCUUCUUCCAGCUACGGAACAGUUUGUUCAUCUUCUUCAGAGUCCACCGCUUGACUUUGGCCCUCAGUUUGUCUGCGGCGUCUUCAUUCUCACAUUCUGGCAGGUUGAAAUGUGACAUGAGAUCAUUCCAAAGAUUAUCUUUGUACCUUUCGGCGACAUAGUCACUAUCGGCUGCCCCUUUGCGCUUGUUCCACUCCCGAACGCUGAUCGGGACGUGAUCCCUAACGAGAACUCCGCAUUGCUUCUUGAAUGUGUCAGCACCAUUCUUCGGAAGCUUGGGUUUGCCCGUAGGAAAUAUCACCUCAAAUGUGUAAUGCGUCCGUGCAUCCAACUUUCUAGUCGGGCCUCGUUUCGUAGUUUUGCUCGAUGUGGAGGCCUAAGAGGGAGAAACAUUCGUCAAAUGAAAGUAUAUGUAUACAAUAUAGAGCUAUCUCCAAUAUUUUUCACAUAUUACAAGUGAUUGUCAAACUUCAUAUGUAUACCUCGCCUGACUUCUCCUCUUCACCGGCUUCUCCAUCAGUGGAGCUAUCACCUUCUCCGUCAUUGGACAUAUCUCCUGCCCCAUCAGCUUCAUCUUCGUGUCGCUCGACCUCCAUUCCAACGUCCUGGUUUAGAUAUAACGAUGGAGAUUCAGUUGGUUCAACGUCGGGGCCGUCUUUGAUUAUAUCUUCCAGAAGUUCUUCCUCUUCGAGGUUCCUCAUAUGUGGAUCCAUAGUUCUGCAAAAAACGGAUUCUCUUAACCUUUGUACCAAAAACCAAAGUAGGAGUACUUUUCCAAUUUGAGAGUCCUAGAUUUCUGCAUAGUAUUCAAAGUAGGAGUAAUUUUCCAAUUUGAGCAUUCAAUAAGCAAAACCAAAUCGUAAAAUAAAGUAGUAUUCAAAUUAGCAUGCAUUCAAUUAUAAGCUAAUACAUCAUCACUUUUGUCCGUACAUCGUUGAAUAUUAUCAUUAAUACUCCUCGAAUACUACCAUACAUAUAGCAUCACUAAUACAUCUAGAACCGUAGCGCCCGACGGGUAAGGGCGCGGGCGGUGGACACCCAAAGAGAAGGAACCAUCACAGGAUCAUAGCUCCAGUGAGAUCCCCGAAGAACCUGCCAGGUAUGCUCGAACCUGCCCUCCAACGCAACCAUGUAGCGACGGACAUGCUCAUCCUCCUCGCUGACACGGUGACGUACCACCUCCGCGGUGAUCGGAAGCCUCGGCACCCUCACUGGCCCACGCGACCGCCACCAAACAAGGAUCGGGUCAACGACGGGCUGGCUCCUCACCAACCUACGCCCCCCGCAAGGUAGCACCUCCCAAUACCAGCCGGGCGGAGCCCAGUCCCGGACAGGGCCCCUCUGAUCAAGCAGGUGUCCUCCGCCGAGUCGACGACGAGGAUGCGGGAUAGGCAUCGUAAAAUGAACUAAAAAAAUAAACUAGUUCUAUUAAUUUUCUUGCUAAAAUAAACUAUUAGCACUUAAGCAUAUACAAUAGCAAAAUUAAACUAUUAACACUUAUUUUCAUUUUCUUCUCCUCCUCUUCUUUCUUCUCUUCUCCUCCUCUUCUUUUCUUCUCUUCUCCUCCUCUUCUUUUCUUCUUUUCUUAUACACUAUACACUAUAUACACUAUAGCAAAAUUCCUCCUCUCCUUAUACACUAUACACUAUAUACACUAUACACUUAAGCAUAUACACUAUACACUAUACACUUUUUCUUCUUUUCUUCUCCUCCUCUUCUUAUUUUCAUUUUUCCUAAUCUUAUUUUCUUAUUUUUGUUCAUAUUUAUUCUUCUUCUAACCCUAACCUAAUUCUAAAUAUUUCUAACCCUAAUAAUCUUUUCUUUUUCUUCUUUUCUUCUCCUUUUUCUUCUUUUCUUCUCCUUUUUCUUCCUUUCUUCUCCUUUUUCUUCUUUUCUUCUCCUCUUUCUUCUUUUCUUCUAUACUGGCCGGAGUGUUGGGGAGGAGGGGCGAGGGGCUUACUGGCCGGAGUUUUGGCGAGGAGGAUGGCGCGGCGGCGAGGAGCACGGCGCGACGGCGUGUAGGACGGCGCGGCGACGAGGAGGACGGCGAGGAGGACGGCGCGGCGGCGGGGAGGACGGCGCGGAGGCGAGGAGGACGGCCGACGGCGAGCAGGACGGCGGGCAGCCUGACGGCGUCGGUUAGUUCGUCGUUGUGCCGCGCCGGGCAGGAGAACGAGAGGAAGAAGAAGAGAAAUGGACGAUUUGGGUUGGAAAUUUUGAAGUCCCGCUUAAAUAGGUGGAUCUAUAGUCCCGGUGCGUGGCUCGAACCGGGACUCAAGACCCCCUUUAGUCCCGGGUGGAGCCAUGACCCGGGACUAAAGGCCCUUUUUCGGGCAGACCAAGAGGCGGGAAGAAAGGGGUCUUAAUCCCGGUGCGUGGCUCCAGCCGGGACUAAAGCCCCUCCUCGGCUGUACGAUAAGUUUAGUCCCACCUCGCCCAACGAGGGGGACUAACACUUGUUUAUAAGCCCCGUCGCAGCUUCUCCAUCGAGCUCCUCUCUAAGCAGGCUUACGGGCCUAAACUCACAGAAAAUUGUAACUAUAUUAGAAAAUUGUAGGGAAAAUUCAAUCUAAAUUCAAUGAGAAUUUAGAUUGAAUUUUCUCUAUGAUUUCGAAUAUAGUUUCAAUUUUUUCUAUUUUCAUAAUUAAUAAUUUUGACUAUCCAAACUAUUAUCUAUUUUGUUAUUUUCAAUUAAAAACUAUGUUUAUUAAAAAUUCUUUUUGCAUAUUUGAGAAUUUGACAAAACUAUGAUAAUGAAAAGUGUUUCAUAUUGAAUAAAUAAUGCAAAAUUAUUUUGUAUUUUCAUAAUUAAUUAUUUUGACUAUCCAAAAUAUUAUCUAUUUUGUUAUUUUCAAUUAAAAACUAUGUUUAUUAAAAAAUUCUUUUUGCAUAUUUGAGAAUUUGACAAAACUAUGAUAAUGAAAAGUGUUUCAAAUUGAAUAAAUAAUGCAAAACUAUUUUUAUUUUCAUAAUUAAUAAUUUUGACUAUCCAAACUAUUAUCUAUUUUGUUAUUUUGACUUCAUUUGGUAUAUUUCGUGCAUGUACUUAUUUUUUUUGAGCUAGUUGACCCUGAAAUUGAAAAGCACUACAAAUGAACCACUACUGAAAUUCAGAAAUUUGCCGUCUGCCAAGGCGGACGGCAAAGGGGGCAACCAUGGACGGCAAAGGCUUUGCCGUCUGCCCCCUCAUGGCAAAGUAGAUGGUAAAAAAAAAUCCGGUGAAGAGGCUCUUUGCCGUCUGCCUUUCACAAAGCGGACGGCAAAGAAUCUUUGCCGAUGAGGGGAAGACGGCAAAAUAAGUGGGACGGCAUAUAUUGCAACGUCCCCGUUAAGUGUUAACGGCAGGCCUCCUCUCUUUGCCGUCUGCCUCCCCCCCUUUGCCAUGUGGGGUAAACGGCAAAGAGGGAGAGAGAGGGGGCAGAUUCUCUCUUUGCCGUCUGCCUCCCCCCCUUUGCCAUGUGGGGGCAGACGGCAAAAAGGGGAGAGAGAGGGGGCAGAUUCUCUCUUUGCCGUCUGCCUCCCCCCCUUUGCCAUGUGGGGGCAGACGGCAAAGAGGGGAGAGAGAGGGGGCAGAUUCCCCCUUUGCCGUCUGCCUCCACCCCUUUGCCAUGUGUUGGCAGACGGCAAAGAGGGGAACCAUCCCCUUUUUUAUUUAUUUUUUGUUAUAUCCAGCAUUUUUAACAAUAAUCAGGAUAUAUAUAUAUAUUUGACAUAAAUAAAUUUCUUUUCGUACCCAUAACCAUAUUAAAAUAACUCUCAUCCAUAGUGCAUACAUAUUAUGGAAGUUACAUUCGUACCAAACCUAAUAUUACACCAGUUUCAUCCACGUGCAUACAAAGUUUCAUAUAUUCAUAUACUACAACAGUUUCAAUACAACCCAUGGUACAAGAAAUCAUCUUCAAGCAUUCCAUCAACCAAGCUUCCCGUGAAGUGAAGGUAAUCUGCAAAAUGACAAAUAAGAAAGUUAGAAAAAUAAUACUAGAUGAAGUAGUGUAUAUAUAGGUUAUUUCGGAGAGAAAUUAGCUAAUUAUAGACCAUUUAGGAGCUAACUAAGCUAAUUAUGUCAUUUAGGUGGAACCCUAGCUAACUAUAGGAGAAGAGAAAGAGAAGAAGAAGUAAAAGAAGAAGGAGGAGGAGGAGAAGGAGAAGGAAGAGGAGAAGAAGAAGAAAAAGGAGGAGGAGGAGGAGGAGGAGAAGGAGAAGGAAGAGGAGAAGAAGAAGAAGGAGAAGAAGGAGAAGAAGAAGGAGAGAGAGAGAGAGGAGAAGGAGCUCGCNNNNNNNNNNNNNNNNNNNNNNNNNNNNNNNNNNNNNNNNNNNNNNNNNNNNNNNNNNNNNNNNNNNNNNNNNNNNNNNNNNNNNNNNNNNNNNNNNNNNAAAAUUAAGUCCCACUUUAAGUCUCCAAAACUAAGCCACUAAUAAAUACGUCAAAAAUGGCAUAAGAACCUUGGUUAGCUCAUGAAUAUUGUAUACUUAGCUUGUUUUCCUCUAAAAUGAGAUAAUUAGCCCAUUUAGCUCCAAAAAGACAUAAUUAGGUAAUUUAGCUCCAAUAAGAGGAGAAUAAAUAGGAAAAAUGAAAACAAAGAAGAAGAAGAAGAAGAGAAGAAUGAGAAGGAGGAGGAGGAGGAGGAGGAGGARGAGAAGGAGGAGAAGGCCAAGGACCUUCUAGUCCUUCUCCUCCUCCUCCUUCUCCUCCUUCUCCUCCUUCUUCUUGAUUUCUUCUUCUUCUCCUCCUCCUCCUUCUUCUUCCCCUCUUUCAUAUUAUCCUUKCUUUAAUUUCCCCAACAWUGACAUAAUUAGCCCAUUUAGCUCCAAAAUGCCAUAAUAAGCUCAGAAUGGCAUAAGAACCUUGGUGAGCUCAUGAAUAUUAUAUACUUAGCUUGUUUUCCUGUAAAAUGGGAUAAUUAGCCCAUUUAGCUCMAAAAAGACAUAAUUAGGUAAUUUAGCUCCAACAAGAGGAGAAGAGGAGAAGAAAUAGGCAAAAUGAAAAGAAAGAAGAAGAAGAAGAAGAGAAGAAGAAGAGAAGAAGGAGAAGGAGGAGGAGGAGGAGGAGGAGAAGGCCAAGGACCUUCUAGUCCUUCUCCUCCCCCUCCUUCUCCUCCUUCUUCUUGAUUUCUUCUUCUUCUCCUCCUCCUCCUCUUUCUUCUCCUCUUUCAUAUUAUCCUUGCUUUAAUUAACCCAACAAUGACAUAAUUAGCCCAUUUAGCUCCAAAAUACCAUAAUAAGCUCAAAAUGGCAUAAGAACCUUGGUUAGCUCAUUAAUAUUAUAUACUUAGCUUGUUUUCCUCUAAAAUGGUAUAAUUAGCCCAUUUAGCUCAAAAAAGACAUAAUUAGGUAAUUUAGCUCCAACAAAUGAUAUAUAGUUCACCACACAUAUACUUAGCUUGUUUUCCGCUAAAAAUGACAUAAUUAGCUUAAAAACAUCAUAUUUUGUUCUUCUUCUAACUUUCUUAUUCACAUUUUUGCAGAUUGGAUAUACUACAUGCAUGGGAGCUGGCAUUCAUGGAGUUGAACAAUGUCGAUGGAUGAACUUUAUAUGUAUAUCAUCUAGUUUUCAUUUGAGUUGAUGAACAAUGUUGAACUAUAUGUAUAUGUAUAUAUGGAUAAACAGUGCAAUACUUGGUAUGUUGGUUCUUUGGAUAUAUGGGGAUGUACAUUGGUGAAUCAUAUAUGUGUGGUGAAUUAUAUAUAUGUGUUGGCAAGUAUAUCUGUCGUGAACUAUAUAUCAUAUAUGUGUGGUGAAUUAUAUAAAUGUGCUAUCAAUAAUAUAUAUAUAUAUAUAUAUAUAUAUAUGUAUAUGUGUGUGUGUGUGUGUGUUGUGAAACAAUNNNNNNNNNNNNNNNNNNNNNNNNNNNNNNNNNNNNNNNNNNNNNNNNNNNNNNNNNNNNNNNNNNNNNNNNNNNNNNNNNNNNNNNNNNNNNNNNNNNNCACGUAGCUUCUUUCAUGUGACAUGAAUGUUCAGAUCCGUAAGAUUCAAAACAAUAGUUUGCUAUUGACAUGAAAACAAUAAUACUUCAAGCAAACUAUCAAGGUAACCAUGAACUUUCAAAAUAACAAGGCCAAAGAAAGUCACCCUACAAAAUCAUAUAGUCUGGCUAUGCUCCAUAAUCCUCACACAACUAAUGUAAAUCAUGCACAACCCCGGUAUUGGCCAAGUAAUUGUUUUCGCACUCUUUACUUUCUCAAACUUUUUAUAACUAUCACGCAAUACAUCAGCGUGAGCCAUGGAUAUUGUACUAUAGGUGGAAUAGAGUGUGGUGGUGGUUGUGAGAGAAAAAGGAGGAGAUGGUCACAUUGACUCGGCGUAUCAAAGGGCUAUGGAGAUGCCCAUUAAUAGAUAUCAAUGUGAAUGAGUAGGGAUUGCCAUACAAAUGAUGCACUAGAGCUAAGAGUAUGUUAAAGCUCUUAAGAAAACUAGCGGGUGUUCAUCCAACUUGCUUGCUCACGAAGACCUAAGGCAAUUUUGAGGAAGCCUAUCAUUGGAAUAUACAAGCCAAGUUAUAUAAUAAAAAUUUCCCACUAGCUAUACGGUGGUGACAAAACGAGAGACUCUCAAUCAUGAAAAUCAUGGUGCUUAAUAAGCACAAGUGUGGAAAGAUAGUAGCAUUGUCCAUUCUCUCUUUUUCUCUCAUUUUUUUUGGUGGGCUCUUUGGCCUCUUUUUUUUGGUGGGCAUCUUUGGCCUCUUUUAUGUCCUCACAGGGGACAAUGCUCCAUCAAUGAUGAUCAUCACACUUACAACUCAAAACUUAGAGCAAUGAUGACUCUAUAUGGAAUGCAUUCGGUAGUGUACCGUGACAAUGAUCUAGCAUGGCAUAGACAUCAAUGGAAACAUCAUAGACAUCAAUGGAAACAUCAUGCUAGCUAUCUUAUGAUCAUGCAAUGGAAAUGUAGAAGUGGUGGCACAUGUCAUGGUGGUAGUUGCAUGGCAAUAUAUCUCGGAAUGGCUUUGAAAAAGCCAUAGUAGGUAGGUAUGGUGGUUGUUUUGAGGGAGGCUAAUGGUGGGUUUUAUGCACCGACGAAAGUUGCACGGCACUAAAGAAGAUAGUGAUGGUGGAAGGUGAAAGUGCAUCUAAACCAUGGACUCAACAUUAGUCAUGAAGAACUCAUAUACUUGUUGCAAAAAAUUUAGUAGUAAUCGAAACAAAGCAUUCAACGCAUACUCCUAGGGGAAGGGUUGGUAGGUAUAAACCAUCGCGCGAUCCCGACCGCCACACAAAGGAUGACAAUCAAUAUACUAAUCAUGCUCAGACUUCAUCACAUAGAGGUUCACCAUACGUGGAUGCUACGGGAAUCACUAACUUCAACUCAAGUAUGUCUAGAUCCACAACACCUUACUAAUAUAACUUUAAUAUUACCACAACCACAACUCAAAACUGAUUGAGAUGAAUCAAACUUCUCUAACUACUCAAUGCACAUGAAGGUGGAAGUUUUCAUAUCCCUUUGGAUAAAUACCCCUUUUGAGACUACUUUCAUAGCAUAGAUCAACUACCACGCCACGCGCUUCCGUGCUCUAAAUGAUAGAAGUGAAACACAUAGAGCAAAAUAAAUUAGCUCAAAAGAUAUAAGUGAAACACAUGUGAGCUGAAUUGUCUAACCAAAGGAUAUAAGUGAAGCUCGACAAAAUCACGGUGAGUGCAUUUCUCUCUCUCUAGGUGUGCAACAAGGAAGAUUGUGGCACAACAAAAAUAAAAGACUCCUACGAUACAAGACGCUCCAAGCAAAACACAUAACAUGUGGUGAAUAAAAUAUAGCCCCCAAGUAACGUUCAUUACUGGAAAUCAGUUUUUUGCCGUGUGCCUAAUCUUUGCUGUCAGCUAGCUGAUGGCAAAGAGUGUCUUUGCCGUCAGCUCUCAGAAAGCAGAUGGCAAAGAACUGGAUGAUGGCAAAGAAGGUCUUUGCCAACAGUCAAUCCUUUGUUGUCUGCCGCAAACGACAAAGAAGGGGACAGGAGACGGCAAAGAAGCUCAUUCGGCCCGGGGAACCUUAGGUCAACCAACGCCCUUCUUUGUCGUCUGCUGGCGGACGGCAAAGAUGCCAGAGGCAGACGUCAAAGAGUAUAGACCCCUUUGCCGUCCGCCAGCAGACGACAAAGGUCCUGAAUCUACUCAAACGGCCGUCCCGCCCCCACCCCGGCCCUCUCUCUCUCUCAAACGGCCACUCUCUCUCUCUCCUCCCCCGACACCCAACGCCGCCACCGUCGCCCGGCCACCCCCGGCGCCCCCGGUUCCCCACAACCCUCCGGCACCACUGGUGCCGCCCCCGCAGCCCCACCGCCGGCGCCGCUGGUGCCCCUGGUGCCGCCCCGCAGCCCCACCGCCGGCGCCCCUGCUGCACCCCCAGCCCCACCACCGGCGCCGCCGGCCCAGCCACUGCCCCGCAGGCCCCGGCGCCGCCCCCGCAGCCCCAACACUGCCGGUAACGCCCCMMCACCCCACCCCCUUGUUAUUUAGUUUUUUGGAGGAAGAAGAAGAAUAAGAAGAGAGGAGGAGAAGAGGAGAAGAAGAGGAGGAGUAGGAGGAGGAGGAGUAGGAGGAGGAUGAGGAAGAGAAGAAAAAGAAGAAGAAGAACAAGAAGAACAAGAAGAAGAGAAGAAAAAAUUAAGAAGGAGAAGAAGAAGAAGAGAAGAAAAAAAAAGAAGGAGAAGAAGUAAAGAAGAAGAGAAGAAGAGAAUAAGAAAAAAAUAAGAAGGAGAAGAAGAGAAAAAAGAAGAAGAAGUUGAUUUUUUAUUGUCUGGUAUUUAGUUUUUUGGAAUUAAUUAGUAGUNNNNNNNNNNNNNNNNNNNNNNNNNNNNNNNNNNNNNNNNNNNNNNNNNNNNNNNNNNNNNNNNNNNNNNNNNNNNNNNNNNNNNNNNNNNNNNNNNNNNCAUGAUCAAACACUAUCACCCAAACUAAUCAUUAAAGGCUUUACUUGGCACAUAUUUUUAUAAUACAAUGGAAAUUUACAAAGGACAUAAUUAUUUGUGCGAGAAACUUCCAUGAAGAAUUCUACAUUGUUUCCAUGAGCAUGAACACAAGUGUUCAAGGUCGACCCUCACUUCCACAAUGCAUCACCUUUCAAUCGCUUCUCUUUUUGAAAAAGUUUUAAGUUCCCCUCUAUAUUUUUUUGUUUUUAAACUAUAUAAAAGCACUAAACAGAAAGAMAAAGAUAAAUWCAUUGGGUUGCCUCCCAACAAGCGCUAUUGUUUAACGCCCUUAGCUAGGCAUUGAUAAUUCAAUGAUGCUCACACAAAASACAAGAAUUGAAGCACAACGAGAGCAUCAUAAAGCAUGUGAAAAUCACAUGUAAGUCUAACAUACUUCCUAUGCAUAGGCAUUUUAUWGGAAAACAGAUUGUCAAGACAACCAAUAGUUACCAUAUGCAAGGAAGAAGAAAGAGACAAUAGCAAUCUCCACAUAACAAGAGGUAAUUUGGUAACAUGAAAGUUUCUACCACAAUAUUUUCCUCUCUCAUAGUAAUUACAUGUGGGAUCAUAUUCGAAUUAAACAAUGUAACUAUCACAUAGGAUAUUCUUUUCAUGACCCACAUGCAUGCAAAGUUCACGCUCUUAAAAAAUAGUGGGAUUAUCAUCAACCAAUGUCAUGAUUUCUCCAAACCCACUUUCAAUAAUAUUGCAAAUAUCAUAUUCAUCAUGAGGCUUAAACAAAUUUUCAAGAUCAUAAGAAAAAUCACCGCCCCACUCAUGAUCAUUGCAACAAGUAGGGGACAUAGCUAAACUAGCAUCUGCAAGCUUAGGGUUUUGCAUAUUCUUAGCAUGAUUGUCACUAAUAGAAUUUAUAGUGAAACCAUUCCAAUCAUGCUUUUCAUCCAAGGAGCCCUCGUCAAUCACUUCAUAAAUUUCUUCCUCACAAUUUUCAGAUUCACGCAUCUCAAGCAAAACUCCAUAAAGAUACUCAAGUGCACUCAACUCACUAGCAAUUGGAUCAACAUAAUUGGAUCUCUUAAAGAGAUUAGCAAGUGGAUGAGGAUCCAUAUCACUAGAUUUUCAGCAAGCGAAGAUGCAAACAUAUUGAAGGCACAUGGCACACAAGCGAACAGAAAGCAAGCGAGAGAAAAGGGCGAACCAAAAAGGCAAACAAAAAAAGGAAAACGAAAAAGGCGAAUGAAAACGGCAAAUGUGAAGUGGGGGAGAGGAAAACGAGAGGCAACUGGCAAAAAGGUAAAUGCAAGAGAUGAGUUUGUGACACCUACUUGGAUAGAUCUUGACUUGAUCUCUCCCCGGCAACGGCGCCAGAAAUAGGCGUGUUGACGGGAGAUUAUUCUUGUCUUGAUACUCCUCGGCAAGCGAUCCUCCCCGGCAACGGCGCCAGAAAUACUUCUCCUACGGCAACAAUAGACCUUCCCUGGCAACGGCGCCAGGAAUCCUUCUACUACGGGCUACGCCUCUAGGGAUUUCCUUGGCAAAUAUGCAAAGGAUUCCCCCGCGGCCUUGGAGCCUUGCGUUGUUGUUCCCUUGAAGAGGAAAGGGUGAUGUAGCACAGCGGCGGUAAGUAGUUCCCUCAGUUUCAGAACCAAGGUAUCAAUCCAGUAGGAGGAUCGCGUCAAGUCACAAGUACCUGCACAAACACAAAGAGCUUGCACCCAAUGCUAUGAAGGGGUUGUCAAUCCCUUAUAGAUUGUUUGCAAAGUGAGAACUGAAAGCAAAAAGUAAACAAACCAAAGUAAAAGUAAAAGUGGAAACGAUAGUUGUGAAUAGACCCGGGGGCUGUAGUGUUCACUAGUGGCUUCUCUCAUGAAAGCAAGUAGACGGUGGGUGAACGAAUUACUGUCGAGCAAUUUAUAGAACCGCGCAAAGUCAUGACGUUAUCUAUGGCAAUGAUCAUAUCUAUAGGCAUCAUGUCCAAAACAAGUAGACCGAUACUUUAUGCAUACUACUAUUACUCCACACGUCGACCGCUAUCCAGCAUGCAUCUAGUGUAUUGAGUUCAUAAGAACAGAGUAACGCCUUAAGCAAGAUGACAUGAUGUAUAUGAACAAUCUCAAAUCUAUGAUGAAAGCCCAUCUUGUUACCCUUGAUGGAAAACACCUAUCCCCUGUGUGCCUUGCUGCCCCUUUUGUCACUGGGAAAGGUCACCGCACGGUAUGAACCCAAAACCAAGCACUUCUCCCAUUGCAAGAAUCAUAUAUCUAGUUGGCCAAACAAAACCCAAGACUCGGAAAGACUUACAAGGAUAUCAAAUCAUGCAUAUAAGAAAUCAGGAAAGACUCAAAUAUAAUUCAUAGAUAAUCUAAUCACAAAUCCACAAUUCAUCGGAUCUCGACAAACACACCGCCAAAGAGGAUUACAUCGGAUAGAUCUCCAUGAAGAUCAUGGAGAACAUUGUAUUGAAGAUCCAAGAGAGAGAAGAAGCCAUCUAGCUACUAACUAUGGACCCGUAGGUCUGAAGUGGACUACUCACGAGUCAUUAGUAGAGGCGAUGAUCUUGAUGUAGAAACCCUCCAACUCCAAACUCCCCUCCGGCAGGGCACCGGGAAGGGUCUCCAGAUGGGAUCUCGCGGAAACGGAAGCUUGCGGCGGCAGAAAAGUGUUUUCGUGGAUGCCCUGAUUUUUUCUGGGAUUUUAGGGAAUAUAUAGGCGAAAGAGAUAGGGCAGGGGAGAGCCAGGGAGGCCACAAGCCUAGUCGCCGCGGGCCCCCCUGGCCGCGGCGUCAGGGCUUGUGGGCCUCCUGCCUUGGCCCUAAAGUCCCCCGAUCUUCUUCUGUUCUGGAAAAUUUUAUUUUGGGGAUUUUAUUCCNNNNNNNNNNNNNNNNNNNNNNNNNNNNNNNNNNNNNNNNNNNNNNNNNNNNNNNNNNNNNNNNNNNNNNNNNNNNNNNNNNNNNNNNNNNNNNNNNNNNAGAAAUUUGACAAAACUUAUGAUAAUUGAAAAGUGUUUCAAAUUUGAAUAAAUAAUGCUUAAACUAUUUUUUUUCAUAAUUAAUAAUUUUGACUAUCCAAACUAUUAUCUAUUUUGUUAUUUUCAAUUAAAAACUAUGUUUAUUAAAAAUUCUUUUUGCAUAUUUGAGAAUUUGACAAAACUAUGAUAAUGAAAAGUGUUUCAAAUUGAAUAAAUAAUGCAAAACUAUUUUUUAUUUUCAUAAUUAAUAAUUUUGACUAUCCAAACUAUUAUCUAUUUUGUUAUUUUCAAUUAAAACUAUGUUUAUUAAAAAUUCUUUUUGCAUAUUUGAGUAAUUUAACAAAACUAUGAUAAUGAAAAGUGUUUCAAAUUGAAUAAAUAAUGCAAAACUAUUUUUAUUUUCAUAAUUAAUAAUUUUGACUAGUCCAAACUAUUAAGUCUAUUUGUUAUUUGACUUCAUUUGGUAUAUUCGUGCAUGUACUUAUUUUUUUUGAGACUAAGUUGANNNNNNNNNNNNNNNNNNNNNNNNNNNNNNNNNNNNNNNNNNNNNNNNNNNNNNNNNNNNNNNNNNNNNNNNNNNNNNNNNNNNNNNNNNNNNNNNNNNNUCCUAUGUGAUAGCUAUAUUGUUGAAUUUGAAUAUGAUCCCACAUGUAAUUAUUGUGAGAGAGGAAAAUAUGGUGGUAGAAAUUUUCAUACCACUAAAUCACCUCUUGUUUUGUUGAGAUUGAUAUUGUCUCUUUCUUCUUCCUUGCAUAUGGUAACUAUUGGUUGUCUUGACAAUCUKWUUUCCUAUAAAAUGCCUAUGCAUAGGAAGUAUGUUAGACUUASAUGUKAUUUUCACAUGCUUUAUGAUGCUCUCGUUGUGCUUCAAUUCUUGUYKUUUGUGUGAGCAUCAUUGAAUUAUCAAUGCCUAGCUAAGGGCGUUAAACAAUAGCGCUUGUUGGGAGGCAACCCAAUGAAUUUAUCUUUUCUUUCUGUUUAGUGUUUUCCAUACUUUCAUAUAUCUGUUAUGAUUGUGUCUUUUGUGUUUAUUUUUGUGUUUGAUCCAAGCAAAACCUUUAUGACUAGUCUCGGUGAUGGUUGUUUGAUCCUGCUGGAAAAAAGAUAGAAACUUUUCGUCUCACGAGAUGAUUUUUCUAUUUUUAUUUCAGAAAAAAGAUUAUGAGUUGAUUCUUUUUUCUGCUGGUUGAUAUUCCUUUUUCCCAGGCAGUCGUAAGUUUUCAGAAUUUUGGAGGUACCAGAAGUAUACGAAGUAUACAGAUUGCUACAGACUGGUCUGUUUUUGACAGAUUCUGUUUUUGUUGAGUUGGUUGCUUGUUUUGAUGAAACUAUGGAUAGUAUAGGGGGUCAUAAUAGUCUGAUGUCUAUGAGGUCAGCUACUAAUGGUAGGCUCAUCAGCACUGAACAAACUACAAUCCAUGGGAAUCGUAAAGCAAGAUGAUCACCUACCAAACACAGUUGACGUNNNNNNNNNNNNNNNNNNNNNNNNNNNNNNNNNNNNNNNNNNNNNNNNNNNNNNNNNNNNNNNNNNNNNNNNNNNNNNNNNNNNNNNNNNNNNNNNNNNNCACGUAGCCUCACUUCAUUUGGUAUAUUUCGUGCAUUUACUUAUUUUUUUUUGAGCUAGUUGACCCUGAAAUUGAAAAGCACUACAAAUGAACUCUGAAAAUGUUGAAAGUUGGCAUGCUGUCAUCAUUUCACCCACAUAGCAUGUGUUAAAAAGUUGAGAGGGCUAUGAAAAAAACUGGAUGCAGUUCAUGUACAAAACUGACAAUCCCUCUGGAAGUAGCUGGGUUUCGAACGAGAACUCAUCUCUUACAAAGGGAUUUCAUUUUUUUAAACUUAUUUGAACUCCAUACUUUUUGUGUGUUCAAAAUGCACCAUUCAAAGGCACAUCACAAAAUUUCAACAAUUUCUGACUUCAUUUGGUAUAUUUCGUGCUAUUUACUUUUUUUUGAGCUAGUUGACCCUGAAAUUGAAAAGCACUACAAAUGAACUCUGAAAAUGUUGAAAGUUGGCAUGCUAUCAUCAUUUCAGCCACAUAGCAUGUGUUAAAAAGUUGAGAGGGCUACGAGAAAAACUGGAUGCAGUUCGUGUACAAAACUGACAAUCUCUCUCGAAGUAGCAGGGUUUCGAACGAGAACUCAUCUCUUACAAAGGGAUUUCAUUUUUUUAAAACUUAUUUGAACUCCAUAAUUUUUGUGUGUUCAAAAUGCACCAUUCAAAGGCACAUCACAAAAUUUCAAUAAUUUCUCACUUCAUUUGGUAUAUUUCGUGCAUUUACUUAUUUUUUUGAGCUAGUUGACCCUGAAAUUGAAAAGCACUACAAAUGAACUCUGAAAAUGUUGAAAGUUGGCAUGCUAUCAUCAUUUCACCCACAUAGCAUGUGUUAAAAAGUUGAGAGGGCUACAACGAAAACUUGAUGCAGUUCGUUUACAAAAUUAACAAUCUCUCUCGAAGUAGCAGGGUUUCGAACGAGAACUCAUCUCUUACAAAGGGAUUUCAUUUUUUUAAACUUAUUUGAACUCCAUACUUUUUGUGUGUUAAAAAUGCACCAUUCAAAGGCACAUCAAAAAAUUUCAACAAUUUCUGACUUCAUUUGGUAUAUUUCGUGCAUUUACUUAUUUUUUUUGAGCUAGUUGACCCUGAAAUUGAAAAGCACUACAAAUGAACUCUGAAAAUGUUGAAAGUUGGCAUGCUGUCAUCAUUUCACCCACAUAGCAUGUGUUAAAAAGUUGAAAGGGCUAUGACAAAAACUGGAUGCAGUUCAUGUACAAAACUGACAAUCCCUCUCGAAGUAGCAGGGUUUCGAAUGAGAACUCAUCUCUUACAAAGGGAUUUCAUUUUUUUUAAACUUAUUUGAACUCCAUACUUUUUGUGUGUUCAAAAUGAACCAUUCAAAGGCACAUCACAAAAUUGCAACAAUUUCUGACUUCAUUUCGUAUAUUUCGUGCAUUUACUUAUUUUUUUUGAGCUAGUUGACCCUGAAAUUGAAAAGCACUACAAAUGUACUCUGAAAAUGUUGAAAGUUGGCAUACUAUAAUCAUUUAACCCACAUAGCAUGUGUUAAAAAGUUGAGAGGGCUACGACAAAAACUGGAUGCAGUUCGUGUACAAAACUGACAAUCUCUCUCGAAGUAGCAGGGUUUCGAACGAGAACUCAUCUCUUACAAAGGGAUUUCAUUUUUUUAAACUUAUUUGAACUCCAUACUUUUUGUGUGUUCAAAAUGCACCAUUCAAAGGCACGUCACAAAAUUUCAAUAAUUUCUCACUUCAUUUGGUAUAUUUCGUGCAUUUACUUUAUUUUUUUGAGCUAGUUGACCCUGAAAUUGNNNNNNNNNNNNNNNNNNNNNNNNNNNNNNNNNNNNNNNNNNNNNNNNNNNNNNNNNNNNNNNNNNNNNNNNNNNNNNNNNNNNNNNNNNNNNNNNNNNNCCUAUCAUGGUGAUGUCCAUCUACGAGAGGGGAUAUUCGAUCUACGUACCCUUGUAGAUCGCACAGCUGAAGUGUUAGUGAACACGGUUGAUGUAGUGGAACGUCCUGAUGUCCCUCGAUCCGCCCCGCGAACAAUCCCGCGAUCAGUCCCACGAUCUAGUACCGAACGGACGGCACCUCCGCGUUCAGCACACGUACAGCUCGACGAUGAUCUCGGCCUUCUUGAUCCAGCAAGAGAGACGGAGAGGUAGAAGAUUUCUCCGGCAGCGUGACGGCGCUCCGGAGGUUGGUGAUGACCUUGUCUCAGCAGGGCUCCGCCCGAGCUCCGUAGAAACGCGAUCUAGAGGAAAAACCGUGGAGGUAUGUGGUCGGGCUGCCGUGGAAAAGUGCGUCUUCAUAGGUUACCCAAAAGAGACAGUUGGGUACACCUUCUAUCUCAAAUCCGAGGGCAAAGUGUUUGUUGCUAAAAACGGAGUCUUUUCUCGAGAAGGUAGUUUCUCUCAAGAGAAUUGAGUGGGAGGAAGAUAGAACUUGACGUAGGUUGUNNNNNNNNNNNNNNNNNNNNNNNNNNNNNNNNNNNNNNNNNNNNNNNNNNNNNNNNNNNNNNNNNNNNNNNNNNNNNNNNNNNNNNNNNNNNNNNNNNNNCUAUUGGUUACUGACCAGAGAGUGUCUCGGUCAUGUCUACAUAGUUCUCGAACCCGCAGGGUCUUGCUACCUCUUGAGUUUGCGUUGGUUUUUCCCUUGAAGAGGAAAGGGUGAUGCAGCACAGUAGCAGUAAGUAKUUCCCUCAGUUUSAGAACCAAGGUAUCAAUCCAGUAGGAGKAUCRMGKMAAGUCWMCAAAGUACCUGCGCAAAAACAGCAAACUUGCACCCAACGCUACAAAGGGGUUGUCAAUACCUUCAAGAUUGAUUGCAAGGUGAGAUCUGAAGGCGGAAAGUGCAACAAAGUAAAAGUGUAAGGCUGAAAAUAUGAUGUGGAGUAGACCCGGGGGCCAUAGUGUUCACUAGAGGCUUCUCCAAAAUAGCAAAUAUUAUGGUGGAUGAACAAAUUACUGUCGAGCAAUUGAUAGAACUGCGCAAAGUCAUGACGAUAUCUAAGGCAAUGAUCCUACAUAUAGGCAUCACGUCCGAGACAAGUAGACCGAUACUUUCUGNNNNNNNNNNNNNNNNNNNNNNNNNNNNNNNNNNNNNNNNNNNNNNNNNNNNNNNNNNNNNNNNNNNNNNNNNNNNNNNNNNNNNNNNNNNNNNNNNNNNUAUCAUGUACUUCUUGGACCAAUUUUACAUUAUGUUCUAGUUUCUGUUUUGUUGCCAUUAUAGUUUCCCAAUUUGAAUGGUUUAGCCCUUUCUAACUUCGUUUGCUACUUUUGAAUGGUUUAGCCCUUUCUAACUUCAUGGUAUCAUGCAUUUCGACCACAUAUAUAUACAAAAAGUCUUUAGUUCAAAUAAGUUCAAAUAAGUUCAUGCAUUUCAACAUUUUCAGAGUUCAUUUGUAGUGCUUUUCAAUUUCAGGGUCAACUAGCUCAAAAAAAAUAAGUAAAUGCACGAAAUAUACCAAAUGAAGUCAGAAAUUGUUGAAAUUUUGUGAUGUGCCUUUGAAUGGUGCAUUUUGAACACACAAAAAGUAUGGAGUUCAAAUAAGUUUAAAAAAAAUGAAAUCCCUUUGUAAGAGAUGAGUUCUCGUUCGAAACCCUGCUACUUCGAGAGAGAUUGUCAGUUUUGUACACGAACUGCAUCCAGUUUUUGUCGUAGCCUUCUCAACUUUUUAACACAUGCUAAUGUGGGUGAAAUGACGAUAGCAUGCCAACUUUCAACAUUUUCAGAGUUCAUUUGUAGUGCUUUUCAAUUUCAGGGUCAACUAGCUCAAAAAAAUACGUAAAUGCACGAAAUAUACAAAAUGAAGUAAGAAAUUGUUGAAAUUUUGUGAUGUGCCUUUGAAUGGUGCAUUUUGAACACACAAAAAGUAUGGAGUUCAAAUAAGUUUAAAAAAAAAUGAAMUMCSUKUGUAAGAGAUGAGUUCUCGUUCGAAACCCAGCUACUUCCAGAGGGAUUGUCAGUUUUGUACAUGAACUGCAUCCAGUUUUUUUCAUAGCCCUCUCAACUUUUUAACACAUGCUAUGUGGGUGAAAUGAUGACAGCAUGCCAACUUUCAACAUUUUCAGAGUUCAUUUGUAGUGCUUUUCAAUUUCAGGGUCAACUAGCUCAAAAAAAAAUAAGUAAAUGCACGAAAUAUACCAAAUGAAGUCAGAAAUUGUUGAAAUUUUUUGAUGUGCCUUUGAAUGGUGCAUUUUGAACACACAAAAAGUAUGGAGUUCAAAUAAGUUUAAAAAAAUGAAAUCCCUUUGUAAGAGAUGAGUUCUCAUUCGAAACCCUGCUACUUCGAGAGAGAUUGUCAGUUUUGUACACGAACUGCAUCCAGUUUUUGUCGUAGCCCUUUCAACUUUUAACACAUGCUAUGUGGGUGAAAUGAUGAUAGCAUGCCAACUUUCAACAUUUUCACAGUUCAUUUGUAGUGCUUUUCAAUUUCAGGGUCAACUAGCUCAAAAAAAUAAGUAAAUGCACGAAAUAUACCAAAUGAAGUCAGAAAUUGUUGAAAUUUUCUGUUGUGCCUUUGAAUGGUGCAUUUUGAACACACAAAAAUUAUGGAUUUCAAAUAAGUUUUAAAAAAAUGAAAUCCUUUUGUAAGAGAUGAGUUCUCGUUCGAAACCCUGCUACUUCGAGAGAGAUUGUCAGUUUUGAACACGAACUGCAUCCAGUUUUUGUCGUAGCCCUCUCAACUUUCUAACACAUGCUAUGUGGGUUAAAUGAUGAUAGCAUGCCAACUUUCAACAUUUUUCAGAGUUCAUUUGUAGUGCUUUUCAAUUUCAGGGUCAACUAGCUCAAAAAAAAUAAGUAAAUGCACGAAAUAUACCAAAUGAAGUCAGAAAUUGUUGAAAUUUUGUGAUGUGCCUUUGAAUGGUGCAGUUUGAACACACAAAAAGUAUGGAGUUCAAAUAAGUUUUAAAAAAUGAAAUCCCUUUGUAAGAGAUGAGUUCUCGUUCGAAACCCUGCUACUUCGAGAGAGAUUGUUAGUUUUGUAAACGAACUGCAUCCAGUUUUUGUCAUAGCCCUCKCAACKUKUUAACACAUGCUAUGUGGGUGAAAUGAUGAUAGCAUGCCAACUUUCAACAUUUUCAGAGUUCAUUUGUAGUGCUUUUCAAUUUCAGGGUCAACUAGCUCAAAAAAAAAAGUAAAUGCACGAAAUAUACCAAAUGAAGUMAGAAAUUAGUUGAAAUUUUGUGUUGUGCCUUUGUAAUGGUGCAUUUUGAACANNNNNNNNNNNNNNNNNNNNNNNNNNNNNNNNNNNNNNNNNNNNNNNNNNNNNNNNNNNNNNNNNNNNNNNNNNNNNNNNNNNNNNNNNNNNNNNNNNNNGGGAUAAUUAACCCAUUUAGCUCCAAAAAGACAUAAUUAGGUAAUUUAGCUCCAACAAUAAAUAGGAAAAAUAGAAAAGAAAGAAAGAAGAAGAAGAAGAGAGGAAGGAGAAGGAGGAGGAGGAGGAGAAGGCCAAGGACCUUCUAGUCCUUCUCCUCCUCCUUGUCCUCCUUCUUGAUUUUCUUUUUCUUUCUCCUCCUCCUCCUCUUUCCUCUCCUMUUUCAUAUUAUCCUUGCUUUUAAUUUCCCCAAAAAUGACAUAAUUAGCUCAUUUAGCUCCAAAAUGCCAUAAUAACCUCAAAAUGGCAUAAGAACCUUGGUUAGAUCAUGAAUAUUAUAUACUUAGCUUGUUUUCCUAUAAAAUGAGAUAAUUAGCCCAUUUAGCUCCAAAAAGACAUAAUUAGGUAAUUUAGCUCCAAGAAGAGGAGAAGAGGAGAAGAGGAGAAGAAAUAAGAAAAAUGAAAAGAAAGAAGAAGAUGAAGAAGAGAAGAAUGAGAAGGAGGAGGAGUAGGAGGAGAAGGAGGAGAAGGCCAAGGACCUUCUAGUCCUUAUCCUCCUCCUCCUUCUCCUUCUUAUCCUCCCUCUUCUUGAUUUCUUCUUCUUCUCCUCCUCCUCCUCUUUUCUUCUCCCCUUUCAUAUUAUCCUUGCUUUAAUUUCCCCAAAAAGACAAUAAUUAGCCCAUUUAGCUCCAAAAUGCCAUAAUAAGGUCAAAAUGGCAUAAGAACCUUGGUUAGCUCAUGAAUAUUAUAUACUUAGCUUGUUUUCCUCUAAUAUGAGAUAUUUAGCCCAUUUAGCUCCAAGAAGACAUAGUUAGCUAAUUUAGCUCCUAGAAGAGGAGAAGAAAUAGGAAAAAUGAAAAGAAAGAAUAAGAAGAAGAAGAGAAGAAGGAGAAGGAGGAGGAGAAGGACGAAGGACGUAGNNNNNNNNNNNNNNNNNNNNNNNNNNNNNNNNNNNNNNNNNNNNNNNNNNNNNNNNNNNNNNNNNNNNNNNNNNNNNNNNNNNNNNNNNNNNNNNNNNNNCACGAAAUAUACGAAAUGAAGUUCAGAAAUUGUUAGCUAAUUUUGUUGAUGUGCCUUUGUAAUGGUCCAUUUUGAACUACACAAAAAGUAUAGGAGUUCAAAUAAGUUUAAAAAAAAUGAAAAUCCCUUUGUAAGAGAUGAGUUCUCAUUCGAAACCCUSCUACUUCGAGAGAGAUUGUCAGUUUUGUACACGAACUGCAUCCAGUUUUUGUCGUAGCCCUCUCAACUUUUUAACACAUGCUAUGUGGGUUAAAUGAUUAUAGUAUGUGAACUUUCAACAUUUUUAGAGUACAUUUGUAGUGCUUUUCAAUUUCAGGGUCAACUAGCUCAAAAAAAAUAAGUAAAUGCACGAAAUAUACGAAAUGAAGUCAGAAAUUGUUGACUAAUUUUGUGAUGUUGACCUUUGGAAUGGUCCAUUUUGAACACACAAAAAGUAUGGAGUUCAAAUAAGUUUAAAAAAAUGAAAUCCCUUUGUAAGAGAUGAGUUCUCGUUCGAAACCCAGCUACUUCCAGAGGAGGGGGGGGGGUUUNNNNNNNNNNNNNNNNNNNNNNNNNNNNNNNNNNNNNNNNNNNNNNNNNNNNNNNNNNNNNNNNNNNNNNNNNNNNNNNNNNNNNNNNNNNNNNNNNNNNUCAAGGSCCUACGUAGCGAUGAGUUCUCGUUCGAAACCCUGCUACUUCGAGAGARAUUGUCAGUUUUGUACACGAACUGCAUCMAGUUUUUCUCGUAGCCCUCUCAACUUUUUAACACAUGCUAUGUGGGUGAAAUGAUGAUAGCAUGCCAACUUUCAACAUUUUCACAGUUCAUUUGUAGUGCUUUUCAAUUUCAGGGUCAACUAGCUCMAAAAAAAUAAGUAAAUGCACGAAAUAUACAAAAUGAAGUAAGAAUUAGUUGAAAUUUUGUGAUGUGCCUUUGAAUGGUGCAUUUUGAACACACAAAAAGCAUGGAGUUCAAAUAAGUUUAAAAAAAUGAAAUCCCUUUGUAAGAGAUGAGUUCUCGUUCGAAACCCUGCUACUUCGAGAGGGAUUGUCAGUUUUCUACAUGAACUGCAUCCAGUUUUUGUCAUAGCCCUUUCAACUUUUUAACACAUGCUAUGUGGGUGAAAUGAUGACAGCAUGCCAACUUUCAACAUUUUCAGAGUUCAUUUGUAGUGCUUUUCAAUUUCAGGGUCAACUAGCUACAAAAAAAUAAGUAAAUGCACGAAAUAUACCAAAUGAAGUCAAGAAAGCNNNNNNNNNNNNNNNNNNNNNNNNNNNNNNNNNNNNNNNNNNNNNNNNNNNNNNNNNNNNNNNNNNNNNNNNNNNNNNNNNNNNNNNNNNNNNNNNNNNNGGUAAAGGAUAGUAGCAUUGUCCCUUCUCUCUUUUCUCUCAUUUUUUUAUUUUUUUCUUCUUUUUUUGGUGGGCUUCUUUGGCCUUCUUUUUACUUCCUCACAUGGGACAAUGMUCYAWYAAUGAUGAUCAUCACACUUACAACUCAAAACUUAGAGCAAUGAUGACUCUAUAUGGAAUGCACUUCGGUAGUGUACCGUGACAAUGAUCUAGCAUGGCAUAGACAUCAAUGGAAACAUCAUGCUAGCUAUCUUAUGAUCAUGCAAUGGCAAUGUAGAAGUGGUGGCACAUGUCAUGGUGGUAGUUUCAUGGCAAUAUAUCUCGGAAUGGCUUUGAAAAAACCAUAGUAGGUAGGUAUGGUGGUUGUUUUGAGGAAGGCAUAUGGUGGGUUUGUGUACCGGCAAAAAAUGCGCGACACUAGAGAGGCUAGCAAUGGUGGAUGGUGAAAGUGCAUCUAUACCAUGGACUCACAUUAGUCAUGAAGAACUCACAUACUUGUUGCGAAAGUUUUUAUUAUUAAUCGAAACAAAGUGCUAAACGCAUACUCCUAGGGGAAGGGUUGGUAGGUGUUAACCAUNNNNNNNNNNNNNNNNNNNNNNNNNNNNNNNNNNNNNNNNNNNNNNNNNNNNNNNNNNNNNNNNNNNNNNNNNNNNNNNNNNNNNNNNNNNNNNNNNNNNUCUGAAAACUUACGACUGCCUGGGAAAAAGGAAUAUCAACCAGCAGAAAAAAGAAUCAACUCAUAAUCUUUUUUCUGAAUAAAAAUGAAAAAUCAUCUCGUGAGCGAAAAGUUUCUAUCUUUUUUUCCAGCAGGAUCAAACGAUCAUCCCCAAGACUAAUCAUAACGGUUUCACUUGGCACAAAGGAAAAAGAAACACAAAAAAACACAAUCAUAACAGAAUUAUGAAAGUAUGGAAAACACUAAACAGAAAGAAAAAGAUAAAUUCAUUGGGUUGCCUCCCAACAAGCGCUAUUGUUUAACGCCCUUAGCUAGGCAUUGAUAAUUCAAUGAUGCUCACACAAAAGACAAGAAUUGAAGCACAACGAGAGCAUCAUAAAGCAUGUGAAAAUCACAUSUAAGUCUAACAUACUUCCUAUGCAUAGGCAUUUUAUAGGAAAMWRAUUGUCAAGACAACCAAUAGUUACCGUAUGCAAGGAAGAAGAAAGAGACAAUAGCAAUCUCCACAUAACGAGAGGUAAUUUGGUAACAUGAAAGUUUCUACCACAAUAUUUUCCUCUCUCAUAGUAAUUACAUGUGGGAUCAUAUUCGAAUUAAACAAUGUAACUAUCACAUAGGAUAUUCUUUUCAUGAUCCACAUGCAUGCAAAGUUGACGCUCUUCAAAAAUAGUCGGAUUAUCAUCAACUAAAGUCAUGAUUUCUCCAAACCCACUUUCAAUGAUAUUGCAAAUAUCAUAUUCAUCAUGAGGCUUAAACAAAUUUUCAAGAUCAUAAGAAAAAUCAUCGCCCCACUCAUGAUCAUUGCAACAAGUAGGGAGMCGMUUAUAUAGAGUGCACUAUGUCCCAUGACAAUUGCCAUUACAAGGGUUUAAAUAUGUCUAANNNNNNNNNNNNNNNNNNNNNNNNNNNNNNNNNNNNNNNNNNNNNNNNNNNNNNNNNNNNNNNNNNNNNNNNNNNNNNNNNNNNNNNNNNNNNNNNNNNNGGAUUCAAAUAAGUUUAAAAAAAAUAGAAAUACCCUUUGUAAGAGAUGAGUUCUCGUUCGAAACCCUGCUACUUCGAGAGAGAUUGUCAGUGUUGUACACGAACUGCAUCCAGCUUUUGUCGUAGCCCUCUCAACUUUCUAACACAUGCUAUGUGGGUUAAAUUAUGAUAGCAUGCCAACUUUCAACAUUUUCAGAGUUCAUUUGUAGUGCUUUUCAAUUUCAGGGUCAACUAGCUCAAAAAAAAGUAAAUGCACGAAAUAUACCAAAUGAAGUCAGAAAUUGUUGAAAUUUUGUGAUGUGCCUUUGAAUGGUGCAUUUUGAACACACAAAAAGUAUGGAGUUCAAAUAAGUUUAAAAAAUAUGAAAUCCCUUUGUUAAGAGAUGAGUUCUCGUUCGAAACCCUGCUACUUCGAGAGAGAUUGUCAGUUUUGUACACGAACUGCAUCCAGUUUUUUUCGUAGCCCUCUCAACUUUUUUAACACAUGCUAUGUGGGUGAAAUGAUGAUAGCAUGUCAACUUUCAACAUUUUCAGAGUUCAUUUGUAGUGCUUUUCAAUUUCAGGGUCAACUAGCUCAMAAAAAAAUAAGUAAAUGCACGAAAUAUACCAAAUGAAGUGAGAAAUUAUUNNNNNNNNNNNNNNNNNNNNNNNNNNNNNNNNNNNNNNNNNNNNNNNNNNNNNNNNNNNNNNNNNNNNNNNNNNNNNNNNNNNNNNNNNNNNNNNNNNNNAAAUGAAGGGCGGGGAGGAGAUGAAAUUUGUACUGACCCACGAAUGGCAGGGGCGGAGCUCGUACAACGCACGGGCAGGUCUUCGCACAGCAGACCUCACAGCGACGAGACAACUACCACAUGUAAAUCCACCCGAUCAACGCAAAUAUUCCAAUUAUGUCAUUUUAGAGGAAAACAAGCUAAGUAUAUAAUAUUCAUGAGCUAACCAAGGUUCUUAUGCCAUUUUGAGCUUAUUAUGGUAUUUUCGAGGUAAAUGGGCUCAUUAUGUCAUUGUUGGGUUAAUUAAAGCAAGGAUAAUAUGAAAGAGGAGAAGAAAGAGGAGGAGGAGGAGAAGAAGAAGAAAUCAAGAAGAAGGAGGAGAAGGAGGGGGAGGAGAAGGACUAGAAGGUCCUUGGCCUUCUCCUCCUCCUCCUCCUCCUCCUUCUCCUUCUUCUCUUCUUCUUCUCUUCUUCUUCUUCUUCUUUCUUUUCAUUUUGCCUAUUUCUUCUCGUCUUCUCCUCUUGUUGGAGCUAAAUUACCUAAUUAUGUCUUUUUUGAGCUAAAUGGGCUAAUUAUCCCAUUUUAGAGGAAAACAAGCUAAGUAUAUAAUAUUAAUGAGCUAACCAAGGUUCUUAUGCCAUUUUGAGCUUAUUAUGGUAUUUUGGAGCUAAAUGGGCUAAUUAUGUCAUUGUUGGGUUAAUUAAAGCAAGGAUAAUAUGAAAGAGGAGAAGAAAGAGGAGGAGGAGGAGAAGAAAAGAASAGGAAGRAGGAGRAGGAGAGGAGAAGGAGGAGGAGGAGAAGGAUAGAAKSUSCUUGGCCUUCUCCUCCUCCUCCUCCUCCUUCUCCUUCUUCUCUUCUUCUUCUUCUUCUUCUUCUUCUUUCUUUUCUAUUUUGCCUUAUUUCUUCUCCUCUUCUCCUCUUGUUGAGCUAAAUUGCUACGUGNNNNNNNNNNNNNNNNNNNNNNNNNNNNNNNNNNNNNNNNNNNNNNNNNNNNNNNNNNNNNNNNNNNNNNNNNNNNNNNNNNNNNNNNNNNNNNNNNNNNAAAUCCCUUUGUAAGAGAUGAGUUCUCGUUCGAAACCCUCCUACUUCGAGAGAGAUUGUCAGUUUUGUACACGAACUGCAUCCAGUUUUGUCGUAGCCCUCUCAACUUUUAACACAUGCUAUGUGGGUGAAAUGAUGAUAGCAUGUAAACUUUCAACAUUUUCAGAGUUCAUUUGUAGUGCUUUUCAAUUUCAGGGUCAACUAGCUACAAAAAAAAAUAGUAAAUGCACGAAAUAUACCAAAUGAAGUGAGAAAUUAUUGAAAUUUUGUGAUGUGCCUUUGAAUGGUACAUUUUGAACACACAAAAAGUAAUGGAGUUCAAAUAAGUUUAAAAAAAAUAGAAAUACCCUUUGUAAGAGAUGAGUUCUCUUUCGAAACCCUGCUACUUCGAGAGAGAUUGUCAGUUUUGUACACGAACUGCAUCCAGUUUUUCUCGUAGCCCUCUCAACUUUAUAACACAUGCUAUGUGGGUGAAAUGAUGAUAGCAUGCCAACUUUCAACAUUUUCAGAGUUCAUUUGUAGUGCUUUUCAAUUUCAGGGUCAACUAGCUACAAAAAAAAAUAAAWAUGCACGAAAUAUGCCAAAUNNNNNNNNNNNNNNNNNNNNNNNNNNNNNNNNNNNNNNNNNNNNNNNNNNNNNNNNNNNNNNNNNNNNNNNNNNNNNNNNNNNNNNNNNNNNNNNNNNNNCGCAUUUACUAUGGAUGACGCAAACUCUUAAGGAUUMWSGUAUKCAUGUGAAACAUGUUCCAUUGUUGCGUUAUAGUGGAAGUGCUAUUAAAAUUAGUUCAUAAUCCACUAAACAUUCACGAACUAAACAUAUUCAAGCGCGACAUCAUUUCAUUCGUGAUCAUGUUGGUAAAGGAGAUAUUAAUCUCAAGCAUGUUCGUACCAACAAACAAUUGGCUGAUAUCUUUACAAAACCACUUGAUGAGAAAGUGUUUUCCAUUUGAGGAGUGAGUUGACCAUCAUAUAUAGAUGCUUCAAACUCGAGCUAGACUCACUCGGAUGCAUGCAAGGGCAUGAGCUUACCUUAUUAUUUCAUGAUGCUAUUGAUGUGACACUAUCUUAUAUCUUGGAAAACUAUGCUCCCUUGUAUUGCAUCUAACCUUACUUUAGGUACUUGGAAGAAUUACAAUUCACAAGAUUUCCAUCAACUCACAUCAAACGCAAUCUUGUCAUGGCCAAGUAUCAACAACCCCUUCUUCGAAUAUNNNNNNNNNNNNNNNNNNNNNNNNNNNNNNNNNNNNNNNNNNNNNNNNNNNNNNNNNNNNNNNNNNNNNNNNNNNNNNNNNNNNNNNNNNNNNNNNNNNNCUCACCACGCCAGAAUGAAACUUCCGACCGCGUCCUCAAAAAUACACCUUCUCAGGUUGCUAAAAUAACCAGAAAGAAUACUGGGCAUCCNCGAAACACUUUUCCGCCGCCGCAAGCUUCCGUUUCCGCGAGAUCUCAUCUGGAGACCCUUCCCAGUGCCCUGCCGGAGGGGACUUUGGAGUUGGAGGGCUUCUACAUCAACAUCAUCGCCUCUCCAAUGACUCGUGAGUAGUCCACUUCAGACCUACGGGUCCGUAGUUAGUAGCUAGAUGGCUUUUUCUCUCUCUUGGAUCUACAAUACAAUGUUUUCCAUGAUCUUCAUGGAGAUCUAUCCGAUGUAAUCCUCUUUGGCGGUGUGUUUGUCGAGAUCCGAUAAAUUGUGGAUUUGUGGUCAGAUUAUCUAUGAAUUAUAUUUGAGUCUUUGCUGAUUUCUUAUAUGCAUGAUUUGAUAUCCUUGUAAGUCUCUCCGAGUCUUGGGUUUUGUUUGGCCAACUAGAUCUAUGAUUCUUGCAAUGGGAGAAGUGCUUGGUUUUGGGUUCAUACCGUGAGGUGACCUUUCCCAGUGAUAGAAGGGGCAGCAAGGCACACAKGGGAUWGKUGCCAUCAAGGGUAACAAGAUNNNNNNNNNNNNNNNNNNNNNNNNNNNNNNNNNNNNNNNNNNNNNNNNNNNNNNNNNNNNNNNNNNNNNNNNNNNNNNNNNNNNNNNNNNNNNNNNNNNNUUGUUGCAAUGAUCAAGAUUGGGGUAAUGAUUUUUCUUAUGAUCUUAAAAAAUUUGUUUAAGCCUCAUGAUGAAUAUGAUAUUUGCAAUAAUAUUGAAGGUGGGUUUGGAGAAGUCAUGACUUUAGUUGAUGAUAAUCCCACUAUUUUUGAUGAGCGUCAACUUUGCAUGUAUGUGGAUCAUGAAAAGAAUAUCCUAUGUGAUAGCUAUAUUGUUGAAUUUGAAUAUGAUCCCACAUGUAAUUAUUGUGAGAGAGGAAAAUAUGGUGGUAGAAAUUUUCAUACCACUAAAUCACCUCUUGUUUUGUUGAGAUUGAUAUUGUCUCUUUCUUCUUCCUUGCAUAUGGUAACUAUUGGUUGUCUUGACAAUUUAUUUUCCUAUAAAAUGCCUAUGCAUAGGAAGUAUGUUAGACUUAGAUGUUAUUUUCACAUGCUUUAUGAUGCUCUCGUUGUGCUUCAAUUCUUGUGUUUUGUGUGAGCAUCAUUGAAUUAUCAAUGCCUAGCUAAGGGCGUUAAACAAUAGCGCUUGUUGGGAGGCAACCCAAUGUAUUUAUCUUUGCUUUUUUUCUUUCUUGUUUUUUUUUUGUGUCCACACCGUCAUAAUUUUGUUAUGAUUGUUGUUUUUUUUUGUUUUCUUUUUUGUUGUUUGAGCCAAGUAAACCUUUAUGACUGGUUUUGGUGAUGUUGUUUGAUCUUNNNNNNNNNNNNNNNNNNNNNNNNNNNNNNNNNNNNNNNNNNNNNNNNNNNNNNNNNNNNNNNNNNNNNNNNNNNNNNNNNNNNNNNNNNNNNNNNNNNNUUCUGAUUAUGAACAAGGUGUUGUUGCUUGACAACUGGAUCACGUCAUUAGGAGAAUCAUGUGAUGGACUAGACCCAAACUAAUAGACGUAGCAUGUUGAUCGUGUCAUUUUUGUUGCUACUGUUUUCUGCGUGUCAAGUAUUUAUUCCUAUGACCAUGAGAUCAUAUAACUCACUGACACCGGAGGAAUGCUUUGUGUGUAUCAAAUGUCGCAACGUAACUGGGUNACUAUAAAGAUGCUCUACAGGUAUCUCCGAAGGUGUUCGUCGAGUUAGUAUGGAUCGAGAGUGGGAUUUGUCACUCCGUGUGACGGAGAGGUAUCUCGGGGCCCACUCGGUAAUACAACAUCACACACAAGCCUUGCAAGCAAUGUGACUUAGUGUAAGUUGCGGGAUCUUGUAUUACGGAACGAGUAAAGAGACUUGCCAGUAAACGAGAUUGAAAUAGGUAUGCGGAUACUGACGAUCGAAUCUCGGGCAAGUAACAUACCGAAGGACAAAGGGAAUGACAUACGGGAUUAUAUGAAUCCUUGGCACUGAGGUUCAAACGAUAAGAUCUUCGUAGAAUAUGUAGGAUCCAAUAUGGGCAUCCAGGUCCCGCUAUUGGAUAUUGACCGAGGAGUCACUCGGUUCAUGUCUACUUGGUUCUCGAACCCGCAGGGUCUGCACACUUNNNNNNNNNNNNNNNNNNNNNNNNNNNNNNNNNNNNNNNNNNNNNNNNNNNNNNNNNNNNNNNNNNNNNNNNNNNNNNNNNNNNNNNNNNNNNNNNNNNNGUAGUAUGUUGAUAGGACUAUGUAUUGGAGGGCAAGGGUGACAGAAGCUUCAUCCUAGCAUCGAAAUUGAUGCAUACGGGAUUGAAGGGGGAACAAUAUAUUUUAUUGCUAUGGUUGGGUUUUACCUUAAUGAACGUUAGUAGUUGCGGAUGCUUGCUAAUAGUUCCAAUCAUAAGUGCAUAGAAUUCCAAGUAAGGGAUGACAUGCUAGCAGUGGCCUCUCCCACAUAAAACUUGCUAUCGGUCUAGUAACGUAGUCAAUUGCUUAGGGACAAUUCCGCAACUCCUACCACCAAUUUUCCACACUUGUUAAACUAACGUAAUUGUUCUUAGCAGCCCCUAGUCUUUAUUUACGUGUUCUUUCUUUUCUUGCAAACCUAUCCUAUCACUCCUACAAAGUACUUCUAGUUUCAUACUUGUUCUAGGUAAAGCGAACGUAAAGUGUGCGUAGAGUUGUAUCGGUGGUCGAUAGAACUUGAGCGAAUAUGAUCCUACUUUAGCUCCUCGUUGGUUCGACACUCUUACUUAUCGGCUACGUCGNNNNNNNNNNNNNNNNNNNNNNNNNNNNNNNNNNNNNNNNNNNNNNNNNNNNNNNNNNNNNNNNNNNNNNNNNNNNNNNNNNNNNNNNNNNNNNNNNNNNAUCCCCAAGCUUAACUCCUGCUCGUCCUCGAGUAGGGAAGUGAUAAAGACCGAAUUUUUGAUGUGGAAUGCUACCUAACAUACUUGUCCUUUGUAACUUCUUUCAUGUGACAUGAAUGUUCAGAUCCAUGAGAUUCAAAACAAUAGUUUUCUAUUGACAUGAAAACAAUAAUACUUCAAGCAAACUAGCAAGGUAAUCAUGAACUUUCGAAAUAACAAGGCUAAAGAAAGUUAUCCCUACAAAAUCAUAUAGUCUGGCUAUGCUCCAUCAUCCCCACAUAAUGAAUUUAAAUCAUGCACAACCCCGGWAUUGGCCAAGUAAUUGUUUUCGCACUCUUUUACUUUCUCAAACUUUUUAUAACUAUCACGCAAUACAUCAGCGUGAGCCAUGGAUAUUGUACUAUAGGUGGAAUAGAGUGUGGUGGUGGUUGUGAGAGAAAAAGGAGGAGAUGGUCACAUUGACUCGGCGUAUACGAAAGGGCUAGUGGAGAUGACCCAUUAAUAGAUAUNNNNNNNNNNNNNNNNNNNNNNNNNNNNNNNNNNNNNNNNNNNNNNNNNNNNNNNNNNNNNNNNNNNNNNNNNNNNNNNNNNNNNNNNNNNNNNNNNNNNCACGUAGCUAUGAAAGAGGAGAAGAAAUAGGAGGAGGAGGAGAAGAAGAAAAAUCAAGAAGAAGGAGGUGAAGGAGAUGGAGGAGAAGGACUAGAAGGUCCUUGGCCUUCUCCUCCUCCUUCUCMUUCUUCUCUUCUUCWUCUUMUUCUUUCUUUUCAUUUUUCUUAUUUCUUCUCCUCUUCUCCUCUUCUCCUCUUCUUGGAGCUAAAUUACCUAAUUAUGUCUUUUUGGAGCUAAAUGGGCUAAUUAUCUCAUUUUAUAGGAAAACAAGCUAAGUAUAUAAUAUUCAUGAUCUAACCAAGGUUCUUAUGCCAUUUUGAGGUUAUUAUGGCAUUUUGGAGCUAAAUGAGCUAAUUAUGUCUUUUUGGGGAAAUUAAAGCAAGGAUAAUAUGAAAGAGGAGAAGAAAGAGGAGGAGGAGGAGAAGAAGAAGAAAUCAAGAAGAAGGAGGAAGAAAAAGGAGAAGGAGGAGGAGAUAAGGACUAGAAGGUCCUGGCCUUCUCCUCCUUCUCCUCCUACCUCCUCCUCCGCUCGUNNNNNNNNNNNNNNNNNNNNNNNNNNNNNNNNNNNNNNNNNNNNNNNNNNNNNNNNNNNNNNNNNNNNNNNNNNNNNNNNNNNNNNNNNNNNNNNNNNNNAGGAGACUAUUAAACGGAGUCCAAACGGAAUAAAACCUGCGGAAUGAUUUUUUCCAUAACAGAAGACACGCAGGAGACUUGAGAACCAGGGAAGGGGACCUCGGAGGAGGUCACAAGCCACCUAGGACCGACCUAGGGGGAGGGCGGGCCUAGCAGGCUUGUGGGCCCCCUGUGGUUCCCCUGCCCUAGUUCUUCCGCCUAUAAAUUCCAUAAAAAUCUGAAAACACGAAAGAGAGCCACGAAAAUACUUUUCCACCGCCGCAAGCUUCUCUCUCCGCAAGAUCCCAUCUGGGGAACGUUCUGGUGCCCUGCCGGAGGGGGAUUCGCACACUGAGGGCUUCUUCAUGAAAACCNUUGCCUCUCCGAUGAUGCGUGAGUAGUUCACCAUAGACCCUWCSGGUCCWUAGCUAGUAGCUAGAUGGCUUCUUCUCUCUCUURGAUMUUCAAUACAAAGUUCUCCAUGAUCUUCAUGGAGWUCUAUCCAAUGUAAUAUUCUUUUGCGGUGUGUUUGUCGAGAUUCGAUGAAUUGUGGAUUUAUGAUCAUAUUAUCUAUGAAUCUUAUUUGAGUUUCUUCUGAUCUCUUAUAUGCAUGAUUUCAUAUCCUUGUAAUUCUCUUCGAGUUGUGGGUUUUGUUUGGCCAACUAGAUCUAUGAUUCUUGCAAUGGGAGAAGUGCUUGGUUUUGGGUUCAUACCGUGCGGUGACCUUUCCCAGUGACAAAAGGGGCAGCAAGGCACACAGGGGAUAGGNNNNNNNNNNNNNNNNNNNNNNNNNNNNNNNNNNNNNNNNNNNNNNNNNNNNNNNNNNNNNNNNNNNNNNNNNNNNNNNNNNNNNNNNNNNNNNNNNNNNGCUUUUCAUGAACUUAGUACACUAGAUGCAUGCUGGAUAGCGGUCGAUGUGUGGAGUAAUAGUAGUAGAUGCAGAAAGUAUCGGUCUACUUGUCUCGAACGUGAUGCCUAUAGAUAUGAUCAUUGCCAUAGAUAACGUCAUGACUUUGCGCGGUUCUAUAAAUUGCUCGACAGUAAUUCGUUCACCCACCGUCUACUUGCUUUCAUGAGAGAAGCCACUAGUGAACACUACAGCCCCCCGGGUCUAUUCACAACUAUCGUUUCCACUUUUACUUUUACUUUGGUUUGUUUACUUUUUGCUUUCAGUUCUCACUUUGCAAACAAUCUAUAAGGGAUUGACAACCCCUUCAUAGCAUUGGGUGCAAGCUCUUUGUGUUUGUGCAGGUACUUGUGACUUGACGCGAUCCUCCUACKSKACKUGAUACCUUGGUUCUGAAACUGAGGGAACUACUUACCGCCGCUGUGCUACAUCACCCUUUCCUCUUCAAGGGAACAACAACGCAAGGCUCCAAGGCACGCNNNNNNNNNNNNNNNNNNNNNNNNNNNNNNNNNNNNNNNNNNNNNNNNNNNNNNNNNNNNNNNNNNNNNNNNNNNNNNNNNNNNNNNNNNNNNNNNNNNNAUCACACCAUAGGGUUAGUAUUAUGUUGAUAGGACUAUGUAUUGGAGGGGAAGGGUGAUAGAAGCUUCAGCCUAGCAUAGAAACUGAUGCAUGCGGGAUUGAAGGGGCCCAAUAUAUCUUAUUGCUAUGGUUGGGUUUUAACUUAUUGAACGUUAGUAGUUGCGGAUGCUUGCUAAUAGAUCCAAUCAUAAGUGCAUAGAAUUUCAAGUAAGGGAUGACAUGCUAGCAGUGGCCUCUCCCACAUAAAACUUGCUAUCAGUCUAGUAACCGUAGUCAAUUGCUUAGGGACAAUUUCCGCAACUCCUACCACCACUUUUCCACACUCGUUAAACUAACGUAAUUUUUUCUUAGCAGCCCCUAGUCUUUAUUUACGUGUUCUUUCUUUUCUUGCAAACCUAUCCUAUCACUCCUACAAAGUACUUCUAGUUUCAUACUUGUUCUAGGUAAAGCGAACGUAAAGUGUGCGUAGAGUUGUAUCGGUGGUCGAUAGAACUUGAGCGAAUAUUGAUCCUACCUUUAGCUCCUCGUUGGGUUCGACACUCUUACUUAUCGAGAAAGGCUACAAUUGAUCCCCUAUACUUGUGGGUUAUCAAGACCUUUGCUACGUGNNNNNNNNNNNNNNNNNNNNNNNNNNNNNNNNNNNNNNNNNNNNNNNNNNNNNNNNNNNNNNNNNNNNNNNNNNNNNNNNNNNNNNNNNNNNNNNNNNNNAUGCUUUUCAAUUUAAGGGUCAUGUAGCUCAAAAAAAUCAGUAAAUGCAUGAAAAAUACAAAAUGCAGUCAUAAAUUGUUCAAAAUUGAUGAUGUGGCUUUAAAUGGUGCAUUUUGAACACACAAAAAGUCUGGAGUUCAAAUAAGUUCAAAAAGAUGAAAUCCCUUUGUAAUAGAUGAGUUUUCAUGUGAAUCUGUGAUACUUCGAAAGAGAUUCUCCGUUUUGUACACGAAGUGCAUCCAGUUUUUGCCAUAACCCUCUCAACUAUUUAGCACAUGCUUUGUGGGUGAAAUGAUGAUACUAUGCCAAUUUUCAAUCUUUUCAGAGGUGAUUUGUAGUGCUUUUCAAUUUAAGGGUCAUUUAGCUCAAAAAAACAAUAAAUUUAUGAAAAAUACCAAAUGAAGUCAAAAAUUGUUGAAAAUUGAUGAUGUGGCUUUGAAUGGUGCAUUUUGAACACACAAAAAGUAUGGAGUUCAAAUAAUAUCAAUAAAAUGAAAUCCCUUUGUAACAGAUGAGUUUUCGUAUGAAACCCUCAUACUUCGAAAGAGAUUGUCCAUUUUGUACACAAAGUGCAUCCAGUUUUUGCGCAACCCUCUCAACUUUUUAGCACAUCCUAUGUCGGUGAAAUGAUGAUACCAUGCCAACUUUCAACCUUUUUAGAGUUUAUUUGUAGUGCUUUCCAAUUUAAGGGUCAUUUAGUCCAAAAUAUCAGUAAAUGCAUGAAAAAUAGCAAAUGAAGUCAGAAUUUGUUGAAAAUUGAUGAUGUGGCUUUGAAUGGUGCAUUUUGAGAAAUGUUGUGACCUAAAAGCAAAAAAGAAUCAACGAAAAACAAUAAGUAGGAACAAGAAAAAGUAAAGUAAAAAAUAAAACAAAAAACUAGAUUUAAAAAAAAUGCCACCUACUAGGCCACAACGGCGUGAAUACGACUAGAAACCCAUCCUCCUGGUUGGGCCAGGAUUCAGGCCCACACAAGGCCCAAUAGGCCCACAGGCAGUGACAGAUUAGGUCCGAAAGCUUGCAGUUGAGAGGAGCUCGACAGAUUGUGCGCAGCAGCGAUUAUAAACCACUCGCGAGCUCUCUCGGCAAGCGAGGUGGGACUAAAAAUUUAGACCCGGGCAACACCACACUUUGGUCCCGGUUGGUGCCUCCAACCGGGACCAAUACCACCCUUUCGUCCCGGUUGGAGCCACCAACCGAUACUAAAGGUCUCUUCUUCCCGCCCUUUUGGACUGCUGAAAAUUGACCUUUAGUCCCGGUUGGUGGCUCCAACCGGGACAAAAGGGUGGCAUUGGUGUCGGUUGGAGCUACCAACGGGGACCAAAGGUGUUCGCAUAUAUGGCGGGACUUACCAAAAUUUCUACCAACUCCCAUUUGCCCCGUUCUCUUCUCUCCUCACCGUCGUCGUUGCCGCCCCGAGCCCGUCGCCGCCGGCCCGCGCCUUCUCCACGAGCCCAUCGUCAUUGUCGCCAUCGCCCCGAGCCCGUUGUCACGCCGAGCCCGUCGUCGCCCCGAGCCCGUCACCGUCGUCGUCGCCCCCGAGCCUGUCGCCGUCGUCGUCAUCCCGAGCCCGUCAUCACCGUCACCCCCGAGGCCAUAAACGUCCCCGCUGCCGUCGCCCCCGAGCCCAUCGCCCCAAGCCAAUCGCCGUCGCCGUCACUGAUAACCCACAAGUAUAGGGGAUCAAUUGUAGCCUUUCUCGAUACGUAAGAGUGUUGAACCCAACGAGGAUCUAAAGGUAGGAUAAAUAUUCCCUCAAGUUCUAUCGACCACCGAUACAACUCUACGCACACUUCACGUUCGCUUUACCUAGAACAAGUAUGAAACUAGAAGUACUUUGUAGGAGUGAUAGGAUAGGUUUGCAAGAAAAGAAAGAACACGUAAAUAAAGACUAGGGGCUGCUAAGAAAAAAUUACGUUAGUUUAACGAGUGUGGAAAAGUGGUGGUAGGAGUUGCGGAAUUGUCCCUAAGCAAUUGACUACGUUACUAGACUGAUAGCAAGUUUUAUGUGGGAGAGGCCACUGCUAGCAUGUCAUCCCUUACUUGAAAUUCUAUGCACUUAUGAUUGGAUCUAUUAGCAAGCAUCCGCAACUACUAACGUUCAAUAAGUUAAAACCCAACCAUAGCAAUAAGAUAUAUUGGGCCCCCUUCAAUCCCGCAUGCAUCAGUUUCUAUGCUAGGCUGAAGCUUCUAUCACCCUUCCCCUCCAAUACAUAGUCCUAUCAACAUAAUACUAACCCUAUCGUGUGAUCCACGCGCGCGCUCAUAUGAUGGGCACCAAAGGACAGCAACAUAACCACAAGCAAAUCAAACCAAUCACACCAAUUCAUCAAUAACCGAUAGGACAACAAAAAUCUACUCAGACAUCAUAGGAUGGCAACACAUCAUCGGAUAAUAAUAUGAAGCACAAAGCACCAUGUUCAAGUAGAGGGUACAGCGGGUUGCGGGAGAGUGGACCGCUGAAUAUAGAUGGGGGAAGGAGAAGGAGGUGUUGGUGAAGAUGACGGACGUGUUGGUGUAGAUCGCUGUCACACGAUGAUGUCCCGGGCGGCGUUCCGGCACCGCCGGGAGAGAGGGGGAGGGAGCCCCCCUUCUUCUUCUUCUUCCUUGACCUCCUCCCUAGAUGGGAGAAGGGUUUCCCCUCUGGUCCAUGGUCUCCAUGGCGGCGGAGGGGCGAGAGCCCCUCCGAGAUUGGAUCUCUCUCUGUGUGUCCUUCUGUUUGUGCGCUCCCAGAUUCUGCCUUUCACCGUUUCUUAAAAUUCCCGGAGAUCCAUAACUCCAAGUGGGCUGAUUUUAACACGAUUUUCUUCCGGAUAUUAGCUUUCUUGCGGCGAAAGAAGGGCCCCAACCGCCUUAGGGAUUGGUCACAAGCCUGCCUGCCGUGCCCUAGGGGGCACCUCCUAGGCUUGUGACCCCCUCGGGCAUCGUUUUGCGUUGAUUCUUCUUCCCAAAAAUCAUAAAUAUUCCAUAAAAAAUCACCAUAGGUUUUUUAUUGUGUUUGGACUUCGUUUGGUAUGGAUAUUAUACGAAACAAAAAACAUGCAACAAACAGGAACUGGCACUGGGAACUGGAUCAAUAUUUUAGUCCCAAAAAUAGUAUAAAAAGUUGCCAAAAGUAUAUGUAAGUUGUAGAAUAUUGGCAUGAAACAAUCAAAAAUUAUAGAUACGACGGAGACGUAUCAGCAUCCCCAAGCUUAAUUUCUGCUCGUCCUCGAGUAUGUUGGAAUUAUGCCCUAGAGGCAAUAAUAAAUAUAGUUAUUAUUAUAAUUCCUGUAUCAAGAUAAUCGUUUAUUGUCCAUGCUAUAAUUGUAUUGAAUGAAGACUCAUCUACAUGUGUGCAUACAUAGACAAAACACCGUCCCUAGCAAGCCUCUAGUUGGCUAGCCAGUUGAUCAAAGAUAGUCAGUGUCUUCAGAUUAUGAACAAGGUGUUGUUGCUUGAUAACUGGAUCACGUCAUUAGGAGAAUCACGUGAUGGACUAGACCCAAACUAAUAGAUGUAGCAUGUUGAUCGUGUCAUUUUUGUUGCUACUGUUUUCUGCGUGUCAAGUAUUUAUUCCUAUGACCAUGAGAUCAUAUAACUCACUGACACCGGAGGAAUGCUUUGUGUGUAUCAAACGUCGCAACAUAACUGGGUGACUAUAAAGAUGCUCUACAGGUAUCUCCGAAGUUGUUAGUUGAGUUAGUAUGGAUCAAGACUGGGAUUUGUCACUCCGUGUGACGGAGAGGUAUCUCGGGGCCCACUCGGUAAUACAACAUCACACACAAGCCUUGCAAGCAAUGUAACUUAGUGUAAGUUGCGGGAUCUUGUAUUACGGAACGAGUAAAGAGACUUACCGGUAAAUGAGAUUGAAAUAGGUAUACGGAUACUGAUGAUCGAAUCUCGGGCAAGUAACAUACCGAAGGACAAAGGGAAUGACGUACGGGAUUAUAUGAAUCCUUGGCACUAAGGUUCAAACGAUAAGAUCUUCGUAGAAUAUGUAGGAUCCAAUAUGGGCAUCCAGGUCCCGCUAUUGGAUAUUGACCGAGGAGUCUCUCGGGUCAUGUCUACAUAGUUCUCGAACCCGCACGGUCUGCACACUUAAGGUUCGACGUUGUUUUAUGCGUAUUUGAGUUAUAUGGUUGGUUACCGAAUGUUGUUCGGAGUGCCGGAUGAGAUCACGAACGUCACGAGGGUUUCCGGAAUAGUCCGGAAACGAAGAUUGAUAUAUAGGAUGACCUCAUUUGAUUACCGAAAGGUUUUCGGAGUUACCGGGAAUGUACCGGGAAUGACGAAUGGGUUCCGGGAGUUCACCGGGGGNNNNNNNNNNNNNNNNNNNNNNNNNNNNNNNNNNNNNNNNNNNNNNNNNNNNNNNNNNNNNNNNNNNNNNNNNNNNNNNNNNNNNNNNNNNNNNNNNNNNCGAAUCUCGGGCAAGUAACAUACCGAAGGACAAAGGGAAUGACGUACGGGAUUAUAUGAAUCCUUGGCACUGAGGUUCAAACGAUAAGAUCUUCGUAGAAUAUGUAGGAUCCAAUAUGGGCAUCCAGGUCCCGCUAUUGGAUAUUGACCGAGGAGUCUCUCGGGUCAUGUCUACAUAGUUCUCGAACCCGCAGGGUCUGCACACUUAAGAUUCGACGUUAUUUUAUGCGUAUUUGAGUUAUAUGGUUGGUUACCGAAUGUUGUCCGGAGUCCCAGAUGAGAUCACGGACGUCACGAGGGUUUCCGGAAUAGUCCGGAAACAAAGAUUGAUAUAUAGGAUGACCUCAUUUGAUUACCGGAAGGUUUUCGGAGUUACCGGGAAUGUACCGGGAAUGACGAAUGGGUUCCGGGAGUUCACCGGGGGGGGGGGGGGCAACCCGCCCCGGGGAAGCCCAUAGGCCUUGAGGGUGGCACACCAGCCCUUAGUGGGCUGGUGGGACAGCCCAAAAGGGCUCUAUGCGCCAAGAAGAGAAAAUCANNNNNNNNNNNNNNNNNNNNNNNNNNNNNNNNNNNNNNNNNNNNNNNNNNNNNNNNNNNNNNNNNNNNNNNNNNNNNNNNNNNNNNNNNNNNNNNNNNNNGAGCUCCCGCUCCUUCUCCUUCUUCUUCUCCUUCUUCUCCUUCUUCUUCUCCUUCUUCUUCUUAUCCUUUUGUCCCCUUCUUCUUAUCCUCCUCCCUCUCCUCCUUCUUCUUCUCCUUUUUCCUCUUCCUUCCUUUCAUUUUCCUCUUUUUCUCUUCUUGUCCCCUUCUUCGGGCUAAAUUGGCUAAGAAUGCCUUUUUGGAGCUAAUUAUGUCAUUUCGAGGAUAAUUAGCUAAGUAUAGGUCAUUUUUUAUUAAAUAGGCCAUUUUGGAGCUAACUAAGCUAAUUAUGUCCUUUCGUAGGAUAAUUAGCCAAUUUAGCCUUUCUUGGAUAAGUCUAAGCUACGUAGAAGAAGAGAUAGAGAAGAAGAAGUAAAAUAAGGAGGAGGAGGAGGAGAAGAAGAAGGAAGAGGAGAAGAAGAAGAAAAGAAGAAGGAGAAGGAGAAGAAGAAGGAGAAGGAGAAGGAGGAAGAAGGGGAAGGAGGAGCUCCUUCUCCUUCUCCUCCUUCUUCUCCUUCUUCUUCUCCUCCUCCCUCUCCUCCUUCUUCUUCUCCUUUUUCCUCUUCCUUCCUUUCAUUUUCCUCUUUUUCUCUUCUUGUCCCCUUCUUCGGGCUAAAUUGGCUAAGAAUGCCUUUUUGGAGCUAAUUAUGUCAUUUCGAGGAUAAUUAGCUAAGUAUAGGUCAUUUUUUAUUAAAUAGGCCAUUUUGGAGCUAACUAAGCUAAUUAUGUCAUUUCGUAGGACAAUUAGCCAAUUUAGCCUUUCUUGGAUAAGUCUAAGCUACGUAGAAGAAGAGAUAGAGAAGAAGAARUAAAAUAAGGAGGAGGAGGAGGAGGAGGAGGAGAAGAAGAAGGAGAAGAAGAAGAAAAUAAGAAGGAGAAGGAGGAAGAAGAAGGAGUAGGAGGAGCUCCUUCUCCUUCUCCUCCUUCUUCUCCUUCUUCUCCUUCUUCUUCUCCUCCUCCCUGUCCUCCUUCUUCUCCUUAUUUUUCCUCUUCCCUCCUUUCAUUUUUCCUCUUUUUCUCUUCUUGUCCCCUUCUUCGGGCUAAAUUGGCUAAGAAUGCCUUUUUGGAGCUAAUUAUGUCAUUUCGAGGAUAAUUAGCUAAGUAUAUGUAAUUUUUUAUUAAAUAGGCCAUUUUGGAGCUAACUAAGCUAAUUAUGUCAUUUCGUAGGAUAAUUAGCCAAUUUAGCCUUUCUUGGAUGAGUCUAAGCUACGUAGAAGAAGAGAUAGAGAAGAAGAAGUAAAAUAAGGAGGAGGAGGAGGAGGAGGAGAAGAAGAAGGAAGAGGAGAAGAAGAAGAAAAGAAGAAGGAGAAGAAGGAGAAGAAGAAGGAGAAGGAGAAGGAGGAAGAAGGAGGAAGAAGAAGGGGAAGGAGGAGCUCCUUCUCCUUCUUCUCCUUCUUCUCCUUCUUCUUCUCCUCCUCCCUCUCCUCCUUCUUCUUCUCCUCAUUUUUCCUCUUCCUUCCUUUCAUUUUCCUCUUUUUCUCUUCUUGUCCCCUUCUUCGGGCUAAAUUGGCUAAGAAUGCCUUUUUGGAGCUAAUUAUGUCAUUUCGAGGAUAAUUAGCUAAGUAUAGGUCAUUUUUUAUUAAAUAGGCCAUUUUGGAGCUAACUAAGCUAAUUAUGUCAUUUCGUAGGAUAAUUAGCCAAUUUAGCCUUUCUUGGAUGAGUCUAAGCUACGUAGAAGAAGAGAUAGAGAAGAAGAAGUAAAAUAAGGAGGAGGAGGAGGAGGAGGAGGAGAAGAAGAAGGAAGAGGAGAAGAAGAAGAAAAGAAGAAGGAGAAGGAGAAGGAGAAGGAGAAGGAGGAAGAAGGAGGAAGAAGAAGGGGAAGGAGGAGCUCCUUCUCCUUCUCCUCCUUCUUCUCCUUCUUCUUCUCCUCCUCCCUCUCCUCCUUCUUCUCCUCAUUUUUCCUCUUCCUUCCUUUCAUUUUCCUCUUUUUCUCUUCUUGUCCCCUUCUUCGAGCUAAAUUGGCUAAGAAUGCCUUUUUGGAGCUAAUUAUGUCAUUUCGAGGAUAAUUAGCUAAGUAUAGGACAUUUUUUAUUAAAUAGGACAUUUUGGAGCUAACUAAGCUAAUUAUGUCAUUUCGUAGGACAAUUGGCUAAUUUAGCCUUUCUUGGAUGAGUCUAAGCUACGUAGAAGAAGAGAUAGAGAGGAAGAAGUAAAAUAAGGAGGAGGAGGAGGAGGAGGAGGAGGAGGAGAAGAAGGAAGAGGAGAAGAAGAAGAAAAGAAGAAGGAGAAGGAGAAGAAGAAGGAGAAGGAGAAGGAGGAAGAAGAAGGAGUAGGAGGAGCUCCUUCUCCUUCUCCUCCUUCUUCUCCUUCUUCUCCUUCUUCUUCUCCUCCUCCCUCUCCUCCUUCUUCUCCUCAUUUUCCUCUUCCCUCCUUUCAUUUUCCUCUUUUCUCUUCUUGUCCCCUUCUUCGGGCUAAAUUGGCUAAGAAUGCCUUUUUGGAGCUAAUUAUGUCAUUUCGAGGAUAAUUAGCUAAGUAUAGGUCAUUUUUUAUUAAAUAGGCCAUUUUGGAGUUAACUAAGCCAAUUAUGUUAUUAGAUGGAAGUCUAGCUAUUUUGGGGCUAACUAAGCUAAUUAUGUCAUUAGAUGGAAGUCUAGCUAUUUUUUAUUAAAACACUAGAAAUAACAUACCUAAGUUAGGGUGAAGCACGGUGGCUCUGGCUUGUUUCACCUGGAGAAGGCUGCCCUGGAGAAGGCUCGACUGUAGAAGGGUCAUGCGAUGCGUUUCGGGACAUAUUCUGCACCAAACAUCGUUUGCAAUGUGUAGUUAGCAUGAGGACACUCUUAAGAUCACUCCACUGAAAUGAAACUCACCGUCCCCGCCACGUUAAUGACUGGCAUCGGCGGAGGGACUUGGCCGUUCUUCUCGCACAUAGACUGUACAUUUGGUUUCGACAAGUCAAACUUUUUAUUUAUUAAUGAAACGGACAUUCAAAUGCAAGAUUUGAAAUAACAUGAAGAAGAAACUUACCACGAAGAGCUCGUAUAUGGCCCUGGUAGACGCUUCAUUCCGUGCCCUCUCCGCCUCCACCAAUGCAGUCGUCCUCUCCUCCAGCUCCCUAAUUUCCUUAUCCUUCUCCGCCAUAGCCGCCUGCAUUGCCGCUCUCUCUUUCUGAAUAGCAGCCUGCAACACAACUCAUUGUUAGCAAUGUAAUCAUAUUGGUUCCAACGCACAACAUAAUGCGGAAAGAUUGUUCAGUCCAUUAAACUAACCUCGAUGGCGAGCUCGACUGGCCGUGGACGACGUGUUAUCUCCGGACAAGAGCUCGUUUGGCGUGCCUUUAUCUACCGGAGAGUGCUAGGACAACGUAUAAGGCCGUCUCCAAUGGCGAUCGAGCCAUGGGGCCUCCCGUUGCCAGCUAUCAUCACCAGCUCUGGAUCAAUUGGCCCCUCGCUCGGGUUAAAGUCCUCCCCUUUCCUCGCCUUCCCGUGAUCUCUGUACUUCACGAGCUUGUCGUGGGAGGAGAUGUUGGUGAAGUUUUCUGGAUGCUCGAGGUCAGACUCACAGAAUGCCUUGACCUUCUUGUACGAGGCAGUAUGGGCCAUCGCAUACAGGUCGUACAUCUGUGGCGCCUCCGUCUUAUUGUGACGCGCCUAAAAGAGAGAGAGCAGAAAAUUGUAUUGGUAAAGGGCUCAAGAUAGCAUUAAGAAUGAAUUGCAUGAGGCAUGAACCAAACCACAUACCCAGUUCUCGCCAAAUUGGAUUAAGUUGACGCUCCCUUGAUGGUGUGGCACGCCAACCAUUUUGCCACGCCUCUCCUUGGCGUUGUUGUGGCUGGUCUCCCACGUUUUGGAGCACCACUGGUCCACCAAGGCCUCCCAACAAUCCAUCUUAUCCACACACCAUCUAGGGGGCACCUAAGUUAAUAAAGAGAAAUUUGAGUGCGUAAGAACCAAAUCAAGGAAACUAACUACAAAGCCUUAAUAAUAUGUAAUUACCUUCAUGUAAUGCUCCUUCUCCAUCUUAGCAUCAUGGCACUUCGCCUUAUCAAUCCUAAUACGCCGCGUGGCAUAGUAGUCUCGAACAGCCUGCACCCGAGCCUCGUGCCGAAAGUUUUGAAGUAGGCGGCGACAUUCGGUUUCGAUAACCUUUGCCGCGUCGUCCUCGUAUCCCUCCUCACACCUGUAGAAGGUCUGCAAACGGGACAACACCGAUUAGUACAAUAAAUAGCUAUGGUUAAUUUAUAAUUGUGUGAAAGAGAAAUUACCCAGAACUUUCGGAUCACCAUGUCCGCCCUCGUGUCACACAAAACACCGUCGAUCUCCACCUCCGGCGGGGCCAGGGCACCCAAGUAGUGCUCCCAGGUCAUCCCUACCUCUCGCUCCCGACCGGGCAACGUAACAAACCCUGGGAAGUUUUGACGGCAAAGAACACCGAGGACGCUGUUGGGCUUGCGGACACCCUUGGCAACAAUCCAACCCCUACAGUAUGACAAAUUAAAGCCAAAACAUUAGAUAUUUGAGAAAACGCGAAGGCAAAAGGUUAAAUAAGAGUAAAUUAACUUACUUGUCCCCAUUUGGCCUAAUCGAGCACCUCUGCUCGGGGGUCGCUGGCACGAGCGGGAGCCCCGAACUACCACGCUGGUAGACGGUAUCCCCCUCACCCAGCUCCUCGUCGCUACCAGCAUGGCAGUUGGCUCUGGCCAGGGAUCCCACUGGGUCUCUUGGGACGUACCCUCAUCCCUGCUGUGCUCCGCAGUCGUGUGGAAGGAAGCCUCUGGGACACGAGUCUCGUGGGUCAAAGGCUCGUCGACCUGAGGCUCGUCGACCCGAGGCUCGUGAACCGGAGACCGUGUAGCCUCCACCUCAGACGAAUCCACCCUAGAAGUCCUCCUGUGCUCAGGUGAAUCAGCUUGGGGUGGUGGCGGAGACCGUGUAUCCCUACCUCUCCCGCGGCCACGUGUACCUUUAGUACAACAUAAAUACCAACAUGAGUAAUAAAAUGUAUAUAAAUACCAAUAUGCAUACAACAUGAGUACAACAUAAAUACCAACACGAAUACAACGUGUACCUUUAGUGCCUCUCGGCUUCGCGGGUGGUCGACCUCCUCUCACGGGGGCCGCUCCUUGCAUACUAGAGAGCAACACUCUCCGAAGAGGCGAGGCCGGAAUGGAAGUACCCAUCCCAUCACCCGCCGACGAAGAAGCAGCCGCGGCAUGCUUUCGACCCUUUCCCACCAUCUUUCAACACCUGUCAUGACAAAGAGUAAAUGAAAUUAGUACAACAUAAAUACCAACAUGACUAAUAAAAAUUGAAUACCUAACAUGAACUCAAAAUUUAUAUAUAGUAUAAUAGUUGAAUACCUGACAUGAACUAAUAACAAUCGUCCUCGUCUAUAUAUGCUUCGGGGUCAAUAAAUGCAUCAUGAUCAUCACUAUCAUCAAUAAAUGCAUCAUCAUCAUCACUAUCUAGAAGAACAUGUGGAAGGCCACCAUUAUGUAAUCGGUCAAGAAGUGACAGGUCAUCCGCAGCAGUAACCUCUUCUUCUUCCAGAUCUUCCUCUUCGGGCUCAGGGGUUAAGACGGAUUCACUGUCACUGUCUACUUCAAUGUUCUGGGGUGAAGUAGAGCGGUUCUUGAAACGUUUCUUGGACAUACGUGUUUCUUGGAAGAAUUCUCCUUCAUAUGUGUCUGGGUUAAUGUGAGGUUCGUAAUCCUCUUCAUUGAGGGUAGGUGGUCUAAAAUGUGGUGGCACAUCAUAAACGACAUCCCAACCUUUGAGAUUUGGAUCAAUUUGGCAGGCCCACGGUAGAUAGAAAACUUGUGUCGCCUGUUGAGACAUAAUAUAGACAUCGGGAACAUCUAAGUGGGUGUUUUGGUUGAUUUCGACUAGUCCUAUAUGUUCAUGAGUCCUUCUAGUCUCCCUCGGCUCAAACCAAUAACAUUUGAAGACUACGACGGUCGGUGGGUUUUCACCAUAGAAUAGAAGUUCAUAAAUUGCUUCAACCCUUCCAUAAUACUCGGUGUCUCCUUCGCCGAUAGCAGAGACAGAACAAUUUGUAGUCUUUAGGUCGGGCAUAGAUAGCUCUUUGCCAAAGGUACGAAAGUGAUACCCGUUGAUGUUGUAUUUGUCAAAUGAACGGACCUUAUAGUCAAAACCAUUAGCGACUUGUCUCAACUCGGCGUCCAUAGACUCUGCAUCAGCCUACAAGUUUAAUACGAAAGAAUGGAUGCAUUAGCCGCAAAUUAGACCAAUAAUUCAAAUGGUUUUGUACACGAACUGCAUCCAGUUUUUGUCGUAGCCCUUCACUUUACGANNNNNNNNNNNNNNNNNNNNNNNNNNNNNNNNNNNNNNNNNNNNNNNNNNNNNNNNNNNNNNNNNNNNNNNNNNNNNNNNNNNNNNNNNNNNNNNNNNNNCAAUUAAAAACUAUGUUUAUUAAAAAUUCUUUUUGCAUAUUUGAGAAUUUAACAAAACUAUGAUAAUGAAAAGUGUUUCAAAUUGAAUAAAUAAUGCAAAACUAUUUUUAUUUUCAUAAUUAAUAAUUUUGACUAUCCAAACUAUUAUCUAUUUUGUUAUUUUGACUUCAUUUGGUAUAUUUCGUGCAUGUACUUAUUUUUUUUGAGCUAGUUGACCCUGAAAUUGAAAAGCACUACAAAUGAACCACUACUGAAAUUCAGAAAUUUGCCGUCUGCCAAGGCGGACGGCAAAGGGGGCAACCAUGGACGGCAAAGGCUUUGCCGUCUGCCCCCUCAUGGCAAAGUAGAUGGUAAAAAAAAUCCGGUGAAGAGGCUCUUUGCCGUCUGCUUUCACAAAGCGGACGGCAAAGAAUCUUUGCCAUGAGGGGGAAGACGGCAAAAUAAGUGGGACGGCAUAUAUUGCAACGUCCCCGUUAAGUGUUAACGGCAGGCCUCCUCUCUUUGCCGUCUGCCUCCCCCCCUUUGCCAUGUGGGGGUAAACGGCAAAGAGGGAGAGAGAGGGGGCAGAUUCUCUCUUUGCCGUCUGCCUCCCCCCCUUUGCCAUGUGGGGGCAGACGGCAAAGAGGGGAGAGAGAGGGGGCAGAUUCCCCCUUUGCCGUCUGCCUCCACCCCUUUGCCAUGUGUUGGCAGACGGCAAAGAGGGGAACCAUCCCCUUUUUUAUUUAUUUUUUGUUAUAUCCAGCAUUUUUAACAAUAAUCAGGAUAUAUAUAUAUAUUUGACAUAAAUAAAUUUCUUUUCGUACCCAUAACCAUAUUAAAAUAACUCUCAUCCAUAGUGCAUACAUAUUAUGGAAGUUACAUUCGUACCAAACCUAAUAUUACACCAGUUUCAUCCACGUGCAUACAAAGUUUCAUAUAUUCAUAUACUACAACAGUUUCAAUACAACCCAUGGUACAAGAAAUCAUCUUCAAGCAUUCCAUCAACCAAGCUUCCCGUGAAGUGAAGGUAAUCUGCAAAAUGACAAAUAAGAAAGUUAGAAAAAUAAUACUAGAUGAAGUAGUGUAUAUAUAGGUUAUUUCGGAGAGAAAUUAGCUAAUUAUAGACCAUUUAGGAGCUAACUAAGCUAAUUAUGUCAUUUAGGUGGAACCCUAGCUAACUAUAGGAGAAGAGAAAGAGAAGAAGAAGUAAAAGAAGAAGGAGGAGGAGGAGAAGGAGAAGGAAGAGGAGAAGAAGAAGAAAAAGGAGGAGGAGGAGGAGGAGGAGAAGGAGAAGGAAGAGGAGAAGAAGAAGAAGGAGAAGAAGGAGAAGAAGAAGGAGAAGAGAGAGAGAGAGAGAGANNNNNNNNNNNNNNNNNNNNNNNNNNNNNNNNNNNNNNNNNNNNNNNNNNNNNNNNNNNNNNNNNNNNNNNNNNNNNNNNNNNNNNNNNNNNNNNNNNNNGGUGCAAGACUUUGAUGAUGCUCGGGAUUCGGAAGAUGAGAUGGAGGAAUCUGCAAAGGCCUUUUAUGAAAUGUUGGAGUCUUCAAAACGUCCUCUCCAUGAGCACACUGAGCUCUGUCAGCUGGAUGCAAUUGCACAAGUAAUGGCUCUGAAGGCUUAGUUCAACUUGGGAAGAGAAUGCUACGACGCGAUGAUGACACUAUUUGGACGUUUCCUACCCAAAGGCCAUGUCAUGCCUGCAAACCUGUACCAGUCGGAAAAAAUAUUUCGUUUACUUAAGAUGCACUAUGAGAAGAUACAUGCAUGUGAGAAAGGAUGUGUCUUAUUUAGGAAGGAGUAUCUACACUUGGACUAUUGUCCCAAUUGCGAGUCUUGCAGGUAUCUUGUGGUAGACAAACGGUAUGGGUGAGAAGAGGCAGACCAAAAUCGCAGUUAGUGUUCUUCGGUAUAUCACAAUCGUACCAAUACUUCAACGUCUUUUCAUGGUCGAAGAGACAGCCAGACAGAUGACAAGGCACAAAUUGGGCAAAAGAACCGAACUAGAUGCGGAUGGGAAUAAGAUGAUGGUACACACAUCGGAUGGGGAAGCGUGGAAACAUUUCGAUGGAUUGCAUCAAGAUAAAGCGACAGAUCCAAGGAAUCCUCGAGUCUGUGCCGCCACGGUCGGUUUUAAUCCCUUCGGCAUGACGACAACCCAAUACAGUUGUUGGCCUGUAUUUGUCAUUCCACUCAAUCUCCCCCCUAGGCAGAUUAUGCAAAGAAAGAUCAUAUUUCUGACGUUGAUAAUUCCAGGGCCCAAUUAUCCGGGGAAGAAUAUGAAUGUGUAUCUGCAACCGCUUAAGGAUGAAUUGGAAGAAGCUUGGGAUAAUGGGGUCAAGACAUACGAUGCCGCUAGAAAAAAAAACUUCAAAAUGCAUGUGUGGUACAUGUUGGGGAACGUCGCAUGGGAAACAAAAAAUUUCCUACGCGCACGAAGACAUAUCAUGGUGAUGUCCAUCUACGAGAGGGCAUAUUCGAUCUACGUACCCUUGUAUGAUUUCCAACAAGUCACUAGCACGCUCAAUUGUUCCGGAGAACGGAGUUUUAGUCAUCUUGCCCAUGAGGCAUGGUUCGCACGUGUCAAGUGAAUCAAAGUCAAGUGACUCCAAAAGUCCAUCGGCAUGGAGUUUCUUCAUGCGCUUUACACCAAUAUGACCUAAGCGGUAGUGCCACAAAAAUAUGGCGCUAUCAUUGUUAACUUUAACUCUUUUGGUCUCAAUGUUAUGUAUGUGUGUAUCACUAUCAAGAUUCAAUAUGAACAAUCCUCUCACAUUGGGUGCAUGACCAUAAAAGAUGUUACUCAUAGAAAUAGAACAACUAUUAUUCUCUGAAUUAAAAGAGUAACCGUCUCGCAAUAAACAAGAUCCAGAUAUAAUGUUCAUGCUCAACGCAGGCACUAAAUAACCAUGAUUCAAGUUCAUAACUAAUCCUGAUGGUAACUGAAGUGAAACUGUGCCGACGGCGAUUGCAUCAAACUUGGAACCAUUUCCUACGCGCAUCGUCACUUCAUCUUUCGCCAGCCUUCGUCUAUUCCGCAGUUCCUGUUUCGAGUUGCAAAUAUGAGCAACAGAACCGGUAUCGAAUACCCAGGCACUACUACGAGUGCCGGUUAAGUACACAUCAAUAACAUGUAUAUCAAAUAUACCUGAUUUUUCUUUGGCCGCCUUCUUAUCAGCCAGAUACUUGGGGCAGUUGCGCUUCUAGUGACCCAUACCCUUGCAAUAGUAACACUCUGUUUCAGGCUUAGGUCCAGCUUUGGGUUUCUUCAUCGGAUUGGCAACAGGCUUGCCGCUCUUCUUUGAAUUACCCGUCUUGCCUUUGCCGUUUCUCUUGAAACUAGUGGUCUUAUUCACCAUCAACACUUGAUGCUCUUUAUGGAGUUCAGACUCUGCGACUUUCAGCAUCGCAAACAACUCGCCGGGUGACUUGUUCAUCCCUUGCAUGUUGUAGUUCAACACAAAGCCUUUAUAGCUUGGCGGCAGUGACUGAAGGAUCCUGUCAGUGAUAGCCUCUUGCGGGAGUUCAAUCCCCAGCUCAGCUAGACGGUUUGAGUACCCAGACAUUUUGAGCACAUGUUCACUGACAGACGAAUUCUCCUCCAUCUUGCAAGCAUAGAAUUUAUCGAAGGUCUCAUACCUCUCGAUCCGGGCGUUCUUCUGAAAGAUAAACUUCAACUCCUGGGACAUCUCAUAUGCUCCAUGACUCUCAAAGCGAUGUUGAAGUCCCGGUUCUAAGCCAUACAAGACUGCACAUUGAACUACUGAGUAGUCCUCCUUACGUGUUAACCAAGCGUUCUUAACAUCCUAGUCAGCCGUAGCGGGUGGUUCAUCUCCUAGUGCAGCAUUAAGGACAUAAUCCUUCUUCCUAGCUUGUAAGAUUAGCUUAAGAUUACGAGCCCAGUCUACAAAGUUGCUUCCAUCAUCUUUCAACUUAGCUUUCUCUAGGAACGUAUUAAAAUUCAGGGUGACUGUCGCGUGAGCCAUGAUCUACAACACAAAUAUAUUCAUAGUGGACUUAGACUAUGUUCAAGACUAUAUUCAAAGUGGACUCAAAAAGUACAUAUCUCUAGUCAUUUGAGUGGUUCAUGAUCCACUUACACUAUCUCAAUACCGAUCAUCACGUGAGUUGAGUAUAGUUUCAGUGGUAAGCAUCCCUAUGCUAAUCAUAUCAUCUAUAUGAUUCAUGAUCGACCUUUCGGUCUCAUGUGUUCCGAGGCCAUGUCUGCAGAUGCUAGGCUCGUCAAGCUUAACCCGAGUGUUCCGCGUGUGCAACUGGUUUGCACCCGUUGUAUGUGAACGUUGAGUCUAUCACACCCGAUCAUCACGUGGUGUCUCGUAAUGACGAACUGUAGCAACGGUGCACAGUCUGGGAGAACACAAUUUCGUCUUGAAAGUUUAGUGAGAGAUCACCUCAUAAUGAUACCGUCGUUCUAAGCAAAAUAAGGUGCAUAAAAGGAUUAACAUCACAUGCAAUUCAUAAGUGACAUGAUAUGGCCAUCAUCACGUGCUCCUUGAUCUCCAUCAGCAAAGCACCGGCACGAUCUUCUUGUCACCGGCGCCACACCAUGAUCUCCAUCAACGUGUCACCAUCAGGGUUGUCGUGCUGCUCAUGCUAUUACUACUAAUGCUACAUCCUAGCAAAAUAGUAAACGCAUCUGCAAGCACAAACGUUAGUUUAAAGACAACCCUAUGGCUCCUGCCGGUUGCCGUACCAUCGACGUGCAAGUCGAUAUUAUCUAUUACAACAUGAUCAUCUCAUACAUCCAAUAUAUCACAUCACAUCGUUGGCCAUAUCACAUCACAAGCAUACCCUGCAAAAACAAGUUAGACGUCCUCUAAUUUUGUUGUUGCAUGUUUUACAUGGUGACCAUGGGUAUCUAGUAGGAUCGCAUCUUACUUACGCAAACACCACAACGGAGAUAUAUGAAUUGCUAUUUAACCUUAUACAAGGACCUCCUCGGUCAAAUCCGAUUCAACUAAAGUUGGAGAAACUGACACUUGCCAGUCAUCUUUGAGUAACGGGGUUACUCGUAGCGAUGAAACCAGUCUCUCGUAAGCGUACGAGUAAUGUCGGUCCAAGCCGCUUCGAUCCAACAAUACCGCGGAAUCAAGAAAAGACUAAGGAGGGCAGCAAAACGCACAUCACCGCCCACAAAAACUUUUGUGUUCUACUCGAGAAGACAUCUACGCAUGAACCUAGCUCAUGAUGCCACUGUUGGGUAACGUCGCAUGGGAAACAAAAAAUUUACUACGCGCACGAAGACCUAUCAUGGUGAUGUCCAUCUACGAGAGGGGAUAUUCGAUCUACGUACCCUUGUAGAUCGCACAGCUGAAGUGUUAGUGAACACGGUUGAUGUAGUGGAACGUCCUCAGGUCCCUCGAUCCGCCCCGCGAACCGCCCCGCGAUCAGUCCCACGAUCUAGUGCCGAACGGACCACCUCCGCGUUCAGCACACGUACAGCUCGACGAUGAUCUCGGCCUUCUUGAUCCAGCAAGAGAGACGGAGAGGUAGAUGAGUUCUCCGGCAGCGUGACGGUGCUCCGGAGGUUUGUGGUGAUCUUAUCUCAGCAGGGCUCCGCCCGAGCUCCGCAGAAACGCGAUCUAGAGGUAAAACCGUGGAGAUAUGUGGUCGGGCUGCCGUGGCAAAGUUGUCUCAAAUCAGCCCUAAAACCUCCGUAUAUAUAGGAGGAAGAGGGGGAGCCUUCCCUUGGGGUCCAAGGACCACCAAGGGGUUCGGCCGAGCCAAGGGGGGGGAGUCCUCCCCUUCCAAACCGAAUCCAACUAGGUUUGGAAGGAGGAGUCCUUCCCCUUUUUCCCACCUCCCUUUUUUUUCUCUUUGAUUUUCUUCCUAUGGCGCAUAGGGACUUCUUUGGCUGUCCCACCAGCCCACUAAGGGCUGGUGCGCCACCCCCAAGGCCUAUGGGCUUCCCCGGGGUGGGUUGCCCCCCCCGGUGAACAUCCGGAACCCAUUCGUCAUUCCCGGUACAUUCCCGGUAACUCCGAAAACCUUCCGGUAAUCAAAUGAGGUCAUCCUAUAUAUCAAUCUUCGUUUCCGGACCAUUCCGGAAACCCUCGUGACGUCCGUGAUCUCAUCCGGGACUCCGAACAACAUUCGGUAACCAACCAUAUAACUCAAAUACGCAUAAAACAACGUCGAACCUUAAGUGUGCAGACCCUGCGGGUUCGAGAACCAAGUAGACAUGAACCGAGUGACUCCUCGGUCAAUAUCCAAUAGCGGGACCUGGAUGCCCAUAUUGGAUCCUACAUAUUCUACGAAGAUCUUAUCGUUUGAACCUCAGUGCCAAGGAUUCAUAUAAUCCCGUAUGUCAUUCCCUUUGUCCUUCGGUAUGUUACUUGCCCGAGAUUCGAUCGUCAGUAUCCGCAUACCUAUUUCAAUCUCGUUUACUGGCAAGUCUCUUUACUCGUUCCGUAAUACAAGAUCCCGCAACUUACACUAAGUCACAUUGCUUGCAAGGCUUGUGUGUGAUGUUGUAUUACCGAGUGGGCCCCGAGAUACCUCUCCGUCACACGGAGUGACAAAUCCCACUCUCGAUCCAUACUAACUCGACGAACACCUUCGGAGAUACCUGUAGAGCAUCUUUAUAGUCACCCAGUUACGUUGCGACAUUUGAUACACACAAAGCAUUCCUCCGGUGUCAGUGAGUUAUAUGAUCUCAUGGUCAUAGGAACAAAUACUUGACACGCAGAAAACAGUAGCACUAAAAUGACACGAUCAAUAUGCUACGUCUAUUAGUUUGGGCUAGUCCAUCACGUGAUUCUCCUAAUGACAUGAUCCAGUUAUCAAGCAACAACGCUUUGUUCAUAAUCAGAAGACCCUGACUAUCUUUGAUCAACUGGCUAGCCAACUAGAGGCUUGCUAGGGACAGUGUUUUGUCUAUGUAUCCACACAUGUAUAUAAGUCUUCAUUCAAUACAAUUAUAGCAUGGAUAAUAAACGAUUAUCUUGAUACAGGAAUUAUAAUAAUAACUAUAUUUAUUAUGGCCUCUAGGGCAUAAUUCCAACAGUACAUGUACUCUAUGCAUGACUUGCCAGCGUAUGCACUAUUCUCUCGAUGGUGUGUGCAUGGAAGGUUCCCGUGCCCCAAAUGCAAGGCAGCUCUUCAGUUUCAUUGGUUGCAGGAGGGUCGGAAGUAUUCUUGCUUUGACUUGCAUAGACAGUUCCUGGAUCCUGACCAUCAGUUCAGAAAAGACAAGAAGAACUUUAAUAAAGGUAAAGUUGUCAAGAACUUGGCACCACCUGCGUUCACAGGCCAACAGAUCUUGGAUGAGUUAAACGCCCUCGAGCCUGAUCCAGAGCGUCCAUGGUAUUUCAAGGGUUAUAAUUCAAAACACGCCUGGACUCACAAGCCAUGCUUCUGGGAUCUGCCUUACUUCAAAGACCUCCUUCUUCCACACAAUAUCGACAUGAUGCACACUGAAAAUAAUAUCGGAGAGGCUAUUUUUGGUACAUUGUUCGACAUAGAUGGGAAGACAAAGGAUAAUAUUAAGGCUAGAGUCGAUCAAGAGACACUAUGUCAUAGACCAUUACAAAACAUGCGAGAAGGCAAAGGAAAGCAGAAGUGGUCGAAGCCAAAGGCCUGGUUCAUUCAUGGAAGGCCAGCUAUGAGGGAAAUUAUCUUGUGGGUCAAAAUGCACUUGAUGUUCCCCGAUGGGUAUGCAGCGAAUCUAAAGAGGGGAGCGAGUCUUGAAAAAUUAAAAAUCUUUGGUCUCAAGAGUCAUGAUUGGCACAUAUGGCUAGAGCGGGUAAUACCGGUGAUGUUAUGUGGCUUUAUUCCCGAGGAUGAAUGGCUAGUACUGGCGGAGCUGAGCUAUUUCUUUCAUGUUCUUUGUGCGAAAGAAUUGUCGCCUGGCGUGGUAGAAGACAUGGAGGAGUUUGCACUGGAGUUGUUGUGCAAGUUAGAGAAGAUCUUUCCACCGGGCUUCUUUAAUCCAAUGCAGCAUUUGAUUUUACAUCUACUGACCGAGGCAAGAUUGGGUGGGCCCGUGCAAGAUCGUUGGUGCUAUGCAACUGAGAGGAUGCAGAAGACCCUUCGAGCUAAAUGUAAGAAUAAGCGUUGAAUUGAAGCAUCGAUGGCUGAGUCAUUCAUUACUGAGGAGGUGGCAAACUUUGUGACAGCACACUACGAAGCCAAAAAUCAUCAUCUGCAUAAUCCGAAGCCUCGGCACAAUGAUGCAGACCAUAAAAAAGGUGGGUCCAACCUCAGCCUAUUCAAAGGGAAGCUCGCACCAGUCGGUGCUUCGAAACCAAUAACGUUGGAUGUCGAAGAAUGGCGGAACAUUUCGUUGUAUAUCUUCAACAACCUACCAGAAGUGCGGCCGUACAUCGAGUGAGUUCUCGACACAUUUUCCCGUAACUUCUAAUUCAUUUGAACUGCUCUUAUUCCCGGAUAUUUCAAACAGCCCUUACAUCGUCAAAUUCUCGGAUGGAGCGGUGAUCGAAAAUGAUUCCGUCGAAGAUUAUGCGCUUCUGUCAAAGACAGGAGGCGGCUAUCCCGGUUUCAUCUCUUGGUUCAAACAAACGGUAAUUAUCAAUAAUGGACCAUUUCAUUCUUGGUCAACCUUGGUUAGCUCAUGAAUAUUAUAUACUUAGCUUGUUUUCCUCUAAAAUGAGAUAAUUAGCCCAUUUAGCUCCAAAAAAACAUAAUUACGUAAUUUAGCUCCAAGAAGAGGAGAAGAAAUAGGAAAAAUAARAAURAAGAAGAAGAAGAAGAAGAGAAGAAGGAGAAGGAGGAGGAGGAGGAGGAGGAGAAGGCCAAGGACCUUCUAGUCCUUCUCCUCCCCCUCCCUUCUCCUCCUUCUUCUUGAUUUCUUCUUCUUCUCCUCCUCCUCCUCUUUCUUCUCCUCUUUCAUAUUAUCCUUGCUUUAAUUAACCCAACAAUGACAUAAUGAGCCCAUUUACCUCGAAAAUACCAUAAUAAGCUCAAAAUGGCAUAAGAACCUUNNNNNNNNNNNNNNNNNNNNNNNNNNNNNNNNNNNNNNNNNNNNNNNNNNNNNNNNNNNNNNNNNNNNNNNNNNNNNNNNNNNNNNNNNNNNNNNNNNNNAGGAGGAGGCGAAGGACGUAGWASGUCCUUSGCCUUCUCCUCCUUCUCUUCCUCCUCCUCCUCCUCCUCCUCCUUCUCCUUCUUCUCUUCUUCUUCUUCUUCUUUGUUUUCAUUUUUCCUAUUUAUUCUCCUCUUAUUGGAGCUAAAUUACCUAAUUAUGUCUUUUUGGAGCUAAAUGGGCUAAUUAUCUCAUUUUAGAGGAAAACAAGCUAAGUAUACAAUAUUCAUGAGCUAACCAAGGUUCUUAUGCCAUUUUGAGAUUAUUAUGGCAUUUUGGAGCUAAAUGGGCUAAUUUUGUCUUUUUGGGGAAAUUAAAGAAAGGAUAAUAUGAAAGAGGAGAAGAAAUAGGAGGAGGAGGAGAAGAAGAAAAAUCAAGAAGAAGGAGGUGAAGGAGAUGGAGGAGAAGGACUAGAAGGUCCUUGGCCUUCUCCUCCUCCUUCUCCUUCUUCUCUUCUUCUUCUUAUUCUUUCUUUUCAUUUUUCCUAUUUCUUCUCCUCUUCUAGGAGCUAAAUUAGCUAACUAUGUCUUCUUGGAGCUAAAUGGGCUAAAUAUCUCAUAUUAGAGGAAAACAAGCUAAGUAUAUAAUAUUCAUGAGCUAACCAAGGUUCUUAUGCCAUUUUGACCUUAUUAUGGCAUUUUGGAGCUAAAUGGGCUAAUUAUGUCUUUUUGGGGAAAUUAAAGCAAGGAUAAUAUGAAAGGGGAGAAGAAAGAGGAGGAGGAGGAGAAGAAGAAGAAAUCAAGAAGAGGGAGGAUAAGAAGGAGAAGGAGGAGGAGGAUAAGGACUAGAAGGUCCUUGGCCUUCUCCUCCUUCUCCUCCUACUCCUCCUCCUUCUCAUUCUUCUCUUCUUCAUCUUCUUCUUUCUUUUCAUUUUUCUUAUUUCUUCUCCUCUUCUCCUCUUCUCCUCUUCUUGGAGCUAAAUUACCUAAUUAUGUCUUUUUGGAGCUAAAUGGGCUAAUUAUCUCAUUUUAUAGGAAAACAAGCUAAGUAUAUAAUAUUCAUGAUCUAACCAAGGUUCUUAUGCCAUUUUGAGGUUAUUAUGGCAUUUUGGAGCUAAAUGAGCUAAUUAUGUCUUUUUGGGGAAAUUAAAGCAAGGAUAAUAUGAAAGAGGAGAAGAAAGAGGAGGAGGAGGAGAAGAAGAAGAAAUCAAGAAGAAGGAGGAGAAAAAGGAGAAGGAGGAGGAGGAUAAGGACUAGAAGGUCCUUGGCCUUCUCCUCCUUCUCCUCCUACUCCUCCUCCUUCUCAUUCUUCUCUUCUUCUUCUUCUUCUUUAUUUUCAUUUUUCCUAUUUCUUCUCCUCUUCUUGGAGCUAAAUUACCUAAUUAUGUCUUUUUGGAGCUAAAUGGGCUAAUUAUCUCAUUUUAGAGGAAAACAAGCUAUGUAUAUAAUAUUCAUGACCUAACCAAUGUUCUUAUGCCAUUUUGAGGUUAUUUUGGCAUUUUGGAGCUAAAUGGGCUAAUUAUGUCUUUUUGGGGAAAUUAAAUCAAGGAUAAUAUGAAAGAGGAGAAGAAAGAGGAGGAGGAGGAGAAGAAGAAGAAGAGAAGGAGGAGAAGGAGGAGAAGGAGGAGGAGGUGAAGGACUAGAAGGUCCUUGGCCUUCUCCUCCUUCUCCUCCUCCUCCUUCUCCUUCUUCUCUUCUUCUUCUUCUUUCUUUUCAUUUUUCCUAUUUCUUCUCCUCUUCUCCUUUUGUUGGUGCUAAAUUACCUAAUUAUGUCUUUUUGGAGCUAAAUGGGCUAAUUAUCCCAUUUUAGAGGAAAACAAGCUAAGUAUAUAAUAUUCAUGAGCUAACCAAGGUUCUKAUGCCAUUUUKAGCUUAUUAUGGCAUUUUGGAGCUAAAUGGGUUAAUUAUGUCAUUGUUGGGGAAAUUAAAGCAAGGAUAAUAUGAAAUAGGAGAGGAAAGAGGAGGAGGAGGAGAAGAAAAAGAAAUCAAGAAGGAGGACAAGGAGGAGGAGAAGGACUAGAAGGUCCUUGGCCUUCUCCUCCUCCUCCUCCUUCUCCUUCCUCUCUUCUUCUUCUUCUUUCUUUCUUUUCAUUUUUCCUAUUUAUUGUUGGAGCUAAAUUACCUAAUUAUGUCUUUUUGGAGCUAAAUGGGUUAAUUAUCCCAUUUUAGAGGAAAACAAGCUAAGUAUAUAAUAUUCAUGAGCUAACCAAGGUUCUUAUGCUAUUUUGAGCUUAUUACGGUAUUUUGGAGCUAAAUGGGCUAAUUAUGUCAUUGUUGGGGAAAUUAAAGCAAGGAUAAUAUGAAAUAGGAGAAGAAAUAGGAGGCGGAGGAGAAGAAGAAGAAAUCAAGAAGGAGGAGAAGGAGGAGAAGGAGGAGGAGGAGAAGGAGUAGAAGGUCCUMGGCCUCUCCUCCUCCUCCUCCUCCUUCUCCUUCUUCUUCUUCUUCUUCUUCUUCUUCUUCUUCUUUCUUUUCAUUUUGCCUAUUUCUUCUCCUCUUCUCCUCUUGUUGGAGCUAAAUUACCUAAUUAUGUCUUUUUUGAGCUAAAUGGGCUAAUUAUCCCACUUUAGAGGAAAACAAGCUAAGUAUAUAAUAUUAAUGAGCUAACCAAGGUUCUUAUGCCAUUUUGAGCUUAUUAUGGUAUUUUGGAGCUAAAUGGACUAAUUAUGUCAUUGUUGGGGAAAUUAAAGCAAGGAUAAUAUGAAAGGGGAGAACAAACAGGAGGAGGAGGAUAAGAAGAAGAAAUCAAGGAGGAGAAGGAGGAGAAGGAGGAGAGAGGAGARGGASUAGAAGGUCCUUGGCCUUCUCCUCCUUCUCCUNNNNNNNNNNNNNNNNNNNNNNNNNNNNNNNNNNNNNNNNNNNNNNNNNNNNNNNNNNNNNNNNNNNNNNNNNNNNNNNNNNNNNNNNNNNNNNNNNNNNGCUCACCGUGGGGGUGGGUCGCCGCGGGGAGGGGAUCCCACGGGGAGGGGGUCGCCGGGGGGGGGUGGGCUCGCCGCGGGGAGGGGAUCUCGCGGGGAGGGGUCGCCGCCGUGGAGAGAGAGAGUGGUCGGGGUGAGAGAGAGAGAGAGACAGUGAGCGAGGGGGGUAACGGCCGUUAUAGGGCGGCCCCUUUGCCGUCCGCCCCCGACGGCAAAGGGCCGUAUGGCAGACGGCAAAGGCCCGCGGACGGCAAAGGCCGCCGGAUUUCGGACACGGCAGGCAUGGGACCCACGCGUCCCCUUUGCCGUCUGCCCUGGGGCUCUUUGCCGUCUGCUGGCAGACGGCAAAGGACCCACACAUGGAAAAUAGUAUUUUUGCCAUGUGUCAGUUCUUUGUCGUCUGUAUUGUGUCAACUGAUGGCAAAGAGGUUCUUUGCCGUCAGCCAGCAGACGGUAAAGAACUGGCUGACGGCAAAUUUCUGGAUUCCAGUAGUGAACUCUGAAAAUGUUGAAAGUUGGCAUGCUAUCAUCAAUUCACCCACAUAGCAUGUGUUAAAAAGUUGAGAGGGAUACGACCAAAACUGGAUGCUGUUCGUGUACAAAACUGACAAUCUCUCUCGAAGUAGCAGGGUUUCGAAAGAGAACUCAUCUCUUACAAAGGGAUUUCAUUUUUUUAAACUUAUUUGAACUCCAUACUUUUUAUCUGUUCAAAAUGCACCAUUCAAAGGCACAUCACAAAAUUCCAACAAUUUCUGACUUCAUUUCGUAUAUUUCGUGCAUUUACUUAAUUUUUUUUGAGCUAGUUGACCCUGAAAUUGAAAAGCACUACAAAUGAACUCUGAAAAUGUUGAAAGUUGGCAUGCUAUCAUCAUUUCACCCACAUAGCAUGUGUUAAAAAGUUGAGAGGGCUAUGACAAAAACUGGAUGCAGUUCGUUUACAAAACUAACAAUCUCUCUCGAAGUAGCAGGGUUUCGAACGAGAACUCAUCUCUUACAAAGGGAUUUCAUUUUUUUAAACUUAUUUAAGAAGUCAUGCUUAAUUAAGAAAAAAGACUUGUCAUUGUGACUUACUGUAUCCACUUCGAAGUCCUCAUCCAGCAUGAUGUUGAAGCGCUUAUCAUCAACUAGGUGAGGCACGUCGCACAAGCCGCGNNNNNNNNNNNNNNNNNNNNNNNNNNNNNNNNNNNNNNNNNNNNNNNNNNNNNNNNNNNNNNNNNNNNNNNNNNNNNNNNNNNNNNNNNNNNNNNNNNNNCUAUCAUCAUUUCACCCACAUAGCAUGUGUUAAAAAGUUGAGAGGGCUAUGACAAAAACUGGAUGCAGUUCGUUUACAAAACUAACAAUCUCUCUCGAAGUAGCAGGGUUUCGAACGAGAACUCAUCUCUUACAAAGGGAUUUCAUUUUUUUAAACUUAUUUGAACUCCAUACUUUUUGUGUGUUCAAAAUGCACCAUUCAAAGGCACAUCACAAAAUUUCAACAAUUUCUGACUUCAUUUGGUAUAUUUCGUGCAUUUACUUUUUUUUUGAGCUAGUUGACCCUGAAAUUGAAAAGCACUACAAAUGAACUCUGAAAAUGUUGAAAGUUGGCAUGCUAUCAUCAUUUCACCCACAUAGCAUGUGUUAAAAAGUUGAGAGGGCUACGAGAAAAACUGGAUGUAGUUCGUGUACAAAACUGACAAUCUCUCUCGAAGUAGCAGGGUUUCGAACGAGAACUCAUCUCUUACAAAGGGAUUUCAUUUUUUAAAACUUAUUUGAACUCCAUACUUUUUGUGUGUUCAAACUGCACCAUUCAAAGGCACAUCACAAAAUUUCAACAAUUUCUGACUUCAUUUGGUAUAUUUCGUGCAUUUACUUAUUUUUUUUGAGCUAGUUGACCCUGAAAUUGAAAAGCACUACAAAUGAACUCUGAAAAAUGUUGAAAGUUGGCAUGCUAUCAUCAUUUAACCCACAUAGCAUGUGUUAGAAAGUUGAGAGGGCUACGACAAAAACUGGAUGCAGUUCGUGUUCAAAACUGACAAUCUCUCUCGAAGUAGCAGGGUUUCGAACGAGAACUCAUCUCUUACAAAAGGAUUUCAUUUUUUUAAAACUUAUUUGAAAUCCAUAAUUUUUGUGUGUUCAAAAUGCACCAUUCAAAGGCACAACAGAAAAUUUCAACAAUUUCUGACUUCAUUUGGUAUAUUUCGUGCAUUUACUUAUUUUUUUGAGCUAGUUGACCCUGAAAUUGAAAAGCACUACAAAUGAACUGUGAAAAUGUUGAAAGUUGGCAUGCUAUCAUCAUUUCACCCACAUAGCAUGUGUUAAAAAGUUGAGAGGGCUACGAAAAAACUGGAUGCAGUUCGUGUACAAAACUGACAAUCUCUCUCGAAGUAGCAGGGUUUCGAAAGAGAACUCAUCUCUUACAAAGGGAUUUCAUUUUUUUUAAACUUAUUUGAACUCCAUACUUUUUAUCUGUUCAAAAUGCACCAUUCAAAGGCACAUCACAAAAUUCCAACAAUUUCUGACUUCAUUUCGUAUAUUUCGUGCAUUUACUUWWUUUUUUUUGAUCGUUAGUUACCGUACCCGUAAGUAAAGUUAAAGGAAAAACGACCUAACCUUAAAACUAAAGUACGUAAACCUUACGNNNNNNNNNNNNNNNNNNNNNNNNNNNNNNNNNNNNNNNNNNNNNNNNNNNNNNNNNNNNNNNNNNNNNNNNNNNNNNNNNNNNNNNNNNNNNNNNNNNNCGUUUACGUUUUUAGUUUUAUUUAUUAUUACUACUAACACUACUACUAUAUAUAUAUAUAUAUAUAUAUAUAUAUAUAUAUAUAUAUAUAUAUAUAUUUGACAUCACAUUUAUAUAAUUCACCAAACAUAUAUGAUAUAUAGUUCACCACACAUAUACUUGCCAACACAUAUAUAUAAUUCACCACACAUAUAUGAUAUACAUAUAAAUCAAUGUACAUCCCCAUAUAUCAAAAGAACCAACAUACAAAGUAAUUGCACUGUUUAUCCAUAUAUAUAUACAUAUAGUUCAACAUUGUUCAUCAACUCAAAUGAAAACUAGAUGAUAUACAUAUAAAGUUCAUCCAUCGACAUUGUUCAACUCCAUGAAUGCCAGCUUUCAUGCAUGUAGUAUAUCCAAUCUGCAAAAAUGUGAAUAAGAAAGUCAGAAAAAGAACAAAAUAUGAUGUUUUGAGGUAAUUAUGUCAUUUCUAGCGGAAAACAAGCUAAGAAUAUAAUAUUCAUGAGCUAACCAAGGUUCUUAUGCCAUUUUUAGCUUAUUAUGGCAUUUUGGAGCUAAAUGGGUUAAUUAUGUCAUUGUUGGGGAAAUUAAAGCAAGGAUAAUAUGAAAUAGGAGAGGAAAGAGGAGGAGGAGGAGAAGAAAAAGAAAUANNNNNNNNNNNNNNNNNNNNNNNNNNNNNNNNNNNNNNNNNNNNNNNNNNNNNNNNNNNNNNNNNNNNNNNNNNNNNNNNNNNNNNNNNNNNNNNNNNNNCAUACUAUAAUCAUUUAACCCACAUAGCAUGUGUUAAAAAGUUGAGAGGGCUACGACAAAAACUGGAUGCAGUUCGUGUACAAAACUGACAAUCUCUCUCGAAGUAGCAGGGUUUCGAACGAGAACUCAUCUCUUACAAAGGGAUUUCAUUUUUUUUAAACUUAUUUGAACUCCAUACUUUUUGUGUGUUCAAAAUGUACCAUUCAAAGGCACAUCACAAAAUUUCAAUAAUUUCUCACUUCAUUUGGUAUAUUUCGUGCAUUUACUUAUUUUUUUGAGCUAGUUGACCCUGAAAUUGAAAAGCACUACAAAUGAACUCUGAAAAUGUUGAAAGUUGGCAUGCUGUCAUCAUUUCACCCACAUAGCAUGUGUUAAAAAGUUGAAAGGGCUAUGACAAAAACUGGAUGCAGUUCAUGUAGAAAACUGACAAUCCCUCUCGAAGUAGCAGGGUUUCGAACGAGAACUCAUCUCUUACAAAGGGAUUUCAUUUUUUUAAACUUAUUUGAACUCCAUGCUUUUUGUGUGUUCAAAAUGCACCAUUCAAAGGCACAUCACAAAAUUUCAACAAUUUCUUACUUCAUUUUGUAUAUUUCGUGCAUUUACUUAUUUUUUUGAGCUAGUUGACCCUGAAAUUGAAAAGCACUACAAAUGAACUGUGAAAAUGUUGAAAGUUGGCAUGCUAUCAUCAUUUCACCCACAUAGCAUGUGUUAAAAAGUUGAGAGGGCUACGACAAAAACUGGAUGCAGUUCGUGUACAAAACUGACAAUCUCUCUCGAAGUAGCAGGGUUUCGAAUGAGAACUCAUCUCUUACAAAGGGAUUUCAUUUUUUUUAAACUUAUUUGAACUCCAUACUUUUUGUGUGUUCAAAAUGGACCAUUCAAAGGCACAUCACAAAAUUGCAACAAUUUCUGACUUCAUUUCGUAUAUUUCGUGCAUUUACUUAUUUUUUUUGAGCUAGUUGACCCUGAAAUUGAAAAGCACUACAAAUGUACUCUAAAAAUGUUGAAAGUUCACAUACUAUAAUCAUUUAACCCACAUAGCAUGUGUUAAAAAGUUGAGAGGGCUACGACAAAAACUGGAUGCAGUUCGUGUACAAAACUGACAAUCUCUCUCGAAGUAGGAGGGUUUCGAACGAGAACUCAUCUCUUACAAAGGGAUUUCAUUUUUUUAAACUUAUUUGAACUCCAUACUUUUUGUGUGUUCAAAAUGCACCAUUCAAAGGCACAUCAACAAAAUUUCAACAAUUUCUGACUUCAUUUGGUAUAUUUCGUGCAUUUACUUUUUUUUUGAGCUAGUUGACCCUGAAAUUGAAAAGCACUACAAAUGAACUCUGAAAAUGUUGAAAGUUGGCAUGCUAUCAUCAUUUCAGCCACAUAGCAUGUGUUAAAAAGUUGAGAGGGCUACGAGAAAAACUUGAUGCAGUUCGUGUACAAAACUGACAAUUUCUCUCGAAGUAGCAGGGUUUCGAACGAGAACUCAUCUCUUACAAAGGGAUUUCAUUUUUUUUAAACUUAUUUGAACUCCAUACUUUUUGUGUGUUAAAAAUGCACCAUUCAAAGGCACAUCAAAAAAUUUCAACAAUUUCUGACUUCAUUUGGUAUAUUUCGUGCAUUUACUUAUUUUUUUUGAGCUAGUUGACCCUGAAAUUGAAAAGCACUACAAAUGAACUCUGAAAAUGUUGAAAGUUGGCAUGCUGUCAUCAUUUCACCCACAUAGCAUGUGUUAAAAAGUUGAAAGGGCUAUGACAAAAACUGGAUGCAGUUCAUGUACAAAACUGACAAUCCCUCUCGAAGUAGCAGGGUUUCGAAUGAGAACUCAUCUCUUACAAAGGGAUUUCAUUUUUUUUAAACUUAUUUGAACUCCAUACUUUUUGUGUGUUCAAAAUGAACCAUUCAAAGGCACAUCACAAAAUUGCAACAAUUUCUGACUUCAUUUCGUAUAUUUCGUGCAUUUACUUAUUUUUUUUGAGCUAGUUGACCCUGAAAUUGAAAAGCACUACAAAUGUACUCUGAAAAUGUUGAAAGUUGGCAUACUAUAAUCAUUUAACCCACAUAGCAUGUGUUAAAAAGUUGAGAGGGCUACGACAAAAACUGGAUGCAGUUCGUGUACAAAACUAACAAUCUCUCUCGAAGUAGCAGGGUUUCGAACGAGAACUCAUCUCUUACAAAGGGAUUUCAUUUUUUUUAAACUUAUUUGAACUCCAUACUUUUUGUGUGUUCAAAAUGCACCAUUCAAAGGCACGUCACAAAAUUUCAAUAAUUUCUCACUUCAUUUGGUAUAUUUCGUGCAUUUACUUAUUUUUUUGAGCUAGUUGACCCUGAAAUUGAAAAGCACUACAAAUGAACUCUGAAAAUGUUGAAAGUUGGCAUGCUAUCAUCAUUUCACCCACAUAGCAUGUGUUAAAAAGUUGAGAGGGCUACAACGAAAACUUGAUGCAGUUCGUUUACAAAAUUAACAAUCUCUCUCGAAGUAGCAGGGUUUCGAACGAGAACUCAUCUCUUACAAAGGGAUUUCAUUUUUUUAAAACUUAUUUGAACUCCAUACUUUUGUGUGUUAAAAAGUGCACCAUUCAAAGGCACAUCAAAAAAUUUCAACAAUUUCUGACUUCAUUUGGUAUAUUUCGUGCAUUUACUUAUUUUUUUUGAGCUAGUUGACCCUGAAAUUGAAAAGCACUACAAAUGAACUCUGAAAAUGUUGAAAGUUGGCAUGCUGUCAUCAUUUCACCCACAUAGCAUGUGUUAAAAAGUUGAAAGGGCUAUGACAAAAAUUGGAUGCAGUUCAUGUACAAAACUGACAAUCCCUCUCGAAGUAGCAGGGUUUCGAACGAGAACUCAUCUCUUACAAAGGGAUUUCAUUUUUUUAAACUUAUUUGAACUCCAUACUUUUUUGUGUGUUCAAAAUGCACCAUUCAAAGGCGCAUCACAAAAUUUCAACAAUUUCUUACUUCAUUUUGUAUAUUUCGUGCAUUUACUUAUUUUUUUGAGCUAGUUGACCCUGAAAUUGAAAAGCACUACAAAUGAACUGUGAAAAUGUUGAAAGUUGGCAUGCUAUCAUCAUUUCACCCACAUAGCAUGUGUUAAAAAGUUGAGAGGGCUACGACAAAAACUGGAUGCAGUUCGUGUACAAAACUGACAAUCUCUCUCGAAGUAGCAGGGUUUCGAAAGAGAACUCAUCUCUUACAAAGGGAUUUCAUUUUUUUAAACUUAUUUGAACUCCAUACUUUUUGUGUGUUCAAAAUGCACCAUUCAAAGGCACAUCACAAAAUUCCAACAAUUUCUGACUUCAUUUCGUAUAUUUCGUAGCAUUUACUUAAUUUUUUUUGAGCUAGUUGACCCUGAAAUUGAAAAGCACUACAAAUGUACUCUGAAAAUGUUGAAAGUUGGCAUACUAUAGUCAUUUAACCCACAUAGCAUGUGUUAAAAAGUUGAGAGGGCUACGAAAAAAACUGGAUGCAGUUCGUGUACAAAACUGACAAUCUCUCUCGAAGUAGCAGGGUUUCGAACGAGAACUCAUCUCUUACAAAGGGAUUUCAUUUUUUUAAAACUUAUUUGAACUCCAUAAUUUUUGUGUGUUCAAAAUGCACCAUUCAAAGGCACAUCACAAAAUUUCAAUAAUUUCUCACUUCAUUUGGUAUAUUUCGUGCAUUUACUUAUUUUUUUUGAGCUAGUUGACCCUGAAAUUGAAAAGCACUACAAAUGAACUCUGAAAAUGUUGAAAGUUGCCAUGCUAUCAUCAUUUCACCCACAUAGCAUGUGUUAAAAAGUUGAGAGGGCUAUGACAAAAACUGGAUGCAGUUCGUUUACAAAACUAACAAUCUCUCUCGAAGUAGCAUGGUUUCGAACGAGAACUCAUCUCUUACAAAGGGAUUUCAUUUUUUUUAUACUUAUUUGAACUCCAUACUUUUUGUGUGUUCAAAAUGCACCAUUCAAAGGCACAUCACAAAAUUUCAACAAUUUCUGACUUCAUUUGGCAUAUUUCGUGCAUUUUAUUUUUUUUUGAGCUAGUUGACCCUGAAAUUGAAAAGCACUACAAAUGAACUCUGAAAAUGUUGAAAGUUGGCAUGCUAUCAUCAUUUCACCCACAUAGCAUGUGUUAUAAAGUUGAGAGGGCUACGAGAAAAACUGGAUGCAGUUCGUGUACAAAACUGACAAUCUCUCUCGAAGUAGCAGGGUUUCGAAAGAGAACUCAUCUCUUACAAAGGGAUUUCAUUUUUUUAAACUUAUUUGAACUCCAUACUUUUUGUGUGUUCAAAAUGCACCAUUCAAAGGCACAUCACAAAAUUGCAACAAUUUCUGACUUCAUUCGGUAUAUUUCGUGCAUUUACUUAAUUUUUUUUUGAGCUAGUUGACCCUGAAAUUGAAAAGCACUACAAAUGUACUCUGAAAAUGUUGAAAGUUGGCAUACUAUAGUCAUUUAACCCACAUAGCAUGUGUUAAAAAGUUGAGAGGGCUACGACAAAAACUGGAUGCAGUUCGUGUACAAAACUGACAAUCUCUCUCGAAGUAGGAGGGUUUCGAACGAGAACUCAUCUCUUACAAAGGGAUUUCAUUUUUUUAAAACUUAUUUGAACUCCAUAAUUUUUGUGUGUUCAAAAUGCACCAUUCAAAGGCACAUCACAAAAUUUCAAUAAUUUCUCACUUCAUUUGGUAUAUUUCGUGCAUUUACUUAUUUUUUUUGAGCUAGUUGACCCUGAAAUUGAAAAGCACUACAAAUGAACUCUGAAAAUGUUGAAAGUUGACAUGCUAUCAUCAUUUCACCCACAUAGCAUGUGUUAAAAAGUUGAGAGGGCUAUGACAAAAACUGGAUGCAGUUCGUUUACAAAACUAACNNNNNNNNNNNNNNNNNNNNNNNNNNNNNNNNNNNNNNNNNNNNNNNNNNNNNNNNNNNNNNNNNNNNNNNNNNNNNNNNNNNNNNNNNNNNNNNNNNNNCGUACGUACGUACGUACGUACGUCGUCGUACUCUCUCUCUCUCUCUCUCUCUCUCUCUCUCUCUCUCUCUNUNUNUCUUCUUCUUCUGUUCUUCUUCUUCUUCUUUCUUUUCAUUUUGCCUAUUUCUUCUCSKCUUCUCCUCWUGUUGGAGCUAAAUUACCUAAUUAUGUCUUUUUUGAGCUAAAUGGGCUAAUUAUCCCAUUUUAGAGGAAAACAAGCUAAGUAUAUAAUAUUAAUGAGCUAACCAAGGUUCUUAUGCCAUUUUGAGCUUAUUAUGGUAUUUUGGAGCUAAAUGGGCUAAUUAUGUCAUUGUUGGGUUAAUUAAAGCAAGGAUAAUAUGAAAGAGGAGAAGAAAGAGGAGGAGGAGGAGAAGAAAAAGAAAUCAGGAAGAAGGAGGAGGAGAGGAGAAGGAGGAGGAGGAGAAGGAUAGAAGGUCCUUGGCCUUCUCCUCCUCCUCCUCCUCCUUCUCCUUCUUCUCUUCUUCUUCUUCUUCUUCUUCUUUCUUUUCUAUUUUGCCUAUUUCUUCUCCUCUUCUCCUCUUGUUGGAGCUAAAUUACCUAAUUAUGUCUUUUUUGAGCUAAAUGGGCUAAUUAUCCCAUUUUAGAGGAAAACAAGCUUAGUAUAUAAUAUUCAUGAGCUAACCAAGGUUCUUAUGCCAUUUUGAGCUUAUUAUGGUAUUUUGGAGCUAAAUGGGCUAAUUAUGUCAUUGUUGGGUUAAUUAAAUCAAGGAUAAUAUGAAAGAGGAGAAGAAAAGAGGAGGAGGAGGAGAAGAAGAAGAAAUACAAGAAGGAGAGAGAGAGAGAGAGAGAGAGAGAGUACGUACGUACGUACGUACSUCYWCSUCGUCGUCUCUCUCUCUCUNNNNNNNNNNNNNNNNNNNNNNNNNNNNNNNNNNNNNNNNNNNNNNNNNNNNNNNNNNNNNNNNNNNNNNNNNNNNNNNNNNNNNNNNNNNNNNNNNNNNUUACAAAAGGAUUUCAUUUUUUUAAAACUUAUUUGAAAUCCAUAAUUUUUGUGUGUUCAAAAUGCACCAUUCAAAGGCACAACAGAAAAUUUCAACAAUUUCUGACUUCAUUUGGUAUAUUUCGUGCAUUUACUUAUUUUUUUGAGCUAGUUGACCCUGAAAUUGAAAAGCACUACAAAUGAACUGUGAAAAUGUUGAAAGUUGGCAUGCUAUCAUCAUUUCACCCACAUAGCAUGUGUUAAAAAGUUGAAAGGGCUACGACAAAAACUGGAUGCAGUUCGUGUACAAAACUGACAAUCUCUCUCGAAGUAGCAGGGUUUCGAAUGAGAACUCAUCUCUUACAAAGGGAUUUCAUUUUUUUAAACUUAUUUGAACUCCAUACUUUUUGUGUGUUCAAAAUGCACCAUUCAAAGGCACAUCACAAAAUUGCAACAAUUUCUGACUUCAUUUCGUAUAUUUCGUGCAUUUACUUAUUUUUUUUGAGCUAGUUGACCCUGAAAUUGAAAAGCACUACAAAUGUACUCUGAAAAUGUUGAAAGUUGGCAUACUAUAAUCAAUUAACCCACAUAGCAUGUGUUAAAAAGUUGAGAGGGCUACGACAAAAACUGGAUGCAGUUCGUGUACAAAACUGACAAUCUCUCUCGAAGUAGGAGGGUUUCGAACGAGAACUCAUCUCUUACAAAGGGAUUUCAUUUUUUUUAAACUUAUUUGAACUCCAUACUUUUUGUGUGUUCAAAAUGCACCAUUCAAAGGCACAUCACAAAAUUUCAACAAUUUCUGACUUCAUUUGGUAUAUUUCGUGCAUUUACUUUUUUUUUGAGCUANNNNNNNNNNNNNNNNNNNNNNNNNNNNNNNNNNNNNNNNNNNNNNNNNNNNNNNNNNNNNNNNNNNNNNNNNNNNNNNNNNNNNNNNNNNNNNNNNNNNUUUUGUACACGAACUGCAUCCAGUUUUUGUCGUAGCCUUCUCAACUUUUUAACACAUGCUAUGUGGGUGAAAUGACGAUAGCAUGCCAACUUUCAACAUUUUCAGAGUUCAUUUGUAGUGCUUUUCAAUUUCAGGGUCAACUAGCUCAAAAAAAAUACGUAAAUGCACGAAAUAUACAAAAUGAAGUAAGAAAUUGUUGAAAUUUUGUGAUGUGCCUUUGAAUGGUGCAUUUUGAACACACAAAAAGUAUGGAGUUCAAAUAAGUUUAAAAAAAUGAAAUCCCUUUGUAAGAGAUGAGUUCUCGUUCGAAACCCAGCUACUUCCAGAGGGAUUGUCAGUUUUGUACAUGAACUGCAUCCAGUUUUUUUCAUAGCCCUCUCAACUUUUUAACACAUGCUAUGUGGGUGAAAUGAUGACAGCAUGCCAACUUUCAACAUUUUCAGAGUUCAUUUGUAGUGCUUUUCAAUUUCAGGGUCAACUAGCUCAAAAAAAAUAAGUAAAUGCACGAAAUAUACCAAAUGAAGUCAGAAAUUGUUGAAAUUUUUUGAUGUGCCUUUGAAUGGUGCUAUUUUUAACACACAAAAAGUAUGGAGUUCAAAUAAGUUUAAAAAAAAUGAAAUCCCUUUGUAAGAGAUGAGUUCUCGUUCGAAACCCUGCUACUUCGAGAGAGAUUGUUAAUUUUGUAAACGAACUGCAUCAAGUUUUYKYWGUAGCCCUCUCAACUUUUUAACACAUGCUAUGUGGGUGAAAUGAUGAUAGCAUGCCAACUUUCAACAUUUUCACAGUUCAUUUGUAGUGCUUUUCAAUUUCAGGGUCAACUAGCUACAAAAAAAUAAGUAAAUGCACGAAAUAUACCAAAUGAAGUCAGAAAUUGUUGAAAAUUUUUGUGUAGUGUCGUUCCGUUUAGAAGUUGGGUCGACUUUAGGUUUACGAAACCACAAAACUAAACUGGAGUUCCGGGACUAGGUUAAAACAAGGACUNNNNNNNNNNNNNNNNNNNNNNNNNNNNNNNNNNNNNNNNNNNNNNNNNNNNNNNNNNNNNNNNNNNNNNNNNNNNNNNNNNNNNNNNNNNNNNNNNNNNGGGCUAAACGGACCAAAAACGUAGGUAGUGACUAGUCGUGUACAAACUGACAAUCUCUCUCGAAGUAGCAGGGUUUCGAAAGAGAACUCAUCUCUUACAAAGGGAUUUCAUUUUUUUAAAACUUAUUUGAACUCCAUAAUUUUUGUGUGUUCAAAAUGCACCAUUCAAAGGCACAUCACAAAAUUUCAAUAAUUUCUCACUUCAUUUGGUAUAUUUCGUGCAUUUACUUAUUUUUUUUUGAGCUAGUUGACCCUGAAAUUGAAAAGCACUACAAAUGAACUCUGAAAAUGUUGAAAGUUUACAUGCUAUCAUCAUUUCACCCACAUAGCAUGUGUUAAAAAGUUGAGAGGGCUAUGACAAAAACUGGAUGCAGUUCGUUUACAAAACUAACAAUCUCUCUCGAAGUAGCAUGGUUUCGAACGAGAACUCAUCUCUUACAAAGGGAUUUCAUUUUUUUAAACUUAUUUGAACUCCAUACUUUUUGUGUGUUAAAAAUGCACCAUUCAAAGGCACAUCACAAAAUUUCAACAAUUUCUGACUUCAUUUGGUAUAUUUCGUGCUAUUUAAUUUUUUUUUGAGCUAGUUGACCCUGAAAUUGAAAAGCACUACAAAUGAACUCUGAAAAUGUUGAAAGUUGGNNNNNNNNNNNNNNNNNNNNNNNNNNNNNNNNNNNNNNNNNNNNNNNNNNNNNNNNNNNNNNNNNNNNNNNNNNNNNNNNNNNNNNNNNNNNNNNNNNNNAUUUUUUUUGAGCUAGUUGACCCUGAAAUUGAAAAGCACUACAAAUGAACUCUGAAAAUGUUGAAAGUUGGCAUGCUAUCAUCAUUUCAGCCACAUAGCAUGUGUUAAAAAGUUGAGAGGGCUACGAGAAAAACUGGAUGCAGUUCGUGUACAAAACUGACAAUCUCUCUCGAAGUAGCAGGGUUUCGAACGAGAACUCAUCUCUUACAAAGGGAUUUCAUUUUUUAAAACUUAUUUGAACUCCAUACUUUUUGUGUGUUCAAACUGCACCAUUCAAAGGCACAUCACAAAAUUUCAACAAUUUCUGACUUCAUUUGGUAUAUUUCGUGCAUUUACUUAUUUUUUUUGAGCUAGUUGACCCUGAAAUUGAAAAGCACUACAAAUGAACUCUAAAAAUGUUGAAAGUUGGCAUGCUAUCAUAAUUUAACCCACAUAGCAUGUGUUAGAAAGUUGAGAGGGCUACGACAAAAGCUGGAUGCAGUUCGUGUACAACACUGACAAUCUCUCUCGAAGUAGCAGGGUUUCGAACGAGAACUCAUCUCUUACAAAGGGAUUUCAUUUUUUUUAAACUUAUUUGAAAUCCAUAAUUUUUGUGUGUUCAAAAUGCACCAUUCAAAGGCACAACACAAAAUUUCAACAAUUUCUGACUUCAUUUGGUAUAUUUCGUGCAUUUACUUAUUUUUUUGAGCUAGUUCACCCUGAAAUUGAAAAGCACUACAAAUGAACUCUGAAAAUGUUGAAAGUUGGCAUGCAAUCAUCAUUUCACCCACAUAGCAUGUGUUAAAAAGUUGAAAGGGCUACGACAAAAACUGGAUGCAGUUCGUGUACAAAACUGACAAUCUCUCUCGAAGUAGCAGGGUUUCGAAAGAGAACUCAUCUCUUACAAAGGGAUUUCAUUUUUUUAAACUUAUUUGAACUCCAUACUUUUUGUGUGUUCAAAAUGGCACCAUUCAAAGGCACAUCACAAAUUGCAACAAUUUCUGACUUCAUUUGGUUANNNNNNNNNNNNNNNNNNNNNNNNNNNNNNNNNNNNNNNNNNNNNNNNNNNNNNNNNNNNNNNNNNNNNNNNNNNNNNNNNNNNNNNNNNNNNNNNNNNNGCUCGACAAAAUCACGGUGAGUGCAUUUCUCUCUCUCUAGGUGUGCAACAAGGAAGAUUGUGGCACAACAAAAAUAAAAGACUCCUACGAUACAAGACGCUCCAAGCAAAACACAUAACAUGUGGUGAAUAAAAUAUAGCCCCCAAGUAACGUUCAUUACUGGAAAUCAGUUUUUUGCCGUGUGCCUAAUCUUUGCUGUCAGCUAGCUGAUGGCAAAGAGUGUCUUUGCCGUCAGCUCUCAGAAAGCAGAUGGCAAAGAACUGGAUGAUGGCAAAGAAGGUCUUUGCCAACAGUCAAUCCUUUGUUGUCUGCCGCAAACGACAAAGAAGGGGACAGGAGACGGCAAAGAAGCUCAUUCGGCCCGGGGAACCUUAGGUCAACCAACGCCCUUCUUUGUCGUCUGCUGGCGGACGGCAAAGAUGCCAGAGGCAGACGUCAAAGAGUAUAGACCCCUUUGCCGUCCGCCAGCAGACGACAAAGGUCCUGAAUCUACUCAAACGGCCGUCCCGCCCCCACCCCGGCCCUCUCUCUCUCUCAAACGGCCACUCUCUCUCUCUCCUCCCCCGACACCCAACGCCGCCACCGUCGCCCGGCCACCCCCGGCGCCCCCGGUUCCCCACAACCCUCCGGCNNNNNNNNNNNNNNNNNNNNNNNNNNNNNNNNNNNNNNNNNNNNNNNNNNNNNNNNNNNNNNNNNNNNNNNNNNNNNNNNNNNNNNNNNNNNNNNNNNNNAGGAGAAGAAGGAGGAGAAGGAGAAGGAGCUCCUCCUUCCCCUUCUUCCUCCUUCUCCUUCUCCUUCUUCUUCUCCUUCUCCUUCUUCUUUUCUUCUUCUUCUCCUCUUCCUUCUUCUCCUCCUCCUCCUCCUCCUCCUCCUCCUCCUUAUUUUACUUCUUCCUCUCUAUCUCUUCUUCUACGUAGCUUAGACUCAUCCAAGAAAGGCUAAAUUAGCCAAUUGUCCUACGAAAUGACAUAAUUAGCUUAGUUAGCUCCAAAAUGUCCUAUUUAAUAAAAAAUGUCCUAUACUUAGCUAAUUAUCCUCGAAAUGACAUAAUUAGCUCCAAAAAGGCAUUCUUAGCCAAUUUAGCUCGAAGAAGGGGACAAGAAGAGAAAAAGAGGAAAAUGAAAGGAAGGAAGAGGAAAAAUGAGGAGAAGAAGGAGGAGAGGGAGGAGGAGAAGAAGAAGGAGAAGAAGGAGGAGAAGGAGAAGGAGCUCCUCCUUCCCCUUCUUCUUCCUCCUUCUUCCUCCUUCUCCUUCUCCUUCUUCUUCUCCUUCUUCUCCUUCUUCUUUUCUUCUUCUUCUCCUCUUCCUUCUUCUNNNNNNNNNNNNNNNNNNNNNNNNNNNNNNNNNNNNNNNNNNNNNNNNNNNNNNNNNNNNNNNNNNNNNNNNNNNNNNNNNNNNNNNNNNNNNNNNNNNNAAAGACAGAAGAAAUAUAUUUAUAUAUAAUUUAGCAUUUAUAUUCAUCGGUUAAUCAGGUUCGCCAUUUUUAUUAUGUCCAGGCAACCUACAUGCUAAUAGGUAAAGAUAGGUCCUAAUCCCACCCGAGUAUGUGUAGAUUGGGUUCGUUUUCCCAUGCUCUGCUCCGGAUCCAAUGCAAAAUUUCGACAACACCUCCCCGCUGUUCUCCUGAUACACGUCUCCGCAAUAAACAGAGAGGAUGUGCAUCCAGAGAACAGCAGGGAGGCACUGAUGAAAUUCCGCAUCGGAUCCAGAGCACAUCAUACGGGAAAACGAACCCAAUCUACACAUGCUCGGGCUAUCCAUGGAUAAAGUUGGACAAUUCGAAAGGAUGGCGGUUAUAAAUAUGCAAAGACAUGCAUAUUUAUAGAUGUCGCCCUUUCGAACGGGAGACGCAUACUGGUCACGCAUACUGAUAAAUUAAUUGAAUUACCUAAAUCUAGAAAGUUUCAUCCGGAAACCGAGCCACAGUAAAUGAAGGGGCGGGGAGGAGAUGAAAUUUGUACUGACCCACGAAUGCAGGGGCGGAGCUCGUACAACGCACGGGCAGGUCUUCGCACAGCAGACCUCACAGCGACGAGACAACUACCACAUGUAAAUCCACCCGAUCAACGCAAAUAUUCCAAUUAUGUCAUUUUAGAGGAAAACAAGCUAAGUAUAUAAUAUUCAUGAGCUAACCNNNNNNNNNNUUGUCUUCGAUCCCGGUACCAUGCUCGUCCGUGCGACGACGGACCACCUCAGCUCUUGUGUGUUGUAUAGACUCACCAUGAAAUGUCCACACCGUAUAAUUAGGCUUAAAAUGAUGAGCUCAAUGUGACUAAGGAGUUAGUCACACGAUGACGUGCUACGGAACGAGUAAAGAGACUUACCGGUAACGAGAUUGAACAAGGUAUAGGUAUACCGACGAUCGAAUCUCGGGCAAGUUCUAUACCGACAGACAAAGGGAAUUGUAUACGGGAUUGAUUGAAUCCUUGACAUCGUGGUUCAUCCGAUGAGAUCAUCGUGGAGCAAGUGGCAGCCACCAUGGGUAUCCAGACCCCGCUGAUGGUUAUUGGCCGGAGAGGUGUCUCGGUCAUGUCUACCUGUCUCCCGAACUCGUAGGGUCUACACACAUAAGGUUCGAUGACGCUAGGGUUAUAGGGAAUUAUUAUACGAGGUUACCAAAAGUUGUUCGGAGUCCCGGAUGAGAUCCCGGACGUCACGAGGAGCUCCGGAGGUAAAGAUUGAUAUAUAGGAUGGAUGGUUUUGCACAUCGGAAAUGUUUCAGGAGUCACCGGUAAUGUACCGGGACCACCGGGACGACCGGAAAUGGUCCCGGGGGUCCACCGGGAGGGGCCACCAGCCCCAAGAGGUAGCAUGGGCCAAAAGAGGGAGGGCAACCAGCCCAAAGUGGGCUGGUGCACCUCCCACAAGGAGGCCCAAGGCGCAGGAGGUGGAGAGGGGGGAACCCUAGGCGCUGGUGGGCCUAAGGCCCACCUAGGGGUGCGCCACCUCUCCCCCUGCCCUGGCCACCGCACCUCCCAUCUGGGGGGGCUGCCGCACCACCUAGGGUGGGAACCCUAGGGGUGGCACCCCCUUCCCCUCCUCCUAUAUAUAGUGGGGGUUUUGGGGCUGUUUGACACACAGUUUCCCAUCUCCCUCGGUGCAGCCCUGCCCCCCUUCCUCCUCCUCUCCCACGGUGCUUGGCGAAGCCCUGCCGGGAGACCUCGUCUCUCCAUCGACACCACGCCGUCGUGCUGCCGGAGAUGUCACCCAACCUCUCCCUCCUCCUUGCUGGAUCAAGGUGCGGGAGACCUCACUGGGCUGCACAUGUGUUGAACGCGGAGGUGUCGUGGUUCAGCACUAGAUCGGAAUCAGACCGCAAUCUGAAUCGCCGCGAGUACGACUCCAUCAACCGCGUUCUAGCAACGCUUCCGCUUAGCGAUCUUCGAAUGAAUGAAGAUGCACUCACUCCUCUCUCGUUGCUGGUCUCUCCAUAGGAAGAUCUGAAUAUGUGUAGGAAUUUUUUUGAAUUUAUGCUACGUUACCCAACAAUAGCGUGGGGUGAAUAUUCGUGUGUGCUUGUUUGCUUUAUCACUAAGUAGAUUUAUUUGCUGUUCUAAGUUGUUCUCUAUCGUUAGUUAUGGAUAUGAAACACGAAAUGCCAAAAAAAUUAGGUGUACUUGCUACUCAUGGAGAUGGGGAACCUCCUAAAACCCUCGAUGCUCGUUGUGUGGAUAAUAUUAUGCAGUUCUUUAAUAAUCCUGAGAAAACCAUAUUAAAUUAUAUAAUGGGCUACACGUUCGAUCAACGUGAAUACUUUAGGUAUUAUCGCUUGACUCAAAAAGGGAAACUAUUAUGUGAUCAAAUUCAUAUGCUGAAAUGGUAUGCUUGGGAGCUAUGCUCGAGAUAUGAUAUUACUUGUUGCUCUACGAUGAAGGCUCAACACCUUCCCUUUUCUUAUAAAUUUAAUGCUAAUGAAACCUUGGCUUCUUAUGCUAAUGGUAUAUAUGAUUACUAUGAUGUGGAGCAAAUAGAAGAGUUUCUUUCUUUUAUGGGUGCUUAUGAAAUUGAAGCUCUGUUUAAAAGGUGUGAUGAUAAUGAUGAUCCUGCUUACCGAUCUGAAAAUUUGGUUAUGCUUCGUUAUUGUUAUACUCAUUAUGAAUACUGGUCGUCAACCCGUGCAUUUGCACGGGCUAGAUUAAUAACCUACAAUGGGAUGAAACUUCUGAGACUAUCUUUCAUUCAUUGGGGGUAAAGACAUAUCCUAAAUUUCUAUUGGAAAAAUUAUUCAAGUGUCAUCAUAGUUCAAAUUUAAUGCUUCAAAUAAUAGAAUGUCAAAGGACGCAUAUACUCAAAUAUUCUCUAUCCACAUAAAAAUUAAAUGAUUUAAUCUCCUCUAAUCUUGGUACAUAAUUCCUUCAACACAUUGGAUUUUUUUUCUUUUUGAAUUGUUCAUUCACUUGACAUCUAUUACCAUCAGUCUCUAGAGUAAUUUAGAAGUUUACUUUAGAUAUAUGAUGAAAGAGCCUCACAGAAUAAACAACAAAAAAAAUUAGGUCUUUUUAAAGAGAUGACGAAUACAGACACACAUGAGAGAACAUUUUCUAUUACUUUUGUUCUUGUUCCAUAAUUUUAUCAUAAAAGAACAAAAUCCUAGUCUCCAACUGAUAUAAUCAUGCAUUGAAAAAAUAGUCAUUGGGUUGAGCAUCUGUUAGAUGUUUCGAUGGUUGCUCUUUUGUGCAUCCCCUUGGCUUCCAUCAUAUCCUAACGUACUGAUCUAAACAUAUUCAAUUUUAUUAUAUUAGUAAUUUCCUAAAAAUAAUAAAAUACUAAUAAUACGUUAACAUAUAUGGGCUGUUUGAAUGGCAGCUGAUGCCCACCUUACCAAAAUACGGGGUUGACCACCAGCGUGGGUGUCUUUUGGUUGUCAACUAAAUUUUUUAACCUACGCCAAAAGAAUUGUCGCUACUUCAUUUCCUGCACCAAUGGGCUGUUCGUAGCGGCGAAUUUUAUGGCCAGUUUUUCGGCUCAGGCGCGAUUCGGCGUGGCUGGCCUAGGCACCAUCAAAAUGACCGGCCUAUAGACAAAAGUAAACUGUCUGUCUCUAUUUUUAAUUCACAUGAACUUUGACUAAUAUGGUAUAUACAAAAUAUUAUUUGAAUGCAUAUUUUAUUUAGCUAAAUACUGAUACAAUGUUUUAUUUAAUAAAACACUGAUAAAAUAUCGUAUUUACCGAGAUACUCCUUUAAUAUUUAACUAAAAUUGUAUUUAUCAAACCGAACAAACUGACACACAUGCCUCAUUAUCCAUUAUCUACCGUGAGUAGGUGGUUCCUACAAACUAACAUGCAUAUUAUUCCUACAUAUUACUUUGCCGAGUUGUCAUUUUCAAAACUCAACAAUUGCUAUUUAAAUGUUUGUCGAGUACCUGAUAAUAUGAACUUCGCAAAGUUGAUGGUUGUUGACCUCCGUCUAGCCGAGUGAUGUUUGCCGAGAACAGAAAUCGACAAACACAAUGCAUAGUUGUUUCUAGCUAGGACUUGCUAAGUGUGUUGGAAACUCACCGAAUUCGGCGAUUCCGGUCGUGAAAUGGCAUUAACAAAAAACCUUAUCACCAUCACGUCCCAAAAAUGAACUGUGUAAAAAUAAGUAGCUAUAUUUUUUAAUGAAGAUUGUUCUUAUAUACGUGUUUAGUUUUCUUGAUUGUAUGUAAUAUCGACCUUUAUACCAUGCAUGCAUGGUACACUUGAAUUCGGUUUCAUUUAGUCGGUGUAAGCUUUAUUCAUACAUGUACAUAGGUUUGGUCUACUUUGCAAUUAUCUGAUUAUGCCGCAAAAUCUCGAACAAAACAUGUUUAACAUAUUUGUCCUCUCAAAACCAAACAUGCGUUUAUCGUAUUUUUAAGAAAUAUUAAUUUACAAAAGGUAUAGUUCAUGGACUAAUGUCACAUGUAAUUUUUACUCAUUAACAAUGAAAAUUGAGUAUCCUAGCAACCAGAAAAGCAGUUUGAGCGAAGUAGUCAACUGUAACCUCUAAUGCAUUAGGCAAUGUAAAGUCUUGGCAGUCCUGGUGAGAUAUAUAAUUCAUGCAUCGGCCUAUUUCGCAAGGCGGGGUUGCCAUAGUUCCGCUGUAAUUCACUCUUGUUCAUCCAGAAAAGGUUAAUUAGAAUACCUUCAGUGUCACAAUCUGAUGCCUUUUGUCGAUAAGAUAAAAAAAUGUGUAGAUGCAAAGUGUAUUACAUGGAACACGAACAUUUUUUUCUUGCGUAUAAUAACCUGUGCCAAACAAUGUGCUACCCUGGAAAACAAUUGAUUGAUCCUCCUUCACAGAAAUUACAUAGAACAUAGAGAACAUACCUUAUUAAAAUUGAAUCCCUGUAGAAAAUAUAAUAUGUUUGGAACCUGAAAAAAAGUCGAGUCAGGUGAAAUUCUUAUAACACCCAUGAAAUCAGGCCCAAUAUCGAAUGCGAUAACAAAAUGCACAUAUAGGAUAAGCCGUCAAAAGCACAGUCCGAGUAUAAGAGGUCAUAAAAACAAACUGGAUUAAAAUGUAUAUUUUUUACUCUGCAUGCCCCAAACAGACAAUGAUCUAAUCAACCGAAUUGUAUAUUUUACUACAUGUCAGAGAUUAAGAAAAAGGGAGAGGGUCAAGGGAUAUUGGUGGUAUAAAAUAUGAGAAACUGAGACAAAAAGACAGCUGAUAUGUGCACUAAAAAUGUGAAACUUGUUUAAUUGAGUGAAUCUCCAUGCCCCCAAACAGGUAAAUAUCAUAGAGAGAUACAUGUUAAAAAUUCAUUACAAUUAAAUACACCAAAAAAUAUAUUAUACUACCCCAGAUCAAAACCAAACCAUUUGCUUAAUGGUUAGCUUAUCACCUCGUCAUUGGCUGCGAUGGUGCCACGGCCAAGAAGAGCUUACCAUAUGUACCCCGGCUAGAUAGGUUAGACAAUGCUAGAUUUCACACGCUGCAUGGAGAGAGAAGCAUUGUAUUAACCCAAUCCAAUGGCUGGCAGGGCGAUGUUUGAUAUAUUAUCCAGUGCAUAGUGAAAGGUCCUGCACUGGACCUCAUCACCCAAUUUUAUAUAGCGCGUGGAGGCAGCCAAUUAUAUAAUCAGCUCAUGAUGUUCAUCAUGUACAUGCAAAUCUCGCUUUCCUAUUUGCCGGUGGAUAUAACUUGCCGCGAUCUCUUCGUCAGCUGCAACACACACAGAGAGAGGGACAUGCUGAUGCCUAAUUGCAUCAGAAGGAAGAUACCAAGGCCAACGUGCCAUGGUGCAGAUAGAUUUAGAUGUGAUUUGCGGCUGGAUCUAACACGCCGUCGAUGAAAGGAAAGACAUGUUACUCUAACAUGCCUAUAUGCCCUUCCACCUAUGAUUGGCACCAGAUCGCCAUGAAAGAGGCGAUGAAGGCUUAGACCAACAACUCUUCGUUAGGGAUUAACUAAAGGCGAUUUCUUGAGAUAACGAUCUUGUUGGUAGGAAAAUAGAUGACGGCUUUUUUUUUGUUUUGGAAGAGGUCAAUCUGGUAGUCCUUCCACGGCAAGAGUCUAAUGGAAAUAAUUUAUGGUUUUAGAUUUUAUCUAUGAAUAAUUGAGGCUUACUUAACGUGGAGACUUGAGAAUGUCUUUGUUACGUGUAGGCUGGGUCAGGUUGGUAGUUUUUCCCACGGCAAUACUCUAGAGGCCGACCAGUUUUUUUAGUUAUUUUACUGCAAGAGCAAAAGAAAUAAUAUAUAUGUUUUUGCCUGGGACUAAUUAACAUGCGCGAUUGAAAAUAUCAGUUACGUGUAGGCUGGGUCAGUCAGGUAGGCUACUUUUUUCUACCGCAGUAGUAACAUAAAAUUAAAUGGUCUAGAAAAAUACUGACUUAGGAUGUUAUGAUUGGAUCUGCACCGUAAUAAUUCGGUCCCACAAGAUGAACGGCUCGUAAAAUCUAAUUAACGUGAGAAUUUUUAAGGAGUCUCUAAUUAGUAUAAGUAUAGAUAAUGCCCAUAUUUAUCGAUUUAUGGAGAAAUUCUACGAUGCCCAAGAAGAGACUAAUAUUUUGCAGGAAACUAUGGAAGAAGAAAAUGCUGAUACUGUGAGCUCAUUAGAUGAAAAAGAUGACGAGGAGAGCGAAGAACAAAAGGAGGAAGAGCGGACUAGCUACCCGUGCCCACCUUCUAAUAAGAAUAACUCUUCAACUCAUACAUUGUUUAAUUUCCCUUCGAAGGAUGAAUGCUAUGUUUAUUGCUAUGAUCCCUUGGAUUUGUUUGAAAUAUCCCUUUUUGAUGAACUUGAUGCUAGCUAUGAUUAUGGCCAUGAUGCCAAUAUGAAUGAUGCUUAUGAAGAUGAACUUGCUAUAGUUCCUUAUGUUAAACAUGAAAUUGUUGCUAUCGCACCCACUUAUGAUAGUCCUAUUAUCUUUUUGAACUCUCCCAACUACACUAUAUCGGAGAAGUUUGCUCUUAUUAGGGAUUACAUAGAUGGGUUGCCUUCUACUAUUACACAUGAUGAUUUUUAUGAAUAUAAUAUGGAUAUGCUUGCUGCUCCUACUUGCAAUUAUUAUGACAGAGGAACUACAUCUCCACCUCUCUAUGUUUCCAAAACAAUAAAUAGCAAGAAACUGCUUAUGCUAUGUAUUGGCCUUUACUUGAUGUGCAUGAAUUGUUCUUUUAUGACAUGCCAAUGCAUAGGAAGAGAGUCAGACUUCGUCAUUGCAUGAUAUAUGUUACCUUCUGCUCACUACUAAAUUACAAAUCAUUGUCAAUUGAAAUUGGCUUUGAUAUACCUUGGGAUCCGGGUGGAUCCAUUACUUGAGCACUUUAUGCCUAGCUUAAUGGCUUUAAAGAAAGCGCUGCCUGGGAGACAACCCGGAAGUUUUAGAGAGUCAUUUAUUUCUGUUGAGUGCUUUUAUAUAGUUUAAAAACAAAAAAAAUAUAGAGGGGAACUUAAAACUUUUUCAAAAAGAGAAGCGAUUGAAAGGUGAUGCAUUGUGGAAGUGAGGGUCGACCUUGAACACUUGUGUUCAUGCUCAUGGAAACAAUGUAGAAUUCUUCAUGGAAGUUUCUCGCACAAAUAAUUAUGCCUUUGUAAAUUUCCAUUGUAUUAUAAAAAUAAUGUGCCAAGUAAAGCCUUUAUGAUUAGUUUGGGUGAUAGUUGUUUGAUCAUGCUGAAAAAGACAGAAACUUUGUGCUCACAAAAUUAUUUUUAAUACCUAUCCACAAAGAGAUUUUGAGUUGAUUCUUUUUGCUGUUGAUUGAUAUGAAAAUUGCCCUAAUUUUCAUAAUUUUUCAGAAUUUUUGGAGUAUCAUAAGUAUGGCAUACGUUCAGAUUACUACAGACUGUUCUGUUUUUGACAGAUUCUGUUUUCUAUGCAUUGCUCUCUUAUUUUGAUGAAUCUAUGGGUAGUAUCGGGGGGUAUGAACCAUGGUGAAGUUGGAUUACAGUAGAUAUAAUUCUAAUAUGAAUUUGAAAUGAGUACACAACAGUACUUAAAGUGGUGAUUUACUUUAUUAUACUAACGGAUCUCACGAAGGUUUUGUUGAGUUUUGUGUGAUUGAAGUUUUCAAGUUUUGGGUGACACCACGAUGGAUGAAGGAAUAAGGAGAGGCAAGAGCCUAAGCUUGGGGAUGCCCGAGCAUCUAAGCUUGGGGAUGCCCCGGAAGGAAUCCCCUCUUUCGUCUACAAUCUAUCGGUAAUUUUACUCGGAGCUAUAUUUUUAUUCGUCACAUGAUAUGUGCAAAUGCUUGGAGCGUCUUUUGUGUUUAUUUUUCCUUUUUCUUUUAUGCACCAUGCUGGUAUGAGAUAGUCCUUGGUUGAUUUAUAGAAUGCUCUUUGCACUUCACUUAUAUCUUUCGAGUAUGGAUUUAUAGAAUGCUUAUGUGCUUCACUUAUAUCAUUUGAAGUUUGGAUUGCCUGUUUCCCUACACAUAGAAAACCGCCAUUUGUAGAAUGCUCUUUUGCUUCACUUAUAUUUUUUAGAGCGGGGCCUAUAUUUUGUAGAAAGAAUUAAAAUCUCAUGCUUCACUUAUACCUAUUUAGAGAGUUAACAGGAGUUGGUCAUUCACAUGGUUAGUCAUAAAAUCCUACAUAAACUUGUAGAUCACUGAAUAUGAUAUGUUUGAUUCCUUGCAAUAGUUUUGCGACAUGAAGAUGUGAUAUUAGAGUGAUGCUAGUGAAUAAUUGUGUAUUCAUAGAAAUACUUGUGUUAAGGUUUGUGAUUCCUGUAGCAUGCAGGUAUGGUGAACCGUUAUGUGACGAGGUCGGAGCAUGAUUUAUUUAUUGAUUGUCAUCCUUUGUGUGGAGGUCGGGACCGCGCGAUGGUUAACUCCUACCAACCCUUCCCCUAGGAGCAUGCGUGUAGUACCUUGUUUCGAUGACUAAUAGACUUUUGCAAUAAGUAUGUGAGUUCUUUAUGACUAAUGUUGAGUUCAUGGAUUAUACGCAAUCUCACCCUUCCACCAUUGCUAGCCUCUCUAGUACCGCGCAACUUUCGCCGGUGCAUUACACCCACCAUAUACCCUUCCUCAAAACAGCCACCAUACCUACCUAUUAUGGCAUUUCCAUAGCCAUUCUUAGAUAUAUUUCCAUGCAACUUCCAUCGUUCCAUUUAUUAUGACACGCACCAUCAUUGUCAUAUUGCUUUGCAUGAUCGUAAGAUAGCUAGCAUGAUGUUUUCAUGGCUUGUCCGUUUUUUGAUGUCAUUGCUACGCUAGAUCAUUGCACAUCCCGGUACACCGCCGGAGGCAUUCAUAUAGAGUCAUAUUUUGUUCUAAAUAUCGAGUUGUAAGUAAAUAAAAGUGUGAUGAUCAUCAUUAUUAGAGCAUUGUCCCAUGUGAGGAAGUAAAAAGAGGCCAAAGAAGCCCACCAAAAAAAAGAGAAAAAAAAUAAAAAAAUGAGAGAAAAGAGAGAAGGGACAAUGCUACUAUCCUUUACCACACUUGUGCUUCAAAGUAGCACCAUGAUCUUCAUGAUAGAGAUUCUCCUAUGUUGUCACUUUCAAAUACUAGUGAGAAAUUUUCAUUAUAGUACUUGGCUUGUAUAUUCCAAUGAUGGGCUUCCUAAAAUUGCCCUAGGUCUUCGUGAGCAAGCGAGUUGGAUGCACACCCACUAGUUUCAUUUUGAACUUUCAUACACUUCUAGCUCUUGUGCAUCUGUUGCAUGGCAAUCCCUACUCACUCACAUUGAUAUCUAUUGAUGGGCAUCUCCAUAGCCCGUUGAUAUGCCUAGUUGAUGUGAGACUAUCUCCUCCUUUUUGUCUUCCCCACAGCCACCAUAUUCUAUUCCAACUACAAUGCUAUGUCCAUGGCUCACGCUCAUGUAUUGCGUGAAAGUUGAAAAAGGUUUGAGAACACUAAAGUAUGAAACAAUUGCUUGGCUAAAACCGGGGUUGUGCAUGAUUUAAAUACGUUGUGUGGGGAAGAUGGAGCAUAACCAGACUUUAUGAUUUUGUAGGGAUAACUUUCUUUGACCACGAUAUUUUGAGAAGACAUGAUUCCUUUGUUAGUAUGCUUGAAAUAUUAUUAUCUUUAUGUCAAAUGGUAGGCUAUUGCUUCGAAUCACUCGUGUUUUAGUAUUCAUGCCAUGAUUAGAUUAUAUAAUCAACAUUAUGCUAGGUAGCAUUCCACAUCAAAAAUUAUCUUUUUUAUCAUUUACCUACUCUGUUGGGGAACGUCGCAUGGGAAACAAAAAUUUUCCUACGCGCACGAAGACCUAUCAUGGUGAUGUCCAUCUACGAGAGGGGAUGAGUGAUCUACGAACCCUUGUAGAUCGUAUAGCAGAAGCGUUAGUGAACGCGGUUGAUGUAGUGGAACGUCCUCACGUCCCUCGAUCCGCCCCGCGAACAAUCCCGCGAUCAGUCCCACGAUCUAGUACCGAACGGACGACACCUCCGCGUUCAGCACACGUACAGCUCGACGAUGAUCUCGGCCUUCUUGAUCCAGCAAGAGAGACGGAGAGGUAGAUGAGUUCUCCGGCAGCGUGACGGUGCUCCGGAGGUUUGUGGUGAUCUUAUCUCAGCAGGGCUCCGCCCGAGCUCCGCAGAAACGCGAUCUAGAGGUAAAACCGUGGAGAUAUGUGGUCGGGCUGCCGUGGCAAAGUUGUCUCAAAUCAGCCCUAAAACCUCCGUAUAUAUAGGAGGAAGAGGGGGAGCCUUCCCUUGGGGUCCAAGGACCACCAAGGGGUUCGGCCGAGCCAAGGGGGGGGAGUCCUCCCCUUCCAAACCGAAUCCAACUAGGUUUGGAAGGAGGAGUCCUUCCCCUUUUUCCCACCUCCCUUUUUUUUCUCUUUGAUUUUCUUCCUAUGGCGCAUAGGGACUUCUUUGGCUGUCCCACCAGCCCACUAAGGGCUGGUGCGCCACCCCCAAGGCCUAUGGGCUUCCCCGGGGUGGGUUGCCCCCCCCGGUGAACAUCCGGAACCCAUUCGUCAUUCCCGGUACAUUCCCGGUAACUCCGAAAACCUUCCGGUAAUCAAAUGAGGUCAUCCUAUAUAUCAAUCUUUGUUUCCGGACUAUUCCGGAAACCCUCGUGACGUCCGUGAUCUCAUCUGGGACUCCGGACAACAUUCGGUAACCAACCAUAUAACUCAAAUACGCAUAAAAUAACGUCGAAUCUUAAGUGUGCAGACCCUGCGGGUUCGAGAACUAUGUAGACAUGACCCGAGAGACUCCUCGGUCAAUAUCCAAUAGCGGGACCUGGAUGCCCAUAUUGGANNNNNNNNNNCGUUUCCGGACCAUUCCGGAAACCCUCGUGACGUCCGUGAUCUCAUCCGGGACUCCGAACAACAUUCGGUAACCAACCAUAUAACUCAAAUACGCAUAAAACAACGUCGAACCUUAAGUGUGCAGACCCUGCGGGUUCGAGAACCAAGUAGACAUGAACCGAGUGACUCCUCGGUCAAUAUCCAAUAGCGGGACCUGGAUGCCCAUAUUGGAUCCUACAUAUUCUACGAAGAUCUUAUCGUUUGAACCUUAGUGCCAAGGAUUCAUAUAAUCCCGUAUGUCAUUCCCUUUGUCCUUCGGUAUGUUACUUGCCCGAGAUUCGAUCGUCAGUAUCCGCAUACCUAUUUCAAUCUCGUUUACUGGCAAGUCUCUUUACUCGUUCCGUAAUACAAGAUCNNNNNNNNNNCGUCAUUCCCUUUGUCCUUCGGUAUGUUACUUGCCCGAGAUUCGAUCAUCAGUAUCCGUAUACCUAUUUCAAUCUCAUUUACCGGUAAGUCUCUUUACUCGUUCCGUAAUACAAGAUCCCGCAACUUACACUAAGUUACAUUGCUUGCAAGGCUUGUGUGUGAUGUUGUAUUACCGAGUGGGCCCCGAGAUACCUCUCCGUCACACGGAGUGACAAAUCCCAGUCUUGAUCCAUACUAACUCAACUAACAACUUCGGAGAUACCUGUAGAGCAUCUUUAUAGUCACCCAGUUAUGUUGCGACGUUUGAUACACACAAAGCAUUCCUCCGGUGUCAGUGAGUUAUAUGAUCUCAUGGUCAUAGGAAUAAAUACUUGACACGCAGAAAACAGUAGCAACAAAAAUGACACGAUCAACAUGCUACAUCUAUUAGUUUGGGUCUAGUCCAUCACGUGAUUCUCCUAAUGACGUGAUCCAGUUAUCAAGCAACAACACCUUGUUCAUAAUCUGAAGACACUGACUAUCUUUGAUCAACUGGCUAGCCAACUAGAGGCUUGCUAGGGANNNNNNNNNNGGUGUUUUGUCUAUGUAUGCACACAUGUAGAUGAGUCUUCAUUCAAUACAAUUAUAGCAUGGACAAUAAACGAUUAUCUUGAUACAGGAAUUAUAAUAAUAACUAUAUUUAUUAUUGCCUCUAGGGCAUAAUUCCAACAUACUCGAGGACGAGCAGAAAUUAAGCUUGGGGAUGCUGAUACGUCUCCGUCGUAUCUAUAAUUUUUGAUUGUUUCAUGCCAAUAUUCUACAACUUACAUAUACUUUUGGCAACUUUUUAUACUAUUUUUGGGACUAAAAUAUUGAUCCAGUUCCCAGUGCCAGUUCCUGUUUGUUGCAUGUUUUUUGUUUCGUAUAAUAUCCAUACCAAACGAAGUCCAAACACAAUAAAAAACCUAUGGUGAUUUUUUAUGGAAUAUUUAUGAUUUUUGGGAAGAAGAAUCAACGCAAAACGAUGCCCGAGGGGGUCACAAGCCUAGGAGGUGCCCCCUAGGGCACGGCAGGCAGGCUUGUGACCAAUCCCUAAGGCGGUUGGGGCCCUUCUUUCGCCGCAAGAAAGCUAAUAUCCGGAAGAAAAUCGUGUUAAAAUCAGCCCACUUGGAGUUAUGGAUCUCCGGGAAUUUUAAGAAACGGUGAAAGGCAGAAUCUGGGAGCGCACAAACAGAAGGACACACAGAGAGAGAUCCAAUCUCGGAGGGGCUCUCGCCCCUCCGCCGCCAUGGAGACCAUGGACCAGAGGGGAAACCCUUCUCCCAUCUAGGGAGGAGGUCAAGGAAGAAGAAGAAGAAGGGGGGCUCCCUCCCCCUCUCUCCCGGCGGUGCCGGAACGCCGCCCGGGACAUCAUCGUGUGACAGCGAUCUACACCAACACGUCCGUCAUCUUCACCAACACCUCCUUCUCCUUCCCCCAUCUAUAUUCAGCGGUCCACUCUCCCGCAACCCGCUGUACCCUCUACUUGAACAUGGUGCUUUGUGCUUCAUAUUAUUAUCCGAUGAUGUGUUGCCAUCCUAUGAUGUCUGAGUAGAUUUUUGUUGUCCUAUCGGUUAUUGAUGAAUUGGUGUGAUUGGUUUGAUUUGCUUGUGGUUAUGUUGCUGUCCUUUGGUGCCCAUCAUAUGAGCGCGCGCGUGGAUCACACGAUAGGGUUAGUAUUAUGUUGAUAGGACUAUGUAUUGGAGGGGAAGGGUGAUAGAAGCUUCAGCCUAGCAUAGAAACUGAUGCAUGCGGGAUUGAAGGGGGCCCAAUAUAUCUUAUUGCUAUGGUUGGGUUUUAACUUAUUGAACGUUAGUAGUUGCGGAUGCUUGCUAAUAGAUCCAAUCAUAAGUGCAUAGAAUUUCAAGUAAGGGAUGACAUGCUAGCAGUGGCCUCUCCCACAUAAAACUUGNNNNNNNNNNNNNNNNNNNNNNNNNNNNNNNNNNNNNNNNNNNNNNNNNNNNNNNNNNNNNNNNNNNNNNNNNNNNNNNNNNNNNNNNNNNNNNNNNNNNGAGGUGGCAAACUUUGUGACAGCACACUACGAAGCCAAAAAUCAUCAUUUGCAUAAUCCGAAGCCUCGGCACAAUGAUGGAGACCCUAAAAAAGGUGGGUCCAACGUCAGCCUAUUCAAAGGGAAGCUCGCACUAGCCGGUGCUUCGAAACCAAUAACGUUGGAUAUCAAAGAAUGGCGGAACAUGUCGUUGUAUAUCUUCAACAACCUAACAGGAGUGCGGCCGUACAUCGAGUGAGUUCUCGACACAUUUUCCCGUAACUUCUAAUUCAUUUGAACGGUUCUUAUUCCCGGAUAUUUCAAACAGCCGUUACGUCGUCAAAUUCUCGGAUGGAGCGGUGAUCGAAAAUGAUUCCGUGGAAGAAUAUGAGCUUCUGACUAAGACAGGAGGCGGCUAUCCCGGUUUCAUCUCUUGGUUCAAACAAACGGUAAUUAUCAAUAAUGGACCAUUUCAUUCUUGGUCUAACUUGCGGCUAAUGCAACAACCUUUUCGUAUUAAACUUGUAGGCUAAUUCAGAGUCUAUGGACGCCGAAUUGAGACAAGUCGCUAAUGGUUUUCACUAUAAGGUCCGUUCAUUUGAGAAAUACAACAUCAACGGGUAUCUCUUUCGUACCUUUGGCAAAGAGCUAUCUAUGCCCGACUGGAAAUCUACAAAUUGUGGUGUCUCUGCUAUCGGCGAAGGUGUUAUCGAGUACUAUGGAAGAGUUGAAGCAAUUUAUGAACUUCAAUUCUAUGGUGAGAACCCACCGAACGUCGUAGGCUUCAAAUGUUAUUGGUUCCGGCCGAAAAAGACUAGAAGGAGUCAUGAACAUAUAGGACUAGUCGAAAUCAAUCCAAACACCCAUUUAGAUAUUCCCGAUGUCUAUAUUACGGCUCAACAGGCGACCCAAGUUUUCUAUAUACCGUGGGCAUGCCAAACGGAUAAGAAUAUGGAAGGUUGGUAUGUUGUUUAUGAAGUGCCGCCACAUGUCAGACCACCUCUCCCAAAUGAACAGGAUUAUGAACCUCACAUUAACCCAGACACAUAUGAUGGAGAAUUCUUCCAAGAAACACGUCUUUCCAAGAAACGUUUCAAGAACCGUCGUGCUUCAUCCAAGAACAUGGAAGUAGACAGCGACAAUGAAUCCGACUCUAGCCCUAAGCCGGAACCAGAAGACCUGGAACUCGUAGAGGUUACUGAUGCGGAUGACCUGUCAAUGCUUCAACGAUUAAAGGAAGGCCUUUCACAACUUCACGCCGUUGAACCCGAUGAGCACGUCAUUCAUGAAGACAUGCGUGAUAGUGAUGAUGAUGAUGCAUUUAUUGAUGAUGAUUAUUAGUUUGUAAGAUUCACAACUUAAAUUAUAUAUAUUUUAAUCUUUAUUAUUCAUGUACAUAUUAUUAUUCAUGUCAGUCAUUCAAUUUUUUUAUGUUGUACUAAUUUCUUUUAAUCUUUAUCAUGGCAGGUGUUGAAAGAUGGUGGGCGCGGGUCGAGAUCGCUCGACGGGUUCUUCCGAGGCGCCCCGCACGAGGGGUGGUACUUCCCUUCCACCCCUAUCUCUCUGUAGAGCCUUGGCAGACAGUCUUUCGACACCAGCCGUGGGUUCUUCUUUGUCGGCGGCAUUGCCCACUGGGAGAGGUGCUGGUCGGGUAGGGAAGGAGGGGAAGGGUACAGGGAGAGGUGGUGGCCGCGGAAGAUCCAGGAGGACUGUUGAGCCGUCCUCGCCACCACCACUAGCUCAUUCACCCGAGCAUAGGACUAGUACGGUCGACCCGUUUGCGGAGGAGGCUACGGGGACUCCGGUCCAGGAGCCUGCUGUUCACGGGCAUUCGUCCCAUGAGACUCCGGUCCAGGAGCAGCCUCGGGUCGAGGUGCAUUCGGCCCAGGAGCAGCCGGAGGAGACUAGGGUUCCGGAGGCUUCACCCGACGUGGAGAGGGCCGGAUGGGAGAUCUGGCCGGAUCGUACCGAGUUGCCGGAUUGGACCGAGGGUCCGGGUGGCUCAGGGGGCGGGGAUGGCGGGGAUGAGCUUACGGAUAGUGAGGGCGAUGUGCAGGUGGACGGGGCCACCGUGUACAAGCGUGGUAGUACACGUCUCCCGGUCGCCCCGGCUACCCGCGAGCAGAGGCCGGUGAUUAAACCUGAAGGAGAUAGGUAAGUACAUUUACCCUUUUUUAGCUUUUGCCUUCAAGUUUAUUCAAAUAUCUAAUGCGCUGACCUUAUCAUACUGCAGGGGAUGGGUACACCCUCUUGGAGUCCGCAGGCCGAACUCCGUCCAUUGUGUGCUUUGCCAGACAAAUUUCCCCGGGGUUUUUCACGUUGCGUGGUGAGGGUCAGGUUCCUACACUAGGAUUUACCUGGGAGCACUACCAGGCUGCGCAGGCCCCGCCGGAGGAGAUUAUAGAUGGUGUCUUGUGCCACACGAGGGCCGAGAUGGUGAUCAAGAGCUUUUGGGUAAAUUAUCCUUUUACAGGAUCUAAAAUUAACAAUAUAGCUAAUUAUUGUACUAAUCGGUGUUUUCACGUUUGAUUGCAGACCUUCUAUAGGUGUGAGGAUGGAUAUGAGGAGGAGGCGGCCAGGGUUCUCGAGGUCGAGUGUAGGCGGUUACUACAGAACUUGCGCCACGAGGCUCGGCCGCAGGCUAUUCGAGAUUACUACGCCACGCGUGGUAUUAAGAAGACGAAGAAGGAUUGAUUUGGAAAGUUUCUGAAGAAGGAGCAAUACAUGAAGGUAAUUACCUAUUCUUAAGUCCUUCUACGUAGUUUUCUUGAUUUCAUUCAUAGGCGUAGCGCUGAAAAUUCUUUCUAAUAACUUACAGGUGCCCCCGAGAUGGUGUGCGGAUAAGAUGGAUUGUUGGGGGGCGUUUGUUGAUGAGUGGUGCACACGCAGCUGGCGAGCCAUCCACGAGAAUGCGAAGGAUCGGCGUAGCCAAAUAGUUGGUGUGCCACACCAUCAAGGCAGCGCCAACUUACUUCAGUUUGGACGAAACUGGGUAUGUGAUUUGCUUCAUGAUUCAUGCAAUUCAUUCUUGAUGCUAAUAUUGUGUUCCUCUCUUUUAGGCGCAUCACAAUAAGACUGAGAUGCCACACUUGUACGACCUUUAUGGCAUGGCCCAUACUGCCUCGUACAAGAAGGCGAAGGCAUUCUCUGAGUCUGACCUGGAUGAUCCCAAUAACUUUACCAACAUAUCAUCCCACCAGAAGCUCGUGGCAUACAGGGACGCGGGGAAGGCUACGAAAGGGGAUGACUUUAACCCUAGCCAGGAACCUUUGGAUCCAGAGCUGGUGAUGAUAUCUGGUGGCGGGAGGCCCCAUGGCUCGAUAGCCAUUGGAGAUGGGAUAAUACGUUGUCCACUCACUCUUCCGGAGAUCAAGGCGCGCCAGUCGAGCAACUGUCCUGAGAUAACGCGUCGUCCACGGCCAGUCGAACUUGCCAUCAAGGUUAGUUGUAUGGACUAAGAACACUUUCAUCCAUUUCAUUAUCUGUGUCACCAUAGAUCAUUACUGUGGUAACGAGGAAUGGUGUUUCAGGCUGCUCUUCAGAAAGAGAGAGCGGCAAACCACGCUGCUCUUGAGAAAGAGAGAUUGGCAAGCCAGGCUGCUCUUCAGGCUGCUCUUGAUGAGAGGGACCAGACCAGAGCACGAUUGCUUGAGGAGGAGAGGGCUCGGAAUGAGGCGGGUCAACGGGCCCUGUACGAGCUUUCUGUGGUAUGUUUUAUUCACAUUAGCCAAAUCAUGUGUGUAAUGUAUGUUUCAAUACCAACUAAUACGACCCACUCUUCAGGGUCUGUGCGAGAAGAGCGGUCAAGUCCCUCCGCCGAUGCCCGUCUUCUCUUCGAUUGGCACGGUGAGUUUCAUUAUAAACUAGUAUUAAUAAUUGAGUGUCAUCAUGCAAACUAAGACAUUGCAAAAUAUCUUCUCUGCAGAAUAACUCCCAAGCGGCAUCGCACGACCCUUCUCCAGGGCAACCGUCUCCAAACGAAGCCGCCGCGAGCAACCGUGGUGUUUCUCCUCGUUGAUGACCACUACGGUAAGUUUCUCCUCCAAAUUUAGCUUGUUUUCCUCUAAAAUGAGAUAAUUAGCCCAUUUAGAUCCAAGAAGACAUAAUUAGGUAAUUUAGCUCCAACAAGAGGAGGAGAAAUAGGAAAAAUUAAAAUAAAGAAGAAGAAGAAGAAGAGAAGAAGGAGAAGGAGGAGGAGGAGGAGGAGGAGGAGGAGAAGGAGGAGAAGGCCAAGGACCUUCUAGUCCUUCUCCUCCUCCUCCUUCUCCUCCUUCUCCUCCUUGAUUUCUUCUUCUUAUCCUCCUCCUCCUGUUUGUUCUCCCCUUUCAUAUUAUCCUUGCUUUAAUUUCCCCAACAAUGACAUAAUUAGUCCAUUUAGCUCCAAAAUACCAUAAUAAGCUCAAAAUGGCAUAAGAACCNNNNNNNNNNNNNNNNNNNNNNNNNNNNNNNNNNNNNNNNNNNNNNNNNNNNNNNNNNNNNNNNNNNNNNNNNNNNNNNNNNNNNNNNNNNNNNNNNNNNCGAGUGGGCCCCGAGAUACCUCUCCGUCACACGGAGUGACAAAUCCCACUCUCGAUCCAUACUAACUCGACGAACACCUUCGGAGAUACCUGUAGAGCAUCUUUAUAGUCACCCAGUUACGUUGCGACAUUUGAUACACACAAAGCAUUCCUCCGGUGUCAGUGAGUUAUAUGAUCUCAUGGUCAUAGGAACAAAUACUUGACACGCAGAAAACAGUAGCACUAAAAUGACACGAUCAAUAUGCUACGUCUAUUAGUUUGGGCUAGUCCAUCACGUGAUUCUCCUAAUGACAUGAUCCAGUUAUCAAGCAACAACGCUUUGUUCAUAAUCAGAAGACCCUGACUAUCUUUGAUCAACUGGCUAGCCAACUAGAGGCUUGCUAGGGACAGUGUUUUGUCUAUGUAUCCACACAUGUAUAUAAGUCUUCAUUCAAUACAAUUAUAGCAUGGAUAAUAAACGAUUAUCUUGAUACAGGAAUUAUAAUAAUAACUAUAUUUAUUAUGGCCUCUAGGGCAUAAUUCCAACAGUACAUGUACUCUAUGCAUGACUUGCCAGCGUAUGCACUAUUCUCUCGAUGGUGUGUGCAUGGAAGGUUCCCGUGCCCCAAAUGCAAGGCAGCUCUUCAGUUUCAUUGGUUGCAGGAGGGUCGGAAGUAUUCUUGCUUUGACUUGCAUAGACAGUUCCUGGAUCCUGACCAUCAGUUCAGAAAAGACAAGAAGAACUUUACCAAAGGUAAAGUUGUCAAAAACUUGGCACCACCUGCGUUCACAGGCCAACAGAUCCUGGAUUAGUUAAACGCCCUCGAGCCUGAUCCAGAGCGUCCAGGGUAUUUCAAGGGGUAUAAUUCAAAACACGCCUGUACUCAGAAGCCAUGCUUCUGGGAUCUGCCUUACUUCAAAGACCUCCUUCUUCCANNNNNNNNNNAUAAAGGUAAAGUUGUCAAGAACUUGGCACCACCUGCGUUCACAGGCCAACAGAUCUUGGAUGAGUUAAACGCCCUCGAGCCUGAUCCAGAGCGUCCAUGGUAUUUCAAGGGUUAUAAUUCAAAACACGCCUGGACUCACAAGCCAUGCUUCUGGGAUCUGCCUUACUUCAAAGACCUCCUUCUUCCACACAAUAUCGACAUGAUGCACACUGAAAAGAAUAUGGGAGAGGCUAUUUUUGGUACAUUGUUUGACAUAGAUGGGAAGACAAAGGAUAAUAUUAAGGCUAGAGUCGAUCAAGAGACACUAUGUCAUAGACCAUUACAAAACAUGCGAGAAGGCAAAGGAAAGCAGAAGUGGUCGAAGCCAAAGGCCUGGUUCAUUCAUGGAAGGCCAGCUAUGAGGGAAAUUAUCUUGUGGGUCAAAAUGCACUUGAUGUUCCCCGAUGGGUAUGCAGCGAAUCUAAAGAGGGGAGCGAGUCUUGAAAAAUUAAAAAUCUUUGGUCUCAAGAGUCAUGAUUGGCACAUAUGGCUAGAGCGGGUAAUACCGGUGAUGUUAUGUGGCUUUAUUCCCGAGGAUGAAUGGCUAGUACUGGCGGAGCUGAGCUAUUUCUUUCAUGUUCUUUGUGCGAAAGAAUUGUCGCCUGGCGUGGUAGAAGACAUGGAGGAGUUUGCACUGGAGUUGUUGUGCAAGUUAGAGAAGAUCUUUCCACCGGGCUUCUUUAAUCCAAUGCAGCAUUUGAUUUUACAUCUACUGACCGAGGCAAGAUUGGGUGGGCCCGUGCAAGAUCGUUGGUGCUAUGCAACUGAGAGGAUGCAGAAGACCCUUCGAGCUAAAUGUAAGAAUAAGCGUUGAAUUGAAGCAUCGAUGGCUGAGUCAUUCAUUACUGAGGAGGUGGCAAACUUUGUGACAGCACACUACGAAGCCAAAAAUCAUCAUCUGCAUAAUCCGAAGCCUCGGCACAAUGAUGCAGACCAUAAAAAAGGUGGGUCCAACCUCAGCCUAUUCAAAGGGAAGCUCGCACCAGUCGGUGCUUCGAAACCAAUAACGUUGGAUGUCGAAGAAUGGCGGAACAUUUCGUUGUAUAUCUUCAACAACCUACCAGAAGUGCGGCCGUACAUCGAGUGAGUUCUCGACACAUUUUCCCGUAACUUCUAAUUCAUUUGAACUGCUCUUAUUCCCGGAUAUUUCAAACAGCCCUUACAUCGUCAAAUUCUCGGAUGGAGCGGUGAUCGAAAAUGAUUCCGUCGAAGAUUAUGCGCUUCUGUCAAAGACAGGAGGCGGCUAUCCCGGUUUCAUCUCUUGGUUCAAACAAACGGUAAUUAUCAAUAAUGGACCAUUUCAUUCUUGGUCAACCUUGGUUAGCUCAUGAAUAUUAUAUACUUAGCUUGUUUUCCUCUAAAGUGGGAUAAUUAGCCCAUUUAGCUCAAAAAAAACAUAAUUACGUAAUUUAGCUCCAAGAAGAGGAGAAGAAAUAGGAAAAAUAAAAAUAAAGAAGAAGAAGAAGAAGAGAAGAAGGAGAAGGAGGAGGAGGAGGAGGAGGAGGAGAAGGAGGAGAAGGCAAAGGACCUUCUAGUCCUUCUCCUCCUCCUCCUUCUCCUCCUUCUCCUCNNNNNNNNNNNNNNNNNNNNNNNNNNNNNNNNNNNNNNNNNNNNNNNNNNNNNNNNNNNNNNNNNNNNNNNNNNNNNNNNNNNNNNNNNNNNNNNNNNNNCUUUCAUAUUAUCCUUGAUUAAUUUCCCCAACAAUGACAUAAUUAGCCCAUUUAGCUCCAAAAUGCCAUAAUAAGCUCAAAAUGGCAUCAGAACCUUGGUUAGCUCAUGAAUAUUAUAUACUUAGCUUGUUUUCCUCNNNNNNNNNNACCUCCUCCUCCUUCUCCUCCUUCUCCUCCUUCUCUUCUUCUUCUUCUCCUCCUCCUCCUCUUUCUUCUCCUCUUUCAUAUUAUCCUUGCUUUAAUUUCCCCAAAAAGACAUAAUUAGCCCAUUUAGCUCCAAAAUGCCAAAAUAACCUCAAAAUGGCAUAAGAACAUUGGUUAGGUCAUGAAUAUUAUAUACAUAGCUUGUUUUCCUCUAAAAUGAGAUAAUUAGCCCAUUUAGCUCCAAAAAGACAUAAUUAGGUAAUUUAGCUCCAACAAGAGGAGAAGAGGAGAAGAAAUAGGCAAAAUGAAAAGAAAGAAGAAGAAGAAGAGAAGAAGGAGAAGGAGGAGGAGGAGAAGGAGGAGAAGGCCAAGGACCUUCUAGUCCUUCNNNNNNNNNNAAUAGGAAAAAUGAAAAUAAAGAAGAAGAAGAAGAAGAGAAGAAUGAGAAGGAGGAGGAGUAGGAGGAGAAGGAGGAGAAGGCCAAGGACCUUCUAGUCCUUAUCCUCCUCCUCCUUCUCCUUUUUCUCCUCCUUCUUCUUGAUUUCUUCUUCUUCUCCUCCUCCUCCUCUUUCUUCUCCUCUUUCAUAUUAUCCUUGCUUUAAUUUCCCCAAAAAGACAUAAUUAGCUCAUUUAGCUCCAAAAUGCCAUAAUAACCUCAAAAUGGCAUAAGAACCUUGGUUAGAUCAUGAAUAUUAUAUACUUAGCUUGUUUUCCUAUAAAAUGAGAUAAUUAGCCCAUUUAGCUCCAAAAAGACAUAAUUAGGUNNNNNNNNNNNNNNNNNNNNNNNNNNNNNNNNNNNNNNNNNNNNNNNNNNNNNNNNNNNNNNNNNNNNNNNNNNNNNNNNNNNNNNNNNNNNNNNNNNNNNNNNNNNNNNNNNNNNNNNNNNNNNNNNNNCUUAUCCUCCCUCUUCUUGAUUUCUUCUUCUUCUCCUCCUCCUCCUCUUUCUUCUCCCCUUUCAUAUUAUCCUUGCUUUAAUUUCCCCAAAAAGACAUAAUUAGCCCAUUUAGCUCCAAAAUGCCAUAAUAAGGUCAAAAUGGCAUAAGAACCUUGGUUAGCUCAUGAAUAUUAUAUACUUANNNNNNNNNNNNNNNNNNNNNNNNNNNNNNNNNNNNNNNNNNNNNNNNNNNNNNNNNNNNNNNNNNNNNNNNNNNNNNNNNNNNNNNNNNNNNNNNNNNNCUUCUAGUCCUUCUCCUCCUCCUCCUUCUCCUCCUUCUCCUCCUUCUUGAUUUCUUCUUCUUCUCCUCCGCCUCCUAUUUCUUCUCCUAUUUCAUAUUAUCCUUGCUUUAAUUUCCCCAACAAUGACAUAAUUAGCCCAUUUAGCUCCAAAAUACCGUAAUAAGCUCAAAAUAGCAUAAGAACCUUGGUUAGCUCAUGAAUAUUAUAUACUUAGCUUGUUUNNNNNNNNNNACCCAUUUAGCUCCAAAAAGACAUAAUUAGGUAAUUUAGCUCCAACAAUAAAUAGGAAAAAUGAAAAGAAAGAAAGAAGAAGAAGAAGAGAGGAAGGAGAAGGAGGAGGAGGAGGAGAAGGCCAAGGACCUUCUAGUCCUUCUCCUCCUCCUUGUCCUCCUUCUUGAUUUCUUUUUCUUCUCCUCCUCCUCCUCUUUCCUCUCCUAUUUCAUAUUAUCCUUGCUUUAAUUUCCCCAACAAUGACAUAAUUAACCCAUUUAGCUCCAAAAUGCCAUAAUAAGCUAAAAAUGGCAUAAGAACCUUGGUUAGCUCAUGAAUAUUAUAUUCUUAGCUUGUUUUCCGCUAGAAAUGACAUAAUUACCUCAAAACAUCAUAUUUUGUUCUUUUUCUGACUUUCUUAUUCACAUUUUUGCAGAUUGGAUAUACUACAUGCAUGAAAGCUGGCAUUCAUGGAGUUGAACAAUGUCGAUGGAUGAACUUUAUAUGUAUAUCAUCUAGUUUUCAUUUGAGUUGAUGAACAAUGUUGAACUAUAUGUAUAUAUAUAUGGAUAAACAGUGCAAUACUUUGUAUGUUGGUUCUUUUGAUAUAUGGGGAUGUACAUUGAUUUAUAUGUAUAUCAUAUAUGUGUGGUGAAUUAUAUAUAUGUGUUGGCAAGUAUAUGUGNNNNNNNNNNNNNNNNNNNNNNNNNNNNNNNNNNNNNNNNNNNNNNNNNNNNNNNNNNNNNNNNNNNNNNNNNNNNNNNNNNNNNNNNNNNNNNNNNNNNCGCGAUGAUGACACUAUUUGGACGUUUCCUACCCAAAGGCCAUGUCAUGCCUGCAAACCUGUACCAGUCGGAAAAAAUAUUUCGUUUACUUAAGAUGCACUAUGAGAAGAUACAUGCAUGUGAGAAAGGAUGUGUCUUAUUUAGGAAGGAGUAUCUACACUUGGACUAUUGUCCCAAUUGCGAGUCUUGCAGGUAUCUUGUGGUAGACAAACGGUAUGGGUGAGAAGAGGCAGACCAAAAUCGCAGUUAGUGUUCUUCGGUAUAUCACAAUCGUACCAAUACUUCAACGUCUUUUCAUGGUCGAAGAGACAGCCAGACAGAUGACAAGGCACAAAUUGGGCAAAAGAACCGAACUAGAUGCGGAUGGGAAUAAGAUGAUGGUACACACAUCGGAUGGGGAAGCGUGGAAACAUUUCGAUGGAUUGCAUCAAGAUAAAGCGACAGAUCCAAGGAAUCCUCGAGUCUGUGCCGCCACGGUCGGUUUUAAUCCCUUCGGCAUGACGACAACCCAAUACAGUUGUUGGCCUGUAUUUGUCAUUCCACUCAAUCUCCNNNNNNNNNNCCUAGGCAGAUUAUGCAAAGAAAGAUCAUAUUUCUGACGUUGAUAAUUCCAGGGCCCAAUUAUCCGGGGAAGAAUAUGAAUGUGUAUCUGCAACCGCUUAAGGAUGAAUUGGAAGAAGCUUGGGAUAAUGGGGUCAAGACAUACGAUGCCGCUAGAAAAAAAAACUUCAAAAUGCAUGUGUGGUACAUGUUGGGGAACGUCGCAUGGGAAACAAAAAAUUUCCUACGCGCACGAAGACAUAUCAUGGUGAUGUCCAUCUACGAGAGGGCAUAUUCGAUCUACGUACCCUUGUAUGAUUUCCAACAAGUCACUAGCACGCUCAAUUGUUCCGGAGAACGGAGUUUUAGUCAUCUUGCCCAUGAGGCAUGGUUCGCACGUGUCAAGUGAAUCAAAGUCAAGUGACUCCAAAAGUCCAUCGGCAUGGAGUUUCUUCAUGCGCUUUACACCAAUAUGACCUAAGCGGUAGUGCCACAAAAAUAUGGCGCUAUCAUUGUUAACUUUAACUCUUUUGGUCUCAAUGUUAUGUAUGUGUGUAUCACUAUCAAGAUUCAAUAUGAACAAUCCUCUCACAUUGGGUGCAUGACCAUAAAAGAUGUUACUCAUAGAAAUAGAACAACUAUUAUUCUCUGAAUUAAAAGAGUAACCGUCUCGCAAUAAACAAGAUCCAGAUAUAAUGUUCAUGCUCAACGCAGGCACUAAAUAACCAUGAUUCAAGUUCAUAACUAAUCCUGAUGGUAACUGAAGUGAAACUGUGCCGACGGCGAUUGCAUCAAACUUGGAACCAUUUCCUACGCGCAUCGUCACUUCAUCUUUCGCCAGCCUUCGUCUAUUCCGCAGUUCCUGUUUCGAGUUGCAAAUAUGAGCAACAGAACCGGUAUCGAAUACCCAGGCACUACUACGAGUGCCGGUUAAGUACACAUCAAUAACAUGUAUAUCAAAUAUACCUGAUUUUUCUUUGGCCGCCUUCUUAUCAGCCAGAUACUUGGGGCAGUUGCGCUUCUAGUGACCCAUACCCUUGCAAUAGUAACACUCUGUUUCAGGCUUAGGUCCAGCUUUGGGUUUCUUCAUCGGAUUGGCAACAGGCUUGCCGCUCUUCUUUGAAUUACCCGUCUUGCCUUUGCCGUUUCUCUUGAAACUAGUGGUCUUAUUCACCAUCAACACUUGAUGCUCNNNNNNNNNNCCCGCCUUCUUAUCUGCCAGAUACUUGGGGCAAUUGCGCUUCCAAUGACCCAUACCCUUGCAAUAGUAACACUCCGUUUCCGGCUUAGGUCCAGCUUUGGGUUUCUUCGUCGGAUUGGCAACAGGCUUGCCGCUCUUCUUCGAAUUUCCCUUCUUGCCUUUGCUGUUUCUCUUGAAACUAGUGGUCUUAUUCACCAUCAACACUUGAUGCUCUUUAUGGAGUUCAGACUCUGCGACUUUCAGCAUCGCAAACAACUCGCCGGGUGACUUGUUCAUCCCUUGCAUGUUGUAGUUCAACACAAAGCCUUUAUAGCUUGGUGGCAGUGAUUGAAGGAUUCUGUCAGUGAUAGCUUCUUGCGGGAGUUCAAUCCCCAGCUCAGCUAGACGGUUUGAGUACCCACACAUUUUGAGCACAUGUUCACUGACAGACGAGUUUUCCUCCAUCUUGCAAGCAUAGAAUUUAUCANNNNNNNNNNGUUUGAGUACCCAGACAUUUUGAGCACAUGUUCACUGACAGAUGAGUUUUCCUCCAUCUUGCAAGCAUAGAAUUUAUCGGAGGUCUCAUACCUCUCGAUCCGGGCGUUCUUCUGAAAGAUAAAUUCCAACUCCUGGAACAUCUCAAAUGCUCCAUGACGCUCAAAGCGACGUUGAAGUCCCGGUUCUAAGCCAUACAAGACUGCACAUUGAACUANNNNNNNNNNNNNNNNNNNNNNNNNNNNNNNNNNNNNNNNNNNNNNNNNNNNNNNNNNNNNNNNNNNNNNNNNNNNNNNNNNNNNNNNNNNNNNNNNNNNCAUGCUAGGCUCGUCAAGCUUAACCCGAGUAUUCCGCGUGCGCAACUGUUUUGCACCCGUUGUAUGUGAACGUUGAGUCUAUCACACCCGAUCAUCACGUGGUGUCUCGAAACGACGAACUGUAGCAACGGUGCACAGCCGGGGAGAACACAAUUUCGUAUUGAAAUUUUAGUGAGAGAUCACCUCAUAAUGCUACCGACGUUUUAAGCAAAAUAAGGUGCAUAAAAGGAUUAACAUCACAUGCAAUUCAUAAGUGACAUGAUAUGGCCAUCAUCACGUGCUCCUUGAUCUCCAUCAGCAAAGCACCGGCACGAUCUUCUUGUCACCGGCGCCACACCAUGAUCUCCAUCAACGUGUCACCAUCAGGGUUGUCGUGCUGCUCAUGCUAUUACUACUAAUGCUACAUCCUAGCAAAAUAGUAAACGCAUCUGCAAGCACAAACGUUAGUUUAAAGACAACCCUAUGGCUCCUGCCGGUUGCCGUACCAUCGACGUGCAAGUCGAUAUUUCUAUUACAACAUGAUCAUCUCAUACAUCCAAUAUAUCACAUCACAUCAUUGGCCAUACCACAUCACAAGCAUACCCUGCAAAAACAAGUUAGACGUCCUCUAAUUUUGUUGUUGCAUGUUUUACGUGGUGACCAUGGGUAUCUAGUAGGAUCGCAUCUUACUUACGCAAACACCACAACGGAGAUAUAUGAGUUGCUAUUUAACCUCAUCCAAGGACCUCCUCGGUCAAAUCCGAUUCAACUAAAGUUGGAGAAACCGACACUUGCCAGUCAUCUUUGAGCAACGGAGUUACUCGUAACGAUGAAACCAGUCUGUCGUAAGCGUACGAGUAAUGUCGGUCCAAGCCGCUUCAAUCCAACAAUACCGCGGAAUCAAGAAAAGACUANNNNNNNNNNNNNNNNNNNNNNNNNNNNNNNNNNNNNNNNNNCUCGUAAGCGUACGAGUAAUGUCGGUCCAAGCCGCUUCGAUCCAACAAUACCGCGGAAUCAAGAAAAGACUAAGGAGGGCAGCAAAACGCACAUCACCGCCCACAAAAACUUUUGUGUUAUACUCGAGAAGACAUCUACGCAUGAACCUAGCUCAUGAUGCCACUGUUGGGUAACGUCGCAUGGGAAACAAAAAAUUUACUACGCGCACGAAGACCUAUCAUGGUGAUGUCCAUCUACGAGAGGGGAUAUUCGAUCUACGUACCCUUGUAGAUCGCACAGCUGAAGUGUUAGUGAACACGGUUGAUGUAGUGGAACGUCCUCAGGUCCCUCGAUCCGCCCCGCGAACCGCCCCGCGAUCAGUCCCACGAUCUAGUGCCGAACGGACCACCUCCGCGUUCAGCACACGUACAGCUCGACGAUGAUCUCGGCCUUCNNNNNNNNNNNNNNNNNNNNNNNNNNNNNNNNNNNNNNNNNNNNNNNNNNNNNNNNNNNNNNNNNNNNNNNNNNNNNNNNNNNNNNNNNNNNNNNNNNNNCGCCCCUGCUGCACCCCCAGCCCCACCACCGGCGCCGCCGGCCCAGCCACUGCCCCGCAGGCCCCGGCGCCGCCCCCGCAGCCCCAACACUGCCGGUAAGCCCCCACACCCCACCCCCUUGUUAUUUAGUUUUUUGGAGGAAGAAGAAGAAUAAGAAGAGAGGAGGAGAAGAGGAGAAGAAGAGGAGGAGUAGGAGGAGGAGGAGUAGGAGGAGGAUGAGGAAGAGAAGAAAAAGAAGAAGAAGAACAAGAAGAACAAGAAGAAGAGAAGAAAAAAUUAAGAAGGAGAAGAAGAAGAAGAGAAGAAAAAAAAAGAAGGAGAAGAAGUAAAGAAGAAGAGAAGAAGAGAAUAAGAAAAAAAUAAGAAGGAGAAGAAGAGAAAAAAGAAGAAGAAGUUGAUUUUUUAUUGUCUGGUAUUUAGUUUUUUGGAAUUAAUUAGUAGUUUUAGUGGUAGAUUCUGUUAGUUAAUUAGUAGAUUUAGUGGUAGAUUCUGUUAGUUUAUUCGCCCAUCAUUAUUGCUUAGGUUCAAGACUACUUCAAAGAAGAUCACAUGUUCUUUUGUGGAAAUCAAGUCUGUCAAAAUAAUGUAUCGUCUAUAUUUAUUGGUAGUGGAGCAAAACAGGACAACUUAAAUAAUAUUGCCAUCCUCAAACGUAGAAAAUAUUGAAAAGUUUUAUAUAACCUGAAAAGUAGUAUAGGUAACGUGGAAAGUCCUCUGGACCAAAAGGGCAACUUCUGGACCUGCGAACUUUGCGUGGUAGGUGCAUGUCCAUGCACCAGGGUAAUUAACCCAACAAUGACAUAAUUAGCCCAUUUAGCUCCAAAAUACUAUAAUAAGCUCAAAAUGGCAUAAGAACCUUGGUUAGCUCAUUAAUAUUNNNNNNNNNNNNNNNNNNNNNNNNNNNNNNNNNNNNNNNNNNNNNNNNNNNNNNNNNNNNNNNNNNNNNNNNNNNNNNNNNNNNNNNNNNNNNNNNNNNNACACACAUAUACAUAUAUAUAUAUAUAUAUAUAUAUAUAUAUUUGAUAGCACAUUUAUAUAAUUCACCACACAUAUAUGAUAUAUAGUUCACGACAGAUAUACUUGCCAACACAUAUAUAUAAUUCACCACACAUAUAUGAUUCACCAAUGUACAUCCCCAUAUAUCCAAAGAACCAACAUACCAAGUAUUGCACUGUUUAUCCAUAUAUACAUAUACAUAUAGUUCAACAUUGUUCAUCAACUCAAAUGAAAACUAGAUGAUAUACAUAUAAAGUUCAUCCAUCGACAUUGUUCAACUCCAUGAAUGCCAGCUCCCAUGCAUGUAGUAUAUCCAAUCUGCAAAAAUGUGAAUAAGAAAGUUAGAAGAAGAACAAAAUAUGAUGUUUUUAAGCUAAUUAUGUCAUUUUUAGCGGAAAACAAGCUAAGUAUAUGUGUGGUGAACUAUAUAUCAUUUGUUGGAGCUAAAUUACCUAAUUAUGUCUUUUUUGAGCUAAAUGGGCUAAUUAUACCAUUUUAGAGGAAAACAAGCUAAGUAUAUAAUAUUAAUGAGCUAACCAAGGUUCUUAUGCCAUUUUGAGCUUAUUAUGGUAUUUUCGAGGUAAAUAGGCUAAUUAUGUCAUUGUUGGGUUAAUUAAAACAAGGAUAAUAUGAAAGAGGAGAAGAAAGAGGAGGAGGAGGAGAAGAAGAAGAAAUCAAGAAGAAGGAGGAGAAGGAGGAGAAGGAGGAGGAGGAGAAGAAGAAGAAAUCAAGAAGAAGGAGGAGAAGGAGGAGAAGGAGGAGGAGGAGAAGGACUAGAAGGUCCUUGGCCUUCUCCUCCUCCUCCUCCUCCUCCUCCUCCUUCUCCUUCUUCUCUUCUUCUUCUUCUGUUCUUCUUCUUCUUCUUUCUUUUCAUUUUGCCUAUUUCUUCUCCGCUUCUCCUCAUGUUGGAGCUAAAUUACCUAAUUAUGUAUUUUUUGAGCUAAAUGGGCUAAUUAUCCCAUUUUAGAGGAAAACAAGCUAAGUAUAUAAUAUUAAUGAGCUAACCAAGGUUCUUAUCCAUUUUGAGCUUAUUAUGGUAUUUCGGAGCUAAAUGGGCUAAUUAAGUCAUUGUUGGGUUAAUUAAAGCAAGGAUAAUAUGAAAGAGGAGAAGAAAGAGGAGGAGGAGGAGAAGAAAAAGAAAUCAGGAAGAAGGAGGAGGAGAGGAGAAGGAGGAGGAGGAGAAGGAUAGAAGGUCCUUGGCCUUCUCCUCCUCCUCCUCCUCCUUCUCCUUCUUCUCUUCUUCUUCUUCUUCNNNNNNNNNNNNNNNNNNNNNNNNNNNNNNNNNNNNNNNNNNNNNNNNNNNNNNNNNNNNNNNNNNNNNNNNNNNNNNNNNNNNNNNNNNNNNNNNNNNNCAGGGUUUCGAACGAGAACUCAUCUCUUACAAAGGGAUUUCAUUUUUUAAAACUUAUUUGAACUCCAUACUUUUUGUGUGUUCAAACUGCACCAUUCAAAGGCACAUCACAAAAUUUCAACAAUUUCUGACUUCANNNNNNNNNNACUGGAUGCAGUUCGUGUUCAAAACUGACAAUCUCUCUCGAAGUAGCAGGGUUUCGAACGAGAACUCAUCUCUUACAAAAGGAUUUCAUUUUUUUAAACUUAUUUGAACUCCAUACUUUUUGUGUGUUCAAAAUGCACCAUUCAAAGGCACAUCAGAAAAUUUCAACAAUUUCUGACUUCAUUUGGUAUAUUUCGUGCAUUUACUUAUUUUUUUGAGCUAGUUGACCCUGAAAUUGAAAAGCACUACAAAUGAACUCUGAAAAAUGUUGAAAGUUGGCAUGCUAUCAUCAUUUAACCCACAUAGCAUGUGUUAGAAAGUUGAGAGGGCUACGACAAAAGCUGGAUGCAGUUCGUGUACAACACUGACAAUCUCUCUCGAAGUAGCAGGGUUUCGAACGAGAACUCAUCUNNNNNNNNNNNNNNNNNNNNNNNNNNNNNNNNNNNNNNNNNNNNNNNNNNNNNNNNNNNNNNNNNNNNNNNNNNNNNNNNNNNNNNNNNNNNNNNNNNNNUUCAUGAUUACCUUGCUAGUUUGCUUGAAGUAUUAUUGUCUCCACGUCAAUAGAAAACUAUUGUUUUGAAUCUAAUGGAUCUGAACAUUCACGUCACAUAAGAGGAGUUACAAAGGACAUCUAUGCUAGCUAGCAUGAAAGCAUAAAAAUUCAUUCUUUAUCACUUCCCUACUCGAGGACGAACAGGAGUUAAGCUUGGGGAUGCUUGAAACGUCUCAAACGUAUCUAUAAUUUUUGAUGGUUUCAUGCCGUUAUCUUGUCAACUCUCGAUGUUUUAUAUUCCUUUUAUAUGUUUUUUGGGACUAACUUAUUAAUUCAGUGCCAAGUGCCAGUUCCUGUUUUUCUGUGUUUUUGACUCUUUUCAGAUCUGAUUUUGGAACGGAGUCCAAACGGAAUAAAAUCCCCAAAAUAAAAUUUUCCAGAACAGAAGAAGAUCGGUGGACUUGAGGGCCAAGGCAGGAGGCCCACAGGGAGCCCACAAGCCCUAACGCCACGGCCAGGGGGGCCCGCGGCGACUAGGCUUGUGGGCUCCUUGGCGCUCCUCUGCCCUAGCUCUUUCGCCUAUAUAUUCCCUAAAAUCCCAGAAAAAAUCAGGGCANNNNNNNNNNCCGCCGCCACAAGCUUCCGUUUCCGCGAGAUCUCAUCUCGAGACCCUUCCUGGUGCCCUGCCGGAGGGGACUUUGGAGUUGGAGGGCUUCUACAUCAACAUCAUCGCCUCUCCAAUGACUCGUGAGUAGUCCACUUCAGACCUAUGGGUCCGUAGUUAGUAGCUAGAUGGCUUCUUGUCUCUCUUGGAUCUUCAAUACAAAGUUCUCCAUGAUCUUCAUGGAGAUCUAUCCGAUGUAAUCCUCUUUGGCGGUGUGUUUGUCUAGAUCCGAUGAAUUGUGGAUUUGUAAUCAGAUUAUCUACGAAUUAUACUUGAGUCUUUGAUGAUUUCUUAUAUGCAUGAUUUUAUAUCCUUGUAAGUCGCUCCGAGUCUUGGGUUUUGUUUGGACAACUAGAUCUAUGAUUCUUGCAAUGGGAGAAGUGCUUGGUUUUGGGUUCAUACCGUGAGGUGACCUUUCCCAGUGAUAGAAGGGGCAGCAAGGCACGCAUCGUGUUGUUGCCAUCAAGGGUAACAAGAUGGGAUUUUAGCAUAGAUUUGAGAUUGUUCAUCUACAUCAUGUCAUCUUGCUUAGAUGCAUGCUGGAUAGCGGUCGACGUGUGGAGUAAUAGUAGUAGAUAAAGAAAGUAUCGGUCUACUUGUUUUGGACGUGAUGCCUAUAGAUAUGAUCAUUGCCAUANNNNNNNNNNCGCUUUCAUCAUAGAUUUGAGAUUGUUCAUCUACAUCGUGUCAUCUUGCUUAAGGCGUUACUGUGUUCUUAUGAAAUCAAUACACUAGAUGCAUGCUGGAUAGCAGUGGACAUGUGGAGUAAUAGUAGUAGAUGCAGAAAGUAUUGGUCUACUUGUUUUGGACGUGAUGCCUAUAGAUAUGAUCAUUGCCAUAGAUAACGUCAUGACUUUGCACGGUUCUAUCAAUUGCUUGACAGUAAUUCGUUGACCCACCGUCUACUUGCUUUCAUGAGAGAAGCCACUGGUGAACACUACGGCCCCCGGGUCUAUUCACAACUAUCGCUUCCACUUUUACUUUUACUUUGCUUUGUUUACUUUUUGCUUUCAGUUCUCACUUUGCAAACAAUCUAUAAGGGAUUGACAACCCCUUCAUAGCAUUGGGUGCAAGCUCUUUGUGUUUGUGCAGGUACUUGUGACUUGACGCGAUCCUCCUACUGGAUUGAUACCUUGGUUCUGAAACUGAGGGAACUACUUACCGCCGCUGUGCUACAUCACCCUUUCCUCUUCAAGGGAACAACAACGCAAGGCUCCAAGGCCGCGGGGGAAUCCUUUGCAUAUUUGCCAANNNNNNNNNNAGAUUGAUACCUUGGUUCUCAAACUGAGGGAAAUACUUACCGUCGCUGUGCUACAUCACCCUUUCCUCUUCAAGGGAACACCAACGCAAGGCUCCAAGGCCGCGGGGGAAUCCUUUGCAUAUUUGCCAAGGAAGUUCCUAUAGGCAUAGCCCGUAGCAGAAGGAUUCCUGGCGCUGUUGCCAGGGAGGGUCUUUUGUUGCCGUAGCAGAAGUAUUUCUGGAGCCGUUGACGGGGAGGAUCGCUUGCCAAGGAGUAUCAAGACAGGAAUAAUCUCCCAUCAACACACCUAUUUCUGGCGCCGUUGCCGGGGAGAGAUCAAGUCAAGAUCUAUCCNNNNNNNNNNAUCCCUAGAGGCGUAGCCCGUAGUAGAAGGAUUCCUGGCGCCGUUGCCAGGGAAGGUCUAUUGUUGCCGUAGGAGAAGUAUUUCUGGCGCCGUUGCCGGGGAGGAUCGCUUGCCGAGGAGUAUCAAGACAAGAAUAAUCUCCCGUCAACACGCCUAUUUCUGGCGCCGUUGCCGGGGAGAGAUCAAGUCAAGAUCUAUCCAAGUAGGUGUCACAAACUCAUCUCUUGCAUUUACCUUUUUUCCCAGUUGCCUCUCGUUUUCCUCUCCCCCACUUCACAUUUGCCGUUUUCAUUCGCCUUUUUCGUUUGCCUUUUUGGUUCACCCUUUUCUCUCGCUUGCUUUCUGUUCGCUUGUGUGCCAUGUGCCUUCNNNNNNNNNNUCCUUUUUUUGUUUGCCUUUUUGGUUCGCCCUUUUCUCUCGCUUGCUUUCUGUUCGCUUGUGUGCCAUGUGCCUUCAAUAUGUUUGCAUCUUCGCUUGCUGAAAAUCUAGUGAUAUGGAUCCUCAUCCACUUGCUAAUCUCUUUAAGAGAUCCAAUUAUGUUGAUCCAAUUGCUAGUGAGUUGAGUGCACUUAUGUAUCUUUAUGGAGUUUUGCUUGAGAUGCGUGAAUCUGAAAAUUGUGAGGAAGAAAUUUAUGAAGUGAUUGACGAGGGCUCCUUGGAUGAAAAGCAUGAUUGCAAUGGUUUCACUAUAAAUUCUAUUAGUGACAAUCAUGCUAAGAAUAUGGAAAACCCUAAGCUUGCAGAUGCUAGUUUUGCUAUGUCCCCUACUUGUUGCAAUGAUCAUGAGUGGGGCGAUGAUUUUUCUUAUGAUCUUGAAAAUUUGUUUAAGCCUCAUGAUGAAUANNNNNNNNNNGAAUGGUUUCACUAUAAAUUCUAUUAGUGACAAUCAUGCUAAGAAUAUGCAAAACCCUAAGCUUGCAGAUGCUAGUUUAGCUAUGUCCCCUACUUGUUGCAAUGAUCAUGAGUGGGGCGGUGAUUUUUCUUAUGAUCUUGAAAAUUUGUUUAAGCCUCAUGAUGAAUAUGAUAUUUGCAAUAUCAUUGAAAGUGGGUUUGGAGAAAUCAUGACUUUAGUUGAUGAUAAUCCGACUAUUUUUGAAGAGCGUCAACUUUGCAUGCAUGUGGAUCAUGAAAAGAAUAUCCUAUGUGAUAGUUACAUUGUUUAAUUCGAAUANNNNNNNNNNUAUUGAAAGUGGGUUUGGAGAAAUCAUGACAUUGGUUGAUGAUAAUCCCACUAUUUUUUAAGAGCGUGAACUUUGCAUGCAUGUGGGUCAUGAAAAGAAUAUCCUAUGUGAUAGUUACAUUGUUUAAUUCGAAUAUGAUCCCACAUGUAAUUACUAUGAGAGAGGAAAAUAUUGUGGUAGAAACUUUCAUGUUACCAAAUUACCUCUUGUUAUGUGGAGAUUGCUAUUGUCUCUUUCUUCUUCCUUGCAUAUGGUAACUAUUGGUUGUCUUGACAAUCUGUUUUCCUAUAAAAUGCCUAUGCAUAGGAAGUAUGUUAGACUUAGAUGUGAUUUUCCCAUGCUUUAUGAUGCUCUCGUUGUGCUUCAAUUCUUGUCUUUUGUGUGAGCAUCAUUGAAUUAUCAAUGCCUAGCUAAGGGCGUUAAGCAAUAGCUCUUGUUGGGAGGCAACCCAAUGAAUUUAUCUUUUUCUUUCUGUUUUGUGUUUUCCACACUUUCAUAAUUCUGUUAUGAUUGUGUUUUUUGUGUUUCUUUUGCGUUUGUGCCAAGUAAAACUGUUAUGAUUAGUCUUGGGGAUGAUCGUUUGGUCAUGCUGGAAAAGACAGAAACUUUCUGCUCACGAAAAGAAUUUUCAUUUUGUUUCUGUAAGAGCUUUUGAGUUGAUUCUUUUUGCUUCUGAUUUCUAUGCAAAUUCUUCAGACUGUCGUAAUUGGUCGGAAUUUUUGAAGUACCAGAAGUAUACGAAGUAUACAUAUUACUACAGACUGGUCUGCUGUUAAUAGAUUCUGUUUUUGUUGAGUUGGUCGAUUAUUUUGAUGAAACUAUGGAUAGUAUCGGGGGGGGGGGGGNNNNNNNNNNNNNNNNNNNNNNNNNNNNNNNNNNNNNNNNNNNNNNNNNNNNNNNNNNNNNNNNNNNNNNNNNNNNNNNNNNNNNNNNNNNNNNNNNNNNAAUUUAUUUUGCUCUAUGUGUUUCACUUCUAUCAUUUAGAGCACGGAAGCGCGUGGCGUGGUAGUUGAUCUAUGCUAUGAAAGUAGUCUCAAAAGGGGUAUUUAUCCAAAGGGAUAUGAAAACUUCCACCUUCAUGUGCAUUGAGUAGUUAGAGAAGUUUGAUUCAUCUCAAUCAGUUUUGAGUUGUGGUUGUGGUAAUAUUAAAGUUAUAUUAGUAAGGUGUAGUGGAUCUAGAAAUACUUGUGUUGAAGUUAGUGAUUCCGGUAGCAUGCACGUAUGGUGAACCGCUAUGUGAUGAAGUCUGAGCAUGAUUAGUAUAUUGAUUGUCAUCCUUUGUGUGGUGGUCGGGAUCACGCGAUGGUUUAUACCUACCAACCCUUCCCCUAGGAGUAUGCGUUGAAUGCUUUGUUUCGAUUACUAGUAGAACUUUUGCAACAAGUAUAUGAGUUCUUCAUGACUAAUGUUGCGUCCAUGGUCUAGAUGCACUUUCAGCUUCCGCCAUCACUAUCUUCUUUAGUGCCGUGCAACUUUCGCCUGUGCAUAAAACCCACCAUUAGCCUCCCUCAAAACAACCACCAUACCUACCUACUAUGGCUUUUUCAAAGCCAUUCCGAGAUAUAUUGCCAUGCAACUACCACCAUGACAUGUGCCACCACUUCUACAUUUCCAUUGCAUGAUCAUAAGAUAGCUAGCAUGAUGUUUCCAUUGAUGUCUNNNNNNNNNNUUUUUUCAAAGCCAUUCCGAGAUAUAUUGCCAUGAAACUACCACCAUGACAUGUGCCACCACUUCUACAUUGCCAUUGCAUGAUCAUAAGAUAGCUAGCAUGAUGUUUCCAUUGAUGUCUAUGCCAUGCUAGAUCAUUGUCACGGUACACUACCGAAUGCAUUCCAUAUAGAGUCAUCAUUGCUCUAAGUUUUGAGUUGUAAGUGUGAUGAUCAUCAUUGAUGGAGCAUUGUCCCCUGUGAGGACAUAAAAGAGGCCAAAGAUGCCCACCAAAAAAAAGAGGCCAAAGAGCCCACCAAAAAAAUGAGAGAAAAAGAGAGAAUGGACAAUGCUACUAUCUUUCCACACUUGUGCUUAUUAAGCACCAUGAUUUUCAUGAUUGAGAGUCUCUCGUUUUGUCACCACCGUAUAGCUAGUGGGAAAUUUUUAUUAUAUAACUUGGCUUGUAUAUUCCAAUGAUAGGCUUCCUCAAAAUUGCCUUAGGUCUUCGUGAGCAAGCAAGUUGGAUGAACACCCGCUAGUUUUCUUUAAGAGCUUUAACAUACUCUUAGCUCUAGUGCAUCAUUUGUAUGGCAAUCCCUACACAUUCACAUUGAUAUCUACCGAUGAGCAUUUCCAUAGCUCAUUCAUAUGCCUAGUCAAUGUGAACAUCUUCUCCUUGUUUGCCUUGCAACCUCCACCACACUCCACUCCACUNNNNNNNNNNAUUGGCUUUAUAUAUACAUGCAGUAGGAUUUUAUCCUACUGUCUUACACUCAAAAGAAAGCAAGCAAGUUGGAUGCACACCCACUAGUUUUCUUUAAGAGCUUUCACAUAGUCUUAGCUCUAGUGCAUCAUUUGUAUGGCAAUCCCUACUCAUUCACAUUGAUAUCUAUUGAUGAGCAUUUCCAUAGCUCAUUGAUAUGCCUAGUCAAUGUGACCAUCUUCUCCUUGUUUGCCUUGCAACCUCCACCACACUCCACUCCACUUAUAGUGCUAAAACCAAGGCUCACGGUCAUGUAUUGCGUGAGAGUUGAAAAAGUUUGAGAAAGUAAAGGUGUGAAAACAAUUACUUGGCCAAUACCAAGGUUGUGCAUGAUUUAAAUUCGUUUUGCAAUGAUGAUAGAGCAUAGCCAGACUAUAUGAUUUUGUAGGGAUAACUUUCUUUUGUCCUUGUUAUUUUGAAACUUCAUGAUUACCUUGCUAGUUUGCUUGAAGUAUUAUUGUCUCCACGUCNNNNNNNNNNGAGGUUGUGCAUGAUUUAAAUUCGUUGUGCAAGGAUGAUAAAGCAUAGCCAGACUAUAUGAUUUUGUAGGGAUAACUUUCUUUUGGCCUUGUUAUUUCGAAAGUUCAUGAUUACCUUGCUAGUUUGCUUGAAGUAUUAUUGUCUCCACGUCAAUAGAAAACUAUUGUUUUGAAUCUAAUGGAUCUGAACAUUCACGUCACAUAAGAGGAGUUACAAAGGACAUCUAUGCUAGGUAGCAUGAAAGCAUCAAAAAUUCAUUCUUUAUCACACUUCCCUACUCGAAGACGAGCAGGAGUUAAGCUUGGGGAUGUUUGAUACGUCUCAAACGUAUCUAUAAUUUUUGAUGGUUUCAUGCUGUUAUCUUGUCAACUUUGGAUGUUUUAUAUACCUUUUAUAUCUUUUUUGGGACUAACUUAUUAAUUCAGUGCCAAGUGCCAGUUCCUGUUNNNNNNNNNNUUGUGUGUUUUUGACUCUUUUCAGAUAUGAUUUUGGAACGGAGUCCAAACGGAAUAAAAUCCCCGAAAUAAUUUUUCCAGAACAAAAGAAGAUCGGGGGACUUUAGGGCCAAGGCAGGAGGCCCACAAGCCCUGACGCCGCGGCCAGGGGGGCCCGCGGCGACUAGGCUUGUGGCCUCCCUGGCUCUCCCCUGCCCUAUCUCUUUCGCCUAUAUAUUCCCUAAAAUCCCAGAAAAAAUCAGGGCAUCCACGAAAACACUUUUCUGCCGCCGCAAGCUUCCGUUUCCGCGAGAUCCCAUCUGGAGACCCUUCCCGGUGCCCUGCCGGAGGGGAGUUUGGAGUUGGAGGGUUUCUACAUCAAGAUCAUCGCCUCUCUAAUGACUCGUGAGUAGUCCACUUCAGACCUACGGGUCCAUAGUUAGUAGCUAGAUGGCUUCUUCUCUCUCUUGGAUCUUCAAUACAAUGUUCUCCAUGAUCUUCAUGGAGAUCUAUCCGAUGUAAUCCUCUUUGGCGGUGUGUUUGUCGAGAUCCGAUGAAUUGUGGAUUUGUGAUUAGAUUAUCUAUGAAUUAUAUUUGAGUCUUUCCUGAUUUCUUAUAUGCAUGAUUUGAUAUCCUUGUAAGUCUUUCCGAGUCUUGGGUUUUGUUUGGCCAACUAGAUAUAUGAUUCUUGCAAUGGGAGAAGUGCUUGGUUUUGGGUUCAUACCGUGAGGUGACCUUUCCCAGUGACAAAAGGGGCAGCAAGGCACACAUCAUGUUGUUUCCAUCAAGGGUAACAAGAUGGGCUUUCAUCAUAGAUUUGAGAUUGUUCAUAUACAUCAUGUCAUCUUGCUUAAGGCGUUACUCUGUUCUUAUGAACUCAAUACACUAGAUGCAUGCUGGAUAGCGGUCGACGUGUGGAGUAAUAGUAGUAUGCAUAAAGUAUCGGUCUACUUGUUUUGGACAUGAUGCCUAUAGAUAUGAUCAUUGCCAUAGAUAACGUCAUGACUUUGCGCGGUUCUAUAAAUUGCUCGACAGUAAUUCGUUCACCCACCGUCUACUUGCUUUCAUGAGAGAAGCCACUAGUGAACACUACAGCCCCCGGGUCUAUUCACAACUAUCGUUUCCACUUUUACUUUUACUUUGGUUUGUUUACUUUUUGCUUUCAGUUCUCACUUUGCAAACAAUCUAUAAGNNNNNNNNNNNNNNNNNNNNNNNNNNNNNNNNNNNNNNNNNNNNNNNNNNNNNNNNNNNNNNNNNNNNNNNNNNNNNNNNNNNNNNNNNNNNNNNNNNNNGACGCCCCCUGCGGCGAGCCCCCAGCCGCGCGCCCCCUGCCGCCGCCGCCCCCUGCCGGUGAGUUUUUCCUGUUUUUCUUUUUAAAAAAGUUAAUUACUUUAGUUAGUUUAUUAGGUUAGUUUUUUAUUAUAUAUAGGGUAAUUUAGUUAGUUUAUUUGGUUAGAUUAUUAGGCUAAUUAGGUUAGUUAGUUAGGUUAGAAGAAGAAAAAGCAGAAGGAAAAAAAGCAGGAGAAGAAGAAGAAGAAGAAGAAGAAGAAGAGGAGGAGGAGGAGGAGAAAGAAGAAGAAGAAGAAGAAGAAGAAGAGGAGAGGAGGAGGAGGAGAAAGAGGAGGAGAAAGAAGAAGAAGAAGAAGAAGAAGAAGAAAAAGAAUAGAAGGAGAAAAAGAGGAGGGGGAGUAGGAGGAGAAAGAAGAAGAAGAAGAAGAAGAAGAAGAAGAAGAAGAAGAAGAAAAAGAGGAGAGAGGAGAAAAAGAAAGAAGAGGAAAAGGGAACCCCGGCACCCCGAAACUGACCCUCGACCCCCGACCCCUGACGCCCGACGCCACUGACCCCCGACCAUCGACCUCCGACGCCACUGACCCCCGACCCNNNNNNNNNNNNNNNNNNNNNNNNNNNNNNNNNNNNNNNNNNNNNNNNNNNNNNNNNNNNNNNNNNNNNNNNNNNNNNNNNNNNNNNNNNNNNNNNNNNNCUCCCCCCCUUUGCCAUGUGGGGGCAGACGGCAAAGAGGGGAGAGAGAAGGGGCAGAUUCUCUCUUUGCCGUCUGCCUCCCCCCUUUGCCAUGUGGGGGCAGACGGCAAAGAGGGGAGAGAGAGGGGGCAGAUUCUCUCUUUGCCGUCUGCCUCCCCCCCUUUGCCAUGUGGGGGCAGACGGCAAAAAGGGGAGAGAGAGGGGGCAGAUUCCCCCUUUGCCGUCUGCCUCCACCCCUUUGCCAUGUGUUGGCAGACGGCAAAGAGGGGAACCAUCCCCUUUUUUAUUUAUUUUUUGUUAUAUCCAGCAUUUUUAACAAUAAUCAGGAUAUAUAUAUAUAUUUGACAUAAAUAAAUUUCUUUUCGUACCCAUAACCAUAUUAAAAUAACUCUCAUCCAUAGUGCAUACAUAUUAUGGAAGUUACAUUCGUACCAAACCUAAUAUUACACCAGUUUCAUCCACGUGCAUACAAAGUUUCAUAUAUUCAUAUACUACAACAGUUUCAAUACAACCCAUGGUACAAGAAAUCAUCUUCAAGCAUUCCAUCAACCAAGCUUCCCGUGAAGUGAAGGUAAUCUGCAAAAUGACAAAUAAGAAAGUUAGAAAAAUAAUACUAGAUGAAGUAGUGUAUAUAUAGGUUAUUUCGGAGAGAAAUUAGCUAAUUAUAGACCAUUUAGGAGCUAACUAAGCUAAUUAUGUCAUUUAGGUGGAACCCUAGCUAACUAUAGGAGAAGAGAAAGAGAAGAAGAAGUAAAAGAAGAAGGAGGAGGAGGAGAAGGAGAAGGAAGAGGAGAAGAAGAAGAAAAAGGAGGAGGAGGAGGAGGAGGAGAAGGAGAAGGAAGAGGAGAAGAAGAAGAAGGAGAAGAAGGAGAAGAAGAAGGAGAAGAAGGAGAAGAAGAAGGAGAAGGAGCUCCCGCUCCUUCUCCUUCUUCUUCUCCUUCUUCUCCUUCUUCUUCUCCUUCUUCUUCUUAUCCUUUUGUCCCCUUCUUCUUAUCCUCCUCCCUCUCCUCCUUCUUCUUCUCCUUUUUCCUCUUCCUUCCUNNNNNNNNNNNNNNNNNNNNNNNNNNNNNNNNNNNNNNNNNNNNNNNNNNNNNNNNNNNNNNNNNNNNNNNNNNNNNNNNNNNNNNNNNNNNNNNNNNNNUGUUAUUUCAAAUCUUGCAUUUGAAUGUCCGUUUCAUUAAUAAAUAAAAAGUUUGACUUGUCGAAACCAAAUGUACAGUCUAUGUGCGAGAAGAACGGCCAAGUCCCUCCGCCGAUGCCAGUCAUUAACGUGGCGGGGACGGUGAGUUUCAUUUCAGUGGAGUGAUCUUAAGAGUGUCCUCAUGCUAACUACACAUUGCAAACGAUGUUUGGUGCAGAAUAUGUCCCGAAACGCAUCGCAUGACCCUUCUACAGUCGAGCCUUCUCCAGGGCAGCCUUCUCCAGGUGAAACAAGCCAGAGCCACCGUGCUUCACCCUAACUUAGGUAUGUUAUUUCUAGUGUUUUAAUAAAAAAUAGCUAGACUUCCAUCUAAUGACAUAAUUAGCUUAGUUAGCCCCAAAAUAGCUAGACUUCCAUCUAAUAACAUAAUUGGCUUAGUUAACUCCAAAAUGGCCUAUUUAAUAAAAAAUGACCUAUACUUAGCUAAUUAUCCUCGAAAUGACAUAAUUAGCUCCAAAAAGGCAUUCUUAGCCAAUUUAGCCCGAAGAAGGGGACAAGAAGAGAAAAAGAGGAAAAAUGAAAGGAGGGAAGAGGAAAAAUAAGGAGAAGAAGGAGGACAGGGAGGAGGAGAAGAAGAAGGAGAAGAAGGAGAAGAAGGAGGAGAAGGAGAAGGAGCUCCUCCUACUCCUUCUUCUUCCUCCUUCUCCUUCUCCUUCUUCUUCUCCUUCUCCUUCUUCUUUUCUUCUUCUUCUCCUCUUCCUUCUUCUCCUCCUCCUCCUCCUCCUCCUCCUCCUCCUUAUUUUACUUCUUCCUCUCUAUCUCUUCUUCUACGUAGCUUAGACUCAUCCAAGAAAGGCUAAAUUAGCCAAUUGUCCUACGAAAUGACAUAAUUAGCUUAGUUAGCUCCAAAAUGUCCUAUUUAAUAAAAAAUGUCCUAUACUUAGCUAAUUAUCCUCGAAAUGACAUAAUUAGCUCCAAAAANNNNNNNNNNAUUUUCUUCUUCUUCUCCUUCUUCUUCUCCUCCUCCUCCUCCUCCUCCUCCUUAUUUUACUUCUUCUUNNNNNNNNNNNNNNNNNNNNNNNNNNNNNNNNNNNNNNNNNNNNNNNNNNNNNNNNNNNNNNNNNNNNNNNNNNNNNNNNNNNNNNNNNNNNNNNNNNNNCGGGGUAUGAAAGUAUAUGGGCAGAGCCUUAGCUACGGCGAGGAUAUAUGAGUUCAGGCCCCUCUACGGUGGAGGUAAAAGCCCUACGUCUCAGUGCUCUUGGGAGCUUUGUGUCGAGUGUAUUAAGGGAUUACAGCAAGUGCCAACCCUUUUAGCAGUGGUGAAGGGCGGCUUAUAUAGAGUGCGCUGCCCUUCAUAAUGGUCCGGUGGACAGGGGUGGAGUAGUGGAGAGUAAAGGCUAGCGUUACUGGUAACGUAAGCCUUAAAUGCUAGUUAUGGUGUAUGAAAACGUAUGACCGUUGCCCUCCUGGGAGGUUAUGCCGAACANGUGAAGUUGAGUCUAUCACACCCGAUUAUCACCUGUUGUCUCAAAACGACGAACUGCCGCAACGGCGCACAGUCGGGGAGAACACAACUUUAUCUUGAAAUUUUAGUAAGAGAUCACCUUAUAAUGGUACCGUCGUUUUAAGAAAAAUAAGGUGCAUAAAAGGAUUAACAUCACAUGCAAAUCAUAAGUGACAUGAUAUGGCCAUAAACUUGUGCUUCUUGAUCUCCAUCAGCAAAGCACCGGCAUGAUCUCCAUCGUCACCGGCGCCACACCAUGAUCUCCAUCAUCGUACUGCCAUCGAGGUUGUCGCGCUAACUAUGCUUUUACUAAUAAAGCUACUACUAGCGAUAAAGCAAAGCAUCACCAAGGGCAAAAAUAAUUAAAGACAACCCUAUGGCUCCUGCCGGUUGCCGUAGCAUCGACGUGCAAGUCGAUAUUUAACUACUACAACAUGAUCAUCUCAUACAUCCAAUAUAUCAUAUCAUGUAUUUGGCCAUAUCAUAUCACAUGCAUACCGUGUAAAAACGAGUUAGACGUCCUCUAAUUUGUUGUUGCAAAUUUUACGUGGUUGCUAUGGGUAUCUAUUAUGAUCGCAUCUUACUUACGCAAAGCCACAACGCUGAUAUGCAAAUUGCUAUUUAAUCUUCUCCAAGGAACACCUUGGUCAAAUCCGAUUCAACUAAAGUUGAAGAAACAAACACCCUCCAGUCAACUUUAUGCAACAAGUUGCAUGUUAGUCGAUGAAGCCGGUCUCUCGUAAGCGUACGAGUAAUGUUGGUCCGGUCGCUUCGAUCCAACAAUACCGCUGAAUCAAGAAAAGACUAAGGAGGGCAGCAAAUUGAACAUCAACGCCCACAAACUCUUUUAUGUUCUACUCGAGAUAUCAUCUACGCAUGAACCUAGCUCAUGAUGCCACUUUUGGGGAACGUUUCAUGGGAAACAAAAAAUUUCCUACACAUACGAAAGACCUAUCAUGGUGAUUAUCAUCUACGAGAGGGGAGAUCGGAUCCACAUACCCUUGUAGAUCGCUAAGUGGGAAGCGUUAAGAAACGUGGUUGAUGUAGUCGAACAUCUUCGCUAUCCAAUCACGAUCCAUCCCACGAACUGCGUCCCGAUCUAGUACUGAACGGACGACACCUCCGCGUUCAGCACACGUACAACUUGAUGACAAUCUGCGCCUUCUUGAUCCAACAAGAGAGACAAAGAAGUAGCUGAAUUCUCUGACAACACGAUGGCACGGCAGUGAUGGUGGUGGAGCUACUCCGGUAGGGCUUCACCGUGUCGUACUUAACUAGCUACGGGGUGUCACGAAGUAGUGGAGGGAGAGAGGGCUGCACAAAGACUUGGGGUGCAAAAACCCUCUCAAACCUCCACUAUAUAUAGGAGGAACAAGUGAGAGGGUGGCUUGCCUCCUACUCCAAGUAGGAGGGUUUGGACGAGCCCAAGAGGGAGGAGUCCUCCACCAAUUCGGUUUGGUGGAGGACUCCUUCCCAUCUUGUCCACCUCCUUCCUUUUAUUUUCUUUUUUACUUCUUAUUAUUGCUUUUAGCCAUUAUAGGCUUAUUGGGCUGGCCUCAACAGCCCACUAAAGGCUGGGGCGCCACCCAUGGGCCUAUUAGGUCCUAUCCCGAGUGGGUGGCCCCUCCCGGUAAAACCCCAGAACCAGUUCGUCUCUCUCGGUACUUUAGCGGUAAUGCCCGAAAUCUUUCCGAAAGCCUAUAUAUCAAUUGUUGUUUCCGGACCAUUCCGGAGACCCUCGUGACGUCCGAGAUCUCAUCUGGGACUCCAAACAACAAUCGGUUACCAACAUCAAUAAUUCAACAAUACCAAAACGUCACCGAACCUUAAGUUUGCACACCCUGCGGGUUCGAGAACUGUGUAGACUUGAUCGAGACACUCUCCAGCCAAUAUCCAAUAGCGGGACCUGGAUGCCCAUAUUUGAUCCUACAUAUUCUACGAAGAUCUUAUCGGUCCAACCUCUAUGUCAAUGAUUCAGUUAAUCCCGUGUAAUGUUCCCUUUGUCCUUCGGUAUGUUACUUGCCCGGGAAUCGAUCGUCGGUAUCUCUAUACCUAGUUCAAUCCCAUUAAUGGCAAAUCUCUUUACUCGUUCCGUAAUACAGUAUCCCGUGGCUAACUCUUUAUUCACAUUUCUUGCAAGGCUUAUUGUGAUGUUGUAGUACUAAGUGGGCCCCGAGAUACCUCUGCAUCAGAAGGAGUGAUAAAUCCCAGUCUUGAUGCACGCCAACCCAACAUACACUUUCGGAGAUACCUGUAGAGCACCUUUAUAGUCAUCCAGUUACGUUGCGACAUUUAAUACACACAAGAUAUUCCUCCGUUGUUCGGGAGUUGCAUGAUCUCAUAGUCAUAGGAAUAGAUACUUGACACACAGAAAACAAUAGCAACAAAAUGACACAAUCACAUGCUAUGUUUAUAGUUUGGGUCUUGUCCAUCACAUCAUUCCCCCAAUGAUGUGAUCUCGUUAUCCAUUGACAACACUUGUCUAUGGCUAGGAAACCUUAACCAUCUUUGAUCAAUGAGCUAGUCAACUAGAGGUUUACUAGGGACAAUAUUUCGUCUAUGUAUCUACACAUGUAUCUGUGUUUCCAUUCAAUACAAUUCUAGCACUGGAAACAGGAAAUAUAAUAAUAACUAAUUUAUAAUUGCCUCUAGGUCAUAUUUCCAAGAGAGGAAGCUCCACCAUCCAACAAGAAGAAGCUCUCAUGAGUUCGAGAAAAGAGUGGACAAGGAUUAUCCGCUGAAUCAAAUCUUCGUUGACAUACAAACUGGGAGAAUUACUCACUCUAAAACUUGUUUAGGUAACUUUUGGAGCAUUACUCAUUAUCUCUGGCAUAGAGCCUAUGAAGGUACAAGAAUCCCUUCAAGACCCAUAUUGGGUGAAUGCGAUGCAUGGAGUGUUACACAGAUUCACGAGGAAUGACGUUUUUACACUUGUGGAAAAGCCCAAGGACGAGAAAAGCGUCAUUGGUACAAAAUGGGUAUUUGGCAACAAGCAAGAUGAACAUGGUCAAUUUGUACGCAACAAGGCGUGUCUCAUAGCCCAAGGAUACACGCAAGUUGAUACGUCUCAAACGUAUCUAUAAUUUUUGAUGGUUUCAUGUUGUUAUCUUGUCAACUUUGGAUGUUUUAUAUACCUUUUAGAUCUUUUUUGGGACUAACUUAUUAAUUCAGUGCCAAGUGCGAGUUCCUGUUUUUUCUGUGUUUUUGACUCUUUUCAGAUCUGAUUUUGGAACGGAGUCCAAACGAAAUAAAAUCCCCGAAAUAAAUUUUGAGGGCCAAGGCAGGAGCCCCAUAGGGAGCCCACAAGCCGUGACGCUGCGGCCAGGGGGGCCGCGGCGACCAGGCUUCUGGCCUCCCUGGCGCUCCCCUGCCCGAGCUCUUUCGCCUAUAUAUUCCCUAAAAUCCCAGAAAAAAUCAGGGCAUCCACGAAAACACUUUUCCGCCGCCGCAAGCUUCCGUUUCCGCGAGAUCUCAUCUGGAGACCCUUCCCAGUGCCCUGCCGGAGGGGACUUUGGAGUUGGAGGGCUUCUACAUCAACAUCAUCGCCUCUCCAAUGACUCGUGAGUAGUCCACUUCAGACCUACGGGUCCGUAGUUAGUAGCUAGAUGGCUUCUUCUCUCUCUUGGAUCUACAAUACAAUGUUUUCCAUGAUCUUCAUGGAGAUCUAUCCGAUGUAAUCCUCUUUGGCGGUGUGUUUGUCGAGAUCCGAUAAAUUGUGGAUUUGUGGUCAGAUUAUCUAUGAAUUAUAUUUGAGUCUUUGCUGAUUUCUUAUAUGCAUGAUUUGAUAUCCUUGUAAGUCUCUCCGAGUCUUGGGUUUUGUUUGGCCAACUAGAUCUAUGAUUCUUGCAAUGGGAGAAGUGCUUGGUUUUGGGUUCAUACCGUGAGGUGACCUUUCCCAGUGAUAGAAGGGGCAGCAAGGCACGCAUCGUGUUGUUGCCAUCAAGGGUAACAAGAUGGGAUUUUAGCAUAGAUUUGAGAUUGUUCAUCUACAUCAUGUCAUCUUGCUUAGAUGCAUGCUGGAUAGCGGUCGACGUGUGGAGUAAUAGUAGUAGAUAAAGAAAGUAUCGGUCUACUUGUUUUGGACGUGAUGCCUAUAGAUAUGAUCAUUGCCAUAGAUAACGUCAUGACUUUGCACGGUUCUAUCAAUUGCUUGACAGUAAUUCGUUGACCCACCGUCUACUUGCUUUCAUGAGAGAAGCCACUGGUGAACACUACGGCCCCCGGGUCUAUUCACAACUAUCGCUUCCACUUUUACUUUUACUUUGCUUUGUUUACUUUUUGCUUUCAGUUCUCACUUUGCAAACAAUCUAUAAGGGAUUGACAACCCCUUCAUAGCAUUGGGUGCAAGCUCUUUGUGUUUGUGCAGGUACUUGUGACUUGACGCGAUCCUCCUACUAGAUUGAUACCUUGGUUCUCAAACUGAGGGAAAUACUUACCGUCGCUGUGCUACAUCACCCUUUCCUCUUCAAGGGAACACCAACGCAAGGCUCCAAGGCCGCGGGGGAAUCCUUUGCAUAUUUGCCAAGGAAGUUCCUAUAGGCAUAGCCCGUAGCAGAAGGAUUCCUGGCGCUGUUGCCAGGGAGGGUCUUUUGUUGCCGUAGCAGAAGUAUUUCUGGAGCCGUUGACGGGGAGGAUCGCUUGCCAAGGAGUAUCAAGACAGGAAUAAUCUCCCAUCAACACACCUAUUUCUGGCGCCGUUGCCGGGGAGAGAUCAAGUCAAGAUCUAUCCAAGUAGGUGUCACAAACUCAUCUCUUGCAUUUACCUUUUUUCCCAGUUGCCUCUCGUUUUCCUCUCCCCCACUUCACAUUUGCCGUUUUCAUUCGCCUUUUUCGUUUGCCUUUUUGGUUCACCCUUUUCUCUCGCUUGCUUUCUGUUCGCUUGUGUGCCAUGUGCCUUCAAUAUGUUUGCAUCUUCGCUUGCUGAAAAUCUAGUGAUAUGGAUCCUCAUCCACUUGCUAAUCUCUUUAAGAGAUCCAAUUAUGUUGAUCCAAUUGCUAGUGAGUUGAGUGCACUUAUGUAUCUUUAUGGAGUUUUGCUUGAGAUGCGUGAAUCUGAAAAUUGUGAGGAAGAAAUUUAUGAAGUGAUUGACGAGGGCUCCUUGGAUGAAAAGCAUGAUUGCAAUGGUUUCACUAUAAAUUCUAUUAGUGACAAUCAUGCUAAGAAUAUGGAAAACCCUAAGCUUGCAGAUGCUAGUUUUGCUAUGUCCCCUACUUGUUGCAAUGAUCAUGAGUGGGGCGAUGAUUUUUCUUAUGAUCUUGAAAAUUUGUUUAAGCCUCAUGAUGAAUAUGAUAUUUGCAAUAUCAUUGAAAGUGGGUUUGGAGAAAUCAUGACUUUAGUUGAUGAUAAUCCGACUAUUUUUGAAGAGCGUCAACUUUGCAUGCAUGUGGAUCAUGAAAAGAAUAUCCUAUGUGAUAGUUACAUUGUUUAAUUCGAAUAUGAUCCCACAUGUAAUUACUAUGAGAGAGGAAAAUAUUGUGGUAGAAACUUUCAUGUUACCAAAUUACCUCUCGUUAUGUGGAGAUUGCUAUUGUCUCUUUCUUCUUCCUUGCAUACGGUAACUAUUGGUUGUCUUGACAAUCUGUUUUCCUAUAAAAUGCCUAUGCAUAGGAAGUAUGUUAGACUUACAUGUGAUUUUCACAUGCUUUAUGAUGCUCUCGUUGUGCUUCAAUUCUUGUCUUUUGUGUGAGCAUCAUUGAAUUAUCAAUGCCUAGCUAAGGGCGUUAAACAAUAGCGCUUGUUGGGAGGCAACCCAAUGAAUUUAUCUUUUUCUUUCUGUUUAGUGUUUUCCAUACUUUCAUAAUUCUGUUAUGAUUGUGUUUUUUGUGUUUCUUUUUCCUUUGUGCCAAGUGAAACCGUUAUGAUUAGUCUUGGGGAUGAUCGUUUGGUCAUGCUGGAAAAGACAGAAACUUUCUGCUCACGAAAAGAAUUUUCAUUUUUUCUGUAAGAGCUUUUGAGUUGACUAUUUUUUCUUCUGAUUGUUACGCAAAUUCUAUAGAUUGUCGUAAUUAUUCAAAAAAUUUCAAGUACCAGAAGUAUACGAAGUAUAUAGAUUACUAUAGACUGGUCUGUUGUUAACAGAUUCUGUUUUUGUUGAGUUGGUUGCUUAUUUUGAUGAAACUAUGGAUAGUAUGGGGGGUAUUAGCCAUGGAAGAUUGAAAAUACAGUAACCCAACAUCAAGAUAAGUAGAAUUUAAGUUUUCUACAGUACCUAAGGAAGUGGUGGUUUGCUUUCUUAUACUAAUGAUAUCACGAGUUUCUGUUUAAGUUUUGUGUUGUGAAGUUUUGAAGUUUUGGGUGAACUUCUUAUGGACAAAGAGAUAAAGAGUGGCAAGAGAUCAAGCUUGGGGAUGCCCAAGGCACCCCAAGUUAAUUCAAGGAUGCCGAAAAAGUUUAAUCUUGGGAUGCCCCGGGAAGGCAUCCCCUCUUUCGUCUUCAAUCCAUCGGUAACCACUACAGGAAUCAGCUUCUUUGCCGUCUGCCAUCACAGACGGCAAAGGCAAUAUCCCGGACGGCAAAGACAAUAUCACAAACGACAAAGAUUCUCACGGGUGGCAAAAUUUCUGCGUCAGCCUACGACGGCAUAGGACCUUCUUUGCCGUCUGCCCCCCCAAAGCGGACGGCAAAGCUCUUUGCCGUCAGCUUUCCUUAGGAGCAGUCGGCAAAGUGUUCGAGACGGCAGCCGACAGGAGUUGCCUCCGUUAGGGGUUAACGGAGGCUUUGCCGUCUACCUCCCCCUCCAGCUUUGCCGUCUGCCUCCCCAUCCAUCUUUUCCAUCUGCCUUCUCUUCCCCUCCCCUCUCCUUUACCUCCAUCUUUGUCGUCUGCCUCCCCGUCCAUCUUUGCCGUCUGCCUGCUCCUCCCCUCCCCCCUCUCUCCACUCUUUGUCGUCUGCCUCCUCCUCCCCCCCUCCUCUGUUCCCUCGUCUUUGCCGUCUGCCCACCCUGGAGGCUGACGGCAAAGAGACUACAUAGACUCCCCAGGAUGCACAGCUGGGUGCCAUGUGGCACCUUUGCCGUCUGCCAGCUGAUGGCACAGGUCGUUGCCAUCAGCUGGCAGACGGCAAAGAGCCCAUAUAGUUCCUGUUUUUUUGUUUUAUAUUGUUUCACAACACACACACACNNNNNNNNNNNNNNNNNNNNNNNNNNNNNNNNNNNNNNNNNNNNNNNNNNNNNNNNNNNNNNNNNNNNNNNNNNNNNNNNNNNNNNNNNNNNNNNNNNNNAAGGUUCUUAUGCCAUUUUGAGCUUAUUAUGGUAUUUUCGAGGUAAAUGGGCUCAUUAUGUCAUUGUUGGGUUAAUUAAAGCAAGGAUAAUAUGAAAGAGGAGAAGAAAGAGGAGNNNNNNNNNNNNNNNNNNNNNNNNNNNNNNNNNNNNNNNNNNNNNNNNNNNNNNNNNNNNNNNNNNNNNNNNNNNNNNUUCUCCUCUUCUCCUCUUGUUGGAGCUAAAUUACCUAAUUAUGUCUUUUUUGAGCUAAAUGGGCUAAUUAUCCCAUUUUAGAGGAAAACAAGCUAAGUAUAUAAUAUUAAUGAGCUAACCAAGGUUCUUAUGCCAUUUUGAGCUUAUUAUAGUAUUUUGGAGCUAAAUGGGCUAAUUAUGUCAUUGUUGGGUUAAUUACCCUGGUGCAUGGACAUGCACCUACCACGCAAAGUUCGCAGGUCCAGAAGUUGCCCUUUUGGUCCAGAGGACUUUCCACGUUACCUAUACUACUUUUCAGGUUAUAUAAAACUUUUCAAUAUUUUCUACGUUUGAGGAUGGCAAUAUUAUUUAAGUUGUCCUGUUUUGCUCCACUACCAAUAAAUAUAGACGAUACAUUAUUUUGACAGACUUGAUUUCCACAAAAGAACAUGUGAUCUUCUUUGAAGUAGUCUUGAACCUAAGCAAUAAUGAUGGGCGAAUAAACUAACAGAAUCUACCACUAAAUCUACUAAUUAACUAACAGAAUCUACCACUAAANNNNNNNNNNNNNNNNNNNNNNNNNNNNNNNNNNNNNNNNNNNNNNNNNNNNNNNNNNNUUUUUUUUUCAAGCAGAAGACGGCAUACGAGAUGAGUCGUUGCGGUCUGCCUUGCCAGCCCGCUCAGAGAUGUGUAUAAGAGACAGCGGCACCAGUGGUGCCGGAGGGUUGUGGGGAACCGGGGGCGCCGGGGGUGGCCGGGCGACGGUGGCGGCGUUGGGUGUCGGGGGAGGAGAGAGAGAGAGUGGCCGUUUGAGAGAGAGAGAGGGCCGGGGUGGGGGCGGGACGGCCGUUUGAGUAGAUUCAGGACCUUUGUCGUCUGCUGGCGGACGGCAAAGGGGUCUAUACUCUUUGACGUCUGCCUCUGGCAUCUUUGCCGUCCGCCAGCAGACGACAAAGAAGGGCGUUGGUUGACCUAAGGUUCCCCGGGCCGAAUGAGCUUCUUUGCCGUCUCCUGUCCCCUUCUUUGUCGUUUGCGGCAGACAACAAAGGAUUGACUGUUGGCAAAGACCUUCUUUGCCAUCAUCCAGUUCUUUGCCAUCUGCUUUCUGAGAGCUGACGGCAAAGACACUCUUUGCCAUCAGCUAGCUGACAGCAAAGAUUAGGCACACGGCAAAAAACUGAUUUCCAGUAAUGAACGUUACUUGGGGGCUAUAUUUUAUUCACCACAUGUUAUGUGUUUUGCUUGGAGCGUCUUGUAUCGUAGGAGUCUUUUAUUUUUGUUGUGCCACAAUCUUCCUUGUUGCACACCUAGAGAGAGAGAAAUGCACUCACCGUGAUUUUGUCGAGCUUCACUUAUAUCCUUUGGUUAGACAAUUCAGCUCACAUGUGUUUCACUUAUAUCCUUUGGUUAGACAAUUCAGCUCACAUGUGUUUCACUUAUAUCUUUUGAGCUAAUUUAUUUUGCUCUAUGUGUUUCACUUCUAUCAUUUAGAGCACGGAAGCGCGUGGCGUGGUAGUUGAUCUAUGCUAUGAAAGUAGUCUCAAAAGGGGUAUUUAUCCAAAGGGAUAUGAAAACUUCCACCUUCAUGUGCAUUGAGUAGUUAGAGAAGUUUGAUUCAUCUCAAUCAGUUUUGAGUUGUGGUUGUGGUAAUAUUAAAGUUAUAUUAGUAAGGUGUUGUGGAUCUAGACAUACUUGAGUUGAAGUUAGUGAUUCCCGUAGCAUCCACGUAUGGUGAACCUCUAUGUGAUGAAGUCUGAGCAUGAUUAGUAUAUUGAUUGUCAUCCUUUGUGUGGCGGUCGGGAUCGCGCGAUGGUUUAUACCUACCAACCCUUCCCCUAGGAGUAUGCGUUGAAUGCUUUGUUUCGAUUACUACUAAAUUUUUUGCAACAAGUAUAUGAGUUCUUCAUGACUAAUGUUGAGUCCAUGGUUUAGAUGCACUUUCACCUUCCACCAUCACUAUCUUCUUUAGUGCCGUGCAACUUUCGUCGGUGCAUAAAACCCACCAUUAGCCUCCCUCAAAACAACCACCAUACCUACCUACUAUGGCUUUUUCAAAGCCAUUCCGAGAUAUAUUGCCAUGCAACUACCACCAUGACAUGUGCCACCACUUCUACAUUUCCAUUGCAUGAUCAUAAGAUAGCUAGCAUGAUGUUUCCAUUGAUGUCUAUGAUGUUUCCAUUGAUGUCUAUGCCAUGCUAGAUCAUUGUCACGGUACACUACCGAAUGCAUUCCAUAUAGAGUCAUCAUUGCUCUAAGUUUUGAGUUGUAAGUGUGAUGAUCAUCAUUGAUGGAGCAUUGUCCCCUGUGAGGACAUAAAAGAGGCCAAAGAUGCCCACCAAAAAAAAGAGGCCAAAGAGCCCACCAAAAAAAUGAGAGAAAAAGAGAGAAUGGACAAUGCUACUAUCUUUCCACACUUGUGCUUAUUAAGCACCAUGAUUUUCAUGAUUGAGAGUCUCUCGUUUUGUCACCACCGUAUAGCUAGUGGGAAAUUUUUAUUAUAUAACUUGGCUUGUAUAUUCCAAUGAUAGGCUUCCUCAAAAUUGCCUUAGGUCUUCGUGAGCAAGCAAGUUGGAUGAACACCCGCUAGUUUUCUUUAAGAGCUUUAACAUACUCUUAGCUCUAGUGCAUCAUUUGUAUGGCAAUCCCUACACAUUCACAUUGAUAUCUACCGAUGAGCAUUUCCAUAGCUCAUUCAUAUGCCUAGUCAAUGUGAACAUCUUCUCCUUGUUUGCCUUGCAACCUCCACCACACUCCACUCCACUUAUAGUGCUAAAACCAAGGCUCACGGUCAUGUAUUGCGUGAGAGUUGAAAAAGUUUGAGAAAGUAAAGGUGUGAAAACAAUUACUUGGCCAAUACCGAGGUUGUGCAUGAUUUAAAUUCGUUGUGCAAGGAUGAUAAAGCAUAGCCAGACUAUAUGAUUUUGUAGGGAUAACUUUCUUUUGGCCUUGUUAUUUCGAAAGUUCAUGAUUACCUUGCUAGUUUGCUUGAAGUAUUAUUGUCUCCACGUCAAUAGCAAACUAUUAUUUUGAAUAUAAUGGAUCUGAACAUUCACGUCACAUAAGAGGAGUUACAAAGGACAUCUAUGCUAGGUAGCAUGAAAGCAUCAAAAAUUCAUUCUUUAUCACACUUCCCUACUCGAAGACGAGCAGGAGUUAAGCUUGGGGAUGUUUGAUACGUCUCAAACGUAUCUAUAAUUUUUGAUGGUUUCAUGCUGUUAUCUUGUCAACUUUGGAUGUUUUAUAUACCUUUUAUAUCUUUUUUGGGACUAACUUAUUAAUUCAGUGCCAAGUGCCAGUUCCUGUUUUUUUGUGUGUUUUUGACUCUUUUCAGAUAUGAUUUUGGAACGGAGUCCAAACGGAAUAAAAUCCCCGAAAUAAUUUUUCCAGAACAAAAGAAGAUCGGGGGACUUUAGGGCCAAGGCAGGAGGCCCACAAGCCCUGACGCCGCGGCCAGGGGGGCCCGCGGCGACUAGGCUUGUGGCCUCCCUGGCUCUCCCCUGCCCUAUCUCUUUCGCCUAUAUAUUCCCUAAAAUCCCAGAAAAAAUCAGGGCAUCCACGAAAACACUUUUCUGCCGCCGCAAGCUUCCGUUUCCGCGAGAUCCCAUCUGGAGACCCUUCCCGGUGCCCUGCCGGAGGGGAGUUUGGAGUUGGAGGGUUUCUACAUCAAGAUCAUCGCCUCUCUAAUGACUCGUGAGUAGUCCACUUCAGACCUACGGGUCCAUAGUUAGUAGCUAGAUGGCUUCUUCUCUCUCUUGGAUCUUCAAUACAAUGUUCUCCAUGAUCUUCAUGGAGAUCUAUCCGAUGUAAUCCUCUUUGGCGGUGUGUUUGUCGAGAUCCGAUGAAUUGUGGAUUUGUGAUUAGAUUAUCUAUGAAUUAUAUUUGAGUCUUUCCUGAUUUCUUAUAUGCAUGAUUUGAUAUCCUUGUAAGUCUUUCCGAGUCUUGGGUUUUGUUUGGCCAACUAGAUAUAUGAUUCUUGCAAUGGGAGAAGUGCUUGGUUUUGGGUUCAUACCGUGCGGUGACCUUUCCCAGUGACAAAAGGGGCAGCAAGGCACACAUCAUGUUGUUUCCAUCAAGGGUAACAAGAUGGGCUUUCAUCAUAGAUUUGAGAUUGUUCAUAUACAUCAUGUCAUCUUGCUUAAGGCGUUACUCUGUUCUUAUGAACUCAAUACACUAGAUGCAUGCUGGAUAGCGGUCGACGUGUGGAGUAAUAGUAGUAUGCAUAAAGUAUCGGUCUACUUGUUUUGGACAUGAUGCCUAUAGAUAUGAUCAUUGCCAUAGAUAACGUCAUGACUUUGCGCGGUUCUAUAAAUUGCUCGACAGUAAUUCGUUCACCCACCGUCUACUUGCUUUCAUGAGAGAAGCCACUAGUGAACACUACAGCCCCCGGGUCUAUUCACAACUAUCGUUUCCACUUUUACUUUUACUUUGGUUUGUUUACUUUUUGCUUUCAGUUCUCACUUUGCAAACAAUCUAUAAGGGAUUGACAACCCCUUCAUAGCAUUGGGUGCAAGCUCUUUGUGUUUGUGCAGGUACUUGUGACUUGACGCGAUCCUCCUACUGGAUUGAUACCUUGGUUCUGAAACUGAGGGAACUACUUACCGCCGCUGUGCUACAUCACCCUUUCCUCUUCAAGGGAACAACAACGCAAGGCUCCAAGGCCGCGGGGGAAUCCUUUGCAUAUUUGCCAAGGAAAUCCCUAGAGGCGUAGCCCGUAGUAGAAGGAUUCCUGGCGCCGUUGCCAGGGAAGGUCUAUUGUUGCCGUAGGAGAAGUAUUUCUGGCGCCGUUGCCGGGGAGGAUCGCUUGCCGAGGAGUAUCAAGACAAGAAUAAUCUCCCGUCAACACGCCUAUUUCUGGCGCCGUUGCCGGGGAGAGAUCAAGUCAAGAUCUAUCCAAGUAGGUGUCACAAACUCAUCUCUUGCAUUUACCUUUUUGCCAGUUGCCUCUCGUUUUCCUCUCCCCCACUUCACAUUUGCCGUUUUCAUUCGCCUUUUUCGUUUUCCUUUUUUUGUUUGCCUUUUUGGUUCGCCCUUUUCUCUCGCUUGCUUUCUGUUCGCUUGUGUGCCAUGUGCCUUCAAUAUGUUUGCAUCUUCGCUUGCUGAAAAUCUAGUGAUAUGGAUCCUCAUCCACUUGCUAAUCUCUUUAAGAGAUCCAAUUAUGUUGAUCCAAUUGCUAGUGAGUUGAGUGCACUUGAGUAUCUUUAUGGAGUUUUGCUUGAGAUGCGUGAAUCUGAAAAUUGUGAGGAAGAAAUUUAUGAAGUGAUUGACGAGGGCUCCUUGGAUGAAAAGCAUGAUUGGAAUGGUUUCACUAUAAAUUCUAUUAGUGACAAUCAUGCUAAGAAUAUGCAAAACCCUAAGCUUGCAGAUGCUAGUUUAGCUAUGUCCCCUACUUGUUGCAAUGAUCAUGAGUGGGGCGGUGAUUUUUCUUAUGAUCUUGAAAAUUUGUUUAAGCCUCAUGAUGAAUAUGAUAUUUGCAAUAUUAUUGAAAGUGGGUUUGGAGAAAUCAUGACAUUGGUUGAUGAUAAUCCCACUAUUUUUUAAGAGCGUGAACUUUGCAUGCAUGUGGGUCAUGAAAAGAAUAUCCUAUGUGAUAGUUACAUUGUUUAAUUCGAAUAUGAUCCCACAUGUAAUUACUAUGAGAGAGGAAAAUAUUGUGGUAGAAACUUUCAUGUUACCAAAUUACCUCUUGUUAUGUGGAGAUUGCUAUUGUCUCUUUCUUCUUCCUUGCAUAUGGUAACUAUUGGUUGUCUUGACAAUCUGUUUUCCUAUAAAAUGCCUAUGCAUAGGAAGUAUGUUAGACUUAGAUGUGAUUUUCCCAUGCUUUAUGAUGCUCUCGUUGUGCUUCAAUUCUUGUCUUUUGUGUGAGCAUCAUUGAAUUAUCAAUGCCUAGCUAAGGGCGUUAAGCAAUAGCUCUUGUUGGGAGGCAACCCAAUGAAUUUAUCUUUUUCUUUCUGUUUUGUGUUUCCCACACUUUCAUAAUUCUGUUAUGAUUGUGUUUUUUUUGUUUCUUUUUGCGUUUGUGCCAAGCAAAACCGUUAUGAUUAGUCUUGGGGAUGAUCGUUUGGCCAUGCUGGAAAAGACAGAAACUUUCUGCUCACGAAAAGAAUUUUCAUUUUUUGUCUGUAAGAGAUUUUGAGUUGAUUCUUUUUGCUGCUGAUUGCUACAGAAGUUCUUCAGACUGUCUUAAGUUUUCAGAAUUUUUGAAGUAACAGAGUUAUACGGAAUAUACAGAUUGCUACAGACUGGUCUGCUGUUAACAGAUUCUGUUUUUGUUGUGUUGGUUGCUUAUUUUGAUGAAACUAUGGAUAGUAUCGGGGGGUAUUAGCCAUGGAAGAUUGAAAAUACAGUAACCCAACAUCAACAUAACUAGAAUUUAAUUUUCCUAUAGUACCUAAGGAAGUGGUGGUUUGCUUUCUUAUACUAAUGAUAUCACGAGUUUCUGUUUAAGAUUCGUGUUGUGAAGUUUUCAAGUUUUGUGUGAAGUUCUUAUGGACAAAGAGAUAAAGAGUGGCAAGAGCUCAAGGUUGGCGAUGCCCAAGGCACCCCAAGUGGAUUCAAGGAUGCCAAAAAAGCCUAAGCUUGGGGAUGCCCCGGGAAGGCAUCCCCUCUUUCGUCUUCAAUCCAUCGGUAAUGUUACUUGGGGCUAUAUUUUUAUUCACCACAUGUUAUGUGUUUUGGUUGGAGCGUCUUGUACCGUAGGAGUCUUUUAUUUAUUUUGUUCCACAAUAUUCCUUGCUGCACACUUAGAGAGAGAGACAUGCGCUCACUGUGAUUUUGUCGAGCUUCACUUAUAUCCUUUGGUUAGACAAUUCAGCUCACAUGUGUUUCACUUAUAUCUUUUGAGCUUGUUGAUUUUUCUCUAUGUGUUUCACUUCUAUCUUUUAGAGCACGGAACCGCUUGGCGUGGUAGUUGAUCUAUGCUAUGAAAGUAGUCUCAAAAGGGGUAGUUAUACAAAGGAAUAUGAAAACUUCCACCUUCAUGUGCAUUGAGUAGUUAGAGAAGUUUGAUUCAUCUCAAUCAGUUUUGAGUUGUGGUUGUGGUAAUAUUAAAGUUAUAUUAGUAAGGUGUAGUGGAUCUAGAAAUACUUGUGUUGAAGUUAGUGAUUCCGGUAGCAUGCACGUAUGGUGAACCGCUAUGUGAUGAAGUCUGAGCAUGAUUAGUAUAUUGAUUGUCAUCCUUUGUGUGGUGGUCGGGAUCACGCGAUGGUUUAUACCUACCAACCCUUCCCCUAGGAGUAUGCGUUGAAUGCUUUGUUUCGAUUACUAGUAGAACUUUUGCAACAAGUAUAUGAGUUCUUCAUGACUAAUGUUGCGUCCAUGGUCUAGAUGCACUUUCAGCUUCCGCCAUCACUAUCUUCUUUAGUGCCGUGCAACUUUCGCCUGUGCAUAAAACCCACCAUUAGCCUCCCUCAAAACAACCACCAUACCUACCUACUAUGGUUUUUUCAAAGCCAUUCCGAGAUAUAUUGCCAUGAAACUACCACCAUGACAUGUGCCACCACUUCUACAUUGCCAUUGCAUGAUCAUAAGAUAGCUAGCAUGAUGUUUCCAUUGAUGUCUAUGCCAUGCUAGAUCAUUGUCACGGUACACUACCGAAGUCAUUCCAUAUAGAGUCAUCAUUGCUCUAAGUUUUGAGUUGUAAGUGUGAUGAUCAUCAUUGAUGGAUCAUUGUCCCAUGUGAGGAAAUAAAAGAGGCCAAAGAUGCCCACCAAAAAAAAGAGGCCAAAGAGCCCACCAAAAAAAUGAGAGAAAAAGAGAGAAGGGACAAUGCUACUAUCUUUCCACAAUUGUGAUUAUUAAGUACCAUGAUUUUCAUGAUUGAGAGUCUCUCGUUUUGUCACCACCAUAAAGCUAGUGGGAAAUUUUUAUUAUAUAACUUGGCUUGCAUAUUCAAAUGAUAGGCUUCCUCAAAAUUGCCUUAGGUCUUCGUGAGCAAGAAAGUUGGAUGAAGAUGGGGAGGAACCACCUCCUCCUAAUGGCAACCCACACCCUCAGUUUGGCCCUGAGCUCACUGGUGAGCAAUUGUACCAACAGCAAGUGCAUAACUGGCUAGUUCAAAAUGCAGCUCAACCUUAGGGGGCUCCUCCUGCUCAUGAAGCCCCAUAGCAACAGGAUCAGCACAAUGGAUGGGGAGUGUGGCCAGCCUCACCACCAUAGGCACCACAAUUACCUCCUUAUGUCUACAACUUUCAAGCUUGGCUUGCUGCCCAGGGACUACAAGUGCAAGAUGGCCUGCUUCCUGAAGAUAACAUCUCAGAUAGUGCUUCCCAAGCUUGGAAUGAUGCUAUAUCCAACUCCAACAACUCUGCUAGCACCAACCUAUCUGCUGGAUCUCUGAAUCCCCUGGUGAUACACUCUCAAACACAUCAGCUGCAACACUCUGAGGGUCUUUUGAGAAUCUCCCUGGAAGUUCACAAUAGUGGAAUUCGCUUUGGCUUAUCUGAACAUGGAGAAUCAGUGCUCACCCUGCUACUAACUGAUCCAGCUCCAAGACAGCAGCUAAAUGACUUCAUCUUUAGAGCCAUCAAACCUCUAAUGGCUUAUAGAGGCCCUUGGAAUGCUGAUUAUGGUUUCAAGCAUGAAUGCAUGCAGGUGGAAGUUGCAGUUGCUCUGCGUGAUGAUGGCAUAAUAUUUAGCAACACCUAUCCUACUCUCCCCAUGAGCACUACAUCAUCUACUGUUAUCAUAGAAGCACUAUCCCCUGAGCAGGCACUGGCUCCAACUAUUGAUCCUACGGAUCCAUUGGAAAUAGAAUGCAGCAUGGAUCAGGAACUACAAGUCAGCAAGAUUCCUCUGAAGCAGAAAGGCAAAAUGAAACUGCAAGUAGAUACUUCCAACCUUCGCCGCAGCCUGAGAUCAAACAAGUAUGAUGGUUUCAAGAUCCCAUCCAUGGCAGAGGGCAAGAUCACUAAAUCCAAAGUUAAGCCCAGGAUGAUUCCCAAUAUUGCUCUUCAGGAAGUUGAUCGUGCUCUGACACUUGAGGUUCCCCCUCCUACUGCCAUCAACACCAUGCAAGCCAUUGGGACGCAGCUGUGUGCCAUACCUGAAACAGAGCUUGCAGACUCGGAGCUUCUUCGAGAAGAUCCAGGCCCGACAGAUGGCCAAGUUUGAUAUUGUGCCUGACCCACCUCCUCUUUGAAUCUCUAUGGUACUUUUGCGUAGUUGGAACGUCUUAUGUUGGAAUAUUCGUGGACUUAAUUCGCCCAAAAAACAUCUAGCUCUAUCGAAUGCUAUUCGUGACAGCAGUUGCUCCAUCAUUUGCUUACAAGAAUCGAAAAUGACCUCAUUUGAUGAACAUGCUUUACGUACAUUGUGUCCUAAACGAUUUGACAAAUUUGCAUAUAUUCCCUCCCGAGGGGCUUCUGGUGGGAUAGUCACGAUUUGGAACAGCUCUAUAUUUAUAGGAACUACAUUUGUAGAAGAGGAUUUCGUGUUAGGGGUCCAGUUCUCAUCAACACAAACUUUGCAUACCUGGAAGCUAUUGAACAUAUAUGGCCCCUGCCAAGGGGAUCAAAGGGUUUGUUUCACAUCUUGGCUCUUUGAUCUUGACAUUGUGGCAACUGAGGAUUGGUUGAUCCUAGGGGAUUUCAACUUCAUUAGGGCACCAACGAACUGCAAUCUACCCGGAGGUAACAUUCAAGACAUGUUUACGUUUAAUGAAUUCAUCAGUGAGCAGAUGUUAACGGAGAUCCCAAUCAAAGGCCGACCAUAUACAUGGUCGAACAUGCAGCUAAACCCUUUGCUCGAACAACUCNNNNNNNNNNNNNNNNNNNNNNNNNNNNNNNNNNNNNNNNNNNNNNNNNNNNNNNNNNNNNNNNNNNNNNNNNNNNNNNNNNNNNNNNNNNNNNNNNNNNGUUGGUCUUUAUUCACUUUUCUCUUGAACUUCAAAAAUUUCAGCAAAAAUAAAUUAUGUUCAGGAGGAAGUUUCAUGGUGGUUCCUCAAGUAAGAAGGGUCCCCGUCUUUCUAUUCGGGAGCCCGAUCCUUAUCAACUAAGAUAAGCACCGGUACAACCAUGUGAAUGGCCUUCCGAUGAGUUCAUGAUCGAAGCAGGCUUCAAGGAUGAGUUUGAUACACUUGUCUGCAAUGUCGGGUUAGAAGAAUUCCUCUCAAAUAAAUGUGAACAGUAUGCUUUGCUCACUGCCUCUUUCGUGUGUAGAUUUAAAUUUUUAGUUGGGCGUGACUCAUCCAUACCGUUUGACCUGUAUGAUAAAUCCUACGCCAUGGAUUUGGAGGAUUUCAAUAGGAUUUGCAAGAUACCCGAUGGGGGAAAUCUUAAAGAUCCUGCUAAGUCUUCGGUUAGAGAUUUUGUCUCUAGUAUAACUGUUGGAGAAACUAGAGACAUCACGCAAGCUACCAUAGGAAGCAUUCAUUUCCCUGGCUUGCACUACUUUUCCCUCUUCAUAGGUAAUGCAUUAACGGCAAGGUUGAACAUUGUCACCUAUGCGCAUCCGACCUUAGUAUCCUUAAGAGCGCAGUGACGGGUGACAAAAGCUUCAACAUGGGAGCUAUUAUAGCAAGGAGGAUGAAUAAGAAUGCUAUUGAUGGGGAUUUCUUUGGCGGCAUCUAUGCCACUUGCAUAGCAAAUUUUCUUGGAGUACCCAUCCGCGCAGGAGAUCCCCCGCUCCAUACAGCUUUCCUUGACCACGUCGCUAUGACACGCUACCAGUUCCUUGAGAGGGAUGAUGAAUCCCUCCUAUACCGAUUGAUAUUUAACCGGCAACGUGUUUUCCAUAUUACCCUUCCUGCUCCUGCUUUGUUUGACUUUCAGGUAAAACGGAGAUACUACAUAACCAUAGGAGAGGCAUAGGAGUAUGAGAGGGAGGCGACGGCUGCUCGUCUCUGUGAGGCAACUAUUUAGGCAGUGGCUGCAGCGCUCCCGUAUAACCCCGAUUAUGAUUUUGGGUUUUGCCAGGACCGUCCUUGGGAGUAGACCAAGCGAGGCCAAAAGCCUAAGCUUGGGGGAGUACGUGUUUGCACCAACUUUACAUUCAAGCUUAUGCUUUCACUUUGUUAGUCAGUGUUUACACUUUGCCACUGUAUUAUCCAUGCUAGUUUAUUUUCGUUUUCUUGNNNNNNNNNNNNNNNNNNNNNNNNNNNNNNNNNNNNNNNNNNNNNNNNNNNNNNNNNNNNNNNNNNNNNNNNNNNNNNNNNNNNNNNNNNNNNNNNNNNNGACCGGAGUCUGCAAACGCAGAAGAAUUUUGAAUCGGCAAGAAAUUCAUCCGCUUUGUAUUACUUCGAUGACAUUUGUUCUUUACAUUGUCUCUGUCGGCGGUUAUGUGUAGAAGUGCUUCAGUAGAUCUCCAUUCCAUGCCCGCGGCUCGUCCGUCUCCCUGUCGAGGUUGUAGAGUCGAUACGCUCCAUUGUUCCGUACCUUAGAAAUGAUGAACGGUCCUUCAUAGGCGGGAGCCAACUUGUGUGGUCUCUGUUGAUCCACUCGGAGCACCAGGUCUCCUGCUUGGAACGUGCGGCUCCUGACGUGCCGCUCAUGAAAUCGCCGCAGAUCUUGUUGAUAAAUUGUUGAACGGAUCAAUGCCAUCUCGCGCUCCUCUUCCAAAAGGUCUACUCCGUCUUGCCUGGCUUGCUCUUCUUCGGCUUCGGAGAAGAGUUCGACUCGUGGAGAGUUGUGAAGCAAGUCACUUGGAAGGACUGCCUCUGCUCCAUAAACGAGGAAAAAUGGGGAUCGUCCUGUCGAUCUAUUCGGGGUUGUUCGGAGGCCCCACAGCACCGAAGGCAGCUCGGUGACCCAUGCGCCGGCGGCAUGCCCAACUUCCCGCAGGAGUCGAGGCUUCAACCCUUAAAGAAUGAGUCCAUUCGCCCGCUCCGCUUGUCCAUUUGUUUGGGGGUGCGCAAAGGAUGCAAAAUACACUCGGAUACCUUGGCCUACGCAAAAACCUUUGAACUCGUCCGAGUUAAAGUUUGGGCCAUUGUCGGUGAUUAUGCUGUGUGGAACCCCGUAUCUGGCAAUGAUGUCUCUGAUAAAUUUGAUGGCCGUAAGGGCAUCAAGCUUCUUGAUUGGCUUGGCUUCAAUCCACUUGGUAAACUUGUCGACUGCUACCAGCAGAUGGGUGAAUCCUCCUUGGCUUGUUCUGAAUGGUCCGACUGUAUCUAAUCCCCACACGGCCAAUGGCCAAGAAAGGGGAAUUGUCUUCAGCGCGGACGUUGGCUUGUGGGACUUGUUUGAAUAGAACUCACAACCUUCGCAAUGGUCGACUAUAUCUUUUGCCAUUUCAUUCGCCUGCAACCAGAAGAAACCAGCUCUGAAUGCUUUGGCAACGAUCGCCCUUGAGGAGGCAUGAUGACCACAGGUUCCUGAGUGAAUUUCUUCCAAAAUUAACCGACCCUCCUCAGGAGAGAUACACCCCUGAAGGACGCCUGAAACACUUUCUCUGUAUAACUGGUCAUCAAUGACGGUGAAGGACUUCGACCUGCGAAUGAUCUGCCUAGCUUGGACCUCAUCUUCCGGUAACUCUUGCCUCAGGAUGUACGCAAUGAGUGGCACAGUCCAUUCGGGAAUGACAGCUAGAAUCUCCAUGACCAGGUCAACCACAGCGGGAAACUCGACUUCGAUCUGAUCUAUUGAGCUCUUCGGUUGCACAAGUUCCUCUAUAAAAGGAUCUUCUUUUACCGAGGGGAGGUGUAAGUGCUCGAGGCAGACAUCACUCGGGACAGGUCUCCGUGUGGAUCCAAGUUUUGCCAAUUCAUCUGCUGCUUGGUUUUUCAGUCGGGGAACAUGGUGAAGUUCCAUACCUUCGAACUUCUUUUCGAGCUUUCUUAUUGUGUUGCAGUAUGCAGUCAUGGUGGGGUUCCUUACAUCCCACUCCUUCAUUACUUGAUUAACCACUAGAUCUGAGUCGCCAUAGACCAUCAGGCGACGGACGCCGAGUGUGAUGGCCAUGCACAACCCGUAAAGGAGAGCUUCGUACUCUGCUUCGUUGUUGGAAAAAUCAAAAUGGAUCUGCAACACAUACUUGAGUUUAUCACCUUUCAGGGAUAUGAGCAGUACGCCGGCGCUGGAGCCAUUCAACAUCUUGGACCCAUCGAAGAACAUGGUCCAAUGAGCCGAGUAGAUGUGAGUCGGUUGCUGUUGCUCUACCCAUUCUGCCAUGAAGUCGGCAAGAGCUUAAGACUUUAUAGCUUUCUUGGCUUCGAACUUGAUGUCGCAGUAUAGCAUAUCCAUUGCUCACUUUGCCACUCGGCCUGAUGCGUCCCGAUUGUGGAGAAUUUCCGACAACGGAGCAUCAGAUAUGACAGAUACCGAGUGGUCUUGGAAAUAAUGAGCCACGUGCUUUGCAGUCAUGUAGAUCCCAUAAAUAAGCUUCUGAUAAUGGGGACACCUCUGCUUGGAAGGAGUCAGGACUUCAGAAACAUAAUAUACUGGCCGCUGAACCUUGUACGCUUUGCCUUCUUCUUCGCGUUCGACUGUCAGAAUAGUGUUGACGACUUCGUUUGUAGCCGCGAUGUACAAAAGAAGGGGUUCUUUACUGAGUGGGGCAGUAAGAACCGGCUGGGUGGAAAGCAGGGCUUUGAGGUCGUCGAAUGUGGUUUGGGCUUCGUUUGUCCACUCGAAGGUAUCCGACUUCUUCAUGAGUCGGUACAGAGGUAACGCCUUCUCGCCGAGUCGAGCGAUAAACCUGCUCAAAGCCGCUAGAAAACCUAUGAGCUUUUGUACGUCAUGUACUCUUACCGACCGCUCCAUUCGAACAAUGGUCCCGAUGUUUUCGGGGUUGACAUCGAUCCCUCGUUCGGAAACAAAGAAACCGAGUAACUUCCCGCUGGGAACGCCAAAUGAACACUUGGCUGGGUUUAGCUUGAUAUUGUACCUACGUAGGUUGGCGAAUGUUUCUGCCAAGUCAGUCAGUAGGUCGGAACCUUUGCGUGACUUGACUACGAUAUCGUCCAUAUAUGCCUCCACAUUUCGACCAAUCUGGUCUAGGAGGCAUUUUUGGAUCAUUCGCAUAAAAGUUGCUCUUGCAUUUUUCAAACCGAAUGGCAUAUUGAUGUAACAGAAGCACCCGAAUGGGGUGAUGAAAGAUGUUUUUAAUUCAUCCGGACCAUAUAGACGGAUCUGAUGGUAGCCCGAAUAGGCUUCAAGGAAGGAUAAGCGCUCGCAACCCGCAGUCGAAUCAACGAUUUGAUCUAUGCGGGGGAGCGGGAAGUGGUCUUUCGGACAGACCUUAUUAAGGUCCUUGAAAUCGAUGCACAUACGAAGAGACUUGUCCUUCUUGGGCACCAUGACAACAUUAGCGAGCCACUCGGAGUGGUGUACCUUGCGAAUGAAGUUGGCUGCCAGAAGUUUAGCUACCUCCUCUCCGAUUGCUUUUCUCUUGUGCGCGGCAGACCGACACAGUCGUUCUCGGACGGGCCGAGCGGCAGGAUCCACAUGCAGUCGGUGCUCAGCCAACUCCCUGGGUACACCUGGCAUGUCAGCAGGCUUCCAUGCAAAAAUGUCCCAGUUCUCAUGAAGGAAUUGGAUGAGCUCGGUUUCCUAUUUUGGAUCAAGGGUGGUGGAGAUGUUUGUUGGGGCGGUGGUGGCAUCCGUCGGGUGGACUCUUACUUUUUUCGUGUCUCCCGCCGACUGGAAUGCGGACUCGGAAGCUGGCUUCUUUGAACGCAUCAGGUCGGCAGGGUCGGCAAUCUUCUUGUACUCAUCCAACUCGAGUACAGCCAUCUGAUGGUCUGCAAUUCUCAACCCCUGCUGCAGACACUCCUCGGCUCGUUGCCGAUUGCGUGUGACAGUAAUCACGCCUUUGGGACCAGGCAUCUUCAGCUUCAAAUAUACGUAACAUGGACGGGCCAUGAAACGUACAUAUGCCGGACGGCCCAGAAUGGCAUGGUAUGCACUCUGGAAGUCUACCACCUCGAAUGUUAACUUCUAUUUGCGGAAGUUCUUGUCAGAGCCGAAGACGACGUCCAACGCAAUCUGGCUGAGAGAUUUUGCCUUUCUUCCUAGGACGACUCCAUGGAAUUGCAUACUGCUUUCGCUAAGUCUGGACAUCACAAUGCCCAUUCCCUUGAGAGUAUCGGUGUACAUGAUAUUCAAGCCGCUGCCGCCGUCCAUGAGGACUUUGCGCAGCCUAACUCCUUCCACCACCGGGUCGACGACCAGAGCUUGCCUCCAUGGGGUGGGUACGUGUGCUGGGUGGUCUGCCUGAUCAAAAGUGAUUGCAGUCUGUGACCACUUGAGGAACGUGGGAGUGGAUGGGGUUGCCAUGUUUACCUCCCUGCUGACCAGCUUCAGUCGACUUUUGCUUUCUACAUCAGCAAAAAUCAUUAAUUUUGCAUGGACUUGAGGGAACGGAUCCUCCUUGUCCUCAUCAUCUUUCUCGGUGUCUUUCUCACUCGGCUGUCCUUCACCGAAUCCUUGGAUCAGGAGGCGACACUACCGAGUGGUAUGUUUCGGCAAUAUGACAUUGCCUUCUUCAUCCAUCUUCGUGUGGAUUGGACACGGCUGAUCUAGGAUGGAAUUUCCUGACUGUUUCUUCUUGGGGGUGUACUGUGGUUUCCCCUUGCCUUUGAACUUAGCGUUUGUAACGACUGCCGCCUCUGCUUGCGGAGUGGAUUGGGCUUUCUAUUUCUGCUUCCGACUGCUGCUCCCAUCUCCGUCGGCGACUGACUUAUGCUUGCCGCUACGUAUGCGGUCCUCCUCUUCGCCAUUUGCAUAGCACGCAGCUAUCUCCAUCAUCUUGCUCAUGGAGAUGUCGCCUGUCCGACCAAACUUCAGGUAUAGAUCUUUGUACCGAACGCCUGCCUUGAAGGCGCAGACUGCUUGGUGUUCUGUAACAUUCUCCACCGUGUGGUAGAGGGUUGUCCAGCGUUGGGUAAAAUCGCGCAGGGGCUCGUUUUGCUUCUGGACACAGUGCUGAAGCUUUGUGAGACCAGCGGGGCAUUUGCACGUACCCUUGAAGGUCCUGAUGAAGACUCGGGACAGAUCUGCCCAACUCGAAAUGGUUGAUGGAGCUAACUGGUUUAGCCAAGCUCGAGCCGAACCGUCGAGCAUCAAUGGGAGAUGUUUCAGGGCGACAUGGUCAUCUCCGCCACCGAUGUGGACCACCACUCUGUAGUCGUCUAACCAAGUUUCUGGUUUGGACUCUCCUGUGAAUUUGCUGAAUCCCGUCGCCAAUCGGAAGUUGGGAGGGAUGUCAGCCGAGCGAAUGGCCCGACUGAAACACUCGGGACCAGAAACAACGGUCCUGCUUCCACUCGGAUGAUCUCUAUCGUGACCACCACGGUGGGCUCGGCUUCUAUCAACCUUCUUUUGAGUGAUAUACCCUCUUGCAUCAGGCCUUUGAUCAUGCGCGUCACCGCCCGAACGACAAUCAUCGUAAUGCGGGGGUCCGUAAGGCCCACUCCGCCGAGGAGUACGCGAACGGCGAUGAUCUUCGGGAUGAGACCGAAUGGAAGGUGGAUUCCGACUCUGGUCCCUGGAAUGAUCGUUCCAGAGGCUGCCCCCUCUGCGACGCUGGUGAGAGCUGGGACUGAAAACCGACCGAUGUGUGUUCGCUUGAACGGAACUGUUGUGGAUCUUGUUGUGCGACUGGGAGACCGCCGAGUUUUGCUGCUGCACCGUAUGUAACAAGGCACGGAUCUGCUCAAUUCCUCUACCAGCCUCUGAAUCAGUCGGCUGGAGAGAAUCAGUGAUCUUGGCGGCUGCAGCCAAGUUGAGGAUGGGUGUGCGGAACACCUCGACGUGGCUCUGGCGAACGCGUCGACUGGAAGAACGAGGGUGCUGACGACGAGCGCCGGAUGAUUCUCCGAUCUCACGCUCGUUCCGACCAGUCCCGGGCGACUUUUGUGGGAAUCGGCCAUGAGCACUUCGGCCGUAGGCCCGUGACCCUGAUACUCGGAAGGUAGUUCAGUCGGAAAUGAGUCCAAGCACUGGGAUGACCGCGGGACCACAACCGAUUCAAGCACCACCACUUGAGAGGACAUGUUUUGUCGCGCUAGGGCGUGUCGCACCCAACGCUGGAGCCCCGAACGACCGGAUAGCUUGUUGCGGUGCGUGACGGGGGCGAAGAUCGAAACCGGGGUCGAUGGCUGGACAAGAAGAACACCGCAGGAACUGGCACGGAAGUGCGUAGCCCCGCGACUCGGAAGCGUCUUGACAUCGAGGGGCGCAUCCUGAUGCCAUGCCGAAUCAUCAGCGAUGAAGGAGAGCGCACCGAAGAGGAUCUCACGACCCAUGCACAGAUCUCCGCCGGAUGACAUGACGAAGAGAUGAAAUCACAAACUCGCCGGAAGUCGCUUAUACGCCAGCCCCACGGUGGGCACCAACUGUCGUGGGUAUAAGUCUGGCAGUAGAAGUACGGGGUAUGAAAGUAUAUGGGCAGAGCCUUAGCUACGGCGAGGAUAUAUGAGUUCAGGCCCCUCUACNNNNNNNNNNNNNNNNNNNNNNNNNNNNNNNNNNNNNNNNNNNNNNNNNNNNNNNNNNNNNNNNNNNNNNNNNNNNNNNNNNNNNNNNNNNNNNNNNNNNGCCUUUGGCGGCGAGCUCCCUCUCUCUCUCGAUCAAUUUUCUCCCCCGUCGCGUUUGUAGCGGCGCUUGGCAAAGCCUCGCUGAGGUUGUACCACCACCACCGUCACUAGUAGAAAACAGGGCAUUGAGCCAACCACAUUGGACCCGGAUUGGAUAUAAACCGGUUCUAAAGGGUCUAUCCGCUGGGCCCCCUCCCUGCAGCGAAUGGCCGCAAGGCCUUUAGGACCGGUUUGUAACACAAACCGGUCCUAAAGGGUUUUGGACCGUUUGCUGCAGGGCGGGGACCCAGUGGACAGACCCUUUAGAACCGGUUUGUAUCACAAACUGGUGCUAAAGUUUUUCUCAUUUUUGCAGCAACUGCGGGGCCCCGUUGUCAGACCCUUUAGCACCGGUUUUUAACACAAACCGGUCCUAAAGCCCUCCCCUAUAUUCCACUCCGAGCUCAGCUCCAUUUUUUCCAGCGCGAGCUCAACUCCAUUUUUGCUCUCUCCUUCCUCUUGGGAGCUCUAAUCCAUCCCCAUUUUUCUCCACCAUUUGUCAAGAUUGUUGGCACCCAUCGGUCCUACGGUUAACAUCAACAUUCCCUCUUCCGGCAUUGCAAGUUUUGCUCGUUUUCUUGCUCAUUUCAUUUUUGUUGUGCUAGCUAGGUGUUUGAUGAAAUGCCUAAGCUAGAGAGAGUUCAUCAUUUGUUAUGUAUACAUAUGCAAUUUGAGCUCAAAUUUAAUUAUGAUUUAUGGUUUUUUUUAGUGUCGCGCGCCUUGUCCCCUUCCUCACCGCCGUCGAUCGCCCCGUCACCGACACAACCUUGGUGAGCCUAGUGUUUUUAUUUACCAAAACAAAUUAUGAUUUGUAUGAUUUACAUAUUUACUUGUAUAUAAUUUUCUUAUUGUGUAAGAUUUUUUUUAUAUGUAUAGCGCCAUGGUUUUGAUAUCCGUCCCCGUUGGCCCUCGUCCAGUCUAUGAUUCGGAUGUGGUAUAUUAUCUUUUAUAACUACAUAUUUUCAUUUCCUGAUUAUAUGACAAUUAAUUACGCCGACCAACUUGACAUAGAUAUUUUUAUCUAGGAGGUAGUGGAACCGGAAAUGCCAAUCGACCCUAUUGUUGAGAAGUUACACUUAGUUGAACAAGAAAAUGUUGGCCUGAAAGAAAGAUUGAAAAAAACUGAAGAAAGGUUGGAAAAAACUGAAAGAGAGAAGAUGACCUUGGAAAAGGUUCUUGCCGGUGUCGUCGAUGGUCACAAGAGCGAGAUGGACGCAAUGCGCCUGAAGAUUAGAAAGAUUAGAAAAUAUGCAAUUAGUAAAGAGGCUUCGUAUCAUUAGGCCGUCGGGUCAAUUGUUACCUUUGUUGCGAUUUUGAUCGCAUUUGUUGUUGUUUUUAAAUGCAUUAGUUAGAGAGAGUUUUUAUGGUUGGUUUCAGUGUGUAUUUUUAUGAGAACUAUAUAUGUAUGGUCACUACGCUACUUUGGUUUUAACGUGUGAUGAACUUUUUGUAUUAAUUAAUUAAUUUAGUCAUGAUGAUUUAGCAUAAUGGUUUUUGAUAAAUUUAUAUAAUGCAGAUGAACCGGCAAUGGAUGUACAGUGAUCGACGUCGUCCCGAAUUCCUUAAUGGCAUGCAUAGUUUUCUCAAUGUGGCUGAGAAAAACAGGCAGAAUGGAUUUAUUUUUUGUCCAUGUAAAAAAUGCCAGAAUAAGAGGAAUUUCCCUAACUCAAGAACCAUACACACCCACCUGUUGCAAGAAGGCUUCAUGCCCAGUUAUUUUUGUUGGACCAAGCACGGAGAAAGAGGGGUUGUAAUGGAAGACAAUGAAGAAGAAGAGGAUAAUGAUAACUAUCCUAUGUUCGGUGAACACGGUGAUACUGAAAUGGGGGAAGACGAGCCUGAACUUGAGGACAUUGUUGAUGAGUCUGAUGAUGAUCUUCGUCAGGUCAUUCGUGAAGAACAGAUAAACUGCGGAAGUGAAAACGAGAGGUUGAAGUUGGAGCGCAUGUUAGAAGAUCACAAAAAAUUGUUGUACCCAAAUUGCGAAGAUGGCCAGAAAAAGUUGGGCACCACCCUGGAAUUGCUGCAAUGGAAGGCAGAGAAUGGAAUAUCUGACAAGGGAUUUGAAAAGCUGCUGAAAAUAAUGAAGAAGAUGCUUCCAAGAGAUAACGUGCUGCCCUGCAGUACGUACGAAGCAAAGAAGGUUGUCUGCCCUCUAGGAUUGGAAGUGCAUAAGAUACAUGCAUGCAUCAAUGACUGCAUCCUCUACCGCGGUCAAGACGAGAAUUUAAAUGCGUGCCCGGUAUGCGGUGCAUUUCGGUAUAAGGUCAGGCGAGAUGACCCUCGUGAUGUUGUGGGCGACGAUCGCCCCAGGAAGAGGGUUCCUGCCAAGGUGAUGUGGCAUGCUCCUAUAAUACCACGGUUGAAACGUUUGUUCCGAAACAAAGAGCAUGUCAAGUUGCUGCGAUGGCACAAAGAAGACCGUAAGGAAGAUGAUAUGCUGAGACAACCCGCUGAUGGGUCGCCGUGGAGAAACAUCGACGAUAAGUACGAGGACUUUGCACGUGACCCAAGAAACUUAAGGUUUGGUCUAAGUACAGAUGGCCUGAAUCCGUUUGGGGAGCAGAGUAGCAGUCAUAGCACCUGGCCCGUGACUCUAUGUAUCUAUAACCUUCCUCCUUGGUUAUGCAUGAAGCGUAAGUUCAUUAUGAUACCAGUGCUUAUCCCAGGCCCGUCGCAACCCGGCAACAACAUUGAUGUGUACCCGAGGCCACUGGUUGAUGAACUUUUAGAGUUGUGGGCUGACGAAGGUGUACGUGUGUGGGACGAGUACAAACAGGAGGAAUUUGACCUACGAGGGUUGUUGUUUGUAACCAUCAAUGAUUGGCCCGCUCUUAGUAACAUCUCAGGACAGUCAAACAAGGGAUACAGCGCAUGCACACACUGUUUAGGCGAGACUGAAAGUAUACAUAUAUGCAAGAAUGUGUACCCAGGGCAUCGUCNNNNNNNNNNNNNNNNNNNNNNNNNNNNNNNNNNNNNNNNNNNNNNNNNNNNNNNNNNNNNNNNNNNNNNNNNNNNNNNNNNNNNNNNNNNNNNNNNNNNAGCCGGCGAGGAGGCGAGGGCGGCGAGGAGGCGACGGCGUGGGGCGGCAAGGAGGCGGCGUGGGGCGGCGAGGAGGCGGCGAGGAGGUCGAGUCGGCGAGGAGAGAAGGCGAGGAGAGAGGCGGCGAGGAGAGAAGACGCGCGGGAAGGCGAGAAGAUGGCGGCACCGGAGAGGUCUAGGCUGUACAAGCCUUUAGCACCGGUUGGUGUUGACAACCGGUCCUAAAGACCCUUUAGCACCGGUUGUUAACACAAACCGGUACUAAAGGUCCAAAAAUUGGGCGCGCGAGCGAACCCACCUUUAGGACCGGUUGUUGUUAAAAACCGGUCCUAAAGGUUUUUUUUCUUUUUCUUUUUUCCUUUUUUCUGUUUCCUGUUUUCUUUUUCUUUUUGUUUCCUUUUUCUUUUUCCUGUUUCUUCUUUUAUUUUUAUUUUUUGUUUCCCUUUUCUGUUUUCUUUUUACAUUUAUUUAUAAAAUCAAAGUAAACUCAAAAAGCUUUUGUAAAAUCAAAUAUUUAUAAAAACAUAUUUAUAUUUUCUGAUAAUUUGUGUAAAAAUUCUCUAAAUGUCAUUUAAAAGAAUAAAAAAAUAAAAAAUAAGAUAUUUAUCAAACUAAUUUGAAAAUAUAAAGAUAUUUUUUUGUUUCCUUUUUCUUUUUCCUGUUUCUUCUUUUAUUUUUCUUUUUUGUUUCUUUUUUCUGUUUUNNNNNNNNNNNNNNNNNNNNNNNNNNNNNNNNNNNNNNNNNNNNNNNNNNNNNNNNNNNNNNNNNNNNNNNNNNNNNNNNNNNNNNNNNNNNNNNNNNNNAAACCCUUAAGGCCGUAAAACUUAGGGAAACUUUCGGGUAACGGGGGAAACUUUACGGUUACGGGUAACGGAACUUUGGAAACCCUACCGGGUUAAAUCCCUAAGUAACCCACGAACCUAGAAAUACGNUAGAAUGACUUCAAUGCUAGGAAGCAUGGUAAAGAAAGUAGAGCCAUGGGUUCAGAGACCUAUGUCAUUUCCUCCUAAGCCAUCCMAGAAAAAGGAUGAUGAGGAUUUUGAGCGCUUCGUUGAGAUGAUAAGACCCGUAUUUCUGCAGAUGCGGUUAACUGAUAUACUCGUCUCUGUAUGCCAAGUACAUGAAAGAUAUCGUGACUAAUAAACGGAAGUAUACCAGAUCUUGAGAUCUCCACCAUGCUUGCCAAUUACUACUUUUAAAGGUGGAACUCCUAAGAAACUUUGUGAUCCCGGAGUGCCCACUACACCUUGCUCCAAUUAAGGAACUACGUAAGACUGCCUUAUGUGACCUUGGAGCCGGUGUUAGUGUUAUGCCGCUCUUCUUUAUCUACUAGUACUUGGUAGGUUAGGUUAAGUUAAAGGUUUACGGUAACCUACCCCCGUAACCNNNNNNNNNNNNNNNNNNNNNNNNNNNNNNNNNNNNNNNNNNNNNNNNNNNNNNNNNNNNNNNNNNNNNNNNNNNNNNNNNNNNNNNNNNNNNNNNNNNNGAAGAAGAAGAAGAAGAAGAAAGAAAGAAAGAAAGAAGAAGAAGAAGAAGAAGAAAGAAAGAAAGUAAAGAAGAUAGAGAGAGAGAGAGAGACGAGAGAGAGAGAGAGAGAGAGAGUAGAGAGGAGGAGAGAAGAAGAAGAAGAAGAAGAAGAAGAGGAGGAGAAGAAAGAGGAAAAAAUGAAAAGAAGGAAGAAGAAGGAAGAAGAGAAGGAGAAGAGAAGAAGAAGAGAAGAAGCAUGAGAACGAGGAGGAGGAGAAGGAGCCCUCCUUCUUCUCCUUCUUCUCUCAUCCUUAUUCUUCUCCCUCCUUCUUCUCCUUCUUCUUCUGCUUCUUCUCACCUCCUUCUUCUCCUUCUUCUUCUCCUUAUUCUUCUCUUCUUCUCCUCCUCCUCCUCCUUCUAAUUCUCCUCCUCCUCCUUCUCCUUCUCAUCCUUCUCCUUCUUCUUCUCUUCUUGCUUCUUCUCUUUCUUCUUCUACGUAGCUUAUUUUCCCCAACAAAGACAUACUUAGCUAAUUAUCCUCCAAACUAACAUAAUUAGCUUAGUUAGGGUAAAAACAUCCUAAGAACCUUGGUUAGCUCACAACUUAGGUAAUUAUCCUCCAAAAAUGAUAUAAUAAGCUUAAAAUGGCAUAAAAACCUUGGUUAGCUCAUGAAUAUUAUAUUCUUACCUUGUUUUCCUCUAAAAUGACAUAAUUAGCCCAUAUAGCUCCAAAAAGACAUUAUUAUAUAAUUUAGCUCCAACAAAAGGAGAAGAGGAGAAGAAGAGAAGAAGAAGAGAAGAAGAGAAGAAGAAAAAAUAAGAAGAGAGAAAAAUAAAGAAAAGAAGAAUAAGUAGAAGAAGUGGAUAAAGAAAUAAUAGAAAUAGAAAUAAGAGGAAGAAGAAGAAGAAGAGGAGGAAGAAGAGGAGAAGAGGAGAAGAGGAGGAGGAGGAGGAGAAGAAUAAGAAGAAGAGGAGAAGAGGAGAAGAAAUAGGAAAAAUGAAAAGAAGGAAGAAGAAGAAGAAGAGAAGAAGAAGGAGAAGGAUCCUUCCUUCUUCUCCUUCUUCUCUCUUCCUUCUUGUUCUCCCUCCUUCUUCUCCUUCUUCUCUCCUCCUUGUUCUCCUUCUUAUUCUCCUUCUUCUUCUCUUCUUCUUCUCCUCCUCCUCCUUCUCAUUCUCCUCCUCCUCCUUCUCCUUCUCCUCCUUCUUCUUCUCUUCUUGCUUCUUCUCUUUCUUCUUCUGCGUAGCUUAUUUUCCCGAAUUAAGACAUACUUAGCUAAUUAUCCUCCAAAAUGACAUAAUUAGCUUAAUUAGGGUAAAAACAUCGUAAUAACCUUGGUUAGCUCAUAACUUAGCUAAUUAUCCUCCAAAAUGACAUAAUAAGCUCAAAAUGGCAUAAAAACAUUGGUUAGCUCAUGAAUAUUAUAUUAUUAGAUUGUUUUCCUCUAAAAUGACAUAAUUAGCCCAUAUAGCUCCAAAAAGAACAUAAUUAGAUAAUUUAGCUCCAAAAAGAGGAGAAGAGGAGAAGAAAUAGGAAAAAUAGAAAAGAAGGAAGAAGAAGAAGAAGAAGAAGACAAGAAGAAGGAGAAGGAGGAGGAGGAGAAGAAGGAGAAGGAGGAGAAGACCUUCUCCUCGUUCUCCUCCUUCUUCUUCUCCUUCUUCUUGAUUUCUUCUUCUUCUCCUCCUCCUCCUCUUUGUUCUCCUCCUCCUCCUCUUUCUUCUCCUCUUUCUUAUUCUCCUUACCUUAUUUUCCCCAACAAUGACAUAUAUAAUUAGCCCAUUUAGCUCCAAAAUGACAUAAUAAGCUCAAAAUGGCAUUAGAACCUUGGUUAGCUAAUGAAUAUUAUAUUCUUAGCUUGUUUUCCUCUAAAAUAUCAUAUGUUGUUCUUCUUCUGACUUUCUUAUUCACAUUUCUGCAGAUUGGAUGUACUACAUGCAUGGAAGCUGGCAUUCAUGGAGUGCCUUAUUAGUUCUAGUUUUAAUUUGAGUUGAUGAACAAUGUCGAACUAUAUGUAUAUGUAUCUAUGGAUGAACAGUGUAAAACUUUGUAUGUUGGUUCUUUCGAUAUAUGGGAUGUACAUUGGUGAACUUUGUAUGUAUAUCAUAUAUGUGUGGUGAACUAUAUAUAUGUGUUGUGAAAUAUAUAUCAUAUAUGUGUUGUGAAAUAUAUAUAUAUAUAUAUAUAUAUAUAUAUAUAUAUUAUAGUAAAUAAACUAAAACAAAACGAAARUAAAKWAACUAAUAGUACGGUACGUUCGUUUCGUUCUCGUCGUUCGNNNNNNNNNNNNNNNNNNNNNNNNNNNNNNNNNNNNNNNNNNNNNNNNNNNNNNNNNNNNNNNNNNNNNNNNNNNNNNNNNNNNNNNNNNNNNNNNNNNNACCUUUGGUGCCGGGUUGAUCUUGCAGAACGGCUUAAGACCUAUUUGGCCGCACUUGGCCAUGAGUUCGCCGGUCAAUUUCUUGAUGAUGGUUACAAUAUCAUUUUCUGUCAGUGCUGUGUGGAAGUAGCACUGGGAGUGAUCCAGGGUACCAUCAAAAUCACACAUUAAUCCGUCCCAGCGACUUAAGGGAAGGAUACGCCAUUCGACCCAGCAGCAGAUUAAGUCAACCCCAGUAAGGCCAUUGUUUGUCAGAGAUCUUAACUCGGACAGUACUGGGAUAAAAUCUGACUCCUCUUCUUCUUGGCAGUCUCAGGCUGCAUUUCGCUCAGCCCGUGUGACCUGUGAAGGUCCUCUUGCGCCUUGCCUGUUAGGCUGCCUACGCUGCCAUGAGCUCAUUAGUCUUGCUCUUCAGCUUGAGCUUCGAUAUCACACACUUGGCGCAUGCACUCAGACUUGAMMCACUCCAGCUAUCUCAUAGACUGUCUUUGUCUCGAAGGUCCAUCCCAGUUUUGCUCCUCCUGGUACCUCUAUCUUAGCCACCUCUAAGCGCCAUCCGCAAGGCCAAGGGUCUCUAAUCUCUACGGUCAGGGACUUCGACAUCUUCCAUUCUAUGUCACUGGUGGAUGAGGGCUCGUUUUCAAAACUUCAGUUCAAUGGACUGCCAAAGUCCACCGUAUUGGCAUUGCCUGCCUAUGCUCNUUCCGAAUUUCAUCACCUGCUAGGUCCUUGGACGUCCCUUNNNNNNNNNNNNNNNNNNNNNNNNNNNNNNNNNNNNNNNNNNNNNNNNNNNNNNNNNNNNNNNNNNNNNNNNNNNNNNNNNNNNNNNNNNNNNNNNNNNNGGCGGUGAGACGCCGGAGAGAGGGGGUGGUUGGGCAUCGGAGGAAGGGCUGAGUGGUGGUGGGCGCUGGAGGGUAGGGGCUUUGCCGCCGGCGACCUGAUCGGGAGGGUGGCCGGUGGUGCAUUGGAGGAGGGGGGUGGUGGUCGGGACGAGAGAGGAGUCGGGGGCCGAGAGUGGUGGUCGCGACGGGGGAGGAGUCUGGGUACGAGAGAGAAGAGAGGUGGUGAGAGGAUAAGGUCGGGUGGAGGUGAGUGGUGGGCCAGCCGAGUUGAGUGGAUGCGGUGGAUCCUGGGUGGGAGAGGCAGCGACGGUGGGAUGGGCCGCCACGUCAUCGAUCCAUGGGAUCGAUCCGCGUGGUGUGCUUUCUCUUUGCCGUCAUCCGGUUAUUUUUCAAGACGACAAAUUAAGUCGUUGCCGUCAUCCGGUUUUUUUACAGACGACAAAAUAUUUUUUCACCACGUCCGUGCGUGGUGGUGUAGGUGGGGGUUGGGUCGUCGGUCGUGUACGUCUACGUAGUCCUUUCCCAACGUCCAUUCNNNNNNNNNNNNNNNNNNNNNNNNNNNNNNNNNNNNNNNNNNNNNNNNNNNNNNNNNNNNNNNNNNNNNNNNNNNNNNNNNNNNNNNNNNNNNNNNNNNNACUUGGAGAUGAAGUCGCCAGCUUGGGUAGAACCCGGCCCAAACUAGGCGGGUUACCAACCAGAUAAUUAUCCCCCUAACGAUUUAGGCCCCCAGAUUGACUUGAAUUUUUUUUCACCGCCAAAUAUUUCUCACCCACGUUAGGGCGAUUCAUCUCAAUCCUUUUACGAACCAUGCACUUAAAACCGCCAUCUGUUGCGGAAAAAACUUCAAGUCGCCGAACCACUUCUUGUUGGCGCCUUCUUAGUCCCUUUAACCUCGGAAGAGAUGAUUGACGUAAUCUCCAACGGAUCCUUCGGUUAUUGCUAUCCCGAAAAUUUUGGGGCGCCAUCAUGGCGAAUCUUUAUCUUUUUUGGCAGUUACCCACUCGUGGCGCCCUCGAUCCCAGCGCCUGACCUUGCCAUGACAAAUGAAGAUGAUAUGUGUCACAAGUGCACACUUGAAGUUUGCCAUCAUGUUCUAACUUCUAUGCCGGUGGCUGUGGAGGAACAAGUGUGUCGUGACGAGGGUGGUGUUGGCUAAUUGAGGUAUGAACCNNNNNNNNNNNNNNNNNNNNNNNNNNNNNNNNNNNNNNNNNNNNNNNNNNNNNNNNNNNNNNNNNNNNNNNNNNNNNNNNNNNNNNNNNNNNNNNNNNNNAAAAAAGGACUCUUGUAAAACCCUAAGGGACUUUGACCCUGUAUAUGAAGGGCGAGUCCCAGGGGAAGGAGAGGGGGAGGUUAGAAAUCAUCGAGUGCUUAGGGUCAGGCGAGUUACGCCCCCCUUGUAAUCGAAAACACCAUCAAUACAAAACACCAAAMCAGGGACGUAGGCCUUUACCUCCUAACGAGGGGCCGAACCUGGGUAAAUCUCUGGCCUCGCUCCCCGCAUAMCCCCUUUUGAGUUGCCACCAAGAUGCGAUGGGCUCCAACACUAAGUACUUUCACGAGGACAUCUGCCGUGACAAAACAACGACACCUUCCACCAGCCCAGUCGCAUGGGCUUAGGUGGGGAGGGGCGCCCAGCCCACCAGGCGCUGGUAUGCACUCUUCUCAGCCCAUGUGGCCCCUCGGGGCAGGUCGGACCCUUUCAACACUCCUGGUACUCUGAGGUAAUGCCCGAACUUUCCGGUGACCAAAAAUGGAACUUCCUGUAUAUGAAUAUUUACCUCCUACCUAUUUUGAAGAUCCUAAAUCCCUUAAACUUAAGAGAAUAUGUACUCAUCAUCAGAGUGGUCUGAUCGCGCGAAGAAAACUUUACAUCCAUCUGAUAAGUGGGGANAUUACUGUCCAGUGUCUUAUGGUACAUAGCAAUGAUNNNNNNNNNNNNNNNNNNNNNNNNNNNNNNNNNNNNNNNNNNNNNNNNNNNNNNNNNNNNNNNNNNNNNNNNNNNNNNNNNNNNNNNNNNNNNNNNNNNNGAGAGAGAGAGAGAGANAGAGUAGAGGAGAGAGAGAGAGAGAGAGAGAGAGACGAGAGAGAGAGAGAGUAGAGAGAGAGAGAGAGAGAGAGAGAGAGAGAGAGAGAGAGACGACGACGACGUACGUCGUCUCUCUCUCUCUCUCUCUCUCUCUCUCUCUCUCUCUCUCUCUCUCUUCUUCUUCUUCUUCUUCUUCUUCUUCUCUCUCUCUCUUCUUCUUCUUCUUCUUCUCUCUCUCUCUCNCUCCUCCUCCUCUUCUCCUCUUCUUCCUCCGCUUCUUCUUCUUCUUCCUCUUAUUUCUAGUUCUAUUUUUCUUUAUCCUCUUCUUCUACUUAUUCUUCUUUUCUUCUUUUUUUCUCUUCUUCUCCUUAUUUUCUUCUUCUUAUCUUCUUCUCUUAUUCUUUUCUACUUCUCCUUCUUAUUUCUUUUCUUCGCCUCUUCUUCUUCUCCUUCUUAUUUUUUUUCUCUCCUCUUCUUCUUCUUCUUCUUCUUCUUCUUCUUCUCCUUCUUUAUUUUUUCUCUUCUUCUUCUUCUUCUUCUUCUACUUCUUCUCCUCCUCCUCCUYCUCNCNCCNCNCNCUACNCNCUCUCUCUCUCUCUCUACUCUCUCUCUCUCUCUCUCUCUCUCUCUCUACUNNNNNNNNNNNNNNNNNNNNNNNNNNNNNNNNNNNNNNNNNNNNNNNNNNNNNNNNNNNNNNNNNNNNNNNNNNNNNNNNNNNNNNNNNNNNNNNNNNNNGACUGGUUCUUUACGUCUCUGAAUUGGACUACCUCCUUUCCCAACACUUUGGUAUGUCCCUUGCCAUGGCCUGUAUCCGAUCAUAUUCCCUGUUCGGUCGAAAUAGAAACCAACAUUCCACGCAACAAAACGUUCCGCUUUGAAACAUACUAGAUUGCCCACCGAGGGUUUAUGGAGACAGUCUCGCUAGCAUGGAAUAAACCCGUCAAACAUGGUCAGAAUAGCAAUGCAACAACGAUAAUCUGUCAGAAACUUACAGCUGUUCGAUUUGCACUAUGAAGAUGGAGUAGCGGUAUCUCCCGCCUUAAGGUAGCAACCAUCAACACCAAUAAGGCGUUGCUGGAGUUAGACUCCCUCAAAGAUCGACGUACUCUCACCACGCCAGAAUGAAACUUCCGACGCGUCCUCAAAAAUCACCUUCUCAGGUUGCUAAAAUACCAGAAAGAAUACUGGGGCAAGAGAUGCUCCAUCAGAUGGAUCAAGUUUGGAGAUGAAAACACAAAGUUUUUUCAAACAGUGGCAACUGAACGGUAUCGACGCAACUUUGUGGCUACACUCAGAACUGAUGCAGGGAUCGUGGUUGAGACACAUGCCAGCAAGGAGGCUCUCCUGUUUGACACCUAUAGAAGAAGGAUGGGCGCGGCAAGAGCUCCCGAUAUACGGUUUGAUUGAACGCAACUACGGCGACAAGGCAUCGACUUUGAAGUUCUUACGAUCCCCUUUGCACAAGAGGAAAUAGACCCUGUAGUGAAAGAGAUGCCAGCUGACAAAUCUCCAGGGCCGGACGGUUUUAACGGCGCCUUUCUUAAAACUUGUUGGCAUAUCAUCAAGAAAGACUUCUAUGAUCUUUGUGACGAAUUCCACCGAGGUAAUCUCAACUUGGAACCUCUGAAUUAUGGGCACAUCACGCUCAUCCCCAAGACGGCUUCUCCUGAGACAGUGAACGACUAUCGUCCCAUUACCCUGCUUAACUGCUGCCUCAAGAUGAUCACCAAGAUACUGGCGCAGCGACUCCAGAAGAUCAUUCUACAGAUUGUGCAUUAAAACUAGUAUGGGUUCCUCCGUGGUAGAUCUAUACAUGACUGCUUGGCAUGGGCUUUCGAGUAUAUACACCAAUGUCAAAGCUCUCGAAAUGAUAUAGUCCUGCUUAAAUUAGACUUUGCUAAAGCUUUUGAUACGGUUGAACAUUCGGCUAUGAUCACCAUCAUGCAACGUAUGUGGUUUAAUUCAAAGUGGAUCCAAUGGAUGCAAUGCAUCUUCUCGUCUGGAAAAUCAUCGGUAUUACUGAAUUGAGUCCCUAGUAAACAAUUCCCCUGCAGAUGUGGAGUAAGACAGGGAGACCCUCUCUCACCAUUGAUAUUUGUGCUGGCGGCGGACAUACUCCAAACAAAGAUUAACAAACAACUAAAUUUGGGCUUGUUAUCCCACCCUAUCGACACAAGAGGCGAUGCUGACUUUCCAGUAAUCCAAUAUGCCGAUGACACCAUCAUCAUCAUGCACGCGUGUGAUGUCAAGGCUGCGAGAAUGAAAAGAAUACUAGAUGACUUCGCCACGACGAUAGGGCUCGGGAUUAACUAUCAGAAAUCAACCCUAGUUCCUAUCAAUGUGACUCAAUAGGUAUGUGACAACAUCAUCUCGAUCUUUCGUUGUGCGCAGGCAACAAUGUCGUUCACCUAUCUAGGGCUCCCGCUGGGUACAUCUAAACCUAAUUUCCUGGAUAUGACACCGUUAGUCUGUAAAGCGGAGAGGAAAAUCACAGCUGCCAUGGCGCUGAUGUCGCAUGCGAGCAUAUUGGCCUUGAUGAACUCACUGGUCACGUCGCUACUCGUGUACCCAAUGUGGACCCUCAGAAUCCCCCCAACGAUUGUAGAACAAUUUGAUAAACUCCGGAGGACGUGCCUAUGGAGAAAAAAGACUGAAGAUGGAUUCAAAAGUAAUACACUAGUGGCGUGGAACGCAGUUUGCCGCCUGAAAGAGUAUGGCGGCCUAGGGGUCCUGAACCUCAAACUACAGAAUGACGCGAUGCUUCUAAAGAUGCUUCACAAGUUCAACAACAGAAAAUAAAUCCCAUGGGUAGCAUUGAUCUGGAACACACACUACGGGGGAGCAAUCCCCCAUGCGCAAGAUCGUUGUGGCUCUUUCUGGUGGCGAGAACUGACUAAACUUAUGCCGGUGUUCCAAGGUAUAAAGCGAGUCAAUGUUAACAAUGGUCUCUCAACGCUCUUUUGGAAAGACAACUGGAACAAUGCCGUAUAUGCAGAAAAGUUCCCUCGGGCUUUCUCCUUUGCUAGAACUGAAGAUGCCUCGGUUCAGAACUUCUUGGGGACUAGCUCGCUUCAAGAAGCCUUCUCGCUGCCCCUGUCAGAACAAGCGCAUAAUGAACUCAGAAUGAUGCAACAAGAAAUCAGAGACGUGCAGCUAAACCCUAGGGGAGAUGACUGGGUGUGUUCUUGGGGAGCUGGCACCUUUGAAACGGUAGCAUAUCGACGUUUCUAUUUGAAAGAGACUACGGUGCACCCAGCGUUUCACUGGCUGUGGAAAACAAAGUGUGUCCCAAAGAUCAAGGUAUUUGGAUGGUUUUUGCUGAUGGACAGGCUCAACACAAGGAAUAUGCUCAAACAGAGACAUUACAACAUAGGGGAUACUCUCGAUUGCAUGCUAUGCGAUCGACACAUGGAGGAAACACUGGAACAUCUCUUCUUCAAAUGCAGCUUUAGCCAGCGCUGUUGGAAUAUGCUCAACAUCAAAUGGUCAGAACAACAACAUAGACUAGAGAAACUACAACAUCAGAGGACAACACACCCCAGGGACAUGUUCAUGGAUAUUUUUCUGGUGGCAGCCUGGAGUCUAUGGAAGGAAAGAAAUAACAAGUGCUUUGAGCAAAUAACCCCAUCUCUUGGGGCCAGCCGACGUCAGUUUGUACCAGACAUCUCCAAUCUUAGACACCGUGUGCCUACUAGCAAAGUGCAAAACAUAGAUAACAUUGUGGCAACCCUAGCUGAUAUCACGUAAUAUGUAACCUCACCCUGCCCACCUCCCCCCUCCCCCCCAUCCCCAUUCCACCCCCUCCCCAUCAUGUACAUGUGUAACUAUUGGCUUUAUAUAUACAUGCAGUAGGAUUUUAUCCUACUGUCUUACACUCAAAAGAAAGCAAGCAAGUUGGAUGCACACCCACUAGUUUUCUUUAAGAGCUUUCACAUAGUCUUAGCUCUAGUGCAUCAUUUGUAUGGCAAUCCCUACUCAUUCACAUUGAUAUCUAUUGAUGAGCAUUUCCAUAGCUCAUUGAUAUGCCUAGUCAAUGUGACCAUCUUCUCCUUGUUUGCCUUGCAACCUCCACCACACUCCACUCCACUUAUAGUGCUAAAACCAUGGCUCACGCUCAUGUAUUGCAUGAGAGUUGAAAAAGUUUGAGAAAGUAAAGGUGUGAAAACAAUUACUUGGCCAAUACCAAGGUUGUGCAUGAUUUAAAUUCGUUUUGCAAUGAUGAUAGAGCAUAGCCAGACUAUAUGAUUUUGUAGGGAUAACUUUCUUUUGUCCUUGUUAUUUUGAAACUUCAUGAUUACCUUGCUAGUUUGCUUGAAGUAUUAUUGUCUCCACGUCAAUAGAAAACUAUUGUUUUGAAUCUAAUGGAUCUGAACAUUCACGUCACAUAAGAGGAGUUACAAAGGACAUCUAUGCUAGCUAGCAUGAAAGCAUAAAAAUUCAUUCUUUAUCACUUCCCUACUCGAGGACGAACAGGAGUUAAGCUUGGGGAUGCUUGAAACGUCUCAAACGUAUCUAUAAUUUUUGAUGGUUUCAUGCCGUUAUCUUGUCAACUCUCGAUGUUUUAUAUUCCUUUUAUAUGUUUUUUGGGACUAACUUAUUAAUUCAGUGCCAAGUGCCAGUUCCUGUUUUUCUGUGUUUUUGACUCUUUUCAGAUCUGAUUUUGGAACGGAGUCCAAACGGAAUAAAAUCCCCAAAAUAAAAUUUUCCAGAACAGAAGAAGAUCGGUGGACUUGAGGGCCAAGGCAGGAGGCCCACAGGGAGCCCACAAGCCCUAACGCCACGGCCAGGGGGGCCCGCGGCGACUAGGCUUGUGGGCUCCUUGGCGCUCCUCUGCCCUAGCUCUUUCGCCUAUAUAUUCCCUAAAAUCCCAGAAAAAAUCAGGGCAUCCACGAAAACACUUUCCGCCGCCACAAGCUUCCGUUUCCGCGAGAUCUCAUCUCGAGACCCUUCCUGGUGCCCUGCCGGAGGGGACUUUGGAGUUGGAGGGCUUCUACAUCAACAUCAUCGCCUCUCCAAUGACUCGUGAGUAGUCCACUUCAGACCUAUGGGUCCGUAGUUAGUAGCUAGAUGGCUUCUUGUCUCUCUUGGAUCUUCAAUACAAAGUUCUCCAUGAUCUUCAUGGAGAUCUAUCCGAUGUAAUCCUCUUUGGCGGUGUGUUUGUCUAGAUCCGAUGAAUUGUGGAUUUGUAAUCAGAUUAUCUACGAAUUAUACUUGAGUCUUUGAUGAUUUCUUAUAUGCAUGAUUUUAUAUCCUUGUAAGUCGCUCCGAGUCUUGGGUUUUGUUUGGACAACUAGAUCUAUGAUUCUUGCAAUGGGAGAAGUGCUUGGUUUUGGGUUCAUACCGUGCGGUGUCCUUUCCCAGUGACAGAAGGGGCAGCAAGGCACGCAUCGUGUUGUUGCCAUCAAGGGUAACAAGAUGCGCUUUCAUCAUAGAUUUGAGAUUGUUCAUCUACAUCGUGUCAUCUUGCUUAAGGCGUUACUGUGUUCUUAUGAAAUCAAUACACUAGAUGCAUGCUGGAUAGCAGUGGACAUGUGGAGUAAUAGUAGUAGAUGCAGAAAGUAUUGGUCUACUUGUUUUGGACGUGAUGCCUAUAGAUAUGAUCAUUGCCAUAGAUAACGUCAUGACUUUGCGCGGUUCUAUCAAUUGCUCGACAGUAAUUCGUUCACCCACUGUCUACUUGCUUUCAUGAGAGAAGCCACUAGUGAACACUACGGGCCCUGGGUCUAUUCACAACUAUCGCUUCCACUUUUACUUUUACUUUGCUUUGUUUACGUUUUGCUUUCAGUUCUUACUUUGAAAAAAAUCUAUAAGGGAUUGACAACCCCUUCAUAGAGUUGGGUGCAAGCUCUUUGUGUUUGUGCAGGUACUUGUAACUUGACGCGAUCCUCCUACUGGAUUGAUACCUUGGUACUCAAACUGAGGGAAAUACUUACUGCCGCUGUGCUACAUCACCCUUUCCUUUUCAAGGGAACACCAACGCAAGGCUCCAAGGCCGCGGGGGAAUCCUUUGCAUAUUUCCCAAGGAAGUCCCUAUAGGCGUAGCACAUAGUAGAAGGAUUCCCGGUGCCGUUUCCAGGGAAUGUCUUUUGUUGCCGUAGCACAAGUCCAAGGUAUGGACUAGGUGAGAACUAUGCCCCCGUUGCUAGACUUGAAGCCAUUCACAUUCUUAUCACUUAUGAAAAUCAACAUGAUAUUACUCUUUGCCAAAUGGAUAUGAAAAGUAUUUUUUUAAAUGGUGAAAUUGAGGAGGAAGUUUUUGGCAAACAACCUCCUGGUUUUGUGAACCCUGAAAAACCUAAUCAUGUUUAAAAACUUUGUAAAUAUUUAUAUGGUCUGAAACAAGCCCCUCGAGCUUGGUACAAAUGCCUAACAAAGAGUCUCAUUGAAAAGGGUUUUGAGAUUGGUCAAAUUGACGUAGCUUUAUUCACUAGAAGAGUAAACGGCAAACUAUUUGUGUGCCAAAUAUAAGUGGAAGAUAUUAACUUUGGAUCUACUAACCCACAUUUUGGUGAGAAAUUUGGAAGGUUGAUGUCACACAAGUAUGAGAUGUCCAUGAUGUGUGAUCUGAAAUUCUUCCUUGGUUUGCAAAUCAAACAAUCGAGAGCAGGUACGUUUAUCUCUCAAACCAAGUACACCAAGGACUUAAUCAAGAAGUUCAACAUGAAAGAGUGUAAAGUUAUGAGAACCCCAAUGCCUACUAUUGGACAUGUUGACCUCACGAAGGAGGACAAACCGAUUGAUCAAAAGGUUCGUUGAUAAAUGAUCGGUUCAUUGCUAUAUCUAUGUGCCUCCCGUCCCAAUGUCAUGUUGAGUGUUUGCAUGUGUGCCUGAUAUCAAGCGACACCUAAGGAUUGUUAUCUAAAGGUUGUGAAAAGAAUUGUGAGAUACUUGAUACAAACACCAAACUUUGGCAUAUGGUAUCCUAAGGGAUCUUCUUUUAGUCUUGUUGGAUAUUCCGACUCGGACUAUGCCAGAGACAAUAUUGAUAGAAAAUCCACCUCGGGUACAUAUCAAUUUCUUGGGAGGUGUCUUGUGCCUUGGUCAUCCAAGAAACAAAACUUGGUAUCUCUAUCCACUAGCGAAGCAUAAUAUAUUGCCUCCAGAUCAUGUUAUGCGCAUUUACUAUGGAUGACGCAAACUCUUAAGGAUUAUGGUAUUCAUGUGAAACAUGUUCCAUUGUUGCGUUAUAGUGGAAGUGCUAUUAAAAUUGUUCAUAAUCCACUAAACAUUCACGAACUAAACAUAUUCAAGCGCGACAUCAUUUCAUUCGUGAUCAUGUUGGUAAAGGAGAUAUUAAUCUCAAGCAUGUUCGUACCAACAAACAAUUGGCUGAUAUCUUUACAAAACCACUUGAUGAGAAAGUGUUUUCCAUUUGAGGAGUGAGUUGACCAUCAUAUAUAGAUGCUUCAAACUCGAGCUAGACUCACUCGGAUGCAUGCAAGGGCAUGAGCUUACCUUAUUAUUUCAUGAUGCUAUUGAUGUGACACUAUCUUAUAUCUUGGAAAACUAUGCUCCCUUGUAUUGCAUCUAACCUUACUUUAGGUACUUGGAAGAAUUACAAUUCACAAGAUUUCCAUCAACUCACAUCAAACGCAAUCUUGUCAUGGCCAAGUAUCAACAACCCCUUCUUCGAAUAUGAAGGAAGAAGAAAACAAAAUCAUAUCCUUGACAACUACUUGAUGAAUGGAUUCACUCUUGUCAUUUGGACAUAUAAUGUUCUUCCUUGCAUGCGUAACCAAUGUAGGUGAAAAGUGAACCAAAACGACAAGGAUCACUCUCGACUCAAGAUGAUCUUCAUCAACAUUGAGCAUCCACAACAAGUUCACCUACAUGCCACAUCAUCAACAUCAUUCAAAGGUAUGUACUCAUAUCCUUGAUAAAACUUUACACCAAGUCAUGAGGUAAAGCAACUCAAGUGAUAUGAAGACAUCAAAAUGCUUAAUCCAAAAAUGGCACCCCCAUUUUGCACUUAACGAUGAGUAUGACCUAUGAUCAAGCAUUCUUCCUUGACUCCUCAAGUCAAUACACUCUAAUAUAGUUGACCUAGUCACCGACAAACAUCUAGAUGGAGAUUCUUGUAUGGUUCUUAUUUUAAAUUGCAUACUUUCUUGGAACCAUUCAAUUCUCAUCUUAAUCAAAAAAAAUAUUUUCUCUUGGUUUAUUUUUUAAAUAUUUGCAUAUUUCCUUUUUCAAAGUUUGUAUAUAUUUCCUAUCUAUGUGAGUUGAGCACCUAAAUCUCAUUGCAACUUGGUCACACCAAUAUGGGGAACUAGGUCUAACCAAUUUCACCUAGGGGCCUUCUACCAUUCUCGGUUCUACUGAACCAUAUUACCUCGGUGAUUCCGAAUUUAUCAUUGCUUAUGUACUCUUGGUUAUUAUGAACUUUUGACAAAGAGGGAGAAUCUAUUCAGUGAUCGCAAAGUUUAUUACAUCCUAAUCUUUUAUAGAUUAUUUCCAUUGAUGCCAAAGGGGUACACCUUGGUUUCCCAUAAUUCUCAAGGGGGAGAAAAACAUCAAAGCGGGAGAAAUAUUCAGUGAUCUGACAAUACAAGAGGGAGAAAAUGUCUAGGAACCCUAACAAAUAGCGGGAGAUAUUUAAAGGAACUUUUAUCCAUACUCAAGGGGAGAUCAUUGUGGGAACCUUUAUCACAGGAAAAUAAUAUAGGAUCCCUUACUCUCAAUGACCCCUUACCCUCUCACAUUUUUUUGGAAAUUAAUACUAAAGGGGGGAGAUAUAUCAAAGCUUCUAAAUGCUUAUACCAAAAGGGGAGAUCUACCAAAGGGGAGAUCUCCAUAGGGGUGAUAUACCAUACCUUACACAUUCAGGGGAGAACUACCAUUGAGGGGGAGAUAUUUAAAGAUUUAGUUGAGUUUUAUUGCCUACUUUGGAUUGAAUUUGUCUCUCCACCUACUCCCAAUAUUUACAUGCUAUGAUUCGGGAGUAGAGGUAAUCUUACAUAUUCAUUCUGAGGGAAGAAAGUUAUAAAUAUCUUUGGAUACAUAUCUAUUAUCGAAUCUUAUUUUUAAUAUGUCUUCAACAUCUUGGUACUUUUGAAGCUCUUUGCAUCUUUACAUUAAAAUACUCUUGCGUUAUCUAACAUUUGUUUUCCCAAGUGUAUUGCUACUGCUAGGAUGCUCAAGAACCUCAAGGUAAAUAUAUGCAUCAUAUCCUUGUUCAGGAUGAUCUCUUAUCUCUUGCACAUAUUGUUUGUAAGAAUAAUGAGUGUUGAUCUUAGUAAUCUUUCAUUCACAUUUUUUUGAUGCAUAUAGCCAAGAUUCACAUGACUCAUCUUGUCCCUUCUACUAUGUGGAUGCUCAUGCAGUCCAAAGCGAACAUCUCUUAAAGGAGAUUUCACAAAUUUAGGGGGAGCUUGUAUUAGUCAUGUACCUUUCAAAGUUGUCAUAUUCCACUUCCUAUCUUUAUUUUAAGCUCUGAUUGUAUGUUGUCAUUAAUUAUCAAAAAAUGGGAGAUUUAAAGAACAUAUGAUCCCUUGGUGGUUUUGAUGAUUCAUGACAAAAUACAUUGUCUCUUGGACUAACAUUAUUACCUAGUAUAUUUCAGGUAUAGUCCACAAAGAGCAUUGGCUAAAGUAUUGUGUGGAGAAGCCCCAACGAAAGGAAUAGGAUUGGUUAAGCCUCAAGCAAGAGGACUCUACAUUUUAUAUUUGUGGGAAAUCACUUUUGAGUCCAUAGGAAAGCCAAUACUAUUAAAAGGACGAUGUAUUUAUGAUGAAUUGGUUUCUCAAUUGCUUAGAGAUAGGCACCAAAAAAAUUCAGUCAUUCUCCCACGAAUAUAUUUGUUCAAAGCCUUCACAUCAAAAUAGGUGCCACCAGGAAUUCUAUUUCGUCCCUACCGGUUUUCCCAGUGAGAGAUCCGUUGCCAAACCCUAAUCUCUCGGUACCACCAACUUUCAUAUCAGUGCCACCAAAAGACAGUGACCAACUUUAUGGUAUCUCUGUUUCAAGAAUCGGUAUUUCUGAGAUUGAACUCGGUACCAACGAGAAUUGGAAACUACCCUAGGUCAUCGAAUUGGUACCAACGACAUUUGUAUAUUGGUCUCACCAAGAACUCAAAAGUUGCCACAUUUAGUGCAAAUCGGUACCAUCGAGAUUCAUUUUGGUGUCACCGAGUUGGGCAAUAAUGUUGUAACGGUUGGAUUUUUGGAGAUGCCUAUAUAUAACCCUCCACCUCCUCUCAUUUGCAGAGGAAGCACUCAUGACACACUUACACUUGCCAUAUCCAUUUUUCUAAGAGAGAACCACCUACUCAUNAAGAUAUUCCAAUCCAACCGUUUGAAACUUGAUAUCUAUUCUCCUCAAGUUGCUUUCCACCAAAUCAAUCUCUCCUUCCCAUGACAAAUCUGUGAGAGAGUGAUUGAGUGUUGAGGAGACUAUCUUUUGAAGCACAAGAGUAAGUAGUUCAUCGUUCUACCGCAUCUACUACCUUUUGGAGGGUGGUGCCUCCUAGAUUGGUUAGGUGUCGCUUGGUAUCCUCCUACUUCGUGUUUUGGAGUUGAACUAAGAAGUUUGUACAUGCAAGGAGAUUGCCUACUUCGUGAAGAUCUACCCUGAGUGAGGCUAGUCAUGUGUGGACGUAAGCCAUGGUGGAAUAGACAAGGCCGGUUCUUUGUGGACCCCUUCUGGGUGGAGCCCUCCGUGGGCUCUCGUAACCGUGACCCUUCGUGGGUUGAAGUCUCCACUAGCAUGGACAUACGAUAGCACCACCCAUCGAAACCACGUCAAAAAUCACCGUGUCUUCUAUGCGUUUGAUCUUCCUAAACACUACGCCUUACUUAUACGUGCAAUGUCUUUACUUUCCGCUACCAUAUAUGUUGACUAGAAUGUGUAGGGUGCACUAGACUUGUUAGAAAUGCUAAAAUUUUCCAACCACUAAAAUUGGGAAAAUUCUAGGAUUUUAAUUUAUGCAAGUAGUCUAUCUACCCCCUCUAGACAUCCCUUCGAGUGAUCCCAUAGAACACGUACAAACAAGGUUGGGGCAAUCUCCACAACUUAAUUGGAGGCUCCCAACAACAACACGAAGCUUCAUCAUAAUGAAUUGUGGGUCCAAGAUUACCUCAAAUGCUCGAGGCAAUCUCCACAACCUAAUUGGAGACCCCGGACGCUUGCUCGGAGCUUUACACCACAAUGAUUGAGCUCUGAGGCACCACCAACCAUCUAGGGCGCCAAAGCACCCAAGAGCCACAAGCUCUAGGGUUCCCAAACACGCAAGAGUAAUAAGCUUCUCGAACUUCACUUCCACGUAUCGCUGUGGAGAACUCAAAUCGAUUCACCAAAUGCAAUGGCAAGAAGAAAUGAACUGGUCAAGUCCCUGAUACGUCUCCAUCGUAUCUACUUUUCCAAACUCUUUUGCCCUUGUUUUGGACUCUAAUUUGCGUGAUUUGAAUGGAACUAACCCGGACUGACGCUGUUUUCAGCAGAAUUGCCAUGGUGUUGUUUUUGUGCAGAAAUGAAAUUUCUCGGAACAUCCCGAAAAUUUACGGAGAAUAUUUCUCGAAAAUAUGAAAAAUACCUACACAAAGAUCCACCGGAGGGGACGGGCCAGUGGGCUACAAGCCCUGACGCCGCGGACUCCCCCCCUGGCCGCGGCAACCAAGCUUGUGGGGCCCACGUGGCUCUGCCGCCCCCAACUCCAGCGCUAUUUAUUCCCUUUCGUCCCAAAAAAAUCAAGAGAGAAGAUUUCAUCGCAUUUGCAACAUGGAGGCGCCGGCACAUCCUGUUCUUCAUCUGGAGGGCACAUCUAGAGUCAGUUUUGGGCUCCGGAUCAAGGAGAUCGUCGCCAUCGUCAUCAUCAACCUUCUUCCCUCUCCAAUUCCAUGAAGCUCUUCAUCGUUCCUGAGUAAUCUAUUUGUAGGCUCGCUGGGCGGUGAUGAGUAGGAUGAGAUCUAUCAUGUAAUUGAGUUAGUUUUAACGGGGAUUGAUCCCUAGUAUCCACUAUGUUCUGAGAUUGAUGUUGCUACUACUUUGCCAUGCUUAAUGCUUGUCACUAGGGCCCGAGUGCCAUGAUUUCAGAUCUGAAAUUAUUAUGUUGUCACCAAUAUAUGUGUGUUUUAGAUCCGAUCUUGCAAGUUGUAGUUACCUACUAUGUGUUAUGAUCCGGCAACCCCGGAGUGACAAUAACCGGAACCACUCCCGGUGAUGACCAUAGUUUGAGGAGUUCAUGUGUUCACCAAGUGCUAAUGCUUUGGUCCGGUUCUUUAUUAAAAGGAGAAACUUAAUAUCCCGUAGUAUCCAUUUGGACCCCGCUGCCACGGGAGGGAUGGACAAUAGAUGUCAUGCAAGUUCUUUUCCCUAAGCACGUAUGACGACACACGGAAUGCCUGCCUACAUCACAUUGACGAACGGGAGCUAGCAACAUAUCUCUCCGUGUUAUAACUGCUACAUGAUGAAUGGCAUCCAACAAAUCACCGAUCCAUUGCCUACGAGUUUGUCCCACUGCUGCUGUUACUUGUUUUGCUCUGCUGCUGUUACUACUGUUGCUGCUACUGUUACUUGCUUUGUCCUGCUGCUGCUGCCACUACUGUUGCUAAUACUGUUACUUGCUACUGUUGUUACUUGCUACUGUUGCUACUUGCUACUGCUGUCACUACUGCUGUUCCUUGCCACUGCUGCUACUCGUUACACUGCUACUACCUGCUACAAUACUUUUUCUAGCACCGUUGCCGGGAAAGAAUAUUUCCCGUCCACGGGCAACUUACUGGCGCCAUUGAAACAACAGUUAGGAAUAAUCUGCCGUCAACAGAUCGUUUCUGGCACCGUUGUUAUCAUACUACUUUCUACUGAUACUUUGCUUGCACACACUAAUCUUUCAGGUGUGGUUGAAUCUGACGCAUUCAGCUGCUAAUACUUGAGAAUAUUCUUUCACUUCCCGUCGUGCGAACCAACAAAUUUGGGUUGAAUACUCUACCCUCGAAAAUUGUCGCGAUCCCACGCGCUGGUGGGCUAUUGCAAGACAAUUUCUAAUUGUUGAGCAACUGGAAGCAGCACUUUUCUGGCUCCGUUGCCAUGGAGGCAUCAAGUCAGGAAUAGUUGCACGUCAACAACAUUUUUCUGGCGCCGUUGCCGGGGAAGGAUUGAUAUAUUCUCUGAGUCACUUGGGAUUUAUAUCUGUUGAUCACUAUGAAGAAUGUGAAAGAUCCAAAAACCAAAGUCAUGCCCUCAACUACGAGGGGAGGUAAGGAACUGCCAUCUAGCUCUGCACUUGAUUCACCUUCAGUUAUGAGUAAGUUUGCGACACCACCUCCUGCUAGAAAACUUGAUAUGUCGCCUGUGCUUGAUGAUGCUUAUGAUGCUACUCCUAGAGAUACUAUGCCUCAUGAUGCUAGAGAUGCUAUGCCUGAUACUGCUAGAGAUGCUAUGCCUGAUAUUGCUAGAGUUGCUAUGCUUGAUACUGCCUUGCCCGAUGAUGCUAGAUAUGCUAUUUUUCCUGAUGAUGCUAUGCUUGAUACUGCUACAGAUACUACUUUGCCUGAUGUGCCACUAGGGGCAUUCCUUGAUGCUCAUAUUGCAAGAGUUACUGCCAAUUCUCGUGAUGCUUCUGAAACUGCCAAUACUAUUGAGAUAGAACCUGCUUUUGCUCCUGCUAGAUCUAGCUCUCCUAGAUAUGAAUUGCCUGAUAUACCAGAGGGUUAUGUUAUGGAGGGAGAGAUAGCUGAGGAUUUUCUUGCGUGUAAGGAUGCCUAUGACGCUGAGAAAUCACUUCUCAAGUGGAAGGAAAAAUCUCUGAAAGCUAGGAUGAAAUACGACCCAAAGUUUGCCACUUCACCUAUCUUUAUCACCGAUGAGGAUUAUGAAUUCUCUGUCGACCCUGAGAUAAUCUCUCUAUAUGAAUCUGAUCCUUUCCACAGUUAUGAGUCUGAGACGGUCGUAGCCCAUCUUACCAAACUACACGAUAUAGCCACCCUUUUCACUAGUGAGGAGAAGAUCCGCUACUACUAUAUCCUUAAGUUAUUUCCUUUCUCUCUAAAGGAUGACGCUAAAGCCUGGUUCACUUCUCUUGCUCGUGGAUGUGUGAGUAGUCCCCAGGAGAUGGUCUAUUACUUCUGUGAGAAAUAUUUCUCUUCCCAUAAGAAGCAAGCUGCCUUGUAGGAAAUAUACAACUUUGCUCAACACAAAGAAGAGAGUCUCCCACAAGCUUGGGGGAGGCUCAUCCAGCUACAGAAUGCUUUGCCUGAUCACCCUCUUAAGAAGAACGAGAUACUUGAUAUCUUCUAUAACGGACUUACCGAUGCUUCUAGAGACCACCUAGAUAGUUGUGCCGGUUGUGUUUUUAGGGAACGAACUAUAGAACAAGCUGAGAUCCUACUGAAUAACAUCUUGAUCGACGAUAAUGCUUGGACUAUUCCCGAACCACCUCCUAAGCCAACUCCGAAGAAAAUAGGUAUUCUAUUCGUCAGUCCUGAAGAUAUGCAAGAAGCCAAGAAAUCUAUGCAAGAGAAAGGCAUUAGAUCUGAAGAUGUCAAAAAUCUACCGCCCAUCGAAGAGAUCCAUGGUCUCGAUAAUCCGAUACAGGUAGUAGAAGUAAAUUCUCUGUGUAGGUUUGAUGAGAGUGAUAUUCCUUUUGACAAACCUGCUAGCCUAUGCUUUGAUGAAUUUGACAACUUUGUUGCCAAACAACAGAGUUUCAAUGAUUAUGUUAGCAGACAAUUGUAACAAAGUACUCGUAUGCUUAGUCAUUUAAGUGCUUGUGUAGACAGAAAUGUCAAUGAUCUGAAGCUUCUGAGUAAACAUGCCUCUAUGAUUACUAAUCAGGUAGAACAAGUACUUAAAGCUUAGAAUGACUUGCUCAAUGAAUUAAAUGACAAAUCUGUCAGAGUCAUUACUAGAGGAGGCAAAAUGACUCAGGAACCUUAGUAUCCUGAAGGCCAUCCUAAGAGAAUUGAUCAAGAUUCUCAAGGAAUUAAUGCUGAUACACCCACUCAUCCUAAGAAGAAGAAGAAGGAUGAUAGAAACCUACAUGUCAAUUCACCAAAUACCGUCACACCUGAAGAACCAAAUGAUAUUUCUGCGUCUGAUGCAGAAACACAAUCUGGUGACGAACAUGAACCUGGUGACAAUAUGGACAGCGAUGUUCAUAAUAAUGCUCAACCUAGCAAUAAUGAGGAUGUAGAGAUUGAACCUACGGUUAAUCCUGAUAACCCACAACCUAAUAGAUACGAUAAGAAUGACUUCACUGCUAGGAAUCAUGGUAAAGAAACGGAGUCAUGGGUUCAGAGACCUAUGCCCUUUCCUCCUAAGCCAUCCAAGAAAAAGGAUGAUGAGGAUUUUGAGUGCUUUAUUGAAAUGAUAAGACCCGUCUUUCUGCAGAUGCGGUAAAUUGAUAUGCUCAAAAUGUCUCCAUAUACCUUGCUCCUAAGAAACAUGGUGAUCCCGGAGUGCCCACUAUACCUUGCUCCAUUAAAGGAAACUACGUAAGAACUGCCUUAUGUGACCUUGGAGGUGGUGUUAGUGUUAUGCCUCUCUCCCUUUAUCGUAGACUUGAACUGGAUAAGUUGACACCCACUGAAAUUUCUCUGCAAAUGGCCGACAAAUCAACUGCUUUCCUUGUCGGCAUUUGCAAGGAUAUGCCUAUUGUGGUUGCUAACACCACUAUCUUAACAAACUUUGUUAUCUUGGAUAUUCCCGAGGACGAUGCCAUGGCUGUCAUCCUUGGAAGACCCUUUUUAAACACUGCAGGGUCUGUUAUAGAUUGCUACAAAGGCAAUGUCACCUUCCAUGUCAAUGGUAAUGAGCAUACAGUGCACUUUUUGAAGAAAUGAUAUCAAGUACAUUGCAUCAAUGCUAUCGAAAAACUUCAUCGAUUCUUAUUGGGAGCUUUGAAUGCCCUAUUCCCCGUGUCAAGAUGAAGUAUGAUUUGCUUGUUGGGGAGAUACAUAUCCCCAUUGAGGUGACCUAGUGACUAUUCAAAAAUUCUCCGUUCUCUUUUGCGAUUCGAGAAAAUUUUGUCAUGAGGAUUUGAUAAACCCCAUUGACGGAUUUCUUUCGAUGACCAUGAAAUGGAUGAAUCAAAGAGUUACAUGCCUCUGUUUUAAGCUUUUACUUUCUGUUGCUUAGAAGAAAAAUGAUAGAUUUAGUUUAGUUUUCCCUAUUUCCUGUUUUAGCGUCCCGGAGAAAAGUACCCCAAAAAUAAAAUUUCUCCGAUGGUCCUGAAAAUCAAAUAUGAUUUUUUCUGGAAUAUUUGAAAAAUACUGGGACUGAGAGCUGGCCUGGGGGCCACACCAGUGGGCACAAGCCCUGUCACUGCGGCCUCCCCCCUGGCCGCGGCAACCAAGCUUGUGGGGCCCACAGGGACCCCCUCCACUCAUUCCAGCUCCCAUCCUCUUCUUCUACCUCCAGAAAAAAUCGUUUCACAGCUCAAACCCGUGUUCUUGCUCAUUUGGCUGUGAUUUUCGAACUCCUUGCUCAAAGCACCAUUCUCCGAACCGUUUUGGGGAAAUUACUCCUUGGUAAGUGACUCCUCCAUUGGUCCAAUCAGUUUCUACUCUAGUGCUUUAUCCUUACCGUAUUCUUGCUACCUUGGUGACCCUGUUCUUGAGCUUGAAAUGUUGGUUUUAGCUGGUCCCAAGCAGUUUUAACGCGUGAUACGGUCUCUAGGCAUUAGUAGGAGUAGUUGCUACAAGGUGUGGUUGGUCUUUAUUCACUUUUCUCUUGAACUUCAAAAAUUUCAGCAAAAAUAAAUUAUGUUCAGGAGGAAGUUUCAUGGUGGUUCCUCAAGUAAGAAGGGUCCCCGUCUUUCUAUUCGGGAGCCCGAUCCUUAUCAACUAAGAUAAGCACCGGUACAACCAUGUGAAUGGCCUUCCGAUGAGUUCAUGAUCGAAGCAGGCUUCAAGGAUGAGUUUGAUACACUUGUCUGCAAUGUCGGGUUAGAAGAAUUCCUCUCAAAUAAAUGUGAACAGUAUGCUUUGCUCACUGCCUCUUUCGUGUGUAGAUUUAAAUUUUUAGUUGGGCGUGACUCAUCCAUACCGUUUGACCUGUAUGAUAAAUCCUACGCCAUGGAUUUGGAGGAUUUCAAUAGGAUUUGCAAGAUACCCGAUGGGGGAAAUCUUAAAGAUCCUGCUAAGUCUUCGGUUAGAGAUUUUGUCUCUAGUAUAACUGUUGGAGAAACUAGAGACAUCACGCAAGCUACCAUAGGAAGCAUUCAUUUCCCUGGCUUGCACUACUUUUCCCUCUUCAUAGGUAAUGCAUUAACGGCAAGGUUGAACAUUGUCACCUAUGCGCAUCCGACCUUAGUAUCCUUAAGAGCGCAGUGACGGGUGACAAAAGCUUCAACAUGGGAGCUAUUAUAGCAAGGAGGAUGAAUAAGAAUGCUAUUGAUGGGGAUUUCUUUGGCGGCAUCUAUGCCACUUGCAUAGCAAAUUUUCUUGGAGUACCCAUCCGCGCAGGAGAUCCCCCGCUCCAUACAGCUUUCCUUGACCACGUCGCUAUGACACGCUACCAGUUCCUUGAGAGGGAUGAUGAAUCCCUCCUAUACCGAUUGAUAUUUAACCGGCAACGUGUUUUCCAUAUUACCCUUCCUGCUCCUGCUUUGUUUGACUUUCAGGUAAAACGGAGAUACUACAUAACCAUAGGAGAGGCAUAGGAGUAUGAGAGGGAGGCGACGGCUGCUCGUCUCUGUGAGGCAACUAUUUAGGCAGUGGCUGCAGCGCUCCCGUAUAACCCCGAUUAUGAUUUUGGGUUUUGCCAGGACCGUCCUUGGGAGUAGACCAAGCGAGGCCAAAAGCCUAAGCUUGGGGGAGUACGUGUUUGCACCAACUUUACAUUCAAGCUUAUGCUUUCACUUUGUUAGUCAGUGUUUACACUUUGCCACUGUAUUAUCCAUGCUAGUUUAUUUUCGUUUUCUUGUUUUGUGUCAUUUUGAGAAAACCCAAAAGUAUUUUUCUUUCUUCUUUUGCUUGCUGGGAGCUUUCUCGUGUAAAUAGUUUUCUUUUUCUUUGUGUCAAGGUAGAAGAUAUUGGUUACAAUGUUUAGUGGUUCUUGCAUGCAUACCUGUUUAGCUUUCAAAGAGCCAUAUUACUUUGUCUUCUCCUUUGUGUUUGCCUGCAGAUUCAGCUUAGUCCAAUGCACGAGAACUCUUAUUAUUGUUCACUUCGUUCGAUCGUGCAAGUGAAAGACAAUAAUGAUGAUAUAUGAUGAAGUGACUGAGACUNUUUUUGUCCUUUGAGAAAACCCAAAAAGAUUUUCCUUUCUUCUUUUGCUUGUUGGGAGCUUUCCGUGUAAAUAGUUUUCUUUUUCUUUGGGUCAAGGUAGAAGAUAUUGGUUACAAUGUUUAGUGGCUCUUGCAUGCAUACCUAUUUAGCUUUCAAAGAGCCAUAUUACUUUAUCUUCCCCUUUGUGUUUGCCUGUAGAUUCAGCUUAGUCCAAUGCAUAAGCACUCUUAUUAUUGUUCACAUCGUUCGAUCGUGCAAGUGAAAGGAAAUAAUGACGAUAUAUGAUGAAGUGACUGAGACUGGAAAAGCUCGUAUGAACUCUAUCUAUUUUGUUUUUGUAAAUAUGGCUAGCUUGUCGUUCCAGAUUCAGCUUUGUUGAGAGAGAACCAUGUUUGCAAAAACAACUUAGAGAUCAUAGUUUUGGAUUCCAUGCUUAAUUAGCUAGGAGCUUAUAAUGGUUUGUCUUGAAUGCCAACAUGGAUUUUGAGAUGACUAUAAUGUAGUAUGAUAGGAUGGUAUUCUCCUUUGAAUGAUUCAAGUGGCUUGACUUGACGCAUGUUCAUGCAUGUAGUUGAAACAGAAUCAACAUAGCCUAUAUGAUGUUCGUGUUCAUGGUGAUUUAUAUCCUAUUCAUGCUUGCACCCAAUGUUAGUCAAACUCAUUGCAUCUUGAUGACUGUUGUCGCUCUCUAGUUGGUCGCUUCCCAGUCUUUUGCUAGCCUUCACUUGUACUAAGAGGAAUACUGCUUGUGAAUCCACUUCCAUAAACCCAAAAGUUUUUUCAUGAGAGUCCACCAUACCUACCUAUUUGCGGUAUCUACCUGCCGUUCCAAGUAAAUUUGCAUGUGCCAUUCUCUAAACCUUCAAGAAAUUUUCUAUUUUGCUUGCCCGAACCGCUCAUGUGGUGACAGGGGGCUAUUGGUAUCUUCCAUGUUAGGCGUGUUAUCCUCGACAUGUGUUUAUUCACUGUCAUUCACGAGAAAGGGGUCGGUAAUUGGAAUCCCAGUUCCACGCUUAAAUCGAAAACAUAACUCUAAAACAAGACUCCCCCCGGAUUGAUGUUAGUAUGGACGGUACCCGAGGAUUGGUUGGUGGUGGGGGAGUUAAAACUUUACUUUUCUGUUUGGGAACCGCCUAUAGCAUUAGUAGCAUGGAAGAUAUUGAGAACUCUUGGUCAUUGCGUUGACAAUGAAAGCAUGCCACCCAAAAUUAUUAUCUCUGUUUUCAAAGCUUGAGCUCUGGCACCUCUGCAAAUCAAUGCUUCCCUCUGCGAAGGGCCUGUCUAUUUAUUUUCCUAUUGAGUCAUCCUCUUCUUAUGUAGAGAGCACCUCUGUCAUUUUUAUGCUUUGCUUGUGAUUGAUAUUGAGUAUGAAUAUGAAUGGAUUUUCGUUGCUAUGAAUUACAAUGUUUAGUCAGCCCUUGAUCUUUGAAAGUGCUCUGCAUUUAUGUUUUGCGGUCUCAGAAAGAGCUAGCGAGAUAUCACCUAUUCAUAUUGCUUCAUGCUUGUUUUGAUUGAAUUGUUGGUAUCCAAAACUCAUUAUUAUUUGCUCGCUAGCUGAUUAUGCCAUUAAUAUUAGUUCACCGUGAGACCUUUGUGUCACUUGCUUAUGUGGUUAACUUGUGAUCUUGCUGAAAUUCUGGUUAUGAGUUAGACAUAGUUGCAACAACAAGAUCAGACAGAGUUUGUCAAAGUUUUUCUUUCUCUCUCAGUUUGUCAACUGAGUUGCUUGAGGACAAGCAAGGUUUUAAGCUUGGGGGAGUUGAUACGUCUCCAUCGUAUCUACUUUCCCAAACUCUUUUGCCCUUGUUUUUGGACUCUAAUUUGCAUGAUUUGAAUGGAACUAACCCGGACUGACGCUGUUUUCAGCAGAAUUGCCAUGGUGUUGUUUUUGUGCAGAAAUGAAAGUUCUCGGAACAUCCUAAAAAUUUACAAAGAAUAUUUCUGGAAAAUUUGAGAAAUACCUGCGCAAAGAUCCACCGGAGGGGACGGGCCAGUGGGCCACAAGCCCUAACGCCGCGGCCUCCCCCCUGGCCGCGGCAACCAAGCUUGUGGGGCCCACGUGGCUCUACCGCCCCCAACUCGAGCGCUAUUAUUCCCUUUCGUCCCGAAAAAAAUCAAGAGAGAAGAUUUCAUCGCGUUUGCAACACAGAGGCGCCGCCACAUCCUGUUCUUCAUCUGGUGGGCAGAUCUGGAGUCCAUUUUGGGCUCCGGAUCAAGGAGAUCGUCGCCAUCGUCAUCAUCAACCUUCUUCCCUCUCCAAUUCCAUCUAGCUCUUCAUCAUUCCUGAGUAAUCUAUUCGUAGGCUCGCUGGGCGGUGAUGAGUAGGAUGAGAUCUAUCAUGUAAUCGACUUAGUUUUGACGGGGAUUGAUCCCUAGUAUCCACUAUGUUCUGAGAUUGAUGUUGCUACUACUUCGCCAUGCUUAAUGCUUGUCACUAGGGCCCGAGUGCCAUGAUUUCAGAUCUGAAAUUAUUAUGUUGUCACCAAUAUAUAUGUGUUCUAGAUCCGAUCUUGCAAGUUGUAGUUAGCUAGUAUUUGUUAUGAUCCGGCAACCCCGGAGUGACAAUAACCGGAACCACUCCCGGUGAUGACCAAAGGUUGAGGAAUACAUGUGUUCACCAAGUGCUAAUGCGUUGGUCCGGUUCUUUAUUAAAAGAAGAACCUUAAUAUCCCGUAGUAUCCAUUUGGACACCGCUGCCACGGGAGGGAUGGACAAUAGAUGUCAUGCAAGUUCUUUUCCCUAAGCACGUAUGACGACACACAUAAUGCAUGCCUACAUCACAUUGACGAACGGGAGCUAGCCACAUAUCUCUCCGUGUUAUAACUGUUGCAUGAUGAAUGUCAUCCAACAAAUCACCGAUCCAUUGCCUACGAGUUUGUCCCACUGCUGUUGUUACUUGUUUUGCUCUGCUGCUGUUACUACUGUUGCUCCUACUAUUACUUGCUGCUAGUGUUACUUGCUUUGUCCUGCUGCUGCUGCCACUACUUUUGCUACUACUGUUACUUGCUACUGUUGUUACUUGCUACUGUUGCUACUUGCCACUGCUUCACUACUGCUGUUCCUUGCCACUGCUGCUACUCGUUACACUGCUACUACCUGCUACAAUAAUUUUUCUAGCACCGUUGCCGGGAAAGAAUAUUUCCCAUCCACGGGCAACUUACUGGCGCCAUUGAAACAACAGUUAGGAAUAGUCUGCCGUCAACAGAUCGUUUCUGGCACCGUUGUUAUCAUACUACUUUGCUACUGAUACUUUGCUUGCACACACUAAUCUUUCAGGUGUGGUUGAAUCUGACACAUUCAGCAUCUUAUACUUGAGAAUAUUCUUUCACUUCCCAUCGUGCGAACCAACAAAUUUGGGUUGACUACUCUACCCUCGAAAACUGCUGCGAUCCCACGCGCUGGUGGGCUAUUGCAAGACAAUUUCUAAUUGUUGAGCAACUGGAAGCAGCUCUUUUCUGGCUCCGUUGCCGUGGAGGCAUCAAGUCAGGAAUAGUUGCACAUCAACAGUCCCUCACACUCAAAUCCCUCCACAACAAUAGAAGCUAUGGAAGGAAAUGAGAGGAAUAAUGAAGGAUCUCACAAAGAACUCCAAGAUCUAGAUCCAAGGGGUUCCCCUCACAAAGAGGAGAAAGUGAUUGGUGGAAAUGUACAUCUAGAUCUCCUCUCUCUUUUCCAUCAAGAACUAGCAAGAAUCAUUCGAAAGAUUGAGAGUUAGCAAGCUUAAAGAAGGACACAAUGGAGGAAGAAAAUGAGCUCAAGAGUGAGGGACCAUUGGGGAAGAAGGACUCCUCAAUUAGACAUCCCAAAAUCCAACAUGCCCACAAGUCGUGCUCAAGCGGUACUACCGCUUGGGGGAAUUGGUACUAUCGCUUAUCACGGUCAAAACAGCCCAACGAGAUAGAAAAACACGAGUGGUAGUUCUGCCAAAGAGGUAGUACCGCUCGGGGGAGAGGUAGUACCUCUUAAGAGGUACUACUGCUCCGUGCCUGGGGUAAAGGUAGUACCACUUGAGAGGUACUACCUUUCUGUACUACCCCUCUACUAUCGUUGAAGAAGAUUGGACACCAGAAUCAGAAAAUAAGCGGAAGUAGAAGUGGUAAUGGUCAGCAGAAGUACCUCUUAAGAGGUACUACCGCUUGAGAGGUACUACCGCUUAAAGCAGUACUUAAGACCAACGAAAACUGAAACCUGCAUAACUGUCGGAUAGAGACUCCAAAAUGAGCAAGCUCAAGCUUGUUGGAUAGAUUACUGAUGGCACUCUCUGGCUAUGGCUAGACGAAUGCUAUUCUCGAUUGCUCAACAAUUAGAAAUUGUCUUGCAAUCACUACAAGGAAUAUGCUAAUACACGACGCUAUUUUUUCGUCGCUACAUCGUCAUGGUUUUUAAUUUACGACGAUCUCACGACGAAAACCAAGCGUCGAAAACGGAGCGUCACAAAUGAACAGCAACGACGUUUUGAUUAAAAUCGUCGUAACUUUUACGACGAUUCCUGGAUUGUCGUAAACUUUACGACGAUCCUAAAUCGUCGUUGGCAAUCAAACUCAGUCCUACGUGGCAGUCCUACGUGGCAAAAUUACGACGAAAUCAAAACAUCAUGGUUGAAAUCAGCCCAACCCAUUUCAAUUGAUCACAUGGGCUGGUUUUAAUUAUUUGGGUUUUUUCUUAUUGGGCUUGUUUUUGGGCCUUAGCCUAUUUGCAGCCACUUCUAGUAUUUUUUCAAUUUUUUUUAUAUCAUCAUAAUUUGGGCCAUGGCCUUUUAGAUCCCAAAUAAAUUUGGUCCAGUUUCAGUUUUGGCCCUUUUUCAUUUUUGAAUUCAGCAACUUUUUGUUCCAUAAUUUGGAUUCAUUUCUAUUUGCUGGGCCUUUUCAACCCAAUUAUUUGUCCAGUAUUAAAUCCAACACUAUUUCAUAUUGAAAUCAAGAAAACUUCAAGUCGAAUUAAAAUCAUCCAUGAUAUAACAUCACAAAAUACAUAUCCCAAGUUUACAUAUCACAAUAAACCAUCUCAUGAAAACAUUUCCUUACACAUGAAUAUAGCAAGAACGAACAAAAUUACACAAUAGAACAAUCGCACAUCUUUUACUGUCCCAACAGUACAGUGGACUUCAUUCCGCUCUCCUAUGAGGCAUGCUCGAGAUGCCACAACUUGUCAAUCUAUAAGAACAUUACACUUCACAUGAAUCAAUCAAAAGGAAACAAAUAUAAAAAAUAUUAGAAAUAAAAAGAUUUAUUUUCAUCCUAAAGAUGAUGUUAAAAAUCCUGAGAUAUAAAUUCUCGAGUAUAAUUAGUCCAACCUAAACAGGUCAGAGAAACUGAAAAUUAAACUUCAAACUAUCUAAGAUUGUUCCAGGAAAUUCUGGACAAAGGAAAUGCAGACAAGCAAACUUAAUAUCUUUAUGGUAUUUUCGCUUUACUAGAGGAAUUUAAGCACCGACACAAGUAGGAGUCAAUGACACAACAAUUAGCAGACAUGUAAGAUAAUACAAAACAAGCUACUCCACGUUACUGUGAUAACCAAGUGCAAACCAGGGUGUAAGAAUAUUAGCCCAAAAAAUCCUUUGGGCAACAUACAUCACUAAAUUACGCUAUCAAUAAGUGCACCAGAGACUCUAAUUUAUUACCUUCAGAAGUUUUAGAUCGAAUCAAAUGAAAACAUGAAAAGGGACUACCAAAGAGCAUUAUUGAUUUAGAUAGAGCUUUGAUGCUGAGUUGAUUUCUCGUGUCAACUGGGGUAAUUCUUUAGCCAGAUUGGAGAAAGGAAACCUGACUAGCACUCAAAAUAUUAACCAGAAGACAAUAGUAAAACAUAAAAGAUGGAUCAGAUUUCCGGCUUUUAAUCCUGAUGGGAUUACAUUUGCGCAUUGUAUACUCAUAGUCGAUAAUUUGGGGACAGUAUCCUCGGGUCCAUAUAACCCAAGGAAAAAAGCAAUUGGUCAUCACAGUAAGUGCAGAAACGUGGUAUGGAUAUGAUAUCAUCACUUCUCACAACAAACAAAAAAUGGUGUAGGAGUUUCUAUUUAUUUAAGACAAGACAACUAUACAGCAUCCAUGACAGAAUGUGUUGCUUACUAGACAUUCAGAAUAAGUAGAGAUACAAAAACAUGACUUCAGAUGCCGAAUAUGCACAGUUUAAUAAUAUACAGUAUCAUGAGACACCUAACAAGUGUUGAUCAUCACUGAUGAAUCAACCACAGAAACCAGCUGCAGAAAGAACAAUAUAGUUGAUAUGUGUAAACGGGGUAUAGUAACAGGAAGCUCCUUCUAUGAGAGCAGCCAGUGUCACAAAAACAUGUUUCCUUCUUGAUGUCUGCCAAUCUAACGAGAAACAAGGCCAUGAAAGCAGACCAAGCAUCAGAUACCUCAUGGCAUCCCAAAUACCACUAUCCAAACAAAAUUUAGUUCAGUGCUAAGAUAUGUAUGGACAAGUUGAAUGCAAAAACCAUCUCAAAGAAUGGUUCGUGCUAGAAUCUUAACCCAAAGUAUCUCUAGGCAACGUACAGCGCUGAAUUACACUACCAAGAAGCGGACCUCAGUACUCAACCUUAAAGCUGAUAAAAAUUUAGCAGAGUAUACCAAAAGAUGAAGGGGAACACUCAGCGUUUCAAAAAAGAAGGCAGCAUCAAAUACUAUAGUAAUUAUUAUUGGACAUGAUAUAGUAAGGUACUUUCACUGGUUAUUGACUGUUUUCAGUUUUCACUAAGCAUAAGUGCAUAAUAUGGAAACAAUAUAAGAGAAACCAUACACCCUCGGAUAUUAAGCUAUUCCAAGUAUGUGAGGUAUACAACUUAUAGGAGCUUACAUGACAUUCGAACCGAUAGUCCCAACGCCCAGAGCAAUGUUCUUCGAGGAAUCUAGGUGUUCUUGUUUAUUCUCUGUAAUAUCUGAUCUCGAUAACCUUUUCUUCUUCCCUCUACUGAUUAAAAAUAGAAGUAAUUAAUCCCAGUCCAAUGUGUUGAGGGAAGAAAAACAUAGCGUGUCAAAAAAGAAGGCAGCAUCAAGUACUAUAGUAAUUACUAUUGGAGAUGAUAUAGUAAGAUACUCUCACUGGUUAUUGACUGUUUUCAGUUUUCACUAGGCAUAAGUGCAUAAUAUAGAAACAAUAUAAGAGAAAACAAAAGUAGUUAGUCCUAAUAAAAUUAUUUCACAUAUUUGUGGCAUGUUCACUCUCAGUUCUUAGGAAGGGAAAAUGCAACCUAGAAUCCUAAAUUCGUUGCAUAUUUUGCCUAUGAUGAAACUAAGAAAAACUAACUUGACAAUACAUGCUAUGGACUGUAGUCUACAGAAUAAAUGACAUACAAGAUUAAAUAAUAUGAUUCUAUUUUGCAGAAGCAGCUGUUUUUUCAUACAUCCCAUGGCAUUUCUGUCGUAAUCACUAGCAACUUCAAAUAGAGUUAAGCAAAAAAUAUCAACAUUCUUUAUUGAUUUCGAUUACAUGCAAAUAAGUAAAAAUGCCCUACUCUACCAAUAAGACAUAAGUAAAGAGCUGACAACACUAGACUGUACAACUACACAAACACAUGAGGUGCUUCUAAGACAAAAAAUAAACCUGAAUUUAGUGUGAGGACUAGCCAAUCCAGAAAGUAAAAAACGCAUUACUGAACAGUCACAGUUUCCAAAACACUAGCCAAUCCAGAAAGUAAAAAACACAUUAGCAAAACUGCAGGACAACAGAAAGGAAGAGUUAAUUUGUGUAGGUGACUGAACAAUACUAUUCAUCUGGACAACAGAAAACUGAUCACCAAAUCCUUUUCAGACAACUAAUUCAUCAAAAGGAACAUGACAUAUCAGGUACUAGUUCACAUAGGACACUGAAUUUGGUAAACUGAAAUAUACCCAACAAAAUACCGAGCACAAACAACAUGUUUUAAUAAUCAUAUUCAGUUAGGGGAAGCAAGUUGGCAGACAUUUCUACAUUAGAAUGUCCACGACUAACAAAACAUUCAUGGUAACACAAAAGGCACAAUCCGGCGAAGUGUUGUAAAUUCCCUUGUAUCCGAGUGGCACAAAUCUGCCUAUUUAUGAAGUAAAUCUAGGCCGGAAUUCCUAGAAUCUCGAACCCCCGAAGUCGCUGAAUAACCAAUUUAUUAGCAGAUCCAAUGGGCUAAACUUGUGAAGUACUAGUAACAUCUAUCUAAACGCUGUCCCAGGUAACAACAGAUCCGGAAAAUCUCUAGUUGGGACGUGUCCCGCUUACUUGAGGUAGUCAUCCUUGAAGAGGUCUUCCCUGUCAUCUUCCUCCUCGUCGCGGAUAACGGUGGCGCUGUCGUCCUCGGGGAGCACAUUAAGGUCGACCUCUGCCUCGCCAUCGUUGUCCGAGUAGGAGGAUGGGUCGGUGGCGCCGUGGCUGGUGGUGGUGUUGGGCGGCAGCCAGUCGGUGUUGAAACCCAGCGAGCCGGGGGUCGACGGCGCGUUCUUCUCCGAGUCGUCCUGGGAAAAUCAAAUCAACCGACGGAAACGUCAGAUCCGGAGGCGGGAAGCAAUUCAACAAGUUAAACCAUCUAUUAAAAAAAUGAAAACCACGCGAAUUUAACAUGUAAAGAUCUAGCUCGAAGAACAAUAAUAUAUAGGUCAUAUGAAUGAUGGUUCAAAUGCAUUCAACACUUCAAAUUACUACUACUACAACUGUCCGCAAAAUUAUAGAAACUUGGCAUAUACCGCAAGCAUUUCUCUUGCACUCAGUCAGGGGAUCGACUUCCAGGUUCCAGCUAGUAGGAGAUUUUCAGUAGAUAAUUUCGAGGCCACUAUCUAAGAAAUUUCAUUAAGUGAUUUCUCUUGUUACUAAACCUACUACACUAUAGCUAGCUCACUAAGAAUUCGUACAAGCAAUCUUGUUACUAAACCUACUACACUAUAUGUCUUGUCAUUCCUGUCCUAGUUUUCAGUGUCAGGAGACUUUUACUAACUUAUGAACAGCAACUGCCACUAUUGACUUCGCCAAAUCAAUAAUUACAAUCACAAGAUCGACCAGGAAACACAGAUUUCAUGCAAAAGACACGGAAUUCAGCAACUAAAAUCCUCCAUGAACAAAGAUAUAGCAGUUGAAACAGUCCAAAUCAUUCAUGCAGUUCCUCACAAGAAAUCAAAUCAUAUGGAGGAUGGAUGGAGAGGCCUCCAUGCAUGCAUGUACGCUUCUUCUUCUUGGUCGCAGCGGGCGGGGAGGAGGUUCCCGCAAUCACGAGCUGUAGAUCGCCCUCGUAUUCACCAAUCUCCGGCGGGCUUCCGGCUAGUUACGGUGGCUUCCCGUGGUAUGGCAGCCAGAACUCCUCUCCCACAACCUCUGUUGUGCUGCUCACGGAAGGGAAGGGGUUUGGUUGGUGGUGGUGUUGGGCGGCAGCCAGUCGGUGCUGAAACCCGGCGAGCCGGGGGUCGACGGCGCAUUGUUCUCCGAGUCGUCCUAGGAAAAGCAAAUCAACCGAUGGAAACGUCAGAUCCGAAGGCGAUUGCUGAGCGUGGCGGCGGCGGCGAGAGGAGGGAGAUGGGGGAGAUGGUCGCUUACCAUCCGCGGGCCCCGAGAAGGCUCUUGUGGAGGGGGCGUGUGGUGGCGAGAUGAGGCUAGGGUUUCAGCAGGAAGGGGGGAAUGGUGGGGAGAGACGGUGUUUCGGUGGGAAGGGGGGAAUGGCUAGGGUUUCCGACGGCGGCGCGGUUCGGUGGCUGGGGCGAGAGGGGAGACGGCGGUGCGGAGUGGGGCAGGGCAACGGGCGACGGAGAUGGGGGAGAAGGGGCGCCGUGGGAGAGAGAGCGAGGGGGCGAUGGGGACACGGGACGAGGGGGCUUUCCCCUCGUCGAUGGGGUGGCGGCGUGGGGUGGAGUGGGAGUGAGGUUGUGGGUCCAUUUAGGGUUAGAUGGAGGUUAGGUGGGCUGGCUUGGGUCGGGCGAUUUGGGCCAAGGGGGUUUUCUUUCCGCCUUUUUAUUAUUUGUUUCUGUUUUUAUUUCAUUUUUUAACAGCUUUAGUUUUAUUUUAUUUUAGUGCAAUGAAAUCUCUUAAAAUUAAUAAUUCUUAAAGGAAAAUUCUCCUAGGUAAUAUCGGACACAUCCGAACAUUUUUAUUUUGACAUUCAAAAACUUUUAUUGCUUUAUUUUAUUUUUAAAUUCAUUUUCAAACUGUUUGAACUAAUGCAAGAUCAACAAUAGAAAUCACGGUGACGUGGCAACAUUAGUGUGGAAUCACUGUAGCUUAAUUACAUAGGUUACUGUAGCAACAAUUGAGGAUAUCACGUCGACCUCCACCGAGCCCUCCAUCGACUGUGGACGGCUCAGAUUGGAUAUAGUGGGGUAAUCCAUGAGAAUAGUUAUCAUUGGUUGGAAACAUCUACAAUUUAAAAUACUAGUUUCUAAGUGGUAAAAAUAUUGAGGGAAACUGGCGGAACUAAAUGAGCUAAAAUUUGGUGGAGUGAGGUUAUAUGGUCAGUUUCAUCCCGUGGUAAAAUUUCAUCAACUAUAAAUCAAUAUAAAAUGUACUUGCUUCACAAAAUUAAAAUAUUAGCACAAACAAAGAUUGAAUGAUGAGCUCACAUGGAUUGCUAGAUGGGGCUAAAAUUUUGUUGAGAACUAUGUUUUCGGCACAUAGAAGAUGUGGAAAAAAUUCAACUCAUCAGGAUAUUCCUAUCUAGUACUUCCUUCACAAAGCUAUUAGCUGAACACAAAUUUUGGAAAAUUUGUGAGAAAGAUUUACUAGGCAAAUCGUUACGAAAGUUUUCAUGAGGCAAUGAUUUGGAUAGGAAAGAGUGCGCAAAAAAUAUAAGGGUAAUCAAAGAAAUAGAAAUAGCACUUCCUUCACAAAAUGCUAUUUUGAACAGAGUAGGAAAAUGAAUAUUGCAGAAUUAUUUUUAAACUAUGGAAGGAAGGAUUUUUCACAUAUUUAAGGAAUAUAUGAUCCAAAGUAUUUAUGAGAAUUUUUUGAGAAUUUUUGGAAUGAUAGAAUAGUAGGUUGCUUCACAAACUAGGAUGAGGUGGGAUAGAAUGGACCCACGAGUGACAUGAUAGAAUAGUAGGAUGAGGUGACAUAGUUAGAACAUGUUACGACAUUUUUAUAAUCGUCGUAAAAGUUAUGACGAUCUCAUCUUAUGCGGUUACGACGUUUUUGACUCACAUCGUCAUAAUUUAUAUGUAGAUUUGAUCCCCUCAAACGGUUUACGAUGAUCUCGGAUGAAAUCGUCAUAGAAUUAUGACGAAUUCAUCAACGACAUCUAAAAAAACGUCAUGUAUGAGUAUAUUUCUUGUGGUGAAUGACCCACCAGCGCGUGGGAUCGAGGCGGUUUUCGAGGGUAGAGUAUUCAACCCAAAUUUGGUGAUUCGCCAAUAGGAAGUGAGAGGAUACUCUCAAGUAUUAGCAGCUGAAUGUGUCAGAUUCAACCACACCUGAAAGAUUAAUAUCUACAAGCAAAGUAACAACAACAAAGUAGUAUGAUAGCAACGGUGUCAGAAACAAUCUGUUGACGGCAGACUAUUCCUAACUGUCGUAUCAAUGGCGCCAGAAGUUGCCCGUUGACGGAAAUUGACUUUUCCCGUCAACGUCGAGCGAAUCAGAAUUGUAGCAGGUAGCAGCAGUGUAAUGAGUAGAAGAAGUGGCAAGGAACAGAAGUAGUGACAGCAGUAGCAAGUAGCAACAGUAGCAAGUAACAAUAGUAGCAAGUAGCAAAAGUAGCAAGUAACAGCAGAGCAAGUAACAGCAGCAGAGCAAAACAAGUAACAGCAGCAGUGGGACAAACUCAUAGGCAAUGGGUCGGUGAUUUGUUUGGAUGAUAUUCAUCAUGCAAGAGUUAUAACAUGGAGAGAUAUGUGGCUAACUCCUGUUCGUCAAUGUGAUGUAGGCAUGCAUUCCGUGUGUCGUCAUACGUGCUUAGGGAAAAGAACUUGCAUGACAUGUAUUGUCCAUCCCUCCCGUGGCAGCGGGGUCCAAAAGGAAACUACGGGAUAUUAAGGUUCUCCUUUUAAUAAAGAACCGGACCAACGCAUUAGCACUUGGUGAACACAUGAACUCCUCAAACUAUGGUCAUCAUCGGGAGUGGUUCCGGUUAUUGUCACUCCGGGGUUGUCGGGUCAUAACACAUAGUAGGUAACUACAACUUGCAAGAUCGGAUCUAAAACACACAUAUAUUGGUGACAACAUAAUAAUUUCAGAUCUGAAAUCAUGGCACUCGGGCCCUAGUGACAAGCAUUAAGCAUGGCAAACUAGUAGCAACAUCAAUCUCAGAACAUAGUGGAUACUAGGGAUCAAUCCCCGUCAAAACUAACUCGAUUACAUGAUAGAUCUCAUCCUACUCAUCACCGCCCAGCGAGCCUACAAAUAGAUUACUCACGAACGAUGAAGAGCUUCAUGGAAUUGGAGAGGGAAGAAGGUUGAUGAUGACGAUGGCGACGAUUUCCCCUCUCUGGAUCCCAAAACGGACUCCAGAUCUGCCCUCCAGAUGAAGAACAGGAUGUGGCGGCGCCUCCGUAUCGCAAACGCGACGAAAUCUUCUCUCUUGAUUUUUUCUGGGACGAAAGUGAAUUUAUAGAGCUAAGUUUGGGGGCGGCAGAGCCACGUGGGCCCCACAAGCUUGCUAGCCGCCACCUGGGGGUGGCGGCUACGGGGCUUGUGGCCCACUGGCCCAUCCCCUCCGGUGGAUAUUUGCGUAGGUAUUCCUCAUAUUUUCCAGAAAUAUUCACCGUAAAUUUUCAGGACGUUCUGAGGACUUUCAUUUCUGCACAAAAACAACACCAAGGCAAUUCUGCUGAAAACAGGGUUAGUCCAGGUUAGUUCCAUUCAAAUCAUGCAAAUUAGAGUCUAAAACAAGGGCAAAAGAGUUUGGCAAAGUAGAUACGAUGGAGACGUAUCAACUCCCCCAAGCUUAAACCUUGCUUGUCCUCAAGCAACUCAGUUGGCAAACUGAGAGAGAAAGAAAAACUUUGACAAACUCUAUUUGAUCUUGUUGUUGCAACUAUGUCUAACUCAUAACCAGAAUUUCAGCAAGAUCACAAGUUAACCACAUAAGCAAGUGACUAAAAGGUAUCACGGUAAACUAAUAUCAAUGGCAUAAUCAGCUAACGAGCAAAUAAUAAUGAGUUUCAAAUACCAACACUUCAAUCAAAACAAGCAUGAAGCAAUAUGAAUAGGUGGUAUCUCGCUAGCUCUUUCUAAGACCGCAAAACAUAAAUGCACAACACUUUCACAGAUCAAGGGCUGACUAAACAUUGUAAUUCAUAGCAACGAAGAUCCAGUCAUAGUCAUAGUCAAUAUCAAUCAAAAGCAAAGCAUAAAAAUGACAAAGGUGCUCUCUAAUUGGUGCUUAUACAAGAGGAGGAUGACUCAACAGGAAAAUAAAUAGACAGGCCCUUCACAGAGGGAAGCAUUGAUUUGCAGAGGUGCCAGAGCUCAAGCUUUGAAAAUAGAGAUAGUAAUUUUGGGUGGCAUGCUUUCAUUGUCAACACAAUGACCAAGAGUUCCCAAUAUCUUCCAUGCUACUAAUGCUAUAGGCGGUUCCCAAACAGAAAAGUAUAGUUUUAACUCCCCCACCACCAAUCAAUUACACUCCACGGCUAGCCAAAUCCUCGGGUACCGUCCAUACUAACAUCAAUCCGGGGGGGGGAGUCUUGUUUUACAGUUAUGUUUUCGAUUUAAGCAUGGAACUGGGCAUUCCAAUUACCUGCCCCUUUCUCAUGAAUGACAAUGAAUAAACACAUGUCGAGGAUAACACUCCUAGCAUGGAAGAUACCAAUAGCCCCCUGUCACCACAUGAGCGGUUCGGGCAUGCAAAACAGAUUAUUUCUGGAAGGUUUAGAGAGUGGCACAUGCAAAUUUACUUGGAAUGGCAGGUAGAUACCGCAAAUAGGUAGGUAUGGUGGACUCUCAUGGAAAAACUUUUGGGUUUAUGGAUGUGGAUGCACAAGCAGUAUUCCACUUAGUACAAGUGAAGGCUAGCAAAAGACUGGGAAGCGACCAACUAGAGAGCGACAACAGUCAUCAACAUGCAAUGAGUUUGACUAACAUUGAAUGCAAGCAUGAACACGAUAUAAAUCACCAUGAACACGAACGUCAUAGAGGCUAUGUUGAUUUUGUUUCAACUACAUGCAUGAACAUGCGCCAAGUCAAGCCACUUGAAUCAUUCAAAGGAGAAUACCAUCCUAUCAUACUACAUCAUAGUCAUCUCAAAAUCUAUGUUGGCAUUCAAGACAAACCAUUAUAAGCUCCUAGCUAAUUAAGCAUGGCAUCAGAAACUAUGAUCUCUAAGUUGUCAUUGCAAACAUGGUUCUCUCACAACAAAGCUAAAUCAGGCAUGACAAGCUAGUCAUAUUUACAAAAACAAAAUAGAUAGAGUUCAUACCAGCUUUUCCAGUCUCAGUCACUUCAUCAUAUAUCAUCAUUAUUGUCUUUCACUUGCACGAUCGAACGAAGUGAACAAUAAUAAGAGUUCUCGUGCAUUGGACUAAGCUGAAUCUGCAGGCAAACACAAAGGAGAAGACAAAGUAAUAUGGCUCUUUGAAAGCUAAACAGGUAUGCAUGCAAGAACCACUAAACAUUGUAACCAAUAUCUUCUACCUUGACACAAAGAAAAAGAAAACUAUUUACACGAGAAAGCUCCCAGCAAGCAAAAGAAGAAAGAAAAAUACUUUUGGGUUUUCUCAAAAUGACACAAAACAAGAAAACGAAAAUAAACUAGCAUGGAUAAUACAGUGGCAAAGUGUGAACACCGGCUAACAAAGGGAAAGCAUAAGCAUGAACGUAAGGUCGGUGAGAACACGCACUCCCCCAAGCUUAGGCUUUUGGCCUAGCUUGGUCUACUCCCAUGGAUGGUCCUGGCGAAACCCAAAAUCAUAAUGGGUGUUAUACGGGAGUGCUGCAGCCACUGCCUGAAUAGGUGCAUCACGAAGUCGAGCAGCCGUCGCCUCCCUCUCAUACUCCUCUGCCUCUCCUAUUGUUAUGUAGUAUAUUUGUUUUACCUGAAAGUCAAAGAAAGCAGGAGCAGGAAGGGUAAUAUGGAGAACACGCUACCGGUUAAAUAUCAAGCAGUAUAGGAGGGAUCCAUGAUCCAUCUCAAGAAACUGGUAGCGUGUUAGAGCGACACGAUCAAGGUAGGCUGUACGGAGAGGAGGGUCUUCUAAACGGAUGGACACUCCAAGAAAAUUUGCUAAGCGUGUAGCAUAAAUUCCACCAAAGAAAUCCCCCUCAAUGGCAUUAUUAUUCAGCCUCCUUGCUAUUAUAGCUCCCAUAUUGAAGCUCCUCUCACCUUUUACUGCACUCUUAAGGAUACUAAGAUCGGAAGNUAAUAUGGAGAACACGCUACCGGUUAAAUAUCAAGCAGUAUAGGAGGGAUCCAUGAUCCAUCUCAAGAAACUGGUAGCGUGUUAGAGCGACACGAUCAAGGUAGGCUGUACGGAGAGGAGGGUCUUCUAAACGGAUGGACACUCCAAGAAAAUUUGCUAAGCGUGUAGCAUAAAUUCCACCAAAGAAAUCCCCCUCAAUGGCAUUAUUAUUCAGCCUCCUUGCUAUUAUAGCUCCCAUAUUGAAGCUCCUCUCACCUUUUACUGCACUCUUAAGGAUACUAAGAUCGGAAGCGCAUAGGUGACAAUGUGCACCCUUGCCGUUAAUGCACCUACCUAUGAAGAAGGCAAAGUAGUGCAAGGCAGGGAAAUGGAUGCUUCCUAUGGUGGCUUGCGUGAUAUCUCUGGUUUCUCCAACAGUUAUACUGGAGACAAAGUAUCUCACCGAAGACUUAGAAGGAUGAUUAAUACUACCCCCAUUGGGUAUCUUGCAAAUCCUAUUGAAAUCCUCCAAAUCCAUGGCGUAGGAUUUAUCAUACAGAUCAAACAGUAUGGAUGAGUCAUGGCCAACUGAAAAUUUAAAUCUACGCACAAAAGAGGCAGUGAGCAUAGCAUACUAUUCACAUUUAUCUGAGAGGAAUUCUUCUAACCCGGCAUUGCGGACAAGUGUAUCAAAAUCAUACUUGAAACCUGCUUCGAUCAUGAACUCAUCGGAAGGCCAUUCACAUGGUUGUACGGGUGUGUCCCUUAGUUGAUAUGGUUCGGGCUCCCGAAAAGAAAGACGGGGACCCUUCUUACUUGAGGAACCACCAUGAAAAUUCCUCCUGAACAUAAUUUCCUUUUGCUGAAAUUUUUGAAGUUCAAGAGAAAAGUGAAUGAAGACCAACCACACCUUGUAGCAACUACUCCUACUAGUGCCUAGAGACCGUAUCACGCGCUAAAACUACUUGGGACCAGUGAUACGUCUCAAACGUAUCUAUAAUUUUUGAUGGUUUCACGCUGUUAUCUUGUCUUCUUUGGUUGUUUUAUGUACCUUUUAUAUCUUUUUUGGGACUAACUUAUUAAUUCAGUGCCAAGUGCCAGUUCCUAUUUUUUCCGUGUUUUUCACUCUUUUCAGAUCUGAUUUUGGAACGGAGUCCAAACGGAAGAAAAACCCCAAAAUGAUUUUUUCCCGAAAGGAAGAAGAUCAGGGGGGCCUUUGGGCCAAGCCAGGUGGGCUCUAGGGAGCCCAGAAGCACCCACUCUGCCACCAGGGGAGGCGGCGGUGGGCAGGCUUGUGGCCUCCCUGGCCGCCCCCUGACCUAGAUCUUUGGCCUAUAAAUUCCCAAAUAUUCCGCAAAAAAUUAGGGCAGCCUCGAAAAUACUUUUCCGCUGCCGCAAGCUUCCGUUUCCGCGAGAUCUCAUCUGAAGGCCCUUCCUAGCACCCUGCCGGAGGGGACUUUGGAGUUGGAGGGCUUCUUCAUCAUCAUCAUCGCCCCUCCAAUGACUCGUGAGUAGUUCACUUCACACCUACGGGUCCGUAGUUAGUAGCUAGAUGGCUUCUUCUCUCUCUUGGAUCUUCAAUACGAAGUUCUCCAUGAUCUUCAUGGAGAUCUAUCCGAUGUAAUCUUCUUUGGCGGUGUGUUUGUCGAGAUCCGAUGUAUUGUGGAUUUGUGAUUAGAUUAUCUAUGAUAUAUAUUUGAGUCUUUGUUGAUUUCUUAUAUGCAUGAUUUGAUAUCCUUGUAUGUCUCUCCGAGUCUUGGGUUUGUUUGGACAACUAGAUCUAUGAUUCUUGCAAUGGGAGAAGUGCUUGGUUUUGGGUUCUGCCAUGUGGUGACCUUUCCUAGUGACAGUAGGGGCAGCAAUUGCUCGACUUUGCGCGGUUCUAUCAAUUGCUCGACAGUAAUUUGUUCACCCACCGUCUAGUUGCUUUCAUGAGAGAAGCCACUAGUAAACACUACGGCCCCCGGGUCUAUUCACAUCCAUCGUUUACAUCUCCGCUUUUACUUUGCUUUGUUACUUUGUUGCUUUCAUUUCUCACUUGCCAAACAAUCUAUAAGGGAUUGACAACCCCUUCAUACCAUUGGGAGCAAGUUUUUGUGUUUGUGCAGGAUCUUGAGAUACUCCUCCACUGGAUUGAUACCUUGGUUCUCAAACUGAGGGAAAUACUUACCACCGCUACGCUACAUCACACAUUCCGCUUCGAGGGAACACCAACGCAAGGCUCCAAGUCCACGGGGGAAAUCCUUUGCAUACUUGACCAGGAAGUCCCUUAAGGCGUAGCUGCGGCAGAAAGAUCAAGCCAAGUAUUCUCCCGUCGACGUGCCUAUUUCUGGCGCCGUUGGAAGGUCUUUUGUUGCAGUAGCAGAAGUAUUUCUGGCGCCGUUGCGGGGGAGAAGAAAUCAAGAUCUAUCCAAGUAGGUCUCACAAACUCUUCUCUUGCAUUUACUUUUGUUGCCAGGUGCCUCUCGCUUUCCUCUCCCCCACUUCAAAUUUGUCGUUUUCAUUCGCCUUUCGUCUUCGCCGUUUUCUUUUGCCUUUGUCGGUUCUCUUGCUCGCUUGUGUGCCAUGUGCCUUCAAUAUGCUUGCAUCUUUGUUUGUUAAUAUCUUUAAGAGACCCACUUAUGUGGAACAAAUUGCUAGUGAGUAAAGGGAAAUUGACUAUUUCUAUGGAGUUUUUCUUAAGAUGCGUGAAUCUGAAAAUUGUGAGGAAGAAAUUCAUGAAGUGAUUCACGAGGGCUCCUUGGAUGAAAAGCAUGACUGCAAUGGUUUCAAUAUAAAUUCUAUUAGUGACAAUCAUGCUAAGAACAUGCAAAACCCUAAGCUUGGGGAUGCUAGUUUUGCUAUGACCACUACUUAUUGCAAUAAUCAUGAUUGGGGUGAUGAUCUUUCUUAUUAUCUUGAAAAUUUAUUCAAACCUCAUGAUGAAUGUGAUAUUUGCAGCAAUACUAAAAAUGGGAUUGGAGAAGUCAUGACUUUAUUUCAUGAUAUUCCCACUAUUUUUGAAGAGCGUCAACUUUGCAUGCAUGUGGAUCAUGAAAAGAAUAUCCUAUGGGGUAGCUAUAUUGUUGAAUUUGAAUAUGAUCCCACAUGUAAUUGCCAUGAGAGAGGAAAAUAUUUUGGUAGAAACUUUCAUUUUACCAAAUUACCUCUCGUUAUGUUGAGAUUGCUAUUGUCUCUUUCUUCUUCCUUGCAUAUGGCAACUAUUGGUUGUUAUCGUGGGUAUAAGUCUGACAGUAGAAGUACGGGGUACGAAAGUAUAUGGGCAGAGCCUUAGCUAUGGCUAGGAUGUAUGAGUUCAGGCCCCUCUACGGUGGAGGAAAAAGCCCUACGUCUCAGUGCUCUUGGGAGCUUUGUGUCGAGUGUAUUAAGGGAUUACUGCAAGUGCCAACCCCUGUACCAGUGGUGAAGGGCGGCUUAUAUAGAGUGCCCUCCCCUUCAUAAUGGUCCGGUGGACAUGGGUGGAGUAGGAGCGAGUAAAGGCUGGCGUUACUGGUAACGUAAGCCUUAAAUGCUAGUUAUGGUGUAUGAAAACGUAUGACCAUUGCCCUCCUGGGAGGUUACGACGUACAGAGUGGAUUCCAGUCGGUACGUUAGAUAUGCUCCGAGUGGAUCGUCGCCGACUGGAUGAUGGGGGCGUCCUUAGUUCAGUAGGAACUGUCUAAGGGCCCUGUCCUCUAUGAAGGGUAGUCCUUGGGUAGGACCUAUAGGGCAGACCUAUGACCCCAUCAUUAGUCCCCGAAUGGGUCGGGGUUGGAACGAUGAAGUGAUGUCCGGAGUUUGGAGCCGACUGGUAUUUAGGUGAUCUUAGCGUUGUCUGCCUCGAUCCAUUUUCUCUUUGUGGCUAGUGAUCCGAGUGAAUAUGCAAGCGAAAUGAACCGUGAGGGACCGAUUGCUUCCCCGGAAUCUUUCGACGUGACCGGUCAUACUGACAGCGCCGGAUUUUCCGAGAUUCUCAAAUUUCGGUUGUCGCACGCCCAGCGGGGAUGACGACAUCGCCAUUGAGUAGAUUUCGCCUCCUCGAUUACCGCGCCGUGAUCUUCUCCACUAAUCUUGCAGUAGCUGUUUGGGAGGAUAAGAUCUUGGGCCCACAUGUAGGUGACUCAGUCGGAGGCCUAUUAAAGCCUUCCCGGCGGACCUUCUUGUUGCGCUGCUCAUCUUCCUCCCAUCGAUCUCGCCUCCCCGCAACUCCCUGCACACCUUUAGCCACCUCCUCCCCCUCCUCCUGUGCGGAUCCGUCGCCCUCGCCAUGACGAAGGGGCAGACCAGCAAGCUUGAGGCGAAGAAGAGGAAGAAGGGGGCGGCCUCCACUCAGCGGCGGCAGCGGGCGUUGCCGGCGGGCUGGAUCCAGGGGGACUUCCUCCCCUCCACGGUGAGGGAGACCGACGUGCUGGAGCUGGUGGAGCACGGCAUGGUCGUCAAUAAGUCUUGGAGGCUGCCGGAAGGCGAAAUGGAGCCGGCACCGAAGGAGGGGGAGCGCGUUCUGCUGCUCAGCCACGUGGUCAGAGGUUUCUCCCUGCCUCCCCAUCCUUUGUUCCGAGGAAUUAUGAAUUACUUUGGGGCGCAGCUCCAUCACUUUCCGCCGAAUGCGAUAGCUCAUCUUUCCGCAUUCAUCACCCUGUGCGAGUGCUUCAUAGGGUGUCCUCCCCACUGCGGGCUCUUAAAAUAUGUUUUCUCCGCUAGAUCUCAAAUGGUUAAGAAGCUUAGCCAGUCCGAUGAUAAGACACACAUCCUCCAGCUCUGCGGGGGUUUAGGAUUUUAGAAGAAAACGAAAAGUAGUUAUCCCUCCCUUUAGCUAUCUGAGUCGGUUAGGAACUGGCAAUCGUCCUGGUUCUAUUGCCAGGACAUUGCCUGCCCGAAUGCUUCGAGUGGAUUACCACCCUUCAGUUUAGACCGUCCGGGCCCUCCCAGAAAGCUAGCGCUCUCUAAGUGAGAAAAACCCAGAUCCAGCCUUUGAUCGACACGCUGAUAGCCGUCGUCCGGAAGGGAGUCACCGACAUGGACCUGUUGGAGACUUUUCUGGGUCGAUGCAUCCAGCCGCUCCAGGCCCGAGACCACGCAAUGUGGCAUUACACGGGGCCUUCGGAUACCACUCGGUCCCAUCCUUAAGAUGUGAGCGAGGAGACCAUGGGUGCGUGGGUCCACAGCAUCACGGGCACAUGUGAUAACCCCGUGGGAGCUCGGCGGGUGAAGGGCUUCCACGCCCAAAAUCCUCCUCCGAAUGAGGUGAGUACAUGUUGUCGAGUGCUUUUAACCUUCUCAGUUUUAUUGCUUUUCUUGUCUCGCUGACUGAUGUUGCCGACUAUGUUUUGUGCAGGAGUGGACGAACUAGCAUUCUGCAGUCUCAAAUGGGAAUCCGGUCAAGGAAGAAGAAGGAAGCAUGGAGGGUAGCGCGGGUAGUGCCGAGUAUGUCUCUGACAGUAGGGAGACGGAGGAGGAAACAAAAGAGGAGGAGGAGGAGAGUGAAGAGCAGAGCUCGUCACCCUCACCACCAGAACACCGAACGAAGCACUGUCAUGACCCCGUUGUUCCGCCGGCUCCUCCCGUGGCCCCGAGUGCUCGGAGUGUGAACAGAACACGGGGUUCUUCUGUCGAGCCCGUGGAUCAGCCGUCCAAGGUGGCUAAACCCAGCGGGUCUAAACAUCGGAAAGCUUUGCCCCGGAUGAGGAUCGUUGUUCCGGUGGCCUCAGCGUAAGUAUCUUUGCUCUUCCAUCUUCCUUCAGUAUCCGAUUGAACUCUUCUUUUUGGGAAUUCAUGUUUACCCGUCGAAUGGAUUUCACUCAACAGAGCUGCUACCUCCUCCACCUCUCUGCUGCGUCAGGGUGACGAUCCCAUGGACACUGAUAACGCCGCCACGUCCCAGCAAGGUACGUUGUCACGAAUCCAAGAGCUGUAUUACCGUUUCGCGAGUGCUGUCUUUGAUCUUGAUCUUUUUCUGUAUUUUUAUUUUGUUCAGUCGGGCUUCCUUCGGAGGUGAUUCAUCUGGACGACGACGACCAAAGGAGGUCGGAACCAGCUUUGGCACCUGUCCUUGGGGUUAUCCAACCUACUGCCAACCCCGCCAUGAGCGUGCCGCCGACUGAGACGGUGUUCUUCACGGCGGAACCGACUGGAGCAGAGCUCGGGAUACCUAGGGCGCCUUCUGCCACGCCGGGUCCGUCGACUGUUCAAUAUGAUGCCCGGCGCCUCCCGGAAGAUCAAGUAGGAGCCGCCAAGGAUGCCAUGGUACAAGUGGAGCUGAUGGUGGGCGAAGCCAAGGGAGCAUAUGACUCCGUUGCGUCCCUGUACAAGAAGAGCUUGGAGCUUCGGGAUGAUAUCCGAGUAAGUGCGCUAGUAAGUGUUUUGGCAAGAUACUCGGAUACAGUAGGUUAAUUUUCCAGUGGGUUCACUCCGAGUGAACCCAGUGGGUGUAGUCCCCGAGACUUCUGCCGAGUGCUUGCACCGCAGUUGUCUUUAUAUGUAUUUUCCAUAAUCUCUACAGAUCAGAGCUGAUCUGCCCGAAUGGUACCAGUGGGGGCACGCCGAGUGCAACCACUGGGUGUAGUCCCCGAGAGUAGUGUUACUCGGGUCGAGUAAUAGUAAUCUCGUAGUGUUGUUGGUUUGCUAUGGAGCUCAAUGGGACCGACCGGUUCGAGCUUCAUACCAGUGGGUUCACUCUCAGUGAACCCACUGGGUGUAGUCCCCGAGACCACUGUCGAUUGCUUGCAUCGGCAGGGGUCUGAAGAAUCUUGAGCUUUGAUUGUUUUGUCAUAUCUGUCGAGACUUUUCCUUCUUGAAUCUGGCUGAUCCUCCCUUUGUGUCUCUUUGACAGAAGACUUGUGAAAUGGGAUCGGCUUAUAAUGCUCUGAAGGCUGAGAAGACUCAACUUGCUGCCGACUUGGAGGUAGCUGCGAAUGAUCUGGCUGGCAUGAAGAAGGCACUCGCUGAACGAGAAAUAUCUUUGGAGGAAUCUCGGGGGACUAACAAGGCACUACUAGCUGAGUUAGAAAAAAUGAAGAAGGAGAGAUCUGAAUGGGUGGGCCAGCUGAAGUCAAUGAACGCUCGGUGCAAAGCGCAGGAGAACUACGUCGGCGACUGGGCGAAGAAGAUGGUCGCACUGCUUGGUGGUAAGUAGCUUGCCGAGUGCUCUUUGACUUUGGAGUUCACUCCGCGCUUCUUUUCUCCCUGUCUUUUCUUUGCAGAUUUCUGUCACGACGUUGAAGCUGAAACCGCCGAAAUUGAACGGUCGCUUGGGCAACCGAAUGUUCCACUCGGUGAUGAAGCUAACCGGGACAUGUUCCGUCUGAAUUCCCGCCUUAACAAGGUGGGUCCUUUCAUUGGUCGCCUGAGAGAAGUUGUGGGCCGAAUUCACAAAGAGCUGUGGCCUGAAGAUGACUCCCGGAAUGAGAUAGAGGGGUUGACGACUCGACUGGAGGAUGCUCCAAGCAGUGUGCAGGCAUGGAAGAAGUUUGCCGCUCGGUGUGGCGCGGACGUGGCGUUGUCUCUAGUCUGAGUGCAUUGUAAGGAAGCCCGUGAAGACAAGCUGAAGAGGUUGCAGGUCGCCAACACCAAGAAGCUUCGAUUUGAAGACUUCAUGGAGACCUUUCUCGACACGGCCACUCGUAUUGCAGAUGGAAUCGACCUCGACACCUUCGUGGAGCCUGCCAGCUCCGGCGAUGCUUGAUUGACUUUAUGCUGAGCAUGCAUUUACCUCGGUAUGCCGAGUGGAGUUUGUAUUAAACUUUGGCCACUGCUGUUGGCCGGUACAUUCGUGGCUCAGUGUGGAUAAACUUGAUUCACACCGAGCCGACUGAUCGUUGAACUCAAUUUGAAUUCGAACCGGAUCUUUUGCUCUUCUUUCGUUGAGUUUUUUUUACACGAGUUUUGCUCGUGGUUUUUGUUUAGGCGACUCAGCUAAACCUCCGAGUGUAACUUGUGUGCCCACUCAGAGGAAGCUCUUUACUUAGGCAACUCUGGUUCGCAACUAAGUCCUCGAGUGUGACUUUUGGUGCACACUCGGAGUUAGUUUUUACUUAGGCAACUCUGGAUCGCAGCUAAGUCCCCGAGUGUGACUUUUGGUGCACACUCGGAGCAAGUUGUUUACUUAGGCGACUCUGAGUCGCAGCUAAGUCCCCGAGUGUGACUUUUGGUGCACACUCAGAGCGAGUUGUUUACUUAGGCGACUCUAGGUCGCAGCUAAGUCUCCGAGUGUGACUUUUAGUGCACACUCGGAGCGAGUUGUUUACUUAGGCGACUCUGGGUCGUAGCUAAGUCCCCGAGUGUCACUUUUGGUGCACACUCGGAGCGAGUUGUUUACUUAGGCAACUCUGGGUCGCAGCUAAGUCUCCGAGUGUGACUUUUUGUGCACACUCGGAGUGAGUUGUUUACUUAGGCGACUCUGGGUCGCAGCUAAGUCCCCGAGUGUGACUUUUGGUGCACACUCGGAGGGAGUUGUUUACUUGGGCGACUCUAGGUCGCAGCUAAGUCCCCGAGUGUGACUUUUGGUGCACACUCGGAGCAAGUUGUUUACUUAGGUGACUUUGGGUCGCAGCUAAGUCUCCGAAUGUGACUUUUAGUGCACACUCGGAGCGAGUUGUUUACUUAGGCGACUCUGGGUCGCAGCUAAGUCCCCGAGUGUGACUUUUGGUGCACACUCAGAGCGAGUUGUUUACUUAGGCGACUCUGGGUCGCAGCUAAGUCCCCGAAUGUGACUUUUAGUGCACACUCGGAGCGAGUUGUUUACUUAGGCGACUCUGGGUCGCAGCUAAGUCCCCGAGUGUGACUUUUGGUGCACACUCAGAGCGAGUUUUUAACUUAGGCGACUCUGGGUCGCAGCUAAGUCCCCGAGUGUGACUUUUGGUGCACACUCGGAGCAAGUUGUUUACUUAGGUGACUCUGGGUCGCAGCUAAGUCCCUGACUGUGAAUUUUGGUGCACACUCGGAGCAAGUUGUUUACUUAGGCAACUCUGGGUCGCAGCUAAGUCCCCGAGUGUGACUUUUGGUGCACACUCGGAGUUAGUUUUUUAGACCGGAGUCUGCAAACGCAGAAGAAUUUUGAAUCGGCAAGAAAUUCAUCCGCUUUGUAUUACUUCGAUGACAUUUGUUCUUUACAUUGUCUCUGUCGGCGGUUAUGUGUAGAAGUGCUUCAGUAGAUCUCCAUUCCAUGCCCGCGGCUCGUCCGUCUCCCUGUCGAGGUUGUAGAGUCGAUACGCUCCAUUGUUCCGUACCUUAGAAAUGAUGAACGGUCCUUCAUAGGCGGGAGCCAACUUGUGUGGUCUCUGUUGAUCCACUCGGAGCACCAGGUCUCCUGCUUGGAACGUGCGGCUCCUGACGUGCCGCUCAUGAAAUCGCCGCAGAUCUUGUUGAUAAAUUGUUGAACGGAUCAAUGCCAUCUCGCGCUCCUCUUCCAAAAGGUCUACUCCGUCUUGCCUGGCUUGCUCUUCUUCGGCUUCGGAGAAGAGUUCGACUCGUGGAGAGUUGUGAAGCAAGUCACUUGGAAGGACUGCCUCUGCUCCAUAAACGAGGAAAAAUGGGGAUCGUCCUGUCGAUCUAUUCGGGGUUGUUCGGAGGCCCCACAGCACCGAAGGCAGCUCGGUGACCCAUGCGCCGGCGGCAUGCCCAACUUCCCGCAGGAGUCGAGGCUUCAACCCUUAAAGAAUGAGUCCAUUCGCCCGCUCCGCUUGUCCAUUUGUUUGGGGGUGCGCAAAGGAUGCAAAAUACACUCGGAUACCUUGGCCUACGCAAAAACCUUUGAACUCGUCCGAGUUAAAGUUUGGGCCAUUGUCGGUGAUUAUGCUGUGUGGAACCCCGUAUCUGGCAAUGAUGUCUCUGAUAAAUUUGAUGGCCGUAAGGGCAUCAAGCUUCUUGAUUGGCUUGGCUUCAAUCCACUUGGUAAACUUGUCGACUGCUACCAGCAGAUGGGUGAAUCCUCCUUGGCUUGUUCUGAAUGGUCCGACUGUAUCUAAUCCCCACACGGCCAAUGGCCAAGAAAGGGGAAUUGUCUUCAGCGCGGACGUUGGCUUGUGGGACUUGUUUGAAUAGAACUCACAACCUUCGCAAUGGUCGACUAUAUCUUUUGCCAUUUCAUUCGCCUGCAACCAGAAGAAACCAGCUCUGAAUGCUUUGGCAACGAUCGCCCUUGAGGAGGCAUGAUGACCACAGGUUCCUGAGUGAAUUUCUUCCAAAAUUAACCGACCCUCCUCAGGAGAGAUACACCCCUGAAGGACGCCUGAAACACUUUCUCUGUAUAACUGGUCAUCAAUGACGGUGAAGGACUUCGACCUGCGAAUGAUCUGCCUAGCUUGGACCUCAUCUUCCGGUAACUCUUGCCUCAGGAUGUACGCAAUGAGUGGCACAGUCCAUUCGGGAAUGACAGCUAGAAUCUCCAUGACCAGGUCAACCACAGCGGGAAACUCGACUUCGAUCUGAUCUAUUGAGCUCUUCGGUUGCACAAGUUCCUCUAUAAAAGGAUCUUCUUUUACCGAGGGGAGGUGUAAGUGCUCGAGGCAGACAUCACUCGGGACAGGUCUCCGUGUGGAUCCAAGUUUUGCCAAUUCAUCUGCUGCUUGGUUUUUCAGUCGGGGAACAUGGUGAAGUUCCAUACCUUCGAACUUCUUUUCGAGCUUUCUUAUUGUGUUGCAGUAUGCAGUCAUGGUGGGGUUCCUUACAUCCCACUCCUUCAUUACUUGAUUAACCACUAGAUCUGAGUCGCCAUAGACCAUCAGGCGACGGACGCCGAGUGUGAUGGCCAUGCACAACCCGUAAAGGAGAGCUUCGUACUCUGCUUCGUUGUUGGAAAAAUCAAAAUGGAUCUGCAACACAUACUUGAGUUUAUCACCUUUCAGGGAUAUGAGCAGUACGCCGGCGCUGGAGCCAUUCAACAUCUUGGACCCAUCGAAGAACAUGGUCCAAUGAGCCGAGUAGAUGUGAGUCGGUUGCUGUUGCUCUACCCAUUCUGCCAUGAAGUCGGCAAGAGCUUAAGACUUUAUAGCUUUCUUGGCUUCGAACUUGAUGUCGCAGUAUAGCAUAUCCAUUGCUCACUUUGCCACUCGGCCUGAUGCGUCCCGAUUGUGGAGAAUUUCCGACAACGGAGCAUCAGAUAUGACAGAUACCGAGUGGUCUUGGAAAUAAUGAGCCACGUGCUUUGCAGUCAUGUAGAUCCCAUAAAUAAGCUUCUGAUAAUGGGGACACCUCUGCUUGGAAGGAGUCAGGACUUCAGAAACAUAAUAUACUGGCCGCUGAACCUUGUACGCUUUGCCUUCUUCUUCGCGUUCGACUGUCAGAAUAGUGUUGACGACUUCGUUUGUAGCCGCGAUGUACAAAAGAAGGGGUUCUUUACUGAGUGGGGCAGUAAGAACCGGCUGGGUGGAAAGCAGGGCUUUGAGGUCGUCGAAUGUGGUUUGGGCUUCGUUUGUCCACUCGAAGGUAUCCGACUUCUUCAUGAGUCGGUACAGAGGUAACGCCUUCUCGCCGAGUCGAGCGAUAAACCUGCUCAAAGCCGCUAGAAAACCUAUGAGCUUUUGUACGUCAUGUACUCUUACCGACCGCUCCAUUCGAACAAUGGUCCCGAUGUUUUCGGGGUUGACAUCGAUCCCUCGUUCGGAAACAAAGAAACCGAGUAACUUCCCGCUGGGAACGCCAAAUGAACACUUGGCUGGGUUUAGCUUGAUAUUGUACCUACGUAGGUUGGCGAAUGUUUCUGCCAAGUCAGUCAGUAGGUCGGAACCUUUGCGUGACUUGACUACGAUAUCGUCCAUAUAUGCCUCCACAUUUCGACCAAUCUGGUCUAGGAGGCAUUUUUGGAUCAUUCGCAUAAAAGUUGCUCUUGCAUUUUUCAAACCGAAUGGCAUAUUGAUGUAACAGAAGCACCCGAAUGGGGUGAUGAAAGAUGUUUUUAAUUCAUCCGGACCAUAUAGACGGAUCUGAUGGUAGCCCGAAUAGGCUUCAAGGAAGGAUAAGCGCUCGCAACCCGCAGUCGAAUCAACGAUUUGAUCUAUGCGGGGGAGCGGGAAGUGGUCUUUCGGACAGACCUUAUUAAGGUCCUUGAAAUCGAUGCACAUACGAAGAGACUUGUCCUUCUUGGGCACCAUGACAACAUUAGCGAGCCACUCGGAGUGGUGUACCUUGCGAAUGAAGUUGGCUGCCAGAAGUUUAGCUACCUCCUCUCCGAUUGCUUUUCUCUUGUGCGCGGCAGACCGACACAGUCGUUCUCGGACGGGCCGAGCGGCAGGAUCCACAUGCAGUCGGUGCUCAGCCAACUCCCUGGGUACACCUGGCAUGUCAGCAGGCUUCCAUGCAAAAAUGUCCCAGUUCUCAUGAAGGAAUUGGAUGAGCUCGGUUUCCUAUUUUGGAUCAAGGGUGGUGGAGAUGUUUGUUGGGGCGGUGGUGGCAUCCGUCGGGUGGACUCUUACUUUUUUCGUGUCUCCCGCCGACUGGAAUGCGGACUCGGAAGCUGGCUUCUUUGAACGCAUCAGGUCGGCAGGGUCGGCAAUCUUCUUGUACUCAUCCAACUCGAGUACAGCCAUCUGAUGGUCUGCAAUUCUCAACCCCUGCUGCAGACACUCCUCGGCUCGUUGCCGAUUGCGUGUGACAGUAAUCACGCCUUUGGGACCAGGCAUCUUCAGCUUCAAAUAUACGUAACAUGGACGGGCCAUGAAACGUACAUAUGCCGGACGGCCCAGAAUGGCAUGGUAUGCACUCUGGAAGUCUACCACCUCGAAUGUUAACUUCUAUUUGCGGAAGUUCUUGUCAGAGCCGAAGACGACGUCCAACGCAAUCUGGCUGAGAGAUUUUGCCUUUCUUCCUAGGACGACUCCAUGGAAUUGCAUACUGCUUUCGCUAAGUCUGGACAUCACAAUGCCCAUUCCCUUGAGAGUAUCGGUGUACAUGAUAUUCAAGCCGCUGCCGCCGUCCAUGAGGACUUUGCGCAGCCUAACUCCUUCCACCACCGGGUCGACGACCAGAGCUUGCCUCCAUGGGGUGGGUACGUGUGCUGGGUGGUCUGCCUGAUCAAAAGUGAUUGCAGUCUGUGACCACUUGAGGAACGUGGGAGUGGAUGGGGUUGCCAUGUUUACCUCCCUGCUGACCAGCUUCAGUCGACUUUUGCUUUCUACAUCAGCAAAAAUCAUUAAUUUUGCAUGGACUUGAGGGAACGGAUCCUCCUUGUCCUCAUCAUCUUUCUCGGUGUCUUUCUCACUCGGCUGUCCUUCACCGAAUCCUUGGAUCAGGAGGCGACACUACCGAGUGGUAUGUUUCGGCAAUAUGACAUUGCCUUCUUCAUCCAUCUUCGUGUGGAUUGGACACGGCUGAUCUAGGAUGGAAUUUCCUGACUGUUUCUUCUUGGGGGUGUACUGUGGUUUCCCCUUGCCUUUGAACUUAGCGUUUGUAACGACUGCCGCCUCUGCUUGCGGAGUGGAUUGGGCUUUCUAUUUCUGCUUCCGACUGCUGCUCCCAUCUCCGUCGGCGACUGACUUAUGCUUGCCGCUACGUAUGCGGUCCUCCUCUUCGCCAUUUGCAUAGCACGCAGCUAUCUCCAUCAUCUUGCUCAUGGAGAUGUCGCCUGUCCGACCAAACUUCAGGUAUAGAUCUUUGUACCGAACGCCUGCCUUGAAGGCGCAGACUGCUUGGUGUUCUGUAACAUUCUCCACCGUGUGGUAGAGGGUUGUCCAGCGUUGGGUAAAAUCGCGCAGGGGCUCGUUUUGCUUCUGGACACAGUGCUGAAGCUUUGUGAGACCAGCGGGGCAUUUGCACGUACCCUUGAAGGUCCUGAUGAAGACUCGGGACAGAUCUGCCCAACUCGAAAUGGUUGAUGGAGCUAACUGGUUUAGCCAAGCUCGAGCCGAACCGUCGAGCAUCAAUGGGAGAUGUUUCAGGGCGACAUGGUCAUCUCCGCCACCGAUGUGGACCACCACUCUGUAGUCGUCUAACCAAGUUUCUGGUUUGGACUCUCCUGUGAAUUUGCUGAAUCCCGUCGCCAAUCGGAAGUUGGGAGGGAUGUCAGCCGAGCGAAUGGCCCGACUGAAACACUCGGGACCAGAAACAACGGUCCUGCUUCCACUCGGAUGAUCUCUAUCGUGACCACCACGGUGGGCUCGGCUUCUAUCAACCUUCUUUUGAGUGAUAUACCCUCUUGCAUCAGGCCUUUGAUCAUGCGCGUCACCGCCCGAACGACAAUCAUCGUAAUGCGGGGGUCCGUAAGGCCCACUCCGCCGAGGAGUACGCGAACGGCGAUGAUCUUCGGGAUGAGACCGAAUGGAAGGUGGAUUCCGACUCUGGUCCCUGGAAUGAUCGUUCCAGAGGCUGCCCCCUCUGCGACGCUGGUGAGAGCUGGGACUGAAAACCGACCGAUGUGUGUUCGCUUGAACGGAACUGUUGUGGAUCUUGUUGUGCGACUGGGAGACCGCCGAGUUUUGCUGCUGCACCGUAUGUAACAAGGCACGGAUCUGCUCAAUUCCUCUACCAGCCUCUGAAUCAGUCGGCUGGAGAGAAUCAGUGAUCUUGGCGGCUGCAGCCAAGUUGAGGAUGGGUGUGCGGAACACCUCGACGUGGCUCUGGCGAACGCGUCGACUGGAAGAACGAGGGUGCUGACGACGAGCGCCGGAUGAUUCUCCGAUCUCACGCUCGUUCCGACCAGUCCCGGGCGACUUUUGUGGGAAUCGGCCAUGAGCACUUCGGCCGUAGGCCCGUGACCCUGAUACUCGGAAGGUAGUUCAGUCGGAAAUGAGUCCAAGCACUGGGAUGACCGCGGGACCACAACCGAUUCAAGCACCACCACUUGAGAGGACAUGUUUUGUCGCGCUAGGGCGUGUCGCACCCAACGCUGGAGCCCCGAACGACCGGAUAGCUUGUUGCGGUGCGUGACGGGGGCGAAGAUCGAAACCGGGGUCGAUGGCUGGACAAGAAGAACACCGCAGGAACUGGCACGGAAGUGCGUAGCCCCGCGACUCGGAAGCGUCUUGACAUCGAGGGGCGCAUCCUGAUGCCAUGCCGAAUCAUCAGCGAUGAAGGAGAGCGCACCGAAGAGGAUCUCACGACCCAUGCACAGAUCUCCGCCGGAUGACAUGACGAAGAGAUGAAAUCACAAACUCGCCGGAAGUCGCUUAUACGCCAGCCCCACGGUGGGCACCAACUGUCGUGGGUAUAAGUCUGGCAGUAGAAGUACGGGGUAUGAAAGUAUAUGGGCAGAGCCUUAGCUACGGCGAGGAUAUAUGAGUUCAGGCCCCUCUACGGUGGAGGUAAAAGCCCUACGUCUCAGUGCUCUUGGGAGCUUUGUGUCGAGUGUAUUAAGGGAUUACAGCAAGUGCCAACCCUUUUAGCAGUGGUGAAGGGCGGCUUAUAUAGAGUGCGCUGCCCUUCAUAAUGGUCCGGUGGACAGGGGUGGAGUAGUGGAGAGUAAAGGCUAGCGUUACUGGUAACGUAAGCCUUAAAUGCUAGUUAUGGUGUAUGAAAACGUAUGACCGUUGCCCUCCUGGGAGGUUAUGCCGAACAGAGUGGAUUCCAGUCGAUACGUUAGAUAUGCUCCGAGUGGAUCGUCGCCGACUGGAUGAUGGGGGCGUCCUUAGUUUAGUCGGAACUGUCUAAGGUCCUUGUCCUCUAUGAAGGGUAGUCCUUGGGUAGGACCUAUAUGGCAGACCUAUGACCCUACCCUGGGACUAUAACCCCACCAGUUGUCUUGACAAUCUGUUUUCCUAUAAAAUGCCUAUGCAUAGGAAGUAUGUUAGACUUAGAUAUGAUUUUCACAUGCUUUAGGAUGCUCUCGUUGUGCUUCAAUUCUUGUCUUUUGUGAGAGCAUCAUUGAAUGCCUAGCUAAGGGCGUUAAACAAAAACGCUUGUUGGGAGGUAACCCAACGACUCUAUCCUUUUUCUUUCUGUUUUGUGUUUCCCACACUUUCAUAAUUCUGUUAUGAUUGUGUUUUUUUUGUUUCUUUUUGCGUUUGUGCCAAGCAAAACCGUUAUGAUUAGUCUUGGGGAUGAUCGUUUGGCCAUGCUGGAAAAGACAGAAACUUUCUGCUCACGAAAAGAAUUUUCAUUUUUUGUCUGUAAGAGAUUUUGAGUUGAUUCUUUUUGCUGCUGAUUGCUACAGAAGUUCUUCAGACUGUCUUAAGUUUUCAGAAUUUUUGAAGUAACAGAGUUAUACGGAAUAUACAGAUUGCUACAGACUGGUCUGCUGUUAACAGAUUCUGUUUUUGUUGUGUUGGUUGCUUAUUUUGAUGAAACUAUGGAUAGUAUCGGGGGGUAUUAGCCAUGGAAGAUUGAAAGUACAGUAACCCAACAUCAGCACAAGUAGAAUUUAAGUUUGCUACAGUACCUAAGGAAGUGGUGGUUUGCUUUUUCUUGUACUAAUGUUAUCACGAGUUGUUGUUUAUGUUUCGUGUUGUGAAGUUUUCAAGUUUUGGAUGAAGUUCUUAUGGACAAAGAGAUAAAGAGUGGCAAGAUCUCAAGCUUGGGGAUUCCCAAGGCACCCCAAGAGAUUCAAGGAUGCCGUAAAAGCCUAAGCUUGGGGAUGCCCCGGGAAGGCAUCCCCUCUCUCGUCUUCAAUCCAUCGGUAACGUUACUUGGGGCUAUAUUUUUAUUCACCACAUGUUAUGUGUUUUUGCUUGGAGCGUCUUGUAUCGUAGGAGUCUUUUUUUUGUUGUGUCACAAUCAUCCUUGCUGACACCUAGAGAGAGAGACAUGCACACACCGUGAUUUUGUCGAGCUUCACUUAUAUCUUUUGGUAGACAAUUCAGCUCACAUGCGCUUCACUUAUAUCUUUUGAGCUAGAUACUUUUGCUCUAUGUGCUUCACUUAUAUAUUUUAGAGCACAGAGGUGCGUGGCUUGGUAGCUGAUCUAUGCUUUGAAAGUAGUCUCAAAAGGGGUAGUUAUCCAAAGGGAUACGAAAACUUCCACCUUCAUGUGCAUUGAAUAGUUAGAGAAGUUUGAUUCAUCUCAAUUAGUUUUGAGUUCUGGUUAUGGUAAUAUUAAAGUCAUGCUAGUAAGGUGUUGUGGAUCUAGAAAUACUUGUGUUGAAGUUAGUGAUUCCCGUAUCAUGCACGUAUGUGAACCGCUAUGUGAUGAAAUCUAAGCAUGAUUAGUCUAUUGAUUGUCAUCCUUUGCGUGGCGGUCGGGAUCGCGCGAUGGUUUAUACCUACCAGCCCUUCCCCUAGGAGUAUGUGUUGAAUGCUUUGUUUCGAUUACUAAUAAAUUUUUUGCAACAAGUAUAUGAGUUCAACACGACUAAUGUUGAGUCCAUGGUUUAGAUGCACUUUCACCUUCCUUCAUCACUAUCUUCUUAGUGCCGUGCAACUUUCGCCGGUGCACAAAACCCACCAUUAGCCUCCCUCAAAACAGCCACCAUACCUACCUACUAUGGCUUUUUCAAAGUCAUUCCGAGAUAUCUUGCCAUGCAACUACCACCAUGACAUGUGCCACCACGUCUACAUUGCCAUUGCAUGAUCGUAAGAUAGCUAGCAUGAUGGUUCCAUUGAUGUCUAUGCCAUGCUAGAUCAUUGCCACGGUACACUACCGAAGGCAUUCCAUAUAGAGUCAUCGUUACUCUAAGUUUUGAGUUGAAAGUGUGAUGAUCAUCAUUAAUGGAGCAUUGUCCCAUGUGAGGAAAUAAAAGAGGCCAAGGAAGCCCACCAAAAAAAAGAGGCCAAAGAGCCCACCAAAAUAAAAAAAAAUGAGAGAAAAAGAGAGAAGGGACAAUGCUACCACUUUUUCCACACUUGUGCAUAUUGAGCACCAUGAUCUUCAUGAUUGAGAGUCUCUCGUUUUGUCACCACCAUAUAGCUAGUGGGAAUUUUUCAUUAUAUAACUUGGCUUGUAUAUUCCUAUGAUAGGCUUCCUCAAAAUUGCCUUAGGUCUUCGUGAGCAAGCAAGUUGGAUGCACACCCACUAGUUUUCUUUAAGAGCUUUCACAUACUCAUAGCUCUAGUGCAUCAAUUGUAUGGCAAUCCCUACUCAUUCACAUUGAUAUCUAUUGAUGAGCAUCUCCACAGCUCAUUGAUUUGCCUAGUUAAUGUCACUAUCUUCUCCUUUUUGUCUUGCAACCUCCACUACAUUCCACACCAUCUAUAGUGCUAUAACCAUGGCUCACGCUCAUGUAUUGCGUGAGAGUUGAAAAGGUUUGAGAAAGUAAAGGUGUGAAACAAUUACUUGGCCAAUACCGGGGUUGUGCAUGAUUUAACUUCAUUGUGCAAUGAUGAUAGAGCAUAGCCAGACUAUAUGCUUUUGUAGGGAUAACUUUCUUUUGGCCUUGUUAUUUUGAAAGUUCAUGAUUACUUUGCUAGUUUGCUUGAAUUAUUAUUGUUUCCACGUCAGUACCAAACUAUUGUUUUGAAUCUAAUGGAUCUGAACAUUCACAUCACAUGAGAGGAAUUACAAAGGACACCUAUGCUAGGUAGCAUGAAAGCAUCAAAAAUUCAUUCUUAUCACUUCCCUACUCGAGUACGAGCAGGAGUUAAGCUUGGGGAUGCUUGAUACGUCUCAAACGUAUCGAUAAUUUUUUAUGGUUUCACGUUGUUCUGUUUUCUUCUUUGGUUGUUUUAUGUACCGUUUAUAUCUUUUUUGGGACUAACUUAUUAAUUCAGUGCCAAGUGCCAGUUCCUUUUUUUCCCAUGUUUUUGACUCUUUUCAGAUUUGAUUUUGGAACGGAGUCCAAAUGGAAGAAAGACCCCGAAAUGAUUUUUUCCCGAACAGAAGAAGAUCAGGGGGCCUUUGGGCCAAGCCAGGUGGGAUCCAGGGAGCCCACAAGCCCCCACUCCACCACCAGGGGGGGAGGCUGCGAUGGGCAGGCUUCUGGCCUCCCUGGCCGCCCCCUGAUCUAGAUCUUUGGCCUAUAAAUUCGCAAAUAUUCUGCCAAAGAUCAGGGGAGCCUCGAAAAUACUUUUCCGCCUCCGCAAGCUUCCUUUUCCGCGAGAUCUCAUUCGGAGACCCUUCCCGGCACCCUGCCGGAGGGGACUUUGGAGUUGGAGGGCUUCUUCUUCAUCAUCAUCGCCCCUCCAAUGACUCAUGAGUAGUUCACUUCAGACCUACGGGUCCGUAAUUAGUAGCUAGAUGGCUUCUUCUCUCUCUUGGAUCUUCAAUACAAAGUUCUCCAUGAUCUUCAUGGAGAUCUAUCCGAUGUAAUCUUCUUUGGCGGUGUGUUUGUCGACAUCCAAUGAAUUGCGGAUUUGUGAUCAGAUUAUCUAUGAUAUAUAUUUGAGUCUUUGCUGAUUUCUUAUAUGCAUGAUUUGAUAUCCUUGUAAGUCUCUCCGAGUCUUGGGUUUUGUUUGGCCGACUAGAUCUGUGAUUCUUGCAAUGGGAGAAGUGCUUGGUUUUGGGUUCUGCCAUGUGGUGACCUUUCCCUGUGACAGUAGGGACAGCAAGGCACACAUCAAGUAGUUGCCAUCAAGGGUAAAAAGAUGGGGGUUUUAUCAUUGGUUUGAGAUUAUCCCUCUACAUCAUGUCAUCUUGCUUAAGGCGAUACUCUAUUCUUAUGGACUUAAUACACUAGAUGCAUGCUGGAUAGCGGUCAAUGUGUGGAGUAAUAGUAGUAGAUUCAGACAGUAUCGGUCUACUUGUUUUGGACGUGAUGCCUAUAGAAAUAAUCAUUGCAUAGAUAUCGUCACGACUUUGCGCGGUUCUAUCAAUUGCUCGACAGUAAUUUGUUCACCCACCGUCUACUUGCUUUCAUGAGAGAAGCCACUAGUAAACACUACGGCCCCCGGGUCUAUUCACAUCCAUCAUUUACAUCUCCGCUUUUACUUUGCUUUGUUACUUUGUUGCUUUCAGUUAUCACUUGGCAAACAAUCUAUAAGGGAUUGACAACCCCUUCAUACCGUUGGGAGCAAGUUUUUGUGUUUGUGCAGGAUCUUGAGAUACUCCUCCACUGGAUUGAUGCCUUGGUUCUCAAACUGAGGGAAAUACUUACCACCGCUACGCUACAUCACCCUUUCCGCUUCGAGGGAACACCAACGCAAGGCUCAAAGUCUCCCCUUUUACUUUGCUUUGUUACUUUGUUGCUUUCAGUUCUCACCUGGCGAACAAUCUAUAAGGGAUUGACAACCCCUUCAUAGCGUUGGGAGCAAGUUUUUGUGUUUGUGCAGGAUCUUGAGAUAAUCCUCCACCGGAUUGAUACCUUGGUUCUCAAACUAAGGGAAAUACUUACCACCGCUACGCUACAUCACCCUUUCCGCUUCGAGGGAACACAAACGCAAGGCUCCAAGGCCACGGGGGAAAUCCUUUGCAUACUUACCUAGGAAGUCCCUUAAGGCAUAGCCGCAGCAGAAAGAUCAAGCCAAGUAUUCUCCCGUCUACGUGCCUAUUUCUGGCGCCGUUCGAAGGUCUUUUUUUGCAGUAGCAACCAGCUAAAUCAACAUUUCUAGCUCAAGAAUAGGGUCACCAAGGUAGCAAGAAUACGCGAAGGAUAAAACAGUAGAGCAAAAACUAAUUGGAGCAAUGGAGGUGUCACUUACCAAGAAGUAAUUUCCCCAAAACGGUUCGGAUAAUGGUGCUUUGAGCAAGGAGAUCGAAAAUCACAGCCAAAUGAGCAAGAACACGGGUUUGAGCUACGAAACAAUUUUUUCUGGAGGUGAAAGAAGAGGAUGGGAGUUGGAAUGAGUGGAGGGGGUCCCUGUGGGCCGCACAAGCUUGCUAGCCGCCACGAGGGGGGGCGGCAGCUGCAGGGCUUGUGGCCCACUGGUCGGGCCCCCAGGCCAGCUCUCAGGCCCAGUAUUUUUCAAAUAUUCUAGAAAAAAUCAUACUAGAUUUUCAGGACCAUCGGAGAACUUUUAUUUUCGGGGUAUUUUUCUCCAGGACGCUAAAACAGAAAACAGGAAAAUCUAAACUAAAUCUAUCAUUUUUCUUCUAAGCAAUAGAAAAUGAAAGCUCAAAACAGAGUUAUGUGACUCUUUGAUUCAUCCAUUUCAUGGUCAUCGAAAGAAAUCCGUCAAUGGGGUUGAUCAAGUCCUCAUGACAAAACCUUCUCGAAUCGCAAGAGAGAACGGAGAAUUUUCGAAUAACCACUAAGUCACCUCAAUGGGGAUAUGUAUCUCCCCAACAAGCAAAUCAUACUUCAUCUUGACACGAGGAAUAGGGCAUUCAAAGCUCCCAACAAGAAUCGAUGAAGGCUUUUCAAUAGCAUUGAUGCAAUGUACUUGAUAUCGUUUCUUCGGAAAGUGCACUGUGUGCUCAUUACCGUUGACAUGGAAAGUGAAAUUGCCUUUGUUGCAAUCUAUAACAGCCCCUGCAGUGUUUAAAAAGGGUCUUCCGAGGAUGACGGCCAUGGCAUCAUCCUCGGGAAUAUCCAAGAGAACAAAGUCUGUUAAGAUAGUAGUCUUAGCAACCACAACAGGCACAUCCUCGCAAAUGCCGAUAGGGAAAGCAGUUGAUUUGUCGGCCAUUUGCAGAGAAAUUUCAGUGGGUGUCAACUUAUCCAAUUCAAGUCUACGAUAAAGAGAGAGCGGCAUAACACUAACACCGACUCCAAGGUCACAUAAGGCAUUUCUUACGUAGUUUCCUUUAAUAGAACAAGGUAUAGUGGGCACUCCGGGAUCACCAAGUUUCUUAGGAGUUCCACCUUUGAAAGUGUAAUUGGCAAGCAUGGUGGAGAUCUCAAGAUCUGGUAUCUUCCGUUUAUUAGUCACGAUAUCUUUCAUUUACUUGGCAUACAGAGACAUUUUGAGCAUAUCAGUUAACCGCAUCUGCAGAAAGAUGGGUCUUAUCAUCUCAACAAAGCGCUCAAAAUCCUCAUCAUCCUUUUUCUUGGAUGUCUUGGAGGAAAGGGCAUAGAUCUCUGAACCCAUGGAUCCCUUUCUUUACCAUGCUUCCUAGCAGUGAAGUCAUUCUUAUCGUAUCUCUUAGGUUGUGGGUUAUCAGGAUUAACCGUAGGUUCAAUCUCCACAUCCUCAUCAUUGCUAGGUUGUGCAUUAUUAUGAACAUCACUGUCCAUAUUGUCACCAGGUUCAUGUUCAUCACCAGAUUGUGUUUCUGCAUCAGACGCAGAAAUAUCAUUAGAUUCUUCAGGUGUGACAGUAUUUGGUGAACUGGCAUGUAGGUUUCUAUCAUCCUUCUUCUUCUCAUUAGGAUGACUGGGUGUAUCAGCAUUAAUUCCUUGAGAAUCUUGAUCAAUUCUCUUAGGAUGACCUUCAGGAUACAAAGGUUCCUGAGUCAUUUUGCCUCAUGUAGUAAUGACUCUGACAGAGUUGUCUUUUAACUCAUUGAGCAAGUCAUUCUGAUCUUUAAGUACUUGUUCUACCUGAGUAGUAAUCAUAGAUGAAUGUUUACUCAGAAGCUUCAGAUCAUUGACAUUUCUGUCUACACAAGCACUUAAAUGGCUAAGCAUACGAGUACUUUGUUCCAAAUGUCUGCUAACAUAAUCAUUGAAACUCUGUUGUUUGGCAACAAAGUUGUCAAAUUCAUCAAAGCAUAGGCUAGCAGGUUUGUCAAAAGGAAUAUCACUCUCAUCAAACCUACAUAGAGAAUUCACUUCUACUACUUGUAUCGGGUUAUCGAGACCAUGGAUCUCUUAGAUAGGUGGUAGAUUUUUGACAUCUUCAGAUCUAAUGCCUUUCUCUUGCAUAGAUUUAUUGGCUUCUUGCAUAUCUUCGGGACUGAGGAAUAGAAUACCUCUUUUCUUAGGAGUUGGCUUAGGAGGUGGUUCGGGAAUAGUCCAAGCAUUAUCGUUGAUCAAGAUGUUAUUCAGUAGGAUCUCAGCUUGUUCGAUAGUUUGUUCCCUAAAAACACAACCGGCACAACUAUCUAGGUGGUCUCUAGAGGCAUCGGUAAGUCCGUUAUAGAAGAUAUCAAGUAUCUCGUUCUUCUUAAGAGGGUGAUCAGGCAAAACAUUUUGUAGUUGGACGAUCCUCCCCCAAGCUUGUGGGAGACUCUCUUCUUGGAGUUGAGCAAAGUUGUAUAUUUCCUGCAAGGCAGCUUGCUUCUUAUGGGCAGGGAAAUUUUUCUCACAGAAGUAAUAGACCAUAUCCUAGGGACUACUCACACAUCCAGGAGCAAGAGAGGUGAACCAGGCUUUAGUGUCAUCCUUUAAAGAGAAAGGAAACAACUUAAGGAUGUAGUAAUGGCGGAUCUUCUCCUCACUAGUGAAAAGGGUGGCUAUAUCGUGUAGUUUGGUAAGAUGGCCUACGACCGUCUCAGACUCAUAACCGUGGAAAGGAUCAGAUUCGACUAGAGAGAUUAUCUCAGGAUCGACAGAGAAUUCAUAAUCCUUAUCGGUGAUAAAGAUAGGUGAAGUGGCAAACUUCGGGUCGUAUUUCAUCCUAGCUUUCAUUCAUCCUAGCUUUCAGAGAUUUUUCCUUCCACUUGAGAAGUAAUUUCUCAGCGUCAUAGGCAUCCUUACACGCAAGAAAAUCCUCAUCUAUCUCUCCCUCCAUAACAUAACCCUCAGGUAUAUCAGGCAAUUCAUAUCUAGGAGAGCUAGAUCUAGCAGGAGAAAAAGCAGGUUCUAUCUCAAUAGUAUCGGCAUUUUCAGAAGCAUCACGAGCAAUGGCAGUAGCUCUAGCAAUAUGAGCAUCAAGGAACACCCCUAGUGGAACAUCAGGCAAAGUAGCGUCUCUAGCAGUAUCAAGCAUAGCAUCAUGAGGCAUAGCAUCUCUAGCAGUAUCAGGCAUAGCAUCGCUAGCAGUAUGAGGCAUAGCAUCUCUAGCAGUAUCAGGCAUAACAUCUCUAGUAGUAUCACGCAUAGCAGCAUCAUAAGCAUCAUCAAGCACAGGCGACAUAUCAAGAUUUCUAGCAGGAGGUGAUGUCGCAAACUUACUCAUAACUGAAGGUGAAUCAAGUGCAAAGCUAGAUGGCACUUCCUUACCUCCCCUCGUAGUUGAGGGCAAGACUUUGGUUUUCGGAAACUUCAGAUUCUUCAUAGUGAUCAGCAGAUAUAAAUCCCAAGUAACUUAGAGAAUAUAGCAAUCGCAUCCCCGGCAACGGCGCCAGAAAAAUGCUGAUGGCACUCUCUGGCAAUGGCUAGACGAAUGCUAUUCUCGAUUGCUCAACAAUUAGAAAUUGUCUUGCAAUGACCCACCAGCGCGUGGGAUCGAGGUAGUUUUCGAGGGUAGAGUAUUCAACCCAAAUUUGUUGAUUCGCCAAUAGGAAGUUGGAGGAUACUCUCAAGUAUUAGCAGCUGAAUAUGUCAGAUUCAACCACACCUGAAAGAUUAAUAUCUGCAAGCAAAGUAUCAACAACAAAGUAGUAUGAUAGCAAUGAUGUCAGAAACGAUCUGUUGAUGGCACACUAUUCCUAACUAUCGUAUCAAUGGCGCCAGAAGUUGCCCGUUGACGGAAAUUGUCUUUUUCUGUCAACGUCGAGCGAAUCAGAAUUGUAGCAGGUAUCAGCUGUGUAACGAGUAGCAGCAGUGGCAAGGAACAGUAGUAGUGACAGAAAUAGCAAGUAACAGCAGUAGCAAGUAACAGCAGUAGCAAGUAGCAACAGUAUUCAUCAUGCAACAGUUAUAACACGGAGAUAUAUGUGGCUAGCUCCCGUUCGUCAAUGUGAUGUAGGCAUGCAUUCUGUGUGUAGUCAUACGUGCUUAGGGAAAAGAACUUGCACGACAUCUAUUGUCCAUCCCUCCCGUGGUAGCGGGGUCCAAAAGGAAACUACAGGAUAUUAAGGUUCUCCUUUUAAUAAAGAACCGGACCAAAGCAUUAGCACUUGGUGAACACAUGAACUCCUCAAACUAUGGUCAUCACCGGGAGUGGUUCCGGUUAUUGUCACUCCGGGGUUGCCGGGUCAUAACACAUAGUAGGUAACUACAACUUGCAAGAUUGGAUCUAAAACACACAUAUAUUGGUGACAACAUAAUAAUUUCAGAUCUGAAAUCAUGGCACUCAGGCCCUAGUGACAAGCAUUAAGCAUGACAAAGUAGUAGCAACAUCAAUCUCAGAACAUAUUGGAUACUAGGGAUCAAUCCUCGGCAAAACUAACUCGAUUACAUGAUAGAUCUCAUCCUACUCAUCACCGCCCAGCGAGCCUACGAAUAGAUUACUCACGAACAAUGAAGAGCUUCAUGGAAUUGGAGAGGGAAGAAGGUUGAUGAUGACGAUGGUGACGAUUUCCCCUCUCCGGAGCCCAAAACGGACUCCAGAUCUGCCCUCCAGAUGAAGAACAGGAUGUGGCGGCGCCUCCGUAUCGCAAACGCGACGAAAUCUUCUCUCUUGAUUUUUUCUGGGACGAAAGUGAAUUUAUAGAGCUAAGUUUGGGGGCGGCAGAGCCACGUGGGCCCCACAAGCUUGCUAGCCGCCACCUGGNCUACCCGCCACCAGGGGGGUGGCAGCUAUAGGGCUUGUGGCCCACUGGCCCAUCCCCUCUGGUGGAUCUUUGCGCGGGUAUUUUUCAUAUUUUCUAGAAAUAUUCUUCGUAAAUUUUCAGGACGUUCUGAGAACUUUCAUUUCUGCACAAAAACAACACAAAGGCAAUUCUGCUGAAAACAGCGCGAGUCCAGGUUAGUUCCAUUCAAAUCAUGCAAAUUAGAUUCCAAAACAAGGGCAAAAGAGUUUGGAAAAGUAGAUACGAUGGAGACGUAUCAAUGACGACAAGUACUAUCAAGCAAUGGAGAAUAAAUGCUAAUGAUAUAGAGAUGUGAAACCUCUAUGAAUGAAGAACCGAAAAAACUCCAUCCUCAAAAACGACAUAGAAUAUGCAUAUGAACUCCGUUUUCGAUGAACUUGAACUUGUCAUGAAUAUGACCAUAAGCUCAAGAACGCGCAUAGGGAAAAACCAUCCAAGAACCAAGAAAGAUUAUCUUUCCAAUAAUGCAUUGGUUUGAGCUCUCAACAGACGAUAUGAUCAAGCUACUCACUUGAGAGCCCCCCUUGGUAGUACGACAAUCUAUCCUAUAACCCGGUCUCCCAACUAACGCGCUGAGACCGGUAAAAUAGAAAACCUAUUAAGGACAAAUAUUUGCCUUGCGCAUAGUCCACUUGAGCUAAAUGAUGAUGAUGUUGUACUCCUCAAGAUUGACCACCUUCCUUCAUUGUGUUGGCUUGAUGAAGACUAGUUGAUUGCGCCCCAUACUUCACUAUAGGAAAGCAACUCUUCGGCACAUCUUCACCAUAGUGGACGACAAGAUUCAAGCAUGAUCUCGUCUGAUGCUCCACUUGAACUUGCACGCUGCAAUCUUCCAUGGGUUGAAUGAGACUUCCUGUUGACGCGGUCCCAUGGAAACACACCUACCCCACAUAGAACUUUCACAAAGACCAUGGGUUAGUACACAAAGCGUAAUGGACAAUGCUUACCGUACCAUGGGCUCACUUGAUCCCUCUCGGUACAUCUUGUACGCUUUGUGUGUUGAUCAACUUGAUUUACUCUUUGACUUAGUCUUGACCAACGUUGUGUAUUUAUGACCAAUCUUUGGAUAAAACCUUGAAUACCAUAUUGGUCAUCAUAUAAACUCUUUGAAACCAUUAGAUGGACUUCAAGAAGUGCCUAUGAACAAAUCCUUCGAAUAUAACUCAAGGCAAGCAUAUGCUCUAACAAUUCCCUACCAGGCACAUCAUUCAAAAGGAUGGAAGGUGUUCCAUAGGAUAGUAUCUUAUUGAUCCAAGUGAUGGAUCCAAUUUUUACGCACUUUUUAUAGCUCAUUUGUCGCCUAUUAUCUCCAUAUAGCAUGUUCUAUUGAGCAAAUGACAUGUACAUAUGCAUAAUUUCAAUUAUUUAUCAUGUCCAACACAAGGAUUGCAUAAUCGUUAUUCUUUGUUAGUGCUUAUAUGUGUCUUAUUUGUUUUUGUGUGUUUUGUAAGCAAUGUGGAACUCCCAUCCACUUAACACAAUGAAAAGGAUCCAAACGGAGGACAUCUAGGCACCAGACUUAGGCAGUCGGUUUUCAGAUGCUAAAAAUCAAUAUCUGCAUUGUAGGUUCAUGAGCGUUCUUCUCGUGAUUCCAACGAGUAGAGGAACGUUGAAAACAGAGUAUGGAUGUCAAAUUUACAAUUUUACCGAAGAGUCCAAACCAUUUAGUGACCUUUGGGAGGGAAAAAAUACUCGUCCCAGGCCCACACAAGCUCAAAAGUUGCAGGAUUUCAUUAUCGUUUGUUCCUACUACUUUCUUGUCCAUCAAGGGAUGUUUUGGGAAAGGAUUUGGUUCACCGAGAGCACUUAUAUCAAAGUAGAUGCUACAUCAAUGAAAGAGGGUUUGGGAGAGCUCUUAUAAAUAUAUCUCCAACCCUAACCACUCGGGGACACCAUCCAUAUCCACCUAUCCAUGCUCAGCUGUCAUCCCCAUCAAGAGGAACUUGGGGGUUGUGCCAAGCCUACAUCUCCAUUGUUGCAACCUUGGAGGAAGACUAGGAGGGAGUCAUGCUGGAAAAGCGUCAUGGGGGCUGCGGUCAUGGGCCAUAGCUGUCACAUCGUCCUCACCUAGCUACACCCCUUCUCAUUCCCCCAUCACGGUCUCCGUGAUGAAUUGUAACAACUCUUGAACCCCUUUAUAUGUGAUGUUAUUUGAGUAAUUCUUGGCUAUGGGUUGAUCAGCUAGUAAGCAUUUAUUUGAUAUGCGUCGUCUAUUUAUGCCUAUCAUCUUCAUGUUAUUAUUUACCCUUGCGGUAAUUUAGUGAUUGCAGCUGUACCGUCCAUUAGUGUAGUUGGAGACGUUCAACUCCCUAGGUCACACAUGAAGUUGAUAGAUACUUGUCCAUAUCGAGAGACCUCCGGGGUGACAGGCAUCGAUAUCUUGAGGGGAAUAAAAUUAUCCGAAGGAUCACGGUUGUUCAUAGAACUUAUUGCAUUCGGUUCAUGCCUUAUGAUAUUAAUGUCUUUCUUUUGCCCACUCACAGUAUGGGACAGGAAAUAGGAAGAGAGAGUUGUCUGAGUAUGACGAUGUUUGAGAGACAAUGUUAUGUGAGGGACCGCCCACCAUUGAUCAAUUGCGAUAUCGUAUAAUGCAAGGUAUAGACUUAAUUGUAGGUUUUAAUAGUUGAGAUAUAGAGCUUUUUGUCCUACCCACUAAUGUUUAAAACAAGGUAUGGUGUAGCUCAGCUCCAUUGUCACAAAGAGUGGUAAAAAAGUUGAGAUAUAGAGCUUUUCUUUUCGUUCCUACGCACAUAGUUGAAAAAAUCACAUCAAGGCCAAUGGACCAAAGAACAGCCAUUCCCUUCGCCAAAGCGAGGCGCAGAUGCGCUGUUGUCUUCUCUCCCACACAGGAGCUAGCCUCAUCAUGUCCAUGACAACUAGGAAGUCUUACUUGCACGUGCCCCUAAGUACCUGUGUUCUGGAACCACGGUUAUCCCCGAAUCGGUUUGAAGAACCUGACACGAAAUCUCGAUGUGCGUACGCACCCGAGAGGCUCCAUCUAAUCCUUCCUCGUGGACGAACUUCAAGAGGAUCGGAUCCCGAAAGACUAACUCGAAGAAGAAGCAUAACCAUCCAUCCCAGCACCAUCCGUAUGAGAGCUAAAACCCUACCUAUGUACUAGACGGAGCUGAGGCACCAGGAGUCCCCUUCCCGCCGAGGGGAGUCAUAUACAUAGGUUGGUCGACGGAUGUCAAGGGGAUGAAAGCUUUACCUAGUCGCCUUGCGAGAGGGGAAAGAACUUGUUCUACGUGUGGUCGGUUACUAUGCUAGUUGAGUUAAUUAUACCAAGAAAACACAUAUUUCAUUUUGAGAAACAUGCAUGUACACCACCCCUUUCAAUGCGCACACACACACUCUAUGCCUAUGAACAUUUACGAGAGAGUGAGCCAACAGACCUUAUGAUAAAAUAAAAAUACUUUACCCGCACCACUCAAAUGGCGUACUCAGACAAUUUGUAAUCAAAAAAUCUUGGGCUUAAAAUGAAACCAAAAACAAGGAAAGGUGGAAAAAGGUUGUGUGGCAACCACCCUAUAACAUCAAGAACUGAAACUUCCAUCAGACACAAUGCAUCUGAGGGCCACGCAACCUUUGAAAUGGAUAUGGCAGUGGCUGCAACAAGGCCAUUCCCAGGUACAACAAAUAAAGUCUGAGUUCAUCAAAACAAUGCCUUCAACAAGGCCAUUGCCACGUACAAAUAAUAUAGGCCAGACCAUUAGCUUUCACCAUGGAAAUCAAAACUCAUUACUCGAGGAGCAGCAUCAAAUUGCAGUCCUUCAGUGUUGCCGCCCCCGCUUGCCGAGACCGCUGUUGCAAGUCACCAAACACCUGGCACAUAGUCUUCAUCGUAUCCAAUACACCCUUCCAAUAAAGCUUAAGACCUCCAAUCACAGCGUCCAAGACUUCCUCCACCUCUAUUCAUGCCUUAGAAAUCAUAAAUUCGACAUGUCCAUGACACCCGUAAGAAAUCGAACAUUCGCGCCAUGCCCUCUCGAGCUGGGUUGGAUGAUAAUAUUAGCGCGCGCAACCGGAGCCUUUCCAGUCUAGAUAUCCAGGUUCGACAUACGUCAAUCUGUAUAGAUCUCUGAGGGGGAAGACCAGAAUGCGUCAGCAACCCGAUCCAAGAGGUCGACAUUAGGUAGAAAGACAACUUGGCGGAACAAAAGCGCUAUGGCCAAAGCACCAUUUUUAGGCCGAACCACACUCACCCACCUCCAAAGAAAACGAGCCACUCCGCACUAUGCCAAAUGCUCCAGCCACCAUACCGAGCACCACUCCGAGAAACACACCCCUGAACAACCUCCAUUUUACGGACUCAUGGCGCCAGGUCCCGAAUCCGGCUGCUCCCCGGGAGGAACGAGUCACUAGACGGCGUAGCAGCAAGCACCGGCUAUGCAUGCACUCCGGCCUGGUCGGUCCAGAGUGAUCACGAUGUUCAUCCACAUGAUUGCUAUAUCAUUGAGAGGUCAUGGUUGAUCGCAUCAUUUUGCAGGGUGCUUCAUCAUCAUGAAAUGAAUGAAUAUACGCUUCCUUUUUUGUGGGUUAGAUUCCACGAUGAUACAAAAUCUGGACUCACGAUACAUAAUUUAUGGGUUCAGUGGGGACGACAUGAACAGAGCAAAUGGACAACAGUGGGUUCUAAAAUUUUAGCUCAUGGAUGAAAACAAAGUUUUACCUUGCUUGGACACCCAAUUAAGUAGCAUUUCUACUCGCAAAAAAAAUAGCAUUUCCAAUUAAAAAAAAUCCUCCAUGACAUGUAAAUGAUUAGGCGUAGAAAAUAGUACUCCCUCCGUCACGGUUUAGAAGGCACAGUUAGACUUGCGUGCGUUUUCAAAAUAGACAAAGAUUAAGGCACAUUGCAUUUACUCCUAGCAGUUAAUUAGUAUUCCGUUGUACUAUUUCUAUAUGCAUGUGUAGUGUGAAUGCUAUUUUUUAACUCAUUGUAUAGCCAAUCAAUAACCACCUAGGUCCUAGAGAAUUUGCAUGCACGCCUUCUAAACCGUGACGGAGGGAGUACAACACUUUUGUAGUCCAAUGAAUAAUUGUGAAUAAAACAUAUAAAAGGUCAUGAUGACACACAUCACACAUGCAGCAAAUAUAUGUUAAUUAACUGCAUAAAAUGUUAUAAAAUGAAGCACCAAAUUUUACAAGCAAGCAUAAUUGGUUGACAAGUUUGUCUUAUAAGUAAAUAAAAGUGGAUAAAGGAUGUACGAUUAACAUUCGUCCUGCCUGUGCCACUGAACCUAAAUCGCCAAUCAACAAAGGAACUUCUUCGUGCACCUUUGAAGCGUUACCCGUCGGAAUAUGAAGCGAAAAGAAUAAUAGAGUACAUGCAAGGCUGGAAAAAGGAUUUGUGGCAAUCACACAUUGACAUGGACGACUGAAAUUUUCGGCACACACAACGCAUCCAACGGCCAUGCCUCUUACACUAAUCCGGAGAGAUAAGGAAACCAGGCAACCAACAAACGCCAGCCACCCCUUCCACAUCUUGAUUAAAGAUAGGAGCUCACAUGGCUAUAUAUACCGUGCUGAACAGGCAAUGGGGGCCUCAAGUGUAGCCGGCAUCCUCCUCUCUACAGUUAAUACAGUACCAUGGCCCCCGCCGUGAUGGCUUCGUCGGCUACCACCGUCGCACCCUUCCAGGGGCUCAAGUCCACAGCCGGUCUCCCCGUCAGCCGCCGCUCCAGCGCCAGCCUCGGCAGCGUCAGCAAUGGCGGAAGGAUCAGGUGCAUGCAGGUAUGUCGGGGCACAAAACUGAUAUGAGUUUCUUCCACAUUACAAUUACUGCACUUAGCAGUUACUAGCACUAAGUGUUAAGCGUUCCAUAAUUUCCAAUCAUUCAGGUGUGGCCGAUUGAGGGUAUCAAGAAGUUCGAGACCCUGUCUUACUUGCCACCCCUCACCACGGAGGCCCUCCUGAAGCAGGUUGACUACCUGAUCCGCUCCAAGUGGGUGCCCUGCCUCGAGUUCAGCAAGGUUGGCUUCGUCUUCCGUGAGCACAACAGCUCCCCCGGGUACUACGACGGCCGAUACUGGACAAUGUGGAAGCUGCCUAUGUUCGGAUGCACCGAC